rnacentral:lncRNA from 1 species
UUUUUAAUUGUGUUCUACUCCAUGAAAAGAUCAUUUGUCUCAAAGAAAAUUGGAAAAUGCACGAGUGGAUUAGAAUUGGCCUAAGCAUGAACAUGGUGACCUAAACUCUGUUUUGCACCGUGACCUAUAAUGUGGAAUCAUGCAAAAUUCAACUUGGGAUCACUUCUCAAAUGCACAAACUCGUUUCUAAUGACCAAACGCAUCUCACCAUAACACAAAACAACUUGAAGAGCGCCAAAAUCACAAUUUUCGUGCCAAUUUUUCACACGGUUUGGAUCUCAGAUUUUCUGAUUUGAUUCACACGUUUAGUAUCCAAUCUUACACGAACCUUGACCUUGAUCACUUACCUAUAAAUAGAGUAGUGUUUUUCCUUAUUUUACAAGAUUCAAUUGCCAAGAAAGCCCUGCCUCACUGAAACUCGAAAGCACAAAAAAAACUAGUUAACCGUUCCAUCGAUUCAAGCCUUUACCUUCGAGUUUAUUUGCUUAGAAAGUUUCACUGGCAUCCUCUAAAUAUUCUCCAACUAUAAAUAAGCUUUGAGACUACUUGAAUAUCUCUAACUGUUUCCACCAUCUUCAACAUUCGCCCUCGAUUUGUACAAGGUAGUUACGAGUGAAAUUACAUUUCAAACAACUUACCAUUCUCUUCGUGUUGUUCCACUGAUCAAAAGCCCUCAUCUGCCUUUUAUUUAUCUUUUGAUUUGGUCAUUUAAUUUAACUUUGAAUAACUAGGGUUCUUCACGAGUUUGAGGAAAUUCUCUCUGCUCAAAGAAAAUCAAUUGGUUUGAUGCAUAGGGACAUGAACGAUUAGUGAAGCAUAAGCUUGCACGUUUGGUGUUUGAGCUUAAAACUUCAAGUUCAUGAACCUGCAAAAUCAACCACGCGGAGGUUGAAGACAAAUCUAUAUGCACGCUUCAAAGGAAAAUUUGAAUUCUCUGGCCAAUCAGAACGUGCCACCUCUCAUAGUCGUUGCAUUUAAUUUUUUUCUAUUUUUAUUUCAUUUUUUUUCUUUUUCUUCCAAAAUUCAUUUUAAAUAGCUCCCUUAUUAUUCUUUAAUCCAAUUUUUUUUCAUAAUUUCAUAAAAAUAUUCGCUACCACAUAUAAGUUUUGCAUAAGAAUAUUAGCUCCCUUAUAAGUUUUACAUAAAAAUAUCCAACUUUUUUUGCAUAAUUUCAUUUGCUAUAGAUUUAUACAUGUUUGACCUAAUCCAUUGGCCUACUUAUGUUCCCAAGAAUUUCUUCUUGUGAGUUUUUGACUAGUUAUGCAAGGAAAACUUCUUACAAUUAAAUGGAGAUUUUAACCGGCUAUAUCCAUAAACUAAAUAAAAGAUUUUAGAAAGCUAAUAUUUUAACCAAAAGAGAGAUUUUGAUAGGAUAAUCUUAAAACCAAUGGAGAUUUCAACAGAUUGGGCUCAUAAAUCAAAUAGACAUUUAACUGAAUGAUCUCAAGAAUCAAACAGAGUUUUAACGGGUUAAUCUCAAGAACAAAAAAAAAUUCUUUAAUAAUAUUACAAAAGAGAUAAUACCCUCUUUAGUAAGUUACAAUAAUUUCAUAGCACUAGAACUCUCACAAAUAUUUUUGAAUCUCAAAUAAUUAAGGAAAUUUUGUGAAGGACAAUAAACAUAUUAAGUAGAGGAGAGUAGAAAUUAGAAAGAAUAGCUAUAGAUUUAAAUAAAAAAUGAGGAGAAACCCUCAAUUUAUAAAAGAAAAUUUUGCUUAAAAAGGAAAAAUAUCCAUGGAUGCUUUAAUGACUUAAUUGAUUUACUUCUAGUGUGUGUAUGUUGGUAUGUAUGUGUGUGUAUGUGCGUGCGUGUGUGUGUAUGCGCAUGUGUGUGUGUGUGUGUGUGUGUGUGUGUGUGUGUGUGUGUUAGUAAGUUACAAUAAUUUCAUAGCACUAGAACUCUCACAAAUAUUUUUGAAUCUCAAAUAAUUAAGGAAUUUUGUGAAGGACAAUAAACAUAUUAAGUAGAGGAGAGUAGAAAUUAGAAAGAAUAGCUAUAGAUUUAAAUAAAAAAUGAGGAGAAACCCUCAAUUUAUAAAGAAAAUUUUGCUUAAAAAGGAAAAUAUCCAUGGAUCUUUAAUGACUUAAUUGAUUUACUUCUAGUGUGUGUGUGUGUGUGUGUGUGGUGUGUGUGUGUGUGUGUGUGUGUGUGUGUGGUGUGUGUGUGUGUUGUGUGUGUGUGUGUGUUGUGUGUGUGUGUGUUGUGUGUGUGUGUGUGUGUGUGUGUGUGCGUGUGCGUGUGCGUGUGCGUGUGCUGUGCGUUGUGCGUGUGCGUGUGCGUGUGCGUGUGCGUGUGCGUGGUGCGUGUGCGUGUGCGUGUGCGUGUGCGUGUGCGUGCGUGUGCGUGUGCGUGUGCGUGUGCGUGGUGCGUGUGCUGUGUCGUGUGCGUGUGCGUGUGUGUGUGCGUGUGUGUGUGUGUGUGUGUGGUGUGUGUGUGUGUGUGAGAGAGAGAGAGAGAAGGAGAGGAGAGAGAGAGAGAGAGAGGGAAAUAGUGCAUCUUUGUGCGUGUGCAUGUGUUUGUGUGUGCGUAUGCGUGUAUGUGUGAUUUUCCUUAGUAGUUUGAGAAUUAAUCUUAUACCUUUAUAUUUAAAGGAUCACUCAGAUACUUGACCAUGCAAGUUUUCACACUUUCUCUCUUUCACGAAUUUGAAGCUUCAAGAUACUUGCUUAAUAAAUAAUUGAUUUAACACUUGAUGUGAUAUUUGAAUCUUCUGAAAGAUGAGACUUAAUAUAAAUUCUUUGAUAGAUACCAUAAUCAGAGGUUGUUGAACUAGAGAUCAUCCGAGUUUCACUGAAUACCAUUUGACAUUAGGUGUUGUAAUCAAUGAAUAUGGAUUGAUAUAUUGAUCUCACAAAAUUAUCUUAACAGAUGAAGAUUUCUCAUCAUACUAUUUGACAUAUAUCAUUGUCAUUAUUAAAAUAAUUAUGAACAUUUGACAGUUGUAAAUAAUUAUACUUGCAAAUAUAUAGAUCCACAAGCACAAACAGUGUUUCCAUGAACAAUGUAUUAAAAGUAGAAUUAUGCAUGACCAUAUCAUCAAAUAAAUAAUCAUUAUUUUGAGAAUUAAUAUACACAUGAUUAUUGGUGGCAAUAGCAAUACAUAUAAAUUAAGGGAAUAUGUGUUCAUGAAAGAUAACAUGUGGAUUAAUGAUAGUGUUAUUAUUAAUAAUGUCAUUUAAAAUAUAUAUUCAUUUAUUCCAAGUUUAUACUCCCAAAAAAUACAUUUUCUAGCCCAAUGAUUAAUUAUAUCCCUUUAAAAUGUGAUAAUACUAGCUUUAAGAAGCGAUAGUACUAGCAUGAGAAAGGUAACCAAACAUAUUUAGGUCAAGAAAGAUGAGAGGUUAUUUAAAAACCAGUUCAUAUAGUGUUUUUUUUCUUAAUAUCAAUUCUAGGUAAUCUAUUAAUGAUAACAUGUUACUAUAUCAUAUUGUUAAUAUCUAUAUAAUAUUAUUAAUAUCAACUGAGAUGUUAUGAGAUAUAUUAGUGUCUAAAGCUUGACCCUUAAGAGAUAUAGUGAGGAUGUAGAGAUUAUUGUUCAUUUCAACAUUUAUAAUCGUCUUCAAGGUAUAUUAAUCCUGUAUAAUACACGAACUGACAUAAAAGUUUAAUUUGUACUACAUAAUUUUAAUGAACUGGAAAAUCGAUAUAAUAUUAAAGUGAAAUUUGGGAAGGUAUAAAUAACUAUCGAGACACAAAAAAUUAGAUAGUUGAAUAUUUCCACAAAAAUGAGAAGAUAAAGAAUUACUAUUAGGAAAACCAACCUUGAUAGGAUUUGUUUGAAACUUCUGAAUAUAAGGGGAAACAUGAUCAGACACCCCUGGAUCCAAAAUCCAUAUGUUAUGACAAUUUAAAAUUUGACCUAAUUUGGAAACAAUAGACAUCAUAUGGAAGUUUGGAUUAACUGAUGGAUGAGUAUUUGAUAAAGAUUCAAAUUUGGAAGUUUUUGAGCAGAUUAAUGAGAUAUUUAUAUGCAUAUCUUGAUAUAGAUAGAGGAUUAUCAUAGUUUGUAUUAUGAGGAUAUUUGAUAUGCAUAAUUGGGUUGUUUGAUUUCAACAAUGGUUUUUCUAAGAUGAAGUUGAGUCUUGGUUUUGAACCCGAGGAGAAAACCUGUUUGAAAUAACAAUUGUCUAUAGUGUGGUUGGUCUUACUACAAUGGGUAAAUAAAAUGAGUGUUAUAGGCAGAUGAUUCACUGUCAUGGUACAAAUAUGUGGGGAUGAAGUAUUUUUGAACCAUGAUUAGAUACUUAUGUGAGGAUGAAGUAUUUUUGUUGAGGUAAUAGAAAAGGCAGAUGAUUCACUGCCAUGGUACAAAUAUGUGGUCAAUUGUUGAGCAAUUAAGUAAUAGUCUUGAGAAAUAGAGGGUAAGGGAUCCAUGAGUAAGAUUUGUAUUUAUAAUGUUGUUGUAAUUUAGUGGUUUUAUAAGUCCUAAUAGAUUUAGAGAGUUGGCAAAUUCCAAGGUGCAGUACAAAUGCAGGAUGGGGUGUGACGAAGGUCCUCUAAUUGACCCCAUAAAUUUUAGUAUUAAUGAAGUGUGUGGAUAAAGAGAUAUCCCUUGUUUAAUGGAUUUUAAAUUCUUAAGAAUGUCAGAAAUCCUAAAAAAUCUUUCCACAAUUCAAAUGCAAUUUCAAUGCAAAUGUUAAUUUGAUAUAUGUUGGGGUAAAAGGUUCUAGUGAUCCAAGAGAUGUACAUGUUUUUACAAUAGUAUUAAAGAUCAAAAUUAGGGUCAUGAUAAGGUAUUGAGGAAGAGUACCAUUAAUAAAUCUGACCUUGUUCUUGGAUGAUAGUACUCACUUCAUUGUUUGGCUCUAGUUGUGGUAGUUUGAGUCGUUGAGCGAGGAGUGAUAAGGAAGGCUCCAGGACUCCCACUUGGAUGAAGAAAUAAGGGCUUCGUGGAUAUUGAGAAGCAUUUGUGGGUCAUUAUUUAUUGAUAAUGUUGCAGGUUUUUGAAUUCGAUGAGGAAUGUAUUGGAUAAGUGACUCCACACACAAGAUGGGGUGGGUGAUUGUGUGGGUUUGAAAAACCAUUUCAAAAACAAAUCUUUACCAAAAAAAAAGAGUUAAAAAUAUAUCUGUGAAAAAAACACGAUAAAAGCAACAGAAAACAUAAAUUGGAAAUGCAACGAAAACAAAUAAUUGAAAAGUAAAGAGUUAAGGGAAUAGAGAAAGACAUCAGAUAUUUGUAGAGGUUCAAUAUAAUAAUGUGAUAUACUCCUCUUCCCAAGAAUUAUUUCUUAAGAGUUUCCACCAUGUUAUGAGAUUUUGCAAAGCUUUUCCCGCGAACCUCCUUACAUCAGGAUUGGAGUUUUACAAUAGCUAACUUCCGAACCAAACACUGAAUUUUAACUACGGAGACCUCUCAACCAAUAAAUUUGACCACUCAGACAAUCUUGAACUAAUUGAGAGAUUUAAAUAAAAGACUAAGCUCAAGAACUAACGGAGACCCCCCAACCAAAAAAGAUUUUAAAUGGUUUACCUCAACAACUAAACAAGAGUUUUUCAUUUGGUUUAGUUCACAACCAAAAUAAAAUUUAUCCCAAUGAAAUUUUAGAAUAUUACAUUUACGCCAGAUCUAAAACACCUCAUAGAUAUAAAACUUCACUCUCAAAAGAACUAAGACAAAAAUGAGAAAAUUGAGAGAGAGAGAGAGAGAGAGAGAGAGAGAGAGAGAGAGGUAUUUAAAAUACGAUUUCUAGUGUGUUAUGAAGUGAAUGAGAGUCCCCUAUUUAUAGGAUAUAAGUUGGCUCGAAAAGAAAAAGAUCUAUGAGCCUUUUUAAUUCUAAUAAUCAUUAAGCACGUGGCAUAAUCAAUUAUCAAGUAAAAAAAGGGAGGUUAUACAAUAGUUGAUUAUGAUGUGUUAAAAAGAGAUAAUCGUUUAGACCUAAGAGCUAAUCAAUUAUACAAUGUAAACUUCUCCCAUGUGAAACUUUUUGAACUUUUAGACAAUUAGCUAGGCACAAAACAUUUUCUAGUUUCUUAAAUAAAAAGAGAGAGGCUUUCCAAUCAAUCGAAAAUGGAUGUGUAAUUUUCCUUAUUGAGAGUUAGUCGUAUACCUCUACAGACAUAGAUCACUCAACAAAAACUCGACCAACUUUCACACUUCCUCUCUUUUCCAAAUCUGAUGCUUUUGGUUUCUUGCUACAUUAUCUUUGAUUUUAGCACUUUACUGGAAAUCAUGAAUCUUCUUCUAAUGAGACUAAAGAUAAAUCUUCAAGAUGGAUACCAAUCAUACACAUAGCUUGAUAAAAAAUCUUCAUUGCCUCCACCAAGUGCCGUUUAACAUUAGGUAUUAUCCUCUAGAGAUAAACAUUGAUAACUUGAUCUAGAAGUUCCAAUACUUGCUCAUAAAUGAAUUACCCAAACUCAUCAUCACAUAAUUAAACUAUAAUAUCUUAAUCUAUUAUUCCUCAAACACCGCAACUUAAUCACAAUUCGAAUUAUUUUUGUGUAUUAAAUAAAGGUCGUUAGACCUUAUUAAGGAUUAAUGAUCACCAAAUUAAAUAACAAAUAUUAAUUUAAAACAAGAAAGUCUAAAAUUGUGAAUCAGUAAAAGUUGAAUAUAUAUUUAAGUUUUAAAAUAAUUUAAAGAUGAAAAAUAAUUUAAAACCUAGUAGUGUUUAGUAUAUGCCUGGACUUUGAUAAAUAAAAAUGAUAAAAAUUACUAUUUUAAACUAUGAUUUAAUAAUAUUUUAAUAUGAAAGUCAACCUAACCUAGUAGUAGUAUUUUUGUUUUUGACAAAUAUACUUUAUUUAAAAUUUAAUUAAGGUUUAAAAACCGCCAAAUUAUUUUACUUUAUUUAAAACUAGAUCAAUCUAAUUCUUUUUUUUAUAUAUUUAUAUAUUAUUUUUCAAUAUUUCUAUCAAACUCUAUCUAAAUUUUAUGGCUAUUUUAAAUUAUCUAAUUAAUUAAAUUUUUUUAAGUUUUUGAUGAUGUUUCAUAUCAAUCCAAUUACUUUGAUAGAUUAGAAUAUCUAUUGUAGAUUUAAACUCAUGUUACUAUAUUUAUUGCUAUUUUAAGUGAUGAAAUUAUGGUGAUAAAGAUAAAAUUAGUUUAAGACUAGUCUUGGUAAAAAAAAAAAAACUUGAACUUGAUCUUCUUACUUCUUUUUGAAAAGAUUCUUGGAUUGGGAACACCCCUAUUAGUUAAGCUCUCAAAGCUCUUAUAUAUCCCAAUCAUGUUGAUCAGUUUGUGAAACAAGUUUGGAGGUGGAAGGAUGAUAUUUUGGUUUGAAAUAUUAAGUGGAGAAGAACUUACCUCCUUGAUUAUGAGUGGACUUGAUUGUAAAUUUCAUUUAUCUCUUUUUUAGAGAAUAAUAGACCGUGGUAGAGUUAUUUUAAGAAUGACUUUUAUUUAGCAUACUCUAUUUAGUUCAAGUAUUCUUGUUUGUGAAUUUCUUAAUGAUAGUCAAACUAUUUAUGUGGAUUUGAUUCUCCCUAUUAUCUAAAGUAGCGAGAACCCUUCUAAAGUCAUUGUGUUUUUCAAGUAGUUUCUUUAGAAUAUGAUUUCCACUAUAGAGAAUAUUUUUAAGAGGGGAAUCUCUUUGGUUUUGGGGUGUCAAUUGCCCCUUCUAUUUGGAAUUCUUUGAGUCGUCCUCUCAUCUUAUUGUGACAUGUAAAGGUAACAACUUCUGUUUGGUACGUAAUUUUUAGUUGGUUGGGUUGAUGUGUAGUUUUACCCAGAGAACUUUCAUAUCUUUUUCAAAUGUCUUAUCUGCUUAGCGGAGUACAUAGGAUCAAAGGAGCUUUUUUAUGAUUUGCCAUAUCGUUGUUUGAUCGGUAUGCAAAUCUCCUACAUAUAUACUCUUCUCAAGUAAGUUAGUGACAACAAAGGAAAUAGAAGAGACGAACAUCAUCUCACUACGCCAAAUAAGGGAAAAGAGGGCGCUUCUUUUGGCCUAUAACAGCGCUUUAAAGCGCCCUCUAAUCUGGCGCUGGCAUAGGUAAAGACAACGCUUUUUUUCCUGGUGAAAGCGCUCUCUAAAGUGGCUCUUUAAGCCCUUUAAGGGCCACUUUAGUGCAUGGACCAAGUCUGUGUGCGGUACAAAAUCCCAUCCUCCAUAAUACGUGGCUACUAAGGUAGUGAUAAAAUACAUGACAAGCAAUAUAUCCAUGUUCUUUCACAAAAAUUCCCAGCGAGUUCUUCAAAUUCUCCAUUCACUAUCACUACUAUUACGGGUUCCUAGGAAUCUCGACUCAUUGCCUCAAACCCAAGUGAUAUUGCAUCAAGAUGAAACUCGUCGAGUGUAGUAUCGCCGUUAGUGACAACUGUUUAUCUAUCAAGUCUACCACUUGUAACAUACUUUGCUACGUCGAUCAUCCUAAACUAGAGGAACAAAUUUAGGCGGUUAGAGUAUGUUUCUGACGAUCCUCAGCUUCUCGGACCCCCAAAUUAGAAAAAGUAAUGCCUAACCCACAAAAUAAACUUGUGUGACAACAUUCAUAACUCCAAACAGGCGUUCUCCACUGAGUAAAUGGAUCUCAAAGUUAAUGCUUAUUAAGAAACUACUCCACACAAGUCGAACGUAUGACUAUUUAUCCAAUCCUGCCUAUCUUAAUUGCACUCAAGUUCGGUGUUUAGAACACAUUAUCUCACCAGCUCAGAUAUCACAAAGUCAAAACAAGCAGAUUAUUAUAUACAAACAAGACAUACAUCUCAUCAAAUAUACAAAUUUUACUACACACAAAAAGUAGGCUCAAACCCCCCACUGGAGACUACUCCCCUACCAAGGCCGCCACUAAUUUCCUGUAGCGGGAAAAUUCAUCGACCAUUAGGCUAUGAAUAAAAUUCUUUAACGUCAAUAAAAACUAGAUUCGCCCACCGCGCAUAUUUGUAUCUGUUUGCCAAUUGAGGGAAAAGUGCAGAGAAAAGUACAGUCAUAUCUAGAGAAAUUCAAAAGAAAAUAAGAAGUUUUGCAAAUCUAAAACUAAUUGAAAAUGCCAUAGAAGAAUUACCGGUAAGAGGGGAUAUGGAUUACACACAGAUAAGGGAACGUGUUAUCACCCCAAAAGAUGUCUUAGGUAUCUCCUAGAGAGCGCAGCCUAUUUAUUGUAAUGCAUAAUAUUUUAUUUGUUUUUACAAAUGAUGUUGGCAUUUAAAUUAGAAUGGGGGGAUGAUAAAAGAGAUUUUCAUUAAUUUAUAUUUUUGUGUUUGACAAGACCUGCAGACUUGUGCCUACGACCAACAUUAAAAUGGGGAUCCAAAACCUCGUAGUUCGUGGGUAUCAAUUUCAACUGAAGUGAUGUUGCUUUUACAAAAUUUUAAGUUUAUACAAAGGCACUUAAAAGGCCUAGAGGAAGUUUGGAAGAGCGAGUUGUUAGUUCUUUUUGUUCUUUGGAAAAUUUUAAUCAAAAUCAUUCUGAUUCUAGAUACUUUGACAAAGUGUCUUGAUUCAGAACAUGACUUAAUUUACCAAGCAAUGCAUGAAGGCCAAGAGUUUCUAAUUUUGCUAAAAGCACUAAGUCUUCUAGAAAAAAAACAAGCAUUUAAUAAAGAUUUUUUAAAGACAGAGAGAGGGGGAGAGAUUUGAAAUGAUUUAAAGAAGUGUGUCUGAAGAUGGCAGAUGUACAAGUCACCUAAUUUUUUAAGCACAAAUUUUAAAAGUCAAGGAGUUUUGAACUAGCGAAUUCUCUGUCCAACGGGCCUGGCAAUCUAAAGACAAGAAUUGUCAUAUAGGAACCCUCAAAUUUCCCGAAUGGACUAUAUCUUUAGAAUCAUGUUAGCAAUAUCAUACUACUCAAAUAGCAAAUGAAUAUAGAAAUGGCAUCAUAGUCUAUUAAAGAUAGUCCAGCAUCUAAGUGUUACAACUCCUAUGAUUUUCCUCAUGUAUUUCAGAAUGACUUCAAAGAUAAGAUGUCAAGUUACUCACACAAGAUAUGUAAAACUAGACAGCUUCAUCAAGAUCAUGUUGCUGAUGAACUUUCAAGAAGAUCUCAAUAUUUUUAAUGCAUUAUCACAGCGAUGAAAAGUCACUUCACAACACAUUGGUUUCCUAAAGGUGGUAUUGGCAAGUCCUUGCUGCAUAAGGAAUGUUGCACUAAUUCUAAGUCCAAUGUCUCAUAUCAAAGAAUACUAGCAGAUUCCACACAAGAAUUGUCUUUUUAGUUUUUGUUCUUUCUAUUCUGUACAUUAAAGGGAUCUAUAAAACGAGCCACUAAUGACACAAAAACAGCUAUAUACAAACACAAUAGUGAUUCACCAAAGUAUGGCUCAAGUGAGCAAAUAAAAAUGGUACUUAAAUGUAAACAGAGAUUAAAGUGUGUAUCGAGAAAUGAUGAAUAAUGAUAAAUGAAUAAGACUUUAAAAAUUAGAAGUUGAGUCAGGAAUUCUAAAGAGGUAAUGUGACAGAAAUUAAGUAGUUAGUGUUAGUUUGUGAUUACGGAAGUUUUGCGCACGUACGCAGUAUAGAACUAUCUUUGCUUUUGCUUCUGUUCAAGAGAGUUGCAAUAUCAUUUAUUUGUCCUUGCUUGGGAGUAUAGAUUGAUUCAUAGCGGUCAAAACGGCCGAGUGCACGUUAUUUCACAAGCGAGUUCACAUGAUGCCUUGAUUAUGCCAAGACAUCUUCCUACGACAUAGGAUACAUGAGAAUGAAAAGCAUAGGAGAACCAUAAGUUCGCAUCGACAUGUAAUACCAAUGAGGCGAAGAGUUGGAGAUUAGUUUGCGAUGAGCGAUUAGCAGAAAUAUCUCAGUACAAACUUUCUAGUGAGAAUGUUGAACACGAUGCAUAUGCGUUGUUGUGUCAACGAAACGAUUAGCGUUUAUGUUAAGCAAUCGUAGAGGUGUGGACAUUAAGUGUUACGAACGCUUAAUAUGAGCCAAUUCUUAAGACAUAUAGUGGGGCGUGUGCAGACAAACUAUAGCGAAUACUAGUAGAUUGUCUGUAGAGAUGUGCGAUAGUAUCAGAGACAUGGUCAUGGAAGCAGAAACAGCAUAUGAAUGACUCCUUCACUGGAAAUACUUGACAUACGGGAAAUAUGAGAUUCGCUUAUAAAGGAAGAGUGGGAUCGGCGUGUAUCUACGAUGUCCAACAGUUUAGGCGGAGAUUUUGCAAAAAUCCGCGUCUUAGCCUUUAAUGAAUGGUUUGCACUAAAUUCUAUACGAGAGAGUAAUCAUUAGGUUCCCAUGAUCGGCAUGAAGAUAUAGGAGGGGAUUGGAAGGAUAUUAAGAGAGAUGGGACAACUUACAAGGCGAGGACAAGUGGAUGGUGCGCAUGGAUUAAUACAAAAACAAAUUUCGAGCAGGACAGUUAUAUAGAGGCCUUUGAGAGAAGUAUAUGUCUUUUACUCACAUGAUAGUAACAGAUCAAUAAUGCUUUUUCCUAUCUAUGGACACUAAAUGACAUGGAUAAUCCAAUUAUUCAUCAAGUACAGAGUCCCAACAUCUCCACAUGAUAUUUAACAUACAAUGCUAACAGAGUGUGUCACAUAAUCAACUUGUGACAGAAGUAUUGCAUGUUACUCAUAUAACCCAACGAAAACUAAUGACCAAUUCCAAACAUGCAAGUCGUCUAUAUAAGAACGCUCGAAACACAAUAUUUAUUUUUCAUUCGAACAAUUUUAAAUCAAUUAAAAUAUGCAUUUAAAUUAAAUCUAUGGUUGUGUAUUUCAAAAUUCGCGUUAUACACCUCAUAUCAGAAGACAACCAAAAGAAAAUGAUGACCCAUGGUAAAUUAUCAAAGGUUCAAACAAGAGUCAACAGGACCUUGAGAAAAAAAUUCAUAACAUGUUGAAUACUUUAAAAAGUAUAUUUAUUUAAUAGAAAUUAAAAAAUAUUCACUGAUAGUAUCACAUUAUAAAAUCACAGAGUAAAAGACUAAUGCAUUCAAAAAAUAAUUUUAAUUCAGAGAGAAUGAAAGAGGAAUUUAUUUAAUAAGAGAUUUUUCUCGCGGUGCUAGACUCUCAUAUUUUUUGGUUAUCAUCAAAUAUUAAAAAUCUAAUAAUGCAAUUAAUGAAAAUAACCAACAGUGAGCUUAGAUGAAAUAUCAGACAAAUACAAAGCAACACCGAGAAAGUUCCUGACUCACUAGUUUCCUCUAUCUAACUUGCUGCUUUUAUCACUAUGGAGUCCUCAAAUGCGUUGCUACGUGCGCGUUCCGCACCAACUGAAGAUUCUCAACGAGAGUCAAUAGGUCGUCGUAGUGAAACCGAUUUCAAGACACUUAGGUACCAAUGGUACUCCGCAAAACUCCCAGAGGGCCACGGACAUUAUUCAUAUUUCGAACAUAGAUGUGCAUGUGAUUUCUGAUGAGCGCCAACGCAUCACUGGAGCGAACUCAUAAGACGUAUCGAAAGUAGUGCGGUACUCCCUAUUCUCGGCCCGAGAAGCUUCACCUCGCCGACACUCUAGGCGUUCACAUGUCUACGAGAGGCCUAGGUCAAAACACCUAUGAAUAAAUUGAAAUAAUAUUAACGCUGACAUAGAAUUUAUAUAAGUAAAGAGAUAGCGUGCAAGAAGUCGAAGCAGUAUACGAAUAUUCUCAUCCUCAAUUCUGUGAUUCCUAAUCUUUCCAAGUAUAUUGAAAGAACCAGACAGUCUCUGAUAAUACUUUGACGCUAGUGGAUGCACAGUAGUCAUAGAGUCUGCCCUAUCGGGGUUUGAUCACUCUCAGAAGACAAUAUCUCAAAUCCUUCUCCGAUCUCGCCAGUAAACCAUUGUGUAGGGACUGUCAGGCCUAUGUCAACGCAAUAAUAGUAAUGAUCUCAUAAAAAGAACUAGGGAGCACAUAUUCCGAUCUCGAGAAUGUCGAACGACACGUGCAAAAUUCAUAGAUAUGAAUAACAUAUUGACGAUAGCAAGGUAUCUAUGCUGGGCAUAUGAUCUUGGUCCUUGUAUGCUUGUGAACUCUUUUGAUCUCUCAGGACCUUGAUAGAGUAGAAUUGAUUGAUACACAAUGGGACUCACGGAUCCUUUUGAGAAGAUGUACUCUAUGAAUACUCAAAAAACCAGUGAAUAUAUCAGAAACUACAAAAGUUUACGCUAAAUGAGCAUUAGUUGAGUUAUAUAUCAAAAAAAGAUUUAUCCUUGAUCAGACAAUGUCAAGCGUUAUGAGGAUUUUUGUAAAAAUUGCUCUUAUACAGUUUUGACUGUCACCAGGGGUCUUGCUUCUGAGCCAUAAAGGGUCUCUAUUAUUUAUAGUCAAAUGUGUCAUCAUUUGAUAUUUUGCACUCACUUUGAUAAAUGAAAUCCAAAAAUAGCAUAUUGUUAAUUGCUAAUGGAUGCAAUAAAAUGGCGGUGUGCAACAGGCCCAUGUAAUCACUUCUUCCUCGAUUCCUAUAUAUUUGAAGUACAUAGCAUUGUUUGAGAACAUGUUGGAAUGUUACGCAUUGGUGUAUGGAAUUCAAACAUGUUCAAAAAAUAAAAAUGACUUUAUGUGCAGAUGUCAAAGCCACCAUUAGUUUUUCGCUUAUUCCACCUUGGCCAUAACUUUUUAAGGUGCGCUUCAAAUUGAAGGUGAGAAAACAAGAAGUGGCGUGUGAAUUGUUUUGGAAAAUAAGUCGUUUUUUACGGUGGCAAGAAUAAGUAUAUACACAGGAUAUCUCUAUACAUUGUUUCACUUUAAUAAACACAAAGCUAACAUCACAAAUCCACACGCCAAGGUUAAUAUCCACCUUCAAAAAGGACUUAAUUCCACUAAUUCUUGAAGAUUAUUACAAACCAAGUUUGCUAAUGAGAAGAUUCUUCUUUAGUCCUCCCAAGAUUCUCUUUGCAGGGUGUUUUUUGCUGUGGAAAUCUAAAAUGUCGUUGCGAUAGCAGAGGUCACCAAACCCGACUUGUUAUCUUUUCAUCCAUAAAGCAAAGUGGAAUAAGAACAGAUUGAAAAGUACCAUUGAUUAUGUCAUUUUGGGGUUACGGAGUGAUAAUCCUUUAUCUAACAAAGGCUGAAGGUUGUAGCACCCUCUAUUAUCCGAUGGUUAGUCCAAAUGGGAGCUCCAUUGAAUUGCUUUGAUUCAACUAUAAUGUAUUUUUCUUUGUUGAAUAAAAAUUGUGUGAUGAGCUGUUUAGAAAUAAUGUCUUUUGGAAAAGAGAGUUUUAAACUUGUAAGGAUUUUGUACGUAAUGGACAUGUUUUUCAUACACACUAGAUAUUAGUUACUCGUCUUAAUUUAAAGUUUGUGUUAUUAGAGAAAAAUAUAACUUGAGUAAUGGAUUUUAUAGUGACCGAGAUUGCGAGUGCUUAUGCCAUAGUGGGUGAAUUUUUCUUAAUGGAGGUUUUGGAAAAGUGUUGAAGUUGUGGGAGAAAGUUGAGUAUAUUAUAGUCAUAUUCAAGUGAAGCAAGAAUACUAGAGAGAUCAGGUGUAAAGCGUCUAGCUUCUCUACUAUUUGACAGUGAUAUACGCGUAAUCUCCGCUAUUGCAGGGGAAGCAUACUUACUGCCACAAAAUAAACAUAUCAUGUAAGGACAAUACUGCUAAGAGGCCUCAGUAUGCUUUAUUUCGCCUGUCGUGAAACUGUAUAAGAGUUGGUUCAUCGUAUUAUCGCUUUCGUUUAAGUUCAUUGAAAUGAAUGGUCAAAAUCAUCUUCUCUUUGUAUAAGGCAUCUCCUUUAGCGCGUCCACUGUUGUUGUUCGAUAUGGAGCGAGAGUGCGUGCGAGUUAACCGUAGUGGGCUACAAACGGAGCGGGUCGAGGGCCGAGGGGACAAAAUGCAGUAGUAUAUUCGCAGGGCCAACAUCCGUGAAGGGACGGAGUAGUUCUAUGAGUAUAUUUUUAUAGGGACAUUGAUGAUUUAAUCAAAAGGGUCUUUGCUAAGUGUAUCCCCACAUUCGCGGAGGGACCAUGCCUAAUACCGUCUAAGGCAACAAAGAGAGGGCCAAAGAUUCAAUGUUUAUAUCAAGUUAGGGUAAUUAUGAUGAAUCUCCAUAUAUAAUCAAUUAGGUUUAAUUAGGAUGAAUCUCCAUAUUAUAUCAAUUAGGUAUUAGGAUGAAUCUCCACAAGGGUAUCCCACAAAUAAAGUGAAUACCUAGCAAAGCUACCUUUUCCGCGGAAGUAUGUGAAACCCUUACAAAAUUCAGCAACAGGUCAGAAUACCAAAUCAGAUGCAAUCGAGGAUUGCACCUAACAAAAGGAAUCACAAGUAAUAGGGUCAGGGGGGGGGGGGAGGGGGAGAUCAGUUCAGUAACUUAAAAAGAAUAAACUAAGUAGGCAAAAGCAUCUCUGAGAUGUAGUUUUUUUUGCUAGCCGCAGUCUUCUAGCGAAACAACCUCUUUUUGUUCAAUAUCAAUAGCAUGAACCUAAAAAUAUCAUAAAAUUAGUUAGGUGAAGUAUAGACAAGAAUUAACAUUUUCUAUGCAUAAAUAUCAUAUAAUUGUGUUGUAUACCUUUUUUUUAUGCAACUGACUCCGAUUUGCUGUAAUAAAAGCACUUUACCCUGUAAUAAAGAAAACAAGUUAAAAUCAUUGACAACGUACCUUUUUCACAAGUCGUCUCUUCUUUUCUGGUUGUUUAGCGUCCAGAAUCAACAGACAACAUCAUGUACUUACGCUUCAUACGUAGCCAUGGAGGUAGGUUAUAAAUCAUAAUAAUCACAGGCCAUGUACUGUGUGAGAUACUCUGCGAUACCGUGUGGGUUCAUUCCAUCAUGUAUGAUAAUGCCAACGCGAAUGUUUCUUGAUUCUUCUCCAAAUUCAGGAUAAUCAUUAUCAAUUUCAAACCACUGUGUGGGAAUCUGCCGGAUUCGAUACUUUCCAUCUAUAAUUCUUUCAUCUGCAUGCCAGGUCAAGUGCUUGAAUCGGUUUCACUACGAAAUCAUGCGUCUAAAUCUCGGAAUAAACAGGAAAAUACCACAAGACUUUGCUGAGACAAACUUGUUCUUAUUAUCGCGAGACACCGCAUUUAGAACCACUCAUUUAAGCGAUGCAUACUCAUUUCGAAACAACGCAACGCAUAUCUUGGACAUGCAUGUAUCUUAUCAUAGUACAUGCCAAUAGAAGCACAACAUCUUUUUGGUCUCAUAUGUUCGAUAUGGAAGAACAUUAUCCUCAGGGAGCAUAUUCUUUCAAAAGGGCUAAUAACUCUGUGAAACUUUUAUCGACCAUCCAUUGCCCCGGUUUAAGUUGUACAACUUUAAUACCGCAGACAAUCUUGUGAAUUUAGUGCAACCAUCAUCACAAAGGUUUCUCUGCAUCACUUACCAACCUCUCAAAAGCAUUUCGGGACAACCUGUUAAGAUCGUCUUCAGUGCUUCUGCUCUAAUCUCUUCAACUCGAUCACAAUCGUAUGUAUCUGCGGCCACAUAGUUUACGAGCAAUGUCGUACUAUCCCCCGUUCAACAUUCUCGUUACUUUUCUCACCAUGCAAAUUCAACAUGUAUAACUUCGAUCAAUUCCAUGCCUCAUUAGAUGCGAUGUCAACUGAACUACGUCACCCGUUUCCGAUCAACCAAGCAGAGCGCUCUAUUAGGUGCAAUUAGGGGCGCUGCGUCCACCCGAUAUCAUUCUAGCUGGGGCGUUCGCGUGCGCAGAGCGACAAAACUUAACGGAUUGGCGUGAUAAACCCGCAUUUCUGCGUUACCUCCUCGCACACAGCUCGAUCUGGAAGCACAUCCAUCGUCAUCUAUCCUCAUUAUCUAUUUAGAAUAAACAAAAAACAAAUUCCAGAAGAGAAACCAAAAAUGGAUGCAGAGCAAAACAAUUUCGCGUGUGAUGAGUUAGGUCUCUGGUGCAGGGCAGUUCAGUGUCGUCCAACAACAACCCGAAGAAAGAAGGCCAAACGAAUGUUGGGUUUAUUGAGUUGGAUGUUUCUCAGACAGGUUGUGGGGUGUCAUGGGGAUAUCUCUGACUUCAAUUAGCAUGAGAGAUGUAUUGUGGAGACCAUGCGAUUUAAGCAUUAGUGGUAUGCCACUAUUCUGAUACAUAGUUAGAGUGAGUAGUCGAGUCGAUAUAGUGUUUUUUACAGAAAGAUAAACAUUGACUAGAAAAAUUAUAUAUGUAGAAUGUGGUAUAUGGUCUAAAACUGAACAGCUAACGAGAAGGAUAGUCGACUCUAAUUACUCUAUCAAAUGAGACAUCCAUACCUAAACUUCUUAGUUACUAAGCUAGCCCCUAUGUGCAUGCUAGGAACUAAAUACACUCAUAAGCUCGCAUAAUGUGAGCCUUUGAUUGCGUAGAGGUGUCUUUAGAUAUUGGUCUGCCCUCCUUUUUCUCCAUCAAACAAAGUGAACAAAUUGGCCAGGGCUGAAAUUUAGAGACCCAUAAUGCCAGGUCCUUCCAUGCUAGCCAUUGCAACACAGAGUAAGAUUUGUUGAGAAUGACCUCAGAUAAAUGGUAUGAAACCAAGAAAAAUGGGAAGGACCCAAGGAAGCGGUUUGGGGGGGGGGGGGGAGAGGGGGGGCGAGUUGAGAGAAGGCAGGGAAUAGGGGGGUUGGUGGGGGGCGGGGGACGGUCAGAAGAGCGGGGAGGAGGAACCAAGCGAGGGUAAGUGGAUGAAAGAAGAAGGAUGUGGAGAGAGAGAGAGGCGAAUGACGUGUAUGGGGUUCAAAAGGGGGUCGAAGCGAGAGGCGUAACAACGAAAUAUAUUAGGAGAUGCAGGGGAAACUCGGAAGUCGAACAGAGGUCGGAAGUGGAGGAACGCGCGGGCUGCACUAGAAGUGAGCAAAAUCGGCGUGGAGCGGAGUAGAAACCCUAACGUGGAGAAAGAAAGAACGAAAUACACAGAGAGUGAGGGCUGAGGAAUAACAAAAACGGCGGCGAGCUCAGUGUUUGAUCAAUUUUUAAUGGUUUACCUAAAGGGACCUUAGGGGCGCUUGUGGAAAUAUCAAAAGCUCCCUCUGACGAAGGGGGGGCCGUGAAGGAAGGGGGGCGCUUAUGGGAAAGCCGCGUCUCGCAAGCCUUUCCAGACAAGCCGCGCUUUAUUAGAAUCUGGAAAGUGCGCACAUGGACUUAAGAGCGCUUUUUUCUAAAAGCCGCUCCUCUAAGCGGUAAGCCUUAGAGCGGCACUCUGUCUAAAAAAAGCGCGCCUGUAUUGUUGUCCCUCUAUCUCCUCCUUAUUUGUUCGCGUCACCUUAGGGAGGGCGCCGUUUAUUACAAACAGACNNNNNNNNNNNNNNNNNNNNNNNNNAGGCGCUUUUUGAAAGAAAACGGGCCCUCUAAAGUGGAAAUUAAAGGGUUUAGAGGACGCUUAUUUUGGAAAGCAACCUCUAAAGUGGGUGGUUAUUUAAAUUUUUUUUUAAAAAGCGCAUAUUUAUUUAUUAUUUUAGACAACCUGUAUAUUGAAGCAGUACACCUAAACUGUAUAAUUUGAAGCCCUUUUUCACACAUUGCAUUCAACAGCCUUAUAUUACAACAAUCCAUACAUAUAACAACAAUCCACUGAUAUAUAAUCGUUUAACUUCUAAAGAUUCUAAAUAUACAACCAAUUCAAACUUAAAAGAAAUAAACUAAGUAGCAAAAGCAUCUCUGAGAUGUAUGUUUUUUUGCUAGCCGCAGUCUGUCUUAGCAACAACCUCUUUUUUUCAAUUCAAUAGCAUGAACCUAAAAUAUCAUAAAAUUAUUAGGUGAAGAUUAGAUCAAGAAUUAACAUUUUCUAUGCAUAAAUAUCAUAUAAUUGUGUUGUAUACCUUUUUUUUAUGCAACGGACCGAUUGCUGGAUAAAAGCAUUUACCUGUAAAUAAAGAAACAAGUUGAAAUCAUUGACAUGACCUUUUUCACUCAAGUCGUCUUCUUUUCUGGUUGUUUAGGUCCAGAAUAACAGACAACAUCAUGUACUUACGCUUCAUACGUAGCCAUGGAGGUAGGUUAUAAAUCAUAAUAAUCACAGGCCAUUUACUGUGUGAGAUACUCUGCGAUACCGUUGUGGUUCAUUCCAUCAGUAGAUAAUGCCAACGCGAAUGUUUCUUUAUUCUUCUCCAAAUUCAGGAUAAGCAUUAUCAAUUUCAAACCACUGUGGUGAAUCGGACGGAUGUCGAUACUUUCCAUCUAUAAUUCUUUUCAUCUGCAUGCCAGGUCAACUGUCUUGAAUCGGUUUCACUACGAACAUGCGUCUUAAAUCUCGGAAACAGGAAAAUACCACAAGACUUUUGCUGAGACAAACUUGUUCUUAUUAUCGCGAGACACCGCAUUUAGAACACCAUUUAAGCGAUGCAUACUCAUUUCGAAACAAACGCAAUCGUUCUGGACAUGCAUGUAUCUAUCAUAGUACAUGCCAAUAGAGCACAACAUCUUUUUGGUCUCAUAUGUUCGAUGGAAGAACAUUAUCCUCAGGAAGCAUAUCUUUCAAAAGGGCUAAUAACUCUGUGAAACUUUUAUCCGACCAUCCAUUGCCCGCUUUAAGUUGUAACAACUUCAAUACCGCAGACAAUCUUGUGAAUUUAGUGCAACCAUCAUACAAAGGUUUCUCUGCAUCACUUAGCAACCUCUCAAACAUUUCGGGACAACCUGAUAGAUCUCUUCAAGUGCUUCUGCAAAUCUCUUCAACUCGAUCACAAUCGUUAUGUAUCUGCGGCCACAUAGUUUGAGCAUAGUCGUACUAUCCCCCGUUCAAACAUUCUCGUUACUUUUCUCACCAUGCAAAUUCAACAUGUAUAACUUCGAUCAAUUCCAUGCCUCAUUAGAUGCGAUGUCAACUGAACUACGUCACCCGUUUCCCAUACAACAACCCAAGCAAGGACAAUCCAUUCUUACUGGGUCUAUCGGCUGUGCGCAUACGACAAAUUACCCUCUAAAGUGCGCUGUCUAUUCCAGUUGUUCGCUCCUUAUUUUUUCGCUUCACUUUAGAGUGCGCUUUUGUAAUAAAGCGCCCUCUAAGGUGCGCUGUCUAUUCCAGUUUUUGGCGUAGUGUCUCGUAGAGAAGUACAUCGGUCAGUUUGGAUUAGAUGUGACCAAAACCACAACCCAAACUAUAUAUAAUACACUUGAUAGUGGAUUAUCUAAAUUUAUUACCGUUAUUUUUUUAAGACAAAUAUUUAAACAUAAUAUAAAAUUUAAAUUAUGAUUUUGUAAAAAUCAAAGUUUUAUUAAGGUUAACCUAAAUUCACAUACAAUACUCAAAAUUUACUAACUUUAGCAUUAAUCAAAUUGUUACAUCCUAAAUAAUUUAAAAUUAUAAUUCACAAAAUCACAAAUAUUUAAAUAUUUAAAAGGCUAAAAUAGAAGCAACCUAAUAUAAACACAUCACACUAAUGUAAAUAAGGGAUUUAACAUUUUUUUUAUAGAUUUAAUACCUGAUUUUUUGUGUGUUGUUAACGGUAUUUUAAGUAUGAUUUUGACACCGAUUUUAACACUGGUGAUAAACUGAUGUUAUAAAUGUUAAAUAUUGGUGUUAAAACUAAAAUUUGACACAUUUUUUCUCCUUCAAAGAGGUGUAAACACUUAUAAAUCGUACUUAUUUUUUCCAAAAAAAUAGGUGUUAAAGUUUAAUGCUGAGUAGUUUGAUUAAAAACCAACUUAUGACACCUAUUUUUACACUAAAAAAAUGUAAAACAUAUAUAUCAUAUCAAUUUUCUACAAAAUUGGGUGUUAAAAGUUUAACGGAGUUAUUUGGUCAGAAAUCAGCCUUUCACACCUACUUUUUUUCUUAAAUUAUGUGUAUAAAUUUUUCUUAUAAUGUUUAUACAUCGUAUGUAUCACAUCUGUUCUUUACUAAAGUUAGUAUUAUAGAUGACAUCGAGUAUGAUUUGAUUUUAAAUGAAUCAUCAAAAAAUAUUAUUCUCUAAAAUGGAUAAGAAGAAUUACAUAACAUAACUGUUUAAUCAUAAAUCAAGUUGAGGUCACAUAUGACAUAUGCAAAAAAUUUAUUAUUGUUUCAACUGAUUAAAACUAAACUCACAAAUUUUAGUUUAAAUUUAACAAAUUAUACCAAAUAGUGUAAAUCAAAGUCCAAAAACAAAAUUUAUACUAAAAAGCAAUUUUAAUUAAUAAUUCAAUAUUAAUUAUUAUAAAACUCCAUCUUUUAUCGAAUUCUCUAUUUCUUUCUCUUCAAGUUGAUGUUAUUGUUUAACUAUUUACAAAAAGAAUUGAGCCUAAAAUUGUCGAAUAUUAUCAAUAACAUCUUUGUCAUAUGAUGAUGGAUCAUCAGAUAUCUACAAAUGUAAACAAUAAUAUAAAUUAAAUGGGAACAUGUUAAAACAUUAAGUGAUGUGAUUUACAUAUUAAGCAUUGAAAUAUUUUGUUAUUACCUCAUGUAAUCCUUGAAAUAUACUCGUAUGGAUAAUGUCAAACAUAUUUUUUAUUACAUAAUAACCACAAGCCCAACUAUUAUCUUGUUGAUGUGCCUACAAAUUAAAUAAAUAAAAAAUAUAUAUAAGCAUAUAUCNNNNNNNNNNNNNNNNNNNNNNNNNNNNNNNNNNNNNNNNNNNNNNNNNNNNNNNNNNNNNNNNNNNNNNNNNNNNNNNNNNNNNNNNNNNNNNNNNNNNNNNNNNNNNNNNNNNNNNNNNNNNNNNNNNNNNNNNNNNNNNNNNNNNNNNNNNNNNNNNNNNNNNNNNNNNNNNNNNNNNNNNNNNNNNNNNNNNNNNNNNNNNNNNNNNNNNNNNNNNNNNNNNNNNNNNNNNNNNNNNNNNNNNNNNNNNNNNNNNNNNNNNNNNNNNNNNNNNNNNNNNNNNNNNNNNNNNNNNNNNNNNNNNNNNNNNNNNNNNNNNNNNNNNNNNNNNNNNNNNNNNNNNNNNNNNNNNNNNNNNNNNNNNNNNNNNNNNNNNNNNNNNNNNNNNNNNNNNNNNNNNNNNNNNNNNNNNNNNNNNNNNNNNNNNNNNNNNNNNNNNNNNNNNNNNNNNNNNNNNNNNNNNNNNNNNNNNNNNNNNNNNNNNNNNNNNNNNNNNNNNNNNNNNNNNNNNNNNNNNNNNNNNNNNNNNNNNNNNNNNNNNNNNNNNNNNNNNNNNNNNNNNNNNNNNNNNNNNNNNNNNNNNNNNNNNNNNNNNNNNNNNNNNNNNNNNNNNNNNNNNNNNNNNNNNNNNNNNNNNNNNNNNNNNNNNNNNNNNNNNNNNNNNNNNNNNNNNNNNNNNNNNNNNNNNNNNNNNNNNNNNNNNNNNNNNNNNNNNNNNNNNNNNNNNNNNNNAUAUAUAUAUAUAUAUAUAUAUAUAUAUAUAUAUAUAUAUAUAUAUAUAUAUAUAUAUAUAUAUAUAUAUAUAUAUAUAUAUAUAUAUAUAUAUAUAUAUAUAUAUAUAUAUAUAUAUAUAUAAUUCAUAUGAAAUAUCAAUAAAUUUAAGACAAUUAACUUACCUUGAUAGAUAUAAAAUUAGGCUUUUUAUUCAUAAUAUAGCCUCUCAAGACGUUAUAAUCUCUAAUUAAAAAAAAUAAUAUUUAACAAAAAUCUAAUUAUAUUUAGUAAACAUAUAAAGUUAAACAAUAAAGAAAUCUCAACAUAAAUUUUGAAAGAGACAUUUUACCUUAGAAGUGUGUCCUUAAAGGACUUGUUUGGUUGAUUUCCAAGCGAAUAAAACCAAUAAACAAUAUUAUCAUUUGGACAAAUUAUAAAUAUUUGCCAAUGAUUACUGUAAUUUUACAAACAGUUGUGUUAGAAGCACAUAUAAACAAAAAUAUAAUAUGCAAACAAUUUGACAAUCUAAUUAAUAAUAUGCACUUACACAUUCAAAUAUGGUCUUAAAAAACAUCUUUUAGGAUGAUUAUACAUCUUAUUUUGUAUGAAUGCUUGCAUAACUUCAUCACUAUAGCUAUUAGAUUUGUUAUUAAAUAUCCUAAAAGGAUCAAAGAAACCAAAUUUGUUUUAAUUUUUCAAAAAAUGUUCCACACCACUACAUUGACAUCAAUAUGUUCAUAUCAACACGUUUGUAUUUUUAAAUACCUAUUAUUUUCCAUAAUAUUUGGGGUAGAAAAUAAGAAAAUUUAAGAGCAUUUAAUUCUUAUUAUUAUCAUUACUAUUUUGGUUUUUAUUUAAUUCCUUUUUGAAUUAGGAAAUAAUUAAGGUUAAAUAUGUGUAGCUAAUUAAUAUGAAAUUAAUCAUUAUUAUAUUAAAUAGUGAACAUUUGUAUUUAGUAAACAUAUAAAGCUAAUUAUAAAUCUGAUGUAACAAAUCAGAUAAAAAUCAGAUGUUUUUGGUUGCUUACUACAUUAUCUUUGAAAUUAAUCAUUGUUAUAUUAAAUACUGAACAUUUGUAUUUAGUUAAAACUUCAACUCUGAAAUUCUCUCUUCCACAACUCUGAUGUUUUUGGUUGUUUGCUACGUUAUCUUUGACUUUAGCACUUUACUGAAACCAUGAAUCUUCUUCUGAUGAGGCUAGAGAUCAAUCUUUAAGAUGGAUACCAAUCAUACACGUAGCUUGAUCAAAAAUCUUCAUUGACUCCAUCAAAUGUCAUUUAACAUUAGAUAUUAUCCUCUAAAAAUAAAUAUUGAUAACUUGAUCUACAAGCUCCAAUACUUAAUCAUAAAUAAAUUAUCCAAACUCAUCAUCACAUAAUUAAGCUAUGAUAUCUUGAUCUCUUAAUCCUCAAACACCACAAUUUAAUCACAGUUUGAAUUAUUUUUGUAUAUUAAAUAAAUGUCGUUAGACCUUAUUAAGGAUCACCAAAUUAAAUAACAAAUAUUAAUUUUAAAAAAUAAAAAUCUAAAAUUAUGAAUCAGUAAAAGUUGAGUAUAUAUUUAAGUUUUAAAAUAAUUUAAAGAUAAAAAAUAAUAAUAAACCUAGUAGUGUUUAAUAUAUGCUUGGACUUUGAUAAAUAAAAAUGAUAAAAAUUACUAUUUUAAACUAUGAUUUAAUAAUAUUUUAAUAUGAAAGUCAACCCAACCUAGUAGUACUAUUUUUGGCUUUGACAAAUAUACUUUAUCUAAAAUUUAAUUAAAGUUGAAAAACUGCCAAAUUAUUUUACUUUUUUUAAAACUAGAUCCAGCUAAACAGAAUCUUUUUAUAUAUUUAUAUAUUACUUUUCCUAUAAAUAUAUCUAUCAAACUCUAUCUAAAUUUUAUGACUAUUUUAGAUCAUCUAAUUAAUUAAAACUUUUAAGUUUUUAAUGAUGUUUCAUAUCAAUCCAAUUACUUUGAUAGAUUAGAAUAUCUAUUGUAUUAUGUAGAUUUAAACUCAUGUUAUUAUAUUUAUUCCUAUUUUAAGUGAUGAAAUUAUGAUGAUAAAGAUAAAAUUAGUUUAAGGCUAGUCUCGCUAAAAAUAAAUAAUUGAAUUUGAUCUUCUUACUUCUUUUUAAAGAGACUCUUAGAUUGGGAACACUCCUAUUAGUUAAGCUGUCAAAGCUCUUACAAUCCCUCAAUCAUGUUAAUCAGUUUGUAAAAGUAGAUCGGAGGUGGGAGGAGGAUGUUUUGGUUUGAAAUAUUAAGUGGGGAAGAACCCACUUCCUUGAUUGUGAGUGAAUUUGAUUGUAAAUCUCAUUUAUCUCUUCUUUAGAGAGUAAUAGAUAAUGGUAGAGUUAUUUUAAGAACGCCUUUUAUUUAGUAUACACUACUUAGUUCAAGUAUUCUUGUUUGUGAAUUUCUUAACGAUAAUCGAGCUAUUUAUAUGGAUUUGGUUCUCCCUGUUAUACAAAGUAGCGGGAACCCUUCUAAAGUCAUUGUGUUUUUCAAGUAGUUUCUUUAGGAUAUGAUUUCCACUAUAGAGAAUAUUUUCAAGAGGGGAAUCUCUUUUGUUUUUUGGUGUCAUUGUCCAUUCUAUUUGGAGUUCUUUGAGUCGUCCUCUCAUCCUAUUGUGACAUGCAAAGGUAAUAACUUAUGUUUGAUACAUAAAUUUUAGUUGGUUGGGUUGAUGUGUAGUUAUACCUAGAGAACUUUCUUAUCUUUUUCAAAUGUCUUAUCUGCUUGACGGAGUACAUAGGAUCAAAUGAGAUUUUUUUUGAUUUGCCGUAUCGUUGUUUGGUCGGUAUGGAAAUCGCCUAAUGAUAUACUCUUCUCAAAUAAAUUAGUGAGAACAAAGGAAGUAGAAGAGAUGAACAUCCUCUCGUAGAGAAGUACAUGGUUCAAUUUGGAUUAGAUGUGGUCAAAACCACAAUUCAAACUAUAUAUAAUACACUUGAUAAUGGAUAAUUCAAUUUUUUUAUAUUUGUUUUUUAUAUAAAUAUAGAUGUUGUCAUAUUCUUUUUCAAAAGAUAUAUAUAUAUAUAUAUAUAUAUAGAGAGAGAGAGAGAGAGAUAGAUAGAUAGAUAGAUAGAUAGAGAGAGAGAGNNNNNNNNNNNNNNNNNNNNNNNNNNNNNNNNNNNNNNNNNNNNNNNNNNNNNNNNNNNNNNNNNNNNNNNNNNNNNNNNNNNNNNNNNNNNNNNNNNNNNNNNNNNNNNNNNNNNNNNNNNNNNNNNNNNNNNNNNNNNNNNNNNNNNNNNNNNNNNNNNNNNNNNNNNNNNNNNNNNNNNNNNNNNNNNNNNNNNNNNNNNNNNNNNNNNNNNNNNNNNNNNNNNNNNNNNNNNNNNNNNNNNNNNNNNNNNNNNNNNNNNNNNNNNNNNNNNNNNNNNNNNNNNNNNNNNNNNNNNNNNNNNNNNNNNNNNNNNNNNNNNNNNNNNNNNNNNNNNNNNNNNNNNNNNNNNNNNNNNNNNNNNNNNNNNNNNNNNNNNNNNNNNNNNNNNNNNNNNNNNNNNNNNNNNNNNNNNNNNNNNNNNNNNNNNNNNNNNNNNNNNNNNNNNNNNNNNNNNNNNNNNNNNNNNNNNNNNNNNNNNNNNNNNNNNNNNNNNNNNNNNNNNNNNNNNNNNNNNNNNNNNNNNNNNNNNNNNNNNNNNNNNNNNNNNNNNNNNNNNNNNNNNNNNNNNNNNNNNNNNNNNNNNNNNNNNNNNNNNNNNNNNNNNNNNNNNNNNNNNNNNNNNNNNNNNNNNNNNNNNNNNNNNNNNNNNNNNNNNNNNNNNNNNNNNNNNNNNNNNNNNNUAUAUAUAUAUAUAUAUAUAUAUAUAUAUAUAUAUAUAUAUAUAUAUAUAUAUAUAUAUAUAUAUAUAUAUAUAUAUAUAUAAAUUUAUUACCACUAUUCUUUUAAAGAUCAAAUAUUUAAACAUAAUAUAAAAUUUAAAUUAAGAUAUUUGUAGUUCUAUUAAGGUUAACCUAAAUUUACUUAGAAUACUCAAAAUUUACUAACAUUCGCAUUAAUUAAAUUGUUACAUCCUAAAUAAUUUAAAAUUAUAAUUCACAAAAUCACAAAUAUUUAAGAGGCCAAAAUAGAAGCAAUCAAAUAUAAACACAUCACAUUAGUGUAAAUAAGGGAUUUAACAUCAAUUUUUUUAGAGAAUUAAUAUCUGAUUUUUUUGUGUUGUUUCUACCGGUAUUGAAAGUAUGAUUUUGACACCGAUUUUAAAAAAUGUAUGGUAAAUCGAUUUAAUAUGGGUGAUAAAAUGGUUUUAUAAGUGUUACAUAUUGAUGUUAAAACUAAAAUUUGAGACCUUUUUUCUCCUUCAAAGAGAUCUAAACACUUAUAAAUCAUACUUACUUUUUCCAAAAACCGGUGGUAAAGUUUAACAGAGAGUAGUAUGAUUAGAAACCAACUUAUGACACAUUUUUUUACAUAAAAUAAGAUAUAUAACAUAUAUAUCAUAUCAAUUUUCUUUAAAAUUGAGUGUUAAAAGUUUAACGGGGUUAUUAAGUCAGAAACCAGCCUUUUACACCUAUUUGUUGAUGGUUGAUUUCAAAUGAACCAUCAACAAAUAUUAUUCUCUAAAAUGGAUGAGAAAAAUGACAUAACAUAACUAUUUAAUCAUAAAUCAAAUUGAGGUCACAUAUGACAUCUGCAAAAAAAUUAUUAUUGUUUCAACCGAUCAAAACUAAACUCACAAAUUUUAGUUUAAAUCUAACAAAUUAUACCAAAGAGUGUAAAUAAAAAUUCAAAAACAAAAUUAUACUAAAAUUUAAUUUUAAUUAAUAAUUUAAUAUUAAUUAUUAUAAAACGCCAUCUUUUAUCGAAUUCCUUGUUUCGUUCUCUUCAAGUUGAUAUUGUUCUUUAACUAUUUGCAAAAAUAAUUGAGACCAAAGUUAUCAGAUCGCUAACAUCCUUGUCAUAUGAGGAUGGAUGAUCAUAUAUCUACAAAUAUAAACAAUAAUAUAAAUUAAAUGAGAGCAUGUUAAAAUAUGAAGUGAUGUGAUUUACAUAUUAAGCAUUGAAAUCUUUUGUUAUUACCUUAUGUAAUCCUUGAAAUAUACUCGUUUGAAUAAUGUCAAACAUAUUUUUCAUUACAUAAUAACCACAAGUUUAACUAUUGUUUUUUUGAUGUGCCUACAAAUUAAAUAAAUAAAUAAAACAUAUAAUCAUAUAUAUAAUUCAUAUGAAAUAUCAAUAAAUUUAAGACAAUUAACUUACCUUGAUAAAUAUAAAAUUAGACUUUUUAUUCGUAAUAUAACCUCUCAAGAUGUUAUAACCUCUCAUAGUCCUAAUUAAAAAAUAAUAAUAUUUAACAAAAAUCUAAUUAUAUUUAGUAAACAAAUAAAGUUAAACAAUAGAAAAAUUUCAACAACAAAACCAGUAAAUGUUAAGAAUGUGUGAUUGGGCCUAACUCAACCCUACGAAAUCGGUCAGUAGAGUGAGGAUUGUCCCCACUUAUAAACAAAUGUUCAUGCCAUAUAUUGUCCGAUGUGGGACUCUUAACAUUAGAAGCACAUAUAAACAAAAAUAUAACAUGCAAACAAUUUGACAAUUUAAUUAGUAAUAUGCACUUAAACAUUCAAAUGUGGUCAUAAAAACAUUUUUUAGGAUGAUUAUACAUCUUAUUUUGUAUGAAUGUUUGCAUAACUUCAUCAGUAUGACCACCAUAUUUGUUAUUAAAUAUCCUAAAAGGAUUAAAGAAAUCAAAUUUGUCUUAAAUUUUCAGAAAAUAUUCCACACCACUACAUCCAUCAAUACGUUUAUAUCAACCUGUUUAUAUUUUUAAUUCCUAUUAUCUUUUAUAAUAUUUAGUGUAGAAAAUAAAAAAAUUUAAUAGCAUUUAAUUUUUAUUAUUAUCAUUACAAUUUUGGUUUCUAUUUAAUUUUUUUUUCAAUUAGAAAAUAAUUAAGAUUAAAUAUAUGUAGCUAAUUAAUAUAAAAUUAAUCAUUGUUAUAUUAAAUAGUGUGUAAGUCCAAUGUUCCACCCUUCUAUAUUUUUCUUUGUAGUUAGAGUCCACAACUAUAUAUAAAAUAAAUGUAAAAAAAUAAUUAACUAUUGAAAAAACAAUUAGAAAUUAUUUAUUUAACCUCACAAUUUUAAUUUUAAUUAUUUUUAUUUAUUUAAUUGAAUUGUUUGUGAAUUUUUAUUUAUUAUAUAAAAUUUUAUUUUUAUCAAGGAUCAUAUCAACUCAAAAUUUUGUAUAUGAAAUUUGAAACUAAAAAAUUAAAUAAAUAAUAGAGUUGACAUAAAAAUUUUUUUAGAUAAAUUUAUUAAAAAUAAAUGUAAAAAUAUAUUUAAAAUUUUAAAUAUUUUUUUUGCAAUAUAAAUACGUUUAAAGUGUAGAAAUUAACAAAUAUAGAUAUAAUUAAAUAAAAAAAUAAUUUAUUAAUAAAAAUUGAAGAUAACAAUAAAAAUCUAAAUGAUAAUUUAUUAGUAAGAAUUAUAUUAUCUUCCAUUAAUAAGAAUUUCAAAUAAUACUUAUAGAAUAAUAUUAUUGAUAAAAUAAUAUUAUCUUAUAACAACACAUAAAACCACAUAAAACUCAAAACAAUUAGGGCCCGUUUGAAACACUUUUUAAUUUUAGUUCUUAAAAUUUGUUUUUCAAAUCUAUUUUAAAAAAUUAUUUUUAAGAAGAAAAUUAACAAAAAAAUUUGUUUGAUAAACUAGUUUUUAAAAACUGUUUUAAAAAUAUGAAAAUAAAAAAACUUGUUUGAUAAUCUAAUCUCUUAAUAGUAUUUUAAGAAGAAAAUAAAAAUGCAUAUUUUGUCAUUUACUUUUUAAAUCUAUUUUAUUGUAUAAAAUAUUAUAAACUUAAGAAAAUUAAUUGAUAUUUGGUCGAAUACAAAUAAUUGGAUUAAAUCAAUUUUUAAUUUUACAAAUCACAUAACACUUAUUUGUAAUAAUAAUAAGAAAAAAACAAGUAAAAAAUGAAAUUCCACGUUUAAUAGAAAAAAAAAUUAUAUAGUGAAAAUAAUUAAGAAAUACAAAAAAAAUUAAGUAAAAUAAAUAAACAUAGUUGAAAAUGUUACUUAUACAUAAAAAGAGCAUAAAUAAAAGAAAUAACAUACUCUUUCAAAUACGUUUUUCUGUUUUAUUUUUAAAAUAUAAAAAUUAUUAAAAUUACAUUAAUGCUAUUAAUGAAAAUUAUAAAUUUUUAUACUUUUUCUUUAAAUUAUAUAAUACUAAAAACUAAAACACAACUAAACUGUUUCACUUUUUUACUUUUAAAAACUGAAAAAUAAAAAAGUGUUUUUAAAAACACUUUUGUAAAAUAUUAUAUUCAAACAAGUUUUUGAAUUUUAAAUUUUCAAAAACUAAAAAAGAGUUUUUAAAAUGCAUUUUAAACAGACCCUUAAUUUUCGAUUUUCGGAUUUCAUGUUUUUUUUUUAUUUGUGUGUGUUGGUUUUUCUCCUCUCAUUUAUGUUGAAGGUUGAUUGUUUUUGGUGUGUGAGUUAGUUACUUAUUGUGCCUUUCUCGAUUCUUUCAUGUAUUUGUAUUUAAGGUUUUAGUUUUCGGUAUUCUGUUUACUUUUAAAAAUAUUAAACUAUUUUUUGUGUACCAUAAAAUUAUAUAACUACUAUUAUAUUUCACAAUAUCAAGUACAUGAUUAUUAUCUAAUUUAAGAAAAAAAAUAGUGAUUCAAUUUUAAUCUUUUGUAAUCGUAAUUUAAUAUGUAGUGAAUUUUCCAGCGUCCAAACUUCUAGUUAAACACAAUUAAAGAUAUGGAUCAUCCUUAAAAAGUUUAAUUAUUUAAAAUUUUCAAAAAUUAGUAGUAUAACUAAGCCAAAACAUGACUGAUGGAACUACAGACAUUUUAAAUUUUGGAGGUCUAAAUUAUCUGACUUAAAAAAACAGAGCCUAAAUAUGCUGCAAGUCAAUGAAAGUUGAGAAGCAAAAAUAAAACAAAAACUUAUAUAAUAUUGUUAAGAAUUUGAUUUUAAAAAAUGGAAAUUUUGUAUUGUCCUGCAAUUUGUUAAAUAUAUCUAUGUACCUUUAAGCAAAAGUCAUUCAUCAUUUCCAUUUAUUUUUUAAAAAAUUAAAAUAAAAUAUGGCACAAUACUGAACAAGUGGAUGAAGCUAUAUAAAUACAACCAACCUCUAGAAUAUUCAGUAAAAUGACUGAGAGUGCCUCAAUAAAAUAAAAUCAAAUAAAUAAAUAAUUAAUUGAAAGUGGUUGCUGGAUGAAUAUUAUUGCCAAUUGCACUUAUUUUAAUUUGUUUAUUAGUACUAUUUUCAUUUUGUCGUAUGUUCUUUAUUUAAAACUUUUGAUCUGAUCCAUUAAGGUUGAAAAACACGCCAAAUUAUUUUAUUUUAUUUAAAACUCGAUCCAGCUAGAUUCUGCCUUUAUUUUUUAGUAUUUAAAACAUGUUACGGCUUAUGUGUGUUAUUUUUCCUAUCAAUAUAUUAGAAUAUCCGUGCGACACGUACGGAUAUAUUAUAUGUAUUUUUUUAAAAAUAUAAUAAAUAUAAUAAAAGUAAAUUUUAUUUAAAAAAUAAAAAAAUUCUAAAUAAAAAAUUGAUUUAAAAUAUAUAUCGUUAAUAAAAGAAAAUUUGGAUAAAAUAUAUAUUAACUUAAAUGUAAUUUAUAAAAAUGUUAUGAAAUUAUAAAGAUUAUUUGACAAAAUAAGAAAAGGUCAUGGUGAUCGAAGAUUGCUGGGUUCAUGAGAAAUCAAAAUUAGUGGGUCAUAUUGAGAAAUUGUUUGUUAAGAUAACCAUUAUUUUUAAAUUUAACCGUUAAAUAAUUAAUUUUAAAAAAAAACUAAAAUAAUCAUUAUUCUUCACUGAUGCGUCAGUUGAACUGACGCAUCCAAUUAAGCAUCAAAGGAGGUGCUAAGGAUAAUGGCGCAUGCAUGCAAUGGUGUAGCACCUAGAUAUCAUGUCUCUUGGCGCAUGCAUGCCUUGGUGCCACAUGCAAUGGUGUAGCACCUAGGCGUCAUGCCUCUUGGCGCAUGCAUGCCUCUAUGCCACAUGCAUUGGCGCAUACAUACACUACAUAGUGUAUGCGCCAACGCAUGUGGCGCAUGCACCUUUAAUUUAUUUAUUUUUUAAAUUUAAAUGUUAAUUUAACAAAUAAAUAAAAACAAUACUGAAAAUAAAUAUUAUAUUUAUGUUAUAAUGAAAAAUUACAUGGAAUUAACAAAAAAUUCAAUGACCCGCCCGAUUGAAACGUCCCCUUGUUCCACAUCCAAGUGUGUUAGUCUGUCUUUGAGUGCUGACAUGAUCCAAUGGUGGCUGGUGUGAAUGUUCGGUAAAAGAUCCAACGGUAUUUGAUAGAUAUGUCAUCAUUUGUUCCCAAUAGCUGGGGGGUUCUCGCUAACGGCGCUUCCGUAAUUGAGUUUGGUGCCCAUGUUGUCGUAGUUGGAUCGUUGUGGUUGGGUGAAUUGUGGACGAUAUGGUUGUCCGAAUUGAGACAUUGAAUCGGUUUGGAAACGAAUCAAUGGUUCCUGGGAUGUACUAUAGUCAAACAAUGAUUUAGUGUUGUGGCGAUGAGAUGUUUCGGUGGUCAUUGGUGGGGGCCUACGAUGACAUGAAUUGUAUGAAUCAUCUGGGUUAUAUACUGAUGUGGUGGCUGUGUAUGGUUGUUGGUGGGUAGGGUUUGAUUCUUGGUUUUGAGGUUGGGUGUGUGGCAUGAAUGGGUUGCAAGGUUGGGUGUUUCGUUGUUUGGUGUAUAUGGUAGGGUGAUGGUGUGAGGUUGAUCAUUGGGUUUGGGUGGGUUGACAUUGUUCUUGGACGGGGACUUGUUGUUGGGCGUAUGAUGACGAAGCUAGUUAGCGUGAAUCAAUCAAAUACAUUGGCUCAGACACAAAUUAUGGCGUUGUAACUGACCUAAACUAUGCCAUAUACUAUUGAGUUGUUCUAGCACCCUGUAUGACUGGUUCGUUUAAGAUCUGUUGUCGUUGAUUCCUCCAAUGACGACACAUCUCUUUUGCGAAGUCUCUCCAGUCGGAAUAAUCUCAUUGGGCAUCGACCCUUUUUUGAUGUCAAUCUCCUAAACACGUCGGAGGUUCUGGAAUUUGUGGCUGCAUGCCGAACUGCAGUUUUACCCGGUCACUCUGGUGCAUAUCCACAGUAGUGAACCGGAUAAUUGAUGUUUUUGAUGUCCAAACUGCAUCAUCAUGGUUAACCUGAUGAUCAAGACCUAGAUAUGGCCUCCAGAUAAACUAUACAAGAAUACAACAUGAUUAGAUGAUAAAUAAUUUGAUAAUUAUUUUAAAUCAAAAUAGAGUUGUGUAGGAGUAUUACAUCGUCUGGCCCAAUGUGGUCCAAUAGAUUGCGAUGGACUACUAUAGCGUGUUUCAGACACCUGUUGUAGUUCAUCCCUCUAACUGACCACCUAGAUCAAAAACAUUUGAAAAAUAUUAUUUACAGUUACUUGUAAUAUAAAGUCUAAUAAUUAGAUGGUAAAGUUUUAAACUUACUUUGUUGCAUACGGGAAUAUGAAUGACUUCUCAUUUACCGGGACGAGUGACGACAUUCUUGCAAUCCCAUGCUUGUAGCAAAUAUGCGCAAGAGUAAAACAUAAAAGUAUUUUUUUUUGGCAUUUUUACACAUCACACUAUAUAUAUGGGUCAAUACCGAAGGUGAUCAGUGCCCAUACCGAAGGUGAAAUAUUUGAGCAUCAAUGAUUUGGUUUUUGUUUUCACAACACAAAAGUAACUCGGUUUACAAUAAAUCGACGAUCAAAUUUUUCACAUUUGAAACAAAGAAUAGAAAAUAAAUUGCAAUGUAGUCAGGUGGGCCAAAUUAUCUAUAAAGAUCCGGUGUGGUUUGUAGACAACCAGCUAAAGUUUAAUCAGUUGAAGAUUCAAUAUGAUGACGAUGUUCAUCAUAUGUUUGUCAGUCAUGAACAAUAUGGGUACAAUGAUAUAGAGUUAUAUAUAUUACCACAAAAAAAAAAGUGUCUCAGUUCAUUGAUCAGUCACAAGUGUUUUGUGAAACUGAUGACGACGAACAAGAUGAGGUCAAUGUUGUAGAUGAGGAAGAAGAAGAAGCUGAGUUAUUGGUUGAUUCAAUGGUGAAUGAUAAAGAAGAAGAGGAACCAUUACCAGCUAGUCAUGUAUAUUGUCCACCUUAACACACGACAAGCUUGAAUUUGGGUGCCGAUGAACCUUCAUCAGAUACAUUUUACAAUCCUUAUGUGCAAAUUCAAGGAUCAUUGAAAGAAGGAGACACAUUUCGUACAAAAGAAGAUUGUGUAAAAGCUAUUAAAAAGUAUCACAUGGAUCUAUCAGCUGAUUACAGAGUUGGUCGAACUAAUGCAAUGAGGUACAAGAUUUAUUGUCGAAAUGAGCACUGCCUUUUCAGGUUGUCAACUUCGUACCGGAAGAGGAGUGAUUCUUGGGAGAUUUGAUCCAUGGGUCCAGUUCACACAUGCAUGCUCACGAACCCAAUACAGGACCAUUGGAAACUUAGCUCUCAGUUAAUAUGCGAUGAUAUUUUGUCUAUCAUUAGCGAUAAUCCGUUGUUAAAGGUGAGUACAAUAAUCUCGCAUUUUGUAAUACAAUACAACUAUACUCCAUCAUACAGGAAGGCUUGGAUAACUAAGACAAAGGCGAUUGAAAAAGUGUAUGGCAAUUGGGAGGAGUCUUACAAACAACUUCCAAAAUACUUGGUGGCUCUUAAACACUAUGCUCCGGGGACUAUUGUCAAGUUGGAAACGUUGUCAGCGUAUACCCUAGACGAGACUUGUACUAUUGGAAAUGGAAUAUUUCACCGUCUCUUCUGGGCGUAUCAACCAUGCAUCAAAGGUUUGCUUUCCAUAAACCUAUUAUACAAAUUGAUGGUACAUGGUUGUACGGGAAAUAUAAAGGAACGUUACUGAUGACAGUGGCAAAAGAUGGCAACAAUAACAUUUUUCCAAUCGCCUUUUCCCUAGUUGAAGGGGAGACUAUUGAGGAUGAAGUUUUUUCCUAAGAAAUCUCCGAUUGCACGUUGCUCCUAAACCUAACUUAUGUUUGAUCUCUGACUGACACCCUUCAAUAGUGAGUGCAUACAAUUUUUUUGAUAACGGUCGAUAGGAUCCUCCGUCGAUGCAUGUCUUCUGCAUUAGACAUAUCACUCAAAAUUUUAUGCGGGAGAUCAAAGACAAAAUGUUGCGGAAGAAGGUUGUCAAUGCAGGUUACGCAUUAACAGAAUCUUAUUUCAAACACUACUGUGAAGACAUCAGAUUGUCAAACGCAUAUGCAGUACGGUGGAUCGACAAUAUUCCAUUAGAGAAGUGGACUAUGGCAUACGACAACGGUCAACGUUGGGGCCACAUGACAACAAAUCUUGUGGAAUCAAUGAACUCUGUCUUCAAAGGCAUAUGAAACCUACCUAUAACCGCUUUAGUGCAAGCAACAUAUUCUAGGCUAGGGGCAUUGUUUGAGACCAGACGUUCCAAAUGGAGUUCAGUGUUGCAAUCUGUGCAGUUGUCCAGUGAUGCUUCAAUGAAAUUCAUUAGACACGAAGCUGCCAAAGGUAACACACACGUGGUCACGGUGUUUGACUGUACUAAAGGUUGGUACAGUGUUGUUGAGUACAUGGAUCACAAUGAAGGCACGCCGAUGGGACAAUACAUAGUGGAACUAGAUAGAAGUUGGUGCGAAUACCUAAAGUUCCAAGCCUUUCGUAUGCCCUGCUCCCAUGUCAUUGUGGCAUGUUCAAAGGUUCGAAGGGAUCCAUCCUACUUACUAUCUGAUGUUUACAAAGUCUUAAGCCUAUCCAAUAUUUACAAAUUUAGUUUUUCAGUUGUUGCAAUAAAGGAUUACUGGCCUGAAUAUCAAGGGGACAUUCUAUGGCACAAUGAAGUUAUGCGAAGAAAGAAAAAGGGUUACCCAAACAGCACCCGUAUUCGAACCGAAAUGAAUACGGCGAACAAAAUGGUUCAAUUAUGUAGUUCAUGUCGUCAGCCAAGUCACAAUCGUAUUAAUUGUCCUAGUGUUGGAACGAGCACAACAAGAUAAUUUUACAUGUACCUCUUUUUCUUUAUAUUAAAAAUAAAAUUUAUUUCAUAUGAUAACUUUGUGAGGAAAUAUCAUCACAAAAAAAUACAACACAUUUAACACACAAGCAACACAUAAACAACAACACAAAAAACUACAACAAUUAAAAUACCAUUACUAUAACUAAGUGAUUACAACCAUUAAAACAAUUUUGAACAUAUUAUGCAUCAUCCUGUGAACGUCUCUGUCAGUCCUAAUAUCCACCCGUUCACGCACUUCUCCAUUUUCGUUGAACGUGAACUCAAUCCAUUGAGUUCUUCUAAUCCUUUCACCAUAUGCAAUUUCUCCAUAUAACCAAUGGUUCAACGUCCAAUUAAUACGUCCAAAUGAAUCUAUAUUCCAAUGUCGAAUCUUUAUCGGAGGUGCGACUGCUGAAAAGAUUAAAUCGACAUUUCUCUUGUAAAUGUAUUCAGGCAUGAUUAAAGAAAACAAAAUUGAAGGUGAUUGAAAAAAUUGAAGGAAAAUGGAAGAGGGUAAGAAGUUGUGUGAAAUAUGGAGAUGUGAGGGUGGUAUUUAUAGAAGAAGAAAACCAUGCAUGCACCAAAGCAUUGGGCUCCACACACAUACACACACACAAGCAUGCACCAAUGCAUGUGGCGCAUACACACAUGCACGCAUGCAUGCCCAAUGCAUGUGGAGCCUACAUGCAUUGGUUUUACAUGUAUGCGUCAAGGCUAAUGGCACAUACUCUCUAGCUUAUUUGGAUGUGUUAGUUCAACUGACGCAUUAGUUGAGAAAGGUGGUUAUUUUGGUAUUUUUUUUAAAAUAGGUUAUUUAGGGAUUUAAAUUGAAAUUAGUGGUUAUUUAAAAAAAUAAAUCCAUAUUGGGCCAUAAGUAUUAUAAGAAUUGUUGGGCCCAUGAGAAAUAUAUGUUAGCUUAGGAUUUUAGUAGGUAAGUAUUUUUGUAAUUAUACAAAACAUAGUUUCUGUAAUGACGUCUCAGAACCCAUCAAUGGGUAGCAACACUAUGAGUGAAAAAAGAGAAAAUGAGAGGAUCGGCGAAACACUGAUGAUUGCUUCUGAGAAGAUCGAAGACACGCGCAAAAGGUAAAUAGUCACCUGAAUUAAGUUAUGUAUUUCGUAAAGAACUGCAUAAAGGUUAUGCAUGUUGAAAAAUGUUAUGGUUUGGUAACGUUUUUUUCCUGAUGUUGCAUGUAUGUUGUAUGUUGAUGCAGUUCAUUGAAUCCUAUAUCAUGUUUCCUGAGUAUUACAUCAAACAUUAUUUUCCCAAAAAAUGAACCGUUCAGGAAAGAAGAAACAUUGAAAGGGUAAAUGAAAUUCCUGUGAAAUAUAUGUUUGGUAAAUAGUCGAUUGAAAAAUUAUUGCAUGUUAACUUCUGACAGUUUUAUAAUUUAUUGUUCAAUGUUGCGUGAAUGUUGGGUCUUGAUGCAGGUCAUCAUCGACGAAGUCGCAUAUCUCGAUAUCAUAUGAUAGUAGCAGGUAAGACAAAAUAGGUUAUUUAUGAUAAUAGAUGCUAAUAAUGGUAUUAGCAUAGUGUGCUGAUUGCAGUAUGUAUGGUUAGAAGAUAAAAUAUGAAGUAUUUAUGACACUCAUAACAUGUAUUGAGAAAUAUGAAGUAUAUUUAUUUAUCAGAAUUGAAAUCUAUCAACAUUAAACAAUGAAGGUAUGUUUGGGAAAUUCCUCUUGUUAAAACAAAAGUUGGAUGUAAUCUUCCUCCUGAGACGUUUAGUCUUUAAAUAUGAGUUAGGCUCUGAUACCACUUAUUAGACACAUGAUUCCAUACACAAGAGAAGGGUGAAUUAUGGAGGUUUGAAAAUCUUUGAUUUAAAACAAAUUCAUUUUUGAAAUACGAGUUUUAAAACAUUUCUUUAAAAUCGUUUGAAUAUGCAACGAAAAUUCAAGGUAAAUAAAUUAAGUGGAAAAUAAAAGAGAUAAGGGAAGAGAGAACAACACUCAAAAUUUAUAGUGGUUUGGUCUAAAGAAGUGACCUACUACUUGCCCAAAGAACUGGUCUUAAGAGUAUCCCCUACUGCUUGAGGGAUAUUAUAAGGAUAAGCCCAUGAAACCACUUAUACAAGGAAAUGAAGUUUUCAGACUAACUUUCAACUAAACAACAAAAUGAAGCUUGAACCGACAUUUUUACCGAGUUAAUCUCAAACCUACUAAGAUUUUACACAAGAUAAACUAAGAAACUGAGUAAGAUUUUAUACCAGGCUGAUCUCAAACCAAUAGAGCUUUUGACCAAGCUGAGCUCAAGAACCAUUUUGAAGAAUUUUCAUUGGUUUUUCUUCACGAACCCAAAAGAGAGGUUUUAUUUAAUGGUGGAGCUCAAUAACCAAACAAAAACUUAUUCUAAUCCCCCAAAGACACACAAAGAGAUUUUACAGUGGCUUAACUCCCAACCAAAAUAAUCACUUCUUAUGGAAGAAUGAUUUACUCAAGAAAAAAUACAACUCUUGGUAAAUUUAUAAUAAAGCCCUCACCUGUAACAAAUUACUCACUAAACUCAAAAAUGCUCUCGAAUCACUAUAGCUAAAUUAUGUGAAAAAGUAGAAAUGAUUUAGAGAGAUUACGAGAGAAACAGAAAUUAAGGUAUUUUCCAUUUUUGGGAUGAUUUGAAAUGAUUGAGAGGCUAUAUAUUUAUAGGCCAAGAAAUGGUGUAAUUUUGGAAACAAUACAUGAGCCAAAAUAAAUAACCUAAUUGAUUAGGCCAUGCAAAUAAUCGAUUAUUUAUUCCCAAAUUAGAAGGUUUUUAUAGACAUUCGUUACCAAUCAUUAAGAGAAUGCCAAUCGAUUAUAGACUCAAUUUUGAUUAGACAGUUUCAGAAAGUCUUCUAAUAAUUGAACAAUUUCCUAGUCAACUCACUAGGCUCCAAAACAUUUUUAGUGAUUUACCCAUACUACUUCCAGAAACGCCAUCGUGUCUUUAAAAUACACUGAUCAUUCUGACGGUCACAAUCAGAUGAACUUUCACACUUCCUUUAUUUCAAACUCUGAAGCUUUCAAGUUUCUUUAUCGGAUAUACCAAUCAUACAAGCACUUCAAUGGAAUCUUAAAUCUUCUAUUAGAUAUCUUUAACUAAAUUUCCAUCAUUAGAGAGUUGUAAAGAUAUCAUUGGUGAUCAUAAACCCCAAUUCUUCAUUUAGCUAACUUUUUUUGAAUUGGAAGGAUAAUUUGAUCUUGAUCAACCACCUUAUGUAUCUUUGACCGUUUGAGUUGGCUUUAUUAAUUGCUUUACUUCAUGCAUUGUUAUCAUCAAAACCACUUCAAUUCUUUUACUACUUCAAGUGUUGUCAUUAUCAAAACUAAACAUUUUCUUCUUGAGUCUUGUUAUCCAUGAGCUUUAUCAUCUUGGAUCUCUUCUUAAUUAUACCUGCAAGCACGUUGAUCCACAAUUUUUUUGGAGAGCAUAUACCAAUUUUUUAAUGGGAACUAAUAAUUGCAUUUAAAUCUAUAUCAUGCACCAAAGGGUAGAAUUGACCUGUUGAAGAUUGGUAAGUUCACUUCAAACCAUCUUCGAAUCACAUGUGAGUUAUUUGCAUAUACAACUGCAAUAAAGAAUUUAGUUUGAUCCACUUCUAUAGAAAAAGUUACAUGUUGUUCAGAUAAAAUCAAUAUAGAGGGAUUCAUAUAUAUAUAUAUAUAGCACAAAAAGCCCAUAUGUUUCAACAAUAAAAAAUAAGUCAAGCUUUUGUUGAUCACAAAGGUUUCUAAUAGCACACAUGGUAUCAAGAUUUCUUACUCCUCUAGCAUUUAAAUAAAUAACUUUCCAUUAGUGGUGUUGGGUUUACCCGACAUGGAUCAGGUGUUAGUUUUCAUUAUAGGAUAAGUAAGUUAUGCCUUCUUCUACCUUUUUCUACCAAGGUAAAUUCUUUCCAAUGUGGCUCAGGAAAAUUGUCUACACCACUUAUCAGUGGUAUUUUGACUAGGUUUUUAGUAUGUUUUGUUUGUGAUUCUUAGGAAGCCUAUCUUCAUUUUUGUGCACUUUUAUGCAUGUUUGCAUUUUUUUGUUUCUUUUUCAGGUAAUAAGAAACUUAUGGGACAAAAUAGGAGUGAAAUGGUCAAAUAAUGCGUUACAAAUGCGUCAUCAAGUACAAAUUUCCCGCAACCAACGCAGUUUGGCCAUGUCAUCUAACAUGGACCGUGUUAGCCAUAUCACCAGCUCCAAAACAGCUGCGCCCACUUUGCAAAAUAACACACCCAUUCAAAACAGUUGGACCCCCCAUGCAAAAUUAACACACACAUGUCAGGCCCUCUUUCAGAUGCGCGCUUUUGGUUGUUCGUAACAUUUUUCUGACCUUUUGUGAUUCCAAACUGUUCCAAUGUAAGACUUAAUGCUCUUUACUGAUACUUAUGCGAAUUUAGGGAUCUUGAUUGUAAUAAUUCAGUAUAAGUAGAAUAGGAUUCCUGGGAGAAGAGGACAGUAUGCCCUAGUUUAGAUUGCAAGUUCUUAUUUUCUACAAGUUUAUUUUCUUCUGUAAGUUUAUUUCAAUUCCAAGUUGAAGUACUAUCUCCAUUGGAGUUUUCUUUAAUUCAUGCAUUCUAUUUCUUUUAACCCAAGUUUUAGUUAUUCACAUAUUAUUAUCAUUUUAUAUUGUUGAUCAUGUAUGCAAUAUAUGUUUUGUUUGUUGUCGUUAUUUCCAUAUAUGAGUUGUCAAUUAAGAGUUUUGGGUGAUGAGGACUGCCUCAUUAUAACCCUCAUGUAGACACCUAAAUAUUUUGUUAUAAGAACUUAGAAAAGUUCGUUUCGAUAUUUUUGAUCUUAAAUAUAUUUGAUUUCCAUGUGAAAGUACGAAUACCAUAUAUAUCAUUUAUAAAAUGAAAGGGUGUAGCACGAUAUCAGAAUUAGAAACACUGAAUUGUUGGACGAAGGCGACGAAAGUGUCUCAAAAUUCCAACAGAGAAAAUGAUUUUACUUUUGGAAGCUUUUAAAACGAACUCUGAACAAAUAAUCUAUGCUGACAAAAGUGGGUAGCGUAAUCGAUUAGAGCAAGACAACACACCGAAGAAUGUUGGUGUUGUAUACCUUUUCCAUUUUCUACGAAUUUUACUUUAUCUUUUAAUAAAUUAGGGUUUGAAAGGGGAUUAGAUACAUGAAUUAUAGUUCUAAACUCUUCUUAAUUCAAUUAUUUUAUUUGCAAAAGUAAAAAUCAUUCACAUCCCAAUAUCGAUCGGCUUAGUUUUACACGAUAUGAUAGAAAUCAGAAGUUAAAUAAUUGGUCUUUAAGUUUGACAACCUAUUUUACUACUUCGAUAAUUUUAUGCGAUUGUGGCCCGUCAAGUUUUUGGCGUUGUUGCUGAAGGUGUGAAAAACACAAGAAAGGGGGAUUUGAAUUAGGUUUUCCAAGCAAAAUCUUUUUCCAACACAAGAACACCACUAACAAGUUAAUAACAAAGAGAUAAAAACACAAGUAUUUUUAUCCUGGUUCGCUUGAAACUCAAAGCUACUCCAAUCCACCCGCCAAGGUGAUUUUUCCUUAUACACAAGGACUUAAUCCACUAUAAUCAACAGAUUGUAAUAAUCACAAAGAAUAACCUGCAUUGUCUUCUCAAGUAUCCAACUAUACCCUAGUCUCCUUAAGGACUCACAAAGAACAACAUUUUUUGUCUUCUCAAGGAUAACCUCCUCAAUGAAUCAAACAACCAAUUUGAAUAAUAUUUUUGUGUGUUACAAGAUGCUUCUAUUCAAGCAGAUUUUACACAAAUGAUAAACAAAUACUUAAAGAAAAAUUGUAUAGAAAAACGAUAGCUUUUCAAAUAAACUUUGUCAUGUUUUUACAACACUUCAGUAUUCUUCUAUAUGUGUAUAUUCUUCAAUUCUUCAAGUCUCCAAGUCCCACUUAUAUAGCAUAAGGAGAAGACUAUUGGAGAGAAAAUGGGAAAAACUCAUAGAGCGAUUAUCCACUAUUGGAUGGUGAAAGGAGUGAUAUUACGUACUAUCCUUCGCCCACAAAAUUAGUGACAUGUGUGAUGUAUAGUAAUGUCCUUGCCCACCAAAUUAGAUAGUGGAGAGAAUAUUUGAUUUGUACUAUGUACUAUUUGAUCACGUUCCUUUUUGAUCUUAUCUUCAAGUUCAUUGGCUUCUGAUGAAAGUUGAUGAAGCAUGAAAUGAAGAAACAUAGAGUUAGAUUUAGAAACUUCAAAAUCUUUGGUCAGAACCUUGACAACAUCAGUAAUCUAGCUUGAGAUCUUCAGUAUCUUCAAAAUCUUCAAAAUCUACAGUCAGAACCUUGAUAACUUCAAUCGUCUAGCUUGAGAUCUUCAGAGUCUUCAACUACAAAACAUAACUUCAGAAGCUUAUCAUUCUUCAGAAGUUUGGUGAUCAGAGUCACAUCCAUAAGCAUGAACUAAGAGAACAUUGCAACAACAACAUAGUGUCUCCUCAGAAGCUUCUCAUGUGUGAAUCAACACAGAAGUAUAAAGAUUAUUGCAGUAUCAAUAUUGAAUAUAUUUCAUAACUUCUAAUAGCCGACGCAUAAGCGGAUUUGGAACUCACUGUUCAUAAACUAACGAAGUUGCAUGUCAUAAUUCAGAAUCAGAAUUGGUUGUUAAAGCUACACAAUAACAAACCAUUAGGGUACCAAAUUUAUUCUCACACAAAUACAACAUUGUUAUCAUCAAAACUCAAGGUAUAAAUGCAUAACCAAAUCUUGUUAUAAUAAUCUCCCCCUUUUUGAUGAUGACAAAACAUGUAUUUUAAUGAACAAUUUUUUACAAGGUAGUCACAGAAGAAUAUAUCUUACAGAAGCACAAAGCUCCCCCUGAGAUGUAUAAUCCUAAAAAGAUAAAAUCAGAAUGAAAGAGUACUUUCCAGAUUAACCUUUUUGAAGUACUAGAGUAAAUUUUCAAUCAGAAUCUAGUUUAUCUUCAGAAGUUGAUUGAUGUUGUCUAGAGCACUGGUUUGAUUAACAUCAACACUCUGAUUAGCUUCACUUCAGAAGCUUGGUUCAAUUCUUUUUGAAGAAACUUUAGAGCAGUUGUCUUCAGUCAGAACUUGAAAUCUGGUUCUCUUGAAAUUCUCUUAGAGCUAGAUUGCUUUUGAAGAGAAGAACUUUCAGAAUCUGUUUGAGAUAAAGAACUUUUAGAAUUGAGAAUUCUUAUCAAGAACUUGAUUGCAUAGUCUGAUUACUCUGGAGAAAAUGUUUCCUCAUAGCUAGAUGUAGAUGCCCAAGUUCUCUAAAAAAUAAUUUCAGAAGAACUUGAUGCCAAGUACUGAAAAUUCUAAGUUCAGAACAUGGUUAAACAUAACUCUGCAAAACAUUUAACAGACUAUUCUUCGAAGUAGUUGUUAGCAGAAAACAUUGAACAAUGUUUGGGUUUUUUAGUUAGGAAUUUAGGUACAUCAAAAAUAAUUACUCAUCUUCCCCUUAGAUAUGUUUCUCUCCCUUUGUCAUCAAUCAAAAAGACAUAGACAAGUAAUAAAAGAAAUAUGGAAAAAACAAAAGAAAAAUUUUCAUUGAUAAAUGCCAAUAGGCAGAGAAGAUACAAACAGAAGCAGAGAUGGAAAUACAGAGAAACACAAUAGAGAAAAGCAACAUGUAUUUUGAUGAACAUAAAAUCACACACACACUUAGAUAGAAAUAAAAAAAAACACACGUGUGAAGACACUUUUGAAAAACUAAAGGUUUUGGGAAGGAGGAGGAGGUGGAAGAACGACUGGGUAGGCAUCGGGGAUAUUUAAGGGAUCCACCAAAGGAUCAAUAUCAUCUUCAAGACAAAUCUCCAUGUAGUAUGCUAAAAAUUAUGAUGGCUCGAUCUUUGUGAAGAUAUGAUAGUUUUUCGACAAAAUAUUACUACCGUUGAUUUCUUCUUUGGAUGGAGGUGUGCUUUCAAAAGUGACAGGCCUAGGAGGAGAUCUAGGCUGAGCUAGUUGCAGUUGUUGAAACUGUUGUUGAAUCUGUUGUUGAGUCUGUUGUUGAGCAUCCAUUGUUGGAGUUGAAUGAGAUGAAGAACAGUUGAAGAGAUGGGUGUUUUAGUUUGAAAACUGAAAGUGUGGGAAUAUUAUGCGCGUAGUGUGAAAAUGUGAGUGAAUUGGGUUUAUAUAAAAAUUUGCACUGAUGACAAUUUGAAAAUACGCAGUCAUAGAGGGAAGCGUAAAAGUUUAACCUAAUUCUAAGAAUUGUGAAACCCAAUGUGUCACGCUUUGAUCACGCAUACUCAGAAAGUGGGACAACUGUCACCACUUAGAACCACAUGAAAUCAAACGAUAUGACAACCAUUUAAUGCAACAGCUGUUCAGAAUCAGGUAGAAAAAUCGAUUAGAUUUCUUCUAAUUAGAACCUUUCUGAUUCAUGAAAACUUCCUUACUUCAGAAAGCUCAUUUUUCAGAGUUAACAAAAACAUUAUCAGAAUCUAAUCUAGAGUUCGGAAGACUUAAACAUUCUGAAAUACAUCUUUUCAUUCUGGACAUAAAUCCAUAAAUAAGUUUUUCAAAAUGAAAAUGAAUCUAUCUUCAGCAAGGGGUUUUGUAAAGAUAUCAGCCCAUUGAUGGUUUGUAUAAACAAAUUUUAGAUAAAAAAUACCCUUCUGAACAUAAUCACGUAAAGAAUGAUGUUUAAUUUCAAUAUGCUUAGCCCUUGAAUGCAAGAUAAGAUUCUUAGAUAAACAAAUAACAGAAGUAUUAUCACAGAGAAUAGGAAUGUUACUCUCAGAUAUUUGAUAAUCUUUCAGCUGACUCUUCAUCCAGAGUAUCUGAGUGCUGCAUCCAGAAGCUGCAAUAUAUCCAGCUUCAGCUGUUGAAAGCACAAUUGUUGACCGUCUCUUACUGGACCAUGAGAUCAAGUUAUCUUCUAGAAAUUGACAACUUUCAGAAGUAUUUUUCCUUUCUAUUCUGUCUCUAGUAUAGCCAGCAUCACAAUAGCCUACUAAUUUGUAUUCACUUGAUUUUCUAUAAAACAAACCAAGGUUGGUAGUACCUUCCAAAUACCUAAAGAUUAUCUUAACAACAUUUAAGUGAGUUUCCCUAGGAUCUGAUUGGAAGUGAGCAGAUAAGCAGACACUGAAUAAAAUAUCAGGUUUAUAAGCGGUUAGAUAAAGGAGAGAUUCUAUCAUACCUCUAAAUAGCUUCUAAUUUACCUUACUGCUUACCUCUUCUUUCUCUUGAAUACGUGUAAGGUGCAUUGAAGUCUUUGCUUGCUUACAUUCUGAUAAGUUAAACUUCUUCAGAAGUUCCUUUGCAUAUUUCCUCUGAUGAAUGUACAUUCCUUCUGAUCGUUGAUCAAUCUGAAUUCCCAAAAAGAACUUGAGUUCUCCCACCAGACUCAUUUCAAAUCCUACUUGCAUUGACUUAGCAAAAUCCUUGCACAACGAAGCAUUAGAAGAACAAAAAAUAAUAUCAUCAACAUAAAUUUGCACAACUAGAAUAUCAUUCUUAAAGGUUUUGCAGAAGAGAGUUGUGUCCAUUUUCCCUCUAGUAAAAUUAUUUUCCAAAAAGAAGUUAAUUAGUCUAUCAUGCCAAGCUCUAGGAGCUUGUUUCACCAUAUAACGACUUUUUUAGUUUAAAAACAAAGUCAAGAUUUUGAGGGCUUUCAAAACCAGGAGGUUGAUGCACAUAUAGUUAUUCAUAAAUAUAUCCAUUUAAGAAUGCACUCUUAAUAUCCAUCUGAUAAAGAAUGAUGUUAUGAUUGACUGCAAACGAAAUUAAAAGACGAAUGGACUCUAACCUGGCAACUGGAGCAAAGGUUUCUGUAUAUCUAUAACUUCUUGCUGACUAUAACCUUGUGUUACCAGUCGAGCCUUGUUUCUGACAGCCUCACCUUUCUCAUUAAGCUUGUUUCUGAAGAUCCAUCUGGUUCCAAUGACAUGGAAGCCUUUUGGUUUCUGAAUAAGAUCCCACAUGUUGUUUUUGGGGAAUUGGUUCAGUUCUUCUUGUAUAGCCAGAAUCCAUUAAUUAUCCAAAAGAGCUUCAUCAAUAGAUGUAGGUUCUAUAAGAGAUGCCAAACCUAGAAGAGACUCUUCAUAAGGUUUGAAUGAAGAUCUAGUUUCGACUGAAGCAUUUUUAUCUCCUAGAAUCAGCUCUUCAGAAUGAGGGAUUCUUUAUCUACUCUUCUAUUGAUGAGUUGGACCAACACAAACUUCUGGUUGAGUCAUAUCUGAGUUGUUUUCUUCAUAUUCUUUAGCUUUGCCUUCUAAGUCUUUUUCUUCAUAAUCAGUAUCCUUGGAUUCUAAAAGAUUGAUCUUAAAAUCUGCAAAUUUCUCAACUAGUUUUGACUUUUCAGGGUCAAGCUUAUCAUUGAAUCUAACAUGAAUUGAUUCUUCAACAAUUCGUGUUUCUGUGUUAAAGAUUAUGUAGCCUUUAGAGCGUUCAGAAUAUCCUAACGAUAAACAUGUUUGUGCUUUAGAAUCAAACUUGCCCAUAUUCUCUUUAGUAUUCAACAUAAAACAUUCACAUCCGAAAGGGUGAAAGUAAGAAAUGUUGGGCUUUUUGUUCUUCCAAAAUUUAUAAGGACUUUUACCCAGAAUAAGUCUAAUAUAAAUCCUGUUAUGAAUAUAACAUGAUGUGUUAACUGCUUCUUCCUAGAAAUGCUUAGCCAUGUUAGUUUCUUGGAUCAUGGUGCAUGCCAUUUCUUGCAAAGUCAUAUUCUUCCUUUCUACAACUCCAUUUUGCUAUGGAGUUCUAGGACAAGAGAAAUAAUGAGAAAUACCAUUUGAAUCAAAAAGAUUUUCAAAAAUAUUAUUUUCAAAUUCACCACCAUGAUCACUUCUCACUCUGACUAUUUUGCAAUUCAUUUCUGUUUGCACUAGUGAGUAGAAAGUAAAGAACACAGAAUGUGACUCAUCCUUGUGUUUUAAGAAAUUUACCCAUGUCCAACGACUAUAGUCAUCAAUGAUGACUAAUGCAUACUUCUUUCCAUUGAUAGAGGCAAUUUUCACUGGUCCUAACAAAUCAAUGUCCAUAAGUUCUAACGGUCUAGAGGUAGAAAUAAUAGUUUUCGCUUUGAAAGAUGUUUUAGAAAACUUUCCUUUAUGACAUGCUUCACAAAGAGCAUCAGAAGCAAACUUAAGGUUGGCUAAGCCUCUGACUAAUCCAAGCUUAUUUAGCUAAGAAAUCAUUCUCAUGCUAACAUGUCCCAAACGUCUGUGCCAUACCCAUUGCUCCUCAUUCACAGACAUUAGACAUUUUCCAUUUUGAUCCUCAAGAUCAGAAAGUCUAAUUUUAUAAAUGUUGUUCUUUCUCUUUCCGUUAAAAAGGAUUGUACCAUCUUUUUGACUAACAUCUUUACAUGAAUUUUGAUUAAAGAUGAUAUCAUAACCAUUGUCACUAAGUUGACUAAUAGAUAAUAGGUUAUGCAUCAGACCAUCAACUAAAAGAACAUUAGUAAUAUAAGGAAGUUUACCAUUACCAAUAGUUCCAGAGCCAAUGAUCUUUCCUUUCUGGUUUCCUUUGAAACCAACGAAGCCUUCAGGCUUAAGUUCCAAAUCUUGGAACAUAGACCUUAUGCCUGUCAUAUGUCGUGACUGGUGUUUCAGCUGAGCUGCUAACGUUGUCUGCAAAUAAAUGAUUUUAUCCUUAGGUACUCACUUUCUGGGUCCUCUCUUGUUAGUUUUUCCAGAGUUUCUUACAACUUUGGAUAUUUUAGUAGAAGGAUAAUCAUGGGGAAUUUAUGCAUGAUUGUUAGGUUUCUGAACUGAGUUCUUGUCCUUUGUGUGUUUUAUGUAUGUACAGAACUAUCAAGCUCAGUGCCAGCAGGCACGAAAUACACAUAGAGAGGUUUUGGUUUUACCUUCUGACUUUCAUUACGUUUUAUAGUUUUUGUACAACCUAAAAAUUUCUUUCCAUUUCCGCUAACUCCAUAGAUCAAGGAAGUCAUUUUGCUUCUAUCUAUGCUUUUAGCUAAAAAGCACUGGAAUGCUCUGUCAUAUCUAAUGACACAAUCAGUACUAGAAGCUUUUAAGACUAUUUCCUCGUCUAGUUUUGAAAAUUUUCUUUUCAAAACAUAGUUGUUACUUUCUAAAGAAAAUACUUUUUCAUUUAGAAAGGAAAUAUAUUUCUUAAGCUCACUGCGAGUUUUAGAAGCGCUUCUUUAAGGUCCUUGUAUUUACUCUGAAAACUCUGGUACUUUUCCAGCAUUUCAGAGAGACAUGAUUCAAGAUCAGAACGAGAUAGGUUAGAAAUACCUCUUUAGAAUCGGAGUUGGAUUAUUAUUCUGAUAAUACCUUGUCUUCUGGUUCUUCAGAACCUUCUGGAUCAUCUGUAGUUGCCAUCAAUGCAACGUUAGCUUUUUCUUCGUCAGAAUCUUCUUCUUCGGAUUUUGAGUCAUCCCAUGUGGCCAUCAAACCCUUCUUGCCUUUGGAAAAGUUCUUCUUAGGCCUUCUGUCCUUUUUCAGCUUUGAACAAUCAUUUUUGUAGUGGCAUGACUCCUUGCACUCAAAGCAGAUAACUUCUUUUGCAGAACCUUGCUUCUUCUGUCCAGACGAAGAAUGAAAACGACCAACAUUCCUUUUGUCUCCUCUAAACUUUCCUUGACCAUUUUUCGUGUGUUUCUAGAGUCGGUUGACUCUCUUUGAAAUUAGAGAUAACUCAUCAUCAUCUUAUGAGUCUUAAUUAGAUCCUUCCGAUUCUUCCUCGGCUUGAUAAGCUUUUGCCUUCUUAGGCUUAGACUUUAGAGCAACAGAUUUACCUCGCUUCUGAGGUUCAUCUUCCCCGAGCUCAAUCUCGUGGAUUCUUAAAGAACUAACAAUUUCUUCAAGACCGACAUUGUUUAGAUCCUUUACGAGCUUCAAAGAAGUUACCGUAGGUCUCCAUUUUUUGGGAAGACUUCUGAUAAUCUUCUCGACAUGGUCAGUUGUAGAGUAUCCUUUGUCCAGAACUUUCAGUCCAACAACAAGCAUCUGAAACCUUAAGAACAUAGUCUCAACUAUUUUAUCAUCUUCCAUUUUAAAUGUCUCGUACUUCUGGAUUAAGGUCAAGGCUUUUGUCUCCUUUACUUGAGCAUUCCCCUCAUGAGUCAUCCUCAUAGAGUCAAAAAUGGAUUUGGCAGAAUCUCUGUUUGUUAUCUUCUCAUACUCAGUAUAAGAGAUAUCAUUUAGCAAUAUAUUUCUAGCCUUAUGAUGAUUUUUGAAAUAUUUCUUCUAUUGAUCAGUCAUAGCACUUCUUGCUAUAAUAUUUGCUUCAGCAUUAACUGGGUGAACGUAGCCAUCGACUACAAGAUCCCAAAGAUCAAUAUCGUAACCAAGAAAGAAGUUUUCUAUUCUAUAUUUCCAAUAGUCAAAUUUCUCACCAUUAAAGAUUGGUGGUUUUUCAUUGUAGUGAUAUCUUUCAUUAUUGUUAACAAUGUUAGCAGCAACCAUUAUUUCUCACACAAACUAGAUCAGUACUGAACACGGUGAAGUUUUGAUAAAUCUUUUAUCACAAUCAGAACUAGGCUCUAAUACCAAUUGAAGGUGCGAUAAACACAAGAAAAGGGGAUUUGAAUUGGGUUUUACAAGCAAAAGCUUUUCCCAACACAAGAACACCACCAACAGGUUAAUAACAAAGAGAUAAAAACACAAGUAUUUUUAUCCUUGCUCGCUUGAAACUCAAAGCUACUCCAGUUCACCCGCCAAGGUGAUUUUGCCUUAUACACAAGGACUUAAUCCACUAUAAUCAAUAUAUUACAAUAAUCACAAAUAAUAACCUUCUUUGUCUUCUCAAGGAUCUAACUAUACCCUAGUCUCCAUAAGGACUCAUAAAGAACAACAUUCUUUGUCUUCUCAAGGAUAACCUCCUAAAGGAAUCAAACAAAUAGUUUGAAUAAUAUUUGUGUGUGUUACAAGAUGCUUCUAUACAAAUAGAUUUUACACAAGAUAAACAAAUACUUAAAGAAAAUCUGUAUAGAAAAAUGAUAGCUUUUCAAAUAAACUUUUUCAAGUUUUUGCAGCACUUCAGUAUUCUUCUAUAUGUGUAUAUUCUUCAAGUCUCUAUGUCCAACUUACAUAACAUAAGGAGAAAAGAGUUGGAGGGAAAAAUGGGAAAAGCUCAUAGAGCGGUUGUCCACUGUUGGAUGGUGAAAAGAGUGAUAUUGCAUAUUGUCCUUCGCCCACAAAUCAAUGACAGGUGUGAUGUAUAAUAUUGUCCUUGCCCAUGAAAUCAGGUAGCGAAGAGGAUAUUCGAUUUGUAUUAUGUACUAUUUGAUCAUGUUCCCUUUUGAUCUUAUCUUCAAGUUCAUUGUCUUCUGAUGAAAUUUGAUGAAGCAUGAAAUGAAGAAACAUAGAUUUGGAUUCAGAAACUUCAGAAUCUUUGGUCAGAACCUUGACAACGUCAGUAGUCUGGCUUGAGAUAUUCAGUAUCUUCAAAAUCUUCAGAGUCUUCAGAAUCUACAGUCAGAACCUUGAUAACUUCGAUCGUCUGGCUUGAGAUAUUCAGAAUCUUCAGCUACAAAACAUAACUUUAGAAGCUUUCCAUUCUUCAAAUGUUUGGUGAUUAGAGUCACGUCCAGACGCACGAACUGAAAGAACAUUGCAGCAACAACAUAAUUUCUCCUCAGAAGCUUCUCAGAAGUGAAUCAACACAUAAGCUGAAAGAUCAUUGUAACAUCAAUAUUGAACAUCUUUCAGAACUUCUAAUAGCUAGCGCAGAAGCAAAUUUGGAACUCAUUGUUCAGAAACUGAUGAUGUUGCGCGUCAUAUAUUCAAAAUCAAAACUGGUUGUUAAAGCUAAACAAUAACAAACCAUUAAGGUACGUAAAUUAUUCUCACACAAAUACAACAUUGUUAUCAUCAAAACUCAAGGUAUAGAUGCACAACCAAAUCUUGUUCUAAUAGUUGCUAGGUACCAAAUUUAUUUGAUAUUGAAGUUAUGAUUUAUCCCCAUAUAGAAUAAAGCAUUUUUUUUGUUACUAUAAUGCUUUCAAUACCAUUGUAUGCAAAGAAUCUGAUAUAUAGGAAACCUUGUUGAGUUUAUUAACGAGAUUAAGCAUUUCGUGCACGAGAGAUGCCGACUACUAAGACAUAAAAUGGUUGAACCAAUAAUAGAUACCAAGCCUCUUAAGGACUAUGUGAUUCCUAUUGAUGAGGAACCACACUUGUCUACAGUUCAUCCUUUCAUAGCACCUAAUAAUUUUGAGAUUAAGUCAUCUAGUAUGGGCAUGGUUCAACAAAACAUAUUCUUCAGGUUGCCGAGUGAAAACCCCAACCUCCAUUUCUCUAUAUUUAUCGAAUUUUGCAACAUGUUAAAAUCUAACAGUUUUAAUUAAAAAAAACUAUUUGACUUAGAUUAUAUCCUUUCUCCUUGAGAGAUAGAGCCUGAUAGUGGCUCCAAACCUUACCCUCCAACUCCAUACCAACUUAGGGUCAACUAAAAGCAGAAUUUCUCAUGCGGAAUUUUCCACUGAGUAAAAUGGCACAAGUGAGGGGUGAAAUAUAUAAUUUUAUAGAAGAGGACAGAGAAUCGUUAUUUGACGCUUGAGAGUGUUUUAAGGAUUUAGUUAGGCCAUUUCAUGGGAUCGAAAAGUGGCUCAUUAUCCAUACAUUAUAUAAUGGUCUCAUUUAUAGGCUAUAAUAGUCCUUAGGACGUAGGCUAUAAUAUUAAAGAGGACAUGACGAAGAACCAUCACUCAUGGAGAAGCUCAUGUGAAAUCAUUCCAAAAGCCCCUAAAAAGGGUGCACUUUAUGAAAUUAGUCUGUUUGAUCAUAUAAAUGCCAAAGUAGACACUCUUUACCAGAAAAUAUAAAAUUUGAGCAUUACCCCACCCACACUAGCUUCUGUUACCCCAAUAGUAGACAUUUCACUGCUGAUUGUUAGUCAGUCCUCGCCAGAGGAACUAAUCAAUAAGGCAUUAACUAUUUUAAUAAUAAUCUGCGAGGGAACCCGCACACUAAUACCUAUAAUCAUGGAUGGAGGGAUCAUCCAAAAUUUUAUUAUAAAAAAAAUUCCCCCUAGUUUGUAGCGAAUCCUAGUCCUCCUGGUUUUCAAGGACAUAUAGGUGACAACACCCCCGUGAAGUCCAAUCUGGUUAUAAAUAAGUCAAGUGUGUGUUGAAGUCCCACAUUAGUUAUAAAUAUGGAGACCUGAGCAUUUAUAAGUGGGAUAAUCCACACACAUAUCACCUUAAGGUUUUGGGUGAAUAUGUGGUGUCUUUCUCACUUGCGUGUUGCUCUUGGCCCAAUGUUGAUGCUCCUCCUAAUUAGCUCUAACAAAUGGUAUCAGAGUCUUUGGUUCGAGAAAGGGAUCGACUUACUUGUAUCGAAAGUUAAGGCGCCACAAGAGUGGUGAGUAAGAAACGUUACGUUGAAGAGUGUCAACAACGACACAACAGUGGUGAGUAAGAAACGUUCCAUGCGGUACAAGAGUUUGUGGAAGUAAGAAGAACUUCCACUUGAGGGAGAGAACUAUGGACUCAUACUUUAGGGGGAGUGUUGAGAAUAUAACAAGUGUGAGUAGUGUGGGUAAUAGUCCUACAUUGGUUUAAAAUAUGGAAAUUUGAACAUUUAUAAGUGAGAGAGCUCGCCCACCUAUCACCUUAAAGUUUUGGGUGAAUAUGUAGUGUCUCUCCCACAAAGGUGUUGCUCUAAAAGAAGAAGUUCUACAAUGUUCAAUGCUCCCUAGUAAAAAACUCUUCCAAUAAAAAUGACAAAGGAAUGUUCUUUGUUGUUGUCUAAAUUUUUUGUGUGGACUAAUAAGAAACAAGAUUCGUGAAGCUGGAAUUCAUUGGAUAAUAAUGUGUAUUCAGUCAAAGAUGUCUAAAAUAUAUUGUGAAAGAACUCGAAAAACGAUUCAGAAUAACUUCACCUUGCAAGUUGGAAAAAAUUGGUCCCACCGAAAGGAUCGCUACUAAAAUGGAGGUUGUUGAUUAAUAUGUUUCCUAUAAGAUAACCUAUAGAAACACGGUGUCAUUUUAUCGUAGUUAAAAUUUGUGCACUAAUGGAUGCACCUUUGGAAAAUGACUUAACAUUUAUUUUGUGAAUGUUUACUCUUUAACAAGGUGUAAGAAUUUAGUCUAGAUUGGUUGAGAUUUUAAAGUGAUAUGCCAACUAAAGUGAGUGAUCAUGUCUAUCAGUUCAACAUAUCAUAUUUGAGAGGUCGAAAAAAGUGGAAUUAAUUAAUUUAAUUCAAUUAUAUUUCGAUAGAGCAUUUAAUUUUGUUUAUGAUAUUAAACAUUGAGAAGUUCAUAAUAUUUGUUUGAGUGUCUAAUGAGAGUUUUCAAUUUCAUUUAUCUUCGUCAAAAGGCGAACAUAAAUACUUUUGUCACUAGUCUAUAUGCCUAUGGUUGUUUUUAUAUAUAUAUAUAUAUAUAUAUAUAUUUCUAUUUAGUUUUUUUUUUAGAAAUGUAAAAAUGAGUACAUAGUGAUUUGGUAACUGAAUAAUUUUUUUUAUACAUUAAUCAUUUAUAAAAUUGAACUCUAAAAUUAUACUCAAAGUUGCUCCCAAAAAUAUAUAUGCAACUGGGGUUUAUCACCUAACAUUCAUAAAUAAAUAUACAAAUGAAACCAUAUGAGAAAACAAUUCAUCCAUGUUGGAUGCAUGAGUAGAUCAAGAGAGGACUAUGAUAAUAUAAUAGGUCAACCACGACCAUAAUCAUUAAAGAAACAAACCUUUGGGAGACUUAAGAUUUCCAUCUUUGUAUAUAAUUGGACAUCCCUAGCUCAAGAACACACAACAAAUUAGCACAAAAAAAUAAACCAAACAAAUUAGCACAAAAAAAUAAACCAAUUAAAAUGGCCUCUAAUGUAGUCUACAGCGAUGAGCAAUGGGUAAUAGAUAUUUGCAAGAAUCUUCUACCUGAAGUGGAACAAAACACACAUGAUGAAAUCAUAGUAAGUGUGUCACAAGUCCCCAAAUAUUUAAGAUCCUCAAAUCCAGAAGCUUUUAUCCCUCAAUUUAUAGGACUUGGUCCUUAUCACCAUUACAAAUCUGAUCUCAUCAUGAAUGAUAAAUUGAAGUUAGAUUCAUCCAAAAGAGCUCUCAAACACCUCUUUCACCACUUUGACACCGAAACACUCAAACACCGUCUUAAAUCAAUUCUCUCACAUUCAUAUAUACAAGCUUUCUACCAUAUUGAUGUAGCUUCCAAAUACCCUUAUCAAACUCUCUUAUACUUACUCACUGUUGAUGGCUUAUUCUUGUUGGGGUUAUUGCAUAGAGCUUUAACAAUAAAACCUCAACAAGAUCAACAAUACUCUUACUUCUUAACCGGAAACCAUAAAUUUUAUCGUAAGAGAUGUUUUUAUGCUUGAGAAUCAAAUUCCAACUCAUUUUCUUAAGCAAGUCAACACAGCCCUUGUCACCAUAACUAGAGAUGAAAUUGAAUCAUCUCUAGAAAAGGAAGCUCAUCAAAAUCUUGGACCAUCCAUGAGAUUAUUUUGUGAAUCACUCUGUCCAUUUGUUCAUGAAUUUCAACUCACCAAAAAUCCAGAAGAUCAUGCACAUUUGUUGGAUCUAAUGUAUCAUUUGGUUGUACCCAAUCAUUCUGAUCCUGAAGAACCUCCUAGGUCUGAUCUAAAACUCGAAAUCAAAUCCAAUCCCGAGCCACAAUUUGAAUCUGAGUCUAAGUCCACACCACAAUCUAAGCUUGAGUCAGAGUUUACAUCCAAACCACAAUCUGAGUCUAAGUCCAAAUUACGAUCUAAACUUGAGUCAGAAUCUACGUCCAAACCUCAAUCUGAAUCUGAGCCUAAACCCGCGAUACAGUCUGAGCUUAAGCUAAAGCCCGAGCCUCAUAAUCAACCUAAUGACAAGAAAAAAGUGAGUUAUGCUUGUUCUAUUUGCUUCAAUUUUCUUGCAAUUUUUGUGGCUAUUUGUAUUAUAAUAGGUUUUAUUAUAAAGUUCAUUUUCACCAUAUUUUUUUGGAUAUUAAAAACUCUAUUUAGUUUCAUUAAAUGGGUGUUACGUCCAUUAGUGAAACUAUUAGAUUUCAUUAACCCUUUCGUUGAGGUGUUAUAUGAUUUUUUAUCAAAGAACGAAACCAAAUUUUCCUACAUAAAACCAUGGACAAAAAUAGUCGGAGAAAUUAAGAAAACAAGUGAAAACGUUAGAAAAGAGGAUUACUCAACAAAUUGGGACAACAACAUCUCAAAUGUAAGCAUCCCAUCUGUAACAGAACUUCACAAUGCUGGAAUCAAAUUCCAACCGUCAGAUAUAAGUGGAAAUGGAAUCUCAUCCAUUGAUUUCCAUGAAAUUAAAUGUCAAUUUUACUUACCCGUUAUCAAACUAGACAUGAAUUCAGAAGUAAUCAUAAGAAAUCUCAUGGCUUAUGAAUCAUUGAUUAAAUCCAAAGGGUUAAUUUUCACAAGGUACAUUGAAUUAAUGAGAGCCAUUAUAGACACUCCAGAAGAUGUGAAACUAUUGGUUAAUGAGAAAAUCAUAGAAACUGAGAUGAGUUAUGAAGGUGUUGCACAACUUUUGAAUGGGUUGAUGGGAAAAUCUAUUAGGCCAAUAAAGGUUCAAAAAUUGGAUCAAGUGAUUAAAAGGGUGAAUGCUAAAUUCAAAAGUAGUCAAGCUCAAAAAAUGGCUAUGAUUAAGUAUAUGUCUUCUUAUGGGAAGAUGUUGACAGCUUUGGCAGCUAUUGUGUUUUUGGUAUUGACUGCUGUGCAAACAUAUUGCUCUGCUUUUGGUUGUGCUCGUAACUCAAAUUAUAUGGGAUCAUCAUCAAUGUAUCAAGAUGGGGAUUAUGUUAGAAAUGUUGGUAAUGUUUUUAUGAGUUCAAUGUAAGUUCUAGUUCUUGCUCUUUUUUAUGUUCGUAAUAAAAGAGUGUGUAUGGUUUUAGUCUUAUUUUGAUUGUUAAAGAAAAGUGUACUACAGUAAGUGCUAAAAUGCAUACAUUUAUUUCCCCUCACUCCUUCGUGCAUACAAUAGUUACUAAACUUGAUAUAUAACUUCAGUAUUUUUUAUCAAAGAUAACCCUUUUCCUUACAACACUGAAUUGUAUCAUCCAACAUUUCUUCAACACUAUACUUGAACUCAAAUCCAGCAUCCUUGAGUUUCUUUGAGGUUAAAUGUGAAAGCUUGUUACCUUUAAUGUUCUUCACCUCCCUAAAAGAUAAAACAAAUUAAAUAUUAGUAACAACAAAAAUAAAUAACAAAAAAUAAGUUUCCAUGGAAAGGGAUAUUGUAACUCACUCUAAUGUUGGUAUAUUAAAUUCAGGAUAUUUAGGAGAAAGAAUUUGAACUACUUCUUCAAGAGGUGCAAUGAAGGGUGAACAAUUAUAUCUCCCUUUUGGAUUUGGAUGCUCAAACAAAAAUAUAUGUGCUCUUGCAACAUCAUCAACAUGCACAAUAUGAAGAUGAGACAUAGCAAAUGGAUUCUUGUCCCCUACAACAUUAAUCAAUUUUUCAUUCUUAAUAUGAAGAUUAGAAAGAAAAAAACAUUAAUACAAAAAAAAAAUUAAUCAUCACUUACCAAAUAAGAAAGAUAGUGAACUAUAAACAGAUGCAGGAAGUUUAGGACAUAUGAAGGGUCCAACAACAAAAGUUGGUAUAACAGUGACAAUUUCCAACCCAUGUUGUUCUCCGAAUUCAAGAACAGCUUUCUCAGCUAGUGUCUUAGAAACUGAAUACGGCCACGCAAAGGGCUUCAAAGUUCUUAGAAGAUUAACAUCACUCCAAUGACUUUCAUCCAAUACAUCUAAUUCUUUCUCUUGAAGAUAAACAGCGGAAGCGCUUGAAGUGUAAACGACUCUCUUCACUGUCUUUGAGUUUUUGCAUGCUUUUAGAAUUCCUAAAGCUCCGUCGAUGUUUCUUUUCGUCACUACUUCUUCAGGUUCGCUCUCUUCGAAAUCCAUCGGAGUUGCGGUGUGGAAUAUUCCAACGCACCCUUCUAUUGCUUCGUUGAAGCUUUCUGGUUUGCUAAGAUCCGCAGUGAAAAUUUUUAGUUUUUCAGAUGCUCCGGGAAGAUUUGUGAGAAAACUUAUAUCUCUUUUUUUCCCUGCCAUUUACAAAAUGAUAAUAAUUAUCAGAAACUCAUACGUAUAACUAUACUGUUCAAUCUAACAAUAUUAAUAUUUAUCAAAUUAACUAAAUUUUAAAAACUAAUAUAUAUUUUACCUGGAUCAGCUCUAACAGUGGUAUUAACAGUGUAACCAUCUUCAAGGAGUGUCUUGAUGAUCCAUGAACCAAUAAAACCUGUACCUCCUGUUACACAAACUCUUCCUUUCUCUUCUGCCAUUUUCACACUUUCUAUAACUUUGUUGCUACUACACACAUAUAUGUAUAGUCAGUUAGUGCCUUUUUCAAGGAAGACUGCGCUACUUUUCAUUACUUUAUUCUAAAAUUAAUCAUACAGGGAAGUCCAGUGUUAGUUCCGUGUCAAAAUAAAAAAGUCAAUAUUUCAUUUGUCGUCAAUUUAUUUUAAAAUGCUAUUUUUUGCGAAACAUCUAACAUCCGAAAUAAGAGAAUACAAUAUUCAAUUUCCAAUGAAAGAGAGUAAUUAUAUAUUUAACUUCUUAAAUCACACCAAAAAAAUAAGUAGAUACCACCCCUUUCAUAAAAAACAAAAACCGCCCCCUUAAAUAAUAAUACUAGUGCAUGAUUGAGAUAUAAUGGAUAAAAAAUAGCCUACCACAAGAUAAAGUCAAUAUAAUACACAAAGUAUGUGCAUGUAUGUCUAGAAACUAAGUACAUAUGGCAUAAUUUCAACUCUAUGUGAAAUACCAGCCUACCACGAGACAAUGUUAGUAUUAAUUUCGAGAAUUUCUUAUCUAGGUGGAAAAAAAAUUCAAAAUUCAAAAUGAUGUAACACCCCCAAACUUCUACUACUCAAAUACAGCACACAAUUGCAUAAUCAGAGUAAAUUAAAGCAUGUAUAUAUGAGGGCAUCGCAUUUACUUAUGUUAGAAACAACAUAUGUCAUGGUCACAUUCAAAUAACAAGGAUUAUAAAUCAAAAUCAAAUAACCAACAUUCAAACUCACACAGCGGAAUAAGAUAUCUCUUCAUAAAUGGUAAAUAGUGAUGAUUCCCAUAAAUCAUCUACCAUAAAAUAUCGUUUUGGGCUCUAAGGCCACUCAACAUCAAAACCAACAUAUCCAAAUAACAAGAUAAAAGAGAACACAACAAUAUCUCUCAAUAUCAAAACAAAUACAAAUAAUUCCAUAAACCCAAAUGUUACAUGACCAGAGCAUUAUAGACUACCUAGUCAAAACACAAUAAGAACUAGCCUUCGAAUCUAAUCCUUGUGCGAAACACCACUAUCUCCGGUACCUGAGCGAUGUCACGAUAGAACAUUAUUCCAACAGAAGGGUGAGAAUUCAAAUCAUUAUAGAAAAACAUAAUAAUAUGAAAUGUAUAACAAACAUACAUACAUUAUUAGAAUUCAUCACGCUUCAUACAAACAUGCAUCAUAUCAUCUUAUUAAAGAAUCACAUGUUUAUCAUCAUACGACAUGACUCAACAAUCCACAAGUAUUCAUUUAUAAAUACUAAACGAUGUACAAAAGUCAUAUUUCACAACAUAUCGAUUUCAUGUACAUAUUAUCAUCCAUCAUCAUUUACAAAUCAUAGUAUUCAUUUAUAAAUACUAAACGAUGUACAAAAGUCAUAUUUCACAACAUAUCGAUUUCAUGUACAUAUUAUCAUCCAUCAUCAUUUACAAAUCAUCAUCAAAUAUGUAUACAACUUUCACAUGAUCCCAUAAUAUAUACAAGUCACCAUUUCAUCACAUAUAUCACAAAUAUGCACAUAUAUCACAUCAACAACACAUCAAUAAUUCAUAUCAAAUGGAUCACCUAAAGUCCACGUAUAUGCAUAUCUACCAAAAUCAUAUCCACACAAUCAUAUCACAUAAUCACACAAACAACAAUUCAUACAGACACAUGCGACUCAAUGCGUGACUCAAUGCGAUAUGCAUGUGGAUCCCAUCCGUUAUCAUUUCCAACUUGCCGGGCGUCUCUCAAAUAGACUAGAUAACCACCUCUAAAGCUUGAUUUAGCCUUAAGCUUUCAAACCCCAUUCGGCGUUAGGUUUGGGACAAGCAAAUAAUCUAUGCGAGAUUACCCAACAUUGCCUCUUUCAUAGACUCAUGCUAAUGUAAGUGUGCAACAACAACAAGACUCAUGCAAUUAAGACGAUCACAACCCCUUAGUCAUACAUAAGCAUACCACAUCCAACAUUUGCACAACAUACACCUAAUAUGACUUCAAACCCAAACAAUACAUCAAAUAGCAUUCAUCAUCUCAUCACAACACAUUAACAUAAAGCAAACAAGCCAAUUCAUGUUAUUCAUCAAAUUCACAUCAUCACAUACAUAAUUUCAUGUAUUAUGUUUCUUCACAAAAUCCAUCUAAAACCAUCCAAUACAUGUCAAACAAUAGAAAACAUGUCAUUCACAUUCACCACACAUACAACAUACAUCCAUAUUAGGAUUCUUUUGAUAAAAUAUUAAGUAUUAUGUUUCUUCACAAAAUCCAUCUAAAACCAUCCAAUACAUGUCAAACAAUAGAAAACAUGUCAUUCACAUUCACCACACAUACAACAUACAUCCAUAUUAGGAUUCUUUUGAUAAAAUAUUAAUCUACUGUUAUCAAAAUGAAUAUCACAUUAUAGAUAAUAUCCUUAGCUUCGUAACGGUUCAAACGGCACCUCAAACGGAGUUACGGAUCAAAAUUUAUUGAGCUUACAAGUUUUUCAAAAUGCUGUCAAAAACCAGAAAAUUUUUUGUUGCGAAAAUGUUGUCAAAAAGCAGAAAAUUUGCUGUUGUGAAAAUGCUGUCAAAAACCAGAAAAUUUGCUGUUGCAAAAAUCCUGUCAAAAAUCAGAAAAUUUGUUGUUGCAAAAAUGCUGUUGUCCAGCCCGAAUUUUCAUCAUAAAACCACAUUAAUCCAUCAUUUUUCAAGAAAUAAAUAGUUAUACAAUCUAUAUAUAACAUAUAGCAACUAUUAUGAUCAUAGAAACAAGAUUCUAAGCUCUACUAAUUUUCACCAAAAUCCCAAAUUAACCAUUUUUAAGUGAAACUCAAACAUGCAAUUAUACACCAAAUCAUGUUCUAUACACAUACUCAUUCAUGAAAUUCAAUAUAGAAACAUCAUAGCAUAACAUAAACAUCAAUUUCAUGGAUUAAAACAUAAACAUAUAUUAGGGUUUCUCAAAAUCAAAAUCCCCAAAUCCUAAGUUUAUGAUAUCUAACCCACAUACAUUACAUACAUUAUGUUUAUCCAUAACCACUUGAAAUUCCAUCCCUACCUUAGUAUAGAUGAAAUCUCUAGGUCCUUCUUCUUCUAGUUUCCUCUUCUCCUCUUUCUCUUCUCUUCUAUUCUAUUUUAUUCUCUCUUCUUCUCUUGUUUUACAAAACUAACUUUAAUCUCUAAAAACCUUACUAUCUUUUUAACUCAUAAUGGGCUUAACCCACUUAUCCACCCAUUCUAAUUAAUUAGGCCCAUUACUAGACAAUUACUAUUUCUAUUCAUAAAAUUCAGUUAUUCAAAUAACACAUAUAUUCAAAUAAUUCAAAUAAUUCAAAUAAUCAGCAGAACACAUAUUUAAUUAAUUAUCACACCAAAUAAUGAUUAAUUAAAAUAAACACCUAAUAAAUAAAUACAGAAAUUAAAUCAAGGUGUUACAACUCUCCCCCACUUAAAGUAUUUUCGUCCUCGGAAAUUACCUCAAGGAAACAACUCGGGAACACAAACUCUAUCAUGACACCUCAUGAUACCAUUCUCAUCAAUCCGAAAAUCACCACCUUUACCUUGAUUGAUCAACGUCAAUCGAUCUACCAAAACCAAAUCAGAUUUCUGACCUUCUCGAAUCUCAUCCAAAAUUCCACUAGUAAGCUUCAACAUACCAAGCUUCACUCCAAAAUAAGUCUCUUCACAAACCAAACUCAUAUCUCAAAAUUGUUCAAGCAAAUCCAAUUCUCGCACCAUCAACAUCGACAUAUGCAAAGAUUUCCUACUCAAAGCAUCGGCUACAACAUUCGUUUUGCCAGCAUGAUAAUUCAAAUCAAAAUCAUAAUCCUUCAAGAAUUCUAACCAUCUCCUUUGCCUCAUAUUCAACUAUUUCUGAUCGAACAAAUACUUCAAACUCUUGUGAUCACUAAACAAAUCGAAUCUCGACCCAAACAAAAAAUGUCUCCAAAUCUUCAAAACAAACACAAUAACAGCUAAUUCUAAAUCAUGAGUCGGAUAAUUCCUCUCAUGCACUUUGAGUUUCCUUGAAGCAUAAGCUACAACUUGUUGAUUAUGCAUUAACACACCUCCUAAACUCAUCAAGGAAGCAUCACAAUGCACAAUAAAUGGUUCUGAUGGAUUCAGAAAAAUCAAAAUAGGAGCAGUAGUUAAUCUCCUCUUCAACUCUUGAAAACUAGCUUCACACGAUGCAGUUCAAAUGAAAGCUCGACCUUUCCUAGUCAAUUGCAUUAACGACAAAGAUAACUUAGAAAAGCCUUAAAUAAACUUUCAAUAAUAACUUGCCAAACCAAUAAAACAACAAAUCUCAGACACAAAUUUUGGCGCUUCCCAUUGAGAUAUAGCCUCAAUCUUAGAAGGAUCAACCGAAAUACCACCACUAGAGAUGACAUGGCCAAGGAAACUCACUUCCUUCAACCAAAACUCGCACUCCAAAAGUUUAACAAACAACUGCUUCUCUUUUAAUACAGAUAAAACAAUCCUUAAAUGCUCAUCAUGAGCCUCUUCACUCUUCGAAUAGAUCAAAAUAUCAUCGAUAAACACAACAACAAACUUAUCGAGAUAUUUAUGAAAAAUCUGAUUCAUGUACUCCAUAAAUACACCAGGUGCAUUCGUCACACCGAGAGGCAUCACCAAAUACUCAUAUUGUCCAACCCUUAUUCUAAAAGCAGUCUUCUGAAUAUCUUCAGCUUUCACACAGAUCUGAUGAUACCCAGACCUCAAAUAAAUCUUGCUAAACACACAAGCACCAACCAACUGAUCCAUCAAAUCAUCAAUCCUCGGAAACGGAUACUUAUUCUUGAUAGUAACCUUAUUCAGUUAUCUGUAAUCCACACACAACCUCAUAAUACCUUCUUUCUUCUUAACUAAAAAGACAGGUGCACUCCACGGUGACACACUCGGACAAAUAAAACUCUUAUCAAGCAAAUCCUCUAGUUGACUCUUCAACUCUUUCAACUCAGAUGGUGACAUCCGAUACAGAGCCAUCGAUACCAAGACUAGUACUAGGAAUCAAAUCAAUCGUGAACUCAACUUCACGUUCAGGCGGCAAAUCGCUAAGCUCAUCAGGAAACCCUUCAGAAAAAUCACGAACAACUGCAAAUUCACCCAUUGUUCCAUUUUCACUAAGCUUCAAACUUGCCACCAACAUAAACACUUCAGCACCAUCUCGCACAGAUUCAUUCACUUGUUGAGUAGACAAGAAUAAACCACCUUCCUUCUCUGGCUCAAGAAAAAUAACAGCUCUCGCAAAACAAUUGAUAUAGACAUGGUUGGCCCUCAACCAGUCCAUUCCCAAAAUAACAUCAAGUUGACUAAAUGGAAAACACACUAAAUCAACUUCAAAAUCUUUAUCACAAAUAUUCAACGGACAUUCCAAACAAACAGAUAAAGUAGUCACCGAACCCAUAGCCAGAUGUCCCUACCCCGAUACAAUUUUCAUCUGAUCCAUGACUCUACUGCACAUGCAUACAUUCAUUAUUUCAAAAAAAAAACUGGGUAACCGAUUACCCUAAUAAGGGUAACCGAUUACCCAGAGCAAAAACUGAUUUUUUGGCCAUUUUGGGACUGUGUAAUCGAUAACCCUAAUCAGGGUAACCAAUUACACCUGCGCAAACAGUAGAAAUAGCUCUGUUUUUUACACAGAGGACCCUUUGGUUCACCAACUUCAACACCUUUGCUUCCCCUAUAAAUAGAGCACUAUCCCCACUCAUUUUUCAAGCUUGAAAGCCACAAAACCUCUGCCCAAAUCACCUUCAAGCUCCCUCUUUUCAACUUAAAUCCUAACUCACCCAAACCCUUUUUUCUUCUUUGAACCACCCAACCACCAUGUAAAAAUCCACCAUUUCCACACAACAACAACAGUAACAAACUUCUAACCUUCACUCACAUAAUCAUUCACCACCACCACAUAAACAUACAACUUCUUUCCCUUCCUUUUUUCUACCAUAACAACCAUAACCAACCUCUUCCAAGCUUUUUGCUUCAUUCUCAAACCCAAACACAACAGUAACCUAGUUUUGACACCACACUCUUGGUAAUAUUUUGGACUCAAACUCCUUAUCAUUUUUUUUGGUUUUGUUUUAUGUUUGAAAAUGAGUUUUUACUCUUGGGUUGUGUUUUGAGAGAGAUUUUAGUCAACUUUGAAUAAGUGUUUUUUUGUUAGGUUUACACCCUUUUGGGGAUUUUUUGCUCUUACUACUUUUUAUCCACCAUUUUCAAUCAAACAUUGUUUCUUGUUAUCAUUUAAUAUUUAUUGUUGACUUGUUUUUCACAUUUACUUGGUUGAUAAGUUCAAUUAGAUCAUGACCAUGGUUGUUUAGAGUUGAUUAAAUCUUCAAUACUUCAAACCUAUUAAUGGUUGAUCAAUAGAUCAUUCAUGAUACUUUGAGGCAUUGAUAGAUUGCAUAUACUUUAACCAUAGUUUGGUCAUUUGAUACAUAGAUGAAACCAUUUCCUAAACCUUGUUUCUUGUUAUCAUUUAAUAUUUAUUGUUGACUUGUUGUUAUAUUUAUUUGGUUGAUGAGUUCUAUUAGAUCAUGACAUGGUUGUUUAAAGUUGAUUAAAUCUUCAAUGUUUUAAACCUAUUAAUGGUUGAUCAAUAGAUCAUUCAUGAUACUUUGAGGCAUUGAUAGAUUGUCUCUAUUUCACCCAUAUUUGAGUCAUUUGAUGCAUAGAUGAAACCAUAUUCUCUAUAUUAACUUGCUAAUCCAUUUGCUUAUUGUUAUUCUACUAACUACUAACUACUAACAUUUAUAUUAUUAUUGGCAGCUUUAUUCCUGUAAUUUAGUUUAUUGUUACUAACAUUAACUACUAAACUUCUAACAUUUACAUUAUGCACUUUACUUCCUGCAAUUUAUUUUAUUGUUCAUUUACAUUCACUAACCAUUAUUGUAGUGAUAUUACCAUUCUUUCUCUUGUGAUUUACUUUUUAUGUCAUUACUUUGUAAUUUCAUUCAAGUAACUCAAUUAUCCAUCAUCAUUGUACAAACUCAUCAUGCAUGUUUAUUUACUUGUUAUUUAUUUUAUUGUCAUCAUACAUUAAAAACAACAAAAACAUGAUAAAAUUAUAAGACCAAAAAUAUUCACUCCAAUCUUAAUCAACUCAGACUUAGAGGAUUUCAUCUUAGGGCCUUUGCUUGGAGGCUUUCCUUUACUCUUUGUGAUACUUUGUAAACGUUGGAUUUUCAUCUGUAACUUACAUGCAUGUUGUAAGAAUGGCAUCAUGGCACCACCUUAGGGGGACAUGUUUGUAAGACCAUUAUCCUUUGUUUAGCUUAGGUCACUUUAGCACACAAAAGACUUUCUCUUGGGCUACCUUACAAUGAGACUCUUUAUUUUCGUGUUGGUUAUUUUGCAUUCACGUUGCAUAAGCUAAAAUUCAUAAGCAAUCUCAUUUCGAGACCAUUUUCAUAAUUCAAUUCAUAUGCACAUGUAAAUACAAACCUCGGUCAAUAUCGAGUGCGCUUUUCCAAAUCAAUUUAAAACACCCUUGUAGUCGGUCGCUUUUAAAGCAUCGCCAAACCUCACAUAGCUUACUCUUGGGCUUUAUUACAAUGAGAUCUAUUCGAUUUUUAUCAGUAGAAGAGCAAUACACUAAAUAAAUUCACUUCAUUCAAAACACAAAUCUAAAACCUCGAUCCAACGUCGAGUAUUUUCUCUCAAACUCAAUUGAAAUACCCCGAUUAAAUCAAAAUAAGCUAAAUGAAAAGGAAGUCGACUUUGAGUUUUCAACCUCACUCCUCAAUUGGACGAAUACGAGUUUUCUUACUUGGUCAGUCAAACAAUUGUCAUUUACCGCCAAACAUACAACUUAAUCAAAUCAUUUCCUUAAAAAAAUAUACGAAAAAGGAGAUGGUUUUGAGCUUUCAAUUCCUCUUCUCAAAUGCUUGGAUAUGGGUUGUCUUACUCAGUCAUUCGAGUAUUUGUCGUUCAUUCUAAAAUACGUCAAUCUUAUACAACCUUAUUUUCAUAAAUACUUAGAUGAAACAGAGAGCGAUUUAGAGUCUUCUAUUCCCUUUCUCGGUUAUUAGGAUACGAGUUGUCUUACUCGAUUAUCCGAGUAAUCGUCAUCCAACCAAAAACAUCUUAACCAAUCAAAACAUCCAACAUAUUAAUCCAACUUGUCACCCCCCAGUGUGACCAACACUCUUUUAAGAAAGAACACUGUUAAUCCUUUCUAAUGCGCAUAACAAACCAAUGCUUAAGCCUGCGCCGAGAGUAGACAAGCCAGCGUUUAGCCUUUAGAACGUGAUUUAAAACAGUUGUUCACUAAAAGACACCAACCAACCGUUGUUUCCCGAACUACGAAUGCUCUGACUUCGUUAUUACACCAUAAGGAUACGUAGGCAGGAGAUUGUUGUAUCUUCGCAAGCACACUAAUAAAAAACCUCCCUUUUCCCCUUUUUAUGAGGUUCUCAUCCAUUUCUAUUUUCACUAUUUUAUAACCCAAAGAUAACAAGCAAACAUAAAUUAACACUCGAAAUGCACAUUAGAACUAAAAGGUUCCCGUUGAGUACAACGAACGUAAGGGGUGCUAAUACCUUCCCCUUACGUAAUUCACUCCCGAACCCAAAUAUGGUUGCGAUGACCAUUAUUCCAUCUUUCAAAGGUUUUAUCGAUAUUUUCCUAUUCCUUCAUUGGGAUAAAUAAAGUUCGGCGGCGACUCUGUUCGAACACUAUAUUUUUCCGCGACCAUCGCGAGGAAUCGUAUUUUUCGAGAUGCGACAGAUGGCGACUCUGCAGGGGACUAGCUCCAAGCAAAAGAGAGUGAAGCCUAAUUUAGUUCAGUUUUUGUAUUGUGUGUUAAUCUUUUUUGUUUGUCUGUUAUUUUUAUUUUACUAUUAUCAUUCUGUCAUAAUUAUUAUAUUGUGAUUUAUUGACCAUGUCUUAUUGGGGGUUCUCUGGUUGGUGAUACUUUGUGAGAUAGGCUCUCCACCCGAGUCUGAGAAAAACCAUAAGUUUAAGUUGGUGGUUGCAUAGUGGACGCCCACAAGGAGUAUUCCUUGUUGGGACGAUACGAAGACCCCGCCUAGAGGAGAUUCUCUUGAGAUAUUAUUGCCCGACGAGUCUUCGUCACGACGAUACUAUUAUCAAGUUGGAUCAAUGACUUUAGGGACCUCUUAACCCACUCUAUCCGGCGGUUAUGCAAUAUUAACCUACGAAGUUUCAGACUUGUUGGGUGAAUACGAAAGCCCCAAUCAGAUGAGAUCCCUUGGACGUAUUAUUAUCUUACAGUAAUAUUUCCAACCUCGAUCUAUGACUCUGAGAACCUUGUUAGAACCUUGGACUCGAGAGUUGUGUAGUAGAAUCCCCAUGGAGUUUUCCUUGUUGGGACAAUACGAAGACCUCACCUAGAUGAGAUCUUCUUAAGGAUAUUAUUGUCCGACGAGUCUUCGUCACGACAGUGACGUUCUCAAGAAAUAUCUGUGACUCUAGGAACCUACCAACUGUAGAGCCUACCCCUGGGGUUACAUUAUUCAGAGAUACUCGUCAUUCACCCGUUAUUCUGAUUCAUCUGAGAACACCUUGAACUUGUGAUCCUAAACAUGUCACUACAUUCAUACACAUAUCAUUGCAUUUGCAUUCAUCAUCAUACAUUUCAUAUCAUUUUUCACACAAAAAAAACCAAAAAAACUCAUUAAUCCUUCGUCCAUAACCUGCAGUUGAUUUCCCGACACUCAUAUCAGACUUGAAGUAGCUCUUGAAAGAUCAUGGAUCCGUUGUAGCAAGUUCACAUUGCAUUAAGAGGAGAUGUUAACUCGAUGAAAAACCAGAUAAACCAACUUGUGGAGGCUAUGAUAGCUUUAGAAAAGAGGGAGGACAACAUUCAGCAGACUGCAGUCAUAGAGAAUGUUAUUCCAGCUCUAGUAAAUGGUCCUACCCAACCUCAGCUUGUGCGAACCCCAGUUAAUAACUCUAUUGUACAAGAACGUUAUUUUGUUCAAGAUUCCUCACGUCAUGAUGUUGUUGAGUAUCAUAGUUUUGCAUUCUCCAUGCCAGAUUCCCAUGGAACAAGCCUAGUGGUUAAUGUUGAGUAACUACAAGAUGAUGAGAUUGCUAAAAGAUGUUGCGUGCUAGAGAAAAGACUCAAGGCCAUAGAAGGACAAAAUACUCUUGAACUGAAUGCUUUAGACAUGUGUUUGGUACCUGGCCUGGUUAUACCCGCAAAAUUCAAAGCACCAUAAUUUGAGAAGUACAAAGGGGAUGGCUGUCCAAAGCACCAUUUGGUGAUGUUUUGUCGAAAAAUGACCUCUUAUGCCCACAAUGAUAAGUUGAUGAUUCACUGUUUCCAGGAUAGUUUGACUGGGGCAUCAUUAAGUUGGUACAUGAAGUUAGAAAGGAAUCAUGUUCAAUCAUGGUUGGACCUAGCUAACGCAUUCUUAAAGCAAUACAAAUAUAAUAUGGACAUAACUCCCGAUCGCAUGCAGCUAAGAGCCUUAUCUCAGGAAGACAAUGAAUCCUUCAGAGGGUAUGCCCAAAGACGGAGAAAGUUAGCGGCUUGCGUUGAGCCACUACUCUUAGACAAAGAACUAAUGGAAUUAUUCAGGGACACCCUGCAAAGUCCAUACUUCGAAAGGAUGAUUAGCAGUGCAGCAUCAGACUUCGCUAACUUAGUGACAAUUGGAGAACGCAUCGAGAGUGCCCUAAAAAAUGGAAGAAUCCAAGGUGCCUGGAGCAACCAAGCUAGCGAGACAGAAUCCCUCAGCGAUUCCCAAAAGGAAGAGGAUAAUGAAAUAAAUGCAGUCAUGGUAGAUGUUGGGUAUUCUCACGAUGCACCAGCCAGACCUUAUGGUUCUUCACCUUCUCAACAAUCACCAUUUCCAACACCACGUUAUCCUUAUAAGCAACCGACAAGGCCUAGAGCACCAUUCAAGCAACCAUGGACUAUUCCUCAUACAAAUCAAAGAUCUCGUGGUCAAGGAUAUCAGAAUCAGCAUCUGAACCAGCAUAAGCCUCAAAACAAUCUGGAAAGAAAGAAUGCUCCUCUCGAUCCAAUUCCUAUGUCAUACAGUCAACUUCUGCCAUAUCUGAUUCAAAGCUCGCUGGUGGAGCCUAAGUCUCUCAGGCCAUUGCCAGAACCAUACCUACCUGGAUAUGAUCCUGAUGUGCAAUGUGGAUAUCAUGCCGGAACAAUAGGGCAUUCAACUGAAGACUGCAAUGCUUUCAAGGCUAAAGUGCAACAAUUGAUCGACAAAAGGUACAUAUCAUUUUCAGAAGGAAGCCUGUUGGUGCACAUUCAUCUCUCGUCAGAAUAAGUUCAAAGAUUUCAUAGAGUAUCUCCUAAUGCCAGUAGUUCAGACAGGAAGACAUCCUCAACACUGGCAAUCGUUGGACUGAUUUGUUUCUAUUUUUGCAUUUGUAGUUUCUAUAGAGUAUCUCCUAAUGCCAGUAGUUCAGACAGGAAGACAUCCUCAACACUGGCAAUCGUUGGACUGAUUUGUUUCUAUUUUUGCAUUUGUAGUUUCUUUGUUGUUAAAAGCUGCUUGUGUUUAAACGUUGUUGUUUUUAAUGGUAAUAUUGAUGAAGUAAUGAUGCAUGUUUUGAAUUAAUUAUCUCGCAUUCGCUCAUUUUUCUUCUUUUAUAUCAAAAAUAAAAAAAAUACAUCAGUGUUUCUCCCAUUCACUUUUCUUUAUCAUAACUUUUGUUUUAGCAAAGAUUUGAGAGAGGAUGACGAAAACAAAAUACCCAUAAUUGCUGACUAUAUGCUUUUGGAUAAAAUCCUGCUGAUGAUGUACAAACAUUGUUUCAAAUUCACAAACACUUGAGAGAUAAGGAGUUAAUCCCUAGUCAACCACUUUGAGCCUAGAAGUAGGAGUUUCUUUCGGAUCUAAAAAACCUUACAUUAAACCUGGGGCAGGGUAGUGUUCAGUUAAUCUGACUACACAUUCAAAUUAUAAGACGAAGCAUCCCAUUUGUAGAUCAACCACAUGAUAUUAUUUGCACAUAUCCCGAAGCAUAGAAGGAACCAGGAAAAAUCCAAAGGUUAUGUUGGAUUGUUCUUCAAAUGACCAAUGACUUGGCAGUCACAAUUCUAAAAAAUAAAAUAAAAAAACUCGCUAAGUCAAACAUCCAAAGAUACGACUUAAGCAAAAAAUAAGAGCAAUCCCGAUGGACUAAGGCUUCAAAAAGCGGUCCAUGCAAAAGUUAGGGAUCAAAAAAAAAUCAAAGGAGGUCACGAAAACCCUCAACAAAAUGAAAACAAGAUUUAGUGACCACCAUAUCAAGAAUCAAAGGGUCACCAAUAUCCAUGAAGAGCAAAAUAAAGUGUCUGCCAUUUCAAAAAGAUCUUACACUGCUAAAAUCUCGUAAGAGUAAGUGUGUGUCUAAUUAAUUGAACGUAGGAUUGGAGAUCAUCAUGAAGAAGGGGUGGGUUAAAAAAACUUUGAGCCUUAUAUCCUUUUGUUGCAAUAACCAUGAACCAAGCCAUGUUACAACCUUUAAAAGACCUAAUUGAAGCAGGGUUUAUUCUGAAAGCAUACUACAACAAGGUUGCGUAAACUGACUCCUAAAAAUUUGCUAAUCUUUUACUUUAGUACAAUCUUCUUGUUGUAUCCUUCGCAUUGUUAAAUCAUCAUUGCGUUUGGAUUAAAAUGGUUCAUUCACCACACACUAUCACAUCAUUUCAAUAAUAAUUCUUUUCAAAACCUGCAUGAGUAUUGCAUUAAAAUUACCAUUUCUGAAUAAACAAUUUUAACUGCAAGUCAGUACUUGACGUUAGGGAAAUUUCAACAAAGAGCAAUCAGAGAAGCUUGACCAUUUAUCAGAAUCAAGACUACCUCCGAACCUAGGAAUAUGGGGCAUGCCACCUAAACAUCAGUUGUUCAUAGGAAGAUUACUCCAAGAAUUGGUCAGUCUUAAACAGUCUCCAACAUUUGUUCAUAAAUGUGCAAAUCAUUUCAAGAAUCAGUUGAUCCAGAGCAAAUCAUCUCGGGACUCUAUUAACUAGGGGCAGAUCACCUAGAGGUUCUGGUAGCCAGGGGCAGACCCCUUCAAUGUUCAGUCAAGGUGAGUUAAGUCGCUUUAACGCUCAUACUGGGGCAAGCUACCUCAAAAGUAUAGAAAAGUAAACCACUCCGAGAGUCGGUUAAUCAAGGAAAAAUAUUUUCAUGACUUUAAAUUUUGGGGCAAGCUGUCUCCAAAUUAUGGUACAAUUGCUUUCAAAAUCCUUUCGAGGUAAACAUUUUGCAUAGACCCAUCACAUUGGGGCAAGAUAAGCCAUACAAGAGCGAGUCCUCUCCAUGUUUCAAGCAGUUCAAGCAAAAGCUUUUUCGCAAGUCAGCAAAUGCAGAGUUCAAGAUGAGUGUCGGGGAAUCAUGUUAUCAUCCCAUGAAACAACCAUCUGGAAGACAGAAGCCUUUUUGCAAAGAACCUUCUCUUCCAAUACCCACGCAGGGGCAUUUUGAAAACCUGCAAAUCAUUACAUAAAUCAUCCUCAUGCAUUAGUCAUGUCACUUUGCUCUAAGAUAAAACCAUGCAUAUCGUAAAACUCAUCAGGUCUAACCCCAUAACAUGAACCUGGCAUCAAAAAGCCUUGAAACACAAAAUCUGACACCAAAGCCCAACAUCGCUUGGCCAUUUCAAAGUCCAGUUCUCGUCUGGCAACUUAUUUCAAAGCCUAGUUCCCGUCUGGAAAACCUUUUUCAAAAAAACCAGUUCCCGUCUGGCAAUUUAUUUCAAAGCCUAGUUCUUGUAUGACAAACCUUUUUCAAAAAAAACCAGUUCCCGUCUGGCAAUUUAUUUCAAAGCCCAGUUCCCGUCUGGCAAAUUAUUUCGAAGUCCGGUUCUCGUCUGGCAACUUAUUCCAAAGUCCAGUUCUCGUCUGGCAAACUAUAUCAAAAAUCAGUUCUUGUACGACAAAUCAUGUGCCAAAUACCAGUUCUCGUUAGGUAAACUAUCUCUUAAUACCAGUUCUCGUCUGGUAGGUCACCUAUUUCAAUACCAGUUCUUGUAUGGUAGUAAAUUAUUUUCACCAGUUCUCGUCUGGUAGCCUACUUUAAAAAUCAGUUCCUGUUUGAUAAACAAAAACAAAUCCAGUCCCGUCUGACAUUUCAAUUAUUUUCUCCAGUUCGCGUCUGGUAACAUAUCCUUCAAGUGAUGUCCUCAUCUGUCAGUUCAAUCUCCUUCACCAGUUCUCAUCUGGCAGUUCCCAUUUAAAGUCCAACCUCAUUGGCAAUCAAGAAUUAAACCCUACAAAAACAUUCAAUUACCCAGUUGCAUUCCCACAUGCAUCACACGAAUCAUCCAUACAUGGUUUUCCUACCAAACAAAAAAUUAAAAAACACAGUCAUAUCAAUCAUCAGCAUACUCAUGCAUAAUACUUCCCCAAAACAAAAAUUUCAAUAAAAUAAAAAUCAUUCGCAUUCCUUCAUGCACAGCCAAAUAUCCCCAACAAUUGCAUCCCUUCAUACGUAUCAUGCAUCAUCACAUGCAUAGUACUGCCACUCAAAGUGGGACAUCAUACAAAAAUCACACAAAAAUAUCAAGAUCCAAGGUCAUUCAUGUGUAUCUUGUGCAUUUCUCAUUUCCAAAUAAAGUUAUUACCCUGCAUGUGCUCGUGGAAUCAUUUUCUCAGCAAACCAUUUUUCAACUCUAUAAUUAAUAAUGGUAUUCCCAGCAUUUUCUUUGCAAUCAUUGCUCCCCAAGCGGAGGUUACCCUAAAAAGUCUCCUAUGAGCUUUUCCCCUACAGAGCAUUUCCAGUAUGUCUCCCUCAAAAGGAGUCUUUUCUUAAAAUUCCCCCAACAGACGAAUAUUCAAGAUACUGCUUCAUUUAUCUGAAGAAUCUAAUUUCUCUGUUUGAGAUAUUGCUUCAUCAAUAUGAAGAGUCUCAUUUCAGAUUCUUUUAAAGAUACUGCUCUAAUAUCGUCGGAGAGUCUUAGAUUCAAUUAAGGUAUCUUUCCCUUUUUGGAAUAUCUUAAUUCUAUCAUAUAAGAUGCUGCUUUGACUCGAUAUAGAGAAUCUCAUUUUUACUGUUUGAGAUGUUGCUGCAUCAAUAUGAAGAGUCUCAUUCCAGAUUCUUCUAGAGAUACUGCUCUAAUAUCCUCUGAGAGUCUUAGAUUCGGUUAAGGUAUUUUUCCCUUGCUGGAAUAUCUUAAUUCUAUCAUAUAAGAAGCUGCUUCGACUCGAUACAGAGAAUCUCAUUUUUACUGUUUGAGAUACUGCUUCAUUCAUCCGAAGAAUCUCAUUUGUCUGUUUGAGAUACUGAUUCAUUCAUUUGAAGAAUCUCAUUUGUUUUCAAGAUACUGCUCUAGUAUCCUCGGAGAAUCUUAGAUACUAUUGAGGUAUCAUUCCCUUGUUGGAAUAUCUCGAUGAUAUCAUGUAAGAAACUGCUCUGUUUGAUCCCCAGAGAAUAUCAUGUUUUCUGUUCAAAACAAUGUUCUGCUAAUUUUCAAAAAGUCUUAGAUGCCAUGGAAGUAUCGUUCUAUUGUCGGAAUAUCUCUAUCAUGGCAUCCAAGAUGUUGCUCUGAUAAUUCCCGGAGAGUCUUGAUUGUUUUAUUUUACCUUCCGAUAACCUUUUCUUACUAUAUUUCUCACUGCAUUUUUAUUUUCGCAUUUCUUCCUUACAUUUCAAAGGACAAAAUUCGAGUCUUUCAAGUAUUUAAUUAUCUUCCACCGUGAAUGUACGAAGACUGUUGUCAUUCGUAAUUUCUGGUUCAAGGUAACUAAAUAGGGGCAGCUGUCAUACCCCAAUUUUGUCCCUAUCCCGAUACAAUUUUCAUCUGAUCCAUGACCCUACUACACAUGCGUACAUUCAUUAUUUCAAAAAAAAAAUUGGGUAACCGAUUACCCAGACCAAAAACUGAUUUUUUGGCCAUUUUGGGAAUGUGUAAUCGAUUACCCUAAUCAGGGUAACCGUUUACACCUGCGCAGACAGCGGAAAUAGCUCUGUUUUUUACACAGAGGACCCUUUGGAUCACCCACUUCAACACCUUUGCUUCCCGUAUAAAUAGAGCAUUAUCCCCACUCAUUUUUCAAGCUUGAAAGCCAUAAAACCUCUGCCCGAAUCACCUUCAAGCUCCCUCUUUUCAACCUAAACCCUAACUCACCCAAACCCUCUUUUCUUCUUUGAACCACCCAACCACCAUGUAAAAAUCCACCAUUUCCAUACAACAACAACAGUAACAAACUUCUAACCUUCACUCACAUAAUUAUUCACCACCACCACAUAAACAUACAACAUCCUUCUCUUCCCUUUUUCUAUCAUAACAACCAUAACCACCCUCUUCCAAGCUUUUUGCUUCAUUCUCAAACCCAAACACAACAAUAACCUAGUUUCGACACCACACUCUUGGUAAUAUUUUGGACUCAAACUCCUUAACAUUUUUUUGGUUUUAUUUUAUGUUUGAAAAUGAGUUUUUACUCUUGGGUUGUGUUUUGAGAGAGAUUUUAGUCAAUUUUGAGACAAGUGUUUUUUUGUUAGGUUUACACCAUUUUGGGGAUUUUUUGCUCUUACUACUUUUUAUCCACCAUUUUCAAUCAAACUUGUUUCUUGUUAUCAUUUAAUAUUUAUUGUUGACUUGUUUUUCACAUUUAUUUGGUUGAUAAGUUCAAUUAGAUCAUGACCAUGGUUGUUUAGAGUUGAUUAAAUCUUCAAUACUUCAAACCUAUUAAUGGUUGAUCAAUAGAUCAUUCAUGAUACUUUGAGGCAUUGAUAGAUUGCCUCUACUUUAACCAUAUUUGGAUCAUUUGAUACAUAGAUGAAACCAUUUCAUAAACCUUGUUUCUUGUUAUCAUUUAAUAUUUAUUGUUGACUUGUUGUUAUAUUUAUUUGGUUGAUGAGUUCUAUUAGAUCAUGGCAUGGUUGUUUAGAGUUGAUUAAAUCUUCAAUGUUUCAAACCUAUUAGUGGUUGAUCAAUAGAUCAUUCAUGAUACUUUCAGGCAUUGAUAGAUUGCCUCUAUUUCACCCAUAUUUGAGUCAUUUGAUGCAUAUAUGAAACCAUAUUCUCUAUAUUAACUUGCUAAUCCAUUUGCUUAUUGUUAUUCUACUAACUACUAACUACUAACAUUUAUUUUAGUGCUUUUUAACUCCUUGCAAUUUAUUUUAUUGUUACUAACCAUUAACUACUAACUUCUAACAUUUACAUUCUUGCACUUUACUUCCUUUCAAUUUAUUUUAUUGUUCAUUUACAUUCACUAACCAUUAUUAUUGUGAUAUUACCAUUCUUUAUCUUGUGAUUUACUUUUAUGUCAUUACCUUGUAAUUUACAUUCAAGUACUCAUUAUCAUCAUCAUUGUACAAACUUCAUUGCAUGUUUAUUUACUUGUUAUUUAUUUUAUUGUCAUCAUACAUUAAAAACAACAAAAACAUGAUAAAUUAUUAAGACCAAAAAUAUUCACUCCAAUGUUAAUCAACUAUGACUUAGAGGAUUUCAUCUUAGGACCUUUGCUUGAAGGCUUUCCUUUACUCUUUGUGAUACUUUGUAAAUGUUGGAUUUUCAUCUGUAACUUACAUGCAUGUUGUAAGAAUGGCAUCAUGGCACCACCUUAGGGGGACAUGUUUGUAAGAACCAUUAUCCUUUGUUUUAGCUUAGGUCACUUUUAGCACACAAAAGGCUUUCUCUUGGGCUACCUUACAAUGAGACUCUUUUAUUUCUUGUUGGUUAUUUUGCAUUCACGUUGCAUAAGCUAAAUUCAUAAGCAAACUCAUUUUGAGACCACUUUCAAAUUCAAUUCAUAUGCACAUGUAAAUACAAACCUCGGUCAAUAUCGAGUGCGCCUUUUCAAAUCAAUUGAAAACACCCUUGUAAGUCGAUCGCUUUUAAAGCAUCGCCAUCAACCUCACAUAGCUUACUCUUGGGCUUUCUUACAAUGAGACCUAUUCGAUUUUUAUCGAGUAGAAGAGCAAUACACUAAAUAAAUUCACUUCAUUCAAAACACAAAUCUAAAACCUCAAUCCAAUGUCGAGUAUUUUCUAUCAAACUCAAUUGAAAUACCCCUAUUAAAUCAAAAUAAGCUAAAUGAAAAGGGAGUCAACUUUGAGUUUUCAACUUCACUCCUCAAUUGGACGAAUACGAGUUUUCUUACUCGGUCGGUCGAGCAAUUGUCAUUUUCCUCUAACAUACAACUUAAUCAAAUCAUUUCCUUAAAAAAACUAUACGAAAAAGGAGAUGGUUUUGAGCUUUCAAUUUCUCUUCUCAAAUGCUUGGAUAUGAGUUGUCUUACUCAGUCAUUCGAGUAUUUGUCGUUAAUGCUAAAAUACGUCAAUCUUAUACAACCUUAUUUUCAUAAAUACUCGGAUGAAACAUAGAGCGCUUUAGAGUCUUUUAUUCCCUUUCUCGGUUAUUAAGAUACGAGUUGUCUUACUCGAUUAUCCGAGUAAUCGUCAUCCAACCAAAAACAUCUUAACCAAUCAAAACAUCCAACAUAUUAAUCCAACUUGUCGCCCCCCGUGUGACCAAAACUCUUUUAAGAAAGAACACUGUUAAUCCUUUCUAAUGCGCACAACAAACCAAUGCUUAAGCCUCCGCCGAGAGUAGACAAGCCAGCGUUUAGCCUUUAGAACGCGAUUUAAAACAGUUGUUCACUAAAAGACACCAACCAACCGUAGUUUCCCGAACUACGAAUGCUCUGACUUCCUUAUUGCACCAUAAGGAUACGUAGGUAGGAGAUUGAUGUAUCUUCGCGAGCACACUAAUAAAAAACCUCCCUUUUCCCCUUUUUAUGAGGUUCUCAUCCAUUUUUAUUUUCAAUAUUUUAUAACCCAAAGAUAACAAGCAAACAUACAUUAACACUCGAAACGCACAUUAGAACUAAAAGGUUCCCGUUGAGUACAACGGACGUAAGGGGUGCUAAUACCUUCCCCUUACGUAAUUCACUCCCGAACCCGAAUAUGGUUGCGACGACCAUUAUUCCAUCUUUCAAAGGUUUUAUCGAUAUUUUCCUAUUCCUUCAUUGGGAUAAAUAAAGUUCGGUGGCGACUCUGUUCGAACACUAAAUUUUUCCGUGACCAUCGCGAGGAAUCGUAUUUUUCGAGAUGCGACACCAGAGUAUCAAUAACCAUGCUUCCAUGCAUAACAAAUAUUUCAAGAUUCAAUCUCUUAGCACAAUCCAAAGAAAUAAAAGAACGCGUCGCACCAGUAUCAAUAAUAGCAAUCAAAGGCAUAUUAUUAAUAAAGCACGUACCUCGAAUCAAUCUCUCCUCAGCAGAAGUAUCAACCUCGGACAAUGAAAACACUUUCCCUUUGGUUUGCUCCUUCUUCGGCUUGUUGCACUUGGUACUAAUAUGCCCUUGCUCACCACAGUUGUAGCAAGUCACAUUCGAACCAACUCUACAAUCAAAAGAUUUGUGACCUUGCUUGCCACACUUGAAAUAAGUCACAUCACCCUUAGAACACUCGGGAGCACGAUGUCCCUUAACACCACAUCUGAAGCACUUGACAGGAGUGUGAGAUCCUCCCCCACUCGGCUUCUUGCCAUUACCAACUUUCUUCUUACCAUCAUACGGCUUCCCUCGGAAUUUCCCUUUUCCUUUCUUAUCAUGCAAGGACUUGUAAUGAGCAGCACUCUCACGACUAUCCUCAUCAGAGAUCCUACUCUUGUGAACCAACUUAGAAAAUCUUGUAAUCUGUUGGUAACCCAUUGCCUUCUUGAUAUCAGGUCUCAACCCAUUCACCAACUUAAGACACUUGGAUCUCUCAACAUUAGCAGUAUUUUAAUGGGGACAAAAUUUGCUCAACUCCUCAAACUUUGCAGCAUACUCGGCUAUGGUAUCAUUAGCUUGCUUCAACUCAAGGAAUUCAAUUUCCUUCUUUCCACAAACAUCUUAUGGAAAAUACUUCUCUAGAAAAGCAUCACGGAAAAGUGCCCAAGUCACUUCAAUGCCAUCCUCAUCAAAUCUCUGAAAAUUGUUGUGCCACCAAUCCUCAGCUUCUUUCUCAAGCAUAUGAUGCCAAACUAAACCUUCUACGCAUCUGAACAGUUCAUAACUCGAAAGAUUUUCUCAAUAGCCUUCAACCACUCUUGAGCUUUGUCAGGUUCAUGAGCUCCUUCAAAAGUUGGCGGAUUAUUUCUAUGGAACUUCCCCAAAGCACCGAACUUAUCAGCAUCACGCUCCUGAUCAUCAACAUUCAUUUGCGGAAUGACACCAGUCAACAGGGUCAAUGUCGUCGCAAGCGCAUCAUCAUUCCUUCCAGCAACCAUUUUUCUGCUACACCAACCAAACAACCACAAAAACAAGGAUUGUUAAAUAAACUGUAUUGAUUGUGUCAUACACACAAAUUAGAUACAACAAAAUCAAACAAAUUCAUAACCUGGCCGAAUGACCGACCGUGCUCUGAUACCACUAAUGUAACACCCCCCAAACUUCUACUACUCAAAUACAUCAUACAAUUGCAUAAUCAGAGUAAAUUAAAGCAUGUAUACACGAGGGCAUCACAUUUACUUCUGCCAGAAACAACACAUGCCAUGGUCACAUACAAGUAACACGAAUUAUAAAUCAAAAUCAAAUAACCAACAUACAAACUCACACAGCGGAAUAACAUCUCUCUUCAUAAAUGGUAAAUAAUGAUGAUUCCCAUAAAUCAUCUACCACAAAAUAUCAUUUUGGGCUCUAAGGCCACUCAACAUCAAAACCAACAUAUCCAAAUAACAAGAUAAAAGAGAGCACACCAAUAUCUCUCAACAUCAAAACAAAUACAAAUAAUCCCAUAAACCCGAGUGUUACAUGACCAGAUCACUAUAGAAUACCUAGUCAAAACACAACAAGAACCAGCCUCUGAAUCUAAUCCUUGUGUAUACCAUCCUUCGACCUGAAAUCAUUAUGGACCCUAGAUGUAGAGUCGAGUGCCUUAUUGCUGAUCAAACAUUGUCCGUAACUGGAUGACCAUAAAGACAGUUGAUGGGUACUCCACGAAGCAUGUUGAGGGACAUGAGUGACCUAGAUGAAAUUUUCCCAUCCUACGUGACAGGAUAAUUGUCUAAGUGCCCAAUAUUGAACUGGACAAGGAUGACACGGUCAAUGCCUUGUGUUCAAUAUAAACAUAAGGGUAAAAGGGUAAUUGUACACCAUAAGUAUUAUCACAAAAAGGAUUUGUCAGAUCAUAUGACAUUUUCGUGUCUUGGGUAGCAGUGAUGUGUUGCUAGAUACCGCUCACUGUUUAUUAUGUUAAAUACGUGAUUUAAUAUAAUACCAAUGUCGCGAGAACCUACAGGGUCACACACAAAAUGACAGAUUGAUGAGAGAUAGAGUAAAUAAGGAACACUGUAAGGUAGGGUGCACUUAAGUGAAUUGUAGAACAUCGUAAGGUAUGAUGCACUUAAGUAGAAUACGAAAUAUGGUAAGGUACCACAUGAUUAAGUGAUUUUGGUAUAUCAUAAAAUAUGGGCCACAUACACUUAAUGGGCUUUUUAGCUUAUAGCCCACACAAGUGGUUCUAUAAAUAGAACCCUUGUGCAUAAGCAUUUGUUCAUAUGAAAUUUCGUUAGAGAGAGAGAGAGAGAGACUCAAAGCCUUCACUCGUAGCAGCUAGCACUGAGAUUGAAGGAAUCCGUUCGUGUGGACUGAGUAGAGGCGUUGUUACCAUUCAACGUUCGUUCUCACUCCUUCUAUCUGCAUCAAAGGUCUCAAUCGCCACAAGAGGUAACGAUUCUAUCACUGAUCAUACCCAUUCGUAAGGAUCAUUAAAGGAGAAAUGUUAAAUUCCGCUGCAUUUUGGAUCGCGAUUCUUUUUUAGAAAAUGCAUAUUUUUCUAUGCGAUGGUGUUGAAAUUCAUUGUAAUGUUUAUGUGGUGGUGUGACAUAACCUUAAAUACAUUGUUGUUGCUUGUUAUGUUGUAUGUUGAUGUUGUUGAGCUGUAUAACAUGUGUUUGAUGCAUGAUGACCAGUAUUGGCGGUGUACAUUGAAUAUGGUGGUGAGUCAUUGUGCAUGAUGUUGCUGUUGCAUGUAUAAUAUGUUGCAUGCAUUCAUGUUGUUGGACAAAUGAUCCAUUGUUGGUGAGCCUCAAAUCCCAUUAUAUGGUUUAGGCCGGUAGCUGAUUUUGGAGGUGAUGGAAUCAAUGAUUUGUUAUCGAAGAUGAUGGUAAUGAAUUGGCGGCUUUAAUCCUAGGUGGUGAGGAUCAAAUGGGUGAACCUGAGUGUUCACGUGUUGGUACCACAUGCAUUGAGUCAAGUUGUUGAGUCUCAUUGCAUUGUACAUUGAUUGUAUUUGUUAUUAUGUUGGAUGGUUGGUUAUGUUGUUACUAUGUCUGAUGGUUGUUAUGUUGUUGUUAUGUUAGAUGGCUGUUAUGUUAUGUAUGGAUAGUUGUGAUGUUACUAUUAUGUGUGGAUAGCUGUUGUGUGGAUUAUGUGGAAUUGUGUUGUGGAAUAGGUGAUGUGCAUGUGAUAAUCUGAUGCUUACUUAUUAUCCUGCUUUCCUUUAUAUAAAUAUGAUAUCUCACCCCUUCUGUUUGAAUGUUGCCUCCACGUGGGUAACGUGAAUAUAAUCCACAGUAGGAGCUCAAAUGUGAGUGGAAGAUGAAGUCUUCCAUUUUAUUUUAGUGUACUCUGAUGUGUAACACGGGGGAAUUUGGAAUGUUGUGUCUUUUGUUAUGUUUUAACAUUUUUUUUAUAAUGACAUGUUAUAUUGAUGUUGGAUAUGUGACAUAACUGUUUCUUAUUGUUGUUCCACUGCUAUUUAAUAAAAGUUAAUGUUCAGACAUGUAGUAAUUACUACUACUUUUAUAACUAUCAAGUGUUACAUGUCUUUUCGAUUGGGCAUGUUGAGUGUAUGUUGUAGCGUAAUAUCCUAAAUUAUAUGUUGAAUUGUUUUACUCUGAUAAAUAUUUUAAAUUUACACGGGGAAAAUUUAGGGUGUUACAUUCCCCUUUAUUGAUCACCUAAUUACUUAGUUAUCUGACAAAUCUGAGUUUUGAGAUUUUUAAUUGACGCAAUAGUGUUCUUUUGGUUUGAUAAAGACAACUGCAUAAAUUGCUUUAGAAUAUCCUCCAAUUUUAAAAUUUUGUCUUGCUAAGGAAAAUUCUAGUUGAAAUUCGAGUACAAAUGUUGUCAGUUGAAUGGUCAUGCAUCUUGUCUCCAUCCUUGAUUGUAAUUUGAGUUGUUUCUCCUUUGAAAAUUGUUGUUAUGUUGAUAUUGUCCUUAUCUUUGUUGGUUUCCAAAAAAAUCACCUCUUCAUCUGACUAAGGACAAUAACAUGUGAGAUGAUCUCCGGUGCAAAACUUAUAAUAAUAAUUUUUCUUGUGUUUAAGCACCUCUUGCAUUUCUUUGAGUUGGUGUGGAAGUUUUGAAAGUUGCUUAGUUAGUUAAAAAUAAUUACGGUUAUACACAAAUAUGAAUAAUUUUACAAAAUACUUAAAAUGAUACAAAAGUAUUGUUAUGCUUAUAAUAUCUAAAUGUCAAUCGCUGACAACGUCACCAAUUUAUUGAAAGAACAAAAGUAAGUAUUUUUGUGUUAUCGUAUCCCCGAUUUUAAGGAAAUAUUUUGAUUUUUUUUUUGUUUAUUGAACUAAUUUAUGCUUGAAAGUGUUUUUAUUUUAAUGGUUUUAAGCUUGAACAUAUAUAUUUUUAUUAUAAACACAAAAAUAUCAAUUAUCCUAAACAAUGGACCUUAAUCAAAAAGUGUAAUAAUUCAGAGCUUCAAAUAAAUUUUAUAUUCUUAGGAUCAUAUGUGCAUAAUUUUAUAUCUCUUAAAAUUAAAAUAUAUACACACUAAAAAAGUAGUUUUCUAAAGCUAUUUAUUUCAAAACUAAAGAAAACGUUUUUGAAAAGGGAAAGCAUUAUUUUUUACUUGAAUUAUUUAUUACACUUGUGUGUAAUCAAAUACGAAGUGUGCUUCAGUCACAAUUCAUAAAUAUGGUCUCAUAAUCGAUUAUGAUUCAUAACACAAUCAAGUAUGCACCUUUUUUUAUAGUUGAGUAAUUGAUUACGAUUCUUAGACAAUUAAGUAUGAUACAUAUCACACCAAAUAUUUCCUUUUUCAAUGUCAAAUAAUUGAUCAUGGCAUAUUAGUAAUCAAUUAUAUGCCUUAAACAUAUCAUUUUCAUUGUUUCCAUUUAUACAGGAAUUUAUGGAACCUCAACUACAUAUAAGACUCUGGGGACUGUUUGCAAAUCACACGUUGACUGAAUAUUUUACAAACAAACUUAUAUUCUGGGGUGAGGUGAAUGUUAUUAAUCUUGUAUGAUUCUUGAAGAGCCAAAUGGCUAUGUGUUGAGGUAAGUUAUCAAAAUCCACAUGGCUACCAACCUUAGAUCACACAUGAGUCCAAAAGUUGAUGCUACCACCAUUGUCAAUGAUCCAACUAUAUUUGACAACAGAGUUUGGAACUGAGGCCUAAUCCCACUCCAAAUGGAAGAGUAGAUAUGAUACUUAAUGCAUGAGUUUCUUCUAAUGACCCAGAAACAACCCAAUGAUUGUUGGAGUUGAACAUUUUACAACCAAGUUUAGAUAUGUGAGAGAUCUCAAACCAAUACCCCUAUCAGAGAUGGGAGAACAAUUAUUUACAAGCAAAUGUUACCAAUUUUUUUGUUGUGCAAGUCAUCACUCCAAGCAAAUUUUCUAAACAUUGUUUCAAUUUCCUUAAAAAAGAGGCUUAGGCUAAGCUACCUCUUCCAUUGUCCUUCGCAGAUAUGUCAAUGCGAUAUUUGCGGACCACCAUGAUUAUUUGCUGCCUUAGGAUGUAUGGAAUGUGCCAACUCCCAUUUCAUGGAGUGCAGUACACACAGUUGCAUCCAAUAGUUUUUAUAGCGUGUCUCAUUCUUAUAUGAAAUUAGAUGCAUUAGAUGCGGAGAUCUCCUUAUUUUUGUGAAUGUAUCAAGUGUGAGUAGUAUGAAUAAUAGUCUCAAAUUGGUUGGAAAUAUGGAGAUUUAAGCAUUUAUAAGUGAGAGAACCCACUCACAUAUCACCUUAAAGUUUUAGGUGAAUAUGUGGCGUGUCUAUCACAAAGGUUUUGUUCUAAAAAGAAGAAGUCCAAUAAUGUUCAAUACUCCCUAUUGAAAAAUUCCCCCAACACUUAUGCCAACUCAUUAGGAGAUGUUAAAGGAGAAACAAGUGAGAACAGAUCAUGUUAUGGAUGUAUGUCGAUAUGCCACUGUAUAGUUAUUAUUGGGAGAGAGACCAUAACUAUGAUCGAGUUUCAGAAAGACACCUUUCCGAAAAUGACUCUAUAAACAAUCUUAACAGAGGCACGACAUACAUUGAGGCAACGGAGGAACAUCAGAGAUUUUUUUUUUGUAUUUUAUGAACACUGAAAUAUGAUUUACCAACAAUUUGUUCGACCUUCCAUCUUAUUAAUCUUAUUAAUGAAUGACUCAUAUGUAUGGCCUAUUAUAGAUAUUAUUUAAAAAUGAUUUAUAAUAUAUUAUAAUGUAUUAUUUGUUAAUGUUGAAAAGUUCUUCAAAAUUACUGUUAAGGGAUGUAGAUAGUAUCUUGAAGUUUGUUCAGAAUUUCAAAUUCGAACUCACCCCAUUUUUAACCAUCGGAUCCAAACCAACAUAAUGGGAUUAUCCGAAAAUUGAAAUCCAUAUUUUAAUACAAAUAUAUUUAGAGAUUACUGUAUAUUUAGCAAAUAUAGAGUGUCUUUUUGAUGAAGUAAUUUUAUUAUAAAAUAAAUACGUGUCAAAUAUAGAGGGUAAGUAAUUUUAUUAUAAAAUAAAUAUAUUAUAAUUUUUUAACACUAGGAAGAUUUUUUUAUUUUUUAAUUUCAAAAAAAUCUCUGAGCAAUACACGCCUCUAAAAGAAAUGUCAUAUUUAUUUUUAUAAACAAUAAAUUGAAUUAUGAGAGGCACAAGAGUCCACAACCCAUAAAAGAAUUUUUGUCAUAUUGUAUUCAAGCUCAUACGACAUUAAUUUGGUCCUAACUAAUGCAUUUCCAUUUUGUUUCAAAAACAAAAACAACUAAAGUAUAGUACUACGUAAUAUUUUGACCUUUGGCCUUAAAAUCAAAAUUGAAUUGCAAUACAGUAUUAGUGGAACAUCGAAGAUGAUAUUUCAAACGAAAGCUUUUCUCAGUCAUUGAACUAUUGAAGUAUUCUUUUGACUUUUCAUCUAAUUGCACCGUGGUUUUAUUACGUAUUCGAAUUAUAAAGUAUACAAAUUUAUUUGUCUAAAUUACAAAUAACUCAAAUAUUAAAUAGUAACAUACUAUCAUUUACUAUUAAUUAUUAUCAAACAUCUUGUUAAUUCCAUGGUUUAAAGGAAACCCUUUCCCUUGCAACACUCAAUUGUAUCCUCAAACAUUUCUUCAAUGCUAUACUUGAACUCAAAUCCAGCAUCCAUGAUUUUCUUUGAGGUUAAAUGUGGAAGCAUAGGACCUUUAGCUCCCAUAAGCACUCUAUAGUAGAAGAAAAUAAAUUGAAUAAAAAUAUUAGUAACAUUAAAACAAAUAUCACAUAAAUAUUAGUAAAGUUAUUUACAUUGAGAAGGACAAUUAAAUAAAUAAAAAAACUCACUUGGAUUUUGGAAUUUGAAAUUCAGGGUAUUUUGAAGAAAUAAUGUCAAUUAUUUCAUCAUAAGUUGCAAUGAAUGGUGAACAAUUAAAUCUCCCUUUUGGAUUAGGAUGUUCAAGUAAGAAUAUAUGUGCUCGUGCCACGUCAUCAACAUGCACCAUAUGCAUACGAGAUGCCAUCAAUUUCUUCUCAAUAUCACCUGAAUUCAACUUUCAUUUAUUAAUUUUCUUUAAUUCGAAUUUUGAAUAUUCAAUAUAUUGGCAUGUAUGUUGCGUAUUCCACGCAUUGGGAGAAAAGUUAUAAUACCAAACAUCCAUUUUCACGAGGUUAUGAUUAAUCAAUAUAUAGUUGUGGAAAUAUUGAAAAUCAUUUAAUAUUCAUAGACAUUAAUAGGCUAUGUAGUACACAAAAUGAUCAUACCUUGCUGGUAUAAAAAAUAAUAUCGAAAUAGAAGCAAAAUAUUUUACAAACCAAGAGAAAAACAAAUUAAAAAAUUCUUAAAAUAAAUUAUCAAAUAACAUUUUAGUAAAAUUUAUUAUUAUUUGAAGGAAUUUCAAAUGAAUAAAAAAAAUUUACAUUCAAUAAAAAAUACGAAAUAUUGUUAAAAUGAUGAAAAUCUUUGAAAAAUUCCAAAUGAGAUCUAAAAUAAAGGAAUUUAAAAUUUCUCUUUCAUUAUCCAAAAAUUUUAAAUUAAUUAUUACCGAUCUCUAAAUCUUUAUAAAUUGAUAUUUAUAGUUUUUUGAAAAUUUAAAUAAAUUUUAAAUUUUUUCAAAAAUUGCAAAUUAGUGCUUAUUAUAUUUAAAUUUUACAAAUCGGUCCUUUAAAAUAUUCCAAAUUAUAAAAUUGGUCCAAAUUUUAAAUUUUAUUUAAAAAUCUUAAAAUUUAUCAAAUUUAACAAUGAAGAGAAAUCAAGUAAAAUAUUUGAAUCAGCUACAAUUUUAUGUUUUUAAAACUUUUAAAUCAACAUAAAAAAAAAAGCACUUACCAAAUAUGAAAGGCAGUGAAGCAUAAACAGAACCAGGAAUCUUAGGGCAAACGAAGGGUCCAACAACAAAAGAUGGUAUAAGAGUCACAAUAUCCAACCCAUUUUCUUUUCCAUAUUCAAGAACAGCUUUCUCAGCUAGAGUCUUAGAAGCUACAUAUGACCAAGCAAAUGGCUUCAAUUUUCUUAGAAGAUUAACAUCACUCCAAUAACUUUCAUCCAUUACAUCAUCUUCUUUUUCUUGAUAAUAAACAGCUGAACCACUUGAAGUGUAAACAACUCUCUUUAAUGUCUUUGAGUUUUUGCAUGCUUUUAGAAUUCCUAAUGCUCCGUCAAUGGUUCUUUCUGUCACUAUUUCUUCUGGUUCGCUCACAGUGAAAUCCAUCGGAGUUGCGGUGUGGAAUAUUCCAACGCACCCUUCUAUUGCUUCGUUGAAGCUUUCUGGUUUGCUAAGAUCCGCCGUGAAAAUUUUUAGUUUUUCAGAUGCUCCGGAAAGAUUUGUGAGAAAACUUAUAUCUCUUUUUUUCCCUGCCAUUUACAAAAUGAUAAUAAUUAUCAGAAACUCAUACGUAUAACUAUACUGUUCAAUCUAACAAUAUUAAUAUUUAUCAAAUUAACUAAAUUUUAAAAACUAAUAAAUAUUUUACCUGGAUCAGCUCUAACAGUGGUAUUAACAGUGUAACCAUCUUCAAGGAGUGUCUUGAUGAUCCAUGAACCAAUAAAACCUGUACCUCCUGUUACACAAACUCUUCCUUUUCCUUCUGCCAUUAUCACACUUUUCUUGCAAAAUGUUUUUUCACUCUUAUGUUUUGUGUUAGUUAGUUUUGUAUGAAUGUUGAUGUUCAUACAGAUGUAUAUAUAGGCACGUAAUGUUAUAGGUGGACACUUUCUGUGGGCAUACUAAUUCUACCGAACACUGUAAUAUUUUUCCUUGCUGAUUACAUGUUCGUAAGUUAACAAUUUAACUGGUAAAAUAUGGAAUAGAAAAAUAUAUUCUAGAAGUUGAAUUUAUACUUGGUCAAAUAAAAGUGGGAGAUGUUAUAUCUGUGUGCUAAUUACUUUUACUUUCAUUUUUAAAUAAAUAAACUUGUCAACUUGAUAAUAUGAAUAUAUUUUGAAUGAAUUGUGAGUGUAAGGUAUCUCUCCCUUUAGUAUUAUAAACACACACACACAAAUUUAUUGAUUAAUUUAUAUAUUUAAUUUAUGUAAUUCAAUAAAACCUUAAAAUAAAUGUUUGUUUAUAAAAUGAUAAGAUAAAGAUAAAUUAUGUUUUGAUGCGAUUAAAUUACAGUUUUGGUCCUUAUAUUUUGGUCUUCUCACGGUUUUGGUUCCCCCAUUUUUUAAAUAGUUUUAGUCCCACGUCCUAAAUUUGAUCAAAAAAACGUUUAUAUGGUUUCCAUGAUGAGAUGUUGUUUCGAAUAGUUUGAAUUUUUUCCGGUUGAUUAUUGAAUAUUUCUUAGUCCAUUGUGCUGUUUUAAAAUUUACUGUAUAUUUUUUUCUUGGGUUUGUUUUAGGUCAGCUGAUACAAAAACAGUCAGAAUAAGGAUUAAUCACAGGAGGACUUAGUUCAUUAUCCUUGCAAGAUUUAUGUAAAUGAAAAGGUACAAUAAAUGAAUUGCAAAUUUGAUGUGGAUUUUAUGUCUUAUAUGGACUUCAUGAAGGUUAUCAAUAAUUGGGUUAUAUAAGAAUCAAGUGCACGUGGUAUCAUCACCCGAAGUAGUCAUUUGAGCAUGGGGUUAGACUUCUUAACAAUGACGCAAAUGUCUUAAAAUUUGGAGAAGACAUGAAUAAUUAUGACAUUGCUAAUAUCUACGUUGAGUAUAUAGUAGAUUGACUUACUGUUAUAUCAGAAGAACAAGUGAAGGUAUGUUGAACUUGAACUUACUAUAUUAUUGUUGAACUGAUAUAAACUUAGUAUAUUAUGAAUUGAACAUUCUGAACUUGGUGUAUUAUUGUUGAACUGAUAUGAACUUAGUGUAUUAUUGCUGAACUGAUAUGAACUUAGUGUAUUAGGAACUGAACUGAUAUGAUCUUAGUGUAUCAUCCUAAACUUAAUAUAUUAUGAACAAAUGUAUACCUGAACUGUACUUUGUGCAUCAUACUGAAACUGAAUUGUCUUUGUGUUACAUAAUGUUUAAAAAUAUCAAGCUUCGAGGCAACUUAUUCGUACAUUGUGCUCAAGACUUCAAGCAAUAAUCCCCCAGUUAUGAGAAGAACUCCGGAUACUCUAGCCUGCAACAAAUGGGGAAAAAAUUAAUCCUCCAGUUAUGAGAAGAGUUUCGGGUAGAUCUAAGAAGAAAAGAAACAUGGUAAUGAUGAACCAACUUCAAGCAAUGUACUACCAAGAAAUUUGACCACUAUUAAGUGUAAAAAUUAUGAGAUUUUAAGACAUAAUUCAAGAACUUGCAAAGAGAAAAUAGUGACGGAUCGACAAUUAGCGAAAGGUAGUAACAAGGUUACCAAGGCUAAGAAGCAAAGGAAGACAUCAACAAAAGAAUCAUCCCCUGUGUUAACACAAGGAUCACAAGCUCCGCAAACACAAGAAACUAAUUCAUGAAACAUGUUGUCAAAUGUCCUUUUUUGUGUGUACUGGUAUUGGCUACUUUAGAGUCAGAUUGACUGUUUUGUGUAAUGGUAUUGGCUACUUUAGAAUCAGGUUGACUGUUUUGUGUAAUGGUGUUGGCUACUUUAGAAUUAGGUUGACUGUUUUGUGUAUGUGCUGGCUACUUUGGAAUAGGUUGACUUUUCAAUCCAAUGUUGGAUUUCGUUAUACGAAUAUGUGGUAAAGAGUUAUUGGAGAUAUCAUGUUAAUAAAUUUGACAUAUAUAUAUAAUUAUAUAUAUAUAUAUAUAUAUAUAUAUAUAUAUAUAUAUAUAUAUAUAUAUAUUAAAAGUUAUUAUAUUUAAACUCAAAUAUUUUUUUACAAAAUAUUUUAUAAUUGAUCGGUAGAAUUUUAUUUUACAUUAGCAUCAGCAUUGCAUAACAAUUACAUUUUGAUAUUAUUAAAAAGAAAGAAACAAGCAAAUUGAAUACGACUUUUCAGUUUACUAGGAGACUUUGAACAUAUAUAUGCAUCACUCACACCCCAAUCUUUGAAUAAAAAGCUACUUAUUGCACCCUGUUUUCCAUGACGCUGUUAAAUUAAUGGUUCUUUUCGUGAGACAUAUGUGAGUGUGAGAUAAACCGUUUCUUUUAUUUAUUUGUUUUAACUUGUAAAAAUAAAACGAGCCUUUAUUAAUUAGUUACUCGAACUAUACGGCAAAAUACCAAAUUUCUAUUGCUAUUCUAUCAAUUAAAUUGACUAAUUGUUAGAUUAAUUAACUACAUUAUAUUUGAUUUUUUUUACAUGUUAUCUAAUUCAUAUAUCAAUAAGAUACAUUGAUCGGAACUCGAUCUAGUUUUGGCUAAGAAGAGAAAUUUUCAAUGACCAAGUUAUGGCCGGGUUACUGGCCAUAGCUUUAUAAUAAACUGAUAAUUGUUUCAAAUUUUAAUAACAAAUUAAUAUAUGAACUAAAACAACUAUUUUCACAAAUAAAUGGUUCCAGAGAGUUAACAUAUGUGUGGAUAAUAGAAACACAAGUAUUUUGAGAUUUUUAUCCUCCGUAAGAGAUGUCCUCCAUUUUGAAAUUAAUUCUCUUUCUUUUAAAUAUUUUAGGUUGUUAGAGAGAGUCAAUCUUCAAUUUGAAAUCAUUUGAGAUUCUUUAAUUAAUUUGUUAGAAUAGAGGCUUAAUUCUUGUAAAUAUAAAUAUGACAAUAAUUGGGUGGUAGAGUGGUUCCCCUUAAUUAUGUGUUUAAUGUUAUCCCUGUCUUUUUUUAAAUCUUUUUUGAAGAUGUUUGUAAAGGUUUGUGGAAAGUUUGUCAACUUACAAAUAAGGUUCCUUAGAGGGGUUUAAAGGUGCUUCAAAGAUAUCUUAGAUUAAUUGGGAGGGUGUUUUCAAGCCAAAGAACAUGGGUUUAGGAGUGAGGGAUCUCUGGUUUUUAAUCUUGUUCUUUUGGCAAAGUGGAGAUGGAAGUUUCUAAUUGGGCAUCCAGGUAUUAGAGGGAUAUUCUGAUAGCGAGAUAUCGAUCCCCAACACUUUCCUCGCUUGUUGAGGGAGGACUGAUGGUUUUCACUUUACUUCUUCUCGGUAGAAAGGGAUAUUUCUUCUUGGGUCUAUGAAAGAAAAUAGCCCUGAUUUGUUUGUUGACGGAGUCAUCAGGAAAAUAGGGUCUGACACUCAAAUUUCCUUUUAGAAGGACCUUUGAUUAGGGUUCAUCCCCUUAAAGACCAAGUUCCCCGAUUUGUACUUAAAUUAUAUUCAGUUCGACGGAUUGGGGAAAGAGACUGUUUGAUAGUUAAUGGGGUCUUCACUUGGGAACUUAGGUGGUAGAGAUCAUUCAUUCAUAGAGAGCUACUUGUUAUUAAGGAGCUUUGAUCUCAACUUUGAGAUAUCACCCUCUUCUUGGAUAAAGACCAGUGGAUUAGGAAGCAUGCUUGUUAGCUUGAUCUCUUCUUUGAAACCUUUUCCGAUAGAGCGUCAGAUUCUCCCUCUAAUAUGGAUUAGUUGGGUCCUACUAAGAUCUUGGUAUUCUCUUGGUAACUUUUACAAGAUAUAAUUUUGUCUAUUAAAAAUAUGUCUUAGAGAGGGUUGAUUUCCCAUCCUAUUAAGAUCUCUUAUCCCUUGUCCGGAUAUUUGGUUGAGACGGUCUCCCAUCUCUUUGUUACUUGUGAGCUUGUCAUGUAUGUGCGGUAUAAAAUAUUUAAGUGGUUAGGGUGACGGGUAUUUAUUCCUAAUGGUUAUAGGUUGCUUUUUGAUUCUUUUCUUUCUUUAGGGGGAAAGACUAAGUAUAUGGGUGGAUAUCUAUUUAUUUAGAAUGUUGUAGUAUGGUCCAUCUGGAAAAUUUAUAAAAAUGUCAUCUUUAAGGGAGUCACAAAACUAGGUAAAGAGGUGGAUAACAAGAGUAUUUUUUGGCCUAAAAAUGUUUUUUGGAUAGAUCUGAGGUGAACUCUUGCACCUUCACUGAAUGGCUUUAGAACCAUAUCUUCUACCUAAACCUAUAGCAGACCAAGUUUUUGCCUUGGUUUGGAGGUAGGUUUUCAUUUUUGGUUUUUUGGUGUUCUUUUGAUGGGAUAUAUUUUGUUGAUGGAGGAUCUGGGGGCUUGAGAUCUAACUUGUUGCCAGCGAGGUGGAUUAUAUUUGUAGUUGGGGUCUUUAUUUAUGGAGAUCACUUGAUCAAUAUUGUUGGUUGGGUUGUUAUUAUUGUUGAUGUUUUGUGUUUGUUAUUUUUAUCUCUUGUUAUUCCUUUUUAUCUUUUGUUACCUUUAGGAACUUCUUAUGUUUAGUGGCUACCCUUGUUGUACUUUGGUAAUAUCCACCCCCACCCUUUUUGAUAUAUUUUUAUUUUCCAUUAAAAAACAUAGGGUGCUACAUACAUACACUAACGAGUAGAAAUACAUAUCAUAUGUGAAAAUAGUCGAUUAAAGUGGGGGUGGCGGCUUAACAUGGCCCUCUUAGACAAGUCAAUAUGAUGACUUAUCUCGGGUUCUUCUAGUCUCUGGUGUGAUAUUAUUUUUGCUAUAUAUAGAAUCAAUCUUGUUAGCUCCUUUAUGGGAGAUUGGAUUAUUAGGUUUUGGUUUGUGUCUUCUUGGUGGAAAUGUGUUUUUCUUCUUGACUCCGAUGUUGCGGGCUCUUCGGACUGAUUCGUGGCUAGUCUCCAUAACAAAGUGGGCUUAAGAAUCCCCAUUUCCUUCCGGGAAGGUUCUUGGAUUGGGCCCACUCCUCUGUCAACAUGAUUUUUUAUAGGGGAUAUUGGAGUGUGGGAGGAUGGGGAUUUGGUAUGGAAUUUUAAGUUAAGAAGAACAUUCCUUUUUUACUACUAGUAGGAUAUGAUUGCAAACCUCCAUUCAACUAUUCGAGAUUUUACCCCUUCCUUGAAAAUUUAAUGGUAAUGGUGGCAUCAUACAAAGGAUAUGACAUUUUUACUAUCACAUUUAUCUUCCUUGAGAGUGAGGUUCCUAGAGAUCUUUUACUAAAUCAUGUGGAUUUCGUCUUCCAUCGUAUCUAUUAUUGUUGGACCUUCUAAAAUUGUUGUGUUCUCUAAGCAACUAAUAUAGGAUAAGGUCCCUACAAAAGAAACUUAAUCAAAAUAGGGGUCUUUAUGAAUUCAGGGGCUGAUUCUUGCCCCACGUGUAUAUGACUACUUGAAUUGGUCUCUCAUCUUUUUGUACCUUGUGGGGUAGCAAUAGUAGUUUGGUAUAUGACUUUUAGAUGGUUGAGGUGGUGUAUUUCUUUAUGGAGUACUUCCCUAUUUGAUUUUUAGACGUUUACUUCUCUAGGAAGAGUGUCUAGGAUUAUUAGUUACAUUUUUACGAUUUGUCACUAAGUUGUUUAAUCAUCAUGGAAAUAUCAUAAUGAUAUUUUGUUUCCAGAUCUGUUUGUUACAAUGAAGAAUAUGGAAGUUUUUUUUUUACAUAACAUGUAUAUGAUAUCUUGGUAGGUCUUUGGAUAACUCUUGUGAUUUCUCUUUUUAGUUUUAGAACCCUAUCUUUUGUCUGAGCCAAAGCGGCUUAAGAGUAUUCGACCUUGUGAAAUUUUAAUUCAGAUUUAAAAUUGAAAAAAUGUAUGAUUAUGAAUGAUGAAAUCUAAUUAAUACUCAUUUACUUCAUUCAAGAGUAACAAAAAUUAUACAAUAAACAUAAUUAAAACACUAAAUUUUAACAUAGAUUCAAUAGCAAGUCUUUGUUGAAAAUCAUUAGUAUAUGUUUGUUCAAUGUAGUAGUUGGUGAACCAUCUUGCUUGAUGCAUGAUUGUUGUUUUUCUCUUUUUUCUUUUUCUUUUUCCAACCAUCACCUACAACAGUACAUGAUGGACUAACUAGAGAAUUGGUCAUUACAUCCGUCUAGAAUUUAUUAAAACAUCAGUUAAUUUAAAAUCUUACAAAAACAUAUAAAUAAAUAUUCAAAUCCACCUGCAAAUACAUGCCUUAUUAUAACAGGAAAACAAAUCUACAUUUCAACAUUUUGCCUUUUUCAGAAAGAAACUAGAAAGGCAUAAACCAACUAUAAAGAUAAUGAAUCACCUACAUAUAUAUUGAAUAAACCGACCAUAAAGUAAAGUAUAUUAUUGAACAUUCACAGGAUCAAAUAAAAACUUGUAUAUUUUUUGAACUAGCAAAUAGAAAACUGAACUAAGGUUGGUUAGUAUAUUAUUGAACAUUCACAUGAUCAGAUAAAAACUUGUAACAUCUCUUGUGGGCACAAACACUUUAGAUAGAUCUAUAAUAAUUUAGAGAUACUUAUUCUAACUUUAAAACGGAGAGCACGCCUUGGAUAAUGCAUCCUUUGCACCUUCCAUGUGAUUUAGAUCAUUUUUGUCCAAGCUAUUUGUUAGGCCCCUUAUUAAAAGAUACUAUAAGAGAAAGGGCAGAAGGGCCAAUAGAAGUAGUUAUGACAGUUAUAAUUUUUAAAUAAAAACAGUUAGUUUAGUUAUUUGUUCUUAUCUGUAUUUGUAAUAAGUAUAAAUAGGGAAAGGGUAAGAAGGAUGGGUUGAGAAUUUUACUAAGGGUUAUUAAGGAGGGAGGGAACUAAGCUCUCUAAUCUUAGUAGGAAUGUGUCUAUCAUUUUAUGUCAAUAUUUAACUAUCAAUACAAUGUGUAUAUGUAUGUUCUCAACUCUGAUUGAGAACAUUUCUCCUGAGUUUAUUCUAUAAUAGUACUUAUUAUUCACUAAUAUAUCCCAUUGAUACUGGUUUUUAUCAACUGGUAUCAGAGCACUAAGAUCUUGGUUGCUUUGAUGGUCGUUAUAAUAAGUGAAAUGGAGGCCCGCGUUGAAUUGUUAGAAAAAGGAUUUGAAGUGAUGUUUGCCAUGAGAGAAACUAUGGAGAAACAUCGGGAAGACGAUAGAGCGGAGCGCACUGAAAUUAGACGACAAAUGGCUGAAUUGGUUGCAUCAAUGCGACACACUGAACAUCGCAGUCUAGAGGGAACGCAUCAUCACGAAACUCUAUCAGAUGAUGGUGAACACAUUCACUCGUUGUCGCAAAGAACGUUGGCGGAAAUUGGAAAUUACAGUUUUCGAAGGAAACAAUGCUUAUGGAUGGUUGAAUUGUGUGCACAAGUAUUUUGAUUUAAAGAGAAAGAACGAAAUUGGCAGAUUACAAGCAAUUAUGGUGGCAAUGGAAGGGAAGUUAUAACACCAUAAACCUCGAAACUUAUUUUAAAAAAUUUGUACGAUAAUUUAAGGUGUCACUAAUGAUAACUCUUCAGAAACAUAUCAACCCAUUGAAACUAUGUUGCAGAAAAAUAGUUCAUAUCAACUUAAUAAGUAACGUACUAGAAUCCAAAACAACAAAAUCAACAUCAACAUAAAGCAUAAGAACUCCCUUCCCCAAUGUUACACGAUCAGAGCACUAGAAUCCAUUAUGUAUGAUAAAGAGAUAAAUAAAAUCGAAGACUAGUUCCAACAAGCUACCUUCCACACACAACAAUAAUGAUCACUCCAGAGUAUCUGUAAGAUGUUCAUGGUGGACAACAUGAAACAAAAGGGUGAGAAAUAACAUUCAAUAUAAAUAAUGUAAAGAAUAAGAAGGUAGAGAAGUAUACAACACAACACACAUUCAAUACACGAAUAAACAUCACCAAUGUCUCACACCCAUUCAUAACAACAUGCACAUUCAUCAAAUAUACACACUAUUCACAAUAACUUAUUAACUACAUCAAGUAUUCUAAACCAAUCAACAACAUCAUGAACAAUCAAUUACAUAUCUAAACAUGUAUGCAAUGUACUUCACAACUGACUCAUUAUAUGUGUGGUACCAUUAAUGGACAACACAAGUUCAUCUCACUUCUGAAUCCCUACCAUGGGACUAGAGCACACCAAAAUCGCCACUAACUAAUCACCAUAGAGUAACGCUUCACUAAUUCAUCAUUGGAAUUAGAUACUCACUCCUGAAUCCGCACCAUCAGACCAAAGCACAACAAAUCAUAACUAUCACCAAAAGUAACGCUUCACCGAUUCUCAUCUAGAACCAGUUUCUCGCUCCAUAAUCCAUACCAUCAGAUCAGAGCACACCAAAUCGUUACUAUCACCAUAAGUAACGUUUCACCGAUCCCCUUUCAGAACCAGUUACUCACUCCUGAAUCCAUACCAUCGAAAUAGAGCAUACAAAAACUGAAUCGCAGCCUGUACACCAUGAUGCAUGACUCUAAACAACAUGCAUUAUCACCAAAAGAAUCACCAAAAUUAUCACCAUAAAAUCACCACGAUUAUGCAGAGUAUUAUACUCAUUAUAUAACAAUUGAUUAAUGCCAUGAUAAAUAAUAAACAACACCAAACAUCAGUAUCACAUCAAAUGUGUAUUCACGUGACAUUCAAUCAUGUUAAAUCAUUUAGCAUCAAUUCACCAUUAGGUAAGCACAACAAUUCAUGAAACAUCCAUACAUUUCAUAACAUACAUUUCCUAUAAUUAAUUUUCUUAUACACCUCAAUCGUCACAGAAAACACCGCCAUAAGGUAGCUUUUUGUGUUAGCUUUCUAACGUUUCAAACGGCACCUUCGUUGGAGUCACAUAGCUCAAGUUAUGGCUAAAACAACUAGUGAACCAAUCAAUUGUUGUAACAUACCAAUCAAUUGUUGUAACAUACCAAUCAAUUGACUCAGAGGAUCAAACGAUUAUCCUCAACUCACUGGCUUCAUUUUUUUUCAAUUUUUCAAAGGGACCAAUCAAUUGGCAUAGAGGACCAAUCGAUUUCUCCAAAGCUACUGCCUAAUUUUUUGUGUUUUCAAAAGGAAUUAGUCAAUCGUUUCCCCUUUCAAUCGAUUGGUCACUGUAAGUUUUCCAAAAAUUUCACGUUUCAGCAGUUUUAAGCAUAUUUAAACCCCACCCAAACAUGCCCUAACACACCUAAACAACUUAUUUCUAGAAUCUAACUUCAUACACCAAUUAUCCAUUACUACCACAACAUAUACAUCAAUUAACAUGAAAUUUGUCAUACAACUUAAUCAUCACCUUCAACAAUAUUUACGCUUAUGUUCAAAUCUUCAUACAGUUAUCAAUGGUAGAAAAAUACAUAUGCAUAGAUAUGAUGAAUCAAACAUGAAUUCACUCAGAACCAAUCAAUUAAUCAACAAAACCAAUCACAAAUUCAGAUCUGGACACAACAACAACACAUCAAAAACAGAAUUAUACAACCCUAAUGAGAGUAAGGACCUCUCUUCUCUACCUUAUCAUACAAUACACCCAUAGUGAAAGCCCUUUCUCCCUCUUACCUUAUAUUUCCAACAAAAAUAGCAAAAUCAAGUAGCUCAUAUGGAUUCUCCGUCUCAAACCCUAGCUUUUGUUCUUCUCACUUUUCUCCAACUCUAAAUUGUAUGCACUGUAAAACCCUCUCAAUUCCCACACACCUCUAUUUAUAAAUAAACCUAAUUCACCCAUUUAGGUAUUUCCUUUACUACCUCCAACUUAUUCUCCCAAACGUACUUAGUUUCCAUUAUUUCUCUACUAACAUUUAUUUUCUUUUUAAUUUAAUUAAUUAAAUAAUUUCUAAUGCAAAGCUACAAAUUCUAUUUUAUUUAUUUUGAAUAUUAAUUAAAAAUACUAAUAUUCUAGUUAUUACUAAUUUCUACCAAACACCCAUGUUCUCACCACACCUUACUAAUAUUAUUCUUGCUAAAAACAUUAAAACUGAUUAAUCUCUCUGAUGCUAGCCAGGAAAGGUCGUAAAUGUCUUGUUGGAGUUUCUGUAAUGGGUAAGAGGCUCAUGGCCACCAUUGUUGGUGGUCCAAGGUUUUUCUUAAAUUUACUAUUUUCUAUGUUAUUCAUCGUAUCUCCCUUUUGGUCUCCAAGACCUCCUUAUUUAUAUAGUUACUUUCCCUCUCCCUAGGGUUCCAAGAGACUCCCUUUAUUAUUUUAUUUUUAUGACAUAAGUAUGGUUUGGUGGUCAUUAGUAGGAUAACAGUUACAACCGUCCCUUAAAUGGAUGUCACAAUACUCCAUAAUUUAUGGAAGAAUAUUGUAACAGAUAGUUUCUUAACUUCAUAACUAAUGAAUGACCUUUGGCUAUCCCUUCUAUAAUCCAAUAUGGAUGCCUCCUGUCUGAUUAAGCCAUCCUGAGCAUAUAUGGAUUCGAAUGUAUAUACUUCAUAGUUAUUAUACUGAUCUUUACAUAUCGUUUAGGAGCGUGCCUCUAAGAUCUCUAUGACCUAGCCUAUUUUUUUAUAAGUAGUAACUCGGUUACCUUUCAAGUACUUGACCUUCACCCUUGGACCUAGUGACUCAUAACCCGACUCUGAGAAUCCCGGGCUACACACCGGCCAUAUCACGAUCUGGCUGUUUGUCAUCUAAGGUCGGCCUAUGUGUGCCAGGUCGAUGUUCCUUCAUGAUCAUUUCACCCAAAAAUAGAUAUCUCGACUAAUUUAGAAAUUUUGGUUUCAUACCUCAACCGGCCAAAUAAUUUUUGGGAUGUACAUAAGCCCCCCGGGCAUGAAUCCUGAAAGGAUAAAAUGAUCGGACAUAAGAAGCCCGAAACAUUAUUCUCCAUUGAAGAUAAGGUACAACUCAGCCUAAUAUUACUUGCAUGCACUUUCUAAACCGACACAAUGAUGUGAUCGUGCAUGACAAUUCUUUUAUAACAUGAGGCAUCUUUUUUUUCCAAAUGCUCUCUCUCUCUCUCCUAUAAUUAUGUUUGGAUCCUAUUUAGGUCAUUGGAUUUAUGACAAUGUUGUAUUUUGAUUUACUUAUAUUUAUCUUUGAUAAUUACCUUACCUUUAAGCCCAAAGUGUAUUUUUGUUUUACUAAGAAGGAUGGUAAGCCCCUAGAGUAUCUUGGGAAGAUCUAUAAUUUUAAUGAUAUCGGAGAACACUACGUCUUUAAUUAAGAAGCCGAAGAUUCUUAGUAGAUUCUUGAUAUAGUGUCGUUUUAGAACCCCACGGGUUCUGUCCAUAGAGAAGCCGGAGAACCCCAGUGAGGUCUUGAUAAGUGCCAAAUUUAGGUGAAGUUAUGCGUAAAAAAAUUGUCACUUAUUAGCUUGAUUCAUUGGAUUCACGAGUCAAAACCUCACUUAUGUGCAAAUAUUAUGUAGAUUGAUCAUUUUCAACUCAUUUUGUAGGUAUGCUUGCAUUGGAGGAGCUUUAGACAUCAAACACGGAAGAAAUGGCUUCAACAUGCAAUUUUUGGAAGAAAUCAAAGCUUCAGGUGGGGCUUAGUGUGCUCAAAGUAUGCUUUGAAUUGCUCAGGAAGGAGUUUUCGCGCUUAGCGCCAAGCCUGGCACUUAACGGCAUUUAUGGAGGUUUAAACUAUUUGUUUGCUAUUAGCGCCAAAUCUAUGGCUUAACGCGGUCUACUUUUUCAGAUUUGUAUAAAUACCUUUGCACUUCAUAUUUUUAGAUAUAUAUUACAUUUUGGAGAGAGAGAGAGAAACUUAGAAAACAACAAGAGAGGGUGCUUCUUGAAGAUAGGAAGCUUGGUUCGCAUUAAUCAUUGGGAAAUCACGAUUGAUGCAUGUUCAUCUUCAUUCUUCUCUUUGUAACUAGCUACCAUGAGUAGCUAAAUCCUUUUCUUGUUGGGAUUGGACGUAAGUUUGUUGUAACAAUAUGUAUUUUUAUUGAUCAUGACAUUGUAUACAAUCUCUUUAUGAAUUUAUAUCGAUAUUAUCCUUGUUUACUUGUUUUACAUAUUGAUUUGAACUAUUAUUGAGAAAUACUCUUCGAAUCUCGAUCUAAGAUAAUCAUCUGUUAGAUGUUAAACUCUAGACAUAUAUUUAGAUUUAGCAUUCAUUUUAGUAUUGAGUCUUAAUGCUACCGUAUUAUUUAAUAGGCUGAGAGAUCGUUGAUUCAACAGUACGGUUGAACUCUAAUCAUGAUUUUAGACAUAAACAUUGUCGGCGAGCGAUACAUGAUGAUAUUGAUAAAUGUUUAGAUUGUGUAUAACUGAUUGGUAAAUUACAUAUUCUAUCGGUGGAUGAAAAUCAAUGCUGACAAGCUCUCAUCUCUCUGAAACUUUAUUUAUCAUUCAUCUCUUUUACAUUUUAUAGCUUUAAAUCAUCAAACAUCUUGCAAACUUACGCUUAAAAUCAUAGUGAUUAUUAAACAGAAUUGAUAUCACAUCAGUCCCUGUGGAAAUGACAAAACAAAUCAUUACCCUCAAUAGCAAUACUGCGUUCAACAAAAUGGCAUUGUUGUCAGGGACUGGUGUUUAAAUAUUAAAGAAUUACAAUAGUUUCUAUCUUUUUAAUCUUUGUACAUUUGUCUAUAUUGUAUAUACUUGUUUCAUGUCAUGUUUGCUUAACUGUUGGUUAUGGAUAACUAUUGAUGAAGGAGCAACACCAAAACUAGGAAGAGCAAACAUUUAGCCAAGCAAAAGAAGCAACAAGAUAAAGUAUAUAAUUUAAAAAGGCGUCGAGCUAACGACGUUAAACAAGCGUUUGUUGAGAGGAAACCUAAAUUUAUAAGUAUUUAAUAGAUUUGCAUUAAGUAGUUUAAGUUGUAAAGAGUCAAGGUGGAUGGAAAACUUGACAAAAGUUUUCAUUUUGAAAAUUUUGGGAAGUAGAGCCGGCGCUAAGCGCGCCCUGGAAAAUUUUGAGAAGUUAGAAGCAGUAGAAAUCGCACUAAGCACAGUGUGAUGGCAUUGAGCGUGCCCUGCUGUACCAGUAAAAAUAUUCUUUUUUUUACUCAACCCACUUAUCCACUUUCACCGAUGCCCAUUUACCCCAUCUUUGUGGUGUUUUUUGUUAAUUAAGUUGUGUUUUGUUUAUUUUGUUUCAAGUAGGUAGUAUAGUAGUUUAGUUUAAUUUCUAGAGUUUUAGCAAAAUUUAUGAGUUUGUUCUCAAAGUUUGUUUUUGAAUGCCUUGAAAAAUUAUUGAGCGGUUUUUCCAAGUUUGAAUAUUUCAACUAGAAAAUGCUUUGGUAAUGAUAAAAGUUUGAAGGAUGGUACAAUGUCAAGGUACAUGUUUAUUGCUUUAUAGACCAUAGCAUGAAUAUGAAACUUGUAAUUUGUACAAACAUCAUGCCAUUCAUUCUUUUGCAUUACAUUUUCAUGAUUGAAUCACUUUAGACCAAAGCAUAAAUGUGAGGAAACUUCCAUUGUUUACUAUAUGCACAGGAGACGAAUAAUCUAUUGUUUUAACUCGGUUGAUUUAUAUUUAAUCUUGCAUUUAUGUUUGAAGUUAUGAAAGCAUGAAAGUGAUCAAGCAAAGUUUUGAAUUUGAGCACAACCACUGGAGAAAAAGUAAUCUACCUUGUGAGAGCGAGAAUUUAUUAACCCUUUUGAGCCUUAAUGUCAGGAUCCAUUUGACGUUGAACUGUGAAAUUGUACAUAAAUAUUAUCUCAUCAACCUUCAACCUUCAAAUCAUUGAUUUUUGUAUGGAUUCUAAAUCUUUUUCUUGAAACCUUUAAACCAUCAACCUUCAAAUUAUGGUUGAAAUUUUGUCUCGUGCCAUAGAAAAUAGAGGACAAUUCAUGUGCAAUGUUAGUUGUAUUCAAGUUGGGGAGAAAAGAGAAAGAAAAAGGAUAGGUUUCUAAGAAAUUGAAAAAGAAUUUGAACAAGAAAGAUAAUGGUGAAAAAGAAUUGAAAAACAAAUGAACUUGUUUGAAAAAGAGUGGAAAAUAGUUGUGCUAGAAAGUGUGAUCAAGGGUGUAUCAUAUGAAUAAAGGGAAGUGGUGAAUAAAGUUAUGAAUUGUAAAUAAAUUGAAAAGUGAAUGUUCUUCUAGAGUUUGGAAACUUUUUUUUAAAGACCUUUAGAUAUGACCCUUCUUUAUUAACCAAGCCUCAUUACAACCCUUGAAAGUCCUUUGUGAUUUAUGCUUUUGUGCUUUCAGUAUGCUUUGCUUAGAUGAACGCAUAAGUUAGUCAAAAUGUUAGCAAGAUUGUUUAGUGUGAGUCAAGUCCCUCAUUUUUUGUUCUUCAUCAUAAAUUGAAUAUGUGUGUUAGGUGUGAUACAUAAUUGAGCAUGUGUUGUUUUAGAAUUUAUGACAUGAGUUUUGUGUUUAGAAUUUGUUUCAUGAUCAUGGUUUGGUUGUGGUAUAGUGGUAAGUAUCACUUUGCUUGUAUUUUUGAAAUUUGAACCAUGCAAUUGUCUCCUUUUAUUAAAAACUUGUUUGAUCAUGAGAAAUCAUGAUAGUUACUCUUGUUUCUUUAGGUUUUAAGACUCUACAAACAAAGUUCUAAAUUGGGGAGAGUUGAUAAGUGCCAAAUUGUGGUGAGUUUAUGCAUGAAAAAAUGGCACUUAUUAGUUUGAUUAUUUGGAUUCAUGAGUCAAAACCUCAACUUAUGUGUAAAUAAUGUGUAGAUUGAUCAUUUGCAACUCAUUUUGUAGGUAUGUUUGCAUUAGAGGAGCUUUGGACAUUAAAAGCGGAAGAAAUAGCUUCAACAUGAAAUUUUUGGAAGAAAUCAAAGCUUCAACUGGGUCUUAGCACGCUCAAAGCAUGCUUUGAGUUGCUGAGGCAGGAGCUUCUGUACUUAGCGCCAUUUAUGGAGGUUUAAGUUAUUUGUCUGCUAGCUGCGCUUAGCGCCAAAUCUAAGGCUUAACGCAAUCUUCUUUUUCAAAUUUGUAUAAAUAGCUUUGGACUUCAUAUUUUUAGGUAUAUAUUACAUUUUGGAGAGAGAGAAACUUAGAAAAUAACAGGAGAGGGUGCUUCUUGAAGAUCGGAAGCUGGGUUCGCAUCAAACAUUGGGAAAUCACGAUUGAUGUAUGUUCCUUUUCAUUCUUUUCUUUGUAUCUAGCUACCAUGAGUAGCUAAAUCCCUUUCUUGUUGGGAUUGGAUGUAGGUUCAUCGUAACAAUAUGUGUUUUUAUUGAUCAUGGUGUUGUAUACAAUCUUUUUAUGAAUCUAUAUCGAUGCUAUCCUUGUUUACUUCUUUUACAUAUUGGUUUGAACUGUUAUUGAGAAAUACUCUUCGAAUCUUGAUCUAGGAUAAUCAUCAGUUAGAUGCUAAACUCUAGAUAUAGAUGUAGAUUUAACAUUCACUUGAGUAUCGAGUCUUAAUGCUACCAUAUUGUUUAAUAGGCUGAGAGAUCGUUGAUUCAACAAUACAGUUGAACUCUCGUCAAGAAUUUAGACAUACACACCGUCAGCGAGCGAUACGUGAUGACAUUGAUAAAUGUUUAAAUUGUGUAUAACUGAUUGGUAAAUUAUAUAUUCUAUUAGUGAAUGAAAUUCAAUCCUGACAAGCUCUCAUCUCUCUGAAAGUUUAUUUAUCAUUCAUUCGUUUUAUAUUUUGUAUCUUUAAAUCAUCAAACAUCUUGCAAACUUACGCUUAUAAUCAUAGUGAUUAUUGAACAAAAUUGAUAUUGCAUCAGUCCUUGUGGAUACGACAAAUUAAAUACUUACCCUUGAUAACAAUACUGCAGUCAACAGGUCUCGACUUAUGGUCAUUGUAGAACCUUGUUAUUCUUAUAUUUGUAAUGCCCUAUGUAGGUUUUGAGUAUUGUAGUAAUUUGGGCUCUUUUACCGGCUUUCUUCACAGUACUCUGAUUUAAUUAAGAUUUGAUCGGUCGUAGACCAUGGAAGUCGGUUUCAUACACCCUGGUCGAUAUAUAUAUAUAUAUAUAUAUAUAAAUUGAUUGCCUUUUAGUCAUCCGUUAGGAUGCAUUGAGCAAUAUUUUCAUGUAUGCUAUCUGCCUUCCCUUCCUUUUUUGUAUUUGGAUCCUGAUGUGAUCCAUAAUGGUAUAACUAUAUUAUUUCCUUGCUCAGGUGUACUGGUUGUUUCUUAAUUGCCUUAUUCUUAUAACUGAUUUUCCGAGGUUAUCUUUCAUGGAAGCCCCAGGCGUAAAAAUAAGCUUUAAUCAUGAAAGUAUUUGUUUAAGCCAAUCCACCGACUGAUGGCAAGGCGGGGAAAUUGAUCUUGGUUCUCGACUCAUGGUCGUUGUAGAGCUCGGCAGAUUCUAGAUAUAUAAGUCGGAAAGCCCCAGCAGGUUCUUGACUAAUUACAUUUUUGCUUUAACUAUGUUAAUGCAUAUCCUUAUCAUCAGGAUUGUGAUAGCCCAUGUAUGUUUUCGAAUUAGCAAAAACCAAAUCCUGAUAGUUUUUAGAUGAUCACAGGUCUUGGUAAAUUCCGAGUAUAUCCUACUUCAUUCUUUACAUGAUCCAUGUGAGUUGGGGUCUCAGAAUCUUUGGUGUGUUCUAAAUCAGAGAUCAUUCUCAUUAGAUUAAUAGUUCAUAAUUUGUUUGCCGUUAGUCAUGCCUUACGGAUUUACUUUGUUGAGUUUGGAUGCCUUCCGAUUUUCUUUUAAGAUAGUAUUCAAGCCCUCAUUGGAUUUUUUUUAGUUAUGAUUUAUACCAUGUAGGUACAUAGCCCCAGCCAACCGGGCUUUACUAAUUUGUUGAGUAUUUUACUUUGAACACAGAAUGGCUAACAACGAUCACGUCAGAUAUUUGUCCAGUGAUAAGUUACCCAAAACCGCUUAAGGUCAGAGGUUUGUUAACUUUGUAUGAUUGACAUUCAGAGUCCCAUGGGGGUUGACGUUAAAUGGAGGUACGAGGAUUUUAUUUUGCAUGCCCGACGUUCAGAGCUCCAUGGGGGAUGAAGUUAAAUGGAGGUUAUAGGCUUUUAUUUCACAUGACCCGACCGAAGCCGAUUAUGCCAGAGGCUUCAAGUUCGCUUGGACUUCAGUUAGGACAUAGGUUUUAUUAAACGUUACCCCGUUGAAGCCGAUUAUGCCUGAGGCUUCAAUUUCGCUUGGACAUCAGUUAAGCCAAAAGUUUUAUAAAACGUUACCCGGCUGAAGCCGAUUAUACCAGAGACUUCAAUUUCGCUUGGACUUCAGUUAGGCCAGAGGUUUUGUUAAACGUUUCCCGGCCGAAGCCGAUUAUAUCAGAGGCUUCAAUUUCGCUUGGACUUCAGUUAGGUCAGAGGUUUUAUUAAAACUUACCCGGUCGAAGUCGAUUUUUCCAUAGGCUUCAAUUUUGCUUGGACUUCAGUUAGGCCAGAGGUUUUAUUAAACGUUACCCGUCUGAAGCCGAUUAUUCCUGAGACUUCAAUUUCACUUGGACUUCAUUUAGGUCAUAGAUUUUAUUAAACGUUACCCAGACGAAUUCGAUUAUGCCUCCUUACGGAAGUCUUCGUCGUUCUUGGUCCUUACUUUAUUGGAGGUAAGUCUCUGUCUAGUCUUUACUCUGACAACUAUCCUAUAUAAUUUUAUAAGUUUUAGAAAAUAGGAUGUAUCUCCCGUCCUUGCAGGGAAAAGGAGUGACACAUAUUACCUAAAGUAAAUUUUAAAUGAAUCUUUAAUUAUAAAUGGCAGAGACAUUUAGCCCGCCUUAUCCAACAACCAAGACAAUUAAUUUCAAAUAUAUGCUUGUAUUUUGUUGUUCAUGCUCCAACAUUUGGUAUCUAAGGGACACCUUGUUGCUUUAUAUCUCUUUAAAUAAUAUGUAAUGUUUUGCCGACAAUUGCCACCAUCAUGAUCAGAGACAUAUCGGAAGCAUAAUCUCGUCGCGUCGGUAGGACUUUGAGUUAAAACGGGGCAAGACAUGCUUCAACCUACUCCUUUCAUUGAGUUGCUCUACUGCUCCAAUCACAUAAUGAAUUUGUAACCUUGAAAUCAAAGAUUUGUUGGCAAUAUUAGAUUCUGAGAUGUUCACAGUAUAUGCCUUUUUUAUGUUUAAAAUAUCCCACAAUUUCACCAAUGGAGCCUUUUCUUGUCGUCGGCAGUAUUGUUCUUUGAUUCCGAAGUGACCUGGUUUAAUCAACGAGUUCCUGAUAACAAGGUCUCGACAUGAGAUGCAGUAAAGAUAAGCAUGACAUCACUCAUGAUUUUUAUCAAUCACGUGGGCCGCAACCUUGACAGAUCCUAUAGCAGUAAAUAAAACACGGUAACCUAGAAUCAACGAAGUCAGAUGGCAUGCGGUUAAACAAACCAUGCAUUCAGUUUGUUCACAAUCGUUUGAUCAAAAAUACACUUAAUGGUGAAUGCGGUAUAAACCUUCUGCAGGGAAUACUGGUCCAAAAUCAACUAAGAUGAAUGCACUUGGACACUUAUCUAAUUUUAGGUGCCGACAUAAAAAUUUCUCUAACAAUCAUCACUGAACCGUCCAUAAUCAUCUCCCAUGUUAGGAUCCCAAAUCCGAUCGAUAUGAUUAUCACCUUCCUGCACUAUUUCCAACAACCAUUAAAAUAAACCAUCACCAUCGAACUCUAAUGUUGUGACCUCCUAGCAAAUUUUUCCCCUAGGUCCGACAACCUUAAUUCUACCAUCAGAAGAUCUCACAUGCGUGUCAAAGCAUUCCAUAACACCAUCUUCGCCACCACAUGUGACUAACCCUCAAGGUUUGCUUCCACAAACUGAAGCUAUGACAAACUCACCCUCAAGAGUUGCUUUAGUCUUCAUUGUUGCAGUAGUGAACCUCAAACUUUCAAUAAGCUGCACGUUUUGAAUAUAACCUUUGACGGUGUGGUGAGAUUUGUUGGUGCAAAGGUAGAAUGAAUGGAAAUAUUCUAUUAAGAAUGACGGCUACAAAACAUGAUAAAAGUUAUAAUGAUUGUCACCUUAUUUAUAAGCUAAAACUAGGAUUACUAGAAUAGGAUAAAAUACUAAAAUACCCUCUAACAAACUUAGGGGCUAAGAAAAUAGUACAGCUAAUAAAUAUGAAUUACUUCUAAUACCAUCCCUUAAUUCAUAUUCCAUCAAAACUUGUAAAAUUUAAAUAAUUAUCAUAUUUUAUGGGGGUUACAUUCUGCAUUAGAUAUUUGUCAUCACCAUCUGAUCUUUGUCCUCUUUUCAGAGUCAAGUCAACCAGCCAUUUCUGUUUCCAGUAAGAUGAUUUGAACAGCCAGUGUCCAUAUACCACCAGUCUAUCAGAUCCAUAUCAUCAGAUUCAGAGGCCAUCAAUAGCACAGAUUCGUCAUCAGAACUUCUGGCUAUAUUUGCUUCUUCUGAUUCUCUCUUGUUUGACAACAGCUCUAGCAAGUGACCAACUUCUUACAACAGUAACAUUGGAUCUUCUUAUUGUCAUAUUCUCUUUCCUUCUGAGCAUUUCUUGUCUAUCAGAGGUUCUUUCUGACUUCUGACACCAUCAGAUCUUCUCCUGGCUUCUGACUGCUUCUGAUACCUCUAUCAGAAGUUGCUUUCAGAGCCUGUGCUCUACUUCCCUUUCAGAAGUUCUUUCAGUCAAGCGAACUCUGCGCUUCUAGACUGCUUUGCAGCUCUUCAAUUCUCAUGGUGCUCAAAUCUUUGGAAUUUCUAUUGCUACACAAUGUAAUCAAUUGAGAGGUAAGGGAUCUCAAUACCUUCUCCAUGAUUGUUUCUCAGAAAGAGUUUCUCCACACGUUUUCAUCUCAUUAGUGAUCAGAAUCACUCUGGAGAUGUAUUCAGAAACUUUCUCAUUAUUCUUCAUGUUGAGAUUCUAUAUUGCUUUCUCAAGACUGAAGCUUCACCUUCUUCACUGAUGCGUCACCACCAUACACUCUAACCAGUGUGUCCCACGCAGCCUUUGCUGUCGUUGAAUCUGCAAUCUUCUCAAAACAUUACAUCAACACAUUGAUGAAUGAAGAACAAUGCUUUCUGAUCCUUCUUCCUUACUUCCUUCUGCGCGUUUUUCUGUUCAUCCGUCGCAUCUGCUGCUACCGGAACAUAACCAUCAGUGACAAGAUUAGAACAUCUUGAGCACCGAACAGUAACGCAUUUGGAUCAUCCAACGAUUCCAGUUUUUACCGUCAAAUACUGGAAGUUUGGUGUUCAGUGGCUGUUUCGUUCAUCUUUCUACCUUGCACAGUACACUCAGAUUUCUCACACAGUGUUUCCCAACCCACAGAAUUAAAAUUCUGAUCAGUUUUGUUCAAGAUUCAACACGAAUCUAAGAAUCAAAAUCAAACACACAAGACCUCACGUUCACUCGUGUUCCCGUGUUUCCCAAUGAAUCCGAACCGGAGCUCUAGAUACCAAUUGUUGGUGCAAAGGUAGAAUAAAAGAUGAAUAUUCUAUUAAGAGAAUGACGGCUACAAAAAGGAUUAAAAGUUACAAUGAUUGACACCCUAUUUAUAAGCCUCUAACAAACUUAAAUAUGAAUCAAAUCUAAUAUUUAAAUCUAAUAUCUAACAAACUUAAAUAUGAAUCAAAUCUAAUAUUUAAAUCUAAUAUCUAACAAACUUAAAUAUGAAUCAAAUCUAAUAUUUAAAUCUAAUAUCUAACAAACUUAAAUAUGAAUCAAAUCUAAUAUUUAAAUCUAAUAUCUAACAAACUUAAAUAUGAAUNNNNNNNNNNNNNNNNNNNNNNNNNNNNNNNNNNNNNNNNNNNNNNNNNNNNNNNNNNNNNNNNNNNNNNNNNNNNNNNNNNNNNNNNNNNNNNNNNNNNNNNNNNNNNNNNNNNNNNNNNNNNNNNNNNNNNNNNNNNNNNNNNNNNNNNNNNNNNNNNNNNNNNNNNNNNNNNNNNNNNNNNNNNNNNNNNNNNNNNNNNNNNNNNNNNNNNNNNNNNNNNNNNNNNNNNNNNNNNNNNNNNNNNNNNNNNNNNNNNNNNNNNNNNNNNNNNNNNNNNNNNNNNNNNNNNNNNNNNNNNNNNNNNNNNNNNNNNNNNNNNNNNNNNNNNNNNNNNNNNNNNNNNNNNNNNNNNNNNNNNNNNNNNNNNNNNNNNNNNNNNNNNNNNNNNNNNNNNNNNNNNNNNNNNNNNNNNNNNNNNNNNNNNNNNNNNNNNNNNNNNNNNNNNNNNNNNNNNNNNNNNNNNNNNNNNNNNNNNNNNNNNNNNNNNNNNNNNNNNNNNNNNNNNNNNNNNNNNNNNNNNNNNNNNNNNNNNNNNNNNNNNNNNNNNNNNNNNNNNNNNNNNNNNNNNNNNNNNNNNNNNNNNNNNNNNNNNNNNNNNNNNNNNNNNNNNNNNNNNNNNNNNNNNNNNNNNNNNNNNNNNNNNNNNNNNNNNNNNNNNNNNNNNNNNNNNNNNNNNNNNNNNNNNNNNNNNNNNNNNNNNNNNNNNNNNNNNNNNNNNNNNNNNNNNNNNNNNNNNNNNNNNNNNNNNNNNNNNNNNNNNNNNNNNNNNNNNNNNNNNNNNNNNNNNNNNNNNNNNNNNNNNNNNNNNNNNNNNNNNNNNNNNNNNNNNNNNNNNNNNNNNNNNNNNNNNNNNNNNNNNNNNNNNNNNNNNNNNNNNNNNNNNNNNNNNNNNNNNNNNNNNNNNNNNNNNNNNNNNNNNNNNNNNNNNNNNNNNNNNNNNNNNNNNNNNNNNNNNNNNNNNNNNNNNNNNNNNNNNNNNNNNNNNNNNNNNNNNNNNNNNNNNNNNNNNNNNNNNNNNNNNNNNNNNNNNNNNNNNNNNNNNNNNNNNNNNNNNNNNNNNNNNNNNNNNNNNNNNNNNNNNNNNNNNNNNNNNNNNNNNNNNNNNNNNNNNNNNNNNNNNNNNNNNNNNNNNNNNNNNNNNNNNNNNNNNNNNNNNNNNNNNNNNNNNNNNNNNNNNNNNNNNNNNNNNNNNNNNNNNNNNNNNNNNNNNNNNNNNNNNNNNNNNNNNNNNNNNNNNNNNNNNNNNNNNNNNNNNNNNNNNNNNNNNNNNNNNNNNNNNNNNNNNNNNNNNNNNNNNNNNNNNNNNNNNNNNNNNNNNNNNNNNNNNNNNNNNNNNNNNNNNNNNNNNNNNNNNNNNNNNNNNNNNNNNNNNNNNNNNNNNNNNNNNNNNNNNNNNNNNNNNNNNNNNNNNNNNNNNNNNNNNNNNNNNNNNNNNNNNNNNNNNNNNNNNNNNNNNNNNNNNNNNNNNNNNNNNNNNNNNNNNNNNNNNNNNNNNNNNNNNNNNNNNNNNNNNNNNNNNNNNNNNNNNNNNNNNNNNNNNNNNNNNNNNNNNNNNNNNNNNNNNNNNNNNNNNNNNNNNNNNNNNNNNNNNNNNNNNNNNNNNNNNNNNNNNNNNNNNNNNNNNNNNNNNNNNNNNNNNNNNNNNNNNNNNNNNNNNNNNNNNNNNNNNNNNNNNNNNNNNNNNNNNNNNNNNNNNNNNNNNNNNNNNNNNNNNNNNNNNNNNNNNNNNNNNNNNNNNNNNNNNNNNNNNNNNNNNNNNNNNNNNNNNNNNNNNNNNNNNNNNNNNNNNNNNNNNNNNNNNNNNNNNNNNNNNNNNNNNNNNNNNNNNNNNNNNNNNNNNNNNNNNNNNNNNNNNNNNNNNNNNNNNNNNNNNNNNNNNNNNNNNNNNNNNNNNNNNNNNNNNNNNNNNNNNNNNNNNNNNNNNNNNNNNNNNNNNNNNNNNNNNNNNNNNNNNNNNNNNNNNNNNNNNNNNNNNNNNNNNNNNNNNNNNNNNNNNNNNNNNNNNNNNNNNNNNNNNNNNNNNNNNNNNNNNNNNNNNNNNNNNNNNNNNNNNNNNNNNNNNNNNNNNNNNNNNNNNNNNNNNNNNNNNNNNNNNNNNNNNNNNNNNNNNNNNNNNNNNNNNNNNNNNNNNNNNNNNNNNNNNNNNNNNNNNNNNNNNNNNNNNNNNNNNNNNNNNNNNNNNNNNNNNNNNNNNNNNNNNNNNNNNNNNNNNNNNNNNNNNNNNNNNNNNNNNNNNNNNNNNNNNNNNNNNNNNNNNNNNNNNNNNNNNNNNNNNNNNNNNNNNNNNNNNNNNNNNNNNNNNNNNNNNNNNNNNNNNNNNNNNNNNNNNNNNNNNNNNNNNNNNNNNNNNNNNNNNNNNNNNNNNNNNNNNNNNNNNNNNNNNNNNNNNNNNNNNNNNNNNNNNNNNNNNNNNNNNNNNNNNNNNNNNNNNNNNNNNNNNNNNNNNNNNNNNNNNNNNNNNNNNNNNNNNNNNNNNNNNNNNNNNNNNNNNNNNNNNNNNNNNNNNNNNNNNNNNNNNNNNNNNNNNNNNNNNNNNNNNNNNNNNNNNNNNNNNNNNNNNNNNNNNNNNNNNNNNNNNNNNNNNNNNNNNNNNNNNNNNNNNNNNNNNNNNNNNNNNNNNNNNNNNNNNNNNNNNNNNNNNNNNNNNNNNNNNNNNNNNNNNNNNNNNNNNNNNNNNNNNNNNNNNNNNNNNNNNNNNNNNNNNNNNNNNNNNNNNNNNNNNNNNNNNNNNNNNNNNNNNNNNNNNNNNNNNNNNNNNNNNNNNNNNNNNNNNNNNNNNNNNNNNNNNNNNNNNNNNNNNNNNNNNNNNNNNNNNNNNNNNNNNNNNNNNNNNNNNNNNNNNNNNNNNNNNNNNNNNNNNNNNNNNNNNNNNNNNNNNNNNNNNNNNNNNNNNNNNNNNNNNNNNNNNNNNNNNNNNNNNNNNNNNNNNNNNNNNNNNNNNNNNNNNNNNNNNNNNNNNNNNNNNNNNNNNNNNNNNNNNNNNNNNNNNNNNNNNNNNNNNNNNNNNNNNNNNNNNNNNNNNNNNNNNNNNNNNNNNNNNNNNNNNNNNNNNNNNNNNNNNNNNNNNNNNNNNNNNNNNNNNNNNNNNNNNNNNNNNNNNNNNNNNNNNNNNNNNNNNNNNNNNNNNNNNNNNNNNNNNNNNNNNNNNNNNNNNNNNNNNNNNNNNNNNNNNNNNNNNNNNNNNNNNNNNNNNNNNNNNNNNNNNNNNNNNNNNNNNNNNNNNNNNNNNNNNNNNNNNNNNNNNNNNNNNNNNNNNNNNNNNNNNNNNNNNNNNNNNNNNNNNNNNNNNNNNNNNNNNNNNNNNNNNNNNNNNNNNNNNNNNNNNNNNNNNNNNNNNNNNNNNNNNNNNNNNNNNNNNNNNNNNNNNNNNNNNNNNNNNNNNNNNNNNNNNNNNNNNNNNNNNNNNNNNNNNNNNNNNNNNNNNNNNNNNNNNNNNNNNNNNNNNNNNNNNNNNNNNNNNNNNNNNNNNNNNNNNNNNNNNNNNNNNNNNNNNNNNNNNNNNNNNNNNNNNNNNNNNNNNNNNNNNNNNNNNNNNNNNNNNNNNNNNNNNNNNNNNNNNNNNNNNNNNNNNNNNNNNNNNNNNNNNNNNNNNNNNNNNNNNNNNNNNNNNNNNNNNNNNNNNNNNNNNNNNNNNNNNNNNNNNNNNNNNNNNNNNNNNNNNNNNNNNNNNNNNNNNNNNNNNNNNNNNNNNNNNNNNNNNNNNNNNNNNNNNNNNNNNNNNNNNNNNNNNNNNNNNNNNNNNNNNNNNNNNNNNNNNNNNNNNNNNNNNNNNNNNNNNNNNNNNNNNNNNNNNNNNNNNNNNNNNNNNNNNNNNNNNNNNNNNNNNNNNNNNNNNNNNNNNNNNNNNNNNNNNNNNNNNNNNNNNNNNNNNNNNNNNNNNNNNNNNNNNNNNNNNNNNNNNNNNNNNNNNNNNNNNNNNNNNNNNNNNNNNNNNNNNNNNNNNNNNNNNNNNNNNNNNNNNNNNNNNNNNNNNNNNNNNNNNNNNNNNNNNNNNNNNNNNNNNNNNNNNNNNNNNNNNNNNNNNNNNNNNNNNNNNNNNNNNNNNNNNNNNNNNNNNNNNNNNNNNNNNNNNNNNNNNNNNNNNNNNNNNNNNNNNNNNNNNNNNNNNNNNNNNNNNNNNNNNNNNNNNNNNNNNNNNNNNNNNNNNNNNNNNNNNNNNNNNNNNNNNNNNNNNNNNNNNNNNNNNNNNNNNNNNNNNNNNNNNNNNNNNNNNNNNNNNNNNNNNNNNNNNNNNNNNNNNNNNNNNNNNNNNNNNNNNNNNNNNNNNNNNNNNNNNNNNNNNNNNNNNNNNNNNNNNNNNNNNNNNNNNNNNNNNNNNNNNNNNNNNNNNNNNNNNNNNNNNNNNNNNNNNNNNNNNNNNNNNNNNNNNNNNNNNNNNNNNNNNNNNNNNNNNNNNNNNNNNNNNNNNNNNNNNNNNNNNNNNNNNNNNNNNNNNNNNNNNNNNNNNNNNNNNNNNNNNNNNNNNNNNNNNNNNNNNNNNNNNNNNNNNNNNNNNNNNNNNNNNNNNNNNNNNNNNNNNNNNNNNNNNNNNNNNNNNNNNNNNNNNNNNNNNNNNNNNNNNNNNNNNNNNNNNNNNNNNNNNNNNNNNNNNNNNNNNNNNNNNNNNNNNNNNNNNNNNNNNNNNNNNNNNNNNNNNNNNNNNNNNNNNNNNNNNNNNNNNNNNNNNNNNNNNNNNNNNNNNNNNNNNNNNNNNNNNNNNNNNNNNNNNNNNNNNNNNNNNNNNNNNNNNNNNNNNNNNNNNNNNNNNNNNNNNNNNNNNNNNNNNNNNNNNNNNNNNNNNNNNNNNNNNNNNNNNNNNNNNNNNNNNNNNNNNNNNNNNNNNNNNNNNNNNNNNNNNNNNNNNNNNNNNNNNNNNNNNNNNNNNNNNNNNNNNNNNNNNNNNNNNNNNNNNNNNNNNNNNNNNNNNNNNNNNNNNNNNNNNNNNNNNNNNNNNNNNNNNNNNNNNNNNNNNNNNNNNNNNNNNNNNNNNNNNNNNNNNNNNNNNNNNNNNNNNNNNNNNNNNNNNNNNNNNNNNNNNNNNNNNNNNNNNNNNNNNNNNNNNNNNNNNNNNNNNNNNNNNNNNNNNNNNNNNNNNNNNNNNNNNNNNNNNNNNNNNNNNNNNNNNNNNNNNNNNNNNNNNNNNNNNNNNNNNNNNNNNNNNNNNNNNNNNNNNNNNNNNNNNNNNNNNNNNNNNNNNNNNNNNNNNNNNNNNNNNNNNNNNNNNNNNNNNNNNNNNNNNNNNNNNNNNNNNNNNNNNNNNNNNNNNNNNNNNNNNNNNNNNNNNNNNNNNNNNNNNNNNNNNNNNNNNNNNNNNNNNNNNNNNNNNNNNNNNNNNNNNNNNNNNNNNNNNNNNNNNNNNNNNNNNNNNNNNNNNNNNNNNNNNNNNNNNNNNNNNNNNNNNNNNNNNNNNNNNNNNNNNNNNNNNNNNNNNNNNNNNNNNNNNNNNNNNNNNNNNNNNNNNNNNNNNNNNNNNNNNNNNNNNNNNNNNNNNNNNNNNNNNNNNNNNNNNNNNNNNNNNNNNNNNNNNNNNNNNNNNNNNNNNNNNNNNNNNNNNNNNNNNNNNNNNNNNNNNNNNNNNNNNNNNNNNNNNNNNNNNNNNNNNNNNNNNNNNNNNNNNNNNNNNNNNNNNNNNNNNNNNNNNNNNNNNNNNNNNNNNNNNNNNNNNNNNNNNNNNNNNNNNNNNNNNNNNNNNNNNNNNNNNNNNNNNNNNNNNNNNNNNNNNNNNNNNNNNNNNNNNNNNNNNNNNNNNNNNNNNNNNNNNNNNNNNNNNNNNNNNNNNNNNNNNNNNNNNNNNNNNNNNNNNNNNNNNNNNNNNNNNNNNNNNNNNNNNNNNNNNNNNNNNNNNNNNNNNNNNNNNNNNNNNNNNNNNNNNNNNNNNNNNNNNNNNNNNNNNNNNNNNNNNNNNNNNNNNNNNNNNNNNNNNNNNNNNNNNNNNNNNNNNNNNNNNNNNNNNNNNNNNNNNNNNNNNNNNNNNNNNNNNNNNNNNNNNNNNNNNNNNNNNNNNNNNNNNNNNNNNNNNNNNNNNNNNNNNNNNNNNNNNNNNNNNNNNNNNNNNNNNNNNNNNNNNNNCACAAUUUCAUCCCUUAAUCUGAGAAAAUUGAUCAGUCUCGAUAGCUUUCGUCAGAACAUCUGCCAACUGUUUCUGAGUGCUGCAGUGUACAACUUCUACACUCCCUCUGAACUUGAUGUCUCAGAAAAUGAUACUUGGUCUCAAUGUGCUUGCUUCUCCCAUGCAAUAACUGGGUUUUGGCAAGAUUGAUUGCAGACUUGUUGUCAAUCAUCAGCUUUCAGAGGUUUGUUUACUUAAUCUUCAGCAUCCUGUAAUAGAUUCAGAAUCCACACAGUUGGCAUGCAGUAACAGCACCUGCCAAUGUAUUCAGCUUCACAAGUUGACAACGCACAAACAAGGUUGCUUCUUGGAACACCAAGAAAAUGGAACCUCCCAGAAAUUUGAAUAAGAUCACAGCAGAUCUACUUCUUCUGUCAAACUCUGUCUCCACACCAAAUCAGAAUCUGAAUAAUCAGAAGUUUUGACUCAUCCUUUCUUCCAGAAGGAAAUAAUACAUCCAUACUUCAGAGUUUUCCCUUGAUAUUACCUCAGAAUCCUGACAAGCAGCUUGGUAAUGGGACACUUAGGUUUACUCAUGAACCUACUAAUCAUCCAACUGAAUAGCAAAUAUCAGGUCCUGGUAUUGCACAAAUACCUCAGAGAAACCAACCAACUGUUUGAAGGUUGUAGCGUCACAUCCUUUCCAAUCAGAGUAGAAAUCCAGUUUCUGAUUUGUAUCAGAAGGUGUGGACGCAAUCUUAACAAUUCUUCAGUUUCAAAUCUUCAAGAAGUUUCUAAUUCAUAACUUGAGCUGAUGCAAAAAUAAAUUUACCUUUUUCUCAGAGUAAUCUGAACUCCAUCCUAGAAAGUAUGUUCAUUUUUGCCUUCUUUAAAGUAUUCACAGGUUUAUUUUUUUUUUUCAAAUUUUUUUUUUCGAAUUUUUUUCUUCUCCUUUUUUGUCGCCGUGUUUCCCAAUGAAUCCGAACCGGAGCUCUAGAUACCAAUUGUUGGUGCAAAGAUAGAAUGAAUGGAAAUAUUCUAUUAAGAAUGACGGCUACAAAACAUGAUAAAAGUUACAAUGAUUGUCACCUUAUUUAUAAGCUAAAACUAGGGUUACUAGAAUAGGAUAAAAUACUAAAAUACCCUCUAACAAACUUAGGGGCUAAGAAAAUAGUACAGCUAAUAAAUAUGAAUUACUUCUAAUAAGAUUGUUGCUUCUUUGUUGGAACCCAUGAAGCAAGGGAGGGUUGACGUGAAGCUAUGAUGCAUAUUUUUACUUCGUUAAUGGAUGAUGUCUUGAUGUUGUAAAUUAUUAAUAAUUAAUAAUUUUGAGUGUGUUUCAAAAUGACAAGAAAAUAUGCAUGUGAAGUUAAUAUUUUGAAUUCGAAAACAAGCAACGGUUGGUGAAUUGUUGCAAUAGGAUGUUUACGAAAAUAUACAACGGUUGGUGGACUAUUGCAAUAGAUAGUUUGUUUGAAUUCAAAAGUAGCAACGUUUUUUGAACCGUUACAGUAGACUGUUUGUUUUAUGAAUCAGAAACAGGCAACAAUUUUGAACGGUUGUCGUAGGUGAAAAGUUACAACUUUCAACAAAAAGUGUUGUUGAAAGGAUGUGUAUCAUCAAGGGUCGCAAUAGCCUAUAAAUUAAACAUUCUUGAUUCAGAAAAAAGAUAACAAAAACAUAUAUCUUCUUCACUAAAUUUCAGAUACUCUUUCCUACAUUCGAGUUUUCAUCAAUUUUGUGCAAACUCGAGUAUAUGCUGAAUUUUCAUGGAUAUUUUUGUAUUCCAACUCUAAGACAUUUGAGAGUGCUUGAAAUACUUAUAAGAAAAAUGAUUUCGUUCAUGAUUCUAACCCCGAUCCAUUUGAUUAAGUUAAUUUUCUAACAAUCUUAUAUGUAUAUCAAAUAAGCAAUCGAGGCUUCCGUUUCAAACACCAAAGGAUAAACGGUUGUAUGGACACCCAUUAUAAAAACAAGAAUUAUAUCAUGGAUCUGGGUACGUUUUCAUUAUUUUUCAUAAAUAAAUUAAAGCAAUAGAAAAUCAUAAUAUCAAGAGUUUAAAUAUGUAAUUUUGUAUCAAUUGAUAUUAGAACAUGGUUACGUAUAUUAUGUAUCAUAUCUUUGCAUGUGAUUAUUUUUCUUAUUGAAAUUGAAAACUGAAUUUCGGUAUGUGCUUCGAUGUAAACAAACAAAAUGAUGUUGCUGUUGCAGUGCCUUUUUGUCUGUCAUCACAUAUUUACUUAUUAAUUAAGUUUGGUGUAUAAAAUGUAGUCAAUAUUCUAAUAUGAAGAAUAAUAUUAUGAUUGAAGUCUGAAAUGACUUAUAGCAUGACGUUUGAACUCUGUAAUCGUUUAUAAUGUGAUUUUUAGCGUUGGUCUUAUUCAACAGUAAUAUAACCGAUGCUGAAUUUGUGGACUUUUUUAAUCAGUUACCUUUUUUUGAUUUUUUAUUCGUUAAAUACCCUACUUUAAAAUUAAAUUGCCAAAGUGUCCCUUUUUUCAGUAUUCAGUUCGUCCAAUGAAUGGACGAGUUGUUGAAGAUAUUUUGCGGUAGUAUGGACUCGGCUAAUAGUUGACCGAGCUAUUGAAGGAAUAAUUUGUUUUUUAAAAUUUAAAUAUAUUUAUUAUUAAUAAAUAUUUUUCAAAUCUACACAAAUAUUAUUGAUUCUCCAUGCAAGUUACAGAUUUUAUUGAUUAAAUUUUAGUAUUAAUAAUAAAUAUUUUUCAAAUAAAAUUAUAAUUAUAAAAGUGGUAUUUGAAAAACAUUUAUUAUUAAUAAUAAAAUCGCUAAGAAUUUUCUAUAGAUAUAAUUAAUGAUAUAAAUAAUUAUAUUAAUUAAACAUAUAAAUAAUUGUAAUGAAUAAUGGAUACUAGUAAUGAAAACAUAUCAUCAAAAAUAUCUUUUUUUGCUACUAUUAUAAACUUGCAAUCUCUACCUGUGAUUUCAAAAGAUGGAUCACAACUGGAUUAAACAUUAUUAUGAAAUUAAAAUAUAUCUUUCAAGUAUAUAAUUCAAUUUAUUACUUUAUAAUAUUGUCAAAUUAAAAUAAUUUUUAUUAUAAAUCAAUUAUAAUUUAUCAUACUUUAUUGUUUAAACAUUAUUUUUCUAAAAAUAUGUGGUUAAGAUAAAUGUUAAAGAGUAUAUUUUAUACAUGGAAAAAUUAUUUUUCACUAAUGUAAUUAGUUAAUUUAACUUUUUUCCUAUUUUUUAAAUAAAAAUAAUUAUAAUUAUAAUAUCAUAAAGUGGUUAAGAUAAAUGUUAAAGAGUAUAUUUUAUACAUGGAAAAAUUAUUUUUCACUAAUGUAAUUAGUUAAUUUAACUUUUUUCCUAUUUUUUAAAUAAAAAUAAUUAUAAUUAUAAUAUCAUAAAGUUAAAUUAACGAAUUACAUUAGUGAAAAAUGGUUUUUCAAUAUAUGAAAUAUACUCUUUAACAUCUAUCUUACAUUUUCAGAAAAAUAAUGUUUAAACAAUAACAUGUGAUAAAUUAUAAUUGAAUUAUAAUCAUAAUUAUUUUAAUUUGAUAAUAUUAUAAAGUAUUAAAUUGAAUUAUAUACUUGAAAUAUAUAUAUUUUAAUUUGACAAUAAUAGAUAUAUUUUCAUUAAUAGUAUCCAUUAUUUAUAUGCUUAAUUAAUAUAAUUAUUUAUAUCCUUAAUUAUAAUUAUGAAAAAUUCUUAGCGGUUUUAGUAUUAAUAAUAAAUGUUUUUCAUAUUCCACUUUUAUAAUUAUAAUUUUAUUUGAAAAAUAUUUAUUAUUAAUACUAAAAAUUAAUCAAUAACAUCUGGGUAGACUUGAAUAUCACGAAGAAUCAAUAACAUAGGGAAUAAAAAACCAAAAAAGGGAAUAAAAAACCAAAAAAGGGACAAGGGAGUAACAAAGUCGAGUUUGUGAGAAACUUCAUGUAAAUUUUACAUUAAAAAAAAGGAAGUUAAUUUAUUCAAUUAAUAAUAUAAAGGUUGUUGUCACUUAGAAUGUAUCUAAUUGUGCUUUUCAAAGAUAUUGUUGACAUGAACAUAAAUUAGAAUAUAAUCAAUUUUUAAAUAUAUAAUAUCGGUGAAUUGAUUGUAAAGUUUUAUCCUCUUUGUUUAUGUUUUAAAUUAAUUUGCAUCAAAAAAGAAAAUAAUAAUAAUAAUAAUAAUAAAAUAAUAGUGAAAAUAUAAAUAUAAAUUGAAAAUUUGAAAUUCUAAAGUAUGAAUUGGUUGAUUACUAAAUGAGUCAAAUUUAUUAACAUUCAUGAUUUCAAAUUAUGUAAUUGAGUUUUGAUUUGGAUUCUAUAUGAAUAAGAUGAUUGUGUUCAAUGAAACUUAUUAUUAAGUCCUAUAAAGAUUAUCCGAAGAUGGAUCAUGACUUAUAUAGACUUUGGAUUUUGGAGUUUAAUGUAACUUAUGAAUCCUAAGAUAUGAUUUUUUUAGAAUCUUAUCACGGAGGAUAAGCCACAAAUGAAGAACCUCGUGAGGAAGGUUCUCCACAGUUGUUGAAACACAAACCAAAAGUUCGUCACUAAUGAAGAAUCUUGUGAUGAAUGUUCUUCAUGGAUUGCUGAAAUAUAAUCCUAACUUAGAAUAAGCAAGAGAAUCUGAAAGACCAAGGAUCUAUGACUGAAUAAAAUUGAUAAUCAAUUUAGUUCUUUUAUCUAAUGGAAGGAAGUAGUAAGAAUUUUGUUCAAUUCAAGUGACUUCUCUUGUUUAGAAUGAAAUAUCAUAGUGUGAUGAUACAUUAAACACCUACAAGACUAGAUUAGUAGUCAUGGGUUUUAGAUAAAAAGAAGGUGUUGAUUAUUUCAACACAUAUGCACCGGUAGCAAGGAUGGCGAAAAUUAAAGUAUUGUUUGCAUUAGUUUCUUUGCAUUACCUUAUAAUUCGUCAAAUGGAUGUGAAAACGCUAUUCCAAAAUGAAGAUCUUGAUGAGGAGAUUUACAUGGAGUAACCAUAAGGCUAUGUGUUUCUUGGUACUGAACAAAAAGUGUGGAAGCUUGUCAAAUUCAUGUAUGGAUUAAAAAAAAUAAGCACUGAAACAAUGACAUAAAAAGUUUGACGUUGUCACUACAAGAUUCACCAAUUAAUGGGGAGACACACAACUUAGGGGGAGAUUUUUCAAUCAUUAUCAAAACAAGAAUUCAAAGAGUUUGUCAUCAUCAAAAGAGGGAGAUUAUGAAGAAUACAUCUUAUAUCGUUCAGUUUUGAUGAAGACAUGGAUUAUCAAAGAAAAAGGAUCAAAAGUGUCAUACACAUCAAUAAUGAAGUCGAUAAAAAAGGUUUAACAUCGAAAUUUAAGUGAAGAUUUGAGACAAGUGAACAUAACAAAGGUGCUCAUUUCAGUUUAUACUAUACUACUUUAAAUUGCUCACAGUUUCUGUUAGUGUAAUCAAUACUUUUGGUACUUGUAUCAAAUUAUUUAUUAAUAAUAAAAAGUUUUUUCUUUAUUAUAUUUGUUUAAUAAAAUCCCUAGAAUAGCUAGUCCGUUUAAUGUAUCAAGUGUGACUUAAUCAUGAGAUCCCAUUAAACAUAAAGAUAUUAUUCUUAAAGUAUCCGUAGUUGAGCUUUGUUGUGAAGUGGGAUAAUAUUAAAGCAUUAAGACUAUUAUGUAUAUAGACUGAUGAUCACAUCUCAUUGAUCAUGGAUAAGGAGUUAUCAAGUCUUAAACAUAAGUAUGAAUAUUAGGAGUAAUAUUUAUACUGGAUUGACUCCCUAUGAGAAUACUAUAUAGAAUGUUAUGCAAAGUGUCAUAAUUUAUUCUCAUGGUGAUAAUGGUGUAUACCACCCUUCGACCCGAAACCACUAUGGACCCUAGAUGUAGAGUCGAGUGUCUUAUUGUUGAUCAAACUUUGUCCGCAACUGGAUGACCAUAAAGAUAAUUGAUGGGUACUCUAUGAAGCUUGCUGAGGGACAUGAGUGACCUAGAUGGAAUUUGCCCAUCCUGCGUAACAGGAUAAAUGUCUACGGGCCCAAUAUUGAACUGGACAAGGAUGACACGGUCUAUGCCUUGUGUUAAAUAUAGACAUAAGUGCAAAAGGGUAAUUGUACACAUAAGUAUUAUCACAAAAGGAUUUUUCAGAUCACAUGACAUUUUCGGGUCUUGGGUAGCAGUGAUGUGUUGCUAGAUACCGCUCAUUGUUUAUUAUGUUAAAUAUGUGAUUUAAUAUAAUUGUCAAUGCCGCGAAAACCUACAGGGUCACACACAAAAAGGAUGGAUUGAUAAGAGAUAGAGUAAAUAAGGAGCACCGUAAGGUACGGCGCACUUAAGUGAAUUGUAGAACAUCGUAACGUACAGUGCACUUAAGUAGAUUACGAAAUAUGAUAAGGUACCACGCGCUUUAGUGAUUUUGGUAUAUCAUAAGAUAUGAGCCACAUACACUUAAGUGUACUUUUUAGCUUACAGCCCACAUAAGUGGUUCUAUAAAUAAAACCCCUAUGCAGAAGCAUUUGUUCAGAUGAAAAUUUCGUUUCUCUCUCUCUCUCUCUCUCUCUCUCUAUAUAUAUAUAUAUAUAUAUAUAUAUCUAUCUCACACGCACACACACUCAAAGCCUUCAUUCGUAGCAGCUAGCACUGAGAUUGAAGGGAUCCAUUCGUGUGGACUGAGUAGAGGCGUUGUCACCAUUCAACUUUCGUGAUCACUCAUUCAAUCUAUAUCAAGGGUUUCAAUCGCCACAAGAGGUAACGACUCUAUCAUUGAUCAUGCCCAUUCAUAAGGAUCACUAAAGGAGAAAUUUUAAUUUCCGCUGCAUUUUGGAUCGUUAUUCUCCUUCAGUGGUAUCAGAGCCACUUACGAAACCAUGCAUCUGAUAGCUGUUUAUUUUUUGUAUUUUCUGUAUUAAUACGAUUAAAACAUAAAAUUAAUCAAAGAAUACACGAGUAAUUAAAUUUUUCAUCACGUGUGUAUGAUUUGGAUGAUUGAUGUUGACUAUGCUUCAGAAUCCGACGUUAAUAUGGUGAAGCAGUGAUACAUCGAUCGUCCAUAAGUUACACAAUUGAGAUCGAUCAAGUUAUAUAUAUGAUAUAAGUAAUUCUGAUGCAAAAUAUGGUAUAUAUGAUAUAAUAUUUCUCUUUCGUUCAUUCAAACAGUUAAUGGUUGUUUUCCUUUGAGCGAUCAAUGGUCAUUUGCUUCGGAAUCAGACGAAAGUAUGGUGAAGCAAUGACAUGUUGAUCAAUCAUACUGAAUUAACAAUCGAGGUGUGUUUGACGGUAUGAAAUUGGUGCAUUAGGAUUCAUGACGGUACAAGGGUUAUGUUGUCAAAGAGUUAUGUGAUUAGGGUUGUCAUUGUGCAAGAGUUGUGAUUUAAAGUAUCAAGUGUUGAUGCGAGAAUCGAUGUUGAUAUCAAAUGAAUUGUUCAUUAAAAUUUUGCAUCGGGGCGCUGCCCCAUUGACCCCCGUCCGUUGAACGGUCAGCAGAACCCCCUGCUAACUCUGCGUAGGGUGAUCAGUCGCUAAAAUUUAAUUUGGUUUAUUUAAUUAACAUAAUUUAAAUUAAUAAUAAUAAUGUGUUUAUUAUUAUUGUCUUGUGGUGAUCGGUUAUGACCUUAGUUUUUAUUUAUUUUAUUUUGGGAUUUUAAAAUACGACUUGCGCGUCGUGCCUCUCUUUUAAUCUCUUAAUGUAACUUCUUUUCUCAUCUCACUCCCUCGUAUGUAAAACGAGUUUCUUUUAUGUAAUAUAAUGUUAUGAAGAAAGAGAAGAAUACAAUAUCAAAGGAGGAACCUUGAAGAUCUGCUUGGAGAAGCUUAGAUCGUUAUUAGCUUAACUUAGGUUCUCUCAUUGACUUGGGAGAACAAUUGCGUUAUGGGCCAUCAAUGUAUGUUGAUGCAUGUGAGAGACGAUUAUAUGAUAAAUAAGCCGGUGAGAUCAUAAUAAUUGCAAAUUCUCUCAAAUUAAAUAUUAAGUUUAUGUUUUCCAAGUUUUAGCACUCAUCAAGACUAGUAUCGAAUAAUGUAGGUUUCGCCUACGCGAGGUGCAUGUUCUAUAUUAGUAAGGUGCGAUGGGAUAAUUGUAAUAUCCAAUUUCUAAAACAAUGGUUCAAACUUAACUAAACAAAUUAUAAUAAGAUUAUAUAUGUUUAGAAGCAAGAGUUGGAAAUGAUCCAUAUGAUGGAUUGGAAUAAGGAGUUAUUCACCCAACUAAAAUAUUCGAGAGUUAUAUUAGAUACAAUUGGAAGGAGUUCCUACCUAAAUAACCUAGCUUUAUGUAAUUCGCCUACGUAGACUUAAAACAAAGUGAAGUGUGGAUCUCGACCCACUAGAAAAUCUUCCAAUGGGAUUUUUCGAAUCAAAUGGUGAGGAUCAUUUGUUUUGAGUAAAAUAGUGGGAGUAUAUUUAAUUAAAGGCCUAAUUAAAUAUGUUAUUUUAGUGAUACUUAUAUUUUCAUUAUUUUUCAUGUAUAUUACCAUGACAACCAUGACAACAAACACCUCUAACAACAUUUUGCGAUCAAUCCUUGAUAAGGAAAAAUUGUCUGGGACAAAUUUUCUGGAUUGACACCGAAAUCUGAGGAUUGUCUUGAAACAUGAUAGAAAGUUGUAUGUCUUGGAGAAACCUGUUCCUGAAGAGAAACCUCCUAGUUCUGCACCUAAGGCAGAAAGAGAUGCUUAUAAGAAGCAUGUCGAUAAUGCCAAUGAAACUGUUUGCCUCAUGCUAGCUACCAUGAACUCAAAGUUGCAAAAGAAACAUGAGAAGAUGGUAGCAUUCGAUAUGAUCAAACACCUAAAGAUGCUCUAUCAAGAGCAGGCAAGGCAUGAAAGGUUUGAAGUUUCAAAAGCCCUUUUUCAAGGCAAGUUAGCUGAGGGAACCCCUGUAGGUCCCCAUAUUCUCAAGAUGAUUGGAGAUAUGGAGAACCUUGAAAGGUUGGGUUUUCCCCUCAGAAAGGAACUUGCAACUAAUUUGAUCUUGCAAUCAUUGUCAGAUAGCUUCAGUCAAUCUGUCCUUAGUUUCAAUAUGAAUGAUAUGGACAAAUCUCUUCCUGAACUGCUAGCCAUGUUAAGAACUACUGAGCAGAAUUUGAAGUCAAAAGGGAAGUCCACUAUGAUGAUCGGAAAUGGAAAGAGACAGAACAAAAGACCCACCAAGCAGGAUGGUAAAGGGAAAGGCAAGGAAGUUGCCAAACCCAAACCCAAAGCUCCUGCUUUGAAGUCUAGUGAAGGAAUAACUAAGGAAGGCACCUGCUUCCAUUAUGGUAAGACUGGACACUGGAAGAGAAACUGCCCAAAGUACCUGGAAGAUAAGAAGAAUGAAGUAGAGACUUCAACUUCAGGUAUUUUUGUUAUUGAAAUUAAUUUAUCUACUUCUGCAUCAUGGGUAUUAGAUACUGAUACUGGAUGCGGUUCUCACAUUUGUACCAAUGUGCAUGGGCUAAAAAGGAGUAGAGAUUUGGCAAAAGGUGAAGUUGACCUACGAGUUGGCAAUGGAGCAAAGGUUGCUGCUUUAGCCGUAGGAACUCAUGUAUUGACUUUACCUAGUGAUUUAAUAAUUCAAUUAAAGAAUUGUUAUUAUGUACCUGCAAUUAGCAAGAAUAUUAUUUUUGUUUCUUGUUUAGACAAGUUUGGUUUUUCAUUUAUAAUAAAGAAAAAUUGUUGCUCCAUUUAUUUGAAUGAUAUAUUUUAUGCUACUGCACAAAUGAACAAUGGACUAUAUGUCAUUGAUCUUGAAAUGCAUAUUUAUAACAUUAAUACUAAAAGGAUGAAGCCUAAUGAGUUAAAUCCAACUUACCUUUGGCAUUGUCGAUUAUGCCACAUAAAUGAGAAACGCAUUUCCAAACUCCAUAAAGAUGGACUCUUGGACUCUUUUGAUUAUGACUCAUAUGAGACAUGCAGAUCUUGUUUAAUUGGAAAGAUGACAAAGUAUCCAUUCACAGGAAAAGGUGAAAGAGCUAAUGAUCUUUUGGCCCUCAUACAUACUGAUGUAUGUGGACCAUUGAACAUACCAGCCAGAGGAGGUUUUCAGUACUUCAUCAUAUUUACUGAUGAUUUUAGUAGAUAUGGUUAUGUGUAUUUAAUGAAACACAAAUCAGAGUCCUUUGAAAAGUUCAAGGAAUUCAAGAAAACCAGCCAGAGGAGGUUUUCAGUACUUCAUCAUAUUUACUGAUGAUUUUAGUAGAUAUGGUUAUGUGUAUUUAAUGAAACACAAAUCAGAGUCCUUUGAAAAGUUCAAGGAAUUCAAGAAUGAAGUAAAAAACCAAAUAGGUGAGAAUAUUAAAACUCUUUGAUCAGAUCGAGGUGGUGAAUAUUUAAGCCUAGAGUUUUAUGACCAUUUGAAAGAGUGUGGGAUUCUAUCCCAACUUACUCCUCCUAGAACACCCCAAUGGAACGGUGUAUCUGAGAGAAGAAAUCGAACCUUGUUAGACAUGGUCCGAUCCAUGAUGAGUCACACUGAUCUUCCAAACUCCUUUUGGGGACAUGCACUAUUGACAAUAGCUUACACACUUAACCGUGUUCUAUCCAAAAAGGUUGAGAAGACACCAUGUGAGAUAUGGAGUGGUAAGAAACCACAUAUGUCUUACAUGAAGAUUUAGGGUUGCGAAGUUUAUGUGAAAUCACAAAUUUCAACUAUGUUUGAGCCCAAAUAUGAAAAAUGCUUAUUUGUGGGGUAUCCUAAAGAAACAAGAGGGUAUUACUUCUACAAUCCUUCUGAAGGCAAAAUAUUUGUUGCUCAAAUUGGAGUUUUCCUAGAAAAGGAUUUUAUUUCCAAAGGAAUCAGUGGGAGGAAAGUAGAGCUUGAAGAAAUUCAAGAAUCACAAAGCAUUGAUACACCUAUGGAGGAAUUAGAGAAGGAAACACAAGUAGCUAUGGAAGAAUUUAAGCAUGAUCCAACGUAGGUCAAGCAGGAUACGUCACUUUCUGAGAGAUAUGGAUAUCUCAUAACUGAUCAAGAUGAUGUAUUACUCAUGGAUCAAGAUGAGCCUGUGACCCCAAGAGGCCAUAAUCGGUCCCGAGUUUGAGAAGUGGCUAGAAGCCAUGAAAUCUGAAACAGAUUCCAUGUACACAAACCAGGUUUGGACCUUGGUAGAGCCUCAUAUAGGAGUAACCCUAUAGGAUGCAAGUGGGUCUUCAAAAAGAGAUGACAUGGAUGGUAAGGUACAUACCUAUAAGGCAAGACUGGUUGCAAAAGGAUAUAAACAAAUUCAUGGGGUUGACUAUGAUGAAACCUUUUCACCAGUUGCAAUUCUUAAAUCUGUUUGGAUUUUACUUGCUAUCGCUGCAUAUCAUGAUUAUGAAAUAUGGUAGAUGGAUGUCAAAACUACUUUCCUUAAUGGGAAUCUUCUUGAGGAUGUGUACAUGACACAAUUUAGAGGAUUUGACAUACCAGAAGAAGCCCAAAAGAUAUGUAAGUUACAAAGAUCAAUCUAUGGAUUGAAGCAAGCUUCUAGAAGAUGGAAUCUUCAUUUUGAUGAAACAAUAAAACAAUAUAGAUUCAUCAAGAAUGAAGAUGAGCCUUGUGUCUAUAAGAAGGUUAGUGGGAGUAUGAUCGUCUUCCUGGUAUUAUAUGUAGAUGACAUAUUACUCAUUGGAAACGAUGUCCUUACCCUGCAACAAGUAAAGUCUUGGUUGGGGAAAUGCUUUUCUAUGAACUACCUAGGUGUAGAAACCUAUAUAUUAGGAAUCAGGAUCUAUUGAGAUAGAUCACAAAAACUGUUUGGCCUAAGUCAGAGUACGUACAUAGACAAAGUGAUGAGACGCUUUAAUAUGCAUGAUUCUAAGAAAGGAUUCAUACCUAUGCAACAUGGCCCGUGUCUAUCAAAAACACAAUCCCCUUCAACUAAGGAAGAAAGGGAUCGCAUGAAUAAGAUUCCAUAUGCAUCUACAAUAGGAUCUAUCAUGUAUGCCAUCUUAUGUACUCGACCAGAUGUCACGUAUGCUUUAAGUGCAACGAGUAGGUACCAAUCUGAUCCCGGUGAUGCUCAUUGGGUAGUUGUCAAGAAUAUCCUUAAGUAUUUGAGAAGGACUUAGGACUCAUUCUUGAUAUAUGGAGGUCAGGAAGAGCUUGCUGUAAUUGGAUACACCGAUGCUAGCUUCCAGACAGAUAAGGAUGACUUUAUAUCGCAAUCUGGUUAUGUGUUUUGCUUAAACGGUGGCGCUGUGAGUUGGAAAAGUUCAAAGCAAGAUACAAUUGUUGAUUCUACAACCGAGGCCGAGUAUAUUGUUGCCUCAAGUGCAUCAAAGGAAGUUAUUUAGAUCAAAAAGUUCAUUAGUGAACUUGGCAUAGUUCCUAGCAUUGUGGAUCCCAUUGAUCUCUAUUAUGAUAACAAUGGUGCUAUCGCACAAGCGAAGGAGCCUAGAUCUCACCAACGAUCCAAACACAUACUUAGGCGUUAUCACCUCAUUUGUGAGAUAAUAGAUAGAGGAGAUGUGAAAAUAUGUAGAGUACCUACACUUGACAAUAUUGUUGACCCACUGACAAAGCCUCUUGCGCAGCAGAAGCAUGAUGACCAUACUAGAUCUAUGGGCAUUAGGGGUAUGCCUGAUUGGCUCUAGUGCUAGUGGGAGAUUGUUUGGUGUAAGCCCUAGAGGCCAAUAUUUUGGUACUUGUAUUGAAUUAUUUAUUAAUAAUAAAAGGAUUUUCUUUAUUAUGUUUGUUUAAUAAAGUCCCUAGAAUAGGUAGUCCGUUUAAUGUAUCAAGUGUGAUUAAUCAUGAGAUCCCAUUAAACAUAAGAAUCAAUAUUCCCUUAAAAAGUAUCCGUAGUCGAGCUUUGUUGUGAAGUGGGAUAACAUUAAAGCAUUAAGACUAUUAUGUAUAUAGACUGAUGAUCACAUCUCAUGGGUCAUGGAUAAGGAGUUAUCAAGUCUUAAACAUAGGUAUGAAUAUUAGGAGUAAUAUUUAUACUGGAUUGACCCUCUAUGAGAAUACUAUAUAGAAUAUUAUGUAAAGUAUCAUAAGUUAUUAUCAUGGUGAUAAUGGUGUAUACCACCCAUCGACCUGAAACCACUAUGGACCCUAGAUGUAGAGUUGAGUGCCUUAUUACUGAUCAAACAUUGUCCGUAACUGGAUGACCAUAAAGGCUGUUGAUGGGUACUCCAUGAAGCAUGCUGAGGGACAUGAGUGACCUAGAUGGAAUUUGCCCAUCCUGCGUAACAGGAUAAAUGUCUAUGGGCUCAAUAUUGAACUGGACAAUGAUAACACAGUUUAUGCCUUGUGUUCAAUAUAGACAUAAGGGCAAAAGGAUAAUUGUACACAUAAGUAUUAUCACAAAAGGAUUUGUCAAAUCACAUUAAAUUUUCGUGUCUUGGGUAACAGUGAUGUGUUGCUAGAUACCACUCACUGUUUAUCAUGUUAAAUACGUGAUUUAACAUAAUUGCGAAUGCCGCGAAAACCUACAGGGUCACACACAAAAAGGACGGAUUGAUGAGAGAUAGAGUAAAUAAGGAGCAUCGUAAGGUACAUUAGUGAAUUGUAGAGCAUCGUAAGGUACGGUGCACUUAAGUAGAAUACAAAAUAUUGUAAGAUACCAUGCGCUUAAGUGAUUUUGGUAUAUCAUAAGAUAUGAGCCACAUACACUUAAGUGAGCUUUUUAGCUUAUAGCCCACACAAGUGGUUCUAUAAAUAGAACCCUUGUGCAGAAAUAUUUGUUCAGAUAAAAAUUUUGUUUCUCUCUCUCACUCACUCAAAGCCUUCAUUCGUUGCAGCUGUCGCAAUGCGAAAAACAACCGGCGGAAAAUAACAUGUUUACAGAGCCGCCACCGACGCUAUUCAUCCUAUGACAGAAAGGAAGCGCAGGACUAACCUAAGAAAAGGGAAAGGAACGGUCUUACGACCAGAUAUUACAAGGUACGGGAGUCAGUUACGCAAGGGGAAGGUAUUAGCACCCCUCACGUCCGUCGUACUCGACGGGAUCCACGCUCAAAAGAAUAGAAUAAGGUUGCUAAAUAACUGCUCAAAGAGAAUGCACACACACUGGAAUAGUAAAACAGGUGAAAGAAGAUGGAGGAAGCGGACUCGGCAGGAUGUCGCAUCCUGGGCCUACGUAGUUUGUUAGAAACAAACAUCAGAGUCAACGUAGUUCGGGGAAUGGGGAACAUGCUCGCUAGGACAUCGCAUCCUAUGCCUACGUAUCUUCUCUAUCCAGAGUAAGAAUCAGAGCACUCGUAGCUCGGCUAACGCACGCCGAAACAAACACCGAAAAGAGACGCUGAGACGUCAAAAGAAACACUCAACAGGAAACGGAAUGCCAAUCCAUGGACUUACACCCGACUCCUGACAAUAAAAAGGAAACAGAAUACCAAUACAUGGACUUACAUCCGACUCCAAACAAACAACACAAACAAGGAAACAGAAUGCCAAUACAUGGACUUAUAUCCGACUCCAAACACACACACGCUAACUAGCGAACACCAAAGCAAAAGGUUAUCAGAUUGACAAGCUAAUAGGGAGUCUGGAACUCGAGCCUAAUAGCUGUCACAAAAACAUAAAGAGACGCUGAGACGUCAAAAGAACAAAAGAUUGACACACACAGACUCAAAAAAGAAAAAGGUUGCCCGGAGAGAUCUCGCACAAUCUCCUGCCUACGUAUCUCAUCUGGUAUGAGAAUCAGGGCGACGUAGUUCCCCUUAACAGGGGAAAAGGAGACAACAAACUAAUAGGGAGUCUGGAACUCGAAACUAAUAGUGGCGAACAAACAAAAAGAGAAAGAGACGCUGAGACGUCAAAAGAAACAAAAGGUUGCCCUGAGAGAUCUCGUUCGAUCUCCUGCCUACGUAUCUCAUCUGGUAUGAGAAUCAGGGCGACGUAGUUCCCCUUAACAGGGGAGAAACACUAUCCUAACCAGAGACCAGGGAAGCAAACAAACUAAUAGGGAGACUAAGACUCGAGCCUAAAAGUUGUCAUGCAAACGAUAUCCCUAAGUUGAGGUCUCUAAUCAUGCAUCUAUCUCACACAGGAAGCAAGUCAGUUCAAACAGCAAAUAAACACCAAUCACAAAUGAUCAAGCAUCACACACUAUAUACAUACAAGAGCGAGUCUGUUUACCAACCCGAAAUCAGUUCUCCCCAGUAUAGAACCUCGACAAACAAGCCAAAACUAUAGGGGUAUGCUGAAGCUCUUAACCACUAACAUUGAGAGUUAGGGUGAAGCUGAUGAAAUGUGGUAAUGAGGAUAAGACCUCAUGCUCUUAACCCUGUCCUGGGUGAGCUCAAAUCAAAGAAAGCUUGGGGGUCCCAAAAGAGGGACCCUAUUCCACUUGACCGACCCUAUACAGAGAUCUUGGGUACAUGUUCUAGAGGAUCAGCACGUAGUGCGAGCAUAAUGAACGACUCACUAAAUAACAGGGGAUUGAUUGCUAAUCCCUUCUAUCUGUCAAUUGCCUCUUCACUUAGGAGGACUUAACAAGUAACACGCCUCACUUGGAUGCCUUUGGCACAAAUGUAAACAAACACAAACAGUGCCUCUUAAGGAGGACUUCAACCAAAAUUCCUGCCAAAAAGGUGACAGGGCUUCCAGACUACAUGGAGUAAGAGGGCUAAACUACCUCAGUGGUGUAUCAACCACACUCCAAAGCUUAAGCAAAAGCAAAGCUAGCAAGCAACUAAUGUACCUGUACAAAAGCCAAACAGUUAAUAUUGUAUUCAGAAAACCAACAGACAACAACAAUAGUACUUUCCAAUAUCUACACAAUGCAAGUCAUUAGUGCAAGCACUCAAGUGAGUUCAUCACUUCAAUUGACCUAUGACACAAACAUUUAGUAAUCAAAGCAACUUGCAUCUCAAGUAAUGAGACCACACCAAUCAUCAAAGCCAAAAGCUCAAACCUGAAACACAAAGCACAAUUAGUAUGUACAAAACAAACUAGUGCAAAUACUAGGCUCAAAAGCAAGUCAAAUGACCAAAACAGAAGUCAAUACUUCACAUGAAGCACAUUUAAUCAGACAAGAAAGAGUACUCAAAAGGACCAAAACCAAAUCAUAAGGCAAAGCCAUCAAAUGAUCAAGGUAAAGCUAAGGCAAGCAAAGUGAUCAAAAUUGGACAUCAAAAAUAGAAAAUCCAAAUCAAAACAGAAAAGCAUCCAACAAAACCAAAUCAUAAGGCAAAGCCAUCAAAUGAUCAAGGUAAAGCUAAGGCAAGCAAAGUGAUCAAAAUUGGACAUCAAAAAUAGAAAAUCCAAAUCAAAACAGAAAAGCAUCCAAUGAUCAUGAAAUUUUUUAUGCAAGCUCAACAUGUUAAGAAUGAACAUCAUGCAAAACAUUACGUCCAGAAGAGCUCAAAUGAUAUGUAAAUGAAAAUGCACAAAUGCAACAUCAAAUAUGUGACACAAAUUGUCACACCAUAUGUUCAUGUGUCCAAAACAAUGAUGGCGUAUGAUAAAAAUGUCAAACCAAAUCUCAAAAAUCAUGUCACAUGUUAGGAUCAAGCAUGUUAAAAUUCAAAGCAAUUGGAUUAACCAUGAGCAUUUCACAAACAAAUGAAUGUAGCAUGUCAAUUUGGCAUCAUGUUCAAUCAUAACUUCACAAUUUAAAAUCCAGCAACAAACACAUCACGAAAAUAACAUCAAAAAAUAAUAGACAUCAACGUAAGCAUGUGGAAAAAAAUUUGGAUCAAUUUGGACAUGUCUUCUAUUUUUUAUGAUUUUUAGAAGUUGAAUGAACAAAAUGAAAUAAAAUGAAAAUCAUGUGGAAAAUGAAAUGUGAAUGAAAAAUCAGAAAGUGCAUAGCCAAGUAUUGAACACAUGUAAGCACAGUCAAGGAGAAAAUCAAAUGAAAUUUGAAGAAAUGCAUGGCGAGGUAUCGAACUGAUGCGCGCUAGGAUAAAUGAUAAGGUAACAAUAAAAUUCACAAAAACAAACACGCUAGGAUCGAACCCGUGCGCUAAGGCUCAAAGGCGCCUUCAUCAAAACGCUGCGCAUCAAGGUUGAGAAAUGCUAAACAAUUGAAAAUCCAAAAUGCAACUGGCCAGGAUGGAACCAGCGCUUUAAGGCUCAAAGCGUGUUUACUCAAAACGCUGCGUUUUGGAAACGCAAACCCUAGCCAAACGCAGACGGCGGUGGACGGCAGUUUCCACCGUCUUCUCCGACCGUGUACACGGCGGAGCUACAGGAAUUUUUUCCAGAAUUACACGAAACGCACACCAAUCGAAAGAGUUUUCAAUGUAGGUCAUGAAUCUCAUAUUCAUUUCCUCUAAAUCAUCAUGAAUCAAGCAGAUCGAAGGAAAACAUUUUGAACAACCAAACUUUAAAUUAUCAUAUCUUGAUCAAUAUCCAUCCAUUUCAAAAUCUAAUUAUAUCAGCAUCAUCAACACAACAGGAUCUAUCUAAUCAUGGCAAGAAAUUGGAGAAACGUUAUGAUCGAAAUUCAACUUACUUGAAGUGCAGUGAUAAAAAACCAUGUGUUCAAGCCUCCAAAACUUCCAUAUCCACUCUAGUAAUCUUGAUUUGAAGCUUUGUGCACGAAUUAACCGUUGAAUUCACCUAUAUCCAGCUCAUUUUCAAGAUUCCAUUGAUAUGUGAAUGUUCAUGAACCUGCUCAAAUCUUGCUCAAUCGCUACGAAUGAUGGAUGAAUCUUGCUCCAAAUUCCACCAGGAUCAUGAAUAUGCAAAGAGAUUCAAGCUUUGUGUGAAGAAUUUUGAAAUUCAAGGAGAGAGAAAAAAUGGAGGGAAUGUGAAUUUUCAGAUCUAGAAUUGUUGUUAUGGCAAAUGUAGUUAGGUUUUAGUAUUUAUAUGAUGUGUUAAUGAUGCUGUAAUCAAGAUUAGGCUUUGGCUAAUUAAAAAUUAAGGAGAUGUAAGGUGUAAUGCCAAAAAUGCAAGUGUGAGGUAGCAUGGUAAAUGUGUACGUGAACAGUGCCAUGCAAGGUGCAAUUUCACUCAAAAUCAAACAAUAAACAUCAUGGAAUGGUUAAAUGGCUUGUAUGAUUCACCAAUUUUGAGUUCUCCAUUUUCCCUCCAAAAUGUACAUGUUUGGACACUUGAUCAUGUGAGCUUCUUUUAUUCAAGGCAAUGAUUGAUUUGGAAUCUCUUGGUCAUAAGGAGCAUUUUGCAAAAAGAGUGGACCAAUUUGGAGUUUUGGAUCAAAAGUUAUGGCAUUUUGAAGUUCCAUGCAUACUUUGCAAUCAUUUGUCUAUAACUUCUCAACCAAUUAUCAGAUGGACAUGAUAUAGGACUUUUUGAAAAGAGGAGAGAAAGAUAUUCAAUUUUCAUGUUCACCAAAAAUCCAUUUGAAGCUUAUUUGAUGUUGGAAAGUCAGGUUGAAAGUGGACCAAAAACUUGCCAUUUUUCGAAACUUGAAAUUACAAGUCACUUUCCAUUUUUGGAAACUUUUGCCAUGGCUUCAAAAUCUUCAAGAUAGAUGUUUGAAAUGACAAAUGGACUUCUUUUGAACAUGAUUGAGGUGUCUCAACUCAUUUCCCCACCUCAUAGCCCUCAGUUGACUGCAGAGUUGACUUCUUGUGGUCCUCAGAUGACCUUGACAUACCCUGAUCAGCUUGAACCUCCACCUUUUGAGGAAAAUGGCUCAGAAAUGAAACCCUAGCUCAUAUAAGCCGAACAUAAUGAUCAAGUGAUCCUCUUCAUCAGCAAAUACCUCCUUUCUUUGAGAAGCCCUGGUUGAAAGAAUGGCAUUGAUUAGGGUUGACCAGAGGUCAAAACCCUAAUCCAAAGGAACUUGAGCAUAGCCCUGGUUGAAAGAAUGGCAUUGAUUAGGGUUGACCAGAGGUCAAAACCCUAAUCCAAAGGAACUUGAGCAUGCACAAUGAAGCCCUGGAUGAUGACAUAACCAUGAUGAUGGUAAUAUAUCCUUGAAAUCAAGACAAUGCUCAAGACCUUUGAAGGAUCAGGAAACCCUAAUUGAAGUACAAACCCUCAGAUGGUUGAUCAUCAAUCCAUGGAAACCCUCAGGCUUGAAUCAUGUAACAUCUCCCUCUUCUGCAAAGACGUUGGAGGAUGACUUUCUUUUAUUCUCAUAUGAUAUACAAAAUGCAAUGCCUAAUGUCCUAAAAUAUGAAAUGCAAUAUCUCAAACUAGUCCCAAGAAGAGGAGGGCAAAUUUUGAGGUGUUACAGCUGCCCCUAUUCAAUCCACUGUGAACCUGUCGAUAUGAACAACCUCGGCUUUCAGAUGAUCAGAGUGAAGAAUGGUUGAAUACCAAGAACAGACGAACAAUUUGCACUCCGCUGGGAAUUAAGUAACAAUGCUUGUUAGAAUCGGCAAAGAGGUGAUCUUAAAAGAAGAAUCUGUCUGGUACGGUGAGAGUCGGCCUGAAUACCGAAAAGAAUAUUUAACCUGGAUACCAAAAUAAAUGGUAACACAGGAAUAACCCUGGCCUGAAUGCCGCAUCCGCUGGGGAUUAUUAUUACUUUUUUUUUUCUUUGCUUGGACCCCAGAACUUCUUUGAUUUUUUUUCUGCUUUUCUUGAACCCCAAAACUUUUUGAUUUUUUUCUGCUCUUCUUGAACCCCAGAAUUUUUCGCACGAGUGAUCCCCGAUCACCGCAUUUGAACCCCGACAACUUCGUCACUCUUGCUGCCAAACAAUGAACCCCGUUCUCCAUUUUCCCAUGCUAAUUCCGUUGGCAAUGCCGGAAAUAACACCAACCACCACUCUGAUGGCGACAUAUCAGAGGAUACACCUUUACAACAGGAAGGUAAUCAUGUGCAUUUCUUCCCUCGAAGAAACCCAUAACGACUUCUCCGGCCCUCGCCAAAGUCUAAGGUGACACAUGAUCAGAAGACAAUCCUGAUGACCUCAUCCCGGAUACCAUCUUCAACUCCAAUCUCCAAUUGAACCCCGUUCUCCAGAAAAUGCCCAACACUUCCUUUUCUCCAUUUGAACCUCGUUCUCCAGAAAAUGCCCCGCACUUCCUUUUCUCCAUUUGAACCUCGUUCUCGAGAAAAUGCCCCGCACUUCCUUUUCUCCAUUUGAACCUCUCAAUUUGAACCUCGUUCUCCAGAAAAUGCCCCGCACUUCCUUUUCUCCAUUUGAACCUCGUUCUCGAGAAAAUGCCCCGCACUUCCUUUUCUCCAUUUGAACCUCUCUCUCAAGAAAAUGCCCAACACUUCCUUUUCUCCAUUUGAACCUCGUUCUCCAGAAAAUGCCCCGCACUUCCUUUUCUCCAUUUGAACCUCGUUCUUCGCGCUGAUCGCGUAACGUUCUCCGAUCUUCAUUUCCAUCUCCUCCCAACGGAAUUUCCUCCUCCAAUAUCGCGCUACUGGGGAAUAUUAUUGCUCCAACGUCAUGAUGCUAAACUCCUCAGAGUAACAUCUUCCAACUUCCAUCUCCGCACGACAGAAAUUCUUCCUCCAAUAUCGCACUACUGGGGAAUACCGUUGCUCCAACAUCAUGAUGCUAAACUCCUCAGAGUAACAUCUUCCAACUUCCAUCUCCGCACGACAGAAAUUCUUCCUCCAAUAUCGCACUACUGGGGAAUACCGUUGAUCCAACGUCACGAUGCUAAACUCCUCAGAGUAAAUCCUCAGAGUAACAUCUUCCAACUUCCAUCUCCGCACGACAGAAAUUCUUCCUCCAAUAUCGCACUACUGGGGAAUACCGUUGAUCCAACGUCACGAUGCUAAACUCCUCAGAGUAACAUCUUCCAAUCAGCAAAACCAAUUCUCAAACGGUAACCACGGCUUGAGACUAGUUUAUGCUUGCAAUGCUGAUGCAUGCGUUUUUUUUACAGCGUAAUGCUCCAUAACCAUGGAAAUGCUACGCAAUGAGUUAUGCAAUAUGCUAUGCUUCUCUAAAUGAUGAAUGCAUAAAAAGUAUCCCCCCUAGGGGACUCUAUUGGGGAGCUCGAGGAACUCGAUAUCGCUCCAAUCUCCAAUCCUGCUUGGGAAUAGCACUGCUGUUGGGGAAAGGACAAUCCCUUACUAAGGAUGACCUCCGCUGAACCCGAUCCGCUUGGGGACUUUGCUGGGGAAACAGCUACCAACGCACACCUCCGCUGGGGAAACAACAACCUUCAAACUUGCUGGGGAAAUAACAUUCUCAAUCCUGCUAGGAGAAACAACAACUUUCAGGCCUGGCUGCCGAAGAAAUACCGAUCUCGAACCUGCUGGGGAGGAACAACAACCUUCAGGCCUGGCUGCCUAAGAACUACCGAUCUCGAGCCUGCUGGGGAGAUACGACAUAUUUGACAUGGAACGCCCGUCGACUCAUCGAGUAAUGGCAUUCACCAUUCAACCACAGUAUCGGCCUUCCACUUUUGAGACUUUGAAGAGUCUUCUUGAUUCAUCACCUUGUAUUCUCGACUUCUCUCUACUCCGAGACAAUCGAUCUCCUUAGAUUCGGGCCAACUCUCCAGUCCUCAGACUUUGAAGAGUCUUCUUGAUUGAUCUUCUAGGAUCGUCGCCAUUCUUUCGCCGUCUUUUCACCAUUCUUCUAUCCCUCGUCCCUGAUUGGACUCGAAGGAAUCUUUCGUCAAAAAGCUUCACAUCACAACCUGCAAGUGAGUGAAAAUAUCUAACAGCACCUGCAAAAGAGAUCGUUAGAUAAAAACGUGCCCCAGGCGUGCCAAAAUCUUUCGUCAAAAAGCUUCACAUCACAACCUGCAAGUGAGUGAAAAUAUCUAACAGCACCUGCAAAAGAGAUCGUUAGAUAAAAACGUGCCCCAGGCGUGCCAAAAUUUCAACACCCAGGUCACUCUACCUUCCGAAUAAGAUUUCAGGUUUUCAAUCUUAUGAACAUGCAUUGGAAGGGACCCCUAUGUCUCAAAAUGCAAAGAUUCUUAUCAAAAUAAACGGAUGUUUUUGUAAUCAAAGCGGUAAUGAAAACAAAAACAAAAUUAUGUGACUGAAUAUGCAUUUUAUUGAUUGAAAAGGUGGCUCGUAACUGAGCAAUACACAGGAAGCAAUCCCUGAAAAGAGGUAAUUGCACAAAAAAGGAAAAUAUAUCCUAAUGGCAAUGUGAAACCAUGAUCUCAUCGAGUUCCAACCCGGUUACAACCCAUAUGUCCUCAAGACUCUCCGUGCUUUCUGCCUUCCGAACAAGACGCUUCCGAUCGAUCCCUACUGGGGAUUAUCCACUUGUCAUAUCCAAAGUACAAACGAUCAUGCUAGACGCAGUUGUUCGUUUCAUUCCCUCUUUUGCCUAGACCGCCCUCUCGGGUUUUCAGUCCACCGGGAUACCCUUUUUUGCCCAAGUCGCCCUUGUGGGGUUUUCGACUUGCCGGGUGUACAGUUUUUUCUCUUUUUAUCCCUAAUUUUUGCCCGAACCUUUUUCAUUUUUUCUGGUUCGCCGGGAUGCCCAUUUUUUCCUGGACUAUUUUAUUCUUUUCGUCCAGGCCCAGAGAAUAUGCUUCAUAAAAAAUUGACGCAGGCGAUUCACAGGGGAUGGAAAAUCCUCGCCAUCCAUGGUCGUCAACAACAAGGCUCCACCAGAGAAAACCUUCUUGACCACGAACGGACCCUCAUAAUUGGGUGUCCAUUUUCCCCGACGAUCGUUAUGAGGAGGAAGGAUCCUUUUCACCAUCAUAUCUCCCACAUGAUACACACGAGGUCGUACCUCUCGGUCAAAGCACGCUUCAUUUGCUGCUGGCACAACUGCCCAUGACAAAUGGCCGCCAGCCUCUUUUUCUCAAUCAGGCUCAACUCUUCAUACCGAGUCCUUACCCAGUCAGCUUCUUCCAAUUUCACGUCCAUCAGGACUCUCAAUGACGGAAUCUGGACCUCAACUGGUAGCACGGCUUCCAUCCCAUACACCAGCGAAAAAGGCGUUGCCCCAGUAGAUGUACGCACCGAGGUUCGAUACCCAUGCAAUGCAAACGGCAACAUCUCGUGCCAAUCCUUAUAGGUUACGACCAUUUUCUGCACAAAGCACCGAGGUUCGAUACCCAUGCAAUGCAAACGGCAACAUCUCGUGCCAAUCCUUAUAGGUUACGACCAUUUUCUGCACAAUCUUCUUAAUAUUCUUAUUAGCUGCCUCGACCGCCCCAUUCAUCUUUGGACGAUAAGGAGAAGAAUUUUGAUGCUCGAUUUUGAAUUCCCGACACAGUUCUGCCAUCAUCUUGUUGUUGAGAUUAAAACCAUUAUCAGUAAUGAUUCUUUCGGGAACCCCAUAUCUGCAAAUGAUGUCUCUUUUCAGGAACCUGGCAACGACCUGUUUCGUCACAUUUGCAUAAGAUGUCGCUUCCACCCACUUGGUGAAGUAGUCGAUAACCACUAAUAUGAACCGGUGCCCAUUCGAAGCCGUAGGCUCAAUCUUCCCGAUCAUAUCAAUGCCCCACAUAGCAAACGGCCACGGAGAUGACAUCAAACUCAACGGGUUUGGAGGCACGUGCACCUUGUCAGCAUAAAUCUGGCAUUUAUGACACUUCCGCACGAAGUUGAAACAUUGGGCCUCCAUUGUCAUCCAGUAAUAACCAGCUCUCAACAACUUUUUCACCAUUGCAUUCCCGCUGGCAUGAAUACCAAACGACCCCUCGUGCACCUCUUUCAUCAAUUGGCUUGCUUCUUUGUCAUCGACACAUCUGAGCAACACCCAAUCAAAAUUUCUCUUAUACAAAACCCCAUCCUUGUUCAGAUAGAACACCAUGGCCAACUUCCUCAGAGUCUUCCGGCCUUUUUUAGACGCCCCCUCGGGAUACUCUUGGGUUUCCAGAUAGCGCUUGAUAUCAUAAUACCACGGCUUUUCAUCAUCAGGCGUUGUGUCGACAGAAAACACAUAAGCUGGUCUAUCCAGACGUCCCACCUCAACACUAGGGAACUGAUUCCACCACUGCACCUUAAUCAAGGCAGACAGAGUAGCCAAAGCAUCUGCCAAAGGAUUCUCUUCUCUCGGCCCAUGGUGUAAUUCCACCUUGGUGAAAAACGUCAACAAUCUCCUCGUAUAGUCCCGGUAUGGAAUUAAAUGAGAUUGAUGCAUAUACCAUUUCCCGUUAACCUGGUUCACGACCAAAGUUGAAUCCCCAUAAAUGACAAGGUUCUUGAUCCGCAAAUCAAUCGCCUCUUCAAUACCCAAGAUACAAGCUUCGUAUUCAGCCACAUUGUUGGUGCACUCAAAUGUUAGCCGGGCAGCAAAAGGAAUGUGGGAUCCUUUCGGCGUAACCAAAACAGCACCAACUCCACUACCAUUCACGUUAACGGCCCCGUCAAACAUCAGAAUCCAUUCGGAUUCAGGGUCAGGCCCCUCCUCCGGGAUUGGUUCCUCACAAUUUUUCGAUUUGAGAAACAUGAUGUCCUCAUCAGGGAACUCAAACUUCAUCGGUUGAUAAUCCUCAAUGGGUUGCUGGGCGAGGUAAUCAGACAAUACACUCCCCUUGAUUGCUUUCUGAGAGGUAUACUGGAUAUCAUAUUCAGUCAAAAUCAUUUGCCAUCUCGCAACCCGUCCGGUCAAUGCUGGCUUCUCAAAUAUAUACUUGAUCGGAUCCAUCUUGGAAAUCAACAAAGUGGUAUGAACCAACAUAUACUGUCUCAGCCGGCGAGCAGCCCAUACCAAAGCGCAGAAAGUUUUCUCGAGCAGUGAAUAUCUUGUUUCAGAGUCGGUAAACUUUUUGCUAAGGUAAUAAAUUGCAUGCUCUUUUCGACCAGACUCGUCAUGCUGCCCCAGUACGCACCCCAUAGACCCCUCGAGGACUGUCAAGUACAGAAUUAACGGUCGUCCCUCCACAGGAGGCAUUAGAAUCGGAGGCUCCUGCAAAUAUUCUUUUAUCUUUUCAAAUGCCGCUCGGCAAUCAUCAUUCCCUGACCGUUUGAUCUUUUCUCAACAACUUGAAUAUGGGUUCACACGUGGCUGUUAGAUGAGAUAUGAACCGUGAAAUGCAGUUCAAUCUACCUAAGAAACCACGAACCUCCUUUUCUGUUCUCGGUUCAGGCAUNNNNNNNNNNNNNNNNNNNNNNNNNNNNNNNNNNNNNNNNNNNNNNNNNNNNNNNNNNNNNNNNNNNNNNNNNNNNNNNNNNNNNNNNNNNNNNNNNNNNNNNNNNNNNNNNNNNNNNNNNNNNNNNNNNNNNNNNNNNNNNNNNNNNNNNNNNNNNNNNNNNNNNNNNNNNNNNNNNNNNNNNNNNNNNNNNNNNNNNNNNNNNNNNNNNNNNNNNNNNNNNNNNNNNNNNNNNNNNNNNNNNNNNNNNNNNNNNNNNNNNNNNNNNNNNNNNNNNNNNNNNNNNNNNNNNNNNNNNNNNNNNNNNNNNNNNNNNNNNNNNNNNNNNNNNNNNNNNNNNNNNNNNNNNNNNNNNNNNNNNNNNNNNNNNNNNNNNNNNNNNNNNNNNNNNNNNNNNNNNNNNNNNNNNNNNNNNNNNNNNNNNNNNNNNNNNNNNNNNNNNNNNNNNNNNNNNNNNNNNNNNNNNNNNNNNNNNNNNNNNNNNNNNNNNNNNNNNNNNNNNNNNNNNNNNNNNNNNNNNNNNNNNNNNNNNNNNNNNNNNNNNNNNNNNNNNNNNNNNNNNNNNNNNNNNNNNNNNNNNNNNNNNNNNNNNNNNNNNNNNNNNNNNNNNNNNNNNNNNNNNNNNNNNNNNNNNNNNNNNNNNNNNNNNNNNNNNNNNNNNNNNNNNNNNNNNNNNNNNNNNNNNNNNNNNNNNNNNNNNNNNNNNNNNNNNNNNNNNNNNNNNNNNNNNNNNNNNNNNNNNNNNNNNNNNNNNNNNNNNNNNNNNNNNNNNNNNNNNCUUCUUCGGCAUGAUAGAUUGGAUUGUCGAAGUCAUAUGAGGGUGUAACAGGAUUGUUAUCAAUGAGAUCCGGAGAAUGAUCGCAUCUGCAUGAAUGUUGAUUCAUGCAUUGCUUUUAGAACCGGAGCGAAGCAAACUAAAAGAAAAAUGAAAACAAACAUUGCCAUUUUUAUUUAUUUCUAUUAAACUGCAAAAAUAAAUGAAAAACAGGGAACACCGCUUUGUGUGAAAAAAACAUCCUUUUAUUGAUGAUGCAAAUAUUGCAAAAUGAAACACAUGAGGUGGCCCUUACAAUGAACCAUUACGUUUCGGGCAAAACGUAUGACUUUCAUGCAGACAGAAUUGAAAAACAGAAAUAUUACUCUUCACGUAGAGUGACAGUGAUGAUCUUUUCGGCCUUCCAGUUCUGGAUCUCCAUCCCUGGUACGCACGGUUUUAUCCACGAGUCGAGCUCGCAGUCACUGUCAGUCUCUUCACCCACCACACAGACAUGACCUGCAUCCUCAAAAAUUUCACCCACCAUCGUCUGACCAUGUGCCGGCAUGGGAUUAACAUUAACAUUCGGCAACAGUGUAAAAUUGAUGGCUUUGGAAUCCACCAAGUCUUGGACAGCAUGCUUAAAAGCUUUACAACCCUCAACAUUAUGCCCGGGAGCACCAGAAUGGAACUCACACUUGACGUUCUCAUCAUAGCUUACAGGCCUCUGGUCUGGUCUCAAUGGAGCUAACGUCUUUAACUGUACCAUCCCGAGAUCCUUCAACUUCUUCAACAGAAGAGCAUACGUCAUAGGUGGCUUAUCAAACUGACGAUCUGCCAUCCUUCCUCUCACUUGGUACCCAGCUCUCUGUGUUCUCUGUUGAGGUGACUGCUGUUACUGUUGUACAGAUUGAUCACCAGCAGGAAUUGUUACCGCAGCAGUAUGCUGGUAGUAACGAUCCCUACCAUGUCCUCUUUGGGCAUAGACAACACUCGUGUCACCCUCCUUCUUACGCUGACCGUUCCCAAAUGGCUUCUUCGAUCCAGACGACGAAGCAUCUCCCUGUACCUUCCCCAUUUUCAGCCAGCUUUCAAUUCUCUCCACCUUCUCGGCGAUUGCUUUCUGCCCCAAGGCGAACCCUUGCAUGAUGUUGGUCAACUCACUCAUCUUCUCCUUUUGCUCGAGAAUGUCAGCGUUGGGUGGAUCCAUCAGUUUGGGUUUGUUGCGUCUGGUAGGGUAUCUGUGCAAACGAGCUACGUGCAGAGGAAUGAUUCGGCGUGCGCGAGCAAUGAUUCCUGAGACAAUCAAACACGUUAGAAACUGACACCUGCAAAACAGAAGACAGGUUAUUAUGACUCACGAAUGAAUGCAAUGUCUAUCCGUAUGAGGAACAUUCUGUCCUUUGACUUUGGCUUCAUCGAGACGGAUAAUAAUUUGACAAUAACAUUCUGACAUCAGGAUGUCUCUCAAUCCAGAAUCUCAAUCGAGAAUAUACCCUGAGUAUGGAUAAACAUGAGCUAGAUGCGGAUGAAUGCAAAAUGGGAGUGAUGCAGAUGCAUGAAUGCAAGUCACAGUGCCAUCCUCCAAGUCAUAUGAACAUCAAUUGUACGGAUAUUCCGGUCUCUGGACUGAUCACAACCAUCUGAGGGACUGAGUAACCAUAAAUCCAACUCGGGGUUCCGAAAUAAACGGAACCGGAGGAUAUAUCAUCAUCAUCACAGGAAAUCCACCGAACGGAUAACAACAAGAUCCUCUGAACAAGUACCCUCAAAUUCAACCCGGGGAUCCGAAAUAAAUGGAACCCGCUGAUAAAUACCACGGACAGAACUCCGGCGUCUCAGAAAUAAAUCCAUAAUCCAACUGAACCAGAAUCACCAUCAAAUAGUCACCAACAGAACUUGUGCUGUAGGAAUCAAGCCCUCCCCUCACAGGUGAAUUCUAUAAGGUCAUCCUAAGGCGGAUAAUGGUCUCGACAAUCGGACAAGAUACUCAACGGGUUUGCCCUUUCGGGUGUGCCGUUGCAGCUCUCAUAAGAUCAUCUAAACCAACCCUCACAGGUGAAUUCUAUAAGGUCAUCCUAAGGCGGAUAAUGGUCUCGACAAUCGGACAAGAUACUCAACGGGUUUGCCCUUUCGGGUGUGCCGUUGCAGCUCUCAUAAGAUCAUCUAAACCAAAGAUCCGAGAAAGAACGGUCACCGAAGUCAACAGCUCAAAAGAGGUAACCCAACCAAAGUGGAUACUCCACGAGGAGGGGCUCUCUCAAAAGAACCUCGUCCGGCUGUGGUAUGUCACGUCUCAACAUCAUGUCAUCACAACAUGUGAGGAAACAUGAGACCACACUAAUCCUAGGUGUAUACUCGGGCCUGGGUUUUAGCCCCACUCAGAACACCCACCCCAAAUCAUAGGAACCAAACCUGUCCAGAAUCCAGCACAAUAAUAAUAUGAUGCAUGCAAACAUAUAUGCAAAUAUAUACAAUAUAAUAAUCACAAAUGCAAUAAAUAAAGCAGCAAAAGAAACCAAAGCUACCCUAAAGAGCGCUAGGAUUGACUCGCUUAGGGAAGAUGGACCAGCAAGAGGUCAACUGUAUUUCCCCAGCAGAGUCGCCAGCUGUCGCAAUGCGAAAAACAACCGGCGGAAAAAAACAUGUUUACAGAGCCGCCACCGAUGCUAUUCAUCCUAUGACGGAAAGGAAGCGCAGGACUAACCUAAGAAAAGGGAAAGGAACGGUCUUACGACCAGAGAUUACAAGGUACGGGAGUCGGUUACGCAAGGGGAAGGUAUUAUCACCCCUCACGUCCGUCGUACUCGACGGGAUCUGAAAUUCUAGUUAACAGACUUUCGAUGUCACACGGGUUGUUAUGACAUCCAAUUCUGCGCAGACAAGGAUUAUGCAGAAAACAGUAAGUGCAGUAAAUAACACGAGUAAUUGUUUACCCAGUUCAUACCAAAAUGCCUACGUCUGGGGAGUACCAAGCCAGGAGGAAUCUGACUAUUAGUGUAUUAUUUCAGACCUUAAACCAACUGGUUACCCUAAUACUAUAAAAACAACCACCAAUGCAAUCAAUCUACGCAGAAUACAGAAGUUCACUAUCAUCCCAUUCACUCAUGUUAUACCUUUGUCAUAUUGAAAGAAAUUGAAGACCACUUCAAACAACUCUCUUGAUUGUUGAUUAACAACAUUAAUCAAGUAUAACCUACGUUAAAAGUUUUAGAGUGAAAACACUUAAACUCAAUGACACCAAAUAUACCAAAUGCAAAUCAUCUAUUAUAAAAUAAGUAGCUUGCAGCUUACAUAUGAACUAAUACAAGACUACACAAAAAAUAUCAAGACAAUGAAGUAUGAUGACACAAUCUUCACGCCUCAAAAUCCCCAGUUCUGAAGACGAAUGACUUCCUAAUAUAAUUUUUUUACUUAUUUUUUUGACAGUUGGGCCUGGUAUUGUAUUCCCUGAAUUUAAGGCUACUCAACGGCGAAAUUCCCUAAUAUCCAAUCAGGUUACCUAACAAAUAGCUGAGUUUGUUUGGAUAUCAUUAAAUGAUAGCUGGACUUAUUUCCUGGGGUUCUCUCAGCUGUUGAAUCCUGAAGAAUAGCCUGAGAAAAAGAAUAGAAAACAGAAAACAUAACAAUACGAAAUUAGCAUAUGCCUCAAAAGAUACAGAAAAAACAAGAAAAAAACAGAAUGUCAGUAACAAGUCGCUUACAUCAAGGUCCAUAUGCAGUCUUUUUUCCUAAAAACGACGAGUACAUAAUUUUGCUACAACUGUACGGACCAUAUGCCAUUUACGUAACGUUAAUUAAUAAAUGGUCAAGCAUCCCCAAUGACAUUAUAACAUUUAGCCUUAAGUCAGCUUCUGUUAAUCUCUUGAGAACAAAUAUAAACAUACUGAAGUGGUGUCAAGCAGAAACACACUCUGUCUAUGUUCAGUAUAUGCUUUCAGAAUAGACAUUCAUACAUCCAAGAUAUGACAUUAAGACAGUAAAGCCUUAUGCCGAUCUGGUAUUUCUUGAUAACCGAUGAAAAUAAAUACUGAGUUCUAACAGAACACAACUGAUUCUAUUCCUCAGUAUCUGCUGACAGGGAUGAAUGUCACCACAUCCACUUUGACAUUCAAUAAAUCCUGUAUUAGCUAAUCCUGCAGUAAACUACUCAAGUGUGUCAUGACAUCAGUCAAGACAUUAGAAUCCAGCUAGUGUUUUACCAUACAAUGCAGCCAAUUAAACACCUACAGGAUCCACGCUCAAAAGAAUAGAAUAAGGUUGCUAAAUAACUGCUCAAAGAGAAUGCACACACACUGGAAUAGUAAAACAGGUGAAAGAAGAUGGAGGAAGCGGACUCGGCGGGAUGUCGCAUCCUGGGCCUACGUAGUUUGUCAGAAACAAACAUCAGAGUCAACGUAGUUCGGGGAAUGGGGAACAUGCUCGCUAGGACAUCGCAUCCUAUGCCUACGUAUCUUCUCUAUCCAGAAUAAGAAUCAGAGCACUCGUAGCUCGGCUAACGCACGCCGAAACAAACACCGAAAAGAGACGCUGAGACGUCAAAAGAAACACUCAACAGGAAACGGAAUGCCAAUCCAUGGACUUACACCCGACUCCUGACAAUAAAAAGGAAACAGAAUGCCAAUACAUGUACUUACAUCCGACUCCAAACAAACAACACAAACAAGGAAACAGAAUGCCAAUACAUGGACUUAUAUCCGACUCCAAACACACACACGCUAACCAGCGAACACCAAAGCAAAAGGUUAUCAGAUUGACAAGCUAAUAGGAAAUGCCAAUACAUGGACUUAUAUCCGACUCCAAACACACACACGCUAACCAGCGAACACCAAAGCAAAAGGUUAUCAGAUUGACAAGCUAAUAGGGAGUCUGGAACUCGAGCCUAAUAGCUGUCACAAAAACAUAAAGAAACGCUGAGACGUCAAAAGAACAAAAGAUUGACACACACAGACUCAAAAAAGAAAAAGGUUGCCCGAAGAGAUCUCGCACGAUCUCCUGCCUACGUAUCUCAUCUGGUAUGAGAAUCAGGGCGACGUAGUUCCCCUUAACAGGGGAAAAGGAGACAACAAACUAAUAGGGAGUCUGGAACUCGAACCUAAUAGUGGAGAACAAACAAAAAGAGAAAGAGACGCUGAGACGUCAAAAGAAACAAAAGGUUGCCCGGAGAGAUCUCACUCGAUCUCCUACCUACGUAUCUCAUCUGGUAUGAGAAUCAGGGCGACGCAGUUCCCCUUAACAGGGGAGAAACACUCUCCUAACCAGAGACCAGGGAAGCAAACAAACUAAUAGGGAGACUAAGACUCGAGCCUAAAUGUUAUCAUGCAAACGAUAUCCCUAGGUUGAGGUCUCUAAUCAUGCAUCUAACUCACACAGGAAGCAAGUCAGUUCAAACAGCAAAUAAACACCAAUCACAAAUGAUCAAGCAUCACACCACUAUAUACAUACAAGAGGCUCAGACAAAUGGUUGGGCUUUAGUCAAGAGGGGUCAUAUCAACCUCGACAAACAAGCCAAAACUGUAGGGGUAUGCGGAAGCUCUUAACCACUAACAUUGAGAGUUAGGGUGAAGCUGAUGAAAUGUGGUAAUGAGGAUAAGACCUCAUGCUCUUAACCCUGGCCUGGGUGAGCUCAAAUCAAAGAAAGCGUGGGGGUCCAGAAAGAGGGACCCUAUUCCACUUGACCGACUCUAUACAGAGAUCUUGGGUACAUGUUCUAGAGCAUUAGCACGUAGUGCGAGCAUAAUGAACGACUCACUGAAUAACAGGGGAUUGAUUGCUAAUCCCUUCUAUCUGUCAAUUGCCUCUUCACUUAGGAGGACUUAACAAGUAACAUGCCUCACUUGAAGGUCUUUGGCACAAAUGUAAACAAACACAAAUUGCUAAUCCCUUCUAUCUGUCAAUUGCCUCUUCACUUAGGAGGACUUAACAAGUAACAUGCCUCACUUGAAGGUCUUUGGCACAAAUGUAAACAAACACAAACAGUGCCUCUUAAGGAGGACUUCAGCCAAAAUGCCUGCCAAAAAGGUGACAGGGCUUCCAGACUACAUGGAGUAAGAGGGCUAAACUACCUCAGUGGUGUAUCAACUAAUGUACCUGUACAAAAGCCAAACAGUUAAUAUUGUAUUCAGAAAACCAACAGACAACAACAGUAGGACUUUCCAAUAUCUACACAAUGCAAGUCAUUAGUGCAAGCACUCAAGUGAGUUCAUCACUUCAAUUGACCUACAACACAACCAGAGUUAGUAAUCAAAGCAACUUGCAUCUCAAGUAAUGAGACCACACCAACCAUCAAAGCCAAAAGCUCAAACCUGAAACACAAAGCACAAUUAGUAUGUACAAAACAAACUAGUGCAAAUACUAGGUUCAAAAGCAAGUCAAAUGACCAAAACAGAAGUCAAUACUUCACAUGAAGCACAUUUAAUCAGGCAAGAAAGAGUCCUCAAAAGGACCAAAACCAAAUCAUAAGGCAAAGCCAUCAAAUGAUCAAGGUAAAGCUAAGGCAAGCAAAGUGAUCAAAAUUGGACAUCAAAAAUAGAAAAUCCAAAUCAAAACAAUCAUAAGGCAAAGCCAUCAAAUGAUCAAGGUAAAGCUAAGGCAAGCAAAGUGAUCAAAAUUGGACAUCAAAAAUAGAAAAUCCAAAUCAAAACAGAAAAGCAUCCAAUGAUCAUGAAUUUUUUUAUGCAAGCUCAACAUGUUAAGAAUGAACAUCAUGCAAAACAUUACAUCCAGAAGAGCUCAAAUGAUAUGUAAAUGAAAAUGCACAAAUGCAACAUCAAAUAUGUGACACAAAUUGUCACACCAUAUGUUCAUGUGUCCAAAACAGUGAUGGCAUAUGAUAAAAAUGCCAAACCAAAUCUCAAAAAUCAUGUCACAUGUUAGGAUCAAGCAUGUUAAAAUUCAAAGCAAUUGGAUUAACCAUGAGCAUUUCACAAACAAAUGAGUGUAGCAUGUCAAUUUGGCAUCAUGUUCAAUCAUAACUUCACAAUUUAAAAUCCAGCAACAAACACAUCAUGAAAAUAACAUCAAAAAAUAAUAGACAUCAACUUAAGCAUGUGGAAAAAAAAUUGGAUCAAUUUGGACAUGUCUUCUAUUUUUUAUGAUUUUUAGAAUUUGAAUGAACAAAAUGAAAUAAAAUGAAAAUCAUGUGGAAAAUGAAAUGUGAAUGAAAAAUCAGAAAGUGCAUAGCCAAGUAUUGAACACAUGUAAGCACAGUCAGGGAGAAAAUCAAAUGAAAUUUGAAGAAAUGCAUGGCGAGGUAUCGAACUGAUGUGCGCUAGGAUAAAUGAUAAGGUAACAAUAAAAUUCACAAAAACACACAGGCUAGGAUCGAACCCGUGCGCUAAGGCUCAAAGGCGCCUUCAUCAAAACGCUGCGCAUCAAGGUUGAGAAAUGCUAAACAAUUGAAAAUCCAAAAUGCAACUGGCCAGGAUCGAACCAGCACUCUAAGGCUCAAAGCGCGUUUACUCAAAACGUUGCGUUUUGGAAACGCAAACCCUAGCCAAACGCAGACGGCGGUGGACGGCAGUUUCCACCGUCUUCUCCGACCGUGUACACGGCAGAGCUACAGGAAAUUUUUCCAGAAUUACACGAAACGCACACCAAUCGAAAGAGUUUUCAAUGUAGAUCAUGAAUCUCAUAUUCAUUUCCUCUAAAUCAUCAUGAAUCAAGCAGAUUGAAGGAAAACAUUUUGAACAACCAAACUUUAAAUUAUCAUAUCUUGAUCAAUAUCCAUCCAUUUCAAAAUCUAAUUAUAUCAGCAUCAUCAACACAACAGGAUAUAUCUAAUCAUGGCAAGAAAUUGGAGAAACGUGAUGAUCGAAAUUCAACUCACUUGAAGUGCAGUGAUCAAAAACCGUGUGUUCAAGCCUCCAAAACUUCCAGAUCCACUCCAGUAAUCUUGAUUUGAAGCUUUAUGCACGAAUUAACCGUUGAAUUCACCUAGAUCCAGCUCAUUUUCAAGCUUCCAUUGAAAUGUGAAUGUUCAUGAACCUGCUCAAAUCUUGCUCAAUCGCUACGAAUGAUGGAUGAAUCUUGCUCCAAAUUCCACCAGGAUCAUGAAUAUGCAAAGAGAUUCAAGCUUUGUAUGAAGAAUUUUGAAAUUCAAGGAGAGAGAAAAAAUGGAGGGAAUGUGAAUUUUCAGAUCUAGAAUUGUUGUUAUGGCAAAUGCAGUUAGGUUUUAGUAUUUAUAUGAUGUGUUAAUGAUGCUGUAAUCAAGAUUAGGCUUUGGCUAAUUGAAAAUUAAGGAAAUGUAAGGUGUAAUGCCAAAAAUGCAAGUGUGAGGUAACAUGGUAAAUGUGUACGUGAACAGUGCCAUGCAAGGUGCAAUUUCACUCAAAAUCAACCAAUAAACAUCAUGGAAUGGUUAAAUGGCUUGUAUGAUUCACCAAUUUUGAAUUCUCCAUUUUCCCUCCAAAAUGUACAUGUUUGGACACUUGAUCAUGUGAGCUUCUUUCAUGCAAGGCAAUGAUUUAUUUGGAAUCUCUUGGUCAUAAGGAGCAUUUUACAAAAAGAGUGGACCAAUUUGGAGUUUUGGAUCAAAAGUUAUGGCAUUUUGAAGUUCCAUGCAUACUUUGCAAUCAUUUGUCCAUAACUUCUCAACCAAUUAUCAGAUGGACAUGAUAUAGGACUUUAUGAAAAGAGGAGAGAAAGAUCUUAAACUUUCAUGUUCACCAAAAAUCUAUUUGAAGCUUCUUUGAUGUUGGAAAGUCAAGUUGAAAAUGGACUAAAAACUUGCCAUUUUUGGAAACUUGAAAUUACAGGUCAAUUUCCAUUUUUGGAAACUUUUGCCAUGGCUUCAAAAUCUUCAAGAUAGAUGUUUGAAAUGACAAAUGGACUUCUUUUGAACAUGAUUGAGGUGUCUCAACUCAUUUCCCCACCUCAUAGCCCUCAGUUGACUGCACAGUUAACUUUUUGUGGUCCUCAAAUGACCUUGACAUACCCUGAUCAGCUUGAACCUCCACCUCUUGAGGAAAAUGGCUCAGAAAUGAAACCCUAGCUCAUAUAAGCCCAACAUAAUGAUCAAGUGAUCCUCUUCAUCAGCAAAUACCUCCUUUCUUUGAGAACGGGACCAACUUUCUUACCGUAACUAAUCCCAACUCCAGAGGUCAAAACCCUAAUCCAAAGGAACUUGAGCAUGCACAAUGAAGCCCUGGAUGAUGACAUAACCAUGAUGAUGGUAAUAUAUCCUUGCAAUCAAGACAAUGCUCAAGGCCUUUGAAGGAUCAGGAAACCCUAAUUGAAUUACAAACCCUCAGAUGGUUGAUCAUCAAUCCAUGGAAACCCUCAGGCUUGAAUCAUGUAACAUCUCCCUCUUCUGCAAAGACGUUGGAGGAUGACUUUCUUUUAUUCUCAUAUGAUAUGCAAAAUGAAAUGCCUAAUGUCCUAAAAUAUGAAAUGCAAUGUCUCAAACUAGUCCCAAGAAGAGGAGGGCAAAUUUUGAGGUGUUACAACAGCUAGCACUGAAGCUGAAGGAAUUCGUUCGUGUGGACUGAGUAGAGGCGUUGUCACCAUUCAACGUUCGUGAUCACGCCUUCUAUCCGCAUCAAGGGUUUCAAUCUCCACAAGAGGUAAUGAUUCUAUCACUGAUCAUGCUCAUUCAUAAGGAUCACUAAAGGAGAAAUUUUAAUUUCCGCUGUGUUUUGGAUCGCUAUUCUCCUUCAGUUUCAUCUCUGACUUCAUCUAAAACCUUCUUGCAUCAUCAUGUAUGAUUAUCUAAAAACUUUCUUCAUCUAAUUCUUGUUACAAGUGUGUGUACACAAAGUUGUGUGAGAAUAUUGUGAUAUUCAUUUGUCUUCAUAUUGAUUAUAUGAUUGAUCAUUUGCAACUAGAUGAAUGGAAUUUUAGAAACAUAAAUGUUUCUAACUUCCACAUUCAAGAUGAAUGAUCUUGGACUAUUUGACACACUUUUGGGGAUCAAAGUAAAGAGAAAUAAUAUGGGUUAUCAACUUAGUCAAAAACAUUAUGUUGAGAAACUAUUUGACAAGUUCAAACACUUACAUUUCAAGAAAUUAAGUAUUCCAUUUGAUUCUAGUGUCAAACUUCGAAAGAAUGAUGGAAGAGUUGUGGCUCAAUUGGAAUAUGCAAGUGCAUGCAAUGUACUAGAUUCGACAUAACAUUUGGAAUUAGUAAAAUGAGUAGAUUUUACUAGCAAUCCAAAUUGUGAGCACUAGAAGGCCAUAAGUAGGAUUUUUGGCUAUCCUAUUAAAACAAAAAAAAAAUCUUGGUCUCCAUUAUGGUAGAUUUCUUGUCAUAUUAGAAAGAUAUACAUAUACGAGUUUGAUAUCAAGUGUUGAAUAUCAUAAAUAUGCAUUUAUGUGGAUAUUUACACUAGCCGAGUGUACAAUUUCUUGGAAGAGAAAAAAAAUGGAUCACUCUCUCAACCAUAGAAUCAGAGUUCGAAGCUCUUGCUUUCGCUGGUGAAAAAGAUGAGUGGUUGAGGGACCUUCUGUUGGAAGUUACACUGGCUAAAGAAAUGUUUCAAAGGUUUUGAUACAUUGCGAUAGUCAAGCCACUUUACCUAGAGCAUACAAAAAGUGUAUAACAUAAAGUCUAGGAAAGUAGGACUUAGACAUUCCUUUGUGAGAAAAUUGAUUAAAGAUGGAAUCACUUCACUCACCUAUAUAUGAACGAGUUAUAAUCUGGUUGUUUCAUUUACUAAGCCAUUGGCCAGAGACUUAGUAAAAACAACCUCGAGAGGCAUGAGGUUGAAACUCCUUGAGUAAGAGUUCCAACAACGGUGGUAAUCCAAUCUUACAUUAACAAAACAUUAACCUCAAAAUUCAAUGGGUAAUGUCGCAACCUAAAAAAUAUAGUAUGCGAAAAAACACCCGGCGAGAGAGAAAUGGCAGAAGAGUCGCCACCGUGCGUUAUUUAUCCCAAAGGAGGGAAAGGAAACGCUCGAAGUAAACCUGGGAGAAAGGAAAGGAAAAGACAAGGUCUCGCAACCAAAUCUUGGGUUCGGGAGCCGAUUAUAGGCACAUACGCGUAUGGCAGAAUUGUGAUUUUUCUGUGCUGUGGUUGUGCAGUUUUUGGUUGUUCAGCUGAGUAAUGUAAUUUUAGCUGAUGUAUGAUAUAGUAGGGAUUGUUUCCCGUUCGUUUUGAACAGUGUAGGUAUUAGUAGAGAUAGUGUGCUAAUACUGUGAUUAUUAAUUAGCAUGAUAUGAUAUGAUUCUGUUGAUAAGCAUGCUGAUGAUGUAUGAUGGUAUGCCAUAAUAAUGUGAAUGUAUCUGUUAUGUAUGCCAAUUGUGGAAUGGACUGUUUAUGGCUUAGAGUGUGAGCAUAUGUCUAUUUUGAAUGUUGUUGAUGUUUGCAUGCUAGGUGCAUUUGCAUGUAUAUUAUGACCUUUAUGGUGGUAGCUAAUUCCCAUGGUGAGGAAUUAGUGAGUGAGUAUUGUGCGAUUGUUGUUGAUGUUUGCAUGCUAGGUGAUUAGCGUGCAUAUCCUAGCCCUUGGGUGGUAGCUAAUUCCAUGUGAGGAAUUAGUGAGUGAGUCACUAGGUCUCAAAUGAGUGGGACUAGUGAGCUUGGUAGCCGUAUCUGGAUUGAUCGGUGAGGUUGAACUAUAUGUUCACCGAAUAGUCGGUACCCGGGCAUGCAUGGAGUCUCAUUGCAUAAUAUAUGUAUGGCGUAUAAUAUGAAUGGAUGUAUUCCAAUAUUAUACGUGUGUUUUGUUUGAGUUGAGUAUGAUGAUGAUACUAGUUGAUGUUACCUCAGUUGUUGAAUGUGUGAUAUGAUUAGCGGUGAUGAAAUGUGUUAAUUUACUUAGCAUUACAUGAUAUUUUAUAAUGCUUAUUAUAUCGAUUGAGGAACUCACCUUACAACUAUUUUUCAGGUAACGAGCAGUGAUGAGUAGAACUAGUGCUUGGAGUUAGUGUAGUCUCCUUAGUGGGUCAUGCUCUGAUAGAUGUAACAUCGAGACGGGAUGUUUUACCUUGUUGAAUAAUUUUACAUGUAAUGUGUUACAUGUUUUGCAUGAUUGAUUGGAUUUGUAUCCGUUUGCGUAUUGUGCAAAUGCUUUAUGUUUUGAAUUAAUAAAAGAGCAUGACAGCUAUUAUGGUGAAUGGUGUGAAAUGAUUGUGUGACACCGCUUAAUGCAUAAUUACUCUGAUUGAUAUAUGUUGUUAUUUUAAUUUAAUAUUUGGGGUAUUUUAGAAGGGUUUACACGUGUACUUUAUGCAUGUUUGUUUUGUAUGGUGUGAUCAUCUCCCCAUAGAUUUCUAGGCUUCGUAUAGUCUCUCGUUGCAUGUCCAUUAAGGUAGCACGGUUCCUUCGUCUAGGACUUCCUUUUUGCAUGAGCAUUCCUAAAACACAAACCAACUCAUUGAUUUUUCUUCUCCUAAGAACACGUUAACUCCUUCUACUACAGGCGAGUAAGUCUCCAAAGGUCGAGCAUCCGGUAGAUUGCGUAGUAACGUCGUUCGCCCAACCUUAACCCGUAGUUAGUCGAACUACAAUUUGCUCUGAUUCUCAUUUCAGAUGAGAUACGUAGGCAAUAAGACGCGAUGUCUUAGCGAGCACACUCCUCUUUAACCCAUAGGUAGCCGAGCUACGAAGACUCUGAUUCUCAUAUUCAGAUGAGAUACGUAUGUAGUUGAUGCGACAUCCGUGCGAGUCAUUUCUUUUGACCUCCCUUUGUAAGUAGUACAUUAGAUAUGCACGCACCCUUUAGACAAGAACAACAAAAGUGGAUCCCGUAGAAGUACUACGGAUGCGUAGGGGUGCUAAUACCUUCCUUCCAUNNNNNNNNNNNNNNNNNNNNNNNNNNNNNNNNNNNNNNNNNNNNNNNNNNNNNNNNNNNNNNNNNNNNNNNNNNNNNNNNNNNNNNNNNNNNNNNNNNNNUAACGACUGGGUUCUAGCCAUGCAAGAAGAGCUAGACCAAUUCACAAAGAAUGAAGUAUGGGAUCUUGUUCCUAAACCUAAAGGCACUCACAUUAUCGGAACCAGAUGGGUGUUCAGAAACAAGCUGAAUGAGAAAGGAGAAGUUGACAGAAACAAAGCUCGGCUGGUGGCUCAAGGUUACAGUCAACAAGAAGGCAUUGACUACAAUGAAACCUUUCCCCUAGUCGCCAGAAUUCUCUGAGCUAAUGCAGGCAGAAUUCAAAAUGAGCUUAAUGCAAGAACUAAAGUUCUUUCUAGGAAUUCAGAUCAAUCAAGCUUCAGAAGUCACCUACGUUCAUCAAAGUAAAUACAUAAAAGACAUUCUGAAGAAAUUUGAAAUGGUGGAAUGCAAACCUGCUAAGACACCCAUGCAUCCAACCUGCAUUCUGGAAAAAGAAGAAGUCAGUCAAAAGGUUUGUCAGAAGCUCUAUCGUGGUAUGAUAGACUCUCUUCUCUAUCUGACUGCUACACGUCCUGAUAUUCUAUUUAGUGUUUGUCUUUGUGCCAGAUUCCAAUCAGAUCCUAGAGAAUCUCAUUUAACAGUCGUUAAGAGAAUACUCAGAUAUCUGAAAGGAACUCCUAACCUGGGCCUGAUGUAUGAGAAAACAUCAUAGUAUAAACUAUCUGGUUUUUAUGAUGUAGAUUACGCAGGAGACAGAAUGGAACGAAAAAGUACAUUUGGAAAUUGUCAACUCUUGGGAAAGAACCUAAUAUCCUGGGCCAGCAAAAGACAAUCAACCAUAGCCUUGUCUACUGCAGAAGCGAAAUACAUUUCAGCAUCACUAUGCACUACCCAGAUGCUCUGGAUGAAGAAUCAACUAGAGGAUCUUCAAAUCUUCGAGAGUAACAUUCCUAUCUUCUGUGACAAUACUGCUGCCAUUUGUUUAAGCAAGAAUCCUAUUUUGCACUCCAGAGCUAAGCACAUAGAAAUAAAAACAUCAUUUCAUUAGAGACUAUGUUCAGAAAGGGGUAGUAAUGUUAAAAUUCAUUGAUACAGACCAUCAAUGGGCUGAAAUCUUUACUAAACCCCUUGCUGAAGAUAGAUUCUUCUUCAUCUUAAAGAAUCUGAACAUUCAAAAUUGUUCUGAAUAAAAUGUGCCUCUGAGUUAGCAAAAUAAGAUUCUGAUGUAAACAAAGUGGAUUCUGCAUCUGACUCUGAUACUCCUACCAGUUAGAAGUCAUCUGAGUUAGAAAUCUCCAGGAACAAACCCUUUGGUAUUCCUGAAGAUCAGAUAAAACAAACACGUGGAGCACCUUGUGUCUGACCUUGGAACUUCUAGACAGCUGUCUAGCAGUAAUCAAGAAACAGUCUCUUGAGAUCUCCUCGAGCAGUGUACUGACUAUUGGGAUUAGACAUCAUUUAUGAGCUGUAAUCAUUCUCCGUUUAACGUGCAUACUUGGUUUUUGUGCUAAACUCAUGUUUUGUGUGUCGUUUUGCAUGCGCCCUAAUUUGGGUAUUUAAACUCCUCUCUUCACACAUUGCACACUUUUCACUCUCACAAACACGCUUAACCUUCUUGCAAGUUCUUUUCUCCCUCAAGGCAUUCUUGCAGCGUGCAUUCAAGUUUUUCAACGUUCAACUCAGUUCUUCAUCAAUCUUCAUGGAUUCUCAACAACAAUCAGUGUAUAACUUCUCUCAACAGAUGGACUCAAAUGAGCAAGCUCCAAGUUCAAGCACUCCAAACUCAGCUGUUACCGGUGUCGUCUCCACUCUCAUCUAUAAAGAACCUCACAUUCUUGAUCGUGAGCCUCAUAUCCACCUUGCAACACCUUUUGAGAAACUGGAAGUUUUGUGUGAAUCACUGGUGGAUUUUGAAAACAUGCGAAGGAAUGGUGUUGACCUCACUGAAGAACUGAAGAAUCAAGGUUGGGGAAACUACUUCCAACGUCUCUAUGGUCCAGUUUACACAAACCUGGUUAAGGAAUUCUGGAGAUUUGCUGACGCUGACGAUCACUACAUCGUCUCCUAUGUUCUGGGAGUUAAGAUGAUGAUUACUGAGAAGUCCAUUGCUGCCCUUCUGGGCAUGGAGAAAGCUGGAGGAAGAAGAAUUUAUAACAUUAAUCCUAGGGCAAAGUAUCUGUCCCAUGAGAUUAAUCCAAUGAUCUUCCAACAGAACGCUGAAGGCAAACACUCCAAGAACAAGGAACUACAUCAGAACCUCCGGGUCUGGCUGAAGAUCAUUUUGGGCACCAUCCAUCAUCGCCCAGCUUCAAACUCCUCAGACUACAUCAACACAAACCAGAAGUGCAUUCUGUACUGCAUCCACAAGGGUCUGAAGCUCUGCCUUCCGGCACUCCUCUUCAAGUAUCUCAGAGACUCUGUAAGAGAUACCAGAAACAACAUGAAGCCCAGAAACUACAUUCCUUUGGGUAGACUCAUCUCUGACAUUCUGAUUGAAAGCGGUCUCGUGGAUCAUCUGAUUCAAUUCAGACUCAUGGAAGACGUGAUGAUUGACACUGGAAGAGCUCUGAACGCCCGCAAUCUGAAGAGCAUGGGGAUUCUGAAUCAAGUAAGGUCAAACCUACUCUGGACACCUCCUGGGAUGCUCUUAAAGAUCAGAGAAAGAUUCCAAAUGAACUCUAUCUAUUCUCAAAGAUCGACCCUCCAGAGGUAGUCAUGUAUUACUUAGAUGAUCUGCGAAAACAAGGAGUAGAGUUCUCAGACUUCAACUUAGACUGGCUGCCAGAAUGUCCUCCAGACUUCAUGAAGCGACCACGAGGACCAUAUGAGAAGGCAAAACAGGAGAAGAAAGCAAAACUGGGAGAAUCCUCUGGAUCAAGACCUCCAGUACCUCUGACUGGAUCCUCUGGUAAGUCUAUUUCUCUCCCUCCUUCUGUACAAGUUAAGCCUAUUACUUCCUCUGUCCCUCAACCAACACCCAUAUACACUAACUCAGAAACUCCUCCCUCAACCACCAGACCAUCUAACCAACCCUCUCAAAAAUUUAACCUAGCCACCACCUCUCUACCCAUUUCGGAAGCAGAAAUGCUAAACGAAACAACCUCACCCUCUUCAUCUUCCUCUCCAGAAUCACCACCCUACUAUAACCUUUCCUCAGAUGCUGAACCAUCUGACCCUCACUCCCCAACUCUGGCUCAGCUCCAAACACGUGUUUUGGCCUCUCAACAGCCAACACAAUCCAUUCCUGAACCAGAAGUCACUUCAUCACCCAUAGAAGACCCAAACACAACCACAUAUGACCCUCCACCAUCUGAAACAAUUCACGCUGAAACACAACCACCCAGCUUUGACAUACCCCCACCAAAUACAUCCGCUGAACCACAAACUCCCACACUCAACCUAAGCCCUCCCACUUCUCCACCCCUGACCUCUGAACUUGGAAACACCCUUCCAACCCUUGAGGAAGCAAUAAUGGUGUUUGUAGAAGCUUCAGUUGACAAGGUCAAGUCUCUAACCAUCAACUCUGGCAUCAGUGAUGAUCCUUUCGCUGUAAGGACUCACUGGAACAGAGUGAUUAGUUGGAUGACCUUUGAAGCCUUUAAGCUGAAGGGCCUCUCUGAGCAAGUCCACAACAACUUCAUCAGAGACGCUGAGAUCAGACUUCAGGAGCGCCUAGCCAGAGAAGCUGAGGAGCGAGCACGCAAAGAAGCAGAAGAGAAAUCCAAGCAAGAAGAACUACAAAGGAUCAAGGAAGCUGAAGCCAAAGCUCUAGCUGAUGCCGCUGCUGCCGCUGAAGCUGAAGCACAAGCCAAAGUUGUCGCUGAAGCACUGUAGCACCUCAAAUUUGCACCUAUCAUUGUGCAUAUCAUUUCAUAUUAAGUCAUAGCAUAUCAUAAUCCAUUGCAUAGCAUUUGCAUUGUCCCCAGUUGCCUCAAGUGCAAGCAAGCAGAAAUUAGGUCAAACUGAUCAGGAGAUCAGUCAACCAAAUCAAGCAAAGUUGUUUCUCAAGGAAUCAAAAGCCCUAGGGUUUGUCCAACAAGUUCACAUGCCUUGGGGCCUUUUUUGAAGUGUUCAAGUCAAGGGUUGAAGGCUCAGAGGUCAACCAGUCAAUGCACAGGCAGGCAGAAAACCCUAAAACAGCCGACAGUCAGUCAAGCAUGGAUGGUGGGCCAUUCUUGUGGAAUUUGGGCACCAUGGUCAAUAAUCAAGAGUUCAUAUAUCUUGGGACAUCAUUUGAAAGUCAAGUCCUCAAGGAAUUAGGGUUUGGAAUUCAUCAGAAGUGCACAGUCAGUCCAAAACCCUAGAAAGUCAAAGUUGGUCAACUGUGGUUGAUUCUUUGGUUCUGAUGGAUGGAAAUGGUUUGAAGGAGCUUAUUCAUGUCUAAUAGACCUUAUAUGUCAUGGCAAUCAACAUCAUGGAAGAAUUUGAAGCAAAUCAGAAAAAAUUCCCAAAAUAAGAAACUGGACCUGUAAUUUCAACUGUCAAAAUAGAAACUUCUUGAUCCUCAACAACUGCAUCAUGAUACAAGCUCCAAAUGAAUUUUUGCCCAACAUGAAAGUUGAAGAUCUUGUUCUCCGGCCAUUUUUCAAAAAGUCCAAGAACUCUCAAAUCCCGUGGGUGUGGUUGUCAAGAUAUGAAUCCAAUCAUUUUCAACAAAAUUUUGAACUUCCAACUGAGCAUAUCUCUCAACCAUAAGGCCAAAUUUUGGUGGGGUUUUUUUCCUACAACCACAUUUUUUCAUCCUCUUUUCCAAAAAUAUAAACUUCAUGACCUAAACCUUGCAAUCAAAAUGGCAUUUUUGGACCUUUUUCACUUAAAUUCAAAGUUUGACUCCAAGUUUGACUUUUUGCUUCUUUGACUUUUUCUUAAUUUGGCCAAUUGGGGAAAUGUUUAGAAUCACAUUUGAAACAUGUUCCAAUUCCAAACCAUCCAAUCAUACCACUAUUUUACCACAUUUUUGACCAUAGUUGCAUAAGUUGUCAUUUCGUGCAAUUGGCUUCAAAGAGUAAAAAAUCAAGGUUAGCAUUUCACAAAAGUACAUACAAAACAGCAAAUCAAAUGUCCUUUUUCUGCUCAUUCCAAGGCCCAUUGACCAGCUUGCUACACCCUCCCAAUUUCCACAUUCUUCCACUUAGCAAAAAUGCAAUUGUCCUCUCAUUAAGCUAAUCAAGCUUACCAUUCCUAAAGCCAACUCAAAACAAGCACAAAUAUUUAAGCUCCAUUCUGUCAAUUGCAACCCUUAAUUUUGACAGCCACCAAACAGAAAAUACACUCUCACUCUCAAUCUUGCAUUUUUUGCAAAAGCACAAUUUCUGCGAAACCCUUGAAGAAACUCCGAGCAGGCCUUGGUUCAUCCACAAUCCAAAACCUUUUGAAGCUUUUGGAACCAACCAUUUCUCAACUGGAACUUCAUCUUGCAGAACUGUGUUUCUCUCCAAGCAUCUCAAAUGGCAAUUCGAAUUGUGGAAGUUUCCAAGGCAAGUUUGAGCAAACAACCUCAAGACUUUCAUCAUUGCAAGGCAUUGUGAGCAUCUGUAUAGGGCUGCAACACCAAAACAACACUGUAUCACUCAAAUUUUCUUCAAAUCAGGUAGGAUUUUCGACCAACCCCUUUCUCAAAAUGAUGAACAUGCUUAUGAUAGUUUACUUCAUACUGAUGCCAAUGAAACUUUAAAUCAUUCAAAAUGCCAUCGCACUGUGUUGAGAGAAAUAGGGUUUUGAAGUUCUAUGCUCAACUCAUUUGUGUGGAUUUCUUUGCUAUGUGCUCGACGUUAAUGAUGAUUAAUGCCAUAUCCUUGUUGUUUGAUGCUUAAACUGAUGCUGUUACCCAUAGCUAAUUUUAGGAUUUGGACACUUUGAUUUCUGCUCGUGUUUAGGUGGUACCCUGUUCAUAAAACCCCUGCCCAGUUUUUCUUAUGAUUAAGUGUUUUUUGUUGUUGUUUGAGUUUAGGUGAUGAUAGUAGAUGCAUGAACCUUGUUGUUAACCAUGCUAAAUGAUUUCGUGUUGAUGUUGGAUAUCAUGUUGAACACCAUGCUGCUUGCUUGCUAUUGUUCUUGAUGAUUACAUGAUGAUGAUGACAUGCCCUUGCUGCUGUUUUGAAUGUGCCUAGGAAAAUCCAUAUGUUCUGUGUUGUUAUGAUGUUGUUUGCUUGCCAAAUGCUAUGCUGUUGGAUGGUUUGAUGUUUGAAUUCGUUUUGGAUCGUGAUUGAAUAUGCAUGAAGAGCAUGAACACAUGCUGUUAUAAACCUAGAAGCUUGCCCAGAAUUUUGCAUGAAUGUGUAAUGGUUGAUUGUUGUUGGGAUGUGCAUGAACAUUGUCGUGUUUAUUGCCCUGCUGUUCACUGUGUUGGAAUUUUGAUUGCAUGAAGUUACAUGAUGAGCCAUUGCUGUUGUUAAAACCCCUAGGGUUUUAAACUCAGAGCUUUGAAGCUCAUUGGCCACGUUACUGUUUCUAUUUGGCUGGGAAGCCAAUCAGAACAUUUUUAUUUGCCUUGCCAAAGCUGUGUCCGUUUUAGUUAGUGAUGCUGAAGAUUACCAAAUUGCCAUCCGCUGACUUAUUGUUGACCCAAUUGCCAAUACAAUUUUGUUUCAUGUUUGCAUCCAUAAUUUCAUCCAACUUCCACAAUUUAUUUCUUCUUUCACAUUUCAUCCAACAAAUCCUUGAAAUUUUUUUCCUCAUAUUCAUGAAUGUGUCCUUUAUUUAAUCAUGAUUUUUAAAUUAAUUUUUCCAUUGGCUGGAUUUUUAAUGAUAAUUAUUUUUUUUGACAUGUGAUGCCAAAAUGAUACUCUUUGCCAUUUCAAUUGUGAAAUUGUCAUGUUGUAUCCAAUGAGCUUUGAAAUUUUUUUGUGGUAAAACUAGACACAUUGACCUUCAUUUCCAUAUAAAGUUUGUGCAUUUAUCAUUUGUGGAUUGAGAGUUUAUGAUUUUUUUGAAGUCAUGUGUUGCAUUUGGUGUCAAUACCAUGAUCAUGCCAUUUUCCCUAAUUUGUUCACGCUGCUUCCUUGCAUCCAAUUGAACCCCAUUUUUUGCAUGAAUGAUCCUUUGUAUGUCUAUUUCAUGUAAUGAAUUUUCUUGGAAUUAAUCUUGCUGUUUUCCAUUUGAUUGUGAAUUUUCUUCCAUGCUUGGUCAUUUGUUGACUUUUUUGUGCUAUACCUUGCCAAAAAUCUUUUGUGAAAUUCCUCAUAUCUUAUUGUAUGUCCAUGAAAUUUCAUAUGUGAUAACUAAGACAUCCUCAAGCCUUGCAUUGGUGUUAAUCUCAUUCAUUUCCUCUUCUGUUUUUCAAAUUGAUAUGAUUUUUGAAGUUGACCUAUGCUUGUUGACUUUUACCAUGCUUACUUGAAUUUGGUUUGACUUCAUGAUUUUACUUUGACUGCCUUCCUCUCAUCCAAAUGCCAUGAAAUUUUUACAUGUAAUACCAUGUUAGAUGGCUAGGAUUGAGUGUGAUUUAUUUUCAUGAUUUUUGAAAAUGGUUUGAGUUGACUUUUGAUGCAAGUCUUUUCUGUUGACUUUUUGUAUGCUCCCUUUUUGCCUUACCUUUGACUUCAAAUGUUUCAUGAAAUGAAUAAUGAUGCAUGAUUUUGAAUGUGGGCCCAUUGUGAUAGCUUCUCAAAUGUUUUGACUUUGGUUUUGUGGGUUGACUUUUCCUUGCUGCUUUGACUUUUUUUCUUCCAUCCUUGACCCUAGGCUAAGUCCUAGUGGUCUCUGUGCUUACUAUUGAGUUCCUGUUUCAGGUUGAGCACCAUUGCCAUUGAGAUCAUACAAAUGGUGAUUGGUUGAUUACAUAUCAUGUACUAACCUUUGUUUUGUAGGCUUGACGCCAUGUGCCUGAGUCUUAUGCUUUGCUCAGUUGAUCCCCUGUGUUGACUGUUUGCCAAUUUCUUUUUGAUUUAAACUUUUGAAUCUGUUUGCUGAUGUGUUUGACUUUUUCAGGUAACUUUAGUUGCUUGCUUGCUUUUUAGAAUUGCUUUGAGGUAUAAUCUCUUUUUACUACAAUGUAGUCUGGAGACCCGGUUCUGUUAUUUGACCGGCAAAACUGUCUGAAGUCCUCCUUAAGAGGCAAUGCUUGUGUAUGUUUACUUUGUCCCGUACAGAGUCAAGACCUCCUAAGUGAAGGGCAAUUGGUGGAAGGUAAGGGAUAUGCAGUCUAUCCCCCACUACUCAGGUGUCUUCUGUCUUGCUCACACCACUGUGUUGAUGCAUUUCAGAUAAAAACCCAAGAUCUUGUGCAAUUGCACAGUUGAGUCAGUUUUAAAUGUGUAGAAGGGUUUUCCCACUUUCUGAACCCACACAUUCUUGUCAAAUGCUCUCCCGGGCCAGGGAUGAAGCAAUGAGGCACACCCCUCAUCUCCCUUUCAUCUGUUUCAACCUUAGCCUCUCAGGCAAGGUUAAGAGCACACUUACCCAAUUCCAGUUGGCCCUAGUGCCUAACCUUUGAUGUUUGACCCCCUUGUUGGUUGUGUUUAUUUUUUUUAUGCUGUAUGUGUUUGUGAUUGCUUUGUUUGCCUCUUUUAGUUUUAGUUUUUGCUUGCCCUUGUGCAAUAGGUUUGUACUUAUAGAUGUGCUUCCGUGGCAAGUCCAAGUCUGUGGUGGCUUAAACCCUUGUGGUUGAGCCAUACUUAGAACUGUUCGGCGAACUACGGCAACUCUGAUUCUCAUGUUCAGGUGAGAUACGUAGGCACGAGACGCGAUGUCUUGACGGAGUUUUUGACUUAACCACUAAACAUCUAAUUCUCUUCUUCUCACCCCUGUUGUGAUUGAGAUAUCCCUUUCUCUUGCCCUAUGUUGCAAUCGAGACUUUUUUUGUUUUUUUCCUGUGUCUGUUCAGGAUAGGUUGGCCCUUGUGCCAUUUAGCUAGAAACCCUUAACUUAGGUUUGACUUUUGCAUGACACACAUCUAGGCUCGAGUCGUAGUCUCCCUAGAGUUUGUGUCUCCCUCUGUUAUCUGGUUUAGGCUAAUCCUUGUUCCCUGCGUAGGGGAACUACAUCGCCCUGAUCUUCAACCAGAUGAAGUAUGUAGGCAGGAGAUUGAGCUGAUCUCUCCGGGCGCCCUUUUCCUUUUUAACCCCUUUGUGUCUUAACCACCCUUGUGGUGUUGUUCUGGUUGGAGUCCGACAUAAGUCCAGGCGAUUGGCAGUUGGUUCCUGUUGUGCGUUUAGGUUCGAUGCCGAUGUAUAAUCCAGUGAUAUGGCAGGUAUCGGGCUCCAACGUUUGCCUUUGCGUUUGUUUUGUUUUGUUUGGUGGGUGCGUGUCCAGCCGAGCUUCCGAAUGCCUGAUUCCUUCCCUCUCGUUCCGAGGACGACUAACGUAAUGCGCUAGGAUGCGAUAUCCCUAGCGAGCUGUGUCGUCUCCCCCAGUCCCCGAACUACUUUCGACUUCUGAUGUUUAUGCCCUGAUAGACUAAGUAGGCCCUUCAGGGAUACGAUGUCCUGCCUGAGUCACGUUUUCAGUCAGUCCCUGUGUUUCUUUCUCAGUUCCAGUUGUUGUGAGUUUGAGUUCAUCCGUGUUUUAUUUUAUGCAAUAUCUCAUAUGUCUUUUCCUUCUCUUUUUCGUGCGUGGAUCCGUAGAGUACUACGGAUGCGUAGGGUGCCUAAUACCUUCCCUUCGCAUUAACCGACUCCCAACCCAUCCUCUUUGGUCGCGAAAAUUAAAAGAAAAGACAUGUUUUUUCCUAGGUUUACUUUCGACGGUUAUUCCUUUCCCUCUUUUGGGAUAAUAACGCACGGUGGGCGCUCCUGUUGUUUCUUUCUUUCUUUUCCCGCUGGUUUUUUCCGCCGCGAUGCGACCAGCCUUGCCGACUCUGCUGGGGAUCGUAAGAGAAGUUGACCUAAUGGCUGGUCCAUCUUUCCCCUGAGCGAGUCCCUCUCCUAGCGCUCUCCUAGGAUUAGGUUUUUGGUUGCUUUCCCUGCUUUGUUGGGUAAAUUUUUCAUUGCAUUCAUUGUAAUAUAUGUACAACUUAAUUGUUUGCCAUUGGAUUGUGUUGCAAUUGAUUGUUUUGCACUUAUUCAUUUUUCAUUCCGCCUUGGCUGGUUGUCUGUUUUCCCUCUGUGAAGAUGAGUUCCUAUACCCCCGAACUCGAGUGCAACUCUAGGAUCAUGGAGAAUGGCAAAAUAGUCUUGUUGACUGGUGGUGGGAGUAGUCCUAGCCAGUUGACCUUGCGAGUCCAUUCACGUUGGUGUGAGGUCCAAUGUUGAAUAAUAAAUGUCACCACCAAGUUAUUUGUCGGUUUUUAAGGCCAUUAUUCUUUUCAAUCAUUGUUCCGCAGAAGCCAAAGGACCUUAGUUUAACCAAACCAUCUUGGCUAUUUUUUAGGAAACGUAGUGCGGAGGUCGUUUCAGAUGUCAGUUUUCUGAUGCGAUGUGUCAACGCGAUAACUACACUCAUAAAGAGUUUCUUCCUUGAGAAUAUUCUUUUGGAAUACGAGUAUCGUUCCUCCGAUAAAUUUCCGAAAGAUGACAACGAUGAUUAUGGGAACCUCUGAUAGAACAUGUCUGGCAGGUUUUUAACCCUAGUACAACUCCUUUUGGGCGUUAUUCUUAACCCGAGUACUCCAAUGCUCGUGACUCUCAACAAAACCUUUGAUUUUCGUGUUUGAGUCGUUCAAUAACACUCCGUUAUCAUCAAAAUGGUCCCGGGAUCGGCGUUGCAAAACCUAAAAUCCACCAAAACGCGGCUGGUUUGAUAUUAGGGAUGGUUUGAACCGGUUCAUGGUAACCGUUAAUAUCAAUGGAACCUUGGGUGUCGAUAAGGUGGAAGCCUAAAUCCACCAAAAUGGAUGAUUGAUAUUAGGGAUACAAUAGAGCUUUCCCACGACCUUUGUUUGGCGUGCCUUUGCUUGACCCUUGAGUAUGUUUGUUGCAUCCAUGCCAUCCCAUACAUUCUCUGCAAUCCAUAUCAUUAGAAAAAGAAAAUUGUUCAAGGAACUCAAAGGAGUUUUAUUUGCCAAAAAAUUUCAAAAAACAUGAAAAAUACCGGGAAAAUUUUUUCACCUCAUAUAAUCUGAUAAGAUAAUUCCUCAUGUUUGAUCAAAAUGCUUAAAUAUUUUCCAAGUUUGCAAAUACACCCUCGAGUUCCUUUGAAAUAAAUUACAAGCAAUAUGCACAAACACUUCAUGCAUCAUUUGCAUCAGGCAGGUGUUUUUUGUUUCCGGUCUCCCGUCCUGGUGGUCUGACCCUGCGAUCUUCAUUUAUUUUGAAGACGCAAAUUUUUGAGCCGGUGUUAUACAGAGCCAUCUUCUACCAGAUUGAGGGAUCAUCCUGAGCAAGAGAUUGUGAACUCCCCGGAGAGAUAUUUGGCCAAGACUUUGUACAUGUUGAUGGAUUUUUAUUCCUGGUUAAACGAUCCCGGGCUGGCAAAUUGGCUACUGUUUUCCUGGGGCAUGCAAUGAGCAAGGUCCCUGUUCAAGAGUGGACGGAUCUCCUCCAUGACGAUCAACUCGAAGAAGAGGAUGCUGGCUAUUUUGGAAGAGGGACGCAGAGGACUUGAAACAAUUUCAUUCAUUCCCUGGUGUGUCUGCCACAAUUGGGUCACUGUGGGCUUUCCCUACAGUUGUUUUUUUUAAAGUCAGGUAACAAUCACUUUGUUUAAAAAACCCUAUUCCCCAUGCCAAAAGGAGAAGUGAAUGCAUUUGUUUUUGGCAACAUUUUGUGCAAUGAUUUGUCAAUUCACAUAAAUUCAUGUUAAACAUUUGUUUUUCCAAUUGUUUUCCCCUUUUUCCGCUUUUUUGCAAUGAAAUUGGUGAUCACAAAAACCUUAAAAAACAAGAAUAAAAGCAAUCCUUUUUCAUCUGCAUUAACGAUUGUCCUUCGUUUUGAUUUUUUUUCCAAAGAGCUUUUUCAUCUCCUACAUCUUUAUGCAGGUUGUUUCUCAAACGCCAUAUGAACAUAAUGCAAAUCGGGACGUCAUCCUCCCAAUUUUUUGAAUUCCCCUGUAUUCGAAAGCGGAAGAAGAUGGGAUGGUUGAAGGGAUUCCUGACGAGAUUUCCCGACUUUCUUGAGCAAGAAAAGAAGAUCAACUCCAGCUUGCAUCUUCGAGAAUCAAGCAGAACAGCCCAACUGGGGGCAUUUAAUCAACAAAAGAAAGAGAAGAAAAAGAAAAAGAAAGAGGAAGGGUGCAAAAUCAAACAGAUACCAAAAAAGAAAUCAAUCACAAUCAAAAAAAAAAGAAAUCAAAAGAAAAAAAAAACAAAAAGAAAAUAGCAACCCUCAAAGUGCCCCAGUUGGCUGAAUGCCUAGAAUUUCGGAUGUCGACAAACAAAAGAGAUCAUCUGCAUGUGUCCCAUGGGUCAGUCAUAUCCAGCAGCGAGGUAAAAAAGCUUCGACAAGAAGAUCCAAGCCUCGUGUGUUCCCAGGAACCAUUGUGCUUCAGAAAGUCCUUUGUCUUUCGUGCCCAAUUCCAGGGGCAAGUGAACUCCCAAGCUAAGAAACGUCAUUACGUUUUUCAAAGAAGCCUCUUCAGGCAGUGGUUCCUGAACACUUACAACAACUGGAUGAGCAGACCGUUCACUCGUCCUGUUGAAAUCCCCAGAUGCAGUCAAGAAAUACUUCGCCUAAAACAAAAAUCAAAAGCUCGCUAAGUCCGAACACCCAAAGGGCGACUUAGGCAAAAAAGAGCGUCCGUCGGUGGGAUUGAAAACCCGAAAAGGCGAUCAGGCAAAAGUUAGAGACAUUGUGGAAAAAAAAAAAAGAAGAAUUUGUAUCCCCCGCUAGAUUGAACACCUCAUACUGGGCGCAAUCUGGGCAAAAAUAGGGAUUUGGCAACGUAACUGCAUCUUGACAAGACUGUGCUGUACAUCUGUCAUCCACGUCAAGGAUUUCUCGAUUCCGUCCGUCGACUGAAGCUCCGAAAUACAUCGAAAAUUCGGAAUGGUUAGAGGAAAGGGUAUUAUGUUCAAUGAAGCCCUCCUCCAAUAUACUCACCGAUUUCAACUUGUAACAGAUUAGUGGAGUCUCGCCUUUCUUGCAAGACUACCAUUCCAAUCACAUCAAUUUUCGAGCUUUUAUCCAAUUAUUUGCACUCUUAUUUGUUUUAAACUCAACAGAUGUUUUUGCAUCGUUUUAAAUUGAUAAAAGUAAUCAUUGUUUUUCAAAUAACAAAUUUUUUUUUAAAAAAAAUUGUUCCCUUAAACAAAGUGAACAGUCCACGAUGGAUGGAAGGAUACUUAGGAGACCCCAACAGUGCUCCUCCCGGGGGGUGGUAUGAUUACCGAACAAGGCUAAGAAAUUUGUUUUCGUAUCUCGAGCAUGACGUAUCCUUUGUCCCUGCAGAACCUGCGUAUGGCUCCUCCUUCCUCAGUGGAAGUUUUGCCCCGAUGCAGUGGUUUGUUUUGAAGUUUUUGUUUCCAUGCUUUCAUGUUCCCCGGCCGUAAACAGAUUCCUUCUCCAAAUCCUUGUUAGCUCUAUUAGUUGGGGCAUCCUCCCUAGUAAGAGUGCUGUUUGAGCCCGUACCGUGGGGCAAUCCCCAAUCAAAUUUUGCUUUGUUUCCCGGACAUUAAUUGUGGGGCAGUUUCCCCCCAUAGCAGAGCGUUUAAACUGAAGAACUUCAACUUUGGCCUCUCCAGCAGGCCCAGUUCUUCCCUCUUCCACCAGCAUGGGUGCUUUAUUCUUUGAAGAUUCGGUAAUUUGGUGGAUUGACAUCCCAGUGCCCUUUCCAUCAUGCCCUCAGAUAGAUCCCGAGUGGGAGUUUGUUUGCAUAAGGAGCUUUUGUCAAUUUUGCCUUUGUAUCCUCCACUCCAGAGAUCUGGUUUGCUUUCUUGGUAUCCCCUGAUUUUCCAGCACAAGUUUUGUGGCGGUACGCCCCUGUAUGUUUUGAACUCUGUUCUCCGGUUGAACACAGACGACCCCUCCGGCAAGACCUCUUGGUGGGCCUUCCUCCCCGGCAGGAUGAAUGAAUUGUUCCCUAUUAUCCUGGUUCCCCCAGUGGAUUUUCCUUUCUUUGCUCUCAUGAUGGGCUUUUUGGUUUUUUCUCUCCGGAACGGCUGAUUCCCGGACUGUGUGCCGAGCCAUGUCCCUGUGAUUGUCAACAUUCAUCAUUACAUUCAUCAUGAAAUAAUGCAUACAUGCAUAAUCAUAAGCAAUUUGGAUUACUCCAUGUUGGCAGCUGUUGCGUGUAAAUCUGUUUGAUUGGUUUGUCUCUCCCCUGCUUUUUGGUAAAUACAAAUUUCUCCCAGUAGAGUUUUCCCUAAGCAAAUAUGGGUGAUGUCUGAUCUCUCCAUGUAGAGCCAACCCUUUAAGCAGAAGUGGUCAUCUUUUUCCCUGCCAUUUCCCCACUGAGAUUACAUACUCGUGGAUGACGGUUGCUCAUAACCGUUCCCCACAUAUCAUGGGAUAGAGGUAUUUUCCCUAUAUGGUUUAUUUCCUCCAUUAGGAUGAGUUAGAUUAUAUAGUUGCUAAUUUAUAAUUGGGACAUCGACUAAACGGCUCCCCCCGUGACUGUCUCUAUAGUGAUUCGCGCUGGGAGAUAAAUGAAUAGUUUGCUCACUACGAGCAUAUCAUAUAUUCAUUUUAUCCCUCAGCGAAUUUGUUGGCCUCUACCUACAAACCGGUAAGUUUGUAAGUCCUAUCUUUUGGUGGUUUUUCUAUCUCAUCACCAACAUCAGCUGGUAGUUUUUUGUAAAAUUCCCACUUCCUCCCCUUGUUGGAGUUUACCCUUCUGUGCUCCUCCGAUGAUGACUGGGGUUACUUUUUUCCGCGGUUUUCAUCGCUACAACAAAACCCCCGUUUAGAUGUAAUCCCCGUCUUUUUGUGGUACCAAUCUACACUCAGCGAUCAUUGGCUCUCUUGCAGAUAUUCGCACCAUACUACGCCUAAAGCAAGUAUUGGUCCCCCCGAUUGGGUCCCCCUUCACCUUCCUUUUUUUUGGAGAUAACUUUAGCAUCCGAAGAUAACUUCUAUCUACUUUUCGGAUUAGGUCCCAUCUUUUGCAUACCUAAUGUCCCUUGGUAUACCUUUCCAGAUGCCCAAUUAUAUAUAUCGGUCCGUGAUUUCAUAAACAACUAAACAACCCGGUUAAUGGAAACUUUCCAAUGCGAGUUUUAUUAUCUACGUUCCGACGGUCUUAAUAGAUAAUAUAUCUCCCUGCACUCUUUGGUUGCAAUCCUCCUCGAUUGUUUAUCAACAGCAGAGUAAGAUUCGUAAUUUCCCUCCCUGUGGAAUCGGAAUGUUUCAUCCUUUAAACAAAGUUUGCCUUUGCUCUCUUCCAGAGAAUGUUUUCGGUCGUUUAUCCAUUUUAAACAACCUACAACCCGGUUAUCGGAUAAUCCUUCCAUGCGAGGUUAUUAUCUACGUUCUGACGGCUAUAGAUAAUAUGUCUCAUGCGCUCUUGGGUCGAAGUCGUCCUCCCCAGCCGAGUAAGAUUCGUAUUUCUGGUGAAAUCGAAUGCCCAUCCUUUAACAAGACUGCUUUUCUAGCCCUCUGCAGGAUGUUGAGUGUUUUGGAACACAAACCAAUUCACGCUUUGGCACUCAGGCCAAUCUUCCGGUAUUCAGACCGAAGAAGUUUCCGACGAUCAGGUCGAUGUACUUAUGGCAUUCAAACCAAUUCACGCUUUGGUCGGUCACCCGUUUCAUACCUACAACCCGGUAUCCCUGGUGUUUCUUCCUGUUUGCUCGCUGUCAUGACCCUGAUCCCCGAGUAGAGCGGGUUUCAUGAAAUAUUUCUCCAGCAGAGUUCAUCCCACCAGUGGAUUGGACAGGUUUCAGUAACAGGUCGAUACCUGCAUCCCCAGCUGAGUUGAUUCUACUCGUGAACUGUGUGGGUCGUCCCCGGCAGAGUAGCGGUUAUUCCCCAUAGCGGAGUUUAUUCUAUCUGAGGUUUGUGUGGGUCUCAUCCCCAGAGAGUUGCCUGUUUUAGCUUCCCCAGCGGAGCUUCUCAUUUCCCAAGCGGAAUUUUUGCGGAUUGAUUGGGUAGUCCCCAGCAGGUUUCCCUCUGUUUACCCCUAGCAGAGUUGGGUCAUUUCUCCCCAACAGAGUUGCUUUAUUGCUCCCCAGCGAGCUGCCUUAUCUUCCCCUAGGGGAAUGGUAUUGUUGGUUCCCCAGCAGCUGUAUUGUUUCCCCCAGCGGAUUUAUCCUGAAGAUUCCUCAGCACAGUCGACCUGUGUAUAUCUCCCCGCAGAGUUCUUAUCAUUUUUGCAUUGCAUAUAGUAAAUCAUUGCAUCCUCAAACUGCGUAGCAUUUCCAUCCCAUAUGGAGCAUUACGCCAUAGAAAAAUUCAAACAUAUGCAUUCAUGUGUUCGAAACCACAUCAGACUGUAUCCCUGGCAGAGGCAGAUCAUCUUGUUCAACAUCAACACAGCAAAUCAGUUACAGUUGCUUCGACAGCAUUCAGAUUUGUUUAUCCCCACAGAGGUUUAUUUCCUCACCCGAUGGUGACAGAAAUUUGUUUCUCCCCAGUGAGACCCCCGCAAGUGAUCAGCCUUGCUUCAACAUAUCCCAGAUUCUAUUCUUGUGAUAUCAGUAAGUGUCACGUCAGCACCCGCGUGUGUUUCUUUUUUGGUGUCGGUAAACGCCAUUGUUUCGGUGUCGGUAAAUAUCGAGUUCCACCCAGUCAUCGGUAAAUGUCUGGUCAUUUUUUGGUGUCGGUGAACGCCAUUGCUUCGGUGUCGGUAAACAUCGAGUCUUUCUUUCAGUCAUCGGUAAAUGUCUGAUAAUCCCCAGCUAGAAAUCCCCAGUAGAGUCAUCUGUAAAUGCCCUACCCGGUUUUCAGUUGCAAAUAUUUGUUUGUGUUUCCCCAAUAAAUUUCCCAUCCCCAGUCAUCGGUAAAUGUCUGGUCGUUCUUUUUGAUGUCGGUAAACAUCAUCUUUCGAUGUCGGUAAACAUCGAGUCUCAUCCCAGUCAUCGGUAAAUGUCUGGUCGUUCUUUUUGAUGUCGGUAAACAUCAUCUUUCGAUGUCGGUAAACAUCAUGUCUCACCCCAGUCAUCGGUAAAUGUCUGGUCAUUCUUUUUGAUGGCGGUAAACAUCAUCUUUCGAUGUCGGUAAACAUCGUUUCUCAUCCCAGUCAUCGGUAAAUGUCUGGUCAUUCUUUGUUCUCUUGCUAAUAAAAUCAAAAUCCCCAGAGGUCGUCGGUAAACGUCUUGUCUGGUAUCACCACAAAGAUUUUGUUCCUCCCCAAGCGGAGAUGCCAUCGGUAAAUGGCUCAGUUUUCUUCGAUAUCGGUAAAUAUCGAGUUCCCAGUUGCAGCAGCCAUCGGUAAAUGGCCUUGAUAUCGGUAAAUAUCAAGUUUGCUUUGAAGCCACCAUCGGUAAAUGGUUUUGCUUCCUUUUCAACAUCAAAUUAUUUUCCCAGCAGCCAUCGGUAAAUGGUCUGGCUGAAGUGGAUGUCAAGGUCCCAGUUCUAACCAUCGGUAAAUGGUUUUGUUUUUCAGAAGUUCGUUUUUCCCAGCAGCCAUCGGUAAAUGGUCUGGCUGAAGUUGAUAUCGGUAAAUAUCAAAGUUUUAACCAUCGGUAAAUGGUUUUGUUUUUCAGAAAUUUGUUUUCCCCAGCCGCCAUCGGUAAAUGGUCUCGCUGAAGUUGAUAUCGGUAAAUAUCAAGGUUCCAGUUCUCCAACCAUCGGUAAAUGGUUUUGCUUUUCUGAAGCUGUCAUGCAGUUUAUCAUCGGUAAAUGACGUGGUUUUCUUGUAUUGUAUCCAGUCGGUGCAAAUUUCUACGGUUCUUUUGUAUUCAAUCCCUGUUUACCCUGAAAGUCUGACAGCCAUUGCUAUCAUCCGUUCGGGUUCCCAGCUGAUUGAAUAGGGGCAGCUGUAGCACCUCAAAUUUGCACCUAUCAUUGUGCAUAUCAUUUCAUAUUAAGUCAUAGCAUAUCAUNNNNNNNNNNNNNNNNNNNNNNNNNNNNNNNNNNNNNNNNNNNNNNNNNNNNNNNNNNNNNNNNNNNNNNNNNNNNNNNNNNNNNNNNNNNNNNNNNNNNNNNNNNNNNNNNNNNNNNNNNNNNNNNNNNNNNNNNNNNNNNNNNNNNNNNNNNNNNNNNNNNNNNNNNNNNNNNNNNNNNNNNNNNNNNNNNNNNNNNNNNNNNNNNNNNNNNNNNNNNNNNNNNNNNNNNNNNNNNNNNNNNNNNNNNNNNNNNNNNNNNNNNNNNNNNNNNNNNNNNNNNNNNNNNNNNNNNNNNNNNNNNNNNNNNNNNNNNNNNNNNNNNNNNNNNNNNNNNNNNNNNNNNNNNNNNNNNNNNNNNNNNNNNNNNNNNNNNNNNNNNNNNNNNNNNNNNNNNNNNNNNNNNNNNNNNNNNNNNNNNNNNNNNNNNNNNNNNNNNNNNNNNNNNNNNNNNNNNNNNNNNNNNNNNNNNNNNNNNNNNNNNNNNNNNNNNNNNNNNNNNNNNNNNNNNNNNNNNNNNNNNNNNNNNNNNNNNNNNNNNNNNNNNNNNNNNNNNNNNNNNNNNNNNNNNNNNNNNNNNNNNNNNNNNNNNNNNNNNNNNNNNNNNNNNNNNNNNNNNNNNNNNNNNNNNNNNNNNNNNNNNNNNNNNNNNNNNNNNNNNNNNNNNNNNNNNNNNNNNNNNNNNNNNNNNNNNNNNNNNNNNNNNNNNNNNNNNNNNNNNNNNNNNNNNNNNNNNNNNNNNNNNNNNNNNNNNNNNNNNNNNNNNNNNNNNNNNNNNNNNNNNNNNNNNNNNNNNNNNNNNNNNNNNNNNNNNNNNNNNNNNNNNNNNNNNNNNNNNNNNNNNNNNNNNNNNNNNNNNNNNNNNNNNNNNNNNNNNNNNNNNNNNNNNNNNNNNNNNNNNNNNNNNNNNNNNNNNNNNNNNNNNNNNNNNNNNNNNNNNNNNNNNNNNNNNNNNNNNNNNNNNNNNNNNNNNNNNNNNNNNNNNNNNNNNNNNNNNNNNNNNNNNNNNNNNNNNNNNNNNNNNNNNNNNNNNNNNNNNNNNNNNNNNNNNNNNNNNNNNNNNNNNNNNNNNNNNNNNNNNNNNNNNNNNNNNNNNNNNNNNNNNNNNNNNNNNNNNNNNNNNNNNNNNNNNNNNNNNNNNNNNNNNNNNNNNNNNNNNNNNNNNNNNNNNNNNNNNNNNNNNNNNNNNNNNNNNNNNNNNNNNNNNNNNNNNNNNNNNNNNNNNNNNNNNNNNNNNNNNNNNNNNNNNNNNNNNNNNNNNNNNNNNNNNNNNNNNNNNNNNNNNNNNNNNNNNNNNNNNNNNNNNNNNNNNNNNNNNNNNNNNNNNNNNNNNNNNNNNNNNNNNNNNNNNNNNNNNNNNNNNNNNNNNNNNNNNNNNNNNNNNNNNNNNNNNNNNNNNNNNNNNNNNNNNNNNNNNNNNNNNNNNNNNNNNNNNNNNNNNNNNNNNNNNNNNNNNNNNNNNNNNNNNNNNNNNNNNNNNNNNNNNNNNNNNNNNNNNNNNNNNNNNNNNNNNNNNNNNNNNNNNNNNNNNNNNNNNNNNNNNNNNNNNNNNNNNNNNNNNNNNNNNNNNNNNNNNNNNNNNNNNNNNNNNNNNNNNNNNNNNNNNNNNNNNNNNNNNNNNNNNNNNNNNNNNNNNNNNNNNNNNNNNNNNNNNNNNNNNNNNNNNNNNNNNNNNNNNNNNNNNNNNNNNNNNNNNNNNNNNNNNNNNNNNNNNNNNNNNNNNNNNNNNNNNNNNNNNNNNNNNNNNNNNNNNNNNNNNNNNNNNNNNNNNNNNNNNNNNNNNNNNNNNNNNNNNNNNNNCCCAGAACAUUUUAUUUUGCCUUGGCCCAAAGCUUGUGUCGUUUUUAGUUAGUGAUGCUGAAAUUAUACCAAAUUGCAUCCGCUGACAUUGUUGACCAAUCCAUACAUUUGUUCAUUGUUUGCAUCCAUAAUUUCAUUCCAACUUCCACAAUUUAUUCUCUUUUCACAUUCAUCCAAAAAAUCUUGAAAAUUUUUCCUCAUAUUCAUGAAUGUGUUCCUUUAUUUAAUUUCAUGAUUUUUAAUUAAUUUUUCCCACUUGGCUGGAUUUUUAAUGAUAAUUAUUUCUUGACAUGUAUGCCAAAAAGUACUCUUUGCCAUUUCAAUGUGUGAAAUUGUCAUUUGUAUCCAAUGAAGCUUAGAAGAUUUUUUUUGUCUAAACUAGGACACGAUGGACCUUCAUUUCCAUGUAAAGUUUGUGCAAAUUUACAUUGUGAUGAGUAGUUAUGGAUUUUUUGAAGCAUUGUGUUGCAUUUGGCUGUCAUAACCAUAUCAUGCAUUUUCCCUAAGUUGUUUCAACCUGGCUUCCUUGGCAUUCCAAUUGACCCCAUUUUUUGCAUGAAUGACUCCUUUGUAUGUCUAUUCAUGUAUGGAAUUUUUCUGGAAUUAAUCUUGCUGUUUCAUUUGAUUGUGAAAUUUUCUUCCAUGCUUGGUCAUUGUUGACGUUUUUUUGUGCUAUACCUUGCAAAUCCUUUUGUGGAAAUUCUCAAUAUCUUAUUUAUGUCAUGAAAUUUCAUAUGUGAUAACUAGGCACAUCUCAGCCUUGGCAUUGGUGUUAAUCUCAAUUCACUUUCUCUUCUGUUUUUCAAAUUUGGAUAGUGAUUUUUGAAGUUGACCUAUGCUUGUUGACUUUUACCAUGCUUACUUGAAUUGGUUUGACUUCAGUGAUUUUACUUUACUGCCUUCCUCUCAUCCAAAAUGCCAUGAAAUUUUACAUGUAUACCAUGUAUAGAUGCUAGGAUUGAGUGUGAUUUAUUUCAUGAUUUUGAAAUGUUUGAGUUGACUUUGAUGCAAGUCAUUCUGUUGACUUUUGUAUGCUCCCUUUUGCCUUACUUUGACUUCAAAUGUUCAUGAAAUGAUAAUGAUGCAUGAUUUGAAUGUGGCCAAUUGUGAUAGCUUCUCAAUGUUGAUCUUUUGUGUUUGUUGACUUUUCCUUGCUGCUUUGACUUUUUUCUUCCAUCCUUGACCCUAGGCUAGUCCUAGUGGUCUUCUGUGCUUACUAUUGAGUUCCUGUUUCAGGUUGAGCACCAUUGCCAUUGAGAUCAUACAAAUGUGAUUGGUUUUUGAUUACAUUUCAUGUACUAACCUUUUGUUUUGUAGGCUUGACCAUGUGCCUGAGUCUUAUGCUUUGCUCAGUUGAUCCCCUGUGUUACUGUUUGCCAUUUCUUUUUGAUUAAACUUUUGAACUGUUUGCUGAUUGUUUGACUUUUUCAGGUACUUAGUUGCUUGCUUUGCUUUUAGCAAUUGCUUUGAGGUAUAAUCUCUUUUACUACAUGUAGUCUGGAGACCGGUCUGUUAUUGACCGGCCAAACUGUCUGAAGUCCUCCUUAAGAGGUAAUGCUUGUGUAUGUUUACUUUGUCCCUGUACAGAGUCAAAGACCUCCUAAGUGAAGAGGCAAUUGGUGGAGGUAGGAUAUGCAGCUAUCCCCACUACUCAGUGUGUCUUCUGUCUUGCUCACACCACUGUGUUGAUGCAUUUCAGAUAAAAAACCAAGAUCUUGUGCAAUGCACAGUUGAGUCAGUUUUAAAUGUGUAGAAGGUUCCCACUUCUGAACCCACACAUUCUGUCAAAUGCUCUCCGGCCAGGGAUAGAAGCAAUGAGGCACACCCUCAUCUCCUUUCAUCUGUUUCACCUUAGCCUCUCAAUGGCAAGGUUAAGAGCACACUUACCCCAUUCCAGUGGCCCUAGUGCCUAACCUUUGAUGUUUGACCCCCCUUGUUGGUGUGUUAUUUAUUGCUGUAUGUGUUUGUGAUUGCUUUGUUUGCCUCUUUAGGUUUAGUUUUGCUUGCCCUUGUGCAAUAGGUUUUGUACUUGACUUGCUUCCUGUGCAAGUCAAGUCUGUGUGCUUAAACCCUUGUGUGAGCCAUAACUUAGAACUGUUCGGCCGAACUACGGCAACUCUGAUUCUCAUGUUCAGGUGAGAUACGUAGCACGAGACGCGAUGUCUUGACGAGUUUUGACUAACCACUAACAUCUAAUUCUCUUCUCUCACCCCUGUUGUGAUUGAGAUAUCCCUUUCUCUUGCCCUAGUUGCAAUCGAGACUUUGUUUUUUUCCUGUGUUUGUUCAGGAUAGGUUGGCCCUUGUGCCAUUUAGCUAGAAACCUUAACUUAGGGUUGACUUUGCAUGACAACAUCUAGGCUCGAGUCGUAGUCUCCCUAGAGUUGUGUCUCCCUCUGUUAUCUGGUUAGGCUAGAUCCUUGUCCUGCGUAGGGAACUACAUCGCCCUGAUCUUCACACCAGAUGAAGUAUGUAGGCAGGAGAUUGAGCUGAUCUCUCCGGCGCCCUUUUCCUUUUUAACCCUUUGUGUCUUAACCACCCUUGUGUGUGUUCUGUGGAGUCCGACAUAAGUCCAGCGAUUGGCAGUUGGUUUCCUGUGUGCGUUUAGGUUCGGAUGCCGAUGUAAGUCCAGUGAUUGGCAGUCGGGCUCCACGUUUGCCUGUGUGUUUUGUUUGUUUGUGCGUGUCAGCCGAGCUACGAAUGCUCUGAUUCUUCUCUCGUCCGAGGAGAUACGUAUGCAUAGGAUGCGAUAUCCUAGCGAGCCUGUGUCGUCUCCCCAGUCCGAACUACUUCGACUCUGAUGUCUAUGCCUGAUAGACUUAAGUAGGCCCAGGAUACGAUGUCCUGCCGAGUCCAGUUUCAGUCAGUCUCUUGUUGUCUCUUUCAGCCAGUGUGUGUGAGUUUGAGCAGUGUUUUAGCAACCAAUCUUCCUUCCUUUUGUCGUGGAUCCGUAGAGUACUACGAUGCAUAGGGUGCCUAAUACCUUCCUUCGCAUAACCGACUCCCGAACCCAUCCUCUUUUGUCGCAGCGAGACCAUGUUCUUUUCCUAGGUUUACUUCGAGCGUUUCCUUUCCCUCUUUUGGGAUAAAUAACGCACGGUGGCGGCUCUGUUGUUUCUUUCUUUUCCCGCCGGUUUUUCGCGCGAUGCGACAAGCACGCCUAGCUGAAGAGUCUUCCACCAAGGUAGAACAUGAUGCUCUGACUCAGGGGGAGUCCUCCACUUUUGUCCCUCUGGUUCUAAAGACUCUUGAAGAACUUCAGAAACAACAGCAGGAAGUCCGAGCCAGAUUGGAUCAACAGGACUCAGUAAAUGUCAACAUUCAGAAUCUGCUGACCCAGCUGCUCUAGAGGAUGCCUCCACCUCCAAACCCUUAGGCACCUAGGACUUGUUUAUGUGUUCUUUUCCUUUUGCUUGUUGUUCUUCUGAUUUGCUUGUUGCUCUGAUUUGCUUGUUGCUCUGACUUGCUUGUUGUUUUCUGCAUUCUUGUUUUUUGUCUGCGUUUCUGACAUCUGUACCUGCUAUGUGAAUAUACAUAUAUUUUCUUGCUCUUUCAUUUUCACUGAGUCUUUUUUAUUCUGAUAAAAGGGGGAGAACUAAAAACAGCUCUGAUGAAAACAUAUCUAACUCCUAUCAAAACUCUGCAAACAUUGUUUCUAAUUUUUUGGACUUAGAAAUUUGCAGGAGAGUAGCUAGAAACACCAUAUCAUGGAAGGUCCGGUAAGAACUUCUGAACUCCCAGACUUAUCUCAGGGGAAGCUCACUUCCAUCUGAUCUAAUAACUCUUAUCUAAAAAUGUUUCAUCUCUGAAUUAAAAUUGUUUUGUCAUCAUCAAAAAGGGGGGGAUUGUAAGAACAAAAGUAGUUCUACAAUAGAAUUCCAGGAUUUUGAUGAUAACAAAGGAUGAAACCAAAAAUGGCACCCUAACGAAAUUUUUCUAAGUGUGUAGGACUAUGAAUAGCAACGAAGGACUCUGAUCAUUUUAUCAGAUACAAACACUGAUCAGAUACAAACUGCUAGAAGAUCAGACGCAUCUGAGGGAGAAGUGCGCCCAAGAAGUUCCGAAUCUAAGCAAAGCAAGACAGUAAGAAGAACCAUAAGCUCUAACAACUACUGGUCUUAGUUCUGAUGAUAAAAAAGACUAGUACUCUGAGAAGCUCUGAUGAACUUCGACAUAAUCUCCUUCUGACGCAUGACUCCGAUACAACAAGACUCUAAUGAAGAUUCUCCAAAUCUAGAAAGAGUAACGGAAAGAAUUUCUCAUUAUGGAAAAGAAGUUAUUCAGGGAGACAAAAUGGUUAUGGCAAGAAACACAGAAGUAAUGACAUUGAAUGCUCAUCAAAGACCAAUAUGCUGUCAUCACUCCAACGGUCCUUCUCACUACUAUAUAAAGGACAGCCUACCUCAUUGAGAGAUAUAACUCAACACACAGAAAAAGUCAUUCAUAUUCUCUCUCAAUUUUUACGAGCUGCUACUCAUACGUGAAAACUCUUGCUCAAAUACUUUGUUGUAAUACUUGCUUACUCUUAGAAGCACCUUCUAUUACAAAUUUAUUUUUACUAAAUUGCUUUUAUUCCUCAAGUGACUCUGCGUAGUCUGUAUACUUGAUAGGACUAAGAGAUCAUUCUCUUAGACAUUUGGUUGUAUAAUCUUUCAAGAUUAGUGGAUUAAGUCCUUUUUUGAAGGCGAAAUCACCUUGGCCGGGUGGACUGGAGUAGCUUUGUUUUCUAAGUGAACCAGUAUAAAAUUCUGUGUGUUCUUAUUUUUCUAAAAGCUUUUAUUUUCUAAAACAAUUCAAACCCCCCUUUCUUGUUUUUCUCACCUUCGGUUAAGAUGGCGGUGAUUUGCGCGAAGAAGAGAAACUCAAUGUUUGGUUUGGUUAUGAAGGAGUUGAAGUGUUGAAGGAGUUAUUUUUGUGUAUUUGCAUGUGAAGAUUGUGUUAUAGGAGAUGGAAAGUUGCAGGCUGAGAAUGAGAGAGCCAAGUACUCAGCUAAAAUGAAAUGAAGAUCGUUCCUCUUUUUGCUUUUUUCUUUUUUUUGAAUGUGAGAGAGUAAGUAUCAAUGGGAAAGUGCGCCGCCUGUGUUCAAUUGGUCUUCUAGCUUUUUUCGUAUGUGCAUUCCAUUGGUCCAUGAUGGUUUAAAUAGUGCACACCUAGGGUUUAGAUAUUUUUGUUUAGCGUAAAAUGGAUGGAAAAGAAUUACCCAACUAAAUAUCAAACUAAAUUAAAUAAUCAACGUACACUUAAAAUGAAACCAAAAAUAAACCUAUUUACCUUUUCUAGACACUUUCUUUUUAAAAACAAAAAUAAAAUGAUUUAAAAUGAAUAAAAAUCAGGCGCAAGAAUGCUUAAAAAAUAAAUUGAAUACACUAACAUUAUCAAUGCGAAAUAAGCUUCUCAGACACAUACAUGUUUUGAUUAAAUUUUAAAAUAAAAAGUAAUUGGUUAAAAUGGCUCAGACUGAUCAAUAUGCGACCAUGAAAGUCGUCGAAAAAAUAAAACAAGCACAUCUGAUUAAACUACAUAGACUAUAGAUUAAUAAAAUUAGCGUCUGCAAGCUUGAUCUUUAAAUUUUUCUCCCUUUAAUUUUAUGUGCAUUUGGGAAAUCAGCUCGAUCGGUUUGUCUGUAAAUUCGAAAAUUUAUUCUGAUAGACAUUUUAAGUGUAAUACGAGAUGAAAUGCAUGUUAUGUUAUGCAGAUGAUGCAAAUGUCAUGAUGUAUGUAUCGAUUUAUUGAAUGAGGGAAAAAGUUGGGAUAUGACAAUAUUUCGAUAGACAAAAAAACAAAGUUAACACUACUGCAAUUGAAAUAUAUAUAUAUAUAUAUAUAUAUUUUUAAUAUGGGCAUGUACACAUGGUUGUGAAGCCUCUUGAAGAACGAGGGAAAAUUGUUAGGCUGCAAAUUUCUCCUUCCAACAUACGUAAACAAAUAUGUGGCAAUAAUGAGUUGCAUUCAAAGUAAUAUUUUAUGAAAUACAAUAGUAGUUGGACCUCAACCUUAUAAUCUAUACCAUCAAGAGGUACUUUAGGGUACAAUUAAAUCCAUGGAUGGUAUAUGUAUAAGAAUCUUUAUCAAGAGUUAGGGUAUGGGAUGGUGCGUCUACUUAGAGGAUAUAUACUUUUUCUUUUUUUUACUUUUGGGGAAAAUGAAAAAUCAAUGAUUGAGUUGGAAGAUUUAUUUCACACCGAAGAGAAGGAAACCAAAAAAAUUCAGCUUAUUUGAAGUUUUUCAUUAUCUUUGAGAGAAAUAACCUUCAUUCAAUAUUCCUCUUUACCAUCUAAUUAAAUGAUAACUUUUGUAGACAUACAAACAUCUUCCAUGACAUAAUCUAUCAUUAAUAUGACAAACAUUUCAAACUAAUUGUUUUAUUUUAUGUUUCAUUUUCCUAUUCAAGAAAAUAUGUAACUCCAUGUUUCUUCUCAAUACCCUAAUCCUUUUUUCAAAAUAUAACUCCACAACUCCGUGAAAAUCCUCCCUUCAUUUUUCUUCUUAACCCUUCUUUAAAAUUUAACUACACAUCUUCGUGACAUCGUCCUUCACUGCAGCCGCUCUCGUCCCUCGUAGCACUAUGUGUAUGUCAUUUUCAAUUUUCCAUCAAAGGAUUAAAGUUGAGUCUUCUAAACAACAAAUAAAAAUACAGUCAAUGCUAUAAGAUUAAAGCAAGAAUUGUAUAGAAAAUCCUAUAGCUUAUUCAAUUGUAUGCACACUCCUACUACUUUCCCAUUUGUUAACAUAUGAAAGUUGGUUCGAUAAGUAACAAGAUAUCACCCACAAUGUUGAGACAAUAGGAUGAAGUAACGAUAAAUAUAAAAUAAGCAAUAUAAAUAACACAUGUUAUUGUUAGCCCAGUUUGCUGCAAAGUCACCUACGUAUGGAGGACAUCAAGCCAAUGAAAGGAAAAUCAUUAAUCAGUAGUCAGUAGUACAUGACAAUCUUAUCUAAACUCUUCCAGUCCAAUGUCAUUUUUCCUAAUACUACCUAUGAAUUUUGAUCCAUUCCCCCUGAAUCUGAGACCUCUCUCACUCUCACUUAAACACUCUUUCAAUUUUUAGCAAUAUUACAGUUUUAUUUGGCAUGAUACAUCACAAUUAUAAUCAAAUACUUUAUCUUUCUAACAUAACAAAGAUACUCAAGAAUAGAAUAUUACAAAAAAAAAUACAAAAGCCUCAAUGGAAACAAUAAAAUGACGCACUAAAAUCCCAGUCUCAGUCUUUAAACAAGGAGAAUCAUCUCUUUAAAUAGUAGCACAAUCCAUCCUAAAAAUUAAAUUAGGGUUUUAACACAAACCAAUGAUUCCAAAAAGCACAAGAUUCAUCUUUCUACAUUAAAGUCAAAUCUGAAUCUUGUCUAAAAUCAAAUCCAAUCAAAUCUUUAUCUGACUUACUUAAGAAAUACAAAAUCAUUAACAAAUAGAUUUAGAUUAAAAUUGUUCUUCCAAAAAUAUGUGAUAUAAAUCAUAUUUCUGAUUUACCCCAAAAUGACAAAAAUAUAGAAACAAAACAUUGAAGUGAUAAUCAUUUAGUUGAAACAAAAUAGAUCAAGACAAAUUGCAUAACAUCUUUCUUAACAUAUUUUCUACAAAAAUUUGUGAAUCAAAUGUAAUAACACUCGCCGGCUAUUUUUAGGCAAAUAAAACACAUGCAAGAUGUUACGCAAAAUGUUACACACAACCUUCCAGAAAAAAAAUUCAAGAACCCUGACAUGAAAGAGAUCAUAACAAAACACAAACAAAUCAUUUUUUUCAGAAACAUCAUAUCACAACGGAACAAUAAAGAAACAUGCAUAGAGUAGCAACAUCAAACAUCAUAGCAAAUAACAAAAACCACAUAUUAUUAGAAGAAAUUAGAAGAAUCUGUCAUUCUCCCCCUAUUUGCCUAAAAAGAGAAAAUGUAGGAGACCAUUGUCAGCCACACAUGAGUAUACAAAAUAUAGAAAAUAUCUAGUCACACAUGGGCAUACAUCUUAAAUAAAAAAUGUAGAGAAUCAAACAAAAAUAGAAAAAUAACCAGAAAUUGUAUUAAUGAGUAAACAUAUUACUGAGAUGAGAUAGAUGAAUCAUUAUCUAAGGUAGUACCAUACUCGACACCUGUACUUCAUCGGAGCUUAACAUAUCUUCGUCUUCACCCAAUGUCAUGGAAUCUUCCUCAACAUUUGGUACAACAUUAUGAGAAGUGGAAGCACCUGCAACCUGUGAACUUAAAAUUUUAAGCAACCACACACACAUAUUUUCUCGUAGUGGAUGUGGCUACUAUUUCAUUUAGCGCCUUGGUCUAUUGCAUAUGGGCCUUUAGGAUGUGGCUUUGCACAUGACCAAACAUGAGUUCCACAUCAAGCAUGUGAUCAUCAAUAUCUAAUCUAGAUUCAUCAAUAAUAGGAAUACUAUGGAUAAUUAAGUAAUAAUUCUUAACUUGUAUAAUUUUAAUCUCACGUAUCGUGGAUACAAUUAUACAAAUUUUCUUAUUUUGAAAUAAAACAUAAUUAUUUUUAAUUUGCAUGUUUGUAAGUCACCUAUCAUGAGUAGAAUUGUACAAAUUUUGUUUAGUAAAAUGAUUAAAUUUAUUUUAAUUAUAAAAAUAUUAUAUUGAUAAUAGUUAUACCAUGUUGACGUGUUAUUAUUAAUAUAACUUGUUUUUGUUCAGACUCUGUUUGUUAAAAAUAGCAGUUGGAUGAUAAGUUAACUUAUAGUUUAUAGAUGGUGACUAAUGAUUGAUAGUUUAUAGUUGAUGGCAUAUGAUUGAUAGUUAAUAAGUUAAUUGAACUGUUUGUUAAAAUUAGUUGUUCAACUAGCUGAUGAAUGUAAAAUGACAUGAUUGUUUGAUGUUAUUUACAUUUAAUACAUAAUUGUUUUAUUUUAAAUUAAAAUAAAUUAUAAAAGUUAAAAAUGUAUUUUAGUUAAAAUAAUAAGGGUAAGUGUGGAAGAAAAAUGAUAAGCUAUAACUUAUAAAUUAAAACGUUGUUAGAAAUAGCAUAUGGAAAAUAAGUUAUAAGGUAGUAAAAUAAGUUAUAAGACCUUCAUGAAUACACUGUUACCAAACAAGUCUUUUAUUGACAUACGAGCUUAUAAGCUAUAAACUAUAAGAUUAAAAAUAUUUCAAGUCAAAUAGAGAAAAUAAACGAAUAUUUGUUUAAAAUGUUUUAUAAAAUCUUAAAUUAAUAAUUUAACUAUUAUUCUCUAUCAAGUAGGAGAAUUUACGUGUCAAUUAUAUAAAUAAGAAUCAAAUAUCAUUACUUUAAUAUAAUUUUAAUUUAUGAAAAAGAGAUUUAUGUUGAGAAUAUUAUAUCAUUAUUAUAUUAAUAAAACUAUAUAAUUAUUUGUGUUAUAUCUUCAUUAACAAUUAAAUUAAAUUCUCAAAUUUUUCUAUUAUGUAUAACAUAAUAUAUUUCUCAAAUAUGUCUGGCUAUAGUUGUAGCAUUUGAGUUUUGAAUGAGUUAUUAAAAUUUUAUAUAUAAUCCUAAUUAUAUUUAAAAGGGCCGAAAGCCUAGUAAUAGGAUCUUUAAUUUCAGCGGACCAAUAAAUUUUUAUUUCAGAUCGUAAUAUGACGGAUGGUGUCCUUGUGGCAAAUGAGGUUGUCGAUUUUGCUGGAAGACAUAAGAAAAAAUUGUUUCUUUUUAAAGUUGACUUCAAUAGGCAUUUUAACUUUGUGUCCUGGGGUUACGUCUCUUUCAUUCUUAAGAAGAAGAACUUUGUUCCGAAAUGGAUAAGUUGGAUUUGAGUUAUUUUCCGGCUUAAGUGUGACUUUCCACAAAAGUAAGAUUCCAGGUCUGAAUUUGGAUCCUGAUUAUCUUACCGCAACUUCAGACUUCUUGACUUGUUCAAUCACCCAUCUUCCUUUCUCCUUCCUCGACAUCCCCAUUGAAGAGAAUCCUCGAAGGAAAUUUACUUGGAUUCCUAUUAUUUCUAAGCUUCGGAGUAGGCUGAAUUCAUGGUUGAUACGAUUACAAUAGAAUAUAUGAAACCCUUAUUUCACAUUCAUAUUGCUUGCUUGAAUUAUAAAGUUUACACAUUUAUGUAUCCAAAUAGCAAUUAACUCAAUCAUUAAAUAGUCACAUAAUUUAUUUAUUAUUGUCACUCAUCUAGUUAAUUUCAUGGUUCAAAGAUAACCAUUUUCCUUGCAACAGUCAAUUGUAUCCUCAAUCAUUUUCUCAACACUAUACUUGAACUCAAAUCCAGUAUCCAUGAGUUUCUUUGAUGUUAAGAGUGGAAACGUAGGACCGUUAGCUCCCAUAAGCACUCUAUAACAGAAGAAAAUAAAUUGUUAAUAAUAUUAGUAACAAUGAAAGAAAGAUCACAUAAACAUAAAUAUCAAUGGUCAUGAACAACUGACUUGGAUUUUGGAAUUUGAAUUUCAGGAUACUUUGAAGAAAUAAUGUCAAUUAUUUCUUCAACAGUUGUAGUGAAUGCUGAGCAAUUAUAUCUCCCUUUUGGAUUAGAAUGUUCAAGUAGGAAUAUAUGUGCUUGUGCCACAUCAUCAACAUGCACCAUUUGAAGACGAGAGAUUCUAAAUGAAUGCUUGUCAAUAUCACCUAAAUUUAACAUUCAUUUCAUUAUUUUCUUUAACUCAAAUCUGAAUAUUGAAUAUAUUGGCAUCUAUUAGUGUAUUCCACACAUUUGAAGAAAGAGUCAUAUACAUACAAAACAUCUAUUUUCACGAGGUUUUGAAUAAUCAAUAUGUAUUUGUUGAAAUAUUAAAGAUUAUUUAAUGUUCAUACAGACAUUAAUAGGAUAUCCACUUAUACAUAAAUGAUGAUAUCUACUUGUUAAAAGUCUAAAUAGAAGCAAAAUAUUGUCCAAUCCAAGAGAAAAAAUAUUCAAAAAUUCUAAAAAUAAAUAAAUAUUAAAUGACAUUUAAAUAUUUUUCAACAAAAUUCAUUAUUAUUUAAGGAAAUUUAAAAUAAUUUUAACAAAAUUCAAUUUCUAAAUAAAAGUAUAUAUUAACAAUUGUUAAAAUAUGAUAAUUUCAAAAGAAUUUUUACGACAUUUUAUCCAAGUUAAAACUUGAGGAAUGUUUUGACAAGAUUUUGUUAACCCUUAUUUUUUUGAAAAAAAAAUAAUUUCUUAAAAUUUUUAAAUUUACGAAUGAAUCCUUUUAAAUUUCCUAAAUUAUAAAUUUUGCUAAAAUUAUUAAUAAAAAACAACCAAAAAAUGUUAGGAUGAAUAAUUGAAAUACUUUAUCAUAACAAAAGAAUCUAAAACCAAGAGAAAUUGAAUUAAAACAUUUGAAUUAAUUUAAAAUUUAAAAUACCUUAUAAUUUCAAAUUAUAUCACUAUCAUUAGACUAAAUGCUAAAAUUUUAAAUUUUAACACUUCUAAAUCAACAUAUUAGCAGUCUUAAAUCAUAUUAAAAAUAAUUUAUAAAAAAAAAUUACUUUCAUAUGAACGAGCUCCCUCGUUAAAAGUUGAAUUGAUUUUGAACACUAGGUUUAACACAUUUACUGAGUUCGGAAUAUCUCUAAUCAUAAAAUAUUUACAACAUUUAUAUAAGCACAUUUUGACAAUUGAAUCAAUAUUGGAUUAAGAUAGUUUAUCCGGAUCUGAAUAAGGGGCGGUCCAUAAUGAAGUAGCUCAUGGUAUAACCGUGUUAGAGGGUAUGAAAGGACGCAUAAGUGCCCAAAAUGGGAUAGUCGCCCGAAAUAAGCGCUAGAAGGGGUAUAGAUGCCUAGAGUGUAUGGUGAGUCGCCUGACAGGGCUUAGGUCCAUUUACCACACGUGGAAUAACGAUGAGGGAAUGUGGAAACUAGAGGAAAACUCUUUUUCCAUGAGUGAGGGGAAGAGUUUCGUUGUCCCGCAUUUUUGAUAGUAGGAUGAUAAUAGGGUCUCUAACCACCGUUAUGUUGACAUAUCUUGUUUCCCUAAAUAUUGUACUUUAGCUAGUAUAAUUGUCGCCAACGGGGGGAUCCUGGUAAAACAAACCUAGGCGACACCUCUAUGCACCUAAAAAAUAGCCUCAACUGUCACUCAAGAUGAUGAAAAAAGUAAGGCACCAUGUUAGCCAAAAGUAGUUCCGACAAUAAUCAUCGAGCCAUAGUACAUAUACAAAAGGCUAUGGAAGAAUUGUGCCGCCAUAAUAAAGCUUUGAAGGACAAGAUCAUCAUCCUUCAACAUUGCUAAUAAAAGGUCGAUCCGCUUAAGAAAAUUGAAAUCCUGAACCCCUAAGCUCUUUCUAAUGAAAACUGAGAGGGCACAUGCUAGAAAGUUUCAAACUCGCCUUAUUAACAAAGUUUGACGGAAGACACGUCCCCCUUGGAGCAUGUUGCCUCCAUAACACUCAAAUGGCUACCAUCGUUGUCAGCAAAUCCUUGAAGUACAAUUUGCUCUCUAGCACUUUCAAGGAAGCCUUGCUAAGAUGGUACAUGAAUCUACCGCGUCUGUCGAUCACUAGUUAUCAAGACCUAGUGAAAAAGUUAAUCUAAUAGUUUUCUGGAAGCAAACACCUGAAGGUGUCAACCACAAACGUCCCUCAGAGGCCCUCUGAGUUGUUGAGGGAGUAUCUCGCCCGCUUUAAAGAGGAAACCACAUCAAAUUAAUACAUCCAAAUAAGAAGUUCCUAGGGGAGUCUUAGAAUGUUCUAAGGACCAAACACUUCAAUGAGUCCCUCUCCUAAAGGUUGGAGGUUUUCCAUAACACAAAUCAUGGCACAGGCAUAAUACUAUAUCAAGGGCAACAAGAGUAAUGGAAAAAUAAGGAGAAGCGCAUGAGCCAUUACACCUCGAUUAUAAGGGAUAAGGUGACCUUAAAAAAUAAUGGAAGAUCUACUAAAAGUUUCACGCCGCUCAACACUCAUUGACAAUGGAUAUGGCAUAAAUUAUUGUAUACUCAUGACAUCCCACCUUCGUCGGUCUCCAAGUCUGACACCGUGGAUCCUGGUCCAAGUAAAUGGUGAGAGUAUCACAAGGUGAAGGGUCACCACACAUAGGAUUCCUACUAGUUUAAUAAGGAAAUCUAGCGGCUCACUCAAAAGGUCUAUUUGAAGAAGUACAUCUAGGAUGCUUCCCAUCGGUCAAGAGACGGGUCGAAAUCUCAAAGGCGAGAGCUACUAGGGAGCCCCAAAUCUUGGUAGGGUAAGGAGUUAGGGGGAAGAGAGAAAGAUCAUCAAUUUUGCGAUAUCCUAAAUACCAUAGCUGGACUUUUCCCUAGAGGUGGUGAAUCUAGCUCCUUCCGAAGAUGACCCAAUAAUUUAUAACUAUAAAAGACUCUUCUACCUGUUCCAAAUUCGGACCCAGGGAGCACUACAAAUUUUGAUAUCGCCUUCAUUGACAAGGACGCUGUCAGGAUUCAUUCUCACGACAAUGAUCUCACGACCAUAAUGGUACAACGUGACGAUUAGGAGAUCAAAAGAGUAUUGGUCGAUCAAGGGAAUUAUGUAGGUAUUCUCUACAGAAACACAUUCGAGAGGCUUAAGCUUAGUCUAGCAUUCUAGGGUUCGCUAGUCAGCUUCUCGAGUAAGAAUGUGUAAGUAAAUAGUUAAAUCACCCUCAAGAUGAAUUCAGGCUGAACAAAAAUGUCAAAAUGAUCAGAGUCAGAUACCUUGUUAUAGAUGCCUCUUCCUCGUAUAAUAUAAUCAUAGGUAGGUAUACCUUCAACCUUUUGGGAGUUGCUAUAUGUACCUUAUAUUUAUGCAUGAAGUAUUUUCUAUCAAAAGGACGAAUCGGGUUUAUCCAAGGAUACUACGAGAUCGUUCAAAGAUGUUAUCAUCAUUGUUUGAGGGUAAGGAAGAAGACAAUGACAGUAACCAAAGCUCUAUCAUCUAGCGCACGAGGAGUGAAUUUCAUGGACUUGAUCCCCAUAAUGGAUCCCAAUAAGGAAAGGUAGAUGCCUACCGAAGUUCUAGUGGAGAUCUAGAAGCUUUCGUUAUCAAGCAAAACUCCAUCCCAAUAGAUAAGGAGUUGGUCACUCUAUUUAUAGAGAGUCUGGCUUUGUUAGGCAAUUGUGACAAAUGAUGUAUAGGGAUCCUGAAGUUUAGUAGUUUGAGGAAUUAAAUUAGCUAUUUAUUUCUUAUGUAUUUUAUGAUUAAGGUGAGGCCUUCUACCCCACUAUUUUCUUGAACAAUUUACAAGAUUAAUUUUAAUUAAAGGGGUAUCACUCUUUUCCUCUACAAGGUUUUUAACUAGGCACCAUAGCUUCUUAAAUAAUUAAUCCUUGCAUGUUGUACAUCUAAUUUGCGCUUGACAUUCAUUGAAGGAUCCUUUCCACCUAAAGAGGUUAUUUUACGUUGAACCUUCACUAAAGGAUCUUCGUCGUCAAAAGAGCCUAUUUUAUGUUAGACCUUCACUAAAGGUUUGUUGCUACCCAAAUAGGCUAUUUUAGUUGGACCUCCACUAAAAGAUCGUUGUUGCCGAAAGAGACUAUUUUACGUUGAACCUUCACUGAAGAAUCCUUGUCACCCAAAGAGACUAUUUUACAAUAGAACUUAAUUGAAGAAUCCUUGCCGCCCAAAUGGCUAUUUUAAAUUAGACCUUUAAUGGGGGAUCCUUUCCUCCUAAAUAGGAUAUUUUACCCUGAUAGUCAAUGUACAAGUUGGGCCUUCACAAAUAGAUGUUUUAUACCAAUAGGGUGUUUGAGGUAUGCACCAUACAAAUAGGAAAAUAAAAGGAACAUGAUAAAGGGACUAAAAGAGAAAUGUAUUAGUAAUAAACUCUGAAGGGUGUGAUUACAAGAAACCCACGAGGGCAUAAUUACAUAACAAAAUAAAAGACAAAACCAUCAAGCAGCCUAGUGAUCCUCCUCCUUAACUUUCACCUUGCACUAAGUAGAGGACCAAUCAUUAUUUUCAGGGGAAUUCUCCACUUUUUGAUAAGGAAUCGUCGUGGAGGAAGGAUCUUCAUCUUUCUCGUACACCAGCUAGCCAUCCUUGAUCACGUUGAAUAUAUCAAGUUGGCUCAUAUUUAUGCCAGUAUGUAGGAUGGCCACCCGCUAUUUGGUGCGUUCAAAAUAUUUUUCGUAGGUCUCGUUCAAAUCACCUUGACAAUACAACAACUCUCCUUUGAGCUUUUCAUGGGAGGGCAAGGCUACCUUCAUCUUAGCCUCUGUCUGUGCGAGCUUCUCGCUUGAUUCCUUGGAAUCCUUUUGAAUCUUCUCAAGGGAUUUCUCAUAACAUUGUGACUCACCAUGCUCCUCAAUGAUGAUCUUCAUGGACUCAUAUUCUUGAACCAACGCUCCCUUCACACUAUUCAAGUCCUCCUUUAGCUCAUCAACUAACAUGUCGCAAUCCCAAUGGUGUGACAUUAAUGGUCACGAGAACCUCUAAUUCAAAGUAGGUGAAAUGUAUAAGCAUCCAUAGGUCGUGAAGACUGCCAGGUGCAUGUAAAAGAAGGCUUAGGGGAAUUCUGUAGGGGAGACCAUGUUAGCCUGCUCCACUUUGGAGCACAAUUCCAAGAUCACUUCCCCUUCGUCUUCUGCUCUAAAUAAGUUUUGAUGUAUCCAAAAGGAGGACACUUUUUGAUUGCAUAUGUUGCAUCUUAAAAUUCUCCAUUCUUGAGCUCUUUAUUGAACAUGUCUUCGUUGAUAAUUUCAUAUUUCUUGUGAAAGAACGAGAAGAAAGAUAGUCAAUAUCACUACUAGAGUCGGAGGUACUCUCGUAACUCCCAAAAAUGCCUACUUCAAGGAGCAUAUAGUCAAUUACUCCAUCAACCCGUCAAGCAUUGUUCAUGUAAUGCUCUUGCAAUUUCAUAUGUUCCCUGCAAUUGGAAUGCUCAAUUGCAUUACCCCUCUUGUCUAACUCUUGAAUAAUCGUCAUUUCUUGAAAAGAGAAGGUUGAAGAAAGAAAGCAAUGGAUUAUACCUAUUUACAAAGAAUACGAAAACUGGAGGAAUGUUAAAUGUGGUGCCUAGCUCAAGCUUAAGAGUCUUGUCUCAUGCUUCGCCUAAGGGACGCACCAUACGCUUCGCUUGAGGGAUUUGCCACAUGCUUCACAUGAGGGACUCACCCCAUGCUUGAGGGACUUGCCACAUGCUUCACUUGAGGGACUCACCCCAUGCUUGACUAUAUGAAUUCUCAUAAUUUUAGGAUGGCGAUACACGAGAAUUAAAUCACUUAUUCCUUUCCAAGCCCUUGUGAUUGAGGGAUUAUGAAUUGGGAUAAUUUAUCUAGGUCUUAAUAAGGGAUGAUCCAUGAUGGAGUAGCCUAUGGAAUAAUUGAGCCUAGGGAUAGGAAAUAAUUUAGGCGCCCAAAGUGGGUUAGCCGCUCGAAAUGAGCAUGAGCACAUUAAGGGUUAUAGUCGCCGAAAAGGUACGGUGAGCAGUCCGAUAGAGCUCGAGUUCAUCGCCCAAAAGUGGGUUGCUAAUAACAUUGAUGUAUUAGUGCAAUCAAAUUAUCAAAGACUAAAAGAGACUAGAAAAUAUUAAUAUUUAAAAAGAAACACUUACCAAAUAAGAAAGGCAUUGAAGCAUAAAUUGAGCUAGGAAGCUUAGAGCAAAUGAAGGGUCCAAUAACAAAAUUUGGCACAACAGUGACAACAUCCAAUCCAUGUUCUUUUCCAAAUUCAAGAACAGCUUUCUCAGUUAGUGUCUUAGAAACUGCAUAUGACCAAGCAAAUGGCUUCACAUUUCUUAGUAUAUUCACAUCACUCCAAUAACUUUCAUCCAAUACAUCUUCUUCUCUCUCUUGAAAAGAAACAGCUGAACCACUUGAAGUGUAAACAACUCUCUUCAAUGUCUUUGAAUUUUUGCAUGCUCUUAGAAUUCCUAAAGCUCCAUCAAUGGUUCUUUUUGUCACUAUUUCUUCCGGUUCGUUCACUUCAAAAUCAACCGGAGUGGCAGUGUGAAAUAUUCCAACACACCCUUCAAUUGCUGCAUUAAAACUUUCUGGAUUGCUAAGAUCAGCAUUGAAAAUGUUUAACUUUUCAGAUGCUCCUGGAAGAUUUGUGAGGAAGCUAACAUCUUUCUUCUGCCCUGUUAUUUACAUAAUUAAAUAAAGAACAUAAUAAUAAACAAACAUCACAUGUAACCAUAUACCUGGACUAGAUCUAAUAGUAGUAUUAACAGUGUAACCAUCUUCAAGGAGUCUCUUAAUAAUCCAUGAACCAAUAAAACCUGUACCUCCUGUGACACAGACUCUUCCUUUUCCUUCUGCCAUUAUCACACUUUUCUUGCAAAAUAUUUUUCACACUUUAUUGUUAUUUGAUUACUUCUGUAUGAAUGUCGAUGGUCCUAUAAAUGUACUGGCUGCACUUAUUAUUGGCAGGUCAUGUAGGGACGUGAGGUCCAUACAACUUUUGCGCUUUAUUCAAGCAAUGUUUAUUCAUGAUGUCGGCACCUGCUUAAUUGCUCACGCAUGUUCUUUCAUCUUUUUGUAUAGCUGCAACUGCAAGUGAAACAUCACGUUCAUUGAUUUAGAAAUAAAGGUGCUUACAUAUGGAUAUAAAUGAUCCAUUAAUCUUAUCUUCUAGAAAAGGUUGAGUCACCAAUAGAAAAAUAUAGAUAUAAAAUGAAGAAAAAACUGCACUCAUUUUUGUUAAAAUAAAUGUGACAUUCCUUCUAAUUUAAAAUUUAGAUUAACCUCCCUUGAAAUGACAUUUAUCAUCGUAAGUGUUUCAUGAUAAUUAAAAGCAGUAGGUAUAUAUCAUCAAUAUUUACUGUUUUUGGUUUUUGAUUGAAAAAAAAAAUGUUAAAAUCGUGAAUUUUUUUUAAAAUAACUAUUUUUUUUUUAAAAAUUCCAAAAUAAUCAAUUAUUCAAAAAAAAAUAUCAAAAUAACUAAGUUUGGUAGAGGAUGCGCCAGAUGAAUUGGCGCACCCCCAAACCACUAAGAGAAGGCACCAAUAGCAUUGACGCAUGCAUUGAGCUCCUCAUGAGGAGGCGCCAAUGCUAGUGGCCCCUUAGUGUGUUUUGGUUGGUGGGCGCCAAUUCAUCUAGCGCCUCCAUGUGAUGGUCAUGUGAGCGUCAAUCCCUCAGGCGCCCACGUGUUUUGUACAAUGGAUGUUCCGUCUCUAUAAAUACCAUGCCUUGGAUACAAUAUUUUUCACUCAAACUCAUCUCCUAAUACCAUAAGUUGUCUAGUUCAACCAUCAAUUUCAAUUCUCUCUGUUUCAACAAUGUCUGUAUACAUUCAGAAACGAAAUGCUGAUGAAAUAUUUUCUGUCGUUGCGGCUCCGAUACAGGUUCGACUUUGGAACACAGAUACGUUUGAACGUCUUAAUCGGACGUUGUACAGUUGGUUAGAGGGAGAAAUUCGAGAGGGUGAACAGAUUAGAAGAAUACAAUGGCUUGUGUCCACGUUCAAUCAACACGGAGAAGUGCGUGAAUGAGUGGAUAUUAAGACCGACCAAGACGCUCGUAGGAUGAUGCAUUAUAUGUUCAAAAUUAUUUUGAUGAUUGUAAUUGCAUAGUUCUUGUAUUGUAUUUGUUACAAUUAUCUGUUUUACUGUUUAUGUAAUGGUACUUCCGUCACAGACGUCUAAUAUGAAAUAAAUUUAGUUUUUCAUAUAUUGCAACAGAGGUACAUCUGAAUUUAUCUGGUUGUGCUCGUUCCAACACUAGGACAGUUAUUACGAUUGUGACCUGGUUGACAGCAUGAACUACAUAGUCUAACCAUUUUGUUCGCCGUAUCCAUUUUGGUUUGAAUCCAGGUGCUGUUAGGGCAACCCUUUUUCUUCCUUCGCAUAACUUUGUUGUGCCAGACGAUGUCCCCUUGAUAUUCUGUCCAAUAAUCCUCUUUUGCCACUAUCGAAAAACUAAUUUUAUAAACAUUUGAAAGACUGACGACUUUGUAAACUUCAGAUAGCAAGUAGGAUGGAUUCCUUCGAACCUUUGAGCAUGCCGCAAUGACAUGGGAGCAGGGGGUAAGAAAGGCUUGGAACCUUCCGCAAUCGCACCAACCUCUAUCUAGUUCGACUCUGUAUUGUCCCAUCGGCAUGCCCUCAUUGUGAUCCAUGGACUUGGAAACACUAAACCAACCUUUAGUUCGGUCAAAUACCGUAACCACGUGUGUGUUUGCUUUGACAGCUUCAUGUCUGAUGAAUUUCAUUAAAGCAUCACUAAACAACUGUCCAGAUUGCAACACUGAACUCCAUUUUGAGCGUCUGGUUUCAAACAACACCCCUAGCCUGAAAUAUGUAGCAUGCACCAAAGCGGUUAUUGGUAGGUUACGGAUGCCUUUGAAGACAGAGUUCAUUGAUUCCACAAGAUUUAUUGUCAUGUGGCCCCAACGCUGACCGUUGUCGUAUGCCCUAGUCCACUUCUCCAACGGAAUACUAUCGAUCCACCGUACCGCAUCUUUAUUGUCAUGUGGCCCCAACGCUGACCGUUGUCGUAUGCCCUAGUCCACUUCUCCAACGGAAUACUAUCGAUCCACCGUACCGCAUCUUCGUUCGACAAUCUUAUUUCCUCGCGGUAGUGUUUGAAAUAAGGUUCUAAUGAUACGUAACCUGCAUUGACAACCUUCUUACGCAACGUCUUAUCUUUGAUUUCCCGCAUGAAAUUCUGAGCAAUAUGUCUAAUACAUAACACAUGCGUCGAAAGAGGAUUUUGCCAACCAUUAUCAAUGUUAUUAUAUGCAUUGAUGAUUGAGGGGUGUCUAUCAGAGAUCAAACACAAGUUAGGCUGAGGUGCAACGUGCAAUCGGAGAUUUCUUAGGAAAAAACUUCAUCCCUCAGCAGUCUCCCCUUCAACUAGGGCAAAGGCGAUUGGAAAAAAAUUGUUAUUCCCAUCUUGUGUCACUGCCAUCAGUAACGUUCCUUUGUAUUUUCCAUACAACCAUGUAUCAUCAAUUUGUAUAAUUGGUUUACAGAAAGAAAAACCUAUGAUACAUGGUUGAUACGCCCAGAAUAGACGGUGAAAUAUUUUAUUUCCAACUGUGUACGUACCAUUUGGUGUAUAGGCGGACAAUGUUUCCAUCUUGACAAUUGUCCCGGGAGCAUAGUGUUUUAGAGCCAACAGGUAUUUUGGAAGUUGUUUGUAAGACUCCUCCCAAUUGCCAAACACUUUUUCAACAGCUUUUGUUCUAGCUAUCUAGUGUUUUAGAGCCAACAGGUAUUUUGGAAGUUGUUUGUAAGACUCCUCCCAAUUGCCAAACACUUUUUCAACAGCUUUUGUUCUAGCUAUCCAUGCCUUCCUAUAUGAUGGAGUGUACUCGUACUCAGCCCUAAUAUGCGAGAUUAUUGUACUCACCUUUAACGACGGAUUGUCGCCAAUGAUAGACAAUAUUUCAUCGCAUAUUAGCUGAGAGCUUAAUUUAAGAUGAUCCUGCAUUGGGUUUGCCAGCAUGCAUGUGUGAUCUGGACCCAUUGAUCCAAUCUCCCAAGACUCGCUCCUCUUCCGGUACAAAUCAGACAACCUAAAAAGGCAGUGCUCAUUCGGACAAUAAACUUUAUAUCUCGAUGCGUCCGUUCUAUCAACUCUGAAAUCAGUUGAUAGUUGCAUGUGGAAUUUCUUAAUGGCUUUUACACAUUCCUCUUUUGUGCGAAAUGUGUCUCCUUGUUUCAGAGAUCCUUGCAUCUGCAUGUAAGGAUUGUAUCAUACAUCUGCCGAAGGUUCAUCUGAACCCAAAUUUAACCUUGUCAUGUAUUGGGGUGGGAAAUAUACAGGACUUGCUGGUAUUGGCUGCUCUUCCUCUUCAGCGUUCACCAUCGAAUCAACCAUGAUCUCAGGUUCCUCUUCUUCGUCAUCUAGAACGUUCACCUCAGCUUGUUCGUCAUCAGUCUCAUAAAACACUUGUGACUGAUCAAUGUACUGAGACACCUGUUGUUGAUGUGGUAAAAUAUACAACUCUAUAUCGUUGUAACCGGAUUGUUCGUGACUGACAAACAUAUGCUGAACAUCAUCAUCAUCUCGAAUCUUCUUCUGAUAAAAUCUUACUUGGUUUUCUGCAAACCAAACCGGAUUUUUAUAGAUGAUCUGACCCAUAUUACUGCACUGUAAUUUCUUUUCUAUUCUUUGUUUCAGAGGUGAAAAAUUUGAUCGUCAAUUUAUUGUAAAUCGAGUUACCUCUGUGUUUCGAAAACAAAAACCGAACAACUGAUGAUCAAAUAUUUCACCUUCGGCAUGGGCAUUGAUCAUGUAAUGUUGUGUGGAAGACAUUAUGUUGAAAUAUUAAAUAUGUAAAUAGCUUGAAUGGAAUUGAAUGCAUUGCUAUGUUGUUCAUCUACACAGGAUAAAUAGCUUGGUCAUUGCUAAGUUGGUCGUUGCAUUGAUAACUUGGUCAUUGUCUGUACAUACUUGACCAUGCAUGCAGUAGAAGGAGUCCAGAAUGCAGAGAAAAGAGUGACAAGAACACAUAUGCGCCAGGGAAUCAAAGAAUCUCUAAGCUAUGUUCCCUAAGAUUCCAACCUAGGCGCCCAUUCCCUAGGCGCCAUAAAGUAACUGAGGCGCUAAAGGGUUGGGCGCCUCUUCACACAAACUUGUCUUAGGCGCCACUAGGAAGGGAGCCCCUUCCAAUUUCCCUACACUAAGGAGCCAAGAGGAAGGGCGCCUAUUCCUUGCAUGUGAGAAAUUACAUGUAGGCGCCAAGAGGAAGGGCUCCUCUUCCCUUGCAUGUGCUUUCUUCACAUGCGCCAAGAAGAGAUUCCUCACAUGCUAGCUUUGUCUCACAUUCUAAAUUUUGUCAUUCCCUUGUCUCCUCUUGCCUUUCCAUGCAACCAAUCACACUCUUUUUAGGUUACAAACCUACUCACUCAUUCAUCUAUAAAUAGCCUCUCAUAUCAACAAUAUCAAAUCAUCUUCAUCAAUACUCAAUUAUAUUCUUCUACCACACUUCUUUCAUCUACCAAACUCAAGCUUUGUAAAUUCAAAUCAUGUCUUUGUGAUUAUGGGCGAUGAACACAAGAGGCACAAUCGAGAAUAUCUCGGCAUUUGUAUGUUAUCUCUCUCUUUCAUUUUUUUAUGUUUUUGUUGUAUUACCUUUGCUAUCUCUCUCUUUUUAGUUUCUAUUUUUGUCUUACUUCUAAUAGAUAUCUUUUUGUGUAUACCUUUGUUAUCUCUCUCUUUUAAGUUUCUAUUUUUGUCUUACUUCUUAUAGAUGUGUGUUUGUUGAGUUUGUAUUUCUUCUUCUAAUUGUAUUUUCUUACUUUUUUGUAUUUAGGAUCCGAAGCGGUUUAGAUGUCGUGUACAUGAAUAUGUACCCCACGAUCCUUUAAUAGAACCAUAUAUUAGAGGAUGUAGAUUUAGAAAUAUACUAAACAUUGUUUCGUACUCGGUGGACUACAAGUUCAUUCUGGCUUUGUUGGAGAGGUGGAAACCCGAGACCCACACAUUUCACCUUCCGAUUGGUGAGUGUACCGUCACACUUGAGGACGUGUACAUGUUGUUGGGUCUCCGUAUAGACGGAAAGGCAGUGAAUGGUUGAGUUAACCAAGAUAACAAUAUAUGCAAUGAAUUAUUGGGUGCCCCUUUGUUAGACGACGAAACUGAGGGAGACACAUCCGGUCAAGCAAGGGGGCAAGGUAUAAAUUUAAAAUACCUAAAACAAUAUUAUGCUAGUAUAGUAUUGUCCGACGAUUCAACCGAGUAUGAGAAAAUAAUAAAAACUCGGUGUUAUAUUAUGAUUUUAUUUGGUAACUUUUUGUUCCAGAAAGUACAGGUAAUUCUGUGAAUAUAAUGUAUUUAUCUUUAUUACGCAACAUUAAUAAGGUAAACACUUAUAGUUGGAGUUCAGCUAUGUUGGCCCAUCUAUAUAGUGCAAUGUGUAGAAUUGCAAAAAGAAUAUGUGUACUUUUUUUUUCAUGUGCGUAUUGUCAUACCCCAAUUUUGUCCGGCCAUUUGUGGUUUACCCAUGAGAUCUCUUUGUUUCAAAGACCCAUUUGCAUAAGCGUGUUCAUAAUCUAAAAUGUGGUUUCAAUCUUUCUACAUUACUAAUCCAAAAUAUAUUUUCUUAUUAGUAAGUAUUAAGAGCCAUGUUAUUAUUUCUAUGAGCACUAUUUAUUAAUCCAUUAACACACCCCAAAUAUUUAUGCCAAGUUCUAAGUCUUUCAUAGGUUCCUAAAUUAAAUUUGCAUUUUUUAGUUAGAAUGGUGUUGUUUUUAAAUUAAAGCAGCAUAUUUAGAUUUAUGUGUUGAAGUUAGAAUUGUGUUGUUUUUAAAUUAAAGCACCAUAUUUAGAUUUAUGUGUUGAAAUUAGAAUUGUGUUGUUUUUAAAUUAAGUCACUAUAUUUAGUCAGUGUGUGAAAUUAGAAUUGUGUUAUUUUUAAAUUAAAGCACCAUAUUUAGAUUUAUGUGUUGAAGUUAGAAUUGUGUUGUUUUAAAUUAAAGCACCAUAUUUAGAUUUAUGUGUUGAAUUAGAAUUGGUUGUUUUUAAAUUAAGUCACUAUAUUUAGAUUCAUGUGUUGAAAUUAGAAUUGUGUUGUUUUUAAAUUAAAGCACCAUAUUUAGAUUUAUGUGUUGAAAUUAGAAUUGUGUUGUUUUUAAAUUGAGUCACUAUAUUUAGAUUCAUGUGUUGAAAUUAGAAUUGUGUUGUUUUUAAAUUAAAGCACCCAUAUUUAGAUUUAUGUGUUGAAGUUAGAAUUGUGUUGUUUUUAAAUUAAGUCAUUAUAUUUGGGUUCUUUGUACCUAAGUUGAAAGUGUAUUGUUUUUAGAGUUGAAAUUACAUUGACAUGUCUUGUUUUAAAUUCUUGGUCACAUUUGUUUUUUUAUUAAUGAUAACAUGCUAAGAGGCAAUUUUUAGUUGAAUAUUCAUGGUGGCCCAAGUAGGUUGCCAAUUGAAAUAAAAGGACAAAGUUCAAAAUACUCUAUUUGAUUAGCAUAAAUAAAAAUAUUGAGAUAAGUUUGGAAAGCUUAAAAGAUAAUUACAUAGUUAAAAUUUAAUCCAAUGGGUUACAAAUAGUCCAAAUACACAUUUGUCUCAAAAACCUAAGUAAUUACAUUUUAAUUGAGUAGAAAGUUAUUGAUGUUGGAAACAAAAUCCUAAGGACCAAAACCAGGUGACCCAGUUGAAACCCCUUUGGACUUGGGCACGUCUCAAAACAUGCUUUCUUGGAGCUUCAUGCAACCCACCUUCCAUUCCAUCAAGGUCACUUCAAGUUGUAACCUGCAGAGAAAAACAACUUAAUUAAAAAGCACUUUCCAAAAGCGCUUAAAGAACUGAAAAAUAACUAAAUAAAUUACUCAGUUUAAUACUUUAUCUAGAAGGCUAACUUGAACAUCCAAAAAGCAUGUCAAAAUUGAUCUAAAGCAAUAACAAAUCAACAGAAAUCGAAUCCCACAUAAUCUGGGAUGGGACAAAUUGAAAAAGAGUUUUCUUAAGUUCACCAGUUGGUAGGAUAAAAGAUGAGAAGUUAACAGCAAAAAACACAGCAGGAUAUUUCUAAAAAAAAACCUAAAAACUAAACAGAGAGGAUUUUCUUGAAAUCCCAGAGAGCAAUCUAAAAUAAUUUCAUUAAGAACAUCAAACACAUCGUAUUCAAAACAACAGCAAAUCUUAAAAAGGAAAAGAGAAAAACCCACCCGUGAUUCUGCACAAAUUUUGACCAAAAUCCAAAUCACAAAAUCCCCCAGUAAAAUUCCAAGAAAACUCGUUCGAAAUUUCCCGAAUCAAGUUUAUGAAGCAAAUGGGCUCAAACCUUAACAACAUCACUCAUACGAAGAGUAGUAGAAAAACAAAGGGGAUAUAACUUACCUCAUUGAAGAAUCGCUUGAAAGCCUUUGCUGGAAUUCGAAAGAUCUCGCCAACCCGGAGAUUUUCAGAACUUCUGAUUUGGUAAACCAUUCGCGUCUACUUUCUCCUCCGAGAUCCAUUUUAUCAUCCAUUACGCUUUGCUGCAACUUUUAUUCUUCUGUGUUGAACCAAAUCCAUGGCAUUUGAUAGAUAGGUUCUCUAAUUUUUUUCAUGAUUUUGCUUUGUGCGGGUUUGAGAUUGGUUCUUCGUUUGAGCUUGGUUUUUGCAUGUUGUUUUGUUGUUGUGUGCCAUGAAUUCGUGAGAAUGAGAAAGAGAGAAUCGAUUCAUAAAACAGAGUUAUGAGAGAGAGAGAGUGAAGCGACAGAGAAGAGCGGAGGCUCCGCCAUGAGCCUUCGCCUUUGGCCGUCUUCUCCGGGAAGGAAGUUUCUUUAGGGUUUGUAGAUUUUUUUGAAACGGUUGGUUGUAUGAUGCAAAUUCAUGAGAGAGAGAAGGUCACAAAGAGAGAAGGAAAGUGAAUAUUAUACUGAGAUUUGUGUAGGUUUGAUUUGCUGUAUGUGAGUUAUUAGCAUUAAACUCCCAUUUAAAUUUUUUAUUAUUAUUCCUCUUUUUGAAUUCAUAAUUAAGAAAGGGGAUUAAAUGGGGAGAGGGACAGUUGGGUCGGUAUAUUAAAUGCAUGGAUAAUAACAUUUUGGAAAACUCGUUACUUUGUGAUCAUGAGAAUUGGGAAAGUUUUUCUUUCAUUGCCCUGCAGAAACGAGAAAGAGUCGGUUGGGAUCCAACCCAAGCCGUGGACCGAACCAAAGCCAUCGUUUCACCCUUGGGCUUCCUGGGUUUAGGACCAUUUGUUUCCUUUAAUGAGUGUGCGCCCUGAUGGGCUUCAGAGGCCUUCAGGGCCCAUUUAUUUAUUUAUUUAUUAAUUCUGUCACUUUUUUUUAGCAUAAUAAAUCAAUUUGAAUUUAUGAAUUUUGUUUGGUAAUUAACACUUUUACUAUCCUCGUUAUUUAAACAUCAAUUAUAUAGUUUAUUAUCAUUUAAUAAAUUAAUAUGUUGUAUUAUCACUAUAAUUUAGAUAUUUUUUCUUCUUUUAGAAUUUAUUCGAAUUAUUAUUUUAUGUUGGUUCAUUUGUGUGUACAAGUUAAUCAAUUUCAUGUGUAUGUUGCGUCACAAAUAUAAACCAAAUUCAUUUCAUCAUCGAUCCAAAACCACGAUUAAACCAUAAAAAAUCAUCAAUCAAUUCUCGAUCUGAUAUCAAACCCAUGCCUUUGUAAGUCGAUUGCUCUAUAGCAUCGCCAUCAACCUCACAUAGCUUACUCUUGGGCUUUCUUACAAUGAGGCCUAUUUGGUUAUUAAUUAAGCGAUUAGAUGAUCUAUUCACUAAAUAAAUUCAAUUCAUUCACAAAAUACAAAUUUUAAACCUUGAUCCGACAUCGAAUAUUCUCUAUAAAAGUUAAAUUAAAAUACCUAAUCACAACUAAAUACUAUUUCAUUUAGGAAUAAAAAGGAGAUGGUUUUGAGUUUUCAACUCCUCUCCUCGAUUAUUUGAACACGAAUUCUUUUACUCGGUUAGUCAAAUAGUCGUCAUUUCUAACCCACCUUAGCAUAAACAAAUCGAAUCAUUUUAUAAUAAGAAACGAAAAGGGAGAUGACUUUGAGUCUUCAAUUUUUCUCCUCGAUUAUUUGAAUACAAGUUCUCUCACUUGGUUAGUCAAAUAAUUGUCGUUCCUCUACAAACUUCCAAACCCCGAUUAAAUCAAAGUAUUUCCACAGUAAGCUAAAUGAAAAGGGAGUUGAUUUUGAGUUUUCGACUUCUCUCCUCAAUUGUUUGAAUACGAGUUUUCUUACUCGGUCAGUCGAACAAUUGUCAUUUUUCCACCAACUUACAACUUAAUUUGAAAAGGGAGUUGAUUUUGAGUUUUCGACUUCUCUCCUCAAUUGUUUGAAUACGAGUUUUCUUACUCGGUCAGUCGAACAAUUGUCAUUUUUCCACCAACUUACAACUUAAUCAAAUCAUUUUCACUACGAACUAUACGAAAAGGGAGAUGGUCUUGAGUCUUCAAUUCCUCUUCUCAAAUGCUUGGAUAUGAGUUAUCUUACUCAGCCAUUCGAGUACUUGUCGUUUAUUCUAAAAUACGUCAACCAUAUACAACCUUAUUUUCAUAAAUAUUCAGAUGAAACAGAAAUCGGUCUAAAGUCUUCUAUUCCUCUUCUCGAUUAUUAGGAUACGAGUUGUCUUACUCGAUUAUCCGAGUAUUCACCAUUCGUUCAAAACACUUUAAUUAUUAUCAAAUCCUUUCUAUAAUUAAGGAUGAAAAAGAAAGUGGUCUAGAGUCUUCUAUUCCUCUUCCCGAUUAUUAGGAUACGAGUUAUCUUACUCGAUUAUCCGAGUAUUCGUCAUCCAUUCAAAAAUACCUUAAUUAUUAUCAAAUCCUUUCUAUAAUUAAGGAUGAAAAAGGAAGUGGUCUAGAGUCUUCUAUUCCCUUUCCCGACUGUUAGGAUACGAGUCGUCUUACUCGAAUAUCCGGGUAAUUGUCAUCCAACCAAAAACAUCUCAACCAAUCAAAACAUCCAACAUAUUAAUCCAACGUGUCACCUCCAUGUGAUCAAAAUCUUUCCAAAAAGAACACCAUUUAGUCCUCUCUAAUGCGCACAACAAACUAGUGCUUAAGCCUCCGCCGAGAGUAGACAAGCCAACGUUUAGCGUUUAGGAUGCGAUCUAAACGGUUGUUCAUUAAAAAACACCAAUCAACCGUAGUUCCCCGAACUACGAAUGCUCUGACUUCCUUAUUGCACCAUAAGGAUACGUAGGUAGGAGAUUGUUGUAUCUUCGCGAGCACACUAAUAAAAAACCUCCCCUUUCUCCUUUCUGAGGUUCUCAUCCAUUUCUAUUUUUGACAUUUUAUAAACCAAAGAUAACAAACAAACAUAAAUUAACACUCGAAACGCAAAUUAGAACUAAAAGGUUCCCGCUGAGUACAACGGACGUGAGAGGUGCUAAUACCUUCCUCUUGCGUAAUCCACUCCCGAACCCGAAUAUGGUUACGACGACCAUUAUUCUAUCAUUCAAAAGGUUUUAUCGAUAUUUUCCUAUCCCUUUAUUGGGAUAAAUAAAAGUUCGGUGGCGACUCUAUUCGAACAUAAUUUUUUCCGCGACCAUCGCGAGGAAUCGUAUUUUUCGAGAUGCGACAGAUGGCGACUCUGCUGGGGACUAGCUCCAAGUAAAAGAGAGUGAAGCCUAAUUUAGUUCAGUUUUUAUAUUGUGUGUUAAUCUUGUUUGUUUAUCUGUUAUUUUUUAUUUGGCUAUUAUUAUUCUAUCAUAAUUAUUAUAUUGUGAUCUAUUGACUGUGUCUUAUUGGGGGUGCUCUGGUUGAUGAUACUUCGUGAGAUAGGCUCUUCACCCGAGUCUGAGGAAAACCAUAAGAUUAAGUUGGUGGUUGCGUAGUGGGCGCCCACAAGGAGUCUUCCUUGUUGGGAAGAAACGAAGACCCCGCCUAGAGGAGGUUCUCUUGAAAUAUCAUUGCCUGACGAGUUUUCGUCACGACGAUAAUAUUCUCAAGUUGGAUCAAUGACUCUAGGGACCUUUUAACCCAUUAUAUAUCCGGUGGUUAUGUAGUAUCUACCUGAAAAGUCCUAGACUUAUUGGGUUAGUACAAAAGCCCCAAUCAGAUGAGAUCCCUUGGGCGUAUUACUACCUUACAGUGGUAUUCCCAACCUCGAUCUACGACUCUGAGAAUCCUAUUAGAACCUGAGACUCAAGAGUUGUGUAGUAUGGACCCACUAGGAGUCUUCCUCUUUGGGACUAUACGAAGGCCUCACCCAAACGAGACUCUGUUUAGGGAUGUUAUUUGCAGAUGAGUUUUCAUCAUGACAAUGACUUUCCUGAAUAGCGAUUGAUGACUUUGGGAACCUUUUAACUUUAGCAUCCUUCUAAAAGGGUUUUGUUUAGUAACUAAGAAUACCCGCUCUCGCGACCUGUAUAUCAACCUACAUGUGACACGCAUAAUAUCAUUCAUAGCAUAACAUUUAUAUUAUUUUAUUUCCAAGGAAUCUGAGUAUCAUGAGUUGCAGGAAUUCAAGAAGCAUGGAAUCAAGCAAAAGAAACAUUUACUCUUUCAAAUUCAAGGAUCCCGAUCUGAAGAACUUACGUAACCUGGUCUCUCAGAUGCACCCUGUAUACAGAAUCAACUUUGGAAAGAAUUAUGGCAAUUUGCUCAGCAUCCUCAAUUAACAAGUGGACCAUACAACCUUGAUCACUUUAUCCCAAUUUUAUGACUUACCUUUAAGAUGCUUCACAUUCCAAGACUUCCAGCUAGCACCAACGUUGGAAGAAUUCGAGCGUCUUGUUAGGACGUGAAGGACAAGUCACUAUUUAAAGGGACAGAUGAAUCUUUGCCCCUCGAGGUCAUUGCUAGUGCGCUUCACAUGGAUGAAAAGGAAGCAAAAGAUAACUUAGAGACCAAAGGGAAUACCAAAGGGUUUUCACUAAGUUUUCUUUUGGAAAGAGCUCAUACCCUGUUGAAGGCAGAAAGUUGGGAUGCUUGUUACUCUGCUAUUGCAUUGGCUAUCUAUGGCAUCAUCCUGUUCCCGAAUAUGGAUGGAUUCGUAGACAUGACUGCCAUUUGUGUUUUUCUUACUGGAACCCAGUACCCACUUUGUUAGCCGAUGUCUAUUAUCACAUAAGUCAUAGGUAUACUAAGAAGAAGGGAUUGAUUGCUUGUUGUGCUCCUUUAUUGUAUCAGUGGUUUCUAGAAAUCUUCCGAAAGGUGCUUGGGUUGAACAGACAGAUGUUAGUUGGCCUCAGAGAUUGGGAUCACUCCGAUCUGAAGAUCUCUCUUGGUACUCCAAAGAAUAUAUCAACGUAGACAUCAUAUUCAGUUGUGGAGAUUUCCAAAAUCUACCGCUUAUUGGAACUCAAGGAUGUGUGAAUGCUAAUCCAGUUCUAUCACUCAGACAACUUGGCUACCCAAUGGAAGGCCCUCCAGAGGAAAAUUCUUUUGAAGCUUUCUUGUUACUUGACUUCAGGGUUGAGAAUCCUAGCUUAUUCCAGCGAAUUAAAGAGGCUUGGAAGAAUGUCAAUCGAAGAGGGAAAGCUGAGUUAGGGAGAGCAAAUGGGAUUACAAAAGAACCAUAUUUUCUGUGGGUAAAGGAAAGAGUGCAGAUGAUUAAAAUGCCAUUUGUCAUUCGGACACCUAUACCUCUUCCUGAACCUAAGCUCACCCAUGUCCCUAUUGAAGAAAUGGAGGAACUCAAGACCACCAUGGCAAAGCUAGAAAAAGAGAAUGAAGAUUUGCAGAUAAAACUCCAACAACCAUCAAUGAGAAAAACAAUAUGAAGUGGGAGCUCGAGAGAAAAGAGGCACAACUUCAAGCCCACGUGGAAAAGUUCAACAGGAGCAUAAGAGAAAGAAGAUCAAAGUGGGAUUAGAACAGGCUGAUCAUUGUUUGGAUACUCUUAAGGGUCAACUACGACAAGCUCAGAAAGAAUGUCAAGACAAUGAGCGUUGGUGGCAUCUAUCCACAAAAGAGAACAAGACAAUAAGGGAUACACUUGGGGCUCAGAUAAAAGAACUCACCAAUUAUGUUCGUCAUGCAAAAGCUGAAGUAGAUCAGGAGCGCCGACUCAAGAAAAUAGCCAUUGAAGCUUCUAGGGUGUCACCCAUGAUAUGGGAAGAGAAGUGUCGAGAAGUAAGAGAUGUCAGAGAGUCUGUAAGUUAUUGGAAGAACCAGCUAGAGUCAUUACGCCAAGACAGCUCCAUAUGGUUGAAAGAGCGAGACUAUGUGAUUGAAGAUUAUGAAUCCUCUAAAAAGACCAUAGACUUCUUACAAGGAGAUAGGGAUAAGUUUCGUGCAAAACUCGAUGGGCUAGUAGGAUUUUGUAAUUGGGCAGCUAAAGAAUUGCCAUGGAGGUUGAGAGAUAUAGUCAAAGAGUUGAAAGAAGAUAGCACUCCUCCAGCCAUAAUCAAUUUCGUUCUGCUCUGUAAAGGGUUGUUGAAGAGAUUCAAUGAGGAACUAAAAGAGCUUCAGGCCAGAAAGCCAGCUGUUUAAUUUGCCUAUGUCUUGUAUUUUGUUCCUUUAACAAAUGUACUUUUGAACUAUGACCUUCUUGGACCUCUAUGUUAUGUAUUGGAAUGGAUGAUGUUUAAAAACUACUCCAUUAUUGCUAUUUUGAGUAUUUUUUGUUUCUUCGAAUUACUAACAACUAAUGAAACUCGAAUGACUCCCUGGAAAUAAAAUAUGCAUAACAUUCGUAUCUUCAUUAUGCAUCACACUUCAUGGAAAUAAAAAAAACAUACCCAACCUUUUUACCCUUUAUCCAGCCACACUGACUAAUCAACACCGGUACGAGACGCGAAGCAAAUACAAGAUGACACUAGAGCAAGUUGAGGCCAACCAGGUUACCAUGAGGACAGACAUCAAUACGAUCCAGGAGAAGAUGGAUCAGUUGUUGGAAAUAAUGCUUGCGAUCGCUCAGAGAGAGAGGAGCGAGGAGGAAGAAGCUAGGGCAAAAAGGAAUGAUGGCGCACCAGGUCCGAAUCCCCAAGACGAAAGUUACGUCUCUACCAAGAAGAGAUUGGUUCAGAUACCAGUAGGAGGCAAGGGAGAUGGAGACUGUGCAGAACCUUCUGAUAUGUCUACUCAUCAUGGAUCCGAAAUUGGAGAUGACCAGUAUGAUGCAUUCUAUAUGCCUGAUCAACCAAAGCCUAAGAUACUUUCAGAUCCUACUGCAGAUAGGCUCCGUGCGUUGGAAAAGAAAAUCAAAGCCAUAAAAGGAAACAAUAUCUUCGGUGCUUCUUCCAUGAACAUGCGUUUGGUAUCGAAUUUAGCCAUCCCGGCUAAAUUUAAAACUCCCGAUUUCGAGAAAUAUAAAGGAUAGACUUAUCCAAGAAGUCACCUGGUAAUGUACUUUAGAAAAAUGGUUGCUCAUACCGAAAACGACAAACUACUUGUACACUGUUUCCAAGACAGUCUGAGUGGAGCAUCUCUGAGAUGGUACAUGAGCUUAGAACAGGGGAGAAUUCAAAGUUGGGAGGAUUUGGCUGACGCAUUUCUCCGUCAGUACAAAUACAACUUAGAUAUGGAACCCGACCGAAUGCAGUUGCAAGGGAUGGCUAUGAAGGAGAGUGAGUCAUUCAAAGAAUACGCCCAGCGGUGGAGAGAGUUGGCUGCUCAGGUAGAGCCACCAUUGUCUGAGAAGGAAAUGACCGGGUAAGAAUACGCCCAGCGGUGGAGAGAGUUGGCUGCUCAGGUAGAGCCACCAUUGUCUGAGAAGGAAAUGACCGGGAUAUUUGUGGACACCUUGAAGGACCCAUUCUUUGAUCGAUUAGUGAGCAGUGCAACAUCUGACUUCGCACAUCUAGUUACAAUUGGAGACCGCAUAGAGAAGGGGUUGAGGAAUGGAAAGAUUCCAGGAGCAGUGAUAGCAUCUAGCGCACCAAAGAAAUAUUCUGGAGGUUUCCCGAAGAAAAGAGAAGGCGAAACAAACGCCACAUCUAGAAACUAUAAAGGGAAGCAACAUGCUUCAUAUGGCCAAGUCGCUGUCGUGGUACCCAUACCCUAUCAACAGCCAAUACAAUAACAACAAAUGUAUCAGCCACAACAUUAUCAACAUCAUCAUCAGCAAAAUACCGCACCAACAAGACAGUUUAAGCCAAGACCUCCAAGAAGACAACUUGAUCCUCUACCAGUACCUUAUAGUCAGCUAUUCCCAUAUUUGCAGAAGGAGGGCCUUCUAACAUUGAGGGAAUUAAAACCAGCUAUUUUUCCAUAUCCACCUGGAUACGACGCUAAUGCCCAUUGCGAAUUUCACAUGGGAGCACCUGGUCAUACCUUGGAAAACUGUUUCGCAUUUCAGAAUCGAGUACAAGACUUGAUCGAAGCCAAGGUUAUUGCGAAUUUCACAUGGGAGCACCUGGUCAUACCUUGGAAAACUGUUUCGCAUUUCAGAAUCGAGUACAAGACUUGAUCGAAGCCAAGGUCGUUUCUUUCACUCCAAGACGCCCGAACGUGAACACCAAUCCUAUGCUGACGCAUAAGGAUGCUUCCGCCAGUGCCAUUGAGGAGAGUGAUCAAGGAAAAUUGAUCCGUAAGGUUGAAGAGAUUCAAACCCCUAUCACCAUGAUAGGAGCACAAUUGCUGAAGAGUGGUCUGAUCCCGGAAGAGCUGGUUGAGGAAGAGAAUAAUGAGGAGUUGAGAAGUUUUAUACAACAAAUGCUGGAUCGAGGCGAGUUACAGAUAACUUACUGUGUCAAGAGCAAGCACCAGGAAGAGAUAGUCGUGGUAGAUAUCCCCUAUGAUGAGGUCAAAGUAGAAAUACCUAUAAGCCCGUUGGUGAUAGAGUUCCCAACACCAUUCGAAUAUAAAGAUGAGAAGGCAGUCUCAUGGAUAUAUCAGCCCAGAGCUUUUAAGCAGGGGCAGGAAGAUAAACCUUUAAUGAGUAACGAACCAAAUGUCACUUCAAUUGUGGGGCCAGCAGGAAUGACGCGUAGUGGUCGGGUAUUCGCACCAAGAACUGCUGAUACUUCUGAGAGAGCUAAAGGGAAGGAGGCUGCUGUCCAGAUCCCCAUCCCUAAUUAGGGGAUGCAAGACAUGCACCUGUCUCCUAAAGCUGCUGUCACUCGUGAGGAGGCUGAGGAGUUUUUGAGAAUAAUCAAGAAGAGAGAUUAUAAGGUAGUGGACCAGCUAAACCAAACACCUUCUAAAAUUUCCAUGUUAUCUCUACUGCUCAACUCAGAAGCGCACAUGAAUUCACUGUUGAAAUUAUUAAGCGUCGCUCAUAUCACAAAGGACAUAACAAUAGAACAGUUUGAUGACGUGAUAGCUUGUGUGACUACUGGAAAUUUCUUGGGUUUUAAUGAUGACGAACUACCAAUUGAAGGAAAGAACCAUAACAAGGCUCUCCACAUCUCCUUGAAGUGCAUGGAUACUAUACUGUCAAGGGUGAUGACGAACUACCAAUUGAAGGAAAGAACCAUAACAAGGCUCUCCACAUCUCCUUGAAGUGCAUGGAUACUAUACUGUCAAGGGUGUUGGUAGACACAGGUUCCUCAUUGAACGUCAUGCCAAAGAUGACUUUGAUAAAGCUGCCAGUGGAAGGGAUAAGUAUGAAGCCCAGCACCCUAAUCGUAAAGGCAUUUGAUGGCUCAAGGCGAGCAGUGAUAGGAGAGGUUGACUUACCGACCAAGAUAGGUCCAACUAUUUUUAAUAUCACAUUCCAGGUCAUGGAUAUACAUCCUGGUUACAGUUGCCUACUUGGGAGACCAUGGAUUCACUCCGCAGGUGCUGCCACCUCCACUCUGCAUCAAUUACUAAAAUUCAUUACAAAUGACAAGAUGAUUAUGGUUGGAGGAGAAGAAGAUAUCUUGGUUAGUCAUUUGACAUCUUUCCGAUAUAUCGAGGUGGAUGGUGAAAUCACUGAGACACCCUUCAAAUCCUUGGAAGUAGUAAACAUGAUGGCCAUUCAACAGACCUUGGAGGUCCCGAAAUCAGGACCAUCCAUGGCCUCAUGGCAGGGAGCUAAAGCUGUUAUGGAAAGUGAAGAUGCUCAAGAUUGGGGCAAAGUGGUGGAAGUGAAAGAGAAACGAGACAAGUUUGGCUUGGGGUAUGACCCAUCAUCAGACAAAGCCAGUGACCAACCUGACAAAGAGAAGGUUCCUUCUGUGGAGAAAACGUUCACCAGCGCUAGCCACAUCUUUGGCAAGCAGGUGGCAAUGAUCAGUGAAGAAGACCGCAAGGAGGGGGUGUCCAGCUGGAUGCGUCAAGCCGCACCUAAUGAAGAACUAACAAACUAGAAGGCUGUGGAAGUUCCCCAAAUAUUUCAAAAGUAAUUUUAUCAUUUUUAGACAAAACCUUGUGCUCUGCCCAAGGCACAGUGGCAUGUUGUAGGGCCUCAUUUAUCUUUUUCAAGAGUUUUUAUCAUUAAUGAAAUGACGUUUUGCAUUCAAAGUUUUGUUCCUUUUCUUUCGUUUUGAUCUAUUUAUGAAAAUGGCAAUCAAUUUUUAUGCACGCACUUUCUAAAUAAACUGCAUAAAUCAUAACAUGCAGAAACACCACCGAGACCAUUGAUAACGUGUGACGAUACCAGGUUAUACUGAUUGAUUGUCCAAUCUACCAAGCUGAAGACGAAGUGGGGGAAGAUUGCGAACUCCCUGAAGAGUUGGCCAGAUUACUCAGACAAGAAGAAAAGGUCAUUCAACCGCACCAAGAAGACGUUGAAGUUAUCAAUCUGGGAAAAGAAGAAGAUAAGAGAGAAGUAAGGGUAGGCGUCGCGCUUCAAGAUACAGUGAAGACAAGAUUGAUAGAGUUCCUCCACGAAUAUGAUGACGUGUUUGCUUGGUCAUACCAAGACAUGCCUGGAUUAGAUACUGAUAUUGUGACUCACAAGCUUCCCCUUAAAGAAGAAUGCCCUACCGUCAAACAAAAGCUAAGAAGAACUCGACCAGAUAUGGCUCUCAAGAUCAGAGAAGAGGUGAGAAAGCAGUUUGACGCUGGUUUCCUGGAAGUCGUUAAAUACCCACAAUGGGUUGCCAACAUUGUACCGGUGCCGAAGAAAGAUGGAAAAGUCCGCAUGUGCGUAGACUACCGAGACUUAAAUAGAGCUAGUCCUAAAGACGAUUUCCCAUUACCUCACAUUGAUGUAUUGGUGGAUAACACAGCUCAGUUCUCCGUGUUUUCCUUUAUGGAUGGUUUCUCAAGAUACAACCAAAGUAAAAUGGAUCCCGAAGACAUGGAGAAGACCACGUUCAUUACUCCUUGGGGCACCUUUUGUUACAAAGUAAUGUCGUUUGGAUUAAAAAACGCUGGGGCAACAUAUCAACGUGCCAUGGUGACUCUCUUUCACGACAUGAUUCAUGAAGAGAUUGAGGUGUAUUUCAAUGACAUGAUUGCCAAAUCCCAGACAGAAGAAGAGCACAUCACCAACCUGGGGAAAUUAUUCGCUCGUUUGAGGAAGUUUAGGUUGAGACUUAAUCCUAAUAAAUGCAUAUUUGGCGUUCGAUCUGGGAAGCUUUUAGGCUUUAUUGUAAGCCAAAAGGGAAUUGAAGUAGAUCCUGACAAGGUUCGAGCCAUUCAGAACAUGCCUGCACCAAAGACUGAAAAGGAGGUUUGUGGUUUCUUGGGGAAACUAAAUUACAUCGCUAGGUUUAUUUCUCACCUUACUGCAACGUGCAAACCAAUAUUCAAGCUUCUGAGGAAGAAUCAAGGUGUGGAGUGGAAUGAGGACUGUCAGAUAGCCUUCGAUAAAAUCAAAGAAUACUUGCAAGAGCCACCGAUUUUAAUGCCCCCUGCCGAAGGGAGACCUCUGAUCAUGUAUCUAACCGUGCUCGAUGAGUCCAUGGGCUGUGUAUUGGGACAACAAGAUGAGACUGGUAGAAAAGAGCAUGCCAUCUAUUACCUGAGCAAGAAAUUUAAUAAUUGUGAGACCAGAUAUUCAUUACUCGAGAAGACUUGUUGUGCACUCGCAUGGGCUGCUAAGCGUCUCAGGAAGUACAUGCUAACCCACACAACUUGGAUGGUAUCUAAAAUGGAUCCCAUCAAGUACAUAUUCGAGAAACCAGCUAUCACUAGUAGGAUUGCUCGAUGGAAGAUGUUGUUGUCAGAAUAUGAUAUCCAAUAUGUUGCACAAAAAAGCAAUCAAGGGAAGCAUACUAGCAGACCAUGUUGCUCACCAACCACUGGAGGAUUACCAAUCUUUGAAAUUUGACUUUCCAGAUGAGGACAUCAUGGCUGUUAAGGAUGUUGAAGACUCCGAACUAGAGGAAAGCCUCGGGCCAAGAGCAGGUUGGACGCUCAUGUUUGAUGGUGCCUCAAAUGCAAUAGGCCAUGGAAUUAGGGCAGUGCUGAUGUCUCCCAAGAAUUUCCAUCUACCAUUCACCACAAAGAUCUGUUUUACCUGCACAAAUAAUAUGGCCGAGUAUGAAGCUUGCAUACUAGGGUUGGAAGAAGCUAUUGAGUUGAAGAUCAAGAUACUAGAAGUAUUCAGGGACUCCGCUCUAGUCAUACAUCAGAUCAGAGGCGAUUGGGAAACAAGACUGCUUGCAUACUAGGGUUGGAAGAAGCUAUUGAGUUGAAGAUCAAGAUACUAGAAGUAUUCAGGGACUCCGCUCUAGUCAUACAUCAGAUCAGAGGCGAUUGGGAAACAAGACAUGCUAACCUAAUUCUAUACCGGGAUUAUGUGCUGAAGCUACUCCCAAAGUUCAACGAAAUCACUUUCUCUCAUAUUCCUCGAGAAGAGAAUCAGAUGGAAGAUGCCUUAGCAACUUUGGCUUCCAUGUACAAAUUAAUAUGGCCCAGCCAUCAGCCUCAUAUUGAGAUUAGGCGUUUUAACGAACCUGCUCAUUUCCUGACGACAACAGAAGAGCCAGAUGGUAAACCCUGGUUCUUUGAUAUCAAACAGUAUCUGGAGAAGCGGGAAUAUCCGGCAGAGGCUUCCAGCCUUGACAAAAGGACCCUCCGGAGGUUGGCGUCAAAGUUCCUUUUAAAUGGAGAGGUAUUGUACAAACAAAACUACGACAUGGUCUUGUUGAGGUGUGUGGACAAACACGAGGCUAACCAGCUUAUGAGGGACAUACACGAAGGGUCUUUCGGUACACACGCCAAUGGGCAUGCCAUGGCAAAGAAAAUCCUAAGGGCAUGUUACUACUGGUUGACGAUGGAAGCUGACUGUUAUCAUUACACCAGAGCAUGCCACAAAUACCAAAUCUAUGCUGACAAAAUACAUGUACCACCUACUCCGUUAAAUGUCAUAACAUCACCUUGGCCUUUCUCUAUGUGGGGCAUCGACAUGAUUGGAAUGAUAGAACCCAAAGCAUCAAAUGGACACAGAUUUAUCUUGGUGGCCAUAGAUUACUUUACCAAAUGGGUGGAAGUCGCGUCUCUUGGCCUUUCUCUAUGUGGGGCAUCGACAUGAUUGGAAUGAUAGAACCCAAAGCAUCAAAUGGACACAGAUUUAUCUUGGUGGCCAUAGAUUACUUUACCAAAUGGGUGGAAGUCGCGUCUUAUGCGAAUGUCACAAAGCACGUGGUCGCCCGUUUCUUGAAAAAUAACAUCAUAUGUUGAUAUGGUAUUCCUAACAAAAUCAUCAUCGAUAAUGGGUCCAAUCUCAACAACAAGACCAUGGAUGAGUUAUGCGCAACAUUCAAGAUCGAGCACCACAACUCAUCACCCUAUCGACCUAAGAUGAAUGAGGCUGUUGAAGUUGUAAAUAAAAAUAUCAAGAAAAUCAUCCAAAAGACGGUUGUUACGUACAAGGAUUGGCACGAGAUGUUACCUUUUGUGUUACAUGGCUAUCGCACGUCGAUACGAACUUCAACAGGGGCAACCCCUUAUUCCUUGGUAUACGGUAUGGAAGAAGUUCUCCCUAUAGAAGUAGAGAUCCCCUCGAUGAGAGUCUUGAUGGAGGCUAAGCUAGGCGAGGCGGAAUGGGUUCAAUCAAGGUAUGACGAGCUCAACCUUAUUGAGGAGAAACGCUUGAAAGCGUUAAGUCACAGUCAACUCUAUCAGAGGCGUCUUAAAAAGGCAUUCGACAAGAAAGUUCGUCCCAGGGUGUUUCAAGAGGGAGAUUUAGUACUGAAGAAAAUCUUUCCCAUUCACAAAGAUUCUAGAGGGAAAUGGACACCAAAUUAUGAAGGCCCAUUUGUGGUGGUUAGAGCCUUCUCCGGAGGCGCUCUAAUUCUAGAAACUAUGGAUGGUGAUGAGUUGCCGCUUCCCACCAACGCUGAUGCUGUUAAAAAGUACUUCGCCUAAAAAAGUGGAAUAAUAAAAUCCGCUAAAUCGAAAACCUGAAAGGGCAAUUUAGGCAAAAAUGGCUAUCCUGGUGAAUCGAAAACCCGAAAGGGCGAUCCAGGCCAAAAAUUAGGGAUAAAAAUAAAAGAAUUUGACCCGCUGAGUUGAAAACCCGAAAAGGCGACUCAGGCAAAAAUGGGUAUCCCGGUGGAUCGAAAACCCGAAAGGGCGGUCCAGACAAAAGUUAGGGAUUAAUUCCAAGGCAAAGAGAUGUACUUACAGACAUCUGACAUACCCUCGAAGACAAAGAAUCAGUCUACCUCACUUUUCAAAAGCAAAGUGCUCGGGCUAUCAAAGACAUAAGGAUCAUAGCCGUGGGGAAACUCAAUAAGAACUCAAUUCUCAUUGCCAUUUUGUUUCUAUGCACAACAAUUACCUCAUUAAGGAAUUGCGUCUUUAUGUCCAAUCACCCAUUUAAAGGUCAAAUCAAUAAAAGAGAAUUUUUCUCAACAAAGUGUGCCGAAAUCAUUUUAUUUUUUCUGUUUGUUUGCAAAGCACCUUUUAUUUUUGAUAAACAUGACUUUUAAAAACUAUUGGAGAAAAUAAAAUGCAUGUUUGAAUAAAGUGGUAAAAUUUCUUUUGAAACAGUAAGCGGACGAAUCCUUUAGUCCCCAAAUUUCACUCUUGUCUUUCAUAAAGGUGCAGGACUGAUUGCAGACGGUUAUGUUCCUUUCAACUACUGAUUCAUACCUCUCAUAAAUGUACUCAUGGUAUAGCCAGACCGGGGCAAGGCUCCAUCACAUUUCUCUUGUCUUUCAUAAAGGUGCAGGACUGAUUGCAGACGGUUAUGUUCCUUUCAACUACUGAUUCAUACCUCUCAUAAAUGUACUCAUGGUAUAGCCAGACCGGGGCAAGGCUCCAUCACAUUUCCAGCAGAAACAUUGAUAAAUCAUGGAUAGAGUAUCGCGUGUUGAAAAGUCUGAACCUUUCAAUAACUCGGAACAACCCAAAUAUAUUCCCUAAAACCACCUAGCAGGGGCAUUAAAAUUUGAUCUCCAUUGAUUGCCCCAAUGAUAAAAAAAUCCAUACUGUUGGCAUCAUACCUCAAAGCGAAAUGUCUUAACCGGGGCAUAUCUAAUUACCCAGUUGCAUUCCUACAUGCAUCACAGGCAUCAUUUCAUGCAUAAUUUCCUGCCAAACAAGAAGAUUCAUCAAACACAGUCAUAUCAAUCAUCAACAUACUCAUGCAUAACACUCCCACAAAAUGGGAAUUUCAACAAAAUAAAAAUCAUUCGCAUUCCUACAUGCACAGCCAAAUAUCCCCAGCAAUUGCAUACUUGCAUACAUCCCAUGCAUCAUCCCAUGCAUGGAAUUCCCACCUAAAGUGGAACAUCAUACAAAAAUCAAAUAUGAAAUAACAGGAUCCAAGGUCAUUCACAUAUGUCUCGGACAUUCCUCAUUCCCAAAUGAAGUUAUUCCCCUACAUAGGCUCGUAGGGUUAUUUCUCAGCAAAUCAUUUUUCAACUUUUUAAAUAAUGAUAUUCCCAGUAUUUUUCUUUACAGUCAUUUCUCCCCAAGCAGAGGUUACCCUAAAAAGUCUCUUAUGAGCUUUUUCCCCUGCAGAGUAUUUCUAGUAAAUCUCCCUCAAAAGGAGUCUUUUCAAAAAAAAUCCCCCAACAGAUGAAUAUUCGAGAUACUGCUUCAAUCAUCUGAAGAAUCUCAUUUCUUUGUUUGAGAUACUGCUUCAUUCAUUUGAAGAAUCUCAUUUUUGUUUUUAGAGAUACUGCUUUAAUAUCCUCGAAGAGUCUUAGAUUCAAUUAAGGUAGUUUUUCCUUGCUGGAAUAUCUUAAUUCUAUCAUAUAAGAUGUUGUUUCGAUCCGAUACAGAGAAUCUCACUUUUUACUGUUUGAGAUGCUGCUUCAUCAAUAUGAAGAGUCUCAUUUCAAGAUUUUUUAGAGAUACUGCUAAGUAUACUCGAAGAGUCUUAGAUUCAAUUAAGGUAUCAUUCCCUCGUUCAGAAUAUCUUAAUUCUAUCAUAUAAGAUGCUAUUUUGACCCGAUACAGAGAAUCUCACUUUUUACUGUUUGAGAUGCUGCUUCAUCAAUAUGAAGAGUCUCAUUUCAGAUUUUUUUAGAGAUACUGCUCUAAGUAUCCUCGGAGAGUCUUAGAUUCAAUUAAGUGAAUCUCACUUUUUACUGUUUGAGAUGCUGCUUCAUCAAUAUGAAGAGUCUCAUUUCAGAUUUUUUUAGAGAUACUGCUCUAAGUAUCCUCGGAGAGUCUUAGAUUCAAUUAAGGUAUCAUUCCCUCGUUCAGAAUAUCUUAAUUCUAUCAUAUAAGAUGCUGUUUAGACCCGAUACAGAGAAUCUCACUUUUUACUGUUUGAGGUGUUGCUUCAUCAAUAUGAAGAGUCUCAUUUCAAGAUUUUUUUAGAGAUACUGCUCUAAGUAUCCUCGGAGAGUCUUAGAUUCAAUUAAGGUAGUUUUCCCUUGCUGGAAUAUCUUAAUUUUAUGAUAUAAGAUGCUGUUUUGAUCCGAUACAGAGAAUCUCAUUUUUACUGUUUGAGACGCUACUUCAUCAAUAUGAAGAGUCUCAUUUCAGAUUUCUUUUAGAGAUACCGCUCUAAGUAUCCUCGGAAAUUCUUAGAUUUAAUUAAGGUAUCAUUCCCUUGUUCGGAAUAUCUCAAUUCUAUCAUAUAAGAUGCUGUUUCGACCCGAUACAGAGAAUCUCAUUUUUACUGUUUGAGAUGCUGCUUCAUCAAUAUGAAGAGUCUCAUUCCAGAUUUUUUUAGAGAUACGGCUCUAAUAUCCUCGGAGAGGUCUAGUUCAUUAGGUAGUUUUCCCUUGCUGGAAUAUCUUAAUUCUAUCAUAUAAGAUGUUGUUUCGAUCUGAUAUAGAGAAUCUCAUUUUUACUGGUUGAGACGCUGCUUCAUCAUAUAAAGAGUCUCAUUUUAGAUUUCUUUUAGAGAUACUGCUUAAAUAUCCUCGGAGAGUCUUAGAUUCAAUUAAAGUAUUUUUCCCUUGCUGGAAUAUUUUAAUUCUAUCAUAUAAGAUGCUGCUUCGACUCGAUACAGAGAAUCUCACUUUUACUGUUGAGAUGCUGCUUAAUCGAUAUGAAGAGUCUCAUGCCAGAUUUUCUUUAUACUGCUCUAGCAUCUUGAAAAAUCUUGAGAUUUAGCUAGGGAUGUCAUUCCAUUGCUAACAUAUCUCGACUGAGAUAUCCAAGAUACUGUUCUGAUGACUCACAGAAAGUCUUGACUGUUCCAUUUUACAGUGGGAUAAUGUCUUUUGCCAUUUCUCACCGUAUUUUCUUCAUGUAUUUUCUUCCUUUCAUUUCCUAGGACAAAAUUUGGGUCUUCUUGUAUUUAAUUAUCUCCCACCGUGAAUGCGUAAAGACUACUGUCAUUAUCACUUACCAGAUUGAGGUAAUUAAAUAGGGGCAGCUGUCAAACCUCAAUUUUGUCCGGUCAUUUGUGGUUUACCCAUGAGAUCUCUUUGUUUCGAAGGUCCAUUUGCAUAAGCGUGUUCAUAAUCUAAAAUGUGGUUUGAAUCUUUCUACAUUACUAAUCCAAAAUCUAUUUUCUUAUUAGUAAGUAUUAAGAGCCAUGUUAUUAUUUCUAUGAGCACUAUUUAUUAAUCCAUUUACACACCCCAAAUAUUUAUGCCAAGUUCUAAGUCUUUCAUAGUAGUAAGUAUUAAGAGCCAUGUUAUUAUUUCUAUGAGCACUAUUUAUUAAUCCAUUUACACACCCCAAAUAUUUAUGCCAAGUUCUAAGUCUUUCAUAGGUUCCUAAAUUAAAUUUGCAUUUUUUUUUUGAGUUAGAAUGGUGUUGUUUUUAAAUUAAAGCACCAUAUUUAGAUUUAUGUGUUGAAGUUAGAAUUGUGUUGUUUUUAAAUUAAAGCACCAUAUUUAAAUUUAUGUAUUGAAAUUAGAAUUGUGUUGUUUUUAAAUUAAGUCACUAUAUUUAGAUUCAUGUGUUGAAAUUAGAAUUGUGUUGUUUUUAAAUUAAAGAACCAUAUUUAGAUUUAUGUGUUGAAGUUAGAAUUGUGUUGUUUUUUAAUUUAAAGCACCAUAUUUAGAUUUAUGUGUUGAAAUUAGAAUUGUGUUGUUUUUAAAUUAAGUCACUAUAUUUAGAUUCAUGUGUUGAAAUUAGAAUUGUGUUGUUUUUAAAUUAAAGCACCAUAUUUAUUGUGUUGUUUUUAAAUUAAGUCACUAUAUUUAGAUUCAUGUGUUGAAAUUAGAAUUGUGUUGUUUUUAAAUUAAAGCACCAUAUUUAGAUUUAUGUGUUGAAAUUAGAAUUGUGUUGUUUUUAAAUUAAGUCACUAUAUUUAGAUUCAUGUGUUGAAAUUAGAAUUGUGUUGUUUUAAAAUUAAAAUACCAUAUUUAGAUUUAUGCGUUGAAGUUAGAAUUGUGUUGUUUUUCAAUUAAGUCAUUAUAUUUGGGUUCUUUGUACCUAAGUUGAAAGUGUAUUGUUUUUAGAGUUGAAAUUACAUUGACAUGUCUUGUUUUAAAUUCUUGAUCACAUUUGUUUUUUUUUUAUUAAUGAUAACAUGCUAAGAGGCAAUUUUUGGUUGAAUGUUCAUGGUGGCCCAAGUAGGUUGCCAAUUGAAACAAAAAGACAAAGUUCAAAAUACUCUAUUUGAUUAGCAUAAAUAAAAAUAUUGAGAUAAGUUUUGAAAGCUUAAAAGGUAAUUACAUAGUUAAAAUUUAAUCCAAUGGGUUACAAAUAGUCCAAAUACACAUUUGUCUCAAAAACCUAAGUAAUUACAUUUUAAUUGAGUAGAAAGUUGCUGCUCUUGGAAACAAAAUUCUAAGGACCAAAACCAGGUGACCCAGUUGAAACCUUUUUGGACUUGGGCACGUCUCAAAACAUGCUUUCUUGGAGCUUCAUGCAGCCCACCUUCCAUUCCAUCAAGGUCACUUCAAGUUGUAACCUGCAGAGAAAAACAACUUAAUUAAAAAGUAAUUUCCAAAAGCGCUUAAAGAACUGAAAAAUAACUAAAUAAAUUACUCAGUUUAAUACUUUAUCCAGAAGGCUAACUUGAACAUCCAAAAAACAUGUCAAAAUUGGUCUAAAACAAUAACAAAUCAACAGAAAUCGAAUCCCACAUAAUCUGGGAUGGGACAAAUUGAAAAAGAGUUUUCUUAAGUUCACCAGUUGGACGGAUAAAAGAUGAGAAGUUAACAGCAAAAAACACAGCAGGAUAUUUCUAAAAAAAAAACCCUAAAAACUAAACAUAGAGGAUUUUCUUGAAAUCCCAGAGAGCAAUCUAAAAUAAUUUCAUUAAGAACAUCAAACACAUCGUAUUCAAAACAACAACAAAUCUUAAAAAGGAAAAGAGAAAAACCCACCCGUGAUUCUGCACAAAUUUUGAUUGAAAUCCAAAUCACAAAACCCCCCAGUAAAAUUCCAAGAAAACUCGUUUGAAAUUUCCCGAAUCAUGUUUAUGAAGCAAAUGGGCUCAAACCUUAACAGCAUCACUUAUACGAAGAGUAGUGGAAAAACAAAGGGGAUAUAGCUUACCUCAUUGAAGAAUCGCUUGAAAGCCUUUGCUGGAAUUCGAAAGAUCUCGCCAACCCGGAGAUUUUUAGAACUUCUGAUUUGGUAAACCAUUCGCGUCUACUUUCUCCUCCGAGUUCCUUUUUAUCAUCCAUUACGCUUUGCUGCAACUUUUAUUCUUCUGUGUUGAACCAAAUCCAUGGCAUUUGAUAGAUAGGUUCUCUAAUUUUUUACAUGAUUUUGCUUUGUGCGCGUUUGAUAUUGGUUCUUCGUUUGAGCUUGGUUUUUGCAUGUUGUUUUGUUGUUGUGUGCCAUGAAUUCGUGAGAAGGAGAAAGAGAGAAUCGAUUCAUAAAACAGAGUUAGGAGAGAGAGAGAGUGAAGCGACGGAGAAGAGCGGAGGCUCCGCCGUGAGUCGUCGCCUUCGGCCGUCUUCUCCGGGAAGGAAGUUUCUUUAGGGUUUAUAGAUUUUUUUGAAACGGUUGGUUGUAUGAUGCGAAUUCAUGAGAGAGAGAGAAGGUCAUAAAGAGAGAAGGAAAGUGAAUAUUAUACUGAGAUUUGUGUAGGUUUGAUUUGCUGUAUGUGAGUUAUUAGCAUUAAACUCCCAUUUAAUUUUUUUAUUAUUAUUCCUCUUUUUGAAUUCAUAAUUAAGAAAGGGGAUUAAAUGGGGAGAGGGACAGUUGGGUCGGUAUAUUAAAUGCGUGGAUAAUAACGUUUUGGAAAACUCGUUACUUUGUGAUCAUGAGAAUUGGGAAAGUUUUUCUUUCAUUGCCCUGCAGAAACGAGAAAGAGUCGGUUGGGAUCCAACCCAGACUGUGGACCGAAAAAAAGCCAUCGUUUCACCCUUGGGCUUCCUGGGUUUAGGCCCAUUUGUUUCCUUUAAUGAGUGUGCGCCCUGAUGGGCUUCAGAGGCCUUCAGGGCCCAUUUAUUUAUUUAUUUUUUAAUUCUGUCACUUUUUUUAGCAUAAUAAAUCAAUUUGAAUUUAUGAAUUUUGUUUGUUAAUUAACACUUUUACUAUCCUCAUUAUUUAAACAUCAAUUAUAUAGUUUAUUACCAUUUAAUAAAUUAAUAUGUUGUAUUAUCACUAUAAUUUAGAUAUUUUUUCUUCUUUUAGAUAUUAUUUCGACAGUAUUGUUUAUGUUUGCAGUCAUUUGUGUGUACAGUUAAUCAAUUUUCAUGUGUAUGUUUGGUCAAAAAAUAAACCAGAUUCCAUUUCAUCAUCGACUCCAACUACAUUGGAAUACCAUAAAAUCAUCAAUUCAAUUCUCGAUUUUGAUAUCAAACCAUGCCGUUUGUAAUCGAUUGCUUCUAUAGGCAUCGCCAUCAACCUCACAUAGCUAUUACUCUGGGCAAUUUCUUACAAUGAGGCCUAUUCGGUUAUAAUUAAGCGAUUAGAUGAGCAUUCACAUAAAUAAAUUUCAAUUCAUUCACAAAAUACAAAUUUUAAACCUCGAUCCGACUCGGAUAUUCUCUAUAAAACGUUAAAUUACAAAGACGCUACAUCCACAACUAACAUCUAUUUCAUUGUUAGGAAGAAAAAAGGAGAUGUUGUUGAGUUUUUUCAAUCGCGUCUCCCGAUUAUUUGAACAUGAAUUCUUUUACUCGGUUAGUCAAAAUAGUCGUUAUUUUAACACCCACCUAAGCACAAACAAAUCGAAUCAUUUUAUAAUAAGAAACGAAAAGGGAGAUGACUUUGAGUCUUCAAUUUUUCUCCUCGAUUAUUUGAAUACAAGUUCUCUUACUUGGUUAGUCAAAUAAUUGUCGCUCCUCUACAAACUUCCAAACCUCGAUUAAAUCAAAGUAUUUCCAUAGUAAGCUAAAUGAAAAGGAAGUUGAUUUUGAGUUUUCAACUUCUCUCCUCAAUUGUUUGAAUACGAGUUUUCUUACUCGGUCAGUCGAACAAUUGUCAUUUUUCCACCAACUUACAACUUAAUCAAAUCAUUUUUACAACGAACUAUACGAAAAGGGAGAUGGUCAUGAGUCUUCAAUUCCUCUUCUCAAAUGCUUGGAUAUGAGUUCUCUUACUCAGCUAUUCGAGUACUUGUCGUUUAUUCUAAAAUACGUCAACCAUAUACAACCUUAUUUUCAUAAAUAUUCAGAUGAAACAGAAAUCGGUCUAGAGUCUUCUAUUCCUCUUCUCGAUUAUUAGGAUACGAGUUGUCUUACUCGAUUAUCCAAUUAUUCAUCAUCCGUUCAAAACACUUUAAUUAUUAUCAAAUCCUUUCUAUAAUUAAGGAUGAAAAAGAAAGUGGUCUAGAGUCUUCUAUUCCUCUUCCCGAUUAUUAGGAUACGAGUUGUCUUACUCGUCAAAACACUUUAAUUAUUAUCAAAUCCUUUCUAUAAUUAAGGAUGAAAAAGAAAGUGGUCUAGAGUCUUCUAUUCCUCUUCCCGAUUAUUAGGAUACGAGUUGUCUUACUCGAUUAUCCGAGUAUUCAUCAUCCAUUCAAAAAUACCUUAAUUAUUAUCAAAUCCUUUCUAUAAUUAAGGAUGAAAAAUAAAGUGGUCUAGAGUCUUCUAUUCCCUUUCCCGACUGUUAGGAUACGAGUCGUCUUAUUCGAAUAUCCGGGUAAUUGUCAUCCAACCAAAAACAUCUCAACCAAUCAAAACAUCCAACAUACUAAUCCAACGUGUCACCUUCGUGUGAUCAAAAUCUUUCCAAAAAGAACACCAUUUAGUCCUCUCUAAUGCGCACAACAAACUAGUGCUUAAGCCUCCGCCGAGAGUAGACAAGCCAACGUUUAGCCUUUAGGAUGCGAUCUAAACGGUUGUUCAUUAAAAAACACCAAUCAACCGUAGUUCCCCGAACGACGAAUGCUCUGACUUCCUUAUUUCACCAUAAGGAUACGUAGGCAGGAGAUUGUUGUAUCUUCGCGAGCACACUAAUAAAAAACCUCCCCUUUCUCCUUUCUGAGGUUCUUAUCCAUUUCUAUUUUCGACAUUUUAUAACCCAAAGAUAACAAACAAACAUAAAUUAACACUCGAAACGCAAAUUAGAACUAAAAGGUUCCCGCUUAGUACAGCGGACGUGAGGGGUGCUAAUACCUUCCUCUUGCGUAAUCCACUCCCGAACCCGAAUAUGGUUGCGACGACCACUAUUCUAUCAUUCAAAAGGUUUUAUUGAUAUUUUCCUAUCCCUUUAUUAGGGAUAAAUAAAAGUUCGGUGGCGACUCUGUUCGAACAUAAUUUUUUCCGCGACCAUCGCGAGGAAUCGUAUUUUUCGAGAUGCGGCACGUAUUUGCUUCAAGCUUGGGGGUGGUCAAGAAUGUUGUCGCUCGCCCCGAUAAAUGAGCGCCCAUUCAUGUUCCCGUUUGCAACCAAGUAAGUCUAACACUUUACCAUUCACCAUUUAGUUAAUUAUAUUUAUUAUUAUAAUUAACAGUAAAUAAUAUUUUUUCACUUCUUUUUAUUAUCUUAGGUGGUCAGUAAGGGGAAUGAACUACAACAGGUGUCCGAAACACGCUAUUGUAGUCUAUCGAAAUCUAUUGGACCACAUUGGACAUGACGAUGUAAUAAUCCUAUCGAACUAUAUUUUAAUUUAAAAAUACUUCUCAAAUUAUUUUUCAUCUAACCAUUUCGUAUUGUUUUACGGUUUGUUUGGAGGCCAUAUCUGGGUCUGAAUCAUGAUGUGAACCAUGACGAUGCUGCAGUUUGGACAUCGAAGACACCGAUUAUCCGAUUCACUACGGUGGAAAUGCACCCAAGUGACCGGGUCAAACUGCAGUUCAGAAUGCUACAACAGAUUCCAGAAUCUCCCACGUGUUUGGGGAAUUGGCAUAAAAAAAGGGUCGAUGCACAGUGGGAUUAUUCUGACUGGAGAGACUUUGCAAAAGACAUGUGUCAUCAAUGGAGGAAUCGACGACAACACAUCUUAAAUGAACCAGUCAUCCAAGGUGCAAGACCCACUCAAAAAUAUAUGGCAUGGUUUAGGUCGGUAACAACUCAACAAUUUGUAUAUGAGCCGCAGUAUUUGAUGGAUCCACGCUAACAUGCUUCGUCAUCGUAUGCCCCACAACAAUUCACCACCCAACACCAAUGUGAACCCACCCAAACCCAACAACCAACCACACAACAUCAACCGACCACAUACACACAACAACCAAACACCCAACAUCGCUAACAAUUCACCACCCAACACCAAUGUGAACCCACCCAAACCCAACAACCAACCACACAACAUCAACCGACCACAUACACACAACAACCAAACACCCAACAUCGCAACCCGUUCAUGCCAACCACCCAGCAACCAACCAUCCAACGUCACAAUCCAUUCAUACCAUCCACCCAAACACAAAACCAAUAAUCAAACCCCGCAACCACAACCGUCUAUAGCACAGAUGAUUCAUAUGGGUCACUUCAUCGUAGCCCCCCACCAAUGAACACCCAACCAUUGUUUAACUAUAGUACGCCCCAGGAACCAUUGCUUAGUUUCCAAAACGACUCAAUGGCCCAAUUUGGGAAACUAUACCGUCCCCAAUUCACCCAACCCCAACGCCCUAACUACGAUGACAUGAGCACUGAACUCCAUUACGGAAGCGUCGUUGGCUAGAGCCCCUCCGGAUAUUGGGAGCAAAUGAUGACACAUUUGUCAAAUACCGCUGGAACUUCCGCCGGACCUUCCAACCAGUCAUCGCUCGAUCAAGUCAGCACCCAAAGACCACCAACACCUCAAGAAAAUUGUGGGAGACCUUAGAGACAAACUAACGCACCGAAAUGUGGAACCAAGGGACGUUAUAAUCGGGCGGAUCAUUAGUUUAUUGUCAGUCCAAUCCAAUGUAACUAAUUAUUACAUAUUCAAUGAAUUUUUAUUUUUCAUUAUUAUUUCUUAUUUAUUAAAUAAUAAAAAUUAAAUAAUAAAAAUUAAAAAAACUAAAAAUAAAAAAUAAAAAAAAUUGGAGGGGUGGCUCAUACACCCACCAACCAAAACACACUAAGGUGUCACUAGCAUUGGCGCCUCCUCAUGAGGCUCAAUGCAGACGCCACUAGCAUUGGCACCUCCUCAUGAGAAGCCCAAUGCAUGCGUCAAUGCUAUUGACGCCUCCUCUUAGUAGUUUUGGGGUGUUCCAAUUCAUCUGGCGCAUCCUCUAUCAAAUUUGGUUUAUUUGGUUUUUUUUUGAAUAAUUGGUUAUUUUGAAAAAAAAAUUGAAAAAAUUAGUUAUUUUGAAAAAAAAUUCUAAAAUUGUUUUAAUAUAAGUUAAAGGAGGUGGGUUUACUUUUUAUAAAAAUAAAAUUGGCUAGUACUUUUGAAACUUGUAACUGUUUGUGAAGUUGACGCAAAAUGAAUUUAAUGAAGCAUAUUAGGAAGUUGACGCAAAAUGAAUUUAAUGAAGCAUGAUUUGUUUAAAAUAUUUGAUAUAAAUAUUAGUUACGAAAUUGUCGCAUUGAUAAUAAUUUAAAAAAAUUUAAGUGAUUGAAUGUAACUCCACAUGUUAGUUGCUUAUCAAGGUCAUAGUUACAAUAUAUAUUUGGGUUUAGGUACGUUAUAGUUUAAUUAGAAUGGACAAAUCAUUAGUUUCAACUUCUAAGAGGAUGGGUCCAUAAAGACCUAAUGAUCCACCACAAACUUUAAGAAUGCUUAUUUAUGUGGCACCUCCUAAUAAAAUAAUAUGUAGAUUACUCAAGUGAUGUUUUUAAUCAUUGCUAUAUUAUUAUUUAAUUAUUUAAUUAUUUAAUAUUAAAUAAUAUAUUUUUAAUUAAUCUAAAUAAUUGAUUAUCAUUUUAUAUUAAUCAUCUUCAUCUUCAAAUCAUCAUCAUCUUCAAACAUUCAUCUUCUUAAUCUUCAAAACUCAUAUCUGUUGGAAAUCCUCCAAAAUUUAUGGAGAAUUUCAAUCAAUCUUGAUAAACAAGAUUGUUAUCACUCACACAAUAGCAAUGAAAAGAAAGAACAAUGGAGAAAGAAAGAGUGUAAAGAACGAUGAAGGAGAAGAGUAAUAUAAUUCUGCAGAGUUUCUCUCUGUCCACAAACUGUGGAAAACUUCUUAUUCACUUUGCAACUGCAAAAUACUGUGAAUACAAUGUUAUGAAUGUUUUAUUCACUUCAUUACAAAAAUAAGGGUUACUCCCUAUAUUUAUAGAUUUAGGUUAACUUGGACCUCAAGUCCAAGCCAAAAACUAUAAAAGUCCAAAAUAGCUAACACUACUAAAAUAGGCCUAAGUCAAAAUCUUGUGUGAAGCAACAUGCUUCGACACUUUGACACACUAACACAACUCAACACACUAGGUGGUUCGACACUUCCUUACUCUGUCGAGCAACCUGCUUCGACACAAGGAAUUACAAUUCAACACACCACCUAAUUCAUUGUGUCUAAGCUAUCUACACUCAUCAUAGCUCUUAGUCUUCUGAACACUUCGACCUGCACUCCCUUCGUCAUGAUGUCUGCAAUCUGAUUCUCAAUUCUGCAGUGUUCCACAUUCAUCUUCCCAUCUGCUACCUGCUCUCGAAGAUAAUGGAACCUCAUUUCAAUGUGCUUGGCUUGACCAUGUGCUAUUGGAUUCUUCGCCAGAUUGAUAGCUGACAUUAUGUCGAUCUUCAUGGUAAUUGUUCCAUGACUCUUCCAUAUUAUCUCUUCGACCAGAUUCACCAUUCACGUUGCUUGACAUGCACAAAGAGAAGCAUCUAUGUAUUCUGCUUCGCACGACGAUAAUGCCACUACUGGCUCUUUUCUCGAACUCCAAGCAACUGGUGCACCACCUAGCAUAAACACAUAGCCCGCUGUGGAUUUUCGAUCCUCAGCAUCACUACACCAACUUGAGUCGGUGUAACCCACUAAUUUGCAUUCUUUUCCUUCAUCAACUGCAGGAAACAAAAUGUCAUAGUCGAGAUUUCCUUUCAGAUACCUUAGUAUCCUCUUCGUCGCUGCUAGAUGUGAUACCUUUGGCUUUUGCAUGAACCAACUCACCAUACCUACACUGUAUGCUAAGUCAGGCCUUGUAUGAUAAAGGUACCGAAGUGACCCAAUAAGUCUUCUAUAUUGGGUUGGGUCGACAUUAUCUUCAUUUGAAUCUUUCGUAGUUGUAAUCUGGGCUCAGCUGGAGUCGAAGUUGGGUUGCAAUCUUGCAUCUCAAAUCUCUUAAGUAUUUCGCUUGCAUACCUUCUUUGAUGCAUCAUCAAACCUCUACCACUCUUAUAGAAUUCGAUGCCAAGGAAAUAUGAAAUGUCACCCAGAUCUGACAUUUCGAAUUCCUUAUUGAGAUCACCUUUGAAGUUUUCGAUCUCCUUCUUGCAGCUACCUGUUAUCAACAGGUCAUCGACAUAGAGACAUAGUAUAAACAAUUCACUUUUUCUUCUUCUUACAUAUACUCCAUGUUCACUUGUGCACUUCAAAAAUUCCUUUUCCCUUGGAAAUCCAUCUAUCUUCUUGCUCCAAGCUCUUGGAGCUUGUUUAAGUUUGUACAGGGCUUUAUGCAGCCUGUACACUUUUCUUUCUCGCCUAGUUUAACAAACCCAACUGGUUGUGCAACAUAAACUUCUUAUUCUAAGGGGCCAUUAAGGAAUUCACAUUUCACAUCCAUCUGACACAUCUUCCAGUUGUUCAUGUUUGUUAUUGAAAUUCUGGUAUCAGAUAUGAGAUGUCGAAUGUAAUGUCACGACACUAAUAUCUGAAUUACACUAACAGAAGAAAGAUAUAGAAAGGUAAAGCAAAAGACAUAAGCAAUUGUUAACCCAGUUCGGUGCAACUCACCUACGUUUGGGGGCUACCAAGCCAGGAAGGAAAUUCACUAAAAUAGAAUCAGUUCAAAGACUCUUCGUACACUUCAACAAGUUACAGUCUUUCUCACCUAAUCUUUACCCGUGCAAUUUCUACCUAAGAACUCUUAGAUAUGAGAACCCACUCACUUCCCUAAAAUCACACCUGUGAUCUUAAACAACAAUCCCUUGAGAAAAGAGAACACUUUUCAAUAACACACUCUUGAUUUUACUUCACAGUUUCAAUCAAGAAGACACACUAUUGAUCUUGCUUCACAGCUUUGAUCAAGAAGACACACAAUUGAUCUUGCUUCACAUCUUUGAUCAAGUAGACACACACUCUUGCUUAACAGCUUUAGAGUGACAAAUUACAACCACAAAUCAGUCCAACUCAAUCAACAAAAGAUGACUUGAAUGGCUUACAAGUCUCACGACUAAACAGACACAAACCCUAGCUCUCUCACUAUAUUUCGCCUUGUACUGGUUGUGUUGUAAAACAGGUUUUCUAAGUCCCUUUUUAUAGAAGCUUUCAGCUGGGCUUGGACAUCUUGAAAACCCUAAAUCUAUUUUCUAAUUAAAUCUUUUCAUAACAACUGGAUAGAUCUCCUUGGAAAAUAAGUAAAUCAGGUUGUAAUCCAUGAUUGAAUGCGCCUGCAAAUCAGAUCUUCAAUCAUACAUAGAUUUCCAUUAAUUGUGCAAUCACAAAAUAGAUAACAUUCACUCUGAAUGUUCUGUGUACAGGAUGUCAUGACAUCGGGUCUGACAUCCUGGAAAAAUCCUGCAUAAUUCAAUAAUUCCUUUUAUAACUUCCAGCAGGUACAACCAUAUCAGAUGCCAUGACCUGUGUGUAUGAAUCUUGAAACAAUCCUGCAUGAACAUGUCUUUCAUUUAAGCUCCAGCAGGUACAUCCAUAUCAGAUGCCAUGACCUUGUGUAUGACUUUUGAAACAAUCCUGCAUGAACAUGUUCUUGAACUCCAACAGGUACAUAAGAUAUCUUAUGUUAAGACAUCACACAUAACAUUGUGAACACUCUGUUGUUACCAAAAUUGCUGCCAACACUUAGAACCAACAAACUCCCCCUUUGGCAAAUUUUGGCUAAAACAUAUAUCUGUCCUUUUUGUUCACAAGGUAAACUAUCAGCAGUUAAACAACAUAACAAUAGUUUAAUCAGCAGCGGAAGCAACACAAUUACUAGCUUAUAGUUACUAGUAAUACACACAUGCACAAGGGUACUUCUCCUCCCCCUAAAUCUGUGCAACAAAAACAGAAUUACUAGUUAUGGGUGCAACUAGUAAGACACACAAAUGCACAAGGGUACUCCUUCUCCCCCUAAAUCUGUGCACACCAUAAACAUCUUCCAUGAAUAUCACAGCUAUUGUAACCACAACACCUGUACCAGCCAGAAUGUCAUUCUGACAUCUGCUUCAACAUCAACACCUGUGCACCAUAGCAGACAUCCUCUUUGACAUCUGUAAACAGAACAACAUUUUGUUUUAACACCUGUGCACUUCCUUCAAUAAUAGCUGUCCUUCAGUUCAGCUACAUACAUCUCACAACUCCACAACUGCUUCCACAUUCCACAUUAACAUUUCUCCCCCUUUUUAGUCAAAAUUGACCAAAGGUGACCAGUUAGACAAAAUAAAUGUCAAUUAGUCUAUCAGAGAAUGUCAGGACAGAUGUUAUAACAUUAAACAUGUUAAAACAUAACAGUUAAGAAGUACAAACCAUCAUUAUACACAACUGUGAUAGCUGAGAUAAUGAACAAAUCCAAGGAACUCAUUAAGAGCCCAAAAUAUUACAAACAGGCAUCAAUAAUGAUUGCCACAAAUUACACAGUUUUAAAAAAAACAAUAAAACUUCAGCAUCCAUACAACAACAACAGAACAGCUUCCCAAAAAAAAACAGUCACAACAGUCUUCACAACACACCUCACACCAUCUUCAGUCUUCAACACACAAGGGGGAGGGGGAAAACACCAUCAAUCAGAGGAAGAAGUAUCACCUUCACCUUCAGAGCCUUCAGAGCUUUCAGAGCUGCCACUGGAUUGAGCAUUUGAUCUCUCACUUGAAGUAUUUGCAUCUGAGUCUUUGGUCUCACCAGCUUUCUCCACCUCUUCCUUCUCUAGGCCACGAAUAAGAGCCUCCAAGGCCUCUUUUCUUGCUUUGGCAACCCUAAUACCAUUCUUCAGUUCUUUGCAGGUUUCUUUCAACUGAUCAAUUAACUCCCUUGAGAUGCAGGCUCUUUUCUGGCAGAUGUCUUGACAACAUCAUUAACAUGACUUCCCUCAAACAGUUUAUGAUGAAUGGACAGUGGGGGCUUUCUUCUGCUUGGAAUGUCAUUUGCAUUGAGUAUGCCUGGUUGUUGACUCAAGAUGAUACCACAAAUAAUAGAUGGGAGGACAAUGGGCAGCUUCACAGCAUUUGUGGAGGCAUAUCUGAUAAUUUGGUCAAACAUAAACUUUCCAAAAUCAUAGUUAAUCCUGGUUCCAAUUGCAUGAAUGACUCUUCCAAGACUGAUGGAGAUGGUAGAGAUAUGAUUAGUAGGCACCCAAUUAGCUUGAACCAAUCUUGUGCAAGAUGGCAUAUUUGACAGUUAACUUGUUAGCUGAAGGUGAUUCCUACUAGGCCAUUCCUUAACUUGGCCAGCUGUAAUGAUCCUACAACCUCAUUGUCUGUAGUCUCCAGAUUCUAUUCCUCAUCAGUUCCUCUCCCUAGGAACUUGUUGAUGAUGGUUGGUGAGAAUCUCACACACCUACCUCUUACAAAAACUUUGCAAAAUUCCCUGCUGCUUCUUUCAGAAAUCUCCUCAGGGAUAUUUAUAACAAAUUCUUUCACCAACCCCUCAUAGCAUUGGGGCAGAGCAACCACAUCCUUUAUCAAUCCAGCAUUCUUGAUUAAAUCCAUGACUUCCUUUACUUCAACAACCUCUUUUCCCAGCUCUCUCUCAACCGCUACCCUCCUCUGAAUGACAAACUUCCAUUUAGCAACACCGUCUUCUAAGUGAAAAGAGAUGUUGUCUAAAUGAACAGCUGCAGCUUUUCUUGGACACUUCUUAACAGCCUGCCUUUUUGUAGGGGAGAUGUCUGGAACAUCGUCUUUGACAUCCUCAUCAGAGUCAGAACUCUUACUUUCUUUCCUCUUCUUAAUCUCAACCUUGCUCCAUGAUUUGGAGGGUCCUACACUAGCAGUCUUCUUCCUAGUCCUGGAUGCCAUCAUUUCAGCCACGGUUUUUCCUUUCCUAGUCUUCAAUUUCCUAGCAGCACUUGGUUUCACAUGGUUAACCAGGGUGUCCUCCUCUUCCUCUGAGCUUUCUUCCUCCAAAUCAAUACUAACCUCAACAGUAUCAGGAGACAUGCUAGUUGGUUUCUUGCUAGGUAAAUUUUUUCCAAGAGAACAUAAUCCCUCAGCAGCUACUUCCUUUUCUGUCUUAGAUGAGUCAUCAUCUUUCUCAGCUUGGGUUUCCACCUCAGGAGAGGGGUCCCUUCUGUCUACUUCCUUUUCUGUCUUAGAUGAGUCAUCAUCUUUCUCAGCUUGGGUUUCCACCUCAGGAGAGGGGUCCCUUCUGGACAGAGGGGUAAAAAUAUCCUUGACUCCAUGUUCUUCAUUCAGAAUCCUGGUAACUAGGUUUCUUAUGGUGCGAUCAGUAAAGUGCAUGUCCUCUUUAUCAGUAGAUUUUUCAGGAAUGUUACCUUGCUUAGUUCCAGCCAUGGAAGAGGGGCCUGGGACAUCACCUGGUAUCAUACACAGAGGAGUCACGUCCAUCAAAUCUUCAUCUAGAAACUCCAUGGAGGGAGUUCUUGUAUGAGAGGGUUUUGAGCUAGAUGAUGAUGGAUGUUGAGACAUGUUGUUGAACUUUUGAGGAAAAUUUAUUUGCCCAAGCAGAGGUUCUCUGAGUAGUUUGAUGAAGAUGGAAAGAGUUGUGUUCAGGUAGAGCGUGCAAAUGGAAUAGAUAAUAUUUCCAAUACUAGGUAAUGAUUCAUUAUUAAUGUGGCUCUUUCUUUUAAUUGGGCAGACAAUAUUUUUGUUACCUUUUCCACUCCACAUUAAUUGCCAUAUUUUCUCAAGAAUCCAAGUCCCUAAUUUCCCCCUUUCAUAUUCAAGUUGGAUAUCAUCCAAAUCCCUUGCAGCCUUGUCAGUUAUAUUUUCUCAAGAAUCCAAGUCCCUAAUUUCCCCCUUUCAUAUUCAAGUUGGAUAUCAUCCAAAUCCCUUGCAGCCUUGUCAGUUAGUUGCAUUUCAUGCUGUAGAACUAUGAAUUUGUUUUCCACAUGUUUUCUAAUUGAGUGAUGACAGCAAACAAUGUACUUGGUCCAGCUGUGCUGAAUAUGAUUUUUGGACAUAGUUGCACCAUACAUGUUGUCAUAAUACAAUGUCAUGACAUCGUGUGUGACAUUGUAUACAAUCAUCAGUAGUUUCAUCCAACCUAGUUGAGAAUUGCUGCUUUCAUCUGAUAUACUUUCAUCAUCACCAUCAUUUUUGUCUUUCACAUGUGUAGGAUCAGGAGUCCUAUCACUCUUCAUCUCAAUCUUCCCCACAUUGUUCUUGGCACACAUAGCCCCUUGUGGCUCAGUUCCAACAAAGAUCUCUCCAAUAUCAGACUGCAUAUAACUAGUCACAUGUCCACCUAUUUGAUCUAACCUCUCAGGCAUUUGGGCCAUCAUGACCUUUUCUCCCUUGAGAGUAAGGUUAAGUCUGAGCUUCUGGUGUGACAUCCUUGUUUGACAUUUCCCACAGGCUUGACUUUCAUUACUCUUAAGGGUUCUUCUAGCAGCUAUACUUAUCUUCAUCCCUUCCUUUUUGUCAUAGGUACACUUUGAGGAAUGAUCCAAUUUAGAGAUCCACAUGUAACAAUUGUCUUUGGUCCUGAUUCCUUUCAUAAUCACUUCACUAUCUUUGUUAGAAAUUAGGCAUUCAGUUUUGGUGAAGUUAACAUUCAGACCUUGAUCACAUAGUUGACUGAUGCUUAUUAGAUUUGCAGUCAAGCCCUUAACGAGUAGAACCUUGUCAAGUUCAGGAACUCCAGGACAAUCAAGCUUGCAUAUCCCCUUUAUUUCACCCUUUGCUCCAUCACCAAAAGUUACAUGGCUUAUGGUAUGAGGGUGAAGAUCAGUUAUCAGGUAUAUGUUUCCAGACAUGUGUCUAGAACAUCCACUAUCAAGAUACCACUCUUCUUUGGCUAAGAUUUUAAAGGGAAUGUGAGCUAUUAGACUUGCAACAUUAGUCUUAGGAACCCAUUGCUUCUUGUUGAUAGGCCUGUGCUGUUGAUAGUGAGUCUGUUGAUGAACAGGGAUAGGGUAACCAUAUAGCUUAUAGAAGAAAGGAUUUAGGUGACCAAAUUUCCCACAGUAAUGGCAUCUCCAUCUUUGGUGUUUCCUUUUCUGCUGUCUUCUCCUCUGAUGUUGUGACAUCUCAGGACUGCUCUUACUAUUGUUGCAUUUAGGUUUGGCUUGAGGUUUGUAACUAGUGUAACUGAUAUCAGCCUUGGAUUUUGUAUAUCCUAUUCCAAAUUUGUCUCCUGUGAUUUGUCCAGUUUGGAGAAUCUUGUCUAAGGAGUCAGAUCCAUUAUUUAACAUCCUUACAUACUUGGUUAUCUCUUCUAGUUUUGAGUUCAAGAACAAAGCUUCUGUUUUUAACUUGGAGAUGGUUUCCACAUGUUCAGCCUUUUCAUUCUCAAGCUGUACUAUCUUCUGGCUUUCAACUUGUUGACUUUCAUCUAGCUUGACCUUCAGAGCCACUGCUUCUGUUUUUAAUUUGGAGAUGGUUUCCAAUUGUUCUACCUUCUCUUUCUCAAGUUGAUUGUUGACUUUCAUCUAGCUUGACCUUCAGAGCCACUGCUUCUGUUUUUAAUUUGGAGAUGGUUUCCAAUUGUUCUACCUUCUCUUUCUCAAGUUGAGUUAUCCCCUUCUUCUGGUUUUCAACCUGUUACAUAACUCUACACUUUUGUGGCACAUCUUUCUGUAGGUAGACGCCAACUCUUCAAAGGCCACUUCUUCAUCACUUGAGUCUCCAUCAAAACCCCAUUUUCCUGUCAGUGCAGUCACCAGAUUUGCAACCUCCUCUAUAUCACUCUCAUCAGACCAAGUGGCAGCAAGACUCAUCUUCUGCUUCUUGAGAUAUGUUCCACAUUCAGUUCUAAUGUGUCCAUACCUAUCACAUUCAUAGCACUUUACUUCUUUUCCUUCUUUGGGAUUUUCAUCUGACCUUGCUCUUCUUUCAAUGAUGAUGUCAGAUGUGAUGUUCUUGACAUUUGCCUUGGAUCUUACAUCCAUCUUUUUUAACAAUCUGUUGAACUGUCUCCCUAAUAUUGUAACUUCAUUGGUCAAAUCUUCAUCAACAUCCUGACUAUUUUCCUCUUCUGUGUUUGAUAUGAAGGCAAUGCUUUUGGUUUUCUUCUCAGAACCAUCAUUUAAUCCCAUUUCAAAGGUUUGAAGGGAACCAAUUAGCUCAUCAACCCUCGUGUUGGAAAUGUCUUGAGACUCUUUUAUGGCAAUCACCUUCAUUGCAAAUCUCUUAGGGAGUGACCUAAGUAUUUUCCUUACCAGUUUUUCAUCUGUCAUCUUUUCUCCCAGGGCUCCUGAGGCAUUAGCAAUUUCAAGGAUACUCAUGUGAAAUUCAUGAAUGUUUUCAUCUUCUUUCAUCCUUAAGUUUUUAAACUUGGAGGUGAGCAACUGAAGUCUAGACAUCUUUACCCUAGAGGUGCCUUCAUGAGUGGUCUUGAGAAUGUCCCAGGCAUCUUUGGCCACUUCACAGUUAUUUACCAAACUAAAAAUGUUCUUGUCUACCCCAUUGAAUAUUGCAUUCAAUGCUUUAGAAUUUCCAAGAGCUAGAUCAUCUUCCUCCUUGGACCAUUGUUCUUCAGGCUUCUUCUCAGUGGUGGCUUCUCCUUCUUUGUUAUUGACAGGAUGCACCAGCCUGUUAACAUAGCUUUCCAAGCCUUGUUAUCAAGAGAUUUUAGAAAGGCUACCAUUCGAGGUUUCCAAUAGUCAUAGUUUCAACAUCCAAGAUGGUGUUAUGGACAGUCCUCCAUCUCUCUCCAUUGUACCAGAAAGUAUUGUCUAGAUCUCACCAGAACCAGAGCAGGAUGCCUGCUCUGAUACCAAUUGAAAUUUUGGUAUCAGAUAUGAGAUGUUGAAUGUAAUGUCACAACACUAAUAUCUUAAUUACACUAACAGAGAAAAUUAGAAAGGUAAAGCAAAAGACACAAGCAAUUGUUAACCCAGUUCGGUGCAACUCACCUACGUCUGGGGGCUACCAAGCCAGGAAGGAAAUUCACUAAAAUAGAAUCAGUUCAAAGACUCUUCGUACACCUCAACAAGUUACAGUCUUUCUCACCUAAUCUCUACCCGUGCAAUUUCUACCUAAGCACUCUUAGAUAUGAGAACCCACUCACUUCCCUAUAAUCACACCUGGGAUCUUAAACAACAAUCCCUUGAGAAAAGAAAACACUUUUCAAUAACACACUCUUGAUUUUACUUCACAGUUUCAAUCAAGAAGACAUACUCUUGAUCUUGCUUCACAACUUUGAUCAAGAAGACACAUUUGAUCUUGCUUCACAGCUUUGAUCAAGUAGACACACACUCUUGCUUAACAGCUUUAGAGUGACAAAUUACAACCACAAAUCAGUCCAAUUCAAUCAUCAAAAGAUGACUUGAAUGGAUUAUAAGUCUCACGACUAAACAGACACAAACCCUAGCUCUCUCACUAUAUUUCGCUCAGUACUGGUUGUGUUGUAAAACAAGUUUGCUAAGUCCCUUUUUAUAGAAGCUUUCAGCUGGGCUUGGACAUCUUGAAAACCCUAAAUCUAUUUUCCAAUUAAAUCUUUUCAUAACAGCUAGAUAGAUCUCCUUGGAAAAUAAGUAAAUCAGGUUGUAAUCCAUGAUUGAAUGCGCCUGCAAAUCAGAUCUUCAAUCAUACAUAGAUUGCCAUUAAUUAUUGAAAUUCUGGUAUCAGAUAUAAGAUGCCGAAGGUAAUGUUACGACACUGAUAUCUGCUAACACACAAUGGAUAAAAUAAAUAGAAUGGUAAAGCGAAUAACACAAGCAAUUGUUAACCUAGUUCGGUGCAACUCACCUACGUCUGGGGGCUACCAAGCCAGGAAGGAAAUAUCUAAAAUAGAAUUAGUUCAAAGACUAUCCGUACACUUCACCAAGUUACAGUCUUUCUCACCUAAUCUCUACCCGUGCAACUUCUACCUAAGCACUCUUAGAUAUGAGAACCCACUCACUUCCCUUACUAGUUCAAAGACUAUCCGUACACUUCACCAAGUUACAGUCUUUCUCACCUAAUCUCUACCCGUGCAACUUCUACCUAAGCACUCUUAGAUAUGAGAACCCACUCACUUCCCUUACAAUCACACACCAGAGAUUUUAAACAACAAUCCCUUGUGAAAAUAAAAUACUUUUCAAUUACAAACUCUUGAUUUUACUUCAUAGUUUCAAUCAAGAAGACACACUCUUGAUCUUGCUUCAAAGCUUUGAUCAAGAAGACACACACUUGAUCUUGCUUCACAACUUUGAUCAAGUGGACACACACUCUUGCUUAACAGCUUUAGAGUGAUAAAUUACAACCACAAAUCAGUCCAAUUCAAUCAUCAAUGGAUGACUUGAAUGACCUACAAGUCUUACGACUAAAACAGACACAAACCCUAGCUCCCUCUCUCUAUUUCGCUCAGUCUUGGUUGUAUGUUCAAACAGGUUUUCUAAGUCCCUUUUUAUAGAAGCAUUGGACAUCUUGAAAACCCUAAAUAUAUUUUCCAAUCAAAUCUUUUUAUAACAACUGUAGAGAUCUCCUUGGAAAAUAAGCAAAUCUGGUUGUAAUCCAUGAUUGAAGCCAUAUCUUCAAUUCAUACAAUGAAUUGCCUAUUGGCUGCUCACAAACACCAGACAUUCAACUGAAUGUUCUGUGUACAUGAUGUCAUGACAUCGGGUCUGACAUCCUGGAAAAAUCCUGCAUAAUCCAAUUUCCUUUUAUAGCAGGUACAGCCAUAUCAGAUACCAUGACAUUGUGUAUGUGAUCUGAAACAAUUCUGCAUGAACAUGUCUUCCAUAUAAGCUCCAGCAGGUACAACCAAUAUCAGAAGCCUUAGCAUUGUAAGUGGCAUUCUGAAACAAUCCUGUUUGCAUAUGUUCUUUAACUCCAGCAGGUACAUAGGAUAUCUUAUGUUAAGACAUCACACAUGACAUCUUGUGAACACUCUUUGUUUUACCAAAAUUGCUGCCAACACUUAGAAACAACAGAAAGGAAACGCUCGAAGUAAACCUGGGAGAAAGGAAAGGAAAAGACAAGGUCUCGCAAUCAAAUCUUGGGUUCGGGAGCCGAUUAUGCGAAGGGAAGGUAUUAGCACCCCUACGCAUCCGUAGUACUCUACGGGAUCCACUUUUGUUGUUCUUGUCUAAGCAAAACAAUUACUAGCUAUGGCUACUAGUAAUACACACAUGCACAAGGGUACUUCUCCUCCCCCUAAAUCUGUGCAACAAUCAGAAUUACUAGUUAUGGAUGCAACUAGUAAGACACACAAAUUCACAAUGCACAAGGGUACUUCUUCUCCCCCUAAAUCUGUGCAUGCAUCAAAUAUAACAGCUACUGUAACUCCAACACCUGUACCAGCCAGAAUGUCAUACUGACAUCUGCUUCAACAUCAACACCUGUGCACUUCUUUCAAUAAUAGCUGUCUUCUACUCCAUCCACACACAUCUCUCCAGCUGUCUUCCAGUCCAGCCACACACAUCUCUCCAGCUGUCUUCCAGUCCAGCCACACAUAUCUCUCCACAACUGCUUCCAUAUCAACACUUCUCCCCCUUUUUAGUCAAAAUUGACCAAAGGUGACCAAUCAGACAAAAUAAAUGUCCAUUAGUCUGUCAGAGAAUGUCAUGACAGAUGUUAUAACAUUUAAACAUGUUAAAACAUAAUAUUCAUGCAGUACAAACCAACAUUAUACACAGCUGAAAGCUGAGAUAAUGAACAAAUUCAAGGAACUUAUUAAGAGCCCUAAAUAUUACAUAACAGGCAUCAAGAGGACUGCCACAAAAUACAAAAACAAAAACCAAUCAAGACAACAACCUUCCAAACAGCAGCCCAGCUUCCACCCCACCUCUCAGUCUUCAAUUCAGGUAGGAACCAUUAAUCAAAAGAGGAAGUAUCACCUUCACCUUCAUCUUCAUCUUCUGAACACUCAGAGCUUCCAGAACAGCCACUGGAUUGUGCUUUUCCAUCUGAGUUCUUACCAUCCUUUUCUAACUCUUCUUUUUCCAGGUUACAAAUAAGAGCUUCUAAAGCUUCUUUUCUUGCUUUUUCCACCUUCAUACCCUUCUCCAAUUCCUUGCAGGUAUCUUUCAAUUGAUCAAUUAGGCUUCCUUGAGAUGUAGGCUCUCUUCUGACUGAUGUCAUAACAACAUCAUUUAUAUGACUUCCCUCAAACAGCUUAUAAUGAAUGGAUAGAGGGGUUUUUCUCCUGCUUGGCAUGUCAUUCGUAUUGAGUAUGCCUGGUUGUUGGCUAAGGAUAAUGCCACACAUAAGGGAAGGGAAUGCAAUAGGUAACUUCACAGCAUUUGUAGAAGCAUGUUUGAUGGUUUGAUCAAAUAUGAAUUUCCCAAAAUCAUAGUUUAUCUUGGUUCCAAUUGCAUGAAUGAUCCUUCCCAGGGCAAUGGAGAUGGUAGAGACAUGAUUAGUAGGUACCCAAUUUGCUGAACCAAUCUUAUGCAGAAUGGCAUAUUUCACAGUGAGCUUACUAGCUGAUAGGUGUUUCCUACUAGGCCAUUCCUUAACUUGGCCAGCUGUAAUAAUUCUACAGACCUCAUUGUCUGUGGUCUCUAGAUCUACUCCUCCAUCAGUUCCUCUCCCUAGGAACUUGUUGAUGAUAGUAGGUGAAAGUUUCACACACUUACCCCUUACAAAAACUUUGCAGCCCUCCCUGCUGCUUCUUUCAUAUAUCUCCUCAGGGAUGUUCACAAUGAAUUCUUUGACUAACCCCUCAUAGCACUGAGGCAGAGCAGUCACAGUUUUCAUAAGACCAGCUGUCUUAAUUAACUCCAUGACUUCCUUUACUUCACUUGCUUCUUUUCCCAAUUCUCUUUCAACUGCUACCCUUCUUUGAGUCACAAACUUCCAUUUGGCAGCACCACCUUCCACGUGAAACGAGAUAUUGUCAAGAUGAACAGCAACCACUUUGUUUGGAGACUUCUUUACAGGCUUCCUUUUAACAGGGGGAAUGUCUGAGACAUCAUAUUCGACAUCCUCAUCAGAUUCAGAACUCUCACUUUCCUUCAUCUUCCUGACCUCUACUUUACUCCAAGUCUUGGAGGGACCUAUACCAGCAACCCUUUUCUCUUUCCUACCUGUCCUUAUCUCAGCCAUACUCUUCCUUUUUCUCAGUCUAUUAGCUACACUUGUUUUCACAAGAUUGACCAACAUGUCAUCUUCUUCCUCAGACCCUUCUUCCUCAAUGUCCUGAGCAGUAUCAGGGGACAUACUAGGUAAGUUUUUUCCAAGAGAACAUAGUCCCUCAGCAGCUACUUCCUUUUCUGUUUUAGAUGAGUCAUCAUCUUUCUCAGCUUGGGUUUCCACCUCAGGUGAGGGGUCCCUUCUGGACAGAGGGGUAAAAAUGUCCUUAACUCCAUGCUCUUCAUUCAGUAUCCUAGUAACUAGGUUUCUUAUGAUGCGAUCAGUAGAGUGCAUGUCCUCUUUAUCAGGCGAUUUUUCAGGAGUGUUACCUUGCUUAGCUCUAGCCAUGGAAGGGGAGCUUGGAACGUUACCUGGUAUCAUACGCAGAGGAGUCACGUCCAUCAAAUCUUCAUCUAAAAAUUCCAUGGAGGAAGUUCUAGUAUGAAAGGAUUUUGAGCUAGAUGUUGACGGAUGUUGAGACAUGUUGUUGAACUUUUGAGAAAACUUUCUUUGCCCUAGCAGAGGUUCUUUGAGAAGUUUGAUGAAGAUGGAAAGAAUUGUGUUCAGGCAGAGUGUGCAAAUGAAAUAGAUGUUAUUUCCAAUACUAGGAGAUGAUUCAUUAUUAAUGUGGCUUUUUCUUUUCAUUGGGCAGACAAUAUUUUUGUUACCUUUUCCACUUCUCAUUAAUUGCCAUAUUUUCUCAAGAAACCAAUCCCCUAAUUUUCCCUUUUCAUAUUUCAGUUGAACAACAUACCAAUCCCUUGCAGUCCUGUUGGUUAGUUGCAUUUCAUGCUGUAGAACUAUGAGUUUGUUUUCAACAUAUUUUCUACAUGAGUGAUGAAAGCAAGUGAUGUACUUGGUCCAGCUGUGCUGAAUAUGUUCUUUGGACAAAGGUGUACCAUCCAGGUUGUCAUAAUAUAAUGUCAUAACAUCGUGUGUGACAUUGUAUAUAAUUAUCAGUAAUUUCAUCCAACUUGGUUGAGCAUUGUUGCUUUCAUCUGAUAUUUUCUCAAUUUCCUUUGCACUCAUAGUCCCUUGUGUCUCAGCAAAGCUCUUACUACCUUCAGACUUCAUACCACCAGUCAUGUGUUCAGGUGUUUGGGCCAUCAUGACCUUUUCUUCCUUGAGGUUAGGUCUUAGCAUCCUUAUCUGACACUUUUCCUUUCCCUUGAUGAUUCUUCUUGCAACUGUACUCAUCUUAGAGGGGUUAUCCAUUUGAGAGCUCCACAUGUAGCAGUUGUUGUUGGUCCUGAUUCCUUUCAUAAUUACUUCACUGUCUUUGUUCACAAUCAGACAUUCAGUUUUAGUGAAGAUGAUAUUCAGACCUUGAUCCCCUAGCUGACGGAUGAUUAUUAGAUUUGAAGUUAAGCCUUUGACUAGUAAAACCUUGUCAAGUCUAGGUACUCCAAGGCAAUCAAGCUUACCUGUUCCCUUGAUUUCACCUUUUGCUCCAUCUCCAAAGGUUACAUGACUUAUAGUAUGUUGGUGCAGAUCAGUUAGCAGGUCUUGGUUUCCAGUCAUGUGUCUGGAGCAUCCACUAUCAAGGUACCAUUCUUCCUUGGCUGAGAUUCUGAGGGGAAUGUGAGCUAUCAGACUUGUGACAUUAGUCUUAGGGACCCAUUGCUUGAUGAUAGGCAUGUGAUGUUUGGGUCUGAAUUGAUGGUGAUCCUGAUGAUGAGCAGACCUAGGAUAGCCAUACAGUUUAUAGCAGAAGGGCUUUAGAUGACCAAAUUUCCCACAGUAAUGGCAUCUCCUCCUUAACUUGGCCAGCUGUAAUAAUUCUACAGACCUCAUUGUCUGUGGUCUCUAGAUCUACUCCUCCAUCAGUUCCUCUCCCUAGGAACUUGUUGAUGAUAGUAGGUGAAAGUUUCACACACUUACCUCUUACAAAAACUUUGCAGCCCUCCCUGCUGCUUCUUUCAUAUAUCUCCUCAGGGAUGUUCACAAUGAAUUCUUUGACUAACCCCUCAUAGCAUUGAGGCAGAGAAGUCACAGUUUUCAUAAGACCAACUGUCUUAAUUAACUCCAUGACUUCCUUUACUUCACUUGCUUCUUUUCCCAAUUCUCUUUCAACUGCUACCCUUCUUUGAGUCACAAACUUCCAUUUGGAAGCACCACCUUCCACGUGAAACGAGAUAUUGUCAAGUUGAACAACAGCCACUUUGUUUGGAGACUUCUUUACAGGCUUCCUUUUAACAGGGGGAAUGUCAGAGACAUCAUAUUCGACAUCCUCAUCAGAUUCAGAACUCUCACUUUCCUUCAUCUUCCUGACCUCUACUUUACUCCAAGUCUUGGAGGGACCUAUACCAGCAACCCUUUUCUCUUUCCUACCUGUCCUUAUCUCAUCCAUACUCUUCCUUUUUCUCAGUCUAUUAGCUACACUUGUUUUCACAAGAUUGACCAACAUGUCAUCUUCUUCCUCAGACCCUUCUUCCUCAAUGUCCUGAGCAGUAUCAGGGGACAUACUAGGUAAGUUUUUUUCCAAGAGAACAUAGUCCCUCAGCAGCUACUUCCUUUUCUGUUUUAGAUGAGUCAUCAUCUUUCUCACCUUGGGUUUCCACCUCAGGUGAGGGGUCCCUUUUGGACAGAGGGGUAAAAAUGUCCUUAACUCCAUGCUCUUCAUUCAGUAUCCUAGUAACUAGGUUUCUUAUGAUGUGAUCAGUAGAGUGCAUGUCCUCUUUAUCAGGCGAUUUUUCAGGAGUGUUACCUUGCUUAGCUCUAGCCAUGGAAGGGGAGCUUGGAACGUUACCUGGUAUCAUACGCAGAGGAGUCGCGUCCAUCAAAUCUUCAUCUAAAAGUUCCACGGAGGAAGUUCUAGUAUGAAAGGAUUUUGAGCUAGAUGUUGACGGAUGUUGAGACAUGUUGUUGAACUUUUGAGAAAACUUUCUUUGCCCUAGCAGAGGUUCUUUGAGAAGUUUGAUGAAGAUGGAAAGAAUUGUGUUCAGGCAGAGUGUGCAAAUGAAAUAGAUGUUAUUUCCAAUACUAGGAGAUGAUUCAUUAUUAAUGUGGCUUUUUCUUUUCAUUGGGCAGACAAUAUUUUUGUUACCUUUUCCACUUCUCAUUAAUUGCCAUAUUUUCUCAAGAAACCAAUCCCCUAAUUUUCCCUUUUCAUAUUUCAGUUGAACAACAUACCAAUCCCUUGCAGUCCUGUUGGUUAGUUGCAUUUCAUGNNNNNNNNNNNNNNNNNNNNNNNNNNNNNNNNNNNNNNNNNNNNNNNNNNNNNNNNNNNNNNNNNNNNNNNNNNNNNNNNNNNNNGUUUUAUGGUACCCUAUUCCAGAUUUGACUCCUGUGAUUUGUCCAGUUUGAAGAAUCUUGUCUAAGGAGUCAGAUCCAUUGUUCAGCAUCCUUACAUACUUGGUUGUCUCUUCUAGUUUUGAGUUUAAGAGCACAACUUCAGUUUUUAGCUUGAAGAUGGUUUCCACAUGUUCUGCUUUUUCUUUCUCCAGUUGAACUAUCUUCUGGCUCUCAACUUGUUGAUCUUCAUCUAGCUUGACCUUUAGAGCCACAACUUCUGUUUUCAAUUUGGAGAUGGUUUCCAAGUAUUCUACCUUCUCAUUCUCAAGUUGAGUUAUGUCUUUCUUCUGGUUUAAAGACUGCUUGUUCAGCUCUACACUUUUCUGACACAGCUCUCUGUAGGUAGAGGCCAAUUCCUCAAAGGUUACUUCACCAUCACUUGAGUCUUCAUCAGAUCCCCAUCUUCCUGUCAAAGCAGUCACAAGAUUUGCAGCCUCCUCUGUAUCACUCUCAUCUGACCAGGUGGCAGUAAGACUCAUCUUCUGCUUCUUGAGGUAGGUACCACAUUCUGUUCUAAUGUGUCCAUACUCAUCACAUUCAUAGAACUUUACUUCUUUUCCUUCUUUGGGCUUUUCUUCUGACCUUACUCUUCUUCCAUUGAUGAUGUCAGAUGAGAUGUUUUUGACAUUUGCCUUGGAUCUGACAUCCAUUUUCUUUAACAAUCUGUUAAACUGUCUCCCCAGCAUUGUAACUUCAUUGGCCCACUCUUUAUCCACAUCUUGACUGCUUUCCUCUUUUGUGUUGGAUACAAAGGCAAUGCUCUUGGUUUUCUUUUCAGUUUCCUCAAUCAAUCCCAUCUCAAAGGUUUGGAGGGAGCCAAUUAGCUCAUCUACCCUCAUGUUGGAGAUGUCUUGAGACUCUUCUAUGGCAGUCACCUUCAUUGCAAAUCUCUUAGGAAGUGACCUGAGUAUUUUUCUUACCAACUUUUCAUCUGUCAUCUUCUCUCCCAGGGCUCCUGAAGCAUUAUCAAUCUCAAGGAUACUCAUGUGAAAUUCAUGAAUGUUUUCAUCUUCUUUCAUCCUUAAGUUUUCAAACUUGGAGGUGAGCAGCUGAAGUCUAGACAUCUUUACCCUAGAGGUGCCUUCAUGAGUGACCUUGAGAAUGUCCCAAGCAUCUCUGGCCACUUCACAGUUAUUUACCAGCCUGAAAAUAUUCUUGUCUACCCCAUUGAAUAUUGCAUUCAAGGCUUUAGAGUUUCCAAGAGCAAGAUCAUCCUCCUCCUUGGACCAUUGUUCUUCAGGCUUCUUCUCAGUGGUGGCUUCUCCUUCUUUAGUAAUGACAGGAUGCACCCAACCUGUUAGCACAACUUUCCAAGCCUUGUUAUCAAGGGAUUUCAGAAACGCUACCAUUCUAGGUUUCCAAUAGUCAUAGUUAGAACCAUCCAAAAUUGGUGGCCUAUGAACAGAUCCUCCAUCUCUCUCCAUUGUACCAGAAAGUAUUGCCCCUAGAUCUCACCCAGAACCAGAGCAGGAUGCCUGCUCUGAUACCAAUUGAAAUUCUGGUAUCAGAUAUAAGAUGUCGAAGGUAAUGUCACGACACUGAUAUCUGGUUAUAAACAAUGGAUAAACAGAAACAGAAUGGUAAAGCAAAUAACACAAGCAAUUGUUAACCCAGUUCGGUGCAACUCACCUACGUCUGGGGGCUACCAAGCCAGGAAGGAAAUUCACUAAAAUAGAAUUAGUUCAAAGACUAUCCGUACACUUCAACAAGUUACAGUCUUUCUCACCUAAUCUCUACCCGUGCAACUUCUACCUAAGCACUCUUAGAUAUGAGAACCCACUCACUUCCCUUACAAUCACACACCCGUGAUUUUAAACAACAAUCCCUUGUGAAAAGAAAAUACUUUUCAAUUACAAACUCUUGAUUUUACUUCACAGUUUCAAUCAAGAAGACACACUCUUGAUCUUGCUUCACAACUUUGAUCAAGAAGACACACACUUGAUCUUGCUUCACAGCUUUGAUCAAGUAGACACACACUCUUGCUUAACAGCUUUAGAGUGACAAAUUACAACCACAAAUCAGUCCAAUUCAAUCAUCAAUGGAUGACUUGAAUGACCUACAAGUCUUACGACUAAACAGACACAAACCCUAGCUCUCUCUCUAUAUUUCGCUCAGUCUUGGUUGUGUGUUCAAACAGGUUUUCUAAGUCCCUUUUUAUAGAAGCAUUCAGCUGGGCUUGGACAUCUUGAAAACCCUAAAUCUAUUUUCCAAUCAAAUCUUUUUAUAACAGCUGGUUAGAUCUCCUUGGAAAAUAAGUAAAUCUGGUUGUAAUCCAUGAUUGAAUGCGCCAGCUAAUCAUAUCUUCAAUCAUACAUAGAUUGCCAUUAAUUGUGCAAUCACAAAACACCAGACAUUCAUACUGAAUGUUCUGUGUACAGGAUGUCAUGACAUCGGGUCUGACAUCCUGGAAAAAUCCUGCAUAAUUCAAUAAUUCCUUUUAUAACUUCCAGCAGGUACAACCAUAUCAGAUGCCAUGACCUUGUGUAUGACAUCUUGAAACAAUCCUGCAUGAACAUGUCUUUCAUUUAAGCUCCAGCAGGUACAUCCAUAUCAGAUGCCAUGACCUUGUGUAUGACAUUCUGAAACAAUCAUGCGUGAACAUGUUCUUGAACUCCAGCAGGUACAUAGGAUAUCUUAUGUUAAGACAUCACACAUAACAUCUUGUGAACACUCUUUGUUUUACCAAAAUUGCUGCCAACACUUAGAACCAACAGUUAUACCAACAACCAACCUGAUUGUUUCGAUCCUAGCAACAGGUGCAAAAACUUCAUCGAAGUCGAUUCCUUCUUUCUGAAGAAAUCCUUUCGCCACAAGUCUCGCCUUGUGUCGAGUCACUUCUCCUAUGGGAGUUAACUUCACCUUGUAUAACCAUUUCACAUCAAUUUCCUUCUUAUGUUGGGGAAAUUCGACAAGUGACCAAGUGUUGUUGACUUCGAUUGACUUCAACUCUUCGUCCAUUGUUUUCAUCCAUUUUAAAUCUUUCGAUGCCUCGGCUGUAUUGACAGGUUCGACAUCUGCAUAGAAAGCAUAAUGUACCAGCUCACCUUCUUCAUUGACCACAUAGUUUGAUGUAAUCACACAUUCUUGCAAUCUUGCUAAAUGUGUCUUGUUCUUUGAGGUUUGCUUGGGCCUGCUUCACCUCUGACUUCUUCAUGUCGAACUUCUCUUUUGACUUCACUAGCUGGUUCAUCAUAAAAGAUUCUCAUUGAAUCUUUCUUGACAUUCUCAUCCUAAUCCCACUCCUUAAGCUCAUCUAUGAUCACGUCCCUGAUGAUCACCACUUGCUUAUUCAUUGGGUCAAACGACUUGUAUCCUCCAGUCGAAUGAUAUCCUAUCAGGAUCAUCUGACUCGACUUAUCAUCAAGUUUUCUUCUCAACUGAUCUGGAACAUGUCUAUGUGCUAUAGAUCCAAACACCCUCAGAUGACUCAAGAUAGGCUUGACACCAGACCAACAUUCUUCUAGCGUGAUUCCUUCUAGCUUCUUCGUCAGAUAUCUGUUCAGGAUAUAUGUCGCAGUCGACACAGCUUCUCCCCAUAAUUCAUUGGGUAGAUGCUUUCCUUUCAACAUACUUCUAACCAUAUUCAUGAUGGUUCUAUUCUUCCUUUCUGCGACUCCAUUCUGCUGUGGAGUGUAGGGUGGCACCACCUCAUGCACAAUCCCUUCUUUCAUAAAUAAUGCAUCGAAGUCUUUCGACACAUAUUCUCCACCAUCAUUAGUUCUCAAAAUCUUGAUCUUUCGACCGCUUUAUUUUUCGACCAUAGAUUUAAACUUGGCAAAUACCUCGAUCACUUCAUUUUUCUUCUGCAUCAGGUAAGACCACACUUUUCCACUGAAAUCAUCUAUGAAUAUAACAAAGUAUUUGUUACCUCCAAUCGAAUCCACCUGAAGAGGACCACAUACAUCCGAGUAUAUGACUUCAAGAAUUUCCUUCGACCUGCUUCCUGCAUCCUUACUUAAGUUGUUCUUAUGUUGCUUCGCCUGCACUCAUUCUUCACACACUUCGUUUGGAAUAUCUAUUUCUGGUAAUCCUGAAACCAUAUUUCUUCUCUUCAAAUCUCUGAUGUCUUUGAAAUUGAGAAGGCCAAGUCUGUAAUGCCAUAUCCAUUCAUCUAUGCUGGCUGCUAUUGUAAGGCACUUAUGCUCCAUCACAUUUAGCUCAAUCUUGAAGGUUCUAUUCUGAGAUGUUGGAGCCUUCAAGAUCAACCUUCCAUUUGAGUCGAGAACUCUCAUCAUCUUGUCUUCGAUCGGCACCUUGUAGUUCUUUUUGACUAACUUCCCUAUGCUGAGAAAAUUACUCUUCAUGUAUGGUAUGUACAACACAUUUGAAAUUACUGACCUCUUGCCAUCUUUCCUCAUAAUCAGAACAUCACCAACACCUUCAGCUGCUAGAGUGUUGUCAUUUACAAAUUUCAUCAUGUUCUUCAUUGAGGGUUUUAUGUUGACAAACCAAUCUUUUCUUCCAGACAUGUGUGAUGAGCAUCCUGAAUUUAAGUACCACUGGUCCUUGAACCUCCCUUCAUCUCUUGUUGUAACCAUCAGCAGCGUCUCUUCUUCUUCAUGUUUCGCCAACUUUGCAUAAGUUUCUUAAUUCUUCUGCUUUUCUGGAUAAUCACUAGAAUAGUGGCCAUACCUUUGACAAUUUAACACUAAAUGUGACUCUUGUCUGGCUUUUGACCACCACCUCUUUGGUUGCCUUGGUUCCAGGGUUUUCUCUUAUUUGAACAGUUUCUUUCUUGCUGACUUCGACCAGUCGAAUUGUUGUAACCUCAUCUACCUUUGUUGCCACUCCAACAUCCUUUGCCUUUUAUUUCUUUUGUUUAUUGAGCCUGCAAAUCCAUAUCACUCUUCGACUUUCCUACAAAUCUUUCAUACAUUCUUUGUUCAUGAGAUUCAAGCGUCCCUUGAAGGUCUUCCUUUGUCAAUUUUGACAAAUCUUUCGACUCUUCCAUGGCUACUACCACAUGGUCGAACUUUGGAGCCAACGACCUCAAGAUCUUUCCAACAACAAAUCUUGAUGUCAACACUUCUCAACAUACCUUGAUUUGAUUCACCAGUUUCGUAACCUUGGUGAAGAAAUCAGUUAUGCUUUCAUUAUCUUCCAUAUGAAGUAAUUCAUACAUUCUUUUGUGAGUUUGUAACCUCACCUCUUUCACCUUCUCCACACCUCCAAACGAUUUCUCCAUAAUUUCCCAUGCUUCUUUCGCUGACUCUGCAUCACUAACCUUUUCAAAGUUAUCUUCAUCAACACAUUAAUGGAUUAUAAAGAGAGGUUUAUAAUCUUUAUUCUUUAAUUCUUUAUGUGCAACCUUUUCUUGAUCCGUCGCGGCUUCUGCAAUUGUUGCUACUCCUUCCUUCACAAGAUCCCAAAGAUCUUGAUAAUAGAAUACAACCUUUAUAUGCUUGCACCAAUUCUCAUAAUUGUUGUUCUUGAGAAUCGGGAGAUUUGCUGGAAAAUGCCCGUUUAGAUAAUUCGUUACCAUGGUGAUUUUCUUCCCACGAAUUGAUUUAAUUGGAGCUCUUGAUACCAGAUGUUGGAAAUCCCCCAAAACCUAGGGAGAAUUUCAAUCAAUCUUGAUGAACAAGAUUGUUAUCGCCCAUACAAUAGCAAUGAAAAUAAAGAACAAUGGAGAAAGAAAGAGUGUAAAGAAUGAUGAAGAAGAAGAGUAAUAUAAUUAUGCAGAGUUUCUCUCUGCCCACAAAUUAUGGAAAACUUCUUAUUCACUUUGCAACUGCAAAAUACUGUGAAUACAAUGUUAUGAAUACUCUAUUCACUUCAUUACAAAAAUAAGGGUUACUCCAUCUAUUUAUAGAUUUAGGUUAACUUAGACCUCAAGCCAAAGCCCAAAACUAUAAAAGCUCAAAAUAGCUAACAUUGCUAAAAUAGGCCUAAGUCGAAAUCAUGUGUGACGCAGCAUGCUUCGACAUUUCGACACACUAACACAACUCAACACAUUAGGUGGUUCGACACUUUCUUACUAUGUCGAGCAACCUGCUUCGACAUAAGGAAUUACAAUUCAACAAUAUCUUUCUUCUUCAAACAUUCAUCUUAUUCUCAUUUUAUUUUAUUUUACUUUUAGAUACUUAAAAACUCAGAUCUAUACAUCAAAUGUUAAAUUUUAGAUUUGGAUAUUUCUCAAAAGUAAAUAAAUUUUUUAUCUAGGCUCUAUUUAAAGACUAUAAGUUAUAUGUAUCUACAUGCCCAAGUGCAACAUAACUGGUAACAUCUCAAAACGAGACGAGAUUCCUUUAAAUAUUAUGCUUGAAGUUGAACCGUUUGAUUGUUGGGGAAUCGAUUUCAUGGGUCCAUUUCCCAAUUCAAAAUCAUAUAUUUAUAUUAUCUUAUGUGUGGAUUAUGUUACUAAGUGGAUUGAGGGAAUUGCUUGCAGUGUAAUGACGCCCGUACUGCUACUGACUUUUUGAAAAAUAAUAUUUUGUUCAAGUUCAGUGUACCUAGAGUGUUGAUCAGUGAUGGAGGAAUACAUUUUUGCAAUAAAUAUUUGGAAAGAUUGCUAGAAAAUUAUAAUUUUAAACAUAAAGUGUAAAAUCAGUAUCACCCUCAGACAUGUGGCCAAGUCAAUGUGUCGAACUGACAAAUGAAACAAGUUUUGGAGAAAAUAGUUGCAGCAUCACGCAAAGAUUGGUCUAAAAAAGUAGAUGACACCUUUUGAGCGUAUAUAACAACCUUCAAGAUACAUUUAGGUUUCUAUCUGUAUCAACUUGUUUAUGGUAAGGCAUGUCAUCUCCCUGUAGAACUGAAGCAUAAAUCUUAUUCAGCGGUAAAAUUCCUGAACUUUAACAAAAAACUGGUUGGGGGAAAGAGAUUACUAAAAUUAGAUGAAUUGGAGGAGAUGCGAUUAUCUACUUAUGAGAAUGCAUUAAUUUACAAGGAAAUGACAAAAAUAUGUCAUGAUAAAAAGUUGGUGAGACAAAAUUUUCAAUUAGGACAACAAGUCUUACUAUUUAAUUUAAGACUGUGACUUUUUCCAGGAAAACUAAAAUAAAUGUGGUCAGGACCGUUUAUAGUCAUUGAAGUUUGUCAAAGCAGUGUUAUUGAAAUUCAAGAUCCAGGUGAUAUGAAGAUAUUUAAAGUAAAUGGACAAAAGUUAAAGCAUUAUUAUGGAUGGGAAUUUCCAAAUGAAAAAGUUUCCCUAAUACUCUCGGAACCUUGAAUCCAGCAGUCAAGCUAAUGACAUAAAAAGACCGCUUCAAGGGAGGCAACCCAUCUUUUCUAACAAGUUUUUUUUUGUUUUUGCAGAAUUUAAUUUAUACUGGUAGUUAGAUUCAAUAAGACACUCUCGCACGUUUCUCAAACAUUAUAUAUGUUGUCUUUAAUGAAAGCAAAGGAUGAAAAGGGAAUUAAUGUACGCAUACUCAACCUUUAGGUACCUUAACUAGUGAGGUUUGAUCCAAAUUAUUUCCAUUAUUCAUUAUUCCUUUCAUUGAGUGUAUCCAUGCAUUAUUGCUUUAUCAUGUUUGAACUAUUUUUGAUUCAAUUUGUCUGGUAUGAUUUUCUUCAACAAUUGGUCUAACAUAUCAAGGGAUACUUCAUUUCAUAUUAUCUUAUGAAUAUAUGAUCCUCCAUGAGCCCCAAAGAUCAAGAUAAAUUCAAGUUUGCAAGUUGGUUCAAGGUGGUUGACUAGAGAAAGUCAACUAGUCAAAACUGGGGUUCCCUAGACCCUAUCUCCUACAAUUUUUGUCAUAUAAAAAUGAUUCCAAGAUCAAAGUUACUAUUUAUGACAUUCUAAGCAACAUUCAUGUUGACAUCAAGAUCUAGUUUUUCUUUGAAAAUCAUUUUUUAUGGUGAAACAUUAUAGGUCAUUUUGUUUGUGGCCUAGUUAGGAGGUCAACUUCCAAGGACCAUAACUUGCUCAAUUUUAAUAAGAUUGAAAUUCUAGUAACAGACUAUUGAUGUCACAUUGGAUGUUAUGACAUCCAAUUCUGCGCAGACAGGAAUGUAUACAAGAGGUAAAUGUAAAGUACAGUAAAUAGCACAAAGAAUUGUUUACCCAGUUCGGUGACAAACACACCUACGUCUGGGGGCUACCAAGCCAGGGAGGAAAUCCACUAUUAGCAGUAUUAAUUCAGGCCUUAAACCAACUGUUUAAUCCUAUCACUUAAUUUACGUCUGGGGGCUACCAAGCCAGGGAGGAAAUCCACUAUUAGCAGUAUUAAUUCAGGCCUUAAACCAACUGUUUAAUCCUAUCACUUAAUACCUACCCAAUGCAAUUUCAAUCUAAACUAAGACCAAAGUUCCUACUCACUCCCCCGCAAUCACCACAGUGAUUACAACCUUUGAUUAGUUUAAAGUCAAUGGUGAAGUUAUACUUCAAACAACUCUUGAUUGUGCUUAAUAGCUUUAACCAAGAAACACAGCACUCACGCUUAAAAGCUUAGAGUGACACAACACUUACAACUCAAUGAACACCCUAGUCCAAUGCAAUCAUCUAGGUGAUAAUUGCUUGGAUCACAAAUAAAACCUAAUACAAGACACAAUAAAACUACAGCAGUGAAAUAUGAUGAUACAAUUAAUUCUUCACGCUUAAAAAACCUGAGUUGCUGAAAGUACGAUUGCCAUCCUUUUAUAAUGCAGCACUUGGGCCUUGUACUUGAAUUUCCUAAAAUUAAGGUUAAGCACGUUAACCUAAUUUCCACAUAUUAGGGUGCUAACAAAUAGGCUAUAUACUAGGCCUCUUAAUUGUAGCUCAGUUGUUGGUUUCCUGGAUUUUAGCUCAAUUGUUAGAUUCCUGAAAAAUAGCCUGAGAAAAAUACUGAAACAGAAAAAAUAACUAGCCUACACUUUAGCAUAUGCUGUCAGGAAUGAAUGUCAUAACAUUCAGUUUGACGUCCAGAACAUAGGCCAUAUGCUAGGUCUGUUAUUCUCCUGAAAAACAGACUGAAUUAAAUACUGAACUGUAACAGAAAACCAACCAGCCUAUAAUUCAGUAUCUGUUGUCAAGGAUGAAUGUCAUAACAUUCAGUUUGACAUUCAGACAAUAGGCUAUAUGCUAGGUCUGUUAUUCUCCUGAAAAACAGACUGAAAUAAAUACUGAGCUAUAGCAAAAAAACCAACUAUUCUAUAGUUCAGUAUCUGCUGUCAGGGAUGAAUGUCAUAACAUCCAGUUUGACAUUCAGUAAAUCCUGUAUUAGCUAAUCAUGCAGCAUACCACUCAAGCAUGUCAUGACAUCAGUCAAGACAUCAGAGUACAGUUAGUGUUUUAACACAAAAUGCAGCCAUUCAAAAACAUCUACAAACUCCCCCUUUGGCAAAUUUUUGGCUAAAACAACUUGGCAUCACAACAGAGUUCACAGCAGCGGAAAACACACAUCCAAGCAGAGAAUUAACUUAGCUAAUACAUUCAACACACAUAGAAGUUGAACAGCAACACACUCAUCACACAUAGAAGUUAAAAAAAACUUCAAACAGCAGCAACACAAGUAGAUAGCAAACAACAACACACUAAUCACACAUAGAAGUUAAACAUCAAGCUGCAGCAUAACCUCUGGAUUAGAGGACCUUCAAGCAAAUAACAAAUCUGUUGUCCUGGGGUACAGGUGUUACUCCCCCUUUUUGUCAAAAAUGUUGCCAAAGCAACACUUAAUAUUACAGACCAAAACAAAAUAAAUUACACACAAAUUUCAGACACAAGGGAAAUGCUCUAUUCAUCUGACUCAGAGUCAGCAUCAUCAUCUGUGCCAUCAUCAGGACUGGCCUCCUCUUCUCCCUCUGCACCUUGUCUUGCAGCUCCUUCUGCAGCAUCAGCAGCUUCACCAAGCACAUCACCUUCAGUCAUCUCCAACUUGAUAAUCAAAUUUUCCAAAGUGAGCUUCCUUGCCUCUAACUCCUUGCACGUUCUCUCUUGAGUAAUGGCAAUCGAACAACAACUUUUACCUGGUUGAUUGCAAGCACUUUCGAUGUGUUCUCCUGUUGCCAUAGGGCGAAGUCAGAUGAACAGUGCGUACCUAGGAGCAGGUUUAUGAUUGAAGGCCUAAUAGGGCUGUACUCUUCUCUUCGACAGAAUCAUUCUCUGUUAAUAUGUUUGGAAAUUGAUUUCAACUACGAAUACCACAUAUUGAGGGAAGGAAAAGGCUAUAGGCCCCCUUCACAUCGAUAGCUUCCUGCAUGCUUCAAGCGUUUGAUCAAAAUCAUAAUGGACCAUACGUCAAAUAUUUGGCUUUGGGUUCCACACGCAUAUAUGGACUGGGCUUCAAGCAUUUACAGCCACUGUAGAUUUUGUAUGGUGGGAACCCAGUAGCAACUCCAAUUUUGUGCAGCAUUGCAUACUUGACACUUAGUGUUGCUGCCCACGACUGUACCUUUGAGGAAGGCCACUCUCCUAGACUUGAUUAGCAGUGAUGACUUGGACUAGAUUUGGUAUCAGUCACCUCAAAGCUCAGGUUGAGCUACAUCAGACGUCGUUCCUCAAAUACAUGUGAUUAUGAGGGGAGAGAAGUGUUACACACUUGCCGUCGCGCACAUGAUACUUUGCUGGAAUUCCUUAGACUUUCCAUCAGCACAUUCUUCAGACACAUUGGAAAAAAUUCCUUUACUAACAUCUCCAUAGCCACUGUUGAGAAACUGAGUCACAGUCUUCAUUAAACCUGCUCUUUGAAUAUAGGUCCAUAAUCUCCUUACAUUCCCAGAGGACAUUCUUGAGCAGCUAUAUUCCCUUUCCAAGCGCCAAACCUCUUCUGAAUAAAUCAGGUAUUAUCCACCUGUUGUACACUUGAAGCAAAAUGGAAAGAUAUGUUUCAAUGGUACCGUACAGGGACACGUAGGCUGCAAUGCUGCUAGUGGUUGGCCUUCUUCCUUGACAGAGUGGCCAAGUUGACAUCACAUGGAACUCUGAGUCAGACUCCACAAAACAGACCUUGCGUCCUUCAUUUUGCUUGGCACCCCUUUGCUCCAAGAUUUGUGUUGAUCCAUGACCUUUCCUUCUUGAGCGAACUACCUCUUGCCCACCUUUGGGUUGGGAGAUGUUGGGCAACAAACUUCAAUCUUACUUUCUGGCGUGGAUUUUGCGCCACUUGUUGUUCUUUUCUCUCCUAUCCUAGACCCUUUUGGCUAUGCUUAAGGACAACUGAUGCGACGAUACAACUUCCAUUAUCGAGAACAAAUUCCUCCAUGGUCUAUCUGUUGCAGCUCACAGUCUAGGGUGUCACUGACGUAUCAUGAGUGUAUCACGGACUUCCAUCAAGCACCCACAUUAUCUAAGGGUUUUGUCAAUUAUUGUGACCCUCUUAUGAGUAUCAGUUUUGCUCAAACAUCAUCAGAGCGCUGUCUUUCCUAAGGAGCGUGUAUUUUCUUGACAUAGGCAAAACAUUAGAUCAGGGUACCCGAUGGCUGUUAUAGGAAUGGAAACCCCAAGAAACCUUAAUGAUUACCAGAACAGUAUUUCCAGUCACGAUAGUUGCCAAUGGCAUUGUGACAUACUGGAACGCUUCUCUGCGUUUGUUCAUCAAGCGUGAUUGCUGGAGAGAGAGCGUGAGACAGUUUUCUUAGGUCUUCUUGCAGGCGAGAAGGUAUUCGAGACGUCGAGCAAACGGAUCUCCCUAUUUAGGUUGCAUGUCAGAGCGAUUUAGAGAAUCAGACUAAUGCGUCUUAGAGGAGGAUGAGUUGGAUUUGGUGAAGACAUAUAAUAUCUAGAGGCGAAAUGAAAGAGUUAUCUUUCGAGAGAAAGCUUGCAGAAGACUGAAAGUUGAAACGCUUGGAAGAGCGCGUAACGCUUGUGUGCGCGAGGAGUAGUCUAUUAAUGUUGACCAAUCAGAGCAAACUCUCAAAUGUUUAAUAAUUUGAAUUAUUGAACAGAAAAAAAGAACUCAUAACAUCAUCUAACUUCAGUCUGCCUGUUAAUUUCCGCAGCGAGAAGGACAAAUUCCCACUUUGCCCCUUAAAUUUUCAAACUGAGUAGCAUCCAAUGUCAUGACAUUCUGAGUGACAUUGUGCUCAGUCUGCAUCUGGUUCAUCCAUACCAGUAGGGAACAACUACUACCAGAUGCUAGGUACUUAGCUUCUGCAGUGGAUAAUGAUACACAAUUCUGUUUCUCCCUUGCAACUACACCAUUUUGAUGAGGAAUAAUAGGUGAGGACAACUCAUGACUUUCAAUCUGCAUAGGUACCAUUAAGUCCAUGGGCAAAGGUUCCAGAAUUUUGGAUGUUUUUGGAAGUCCAAUCUUGGGAUGUGACAUCUUGGUUAGCUUGCCCACCUGACAUUUUCCAUAGACUUUUCUUUCACCCAUAAGCAGAUUUGGGAUUCCUCUAACUGCUUCCUUGGAUAUGAUCUUCUUCAUUCCUCUUAAAUGGAGUUGUCCAAGUCUUCUAUGCCACAACUUCACUUCCUGUUCUUCCUUGGCUACGGGGCACUUUGAGGAGUAGUUUGAGACUUUAGAUUCCCACAGAUAACAGUUAUCUUUGGAUCUAGAUCCAUAACUUCCUGAUUACCUCCAUUCAUCACCACACAUACUUCCUUAGUGAACUAUACAUUGAAGCCUUGAUCACAUAGUUGGCUUAUGCUGAUGAGACUAGCAGUUAGUCCUUUUACUAACAGCACAUUACUUAGUUCUGGAACUCCAGGACAGUCCAACUUACCAACACCUUUGAUUUCUCCUUUAGCUCCAUCACCAAAUGUCACAUACCUGGUAGUAUGAGGUUGUAUAUCCACCAAUAAGUUACUCAUCCCAGUCAUAUGUCUUGAGCAACCACUAUCAAAAUACCAGUCUUCUCUGGUAGAUGCCCUUAGAGAUGUGUGAGCUAGUCUAGCAACCCAUUGUUGUUUCUUGAUGGGGGCAUUAUGCUUAGAUGCCUUCUGCUUAGGUCUGGCUUGAGGGAUCUGGUUAGGAUAACCAUGCAACCUGUAGCAGAAGGGUUUUAUAUGACCAAAUCUACCACAGUAGUGACAUCUCCAUCUCUAAAAUUUCUUCUUACGAUGGUUACUCCUCCUGUUUCCCUGAUGUUGUGACAUUGGUUGUGACUUCUGCUUGAUUUUCUGAACUUCGGCCUUUGAGCUUUUGAGUUCAGUUGAGGAUUUCUUAACAAAGCCUAAACUAGACAUGGUUCCUGACUUCUGUCUCACCUUUAGAAUCUCUUCCAAAGUGUCAGUUCCUUUAUUCAGCAUUCUGAUGGAUUUUGUCAUUUGUUCUAGCUUAGAGGUCAGCAAGGUUAUCUCACCAUUUAGACCAUCUAUGACUGUCAGAUGCUUCUUUUUCUCAGCUUCCAGCUCCUUGAUGAGUUUCUUAUGCUUUUCUCCUUUUAUACACAUAGCUCUUUAUAUGAAGCAGCAAGUUCAUCAAAUGUAAGUUCAUCUCCACUUGAGUCAUCAUCAGAGGCACAGACACUAGUUAGUGCAGUGACAUAUUUAGAAAAUUCUCCUUCAGGUUUACUCUCAGAGUCUCCUUCAGACCAGGUGACAUAUAGACCUUUCUUUUGCAUCUUGAGGAAGGUAGGGCAUUCAUCUCUAAUGUGACCAAAACCUUCACAUCCAUGGCACUGGAUUCCCUUGCCUUGGUUGAACUUUUCUUCAGAUUUUGAUCUUCUACUGAUGUCAGAUGAAAAGUUCUUGACAUUAGGUCUGCCCUUUUGAUCAACCUUCUUUAUGAACUUGUUGAACUGUCUUCCAAGCAUGGCUAUAGCUUCUGAAAUGCUUUCAUCACCUCCAAUAUUUCCUUCUUCUGAAUCCUCUUCAGUAUUUGAUACAAAAGCUAUGCUUUUGUUUUUCUUUUCAACAUCCUCACACAAGCCCAUUUCAAAGGUUUGGAGAGAACCAAUAAGCUCAUCAACCUUCAUAUUGCAGAUAUCUUGAGCAAUGAUCUUCAUGGCAAAUCUCUUGGGCAAUGAUCUGAGAAUCUUUCUUACAAGUUUUUCUUCAGACAUUUUCUCUCCUAAGCCACCAGAAGUGUUGGCAAUUUCAAGAAUAUUCAUGUGGAAGUCAUGAAUAGUCUCAUCCUCUUUCAUCCUCAGAUUUUCAAACUUNNNNNNNNNNNNNNNNNNNNNNNNNNNNNNNNNNNNNNNNNNNNNNNNNNNNNNNNNNNNNNNNNNNNNNNNNNNNNNNNNNNNNNNNNNNNNNNNNNNNNNNNNNNNNNNNNNNNNNNNNNNNNNNNNNNNNNNNNNNNNNNNNNNNNNNNNNNNNNNNNNNNNNNNNNNNNNNNNNNNNNNNNNNNNNNNNNNNNNNNNNNNNNNNNNNNNNNNNNNNNNNNNNNNNNNNNNNNNNNNNNNNNNNNNNNNNNNNNNNNNNNNNNNNNNNNNNNNNNNNNNNNNNNNNNNNNNNNNNNNNNNNNNNNNNNNNNNNNNNNNNNNNNNNNNNNNNNNNNNNNNNNNNNNNNNNNNNNNNNNNNNNNNNNNNNNNNNNNNNNNNNNNNNNNNNNNNNNNNNNNNNNNNNNNNNNNNNNNNNNNNNNNNNNNNNNNNNNNNNNNNNNNNNNNNNNNNNNNNNNNNNNNNNNNNNNNNNNNNNNNNNNNNNNNNNNNNNNNNNNNNNNNNNNNNNNNNNNNNNNNNNNNNNNNNNNNNNNNNNNNNNNNNNNNNNNNNNNNNNNNNNNNNNNNNNNNNNNNNNNNNNNNNNNNNNNNNNNNNNNNNNNNNNNNNNNNNNNNNNNNNNNNNNNNNNNNNNNNNNNNNNNNNNNNNNNNNNNNNNNNNNNNNNNNNNNNNNNNNNNNNNNNNNNNNNNNNNNNNNNNNNNNNNNNNNNNNNNNNNNNNNNNNNNNNNNNNNNNNNNNNNNNNNNNNNNNNNNNNNNNNNNNNNNNNNNNNNNNNNNNNNNNNNNNNNNNNNNNNNNNNNNNNNNNNNNNNNNNNNNNNNNNNNNNNNNNNNNNNNNNNNNNNNNNNNNNNNNNNNNNNNNNNNNNNNNNNNNNNNNNNNNNNNNNNNNNNNNNNNNNNNNNNNNNNNNNNNNNNNNNNNNNNNNNNNNNNNNNNNNNNNNNNNNNNNNNNNNNNNNNNNNNNNNNNNNNNNNNNNNNNNNNNNNNNNNNNNNNNNNNNNNNNNNNNNNNNNNNNNNNNNNNNNNNNNNNNNNNNNNNNNNNNNNNNNNNNNNNNNNNNNNNNNNNNNNNNNNNNNNNNNNNNNNNNNNNNNNNNNNNNNNNNNNNNNNNNNNNNNNNNNNNNNNNNNNNNNNNNNNNNNNNNNNNNNNNNNNNNNNNNNNNNNNNNNNNNNNNNNNNNNNNNNNNNNNNNNNNNNNNNNNNNNNNNNNNNNNNNNNNNNNNNNNNNNNNNNNNNNNNNNNNNNNNNNNNNNNNNNNNNNNNNNNNNNNNNNNNNNNNNNNNNNNNNNNNNNNNNNNNNNNNNNNNNNNNNNNNNNNNNNNNNNNNNNNNNNNNNNNNNNNNNNNNNNNNNNNNNNNNNNNNNNNNNNNNNNNNNNNNNNNNNNNNNNNNNNNNNNNNNNNNNNNNNNNNNNNNNNNNNNNNNNNNNNNNNNNNNNNNNNNNNNNNNNNNNNNNNNNNNNNNNNNNNNNNNNNNNNNNNNNNNNNNNNNNNNNNNNNNNNNNNNNNNNNNNNNNNNNNNNNNNNNNNNNNNNNNNNNNNNNNNNNNNNNNNNNNNNNNNNNNNNNNNNNNNNNNNNNNNNNNNNNNNNNNNNNNNNNNNNNNNNNNNNNNNNNNNNNNNNNNNNNNNNNNNNNNNNNNNNNNNNNNNNNNNNNNNNNNNNNNNNNNNNNNNNNNNNNNNNNNNNNNNNNUUUUUGGAUGAACGACGUUACUACGCAAUCUACCGGAUGCUCGACCUUUGGAGACUUACUCGCCUGUAGUAGAAGGAGUUAACGUGUUCUUAGGAGAAGAAAAAUCAAUGAGUUUGUUUGGGUUUUAGGAAUGCUCAUGCAAAAAAGGAAGUCCUAGACGAAGGAACAGUGCUACCUUAAUUGACAUGCAAACGAGAGACUAUACGAAGCCUAGCAAUCCUAUGGGGAGACGAUCACACCAUACAAAACAAACAUGCAUAAAGUAAAAUGCCACCAAGGGGGCUCAAACCUACAUGGGUAGGGCUUUAGUCAAGAGGGGUCAUAUCAACCUCGACAAACAAGCCAUGGAAUAGGUAAUCAAAUGGGCUCUUAACCACUGACAUUGAACGUCAGGGUGAGCAGAUCAAAAGGGUAAUGAGGAUAAGACCUCAUAGCUCUUAACCCUGGACAGGGUGAGCUCAUGACAAAAAGUGGGGAUUCAGAAAGGUGGAACCCUCUCCACUGACUGACCGGACAAAAGAUCUUGGGCUUUUGUUCUGAAGCAUCAGCACGUAGUGCGAGCAUAAAGAACGACACACUGAAUAACGGGGGAUUGAUUACUAAUCCCUUUUAUCCGUCAAUUGCCUCUUCGUGGAGGUCUUUAGCACUGGUGCCUCCUUUUGGAGGUCUUUGGGCACAAAAGUAAACAAACAAAAGAAAACAUUGCCUCCUAUCGAGGUCUUCCAGCUAAGAAAGCGGUAAAAUGCGGGAAAGAUAAAGGGAUCAAGAGGUCUACCACACGGAUAAAGAUCCGAAGUAAUAACAACUAAAGAAAUAAGAAACCCAGAGAUCUCUCGAGCUGGCACCAUCAAAGAAAGCAAGUCAAUACAGGUAAUCGGAAUAAAUCUCCAAAUGGUAUCCCACAAAUAAAGUGGAAUGCCAAGCAAGCUAUCCUUUCAGGAGUCAUGUGAGCCCUCACAAAAAACUCAACAAACAGGUUAGAGUGACAAGAUGGGGUGCAAUCAAGAGUUGCCCCAAAUCAAAAUGUAACCACAUGAAUCAUGCCAUUAAAAUUCACAAAAAGAGCUCACAAAAAGCAACCAAGUGUAGGAGGCUUAAACCUCUUGUCAAACACAUGCAUCAAAAGGGUAUCAAAAUUCAAAGUCAGGGGGCAAGGAUCCACACAUCAAGAAAUGACAUACAUACUAAAACAUGUGCCCCAAUGCAAAACCUAACGAUACCCACUCUUCCAAAUUCACCCAUAAUACCUCAUACAUUCAGAAAUUUCAGGUUGAAAGUAUAAAGUAGUGGAAAUAGGGCAUACCUGAUUGGGGAGGAUCGAUUGAAGUUGAAUUGCACCGUUGGCUUUGCAGAACAAUCUUAGGGUUUAUAUGAGAGGGAAUUGGUUCUUUGUAUAUGAGUUCCCUUCAGUCUCUGGAGGUUGCUCUGAAUUAGUUAGAAUCUCUCUAGGGUUUUGUUCCAAGGAAACUUCAGAGUGUUUUCAACUUUCACCAAUUCUCCCUCUCUCUCUCUUUCUUUUUCCUUUACUGAAAUUUCAGAAUUUAUAACCUGAUUUUCGUGGCUUUGUGGGCUCAAAUGAGAGAGGUCCAAGUCCAAGAUUUUUCUGUUACAUAUAAAUCUUUUUUUUUUCGUUUUUUUUUUCAAAACGCGUGGGCUUCGCCUAGCGAGCAUGACAGUUCAGGAAAUUCCUCUGAGCGCAGGUGAUUCUGGUGGCUUUUCUUGGGACUCGCUAGGCGACCCAUUCUGCUCGCCUAGCGAGCAUGACAGCUCAUGAACAAACUUUUGCUCCUUCAAGAUUAACGUUUUGACUGAUGAAUAGACCCCAUUUGAACAUGUUGGAAGUAUCUCAAGCCAUUCCCUUGUGUUGACUGAUCACCCAGAUAGGACCCACAAAGUGUCUUGGAUGAUAUUCAAGCUUCUUGGAUCUAAUUCCGAUUGACAUGAUGAAAUGCAAUAUGAAAUGUUAAAUGACCUAAAAAUGAAUGCAUGAAUGAGGGGGGCAAAUUUUGAGGUAUUACAGNNNNNNNNNNNNNNNNNNNNNNNNNNNNNNNNNNNNNNNNNNNNNNNNNNNNNNNNNNNNNNNNNNNNNNNNNNNNNNNNNNNNNNNNNNNNNNNNNNNNNNNNNNNNNNNNNNNNNNNNNNNNNNNNNNNNNNNNNNNNNNNNNNNNNNNNNNNNNNNNNNNNNNNNNNNNNNNNNNNNNNNNNNNNNNNNNNNNNNNNNNNNNNNNNNNNNNNNNNNNNNNNNNNNNNNNNNNNNNNNNNNNNNNNNNNNNNNNNNNNNNNNNNNNNNNNNNNNNNNNNNNNNNNNNNNNNNNNNNNNNNNNNNNNNNNNNNNNNNNNNNNNNNNNNNNNNNNNNNNNNNNNNNNNNNNNNNNNNNNNNNNNNNNNNNNNNNNNNNNNNNNNNNNNNNNNNNNNNNNNNNNNNNNNNNNNNNNNNNNNNNNNNNNNNNNNNNNNNNNNNNNNNNNNNNNNNNNNNNNNNNNNNNNNNNNNNNNNNNNNNNNNNNNNNNNNNNNNNNNNNNNNNNNNNNNNNNNNNNNNNNNNNNNNNNNNNNNNNNNNNNNNNNNNNNNNNNNNNNNNNNNNNNNNNNNNNNNNNNNNNNNNNNNNNNNNNNNNNNNNNNNNNNNNNNNNNNNNNNNNNNNNNNNNNNNNNNNNNNNNNNNNNNNNNNNNNNNNNNNNNNNNNNNNNNNNNNNNNNNNNNNNNNNNNNNNNNNNNNNNNNNNNNNNNNNNNNNNNNNNNNNNNNNNNNNNNNNNNNNNNNNNNNNNNNNNNNNNNNNNNNNNNNNNNNNNNNNNNNNNNNNNNNNNNNNNNNNNNNNNNNNNNNNNNNNNNNNNNNNNNNNNNNNNNNNNNNNNNNNNNNNNNNNNNNNNNNNNNNNNNNNNNNNNNNNNNNNNNNNNNNNNNNNNNNNNNNNNNNNNNNNNNNNNNNNNNNNNNNNNNNNNNNNNNNNNNNNNNNNNNNNNNNNNNNNNNNNNNNNNNNNNNNNNNNNNNNNNNNNNNNNNNNNNNNNNNNNNNNNNNNNNNNNNNNNNNNNNNNNNNNNNNNNNNNNNNNNNNNNNNNNNNNNNNNNNNNNNNNNNNNNNNNNNNNNNNNNNNNNNNNNNNNNNNNNNNNNNNNNNNNNNNNNNNNNNNNNNNGAAACAACUUCUGGCUUAUCACUUGGGAUACCGAGAAUGUUUUAUGCUUACAUGCGUAUGUUUGAAUUUUUCAAUGGCGUAAUGCUCCAUGAAAAUGGAAAUGCUACGCGAUUUGGGAGGAUGCAAUGCAAUAUGAUUCUACAUGCAGGGAUGCAAAAUGUUGGGUAGAAUGCCAAGCCGAGGCAAGGGAAUCUGCUGGGGAAAUGAUCACCAUCUUCUGGACCCUGGCAAGGGUGUUGGAGAUGCACAGCGCAAAGAACUCUGUGGGGAAAUGACCCGCCACACGGUGUUCUAACAAUGACGAAAUAUCGAGACUCUGACUGGGGGGAGAACGACACUGAAAACCUGCUGUUGGGGAAAGCGAUAGUGGUUCUGGCAACCAUAAUCUGCGAGAGAGACGACUUAGCAGGGGAAGAAAACACUGAUACGGUACCGAGAUUCUGCUUCAAGGAAAAAGACCAUGGAUCUGGCGUCGAGAUCAUCGAUCUGACAUCGAACCCUGAGGAGCAGCCGCUUCUGCUGGGAAGAUACAGUCUGGCACUGUCAACUCCGCUGGGGAUAUAUAGUCUGACACUGUCAACUCUACUGGGGAGUGUAUAUUCUGAAACAACCGCUUGGGGGAGGUACAACAGUGAGAGCCUGCUGGGGAUCGAAGAAUCCAAUGCUCUGAUCAGCUCUGCAGGGAUAAGAUACCAACUUCGACUGUUGGGGGAAAACAUUCGCGAUCAUCGGCUGGGAACCUUAAGGAAAUGCCCCGAGGGUACCUGUUCUGAAUAGACGAUCUAAAGCACUUAACAUUUACAGCAAUUUUAAAUGUUUAUUAAGCAUGUACCUGUAAAGCUCUUAUGUUUCAUGAUGCAAUGUUUAUCAAAAAUUCGGACGUCAUUUUUGCAAACAAAACAGUAAAAUGAAAAUGAAAACAGAGAUNNNNNNNNNNNNNNNNNNNNNNNNNNNNNNNNNNNNNNNNNNNNNNNNNNNNNNNNNNNNNNNNNNNNNNNNNNNNNNNNNNNNNNNNNNNNNNNNNNNNNNNNNNNNNNNNNNNNNNNNNNNNNNNNNNNNNNNNNNNNNNNNNNNNNNNNNNNNNNNNNNNNNNNNNNNNNNNNNNNNNNNNNNNNNNNNNNNNNNNNNNNNNNNNNNNNNNNNNNNNNNNNNNNNNNNNNNNNNNNNNNNNNNNNNNNNNNNNNNNNNNNNNNNNNNNNNNNNNNNNNNNNNNNNNNNNNNNNNNNNNNNNNNNNNNNNNNNNNNNNNNNNNNNNNNNNNNNNNNNNNNNNNNNNNNNNNNNNNNNNNNNNNNNNNNNNNNNNNNNNNNNNNNNNNNNNNNNNNNNNNNNNNNNNNNNNNNNNNNNNNNNNNNNNNNNNNNNNNNNNNNNNNNNNNNNNNNNNNNNNNNNNNCCCGCUCUCAACAAUUUCUUAGCCAUUGCAUGUCCGCCGGCAUGAGUACCGAAGGAGCCUUCAUGAACUUCCUGCAUUAACAUGUCUGCUUCGUGUCUAUCCACGCAUCUGAGCAAAACCAUGUCGAAGUUCCUCUUAUACAACACAUCGUCUUUGUUCAAGAAGAAACUGCCUGCCAAUCUUCUCAAAGUCUUUCUAUCAUUGUUGGAUGCCCCUGCAGGGUACUCUUGAUUCUUCAGAAAGCGCUUGAUGUCGUGAUACAAGGGCUUGUCGUCAACUACCAGUUCAGCAACAAACACAUACGCGGCCCUGUCGAGGCGCAUCACAUCGAUCCUAGGAGCGUGGUUCCACCGAAUCACGUUGAUCAUGGAGGAUAGGAUGGAAAGAGCAUCUGCCAUCUGGUUCUCAUCACGAGGUAUGUGAUACAUCUUUACUAUUGUAAAGAAAGUCAAUAGUCUUCUCGUGUAAUCUCUGUAAGGGACCAGAUUGGGCUGGAGGAUGUUCCAAUCACCAUUCACUUGAUUGAUCACUAGAGCUGAAUCUCCGAAGAUGUCCAGAGUCUUGAUUCUCAAAUUUAUGGCUUGCUCAAUACCCAAGAUACAGGCUUCAUACUCAGCUUCAUUAUUUGUGCACUCAAAAGUCAGACGAGCGGUGAAAGGCACGUGGGCACCUUUCGGAGUAGUAAUGACAGCGCCAAUUCCACUUCAUCUGGCAUUGACAGCCCCAUCAAUCAACAAAGUACAUUUUUCGUCUGGAUCAGGUCCCUCCUCAACAACUGGCUCUUCACAGUCUUUCAUCUUGAGGAACAUGAUGUCUUCAUCUGGAAAAUCAAACUUCAUCGGCUCAUAAUCAUCAAUCGGCUGCUGAGUUUGAGGAACAUGAUGUCUUCAUCUGGAAAAUCAAACUUCAUCGGCUCAUAAUCAUCAAUCGGCUGCUGAGCAAGAUAGUCUGACAGAAUACUCCCUUUGAUGGAUUUCUGGGAUGUAUACUGGAUAUCGUACUCUAUCAGUACCAUUUUCCAACGAGCAACCCUUCUGGUGAGAGCUGGCUUCUCGAAUAUGUACUUGACUGGAUCCAUCUUGGAGAUCAAUAAGGUUGUGUGAGUCAGCAUGUAUUGUCUCAAUCGUUUAGCAGCCCAUGCAAGUGCACAACAUGUCUUUUCAAGCAUUGAGUAUCUCGACUCGCAUUCUGUGAAUUUUUUACUCAGGUAGUAGAUGGCAUGCUCUUUCCUACCUGUCUCGUUGUGUUGACCGAGAACACAACCCAUGGAAUUGUCUAGUACUGUCAAGUACAUAAUCAGCGGUCUCCCUGGGACUGGAGGCAUAAGGAUAGGAGGAUUCUGCAAAUACUCUUUUAUCUUCUCGAAAGCCCUUUGACAAUCUUCAUUCCACCUGAUAGCCUGAUCUUUCCUCAGCAAUUUGAAAAUUGGCUCACACGUGGUUGUUAGGUGAGAGAUGAACCUUGCAAUGUAGUUCAACCUCCCUAAGAAACUACGGACUUGCUUCUCUGUUCUUGGCUCAGGCAUUUCCUGUAUUGCUUUCACUUUGUCAGGAUCCACCUCAAUCCCUUUUUCACUAACAAUAAAACCCAACAGUUUUCCAGAUCUCACCCCGAAAGUACACUUGUUCGGAUUAAGCCUCAGCUUGAAUUUCCUCAAACGCUCAAACAGUUUCUGCAAAUUCAACAAAUGUUCUUCUUCUGUCUGAGAUUUGGCAAUCAUAUCAUCCACAUAAACCUCGAUUUCAUGAUGAAUCAUAUCAUGGAACAGAGUCACCAUAGCUCGUUGAUAUGUUGCUCCGGCAUUUUUCAGACCAAACGGCAUCACCUUGUAGCAGAAGGUGCCCCAUGGGGUUAUGAAAGUUGUCUUUUCCAUGUCUUCUGGUGCCAUCUUGAUUUGGUUAUAGCCAGAAAAGCCAUCCAUGAAGGAGAAUACCGAGAACUGAGCUGUGUUAUCCACCAAAACGUCGAUGUGAGGUAAUGGGAAAUCAUCUUUAGGACUAGCUCUGUUCAGAUCCCGGUAGUCAACACACAUCCGUACCUUUCCAUCCUUCUUAGGUACCGGAACGAUAUUUGCAACCCAUGGCGGAUAAUUUGUGACUGCUAGAAACCCUGCAUCCAACUGUUUUUGCACUUCUUCCUUUAUCUUGACAGCCAUCUCUGGUCUUGUUCUUCUGAGCUUCUGCUUGACCGGAGGACAACCUUCUUUGAGAGGCAAGCGGUGUACCACGAUGUCUGUGUCCAGCCCAGGCAUGUCCUGAUAAGACCAGGCGAAGAUGUCAACGUAUUCUUGCAGCAAUUCAAUCAGCCCCUUCUUCACAUUGUCUUCUAAAGCAGCCCCUAUCUUGAUUUCUCUCUUGGCGUCCUCGGUGCCGAGAUUAAUCACUUCAACAGACUCUUGAUGCGGUUGAAUGACCCUUUCCUCUUGUUUUAAUAACCUGGCAAGUUCUUCAGGGAGUUCACAGUCUUCAUCACCCUCUUCUUCAGCUUGAAAGAUUGGAUUUUCAAAGUCGAAGCGAGCCAUAGCAGAACCGUUAUCAAUAGGAUCCGGUGAUGUGCAUCUGCAUGAGUGAUGGUAUGUGCUUAUGAGUGUGAACAAGGAGUGAAAACUAAACAAAACAUUGCCAAAUUUUUUUUGAUUUUUGAAAACUGCAAAAAUAGAAAGACAGUGAACAAAAUAUUUGAAUGCAAAAAGACGUCCUUUAUUUAUGAUAAAAAAUGCAGGUAUUCACAUAGAUGAGCCCUACAAUGAGUCAUUACGCCCUGGGCGGAACGUAAGACUUAGACAUGCAUGAAUAAACAAGAAAAAUUACUCCUCCAGAAAAGUGACUUGGACAAUCUCCUCAGAAGACCAAUUGUUGAUGACUUCACCCGGGAUCCUCGGACGCACCCAGUUAUCGAUGUCGCAAUCACUAUCCCCAUCUUCAUCGUUGACCGCAGAGACCUGGCCAUAUUGGAUGACGCCAGCGCUGGAGAAAGUAAUCGGCCCCUGACGAGUCUGAAGUGUUGAAGUUGUAGAAGUCAGAGCUGGCUGAUACCCAAUCCCGAACUUGUCUUCUUUCAUUGGUAACUCCAACAGACGUCCCCAACCGGGGGCAACGCCCGAAUCUACCAAGGCCUGUGCCUGCUUGAAGGAUGAGAUAGAGGCACCCGCUUUAACUUCUUCCACCGGAGCUGCGUCCUUGAUCUGAACUGCCUCAAAGGCCUGACAUAGGGUCUCAUGAAUUUCACCUUCUACCUCUACAUACUUGAAUGUAGACAGGUUACUGACCAGAAUGUCCUCCUCACCACAGACGGUGAUAAUCCUUCCAUUGACUGGGAAUUUAAUCUUCUGAUGUAGAGUUGAAGAGACUGCCCCAGCAUUGUGGAUCCAAGGACGACCCAGCAGGCAACUAUAGGAAGGACUGAUAUCCAUCACAUAGAAGACGGUGUUGAAGGUUUGUGAUCCAAUCUGAAUUGGCAAUUCUACCUCUCCGAACACCGACCUCUUAGAACCAUCAAAGGCUCUCACAAUAAGAUCUGAAGGCUUCAGGACCAAACCCUCUACUUCUAACCUUGACAGGGCUCUCUUGGGUAGCACAUUGAGAGAGGAACCUGUAUCCACCAGAACAUGAGAUAACACGGUGUCUUUGCAUUCCAUCGAGAUGUGCAAAGCCUUGUUAUGGUUGCGUCCAGCUGGUGUUAAGUCAGAAUCAGUAAAACCUAACCCGUUGCUUGCAUGAACAUUUGCAACGAUUCCUUCCAGUUGGUUCACUGAGAUCUCCUGAGGCACAUAUGCAGCAUUUAGGACUUUCAGCAGUGCCUCCCUGUGCGCCUCCGAACACAAUAGGAGUGAGAGAAUGGAUAUCUUGGACGGAGUCUGAAUCAACUGAUCGACUACCUUGUAGUCACUUUUCUUUAUGAUCCUCAAGAGCUCGUCCACAUCCUUCGCAAAAGUGGGCUCAGAACCAGCCUGGGGUGUAGAGGCACCCUCAUUCACGACUUGCUUGCCUUUGGCUUUCGCCGCAGCAUCCGCACUAUCAGUUUGGGUAACGGGUGGUGAGAACAGUCUACCACUCCUGGUGAAUCGCCCGAUUCCACCAACAUUGUCCACUGCGGGACCUUCAACUUCAAGUUCAGUCUUCUGACCCUCUUCUACCUUUAGUGGCCGUUCUACCCCAUGAUCGUGCGUGUACACACUCCCCCCAUAAUGCCAAGGAAUGGCCCUUUCGCUGGUGAAAGGUAAAGGACCAGGGGUCGUGAUGGUCAUAGUGGAUGGUCGCGCUGGUGGCACCGGUUGCGCUUCUGGUACAUUGAUCUGAUUAGUUGGGUAGAAAAUGGUGAUAGUAGCAACAUCAUAGUCAUACUCUGAAAUCUCAUUCAUUGAAAUGCAAGCAUCCGAAACAUCGGAAUCAAGUUCAAUUACAUCAGAAUCAACCACAUUGGAAAAAGUAAAUACACCAUCAUGGAUUACAGAAUCAGUAGGAACAACAUCUGCGAAUUCAUCAGUAGCAUCUUCAAACACUUCUUCCUCAACCCCUUCCGCAGACUCUUGGACAGACAAAUCUUCAACCUGGAGGAUACCUUUGUCGAGCAAGACCUGGAUACCCUGUUGUAGCUUCAAACAACCUCCACUCUGAGUAGCACAAUCCAAACAACCCUUCCCACAACCGGGGAAAACAUCGGCCUUCAACAAGUAUCCCUUGAUAUCCGACAACGGAGUCUUCAGCUUCAACGUAUCUUUGACGGAUCUGGCUUCCCCUUCCAUCAUAUUAACAUUUACACCACCAUGCUGGGGCAUGGGAUUGUUGACGACAUUCGGAGCCGGUGCAAGGUCGAUGACCUUUGAAUCUAUGAGGUCCUGAACUACGUGCUUAAAAGCUUUGCAGUUCUCAAUAUUGUGGCCAGGUGCCCCAGAGUAGAAGCUACACCUAGCAUUGGCGUCGUAACCCAUCGGAAGUCUACCAACGGGAGGAGCCAGAGUGCGUAACUGCAUAAGUUGUAAUUGUUGAAGACUAGAAAGUAGCUGAGUGUACGACAUUGGAAGAGUGUCGAAACGCCGAUCCAUCAUCCUUUGCCUCUGUUGAUAAGCGGGUUUGUUACCCGGUUGUUGUGGUUGGUACUGAGCUGGUUGACGUCGGGGUUGUUGUUGUUGUAAUGGUGUUGCAGCUGGAAUGGUCACAUCCGCAACAUACGGUUGCUGAUGAUAAUUCUGAAAGUUAUUCCUCCGGUUACCCCUGUUGUGAUAAGAAGAUAUGGAACUUGCAUCCCCUUCUCUCCUCUUCUGUCCCUGAAUGAACGGCUUUUUCACCCCUGAUGAAGAUCCACCUCCACUCUGGGUCUUGUAUGUCUUCAGGUAAUUCUCCACCCUCUCUCCGGUAGAGACUACAUCAGCAAAGUUGGAGGCAUUACAACCCAUCAGGCGCUCCAAAUAAGGUCCGGGCAGAGUGUUCAUGAGCAUGUUAGCCAUUUCCUUCUCCAACAUAAGAGGUUGAACACGGGAAGCUGUCUCCCUCCAGCGUUGAGCGUAUUCCCUGAAGCACUCAUUGCCUUUAAGAGACAGAUUCUGAAGUUGAGUUCUGUCCGGAGCCAUGUCUGUAUUAUACUGAUACUGCUUCACGAAAGCCUCAACCAAAUCCCUCCAGCAGCGGAUGUGGGCUCUGUCCAGCCUCAUAUACCAUUCCAGGGAUGCUCCAGCUAGGCUAUCCUGGAAAAAGUACAUAAGCAACUUUUCAUCGUCAGAGUAUGCAACCAUUUUACGGAAGUAGGCUUGCACAUGGGUCUUCAGGCAAGAGUUGCCACUGUAUUUGUCGAAUAUCGGGACCUUGAAUUUCGGUGGCACCCUCACGCUUGGGACCAAUCCCAAGUCAGCAACGUCUACUCCCAGAGGACUCUGUCCUUCCAUUGCCUUCAACCUCUCUUCCAGUCUUCGAAACAUAGGGUCCAUACCAUGACCCAUACCAAAGUCUUCCUGAAGCAAGGGGAACUGAUCCUCCUGGUCAUCAUGGACAGGUUGUUGACCGGAGGUGACAUGUAGGAUCGGGGUAGGCCCCGGUCCACUGGGUCCGUUAACCUCUCCAGCUGGAGGAUCUGUCAACGUCUCUGGUUGAGUAGUGGCGGGAUUCCUCUGCAUCAUCUGCCUGAGCUCUUGCUGUCCCUGAGCCACCCCUUGAACCACAUUGAGUAGUGGCGGGAUUCCUCUGCAUCAUCUGCCUGAGCUCUUGCUGUCCCUGAGCCACCCCUUGAACCACAUCCAUGAAUUGGUUCAUGCGGAUCUUCAUCUCGGCGAGCUCUGCUUGUAGGCUUUUCAUUGCUCUCUGGUGGCUUUUGCGGGUACCGUACCGGUGAAUGCCUGAGUCAGCUAUCCUGCUAGUGGAACACCAAAUAAUAUGAGAACACUGCAGCGGUACUUGUUAUGCAAGACAUGCUGAUGGAUAUGCAAAUGCAAUGACUUGUUUAUAAAUUCCAAAGGGCAUUCUACCCCCUUGAUUCCAGUCUCAUAAUAGAUAAACAGUGUAAGAAGAUCGAGCCGUUAGGAGAACCAGAAAACUCCGACUAGAAUCAAGAAGAAGAUAUAAACCCCCAGGAAUAGAUAAACAUGUGUUAAGUGAUAUGAAUGCGACAUGAUGUGAUGCAAUAUAGUGACAUGGGAAUCAGGAUUGCUGUAUCCGCUUGAAUAUCUGUCAGGUUGCACUGUCUGAAGAGAAACCCACUGAAGAAUAUAAUACAAGAUCAAAGCUCUGCUCCAGAAAACUGGGUUGGUUGGAGGUUAAGGUUUCCUGAAUUUAGCCCGCCCCUCACUGGUAGGUUCUAAGAACAGAAGUUUGUCAACUUCGGCCCUUCGGUCGAGAAUAAUACGUUUACCACUGAAGGUUUGGCAUUAUUACGGGAUAAAAGACCUCCACUGACUCCCCUCAACAGGACAUCCUAAUAGCAAGUUCCCAGUUUCGGGGUCCUCGGAUUGAUCAGCGAGAAUGCGCCCACCAGAGCUAACAUAAUCACGUCUCGAAGGAGAAGCCUCGACUGAGUUCUCGGGAAAUGGUCACCAGAGUCGACGAUUUCUAGAGGAACAUUUGCCGUUAUGGAACACCCAUAGGACAAAAUAUAUCCAAAAGAAACCUCGUCUGGAUGUGGGUCUUCAUGAACGACUUAACAUAGCAACACGCCACGCAAGCCUAAUGACUAUCCACUCUAAAACAUGUGUGUACACUCAAGCCUGGGUAAUGGGCUUAUCUCUCAUAGAACAUCCCAUCCCAACAAACAAACAAACCAACAGCAAAGCCAACAGAUACAAGCAAUGCUAUAUACACAAUGCAAUAAGAUAAAGCAGAAAAAUAAAUAACUGUACAAAAGAAUGAACACCAAAUAAACAAACAACCUACAAAAGCUAGGAGGGACUCGCUCAGGGAAACCAGGGUCCCCAGCAGAGUCGCCAGCUGUCGUAACCUGAAAAAGGAGAUGUGAAAAAACAACCGGCGAGAAAGAAAAGACAGAAGAGUCGCCACCGUGCGUUAUUUAUCCCAAAGGAGGGAAAGGAAACGCUCGAAGUAAACCAGGAAAAAAAGGAAAGGAAAAGACAAGGUCUCGCAACCAAAUCUUGGGUUCGGGAGUCGAUUAUGCGAAGGGAAGGUAUUAGCACCCCUACGCAUCCGUAGUACUCUACGGGAUCCACUCUUGUUGUUUAGGAAAAGACAAGGUCUCGCAACCAAAUCUUGGGUUCGGGAGUCGAUUAUGCGAAGGGAAGGUAUUAGCACCCCUACGCAUCCGUAGUACUCUACGGGAUCCACUCUUGUUGUUCUUGUCUAAAUGGCGUGGGUUUAUCUAAUGUACUAUCUACUAAAAGAAGGGUCAAAAGAAAAUGACUCGCACGGAUGUCGCAUCCACUGCAUACGUAUCUCAUAUGGAUAUGAGAAUCAGAGUCUUCAUAGCUCGGCUACCUAUGGGUUAAAGAGGAGUGUGCUCGCUAAGACAUCGCGUCUUAUGCCUACGUAUCUCAUCUGGAAUGAGAAUCAGAGCAAUCCGUAGUUCGACUAACUACGGGUUAAGGGUUGUGUUUUGGAUGAACGACGUUACUACGCAAUCUACCGGAUGCUCGACCUUUGGAGACUUACUCGCCUGUAGUAGAAGGAGUUAACGUGUUCUUAGGAGAAGAAAAAUCAACGAGUUUGUUUGGGUUUUAGGAAUGCUCAUGCAAAAAAGGAAGUCCUAGACGAAGGAACAGUGCUACCUUAAUUGACAUGCAAACGAGAGACUAUACGAAGCCUAGCAAUCCUAUGGGGAGACGAUCACACCAUACAAAACAAACAUGCAUAAAGUAAAAUGCCACAAGGGGCUCAAACCUACAUGGGUAGGGCUUUAGUCAAGAGGGGUCAUAUCAACCUCGACAAACAAGCAUGGAAUAGGUAAUCAAAUGGGCUCUUAACCACUGACAUUGAACGUCAGGGUGAGCAGAUCAAAAGGGUAAUGAGGAUAAGACCCCAUAGCUCUUAACCCUGGACAGGGUGAGCUCAUGACAAAAAAUGGGGAUUCAGAAAGGUGGAACCCUCUCCACUGAUUUAUCGGACAAAAGAUCUUGGGCUUUUGUUCUGAAGCAUCGACACGUAGUUCGAGCAUAAAGAACGACACACUGAAUAACGGGGGAAUGAUUACUAAUCCCUUUUAUCCAUCAAUUGCCUCUUCAGGGAGGUCUUUAGCACUGAUGCCUCUUCUUGGAGGUCUUUGGGCACAAAAGUAAACAAACAAAAGAAAACAUUGCCUCUUAUUGAGGUCUUCCAGCUAAGAAAGCGGUAAAAUGCGGGAAAGAUAAAGGAUCAAGAGAUCUACCACACAGAUAAAGAUACAAAGUAAUAACAGCUAAAGAAAUAAGAAACCCAGAGAUCUCUCGAGCUGGCACCAUCAAAGAAAGAAAGUCAAUACAGGUAAUUGGAAUAAAUCUCCAAAUGGUAUCCCACAAAUAAAGUGUAAUGCCAAGCAAGCUAUCCUUUCAUAAGUCAUGUGAGCCCUAAAAAAAACUCAACAAACAGGUUAGAGUUACAAGAUGGGGUGCAAUCAAGAGUUGCCCCAAAAUUAAAAUGUAACCACAUGAAUCAUGACAUUAAAAUUCACAAAAAGAGCUCACAAAAAGCAACCAAGUGUAGGAGGCCUAAACCUCUUGUCAAACACAUGCAUCAAAAGGGUAUCAAAAUUCAAAGUCAGGGGGCAAGGAUCCACACAUCAAGAUAAAGCAACCAAGUGUAGGAGGCCUAAACCUCUUGUCAAACACAUGCAUCAAAAGGGUAUCAAAAUUCAAAGUCAGGGGGCAAGGAUCCACACAUCAAGACAUGACAUACAUACUAAAACAUGUGCCCCAUGCAAAACCUAACGAUACCCACUCUUCCGAAUUCACCCAUAAUACCUCAUACAUUCAGAAAUUUCAGGUAGAAAGUAUAAAGUAGUGGAAAUAGGGCAUACCUGAUUGGGGAGGAUCGGUUGAAAUUGAAUUGCACCGUUGGCUUUGCAGAACAAUCUUAGGGUUUAUAUGAGAGGGAAUUGAUUCUUUGCAGAUGAGUUCCCUUCAGUCUCUGGAGGUUGCUCUGAAUUCGUUAGAAUCUCUCUAGGGUUUUGUUCCAAGGAAACUUCAGAGUGUUUUCAGCUUUCACCAAUUCUCCCUCUCUCUUUCUUUUUCCUUUACUGAAAUUUCAGAAUUUAUAACCUGAUUUUCGUGGUUUUGUGGGCUCAAAUGAGAGAGGUCCAAGUCCAAGAUUUUUCUGUUACAUAUAAAUCUUUUUUUUUUCGUUUUUUUUUUCAAAACGCGUGGGCUUCGCCUAGCGAGCAUGACAGUUCUCUGAGCGCAGGUGAUCUGGUGGCUUUUCUUGGGACUCGCUAGGCGCGACCCAUUCUGCUCGCCUAGCGAGCAUGACAUGAACAAACUUUUGCUCCUUCAAGAUUAACGUUUUGACUGAUGAAUAGACCCCAUUUGAACAUGUUGGAAGUAUCUCAAGCCAUUCCCUUGUGUUGACUGAUCACCCAGAUAGGACCCACAAAGUCUCUUGGAUGAUAUUCAAGCUUCUUGGAUCUAAUUCCGAUUGACAUGAUGAAAUGCAAUAUGAAAUGUUAAAUGACCUAAAAAUGAAUGCAUGAAUGAGGGGGGCAAAUUUUGAGGUAUUACACCCCUCAAUCACCACAGUGAUUACAACCUUUGAUUAGUUUAAAGUUAAUGGCGAAGUUAUACUUCAAACAACUCUUGAUUGUGCUUAACAACUUUAAUCAAGAAACACAACACUCACGCUCAAAAGCUUAGAGUGACACAACACUUACAAUUCAAUGAACACCCUAGUCCAAUGCAAUCAUCUAGGUGAUAAUUGCUUGGCUCACAAAUAAAACCUAAUACAAGAUACAAUAAAACUACAGCAGUGAAAUAUGAUGAUACAAUUAAUUCUUCACGCUUCAAAAACCUGAGUUGCUGAAAGUAGGAUUGCCAUCCUUUUAUAAUGCAGCACUUGGGCCUUGUACUUGAAUUUCCUAAAAUUAAGGUUAAGCACGUUAACCUAAUUUCCACAUAUUAGGGUGCUAACAAAUAGGCUAUAUACUAGGCCUCUUAAUUGUAGCUCAGUUGUUAGUUUCCUAGAUUUUAGCUCAGCUGUUAGAUUCCUGAAAAAUAGCUUUAGAAAAAUACUGAAACAGAAAAACUAACUAGCCUACACUUUAGCAUAUGCUGUCAGGAAUGAAUGUCAUAACAUUCAGUUUGACGUCCAGAACAUAGGCCAUAUGCUAGGUCUGUAAUUCUCCUGAAAAACAGACUGAAUUAAAUACUGAACUGUAACAGAAAACCAACCAGCCUAUAAUUCAGUAUCUUCUGUCAAGGAUGAAUUUCAUAAUAUUCAGUUUGACAUUCAGACAAUAGGCUAUAUGCUAGGUCUGUUAUUCUCCUGACAAACAAACUGAAAUAAAUACUGAGGUAUAGCAGAAAAACCAACUAUUCUAUAGUUCAGUAUCUGCUGUCAGGGAUGAAUGUCAUAACAUCCAGUUUGAUAUUCAGUAAAUCCUGUAUUAGCUAAUCCUGCAGCAUACCACUCAAGCUUGUCAUGACAUCAGUCAAGACAUCAGAGUACAAUUAGUGUUUUAACACAAAAUGCAGCCAAUCAAAAACAUCUACAAAGAUGAAGUCCAUACAAGUUUAAUUAUCAAAAUCAAUAUGUCUUAUCCAACUUUUAUUCUUUGAGAAACUUAAAAUUCAACUUGCAAGGGCAUGUGCCAAGAGGAAACAUUAUAGGCCAUUUUGGGCCAUUACGAUUGAAUAAACAAUUUUCCUCAACUUCUAAAAUGCAUAAAUCCUUCAUGCCAAAUCUAAAUGAUGUCAAAUUUGUGACCAAAUUGAAUAGGGUUGAAAUAUAUACAAUUUUUAUGAAGGAAAGUUUUCCAUUUGAAUCUCAUAGAAAAAUUUAUUCAAGGUGGAAGAAUUGGAUAUUUGACUUGGUAGUUAGAAAAUUUUCAAUUAUCUUUGAUUUCUCAAACUUCCACCUCAAAAUUUAUCAUGAUCCAAGCUUCAACUAAAAAAGUGUUCAACAUAAAAGUUGUUCCCCUUGAUGCCACCUUUCAAAAAAGUCCAAAAUCAUUUCAUUUGGACAAAGUUUGAAUGACUUGCACAUGUUUACUCCUCAUGGUUCUAUUUGGAUGAAUCUCAUGAUCACUUCUCAAAUACAAAUGUAUGGCCUCAUGUUAGACUUUCAGCAUUACUCAUGAUUAUUUUUGGACCUUAUUACACCAUCUUAUGGGCCUAUAACAUUCCCAUGCAAGCAUGCACUUCAAUUUCUAUUUUUUGGCCAAAAUUCAAAAGGUGUGAAAAGCAAUGAACAUAACUAUAAAUACAUGCCCUUGGUGAUCAGAAUAAGGAUCCUUUUUCCCAAGCUUCAUCCCCUUCUCUCCCAAAACCCAUUGAAAGGAUAAUCUUGAAGAUUUCUUGAGAAAUCGAGUUUUAAUUUUCAUUCUAUUUUGGAAUUGAAACUCCAAGAGUCCAAGCUUUUUAAUCAUCAAUAUCAUCUUCUACAAGCUUCUAGAGUCAAGCCAACCCAAAUUGGAAGCAAGAUCAAGCUAAUCUGAAGCUACUCGAAGGUGAGAUUUUAGAAACUUUUCUUCUUCAAUUCUCCCUCAUUUUUUAUCCAUUUUGAUUGAUUGUUGGUUUGCUAAAGUCCUACCAAUGUAGGCAACAAGAUUGAGUUGCUUUGAGGUCAAAUCGAAACAACUUAUAUCAUGAUCCUUAAAAUUCAAAUCAUUGUAUCUUUCAAUAUACUUGGAAUUGGAGAGAGUUGAGGCCAGAUUCGAUCUCCUGAGCAUUUUUUCUUUAGAAUCAUGUCCUUGUUUUUUAUUUUGGUAAUGGUUGGUGGUCAUCCAGUCUGGUGAGGCUCACAAGAGAAGAUGACCGGAGCCCUAGCUCCGGUGGUGUGUUGGCGUGUUACCAAACCUUUGAUCCAUUCAAAAUAUUUUAAUCUUGGCCCUUGGUUCUGAUUACCAUUGGCAUGACGCGUUUGACUUGGUCUAUCGUGGAUAACGCGCACGUGGUCAUCAGAUCUGCCACCUCAACUAAUGAGGGAGAUCUGAUGGCCCUUGUUUUAUUAAUUUUAUUAUAUUUUCAUUUAAUCCCUUUAUUUUGUUUAAUUCAUAUUAAUUUAAUUUUUAAUCCAAAAGAUCUAAGACUUUCACCAAAAAUCUUUAAAUAUUUACCUCUUCUAUAUUUUGAACUAAAAUUAUUUUUUGGAUUAAUUUUGGUAUUUUUCAUGAAUUAAAUGUUUUUGUGCAUAUUUUUAAUUGUUUAAAAAUACUUCUGACUUUUAAAAAAUAGUGAAAUUUUUUGUCUAAUGUCCUUUGACCUUGUUUGACCUAGGAUAAAUCCCUUGGUCAUUUAUUUGGUGUUUUGAAGGGAUUUUAGGUUUUGAUCAAAUUUAAAUGCAUUUUAAUCCAUUUUUAAAUUGAUUUUUAAUUGAUAAAAUGUGUAAAAGUGUUGUUGGGCCAUUUUUAUGGUCUUGUGAUGUUUGAAUUUCUGUUUGGACCUUGGUCAAGGUUGAUUUGACUUUUGUUGGAUCAAAACCAUUGGAUUUAGGGGAUUGAUGAAAGGUAUAUUUCAUCUCCCAAAAUAAAUGGAUGGUUUUGAUUUGAUGAAAUUCCUCCCAUGAUCAAUUUGUGUUUCUAUUUCCCCCUCCCUCUUCAUCUUCAUCCCUAUUCUUCCCCAUUCCCUCAUUUGAUCAAUGAAAUCUCUAAUGUCUAAAUGUUAAUUGAUUCAUCAAUGACCUUGUGCCAGAUGAAUCAAUACAAGUAUGACUGAGAUAGAUCCCUCCCAUUUUCUUUUAGUGUGUGGUAUAUUUUGUGAGGGCAAAGGUUCCUAGUCCUUAUUUUAAUGAUGUCAAACCUUUAUAGUUUCUCAUAACAUGUGCUUUGGACGGUGUCAUCAUAUAAUAAAACGCUCAAAGUAUAAGUGAAAUGUGUCCAUGCAUAUAUGAGCAUCUCAUUGACUUGAAUAAUGCACUGUAUCAUUGUUAGUACCAUAGUGUAAGACCCCAAUUUUGUCCCUAAGAUCCCUCAUGGCAUCAUAUCAUAUCAUAUCAUUGCCUCAAGGAUCAUGGUGCAUUGUGCCUCUUUCCCUAGUGGGUGGGUUAUCUUUUGAGUGUGGUUCUUGAUCACCAAGCAUGUUUUGCAUUUGUAUAUCAUUGCUUUUCAUUUGCCUACUAACCAAAAGUACAAAAAUAUUGUCAUCUAACCUUGUUACUUGCAGAUGAAGCAACAGUAGGUCAAACCAGUCAAAGGCAUUCAUUGAGCCAUAGAUGGUGUCCAUUCUGAAGAAUUUGGGCACCAUUGAUCAUUCACAAGAGUUCAUAUAAGCUGUGACUUCAUUUUGAAUCAAGAUCUCAAGUGGUAGAGGCUUGAAUUUCAUCAGAGCAUAGCUAGGUCAACUGAAACCCUAGAAAAGUCAACACAAGUCAACUGUGCAUUUAAUCAGGGAUUUGAAGGUGGGAGAUGGUUUGAGAGACCUUAUUCAUGUCCAUACAAGUCUCAUUUGACAUGUCAAACAUCAACAUGGAAGAAUUUGAGGUCAGACAAAAAGGUUCCAAAAAUAGUAAGUGACCUGUAAUUUCAAACUGCCAAAAAUGGAAAGGUCUUCUCCUCAAAUUUACAUCAUCAAGCAAGCUUCAAGUCAAAUUUUGUCCAACAUGAAAGUUGAAUAUCUUGCUCUCACCUUUCCAAAAAGUCCAAGAACAUGAAUUUCUCAUUUGUGGUUGGAGAGUUAUGAUCAAAUCAUUAUCAAGGAAUUUUGAACUUCAAGCUUGCAUAACUUUUGCACCAAAUGGCCAAUUGGAAUGGUUCUUUUUGCAACAUUUCACUCUUGAUAUGCUCUAUCAUAAUCAUGCAUCACAUUUAAUCAUUUCUCAUUACAAAAAGAUUUCAUUUUUCACUUGAAUUAAUUUGAUUUUUGGAGGGAAAAUAUCCAUUUGAAAAAUAUGCAUCAUUUUCAAUUCCAACCAAUCCCAUUUGCAUCAAAACAGAUUUUGCAACUUGCUCCAAGUGAAAUUCGAGCACUGUAGCAUGCCAUGCACAUGUGAGGGUAUUUUGGCCAAGUUGCAUAACACUUCAUUUCACUUAAUCCAUUUUGCAUUAGCUUAAUCAUGAUUAACUAGUGUGAUUAGCAGAGGGUAUAUAAUGAUGAUCCUAACAGAAUUCAUCAACAACAACUUCACAAUUUCAGAUCUGAAAAAUUUCACUUCAUUGUUCUCUCAACUUUUUUUCGAAUUUCUUCAUAAGCAUUGGCUGGUUCUUGGUUUAUUCAUCAUCUCCAAGCACAAUUGAAGAUUGUUGAAGCAAGAUCUUGAAGAAUUCAAGCUGAAUCGUGGACUGUUGAAGCACAUGAACAUCCAUGGCAGUUGAGAUUUCUGGACCAAUCGAGCACUGCUGAGCUGUUCUUCAUCAUCCUUUCAUCUCUCUAAACAUUGUGGAGCAUCUGUUUUAACUUGCCAGGACCUAAGAAGCACGAUUUCACUUCUGCAUCUUCAUUGAGCUUUGUUUCAGGUUACACAUUCAAGUUACACAAUUGAUGAUGCCUCANAGUUGACUUGCGAGUCCAUUCACUUGGUGGAGGUCAUGUUGGAUUAAUAAUGUCACACAAGUUAUUUGUGGUUAGGCAUUAUUCUUUCAAUCAUGUGCCUUAGAAGCCAAGGACCUUAGUUUACCAAGCCCAUCUUGGCCUAUUUUUAGGACGUAGUGCGGAGGUCGUUCAGAUGUAAGUUCUGAUGCGAUUGUUACACGACACUACACUCAUAAGAGUCUCUCUUGAGAAUAUUUUUGGAAUACGAGUAUUCGUUCCUCCGAUAAUAUCCGAAAGAUGGGACGAUGAUUAUGGGAACCUCUGGUAGAACAUGUCGGCAGGUUUAAACCUUAGUACACUCCUUUUGGGUGGUUCUUAACCGAGACUCCAUGCUCGUGACUCUCAGCAAACCCGUGAUUCAUGGUUGAGUCGUUCAGACAACCCUAAUAUCAAUGGAACCUGGGUGUCGAUCAGGUGUAAAACCAAAAUCCACCAAAAUGGAUGAUUGAUAUUAAGGAUGUUCGAGCCGGUUCAUGUACCGUUAAUAUCAAUGGAACUUGGGUGUUGAUAAGGUGAAAACCUAAAUCCACCAAAAUGGAUGAUUGAUAUUAGUUGAUUGAUAUUAGGGAUACAAUGAGCUUUCCCAUGACCUUUGUUUGGUGUGACUUGCUUGAUCCUUGAGUGUGAUUGUUGCAUUCAUGCAUUCAUGCAUUCAUCUGCACUUCAUGUCAUCAGAAAAAUGAGAAAAUUUUCAAGGAACUUAAAGGGUUUAUUUUCAAAAUUUUCAGACAUGGAAAGACCAAAAAGGCAUACAAAGAGUUAAGGAAUCUGACAUCCUAUGUAUUAGAUCCCUUGGGUUUCAAAGCUCGCUAUGGGAAGCUCCUGCCUCUGUUGACUACUCAGGUUGAUGAGGGUUUGAUGAGUACUCUGGCUCAGUUUUAUGAUCCUCUAUAUCACUGCUUCUCUUUCCCGGACUUCCAGUUGUUGCCUACCUUGGAGGAGUAUUCUCAUCUGUUGGGUAUUCCGAUUCUGGAUCAGGUGCCGUUCAGUGGCUUAGAGAGUAUUCCGACUGCUCGAGAGAUCGCAGACUUGUUGCACAUAGAUGAAUCUUUGAUUAAAGCUAAUCUGACUACCAAAGGUGGAAUUCAGGGUCUUGUUCAGUGGCUUAGAGAGUAUUCCGACUGCUCGAGAGAUCGCAGACUUGUUGCACAUAGAUGAAUCUUUGAUUAAAGCUAAUCUGACUACCAAAGGUGGAAUUCAGGGUCUUCCUUCUGAUUUCCUCGUUGCUCAAGCUACCGUUUACGGGAAGGCCAUGAGUGAGGAUACCUUUGAGGCUUUAUUUGUGUUGCUCAUCUAUGGUUUGGUAUUAUUUCCCAACUUCGACAAAUUUGUGGAUGUGAACGCCAUUAGGAUCUUCUCAGUUCUUAAUCUCGUUCCGACUCUGUUGGGUGAUGCAUAUGUCUCUUUGCAUCUGAGGAAUGCAAAGGGUGGAGGAGUUAUUGUGUGCUGUCUACCUCUGCUGUACAAGUGGUUUAUUUCGCACUUGCCGCAGACUGUUGCUUUCAAGGAGAACAAGAGUUGUCUACGGUGGUCUCAGAGACUCAUGUCUCUCACUAAUGAUGAUAUCUCUUGGUAUGAUCGCGUGUAUGAUACUGUUCAGAUUAUCGAUUAUUGUGGUGAAUUCCCUAAUGUGCCUCUUCUUGGUACAUGUGGUGGGAUCAGCUACAAUCCCAUUCUAGCACGUCGUCAGCUUGGGUUCCCCCUAAAGGAUAAACCCCAUAACAUUCUGUUAGUGUGGUGAAUUCCCUAAUGUGCCUCUUCUUGGUACAUGUGGUGGGAUCAGCUACAAUCCCAUUCUAGCACGUCGUCAGCUUGGGUUCCCCCUAAAGGAUAAACCCCAUAACAUUCUGUUAGAAGGUGUGUUCUUUCUGGAGGGUAAAGAUCCCCAAGGCCUGAAAGCCAGAUUUGUCCACGCUUGGCGCAAGAUCUGCAAGAAGAGUAGGAAUGAGUUGGGUCCGAAGAAUUGCAUUGCUUUGGAGCCAUAUACCUCUUGGGUCAGACAGAGAGCUGUCGUAUACCUUAUGCCUUAUGAUCAUUCGAGACCUACACCGUUGGAUGUGGCUGGGCCUUCAACACUCCCUAACCAACAUGUAGAGGAGUUGAGAAAAGAAGACCUUUCACGUGCUUGGAUCCGUGAAAGAGAGGAAUUGCUGCAGCAGAUCAAAGAGAAGGACGCUCUGAUUGAGUUUCUCGAGCAUCGAGUGAUCGACGAUCCGAAUGAUACUUGGACUUCUCUGCUUCCUCAGUCUUCCAAAUUCUGGAAGAGGAAGUAUGUAGCAGAUCAAAGAGAAGGACGCUCUGAUUGAGUUUCUCGAGCAUCGAGUGAUCGACGAUCCGAAUGAUACUUGGACUUCUCUGCUUCCUCAGUCUUCCAAAUUCUGGAAGAGGAAGUAUGAUCGACUCGCAAAAGAGAAAGCGGAUAUGGAAGCUGCCUAUGAGAGAGAGAUCAAGAAGCUUUGUGCCUCUCGUCUUCCAGCAUCCCGAGCUUCUAGGGAUCCAUAGGAUGUUAUUUUACUUUUCUCUUUGUAAUAUGAUCAAAAAUGUUGUACUUCUUUGUCUUGGAUAUAUUUGAUGAGAUAUUUUCCAUAUGAUAAUAAAUGCUUAAAAAAUUAAAAUUUGCAAAUAAUGCCCUAAGGGUUCCUUGAAAAUAAACAAAGCAUCUGCACAAGCAUUUCAUUCAUCAUUUUGCAUAAGCAGGUAUCUUGUUCUGGUCUUCUCGUCUGUGGUCUAACCCUGUGCUCUUCAUUUAUUUUGAAGACAAGCUGACUCACCGGUACUAUACAAGAGCCAAUUCUGCCAGAGUAAUGGAUCAGUUGGAACAAGAGAACCGUGAAUUGAAGGAAGAGGUCGCCAGACUUGGUAGCUGACUCACCGGUACUAUACAAGAGCCAAUUCUGCCAGAGUAAUGGAUCAGUUGGAACAAGAGAACCGUGAAUUGAAGGAAGAGGUCGCCAGACUUGGCGCUUUGAUGGAGCAACUCCUUGCUGCUCAGAAUCAACCUUCUCCGCCUCCUGCAACUCCUCCCCAGAGGACGGUUAUAUCUGAAGUCGUUGCUUCGACUGUGCCAGCCGCCAGUGCUCACUUUGUGCCCAAUGCCAUGCCAGCCGGGUUUCCUUGGGGUAUGCCUCCGGGUUUCAUGCCUGACAUUCCUGCUCCAACUUUUGCUCACAUGCCGGCAUCUAGCCCGGUCCCUGUUGCUGCUCCUCCUGUCGUGCAUACCAUGCCUAGGGUAGACGACACCAUCUAUCAUUCUGAGCCGUCUGAAGGCCCAGAUGUUAAUGAGAAGAUGGAGGCUAUGAAUGACCAAUUCCUCGAGCUGCGAAAGGAAUUGAAGACUCUCAGAGGGAAAGAUCUUUUUGGCAAGUCUGCUGCUGAACUUUGCCUUGUUCCCGGUGUUAAAAUUUCGAUCAAAUUCAAAGUUCCUGACUUUGAAAAGUAUAAAGGGAACACCUGCCCCCUUGCUCAUCUGGUCAUGUACACCAGAAAGAUGUCUACUCAAACAGAUAAUGAUCAGCUUCUGAUCCAUUAUUUUCAGGAUAGUUUGUCAGGUGCGGCUCUUCGUUGGUAUAUGAGCUUGGAUAGCGCAAACAUCUGAUCCUUCAAUGAUCUUGGCGAAGCCUUCGUCAAGCAGUACAAAUACAAUGUUGAUAUGGCGCCUGAACGUGAUCAACUCAGGGCCAUGUCUCAAAAGGAUAAGGAGACAUUCAAGGAGUACGCCCAGAGGUGGCGAGAACUGGCUGCUCAGAUCACUCCUCCAUUGGAAGAGAAAGAAAUGACUAAGAUCUUUUUGAAGACUCUUAGCUCAUUCUAUUAUGAGCGGAUGGUAGCAAGUGCUCCCUCUGAUUUCACCGAGAUGGUGAACAUGGGGAUGCGUCUGGAGGAAGGAGUCCGUGAAGGACGAUUGGCUAAAGAUGAGAGCUCUUCUAAACGGUAUGGGGCGUUUAAGAAGAAGGAUGGGGAGGCACAUGAUGUGCAAUCCCAUGCUAAAUCCAAAAGACCCUCUGUUCAGAGGAAGCCUGCACGUCGUGCAAAUAAUCAGCACCAGGCGGCUCAUAUAGCACCUGUUUUCAGGGAUAGUGCUCAGUAUCAGCAACCUCAGCAACAUCAGCAUCAACAACCUCAGUAUCAGCAGCAACACCGUCCACAGCAACAGGCCUACCAGCCUCGUGGCAGCACAACCAACCAGGCUAAUUUGAGUUAUGAUAGGAAGAAGAUCAGCUUCGAUCUGAUUCCUAUGUCAUACGCUGAGCUAUAUACUUCCUUGUUGGAAAGGAAGUUGGUUACUCCCAGGGAUCCUCCUGCUGUGCCUGCAAAUCCUCAGUGGUGGUAUAAGCCAGACCAACAUUGUGUGUAUCAUUCCGGUGCUCCGGGUCAUAACAUAGAGAACUGCUUUCCGUUGAAGACCAAAGUGCAAGACUUAAUGAGAUGUGGCAUACUGAACUUUGAGGACUCAGGCCCCAACGUUACAAAGAACCCAUUGCCCGAGCAUGGGAAAUCUGUGAAUAUGGUCCAGGGGUGCCCUGGGAAGUACAAAGUCAAAUAUGUCAGUCAUAUUAGACAGUCAUUGGUCGAAUUACAUCGUCUCCUGUGUGAGUAUAGCCAUAUGGAGCAUGACCAUGACAGGUGCCGCAUCUGUUCUGUUAACCGUUUGGGGUGUCGCCAGGUGCGAAGAGAACUUCAAGAACUGUUGGACGAAGGUACCAUUGAGAUUCUGCAGAAUCGCAAUGUUGAUGAAGAUGAACCCGAGGUUAAUGUUAUAUCUCCUGUGUUCAAGCUGCCUGAGCUUGUUGUCAUUCGUUAUGAUGGCAGCAUGCCGAAGGUCUCUCCUUCAUUGGUAAUUAAGCCUGCAGGCCCUGUGCCUUAUGCUUCUGAUAGAGCUGUUCCGUUCAGAUACAAUCCCGUUGCUGUGGAAGAUGGGAGAGAAGUGCCUUUGCCUUCAACUUCUGUGACUAAUAUUGCAGAUGUAAGUGGGUUGACCCGUAGUGGUCGUGUAUUUUCUGCACCUCCAAAGGCUCAUGUUGCUUCUGAUACUGUUGAGCGUCCGGUUGGGACGGCUGUGAAUGUUCAGAACCCGGCACUUGCUGUUGCCAAACCCUCCUCUGUACAAAAGAGUCCUGAUUCUUCUGUUGGCCCGAGUGGCGUUGUGAAUGAAGAAUGUGAUGAGAUGCUGAGGCUCAUCAAGAAGAGUGGGUACAAUGUUGUAGACCAGCUACUACAAACGCCGUCCAAAAUCUCCGUAUUAUCUCUGCUGCUGAAUUCAGAACCUCAUAGGGAGGCUCUGCAGAAAGUCUUGGAUCUGGCAUAUGUUGAUCACGACGUCACCAUUGAACAAUUUGAUAGUAUUGUUGCAAACAUCACUGCUUGCAACACGUUGAGUUUCUGUGACGCUGAUCUCCCUGAGGAGGGAAGAGACCACAACAUGGCUUUACAUAUUUCCAUGAACUGCAAGUCUGAUGCCAUGUCCAACGUGCUGGUGGAUACUGGAUCGUCUCUUAAUGUAUUGCCAAAGACCACACUCUCUCGAUUGUCAUAUCAGGGGCCUCCUAUGAGGCAGAGUGGUGUUGUUGUGAAGGCUUUCGAUGGGUCGCAUAAGAUUGUGAUUGGGGAAGUUGAUCUCCCAAUCAAGAUUGGACCAAGUGAUUUCCAAGUUACCUUCCAGGUAAUGGACAUCCACCCAUCUUAUAGCUGUCUCCUUGGCAGACCAUGGAUUCACGAGGCUGGCGCCGUGACAUCCACCCUACACCAGAAGCUGAAAUUUGUUAAGAAUAAGAAACUGGUUGUGGUAGGGGGAGAAAUCCCUACACCAGAAGCUGAAAUUUGUUAAGAAUAAGAAACUGGUUGUGGUAGGGGGAGAAAAGGCUCUCCUGGUUAGCCACUUGUCUUCUUUCUCGUAUAUUGACGCUGAGGAUGAAGUUGGAACUCCGUUCCAAGCCUUAUCUAUUGAUGAACCGAUCGAGAAAAAGUCUCUUUCAUUUGCUUCCUACAAAGAUGCGAAACUGGCCAUUGAAUGUGGUGCAGUUGCUGGUUUAGGAAAGAUGAUUGAGCUUGAAGACAAUAAAUCCCGGGCUGGCAUUGGCUAUUCCUUUGGGGCAUUCAACGAGCAAGGUUUGUUCACAAGUGGAGGAUUCAUCCAUGCUGAUCAACCUGAAGAAGCUGCUGCUAUCUUGGAAGAGGAUGCAGAGGAAAUGAGCAACUUCAUCAUACCUGGUGGGGUCUGCCACAAUUGGGUUGCUGUAGAUGUUCCUACAGUCAUCCAUAGAUCAGAGUAAUUGUUCACUUUGUUUAAAACCCUUCUCCCAUGCCAAAAGGAGAAGUGAUGACAUUGUUGGCAACAUUUAAUACAAUGAUAUUUUCAUUCAGUUAAUGCAUUGUUAAACAUUUGUUUUUCCAUUUGUUUUCACUUUUUGCUUUUGCAUGAAAUCAGUGAUCACAAAAAAAAAACCAUAAAAACAGGAAUAAAAGCAACAUUUUUCAUCUGCAUAAUGAUUUGCUUGCUUAAAUUCUGAAGUUUUUAUUAACCAAAAUCAUUAUGCAGGUUGAUUCUAAAACCCAUUGAACAUAAUGAUCCAACGCCAUCUCCCAAUUUUGAAUUCCCUGUAUUCGAGGCAGAGGAACAGAGUUGAAGGGAUCCUGAUGACGAUUCCUCGUCUUCUUCGAGCACGAGAGAAGACAGUCACGCACUUGAAGAUCUGGAAACAUCAACUUGGGGCGGAUUGUGUUCGUAGAUGGUGAAGAAUUGGGGCACUUCUUGAGAGUCUGUCAGAGAGUAUUGAUUGAGUCUAUCGAGAAUAUCGAUAUCUUUGCUGUCGUAUGAAGAAUUGCCGGGUUUAGAUACAGAUAUUGCCACAUUUCGCUUUCGAGGCCUGAGGUGCGUGCCCGUGAGCAGAUGUCAGAAGAACUCAUCCAAUAUGGCACGUGAAAGAUCAAGAGUAAGUUCAGAAGCAAAUUGAUGCGGGGUUUCUGGUGACUUCUACAUAUCCUCAAUGGGUGGCCAAUAUUGUGCCUGUGCCUAAGAAGGACGGAAAGGUCCGUAUGUGUGUUGAUUACAGAGAUUUGAAUAAAGUUAGUCCGAAAGAUGAUUUUCCUCUACCGCAUAUUGAUAUGUUGGUAGAUAAUACAGCUAAAUUCAAAGUCUUUUCGUUUAUGGACGGAUUUUCCGGAUAUAAUCAAAUCAAGAUGGCACCCGAAGAUAUGGAGAAGACAACAUUCAUCAGACCUUGGGGAACAUUCUGUUAUCGAGUGAUGCCCUUCGGUUUGAAGAACGUCGGAGCCACGUAUCAGCGAGCUAUGACUACCUUGUUUCAUGAUAUGAUGCACAAGGAGAUAGAGGUCUAUGUUGAUGAUAUGAUUGCUAAGUCCCGAACGGAAGUUAAACAUGUUGAGCAUUUGUUGAAGCUUUUUCAGCGUCUGAGGAAGUUCAGACUUCGUCUGAAUCCGAACAAAUGUACAUUUGGAGUCCGUUCCGGCAAGUUGUUGGGUUUCGUUGUCAGCGAGAGAGGUAUUGAGGUUGAUCCUGCAAAGGUCAAAGCAAUACAAGAGAUGCCUGCACCCAAAACUGAGAAGCAAGUCCGAGGUUUUCUUGGCCGCUUGAACUAUAUUUCCAGAUUUAUAUCCCACAUGACUGCCACAUGUGCGCCGAUAUUCAAGCUCCUCCGGAAAGAUCAGUCUCAUGAUUGGACCGAGGAUUGCCAGAAAGCUUUCGACAGUAUUAAAGAGUAUCUGUCUGAACCUCCGAUAUUGUCUCCGCCUGUAGAAGGAAGACCUCUGAUCAUGUAUCUGACUGUUCUUGAAGACUCGAUGGGUUGUGUACUCGGUCAACAAGAUGAAUCAGGGAAGAAAGAAUCUGCUAUCUACUACCUCAGUAAGAAGUUUACUGAUUGUGAGUCUCGGUACUCUAUGCUUGAGAAGACGUGUUGUGCUUUGGCUUGGGCUGCUAAGCGUUUGCGCCAGUACAUGAUAAAUCAUACAACUUGGUUGAUAUCCAUAAUGGAUCCAAUCAAGUAUAUUUUUGAGAAGCCUACUUUAACUGGGAGGAUUGCCCGUUGGCAGAUGUUGUUGUCUGAGUAUGAUAUCGAGUAUCGAGCUCAGAAAGCUAUCAAAGGUAGUAUCUUGGCUGACCACCUAGCGCACCAGCCGAUUGAAGAUCAUCAGUCUGUUCAGUACGACUUCCCUGAUGAGGAGAUUCUGUAUUUGAAAAUGAAAGAUUGUGAUGAGCCUACACUUCAUGAAGGUCCGGAACCUGGUUCCAGAUGGACGAUGGUGUUUGAUGGCGCUGUGAAUCAGUAUGGAAAUGGAAUUGGGGCAGUAAUCAUUACUCCUCAUGGCACUCAUAUUCCGCUUAAAGCAAGGCUAACUUUCAAAUGCACAAAUAAUAUAGCGGAGUACGAGGCCUGUAUCAUGGGAUUGGAAGAAUGCAUUGAUUUGAGAAUCAAGCAUCUUGAUGUGUAUGGUGAUUCGGCCCUAGUUGUUAAUCAGAUUAAGGGUGAAUGGGAGACGAAUCAGCCAGGUCUCAUUCCGUACAAAGAUUAUGCGAGAAGGAUUUCAACUUUCUUUACAGAAGAUGAUUUUCAUCAUAUUCCUCGAGAAGAUAAUCGGAUGGCAGAUGCUCUUGCUACGCUUGCUUCAAUGAUUGUGGUAAAGUAUUGGAAUGAAGUUCCCAAUAUUGCCGUGAUGCGCUUGGAUAGACCAGCUCACGUAUUUGCAGUAGAAGAAGUGAAUGAUGACAAGCCUUGGUAUUUUGAUAUCAAGAAUUUCCUCCAGAACCAGGUCUACCCGCCCGGGGCAUCUGUGAAAGAUAGGAAAACUUUGAGAAGGUUGUCAGGCAGUUUCUACCUCAGUGGUGAAGUGCUGUAUAAGAGAAAUUUUGACAUGGUUUUGCUCAGAUGCGUGGAUAGACACGAAGCAAACCUAUUGAUGACUGAGGUCCAUGAGGGUUCAUUUGGUACUCAUUCCAAUGGACAUGCCAUGGCUAGAAAGAUGUUGAGAGCAGGCUACUAUUGGCUGACAAUGGAGUCUGACUGCUGCAAGUAUGUGAAGAAAUGCCACAAGUGUCAGAUUUAUGCGGAUAAGAUUCAUAUUCCUCCGACACUUCUGAAUGUGAUUUCAUCACCAUGGCCUUUCUCUAUGUGGGGAAUUGACAUGAUUGGCAUGAUUGAGCCGAAAGCGUCCAACGGACACAGGUUUAUUCUCGUAGCAAUUGAUUACUUCACCAAAUGGGUUGAAGCCGCUUCGUANNNNNNNNNNNNNNNNNNNNNNNNNNNNNNNNNNNNNNNNNNNNNNNNNNNNNNNNNNNNNNNNNNNNNNNNNNNNNNNNNNNNNNNNNNNNNNNNNNNNNNNNNNNNNNNNNNNNNNNNNNNNNNNNNNNNNNNNNNNNNNNNNNNNNNNNNNNNNNNNNNNNNNNNNNNNNNNNNNNNNNNNNNNNNNNNNNNNNNNNNNNNNNNNNNNNNNNNNNNNNNNNNNNNNNNNNNNNNNNNNNNNNNNNNNNNNNNNNNNNNNNNNNNNNNNNNNNNNNNNNNNNNNNNNNNNNNNNNNNNNNNNNNNNNNNNNNNNNNNNNNNNNNNNNNNNNNNNNNNNNNNNNNNNNNNNNNNNNNNNNNNNNNNNNNNNNNNNNNNNNNNNNNNNNNNNNNNNNNNNNNNNNNNNNNNNNNNNNNNNNNNNNNNNNNNNNNNNNNNNNNNNNNNNNNNNNNNNNNNNNNNNNNNNNNNNNNNNNNNNNNNNNNNNNNNNNNNNNNNNNNNNNNNNNNNNNNNNNNNNNNNNNNNNNNNNNNNNNNNNNNNNNNNNNNNNNNNNNNNNNNNNNNNNNNNNNNNNNNNNNNNNNNNNNNNNNNNNNNNNNNNNNNNNNNNNNNNNNNNNNNNNNNNNNNNNNNNNNNNNNNNNNNNNNNNNNNNNNNNNNNNNNNNNNNNNNNNNNNNNNNNNNNNNNNNNNNNNNNNNNNNNNNNNNNNNNNNNNNNNNNNNNNNNNNNNNNNNNNNNNNNNNNNNNNNNNNNNNNNNNNNNNNNNNNNNNNNNNNNNNNNNNNNNNNNNNNNNNNNNNNNNNNNNNNNNNNNNNNNNNNNNNNNNNNNNNNNNNNNNNNNNNNNNNNNNNNNNNNNNNNNNNNNNNNNNNNNNNNNNNNNNNNNNNNNNNNNNNNNNNNNNNNNNNNNNNNNNNNNNNNNNNNNNNNNNNNNNNNNNNNNNNNNNNNNNNNNNNNNNNNNNNNNNNNNNNNNNNNNNNNNNNNNNNNNNNNNNNNNNNNNNNNNNNNNNNNNNNNNNNNNNNNNNNNNNNNNNNNNNNNNNNNNNNNNNNNNNNNNNNNNNNNNNNNNNNNNNNNNNNNNNNNNNNNNNNNNNNNNNNNNNNNNNNNNNNNNNNNNNNNNNNNNNNNNNNNNNNNNNNNNNNNNNNNNNNNNNNNNNNNNNNNNNNNNNNNNNNNNNNNNNNNNNNNNNNNNNNNNNNNNNNNNNNNNNNNNNNNNNNNNNNNNNNNNNNNNNNNNNNNNNNNNNNNNNNNNNNNNNNNNNNNNNNNNNNNNNNNNNNNNNNNNNNNNNNNNNNNNNNNNNNNNNNNNNNNNNNNNNNNNNNNNNNNNNNNNNNNNNNNNNNNNNNNNNNNNNNNNNNNNNNNNNNNNNNNNNNNNNNNNNNNNNNNNNNNNNNNNNNNNNNNNNNNNNNNNNNNNNNNNNNNNNNNNNNNNNNNNNNNNNNNNNNNNNNNNNNNNNNNNNNNNNNNNNNNNNNNNNNNNNNNNNNNNNNNNNNNNNNNNNNNNNNNNNNNNNNNNNNNNNNNNNNNNNNNNNNNNNNNNNNNNNNNNNNNNNNNNNNNNNNNNNNNNNNNNNNNNNNNNNNNNNNNNNNNNNNNNNNNNNNNNNNNNNNNNNNNNNNNNNNNNNNNNNNNNNNNNNNNNNNNNNNNNNNNNNNNNNNNNNNNNCAACUGAAGCUUCGAAUACAUCGAGAUUCAAAUUGGUAGAGAAAGGAUCAUUAUGUUCAAUGUAGCCCUCUUCCAAUAUAUAUCACUGAUUUCAAAUUUGUACAGAUCUAUGGAGUCUUGCCAUUUGCAGGCUACCAUUCCAUCAAAUCAAUUUGAGCUUUCAUCCAAUUAUUUGCACUCUUAUUUGUUUCAAUUCAACAAAUGUUUUGCAUGUUUUAAUUGAUAAAAUGUCAUUGUUUUAAACAAAUAAAAUUUUUCAAAAUUUGUUGUUUUAAAUAAAGUGAACAUUCACAAAGAUGAAAGGAUACUUAAGAAUUUCUCAGUGCUCUCCCAAGGGUGGCAUGAUUUCCAACAGGUAAGACAUUUGUUCAUAUUCCUGGCAUUGGUUAUAUCCUCUUUCUCCAGUUUUGUUGUAGGGGUUGUUCCCCAAGCAGAGCUUUUGUAGGGAUUGUUCCCCAAGCAGAGAUGUUGCUGAAGACUUCGUUUUCUUCUCCAGCAGUUUUUUCUUCCUAGCAUGGGUGUUUUCCUUUUGGAAGAUUCAGUAAUUGGUGGUUGGAGACCCUGGUACCCCGUCACUCUCCCUAGUGCAGUCACCGGAUGAGUUGUUGCUUCUUUCCUCAGCACAGUCGCUAGUGGAAUCUGUGAUAUAUCCCCAAAGUAGAGCGCUUGUGGAAGACUUCGUUUGCUCCAGCAGUACCCUCUUCCCCGGCCAAGUCGCCAGUAGAGUUGCUAUAUCUCCCCAUCAGUGCGCUUAUCCCUUCAGCAGGGUAGUGAUUGUGUUCCUCCUCAACAGUUGUGGAUGUUCUCCUCAGAAGGUGUAGCAUUCGGUGGUUGAUCCCCAGCUCUCUUCCAUAUCCCCAGUGGAUUCCUCAGUGGAUUCCCCAGCCGUCAGUAGAUUUGUGGUUUGGUGGAUUGUAUUUGUGCAAAAUCCCCAAUGGAGUUGGUAUUCCCCAACAGAGUCAGGAUUGUAUCUGCAAUAAUCCCCUCAGAGUCUCCGUCAGAGCUGGUAUCCUCGACAGAUUUGCUUUUGUGGCAGUUUCCGCUUGUUGAAACCUCUGUUUCCCUAGUAGGUUCGGUUGGUGGUCUAUCAUCCAGAGAUUUGGUUGAUUUCCUGAUCGCUUUUGAUCCUCAGUAGAGUGGCUUGUUGCAGAAUCUACUUGUGUGAUCUAUUCUUCCUCCUCAGUGGGUGUGUUCCCCGAUGGAGUGGCUACGUGUGUUCUCCCCAGGUAGAGUUGCUUGUGCAGUGGAUUCUACGUGGAUGAUCUGUUCUCCCUCAGUGGGUUAUUCCCCAGUGGAGUUGUUGUGGAGUUGCUUUCAUAGCAGUUCUCGCUUGUGCAGUGAGCUCUUGUUCCCCUGCAGAUGUUUUGGGAUUUCUCCCGCCUCCCCAACAGAUUUGUCUUUGUGGCCGUUGUUGCCUGUUGUGACUUUCUGUGCCAGUUGGGUUGAUUGUCGAUCCAUCACUUAGAGAUUUGGUGAUAUCUCUGAUCUUUUGCCUCCCCGCAGAUCUUUGCUUUUCAGCAUAUAGAUCUCCAGCAGAUUGGCUUUCCAGUGGGUUUUCCUCUGGAAGUAUAGUACCGGGCGUUUGAUUCCUGGACCUGUUGUGUUGGAUAUGUCUGUUUUGUCAGCAUUCAUCAAACAUAAAACACGCAUAUUCAUGCAUGUUCAUAAACAUUCAGAUAUUCAUGUUGCACUUUUUGCCAUAUAUCUUCUAUUUGUUGUUUUCCUGCUUUGGGUGAUAUAGAUCUCUCUAUAGAUCUUCCCAAGCAGAUGUCGGGUGUUUAAAUCUCUCCAUAUAGAGUCAGCCCCAUAAGCAGAAAGCGUCUGUCUUUCCUUCUGCAGUUCCCCACUGAGAUAUACCCUCGUGGAUGACAGUUUCUUCCGUUUCCUCCCAACACAUAUAUUGGGAUGGAUGUUCCUAUUGGGUUAUAUCCUCAUAGGACGUGUUUUGUUUCAGUUUGUCUUUUCGGAUUGAUCCCGAAUUGGCUAUUCGUCAACUGUUUCUUGUGCUUCCCUGCAGAAUAAAUGAAUGAACUGCCCAGUAACCGACAAUAAUUCUUUUAUCCCCAGCGGAAUCUUUUUGGGCCUCUACCCAGUAACCGGUAGUUGUAAGUCCUAUGUUCUUGCUUUUUGGCGGAAUUUGUGGUUAUAUACCUUUUAUUCCUCGGCAAGAGUUGGUUGGUUUUCUACCCAGUAGUCGGUAGUCGUAAAUCCUCUUUUCUUACUCUCCAGUAGAGUUUGUGGUUUGUUAUAAACCCUAUUUUUGUUUCCCGUGCGGAUUUGUGAUCCUUUCAUUCCCACGUGGAGUUGUUGGUUUUCUGCCCAGUAUUCGGUAGAUGUAAACCCUAAUUCGUGUUUAUCCCCACCAGAGUUUUUUUGGCUACUACCUUGUAUUCGGUAGUUGUAAGUCCUAUCUCUUUUCCCCUAGCAGUGGUAACCUUUGUGGUUCGUUCUGCUUAUUGGUGGAUUUUUGUGCUGUUGUGGUUUUGUCCCCAAUGGAGUUGGUGUCUCUCUGUGGAAUAAGUUGAAUAAUUGCUCAAUAUUUGGCAUUCAUUCAUCCUAUCCCCAGUUGAGUCUGUGGUCUUCUACCCCGUAUUCGGUAUUUGUAAAUCCCAUGUUGUAAUUUUUCUCCCCAGCGGAGUUUGUGCCUUGUGGUACAGGUGGAUAAUUGCCGGUUGCUAGCAAUUUUAUCCCCAGCUGAGUCUUUGGUUCUACCCAGUAGUCGGUAGUGUUAAACCUCUUGUUUCCUCAGCCAGAGUUUUUGGUAUUCUACCCCGUAUUCGGUAGUUGUAAACCCUAAUUUCUCAUCUUUGCAGAGUUAACCCUGUUGUUCAUCCUAACCGAUGAUGGUUACUCUUUGUGGUUAUCUUCAUUCGUUGUUCGAUGUUGAUAUUCUUCCUUGCUUCUGGACAAUUGCCGAUUGCUAGCAAUUGUAUCCCCAGCAAGUCUUCUGGAUCAUUGUCGUAUGCUUGCAAUGUUAUCCCCUUUUGAAGUCGCCAGUGGGUCCUUUCACCGUUUGCUAGUGAUUUGUUCCCCGGAUCAUUGAUUGUUUAUCAAUGCAUUCCCAGCUAGUCCUUGUGGGUAAUUGCCGGAUGCUUGCAAUUCAUCCCCAACGGAUCGCCUUUCGUUUACCCGUAUGCUUGGUAUCGAUUGUCUCUCUUUUUGGUUAGUCACCUAUUAUAUGCCCUAACCCGGUAUCUUUGGUGUCUUUUCCUUUCGAGUAUAUUAUUCACGUUCUGACGGUAAUGAAUAAUAUAUCUCAUGCGCUCUUUGGUUGGAAUCCUUUGUUGAUCUUCCCCAGUAGAGUAAGAUUCGUAUUCUUUGUAGAAUCGAAUAUCCAUCCUUUAACCAGUUUGUGUUUUGGAUGAUGAGUGUUGAGUUUAAAAACCCAAUCCACGUCUUCGGUAGAUCACCUAUUAUAUACCCAGUAACCGUAUCCCUGGUGUUUCUACAUGCGAAGUAUAUUAUCUACGUUCUGACGUAAUAGAUAAUAUAUCUCAUGCGAGUAUUCUAUCCAUGUUCUGACGGUAAUGGAUAUUAUAUCUCAUGCACUCUUUGGGUUUGUGUCCCCAGUUGAGUAAGAUUCGUUUUCCCGUUGUGGAUUUGAAUGUCCAUCCUGUAAGUCGAUUUUCUUUUUCAAGCCCUCCUUUCGGAUGACGAGUGUUUUGGCAGUAAAAACCAAUUCACGCUUUGGUCGGUCACCUAUUAUAUACUUCGGUAUCCCUGGUGUUCCCUCCUUUCUGCUCCCUAUUAUGACCUUGGUCCCUGAUGGAGUCAGAUUCUCCUGAGUUGAUGUACCUUUUUCAGGUCUUUCUAAGAUGUUUGGUUGAUUGAUAUCUCUCACCCUUAUACCGGUCUUAGAUAUUAAUUCUUCCUGAGUUUGUUGCCCUUAUACCGGUAACAUCUCAUUUCCUUGUUGCUUUUCCCCAGGAGAGUUUCUUUGUUAGAUACUUUUCCAGUGGAGUUUCUUGUGGUGAUUUUUACCCUUUGUUGUAUUGGCGUUUUCCCCAAUAUAUGCGUUUUUCCCCGGCAGGAAGGUUCUUUGUGAAUUUUUUCCUGGUCCGAGUCCGAAUUUUUAUCCGAAGUAUCCUUUGUGGAUAGUUUGAGUCAGCUUGUGCCUUUCCAAUGGAUGUGUUGUCCUUUGGAAUUCUUUCUUUUCCCCAGUGUGAGUCCUUUACUCCCCAGUGAGGUCUCCGGUACAGUCGUGUCUUGUUCACGCUGUGUCAGUAUUAUUUUCCCCAAUUCAGAGUCGUGUCCUGCUCACGCAUUCUUUUUCUUUUUUAUCCCCAACAAAAGUCUUGUUAGAGUCUUUGUUCCUGGUAAGUGUAUUACUCCGACGGAUCGUCUUUUUCUUCUGUGUGAAUCAUAUCCCCACAGAGUCUGUGUCUUUUGCAUGCAUACAUCUGCAUCACGAGGUCUCUUAGGGACCAAAAUUUGUCUCAUUACUAUUAUUUAAGCCCAUUCUACCGCGUCGAGAUGAAGAUUUCUAAACUUCACUUCUCCGGCUAGAAUGACCUUAAAUAGGGGCAUCUGUAAGACCACAAUUUUGGCCCUAAGAUCCCUCAUGGCCCAUAUUUUUCUAAACUUCACUUCUCCGGCUAGAAUGACCUUAAAUAGGGGCAUCUGUAAGACCCCAAUUUUGUCCCUAAGAUCCCUCAUGGCAUCAUAUCAUAUCAUAUCAUUGCCUCAAGGAUCAUGGUGCAUUGUGCCUCUUUCCCUAGUGGGUGGGUUAUCUUUUGAGUGUGGUUCUUGAUCACCAAGCAUGUUUUGCAUUUGUAUAUCAUUGCUUUUAAUUUUCCUACUAACCAAAAGUACAAAAAUAUUGUCAUCUAACCUUGUUACUUGCAGAUGAAGCAACAGUAGGUCAAACCAGUCAAAGGCAUUCAUUGAGCCAUAGAUGGUGGCCGUUCUGAAGAAUUUGGGCACCAUUGAUCAUUCACAAGAGUUCAUAUGAGCUGUGACUUCAUUUUGAAUCAAGAUCUCAAGUGGUAGAGGCUUGAAUUUCAUCAGAGCAUAGCUAGGUCAACUGAAACACUAGAAAAGUCAACACAAGUCAACUGUGCAUUUAAUCAUGGAUUUGAAGGUGGGAGAUGGUUUGAGAGACCUUAUUCAUGUCCAUACAAGUCUCAUUUGACAUAUCAAACAUCAACAUGGAAGAAUUUGAGGUCAGACAAAAAGUUUCCAAAAAUAGUAAGUGACAUGUAAUUUCAAACUGCCAAAAAUGGAAAGGUCUUCUCCUCAAAUUUACAUCAUCAAGCAAGCUUCAAGCCAAAUUUUGUCCAACAUGAAAGUUUAAGAUCUUGCUCUCACCUUUCCAAAAAGUCCAAGAACAUGAAUUUCUCAUUUGUGGUUGGAGAGUUAUGAUCAAAUCAUUGUCAAGGAAUUUUGAACUUCAAGCUUGCAUAACUUUUGCACCAAAUGGCCAAUUGGAAUGGUUCUUUUUGCAACAUUUCACUCUUGAUAUUCUCUAUCAUAAUCAUGCAUCACAUUUCAUCAUUUCUCAUUACAAAAAUAUUUCAUUUUUCACUUGAAUUAAUUUGAUUUUUGGAGGGAAAAUAUCCAUUUGAAAAAUAUGCAUCAUUUUCAAUUCCAACCAAUCCCAUUUGCAUCAAAACAGAUUUUGCAACUUGCUCCAAGUGAAAUUCGAGCACUGUAGCAUGCCAUGCACAUGUGAGGGUAUUUUGGCCAAGUUGCAUAACACUUCAUUUCACUUAAUCCAUUUUGCAUUAGCUUAAUCAUGAUUAACUAGUGUGAUUAGCAGAGGGUAUAUAAUGAUGAUCCUAACAUAAUUCAUCAACAACAACUUCACAAUUUCAGAUCUGAAAAAUUUCACUUCAUUGAUCUCUGAAGUUUUUUUCGAAUUUCUUCAUAAGCAUUGGCUGGUUCUUGGUUUAUUCAUCAUCUCCAAGCACAAUUGAAGAUUGUUGAAGCAAAAUCUUGAAGAAUUCAAGCUAAAUCGUGGACUGUUGAAGCACAUGAACAUCCAUGGCAGUUGAGAUUUUUGGAUCAAUCGAGCACUGCUGAGCUGUUCUUCAUCAUCCUUUCAUCUCUCUAAACAUUGUGGAGCAUCUGUUUUAACUUGCCAGGACCUAAGAAGCACGAUUUCACUUCUGCAUCUUCAUUGAGCUUUGUUUCAGGUUACACAUUCAAGUUACACAAUUGAUGAUGCCUCAUCUUGGGAACAUUUGAUAUUUGCUUUUGCUUACUAAUGUGUGUUUUGUAGGUUGAAGUUGAUUCAAUUGGGAUUGACUUGUGGCUUAUGCCUUUGCUUAUUGGUUGACUGUUGAUAUUAACUGUUGGUUUGGUUAUCUGUAUAGCAUACUGAUCUGUUUGAUGUUUUCAGGUACAGUAGUUGCUUAAGUUCAUAUUGAACUUGCUUUUUCUUGUUUGUUUAACCAAUUAGGUAUACUUUCUCUUCUUCAUGUAGUCUGGAAGACCUGGCUUGUUAUGUGGUCAGGCACCUGUCUGAAGUCCUCCUUAAGAGGCAAUGUUUGUGAUUGUUUAUCUUUGUCCCCAAGCAGGAAAAGUCCUUGGAUAAGGCAAUUGGUAGAUAAAAGAGAUGUGUAGUCCAUCUCCUACUAUUCUGUGUGUCUUCCCUUUGCUCACAUUACAUGUUGUAGCAUUGUGGAUCUUAACCCAAGAUCUAUAGAGUCAUUAACUUGUGGAGAGAGUUCCAACUUUCUGAACUCCCACACCUUCUAUCAUUUGAAGCUCUCCCUGACCAGGGAUAAGAGCAAUGAGGCACACCCCUCAUAUCCUUUCAUCUGCUUCACCUUAACUCUCAAUGUUAAGGUUAAGAGCACCACUUACCCCAUUCCAGUUGACUUUAAAGUCUAACCCUUGCUUGAGCCUAAUUGCUUGUAUAUAGUGUGUGCUAACUGAAUCAUUGAUUGCUUAUUGGUUCAUCUGUAUAUGUUUGCUUGUUUGCCUUUGUGCAUUUGUCAUCAUUAAUUGUUCAUUAUUGCAUGGUCAUCAUUGCAUAUCUUUGUGACACAUCUGUGUUUGUCCAUUGAGGAAUCAACAGUAAGACCAUUCAUUGGCCAUUGUUCCUAUGAUUUGGAAGGGAUUGAGUGUAAGACCAUUUCAUUGGCCACUUAUGUCCUCUUUGCCUAGUGCUUUGUUUGUUUGUUGUAUGUGAGGAUGCAAUUGUAAGUCCAUGUUGUUGGCAUUUGUAUUCCUAUGAUCAUCCUGUGGAGGUUAGAGUAAGCCCAGAUAGAUUGGCAUCUGACAUCCAUGUUUUGUUUUGCUUUAGGAGAUUGGAAUAAGUCCAUUUAUUGGCAUCUGAUAUCCCUGUUUGUUUUAGGAGACUGGUGUAAAUCCAUUUAUUGGUAUCCGAUAUCCACCUUUGUUUGUGAGAUUGGUAUAAGUCCAGCAAUUGGCAUCCGGUAUCACUUGUUUCGCUUAUUUGUUAUUGCUCAUUUGCAUAUUCCUAAGGACACACUUGAAUCAUCUUCUAUAUGAUCUCAAGAGGUGAACCUUUCUGAGAAGUUUUACACUCCAUUAUCCAUACCCUUUUUGUCCUAAACCUUUUCACAUGCUGCUUUCAAACUUGAAAUAAUUGUUGUGCAAACAUCUUCAUGUCUUUUCAAAUUAGAAACCUGGACCUUAAGUCCUUGAUUUUCCAAACUCCACUUUUGAUAACACUUCUUUCUGAAUUGAAUCUUAAUCAUACCUUGACCAUAUUUUGUGAAUAUUCAUAAUCAAUUAACUUCACCCAUUCAAUUGUUUUGAUGGCUUUGUCCAUUCUUGUUAAGUUUUUCACACAUUAGCCAUAGGUUUCAAUUACCAUAGUGGUUGAUGUAAAUCUUACCUUAUCCUUAGUUGAGUUGAUUGUAAGUCUUCCAUACUUAUUAUAGGGUUAACCCCUCACUAGUAUGUUGAAGCCGUCCUCGCAUGGUGGAUUGUUGAUUCAGGUUGAGUUUUCUCCCAUUGGUAAUAAAAAACCUUAGGGCUUGUGUUUUAAAAUGAAUUCACUAAUUUUUGGAAAUCUUUUAGCCGAACUACGGCGUUUUGAUCCUUACCUUUCAUGGAAGGUACGUAGGCAACGGGUUCAUCCGUUCAAACACAAAAANNNNNNNNNNNNNNNNNNNNNNNNNNNNNNNNNNNNNNNNNNNNNNNNNNNNNNNNNNNNNNNNNNNNNNNNNNNNNNNNNNNNNNNNNNNNNNNNNNNNNNNNNNNNNNNNNNNNNNNNNNNNNNNNNNNNNNNNNNNNNNNNNNNNNNNNNNNNNNNNNNNNNNNNNNNNNNNNNNNNNNNNNNNNNNNNNNNNNNNNNNNNNNNNNNNNNNNNNNNNNNNNNNNNNNNNNNNNNNNNNNNNNNNNNNNNNNNNNNNNNNNNNNNNNNNNNNNNNNNNNNNNNNNNNNNNNNNNNNNNNNNNNNNNNNNNNNNNNNNNNNNNNNNNNNNNNNNNNNNNNNNNNNNNNNNNNNNNNNNNNNNNNNNNNNNNNNNNNNNNNNNNNNNNNNNNNNNNNNNNNNNNNNNNNNNNNNNNNNNNNNNNNNNNNNNNNNNNNNNNNNNNNNNNNNNNNNNNNNNNNNNNNNNNNNNNNNNNNNNNNNNNNNNNNNNNNNNNNNNNNNNNNNNNNNNNNNNNNNNNNNNNNNNNNNNNNNNNNNNNNNNNNNNNNNNNNNNNNNNNNNNNNNNNNNNNNNNNNNNNNAUAUGUUUUCAUACAUUAGCCAUAGGUUUCAAUUACCAUAGUGGUUGAUGUAAAUCUUACCUUAUCCUUAGUGAGUUGAUUGUAAGUCUUCCAUACUUAUUAUAGGGUUAACCCCUCACUAGUAUGUUGAAGCCGUCCUCGCAUGGUGGAUUGUUGAUUCAGGUUGAGUUUUCUCCCAUUGGUAAUAAAAAACCUUAGGGCUUGUGUUUUAAAAUGAAUUCACUAAUUUUUGGAAAUCUUUUAGCCGAACUACGGCGUUUUGAUCCUUACCUUUCAUGGAAGGUACGUAGGCAACGGGUUCAUCCGUUCAAACACAAAAACAAUAAAAAUUGUAUAUUCUUUUCUCAUCUUCCCAUUCAUGUUUGCACAAUAAUAUUUUCAUAACAAAUAACAUUUUUAUACAACAAUUGUGAAAAGGGUUCCCUAGGAGUACCUAGGACGUUUUGGGUGCCUAACACCUUCCCAUUGCGUAAUUUACCCCUUACCCAGAUUCUCUGAUCUUUUUCAUUAGUUUUCUAUGUGUAAAACUUCUUAGGCUUUUGUUCGCUUUUUAGCCAUUCCUUAGGAUAAAUAAAAGUGCGGUGGCGACUCAAUUUCUUUGUAUGCUUUGCUUUUGAUUUAGUCAAUAAAUCAUAAAGUGACGAAUGCACCGCUACACAUAGGUUCAUAAAAGAAUGGUUUCAAAUGAUCAAAAUAUGUCUCAAAAAAAUUUGUCAGUCUAAGAACUUUGAGUCGACUCACAUCCUGGAGCGGUCGAUUCAUUCAUACAUAUCCCAGUCUGUGAAACUCUCAGGUCUGAACAGGUCGAGUCAUAGGUUGACUCAAUCAUGGGAAAACCAAAUAAGUCGACUCGUCCACAUAAUUAUGUUGACUCAUUGCCUGUUUCAUUUAAACCAUGAUUGCCACGGGUCUAAACAGGUCAAGUCAUAGGUCGAUUCAACUCUGGAAAAACCCUGUUUGAGUCGACUCAUCCCCUGUUUGAGUCGACUCAUCGUCUGCUUCAUUUGAGUAGUUUUUGCCUCGGGUCUGCAUCAUAUAAAUAUUCUAGAGUCUCUUCUUCAACAAACAAAAAAGAAAAGUGAAAGACAUAUACUAACGUGCUCUUCAUCUUCAUUCUUCAUUGCAUUUCUCAACAACUACACAUAACAAUUUUUGUUGAUCAUUGUGCAUGGUUGUGGUGAUAAUGUCCAAAUAGGAUUGUGUAAUCUUAGUUUGGGUAGAGGCUUUGAGUGGGUUUUUCUUGAAUAAAACCAUUGGGGUUUUGUCCUCCAAGAAUUGGGUUUUUUUGCACUAAUAUUUGCUUCAUAGAUUCAGUCGAGUGAAAGGUUUGAAGAACGGUGGGUUCGUUGAAACAAGUAACGGUAACCGGAGGAUUGUGAAGGAAGGUUAGGGUUCAAGCGUCUUGCGACUGAAGUUAGCCGAGCUAGAAUUUUGGAAAAUGUGGAAUUCUUGCAAUAAGGUAGCUACAACCGGAGCUUUCAUGCAUAUCUGAUUGAAAUCAGUUGAGCUAGAGUUUUGGAGAACGUGGAGUUCUUGCAAUAAGGUAGCUACAACCGGAGGUUUGUUCGGAAUGCUUGAAGGAUUUGGUUCAACUCAAACCAAGAGGGGAGAAGUGAAUAGGAUCUGCAACAACAUUUGGGGUUGGUUUGUGGUGAUCAUUUUUCUCUUGUAUUAACUUUGCAAUUUGAUAAUAAAUAUCUCAGUUCUAGUUUUAGAAUUGGGGGCAGACGUACCCUAAGCGAGGACAAAAGGGGAACUGCCUAAACAAAUCUGAUGUUGUUCUCUCUUUCUCUUAACUCUUUAAAUUUUGCAUUACUUGAGUCUUGUGUGAAUUUAAUAGUAAAAUUAAUCUCUCUUAAUUGUUGUGCAUAGAAUUUGUUCGAUAAAUUGGUGCAAUCACUUUGAUUGCAACUAAGUAAAAUUCUGCACAUUCAAUUUGAGUGAAAUUGAGACUUGGUAUGAAAUGCACACCAAGUGUUUGAUAAAAUUAACCUCACACAAGUCUAUCAAUAUUUUACUUGUUCUCUUAUUGUGUUAACUCGUCGUUAGUGGUAACUAUAUCAAGGAUUGGGGUAAUUAAUCGAUUGGUUAAGAUAGUAGUUGAUUAUCUCUAUCUUAGUUAUUCUAUUUGGUUUCACGCAUAUCUAAUCUUUCCAUUAAUGGAUCGUUUAGACGAUUAUGUUCUUGGGAGCUUUCGCAACCUUUGAAAAAAAUUAAAAAGCACUAAAUUUAAAUAUUGAUCUAUUCAACCCCCCCCCCCCAUUCUAGAUCGUUACUAUCGUCUAAUAAGUGGUAUCACGAGCUCCAAUUCAUCUAGUGCUUUGCAUAUAACUUUUUAGAAAAUGAGUAACGAUCCUAAAGGGUCGUACAAUAGAGCGCCUAUUUUUACUGGUGAAAACUAUAGUUAUUGGAAAGAUCGUAUGCGUAUCCAUAUCAACUCUAUUGAUAGGAAGGUAUGGAAAGUCAUCCAAGAUGGUCCUAUGGAAAUAACCAUGACCAAUGCGGAUGGUGUUGUUAUACCUAAACCUGAAGCACAAUGGAAUGCAAAAGAUGAGGAAAAGUAUAGUUAUGAUUGGAAAACCAGAAAUAUGAUCAUCGCCGCCUUAGGUAUUGGUGAGUAUUAUAGGGUUUCCCAUUGUACUAGUGAUAAAGCUACGUGGGACUCAUUGCAAAUUACCCAUGAGGGAACCAAUGAUGUCAAACUAGCUAGAAUCAACACUUUAACUCAAGAAUUUGACCUUUUUCAUAUGAAGUAUGGUGAAACCAUUACCGAUAUGCAAAAGCGAUUUUCUCAUCUAAUCAAUAGGUCAAAUGCUCUUGAUAGAACUACCCCUAAUGAUGUUUUUACUAACAAAAUCUUAAGAUCUCUUAAUAGGGAUUGGCAGCCAAAGGUCACCGUGAUUAAGGAAGCCAAUGAUCUAAGAACAUUGGACAUGACAACAUUGUUUGGUAAGCUUCAAGAGCAUGAGCAAGAGCUCAUGAACCUUGAGAAACAUGAGAAGAGUCAAAAGAAGGAAAAAAAGGAGCAAGCUAAGGACACUGAAAGGAAGUUUAUCGCUUUAAAAGCUUCAAGAUCUAAGUCAUCCACCAAUGAUGCGUGUGAGAGUGAAUCAAGUGAUGAUGAUAAAGAUUUGAAUAAAGACAUGGGGUUGUUCGUAAGGAGGUAUAACUGAUACCUUAGAAAGAAUGAAAUUCAACAUUCGGAUAAAAAUAUUGUCAACUAUAGAAGACAAUCAAAAUUCCCAAAUCGAGAGGAAGGUAAGAUAACUAAGUCAAAAGGAUCAUGCUUUAAUUGCAGAAAGGUCGGUCACUAUAAGUCGGACUGUCCCUUGUUGAAGAAAGACAGAGGAAGAGACAAACGUCACAAUAAAUCUAGCAAAGCUAGAAGAGCAUACAUUGCAAGGGAGAGCGAUAGUGAGUCCUUAAGCGAUGAUAACUCAAGUGAUGAAGAAUAAAAUGUCAAUCUCUGUCUUAUGGCUCAUCAAAGGAAGAAAAAGAAUGUAAGUCAUUCUAAAUAUGACCAUGUUGAUAAAAUGUCUUAUUUUGACCUGUAAAAAGCCUUUAGUACUCUACACAAUAAGGCCAAGGAAGCUUUGAAACGCUUGGCCUCAAAUAAGAAAAUUUUCUGUUAUUUAGAAAAGAAUAUUUCUGAUUCCGAAAAGGAAUUAGAAACUCUUAAGGAAUCUAUGAUAGAGUCUACUAAAGGCAAAACUGAAAAUGAGAAGGGAUUUUGGUUUAGAUGGUCGGGAUGUGAAACUUGUCACAUUUGGAAAAGAGAGGUUAGGACUCUUCAAGCUAAGUUAGAUAAGGAUUUACAACCUAAAUUUACCUUUGAUAUUGAUCAAUCACAUUUUAGAAGUGACAUGAGUAAUCCUUAUUAAAAUUACACUUGUGUGGUAAAGGAUCAAGUUAGCAAAAGCAACUUUCAUCCGAACUUAAAUUGUCUAUAUUGUUGCAAGAGGGUGUCGCAACGCGAAAAACAACCGGCGGGGAAUAAACAGAGCUGCCACCGACGCUAUUCAUCCUAUGACGGAAAGGGAGCGCAGGACUAACCUAAGAGAGGGAAAGGAACGGUCUUACGACCAGAGAUUACAAGGUACGGGAGUCGGUUACGCAAGGGGAAGGUGUUAGCACCCCUCACGUCCGCCGUACUCGACGAGAUCCACGCUCAAAAGAUAGCUCAAAGGUACGGGAGUCGGUUACGCAAGGGGAAGGUGUUAGCACCCCUCACGUCCGCCGUACUCGACGAGAUCCACGCUCAAAAGAUAGCUCAAAGGAAAGGAAAAGGUUGCUGCUAAUAAACUGCUCAAAGAAACUGCACAAACUGGAACAGUAAACAGGUGGGGAAGAGAAAGAAAACGGAGGAAGUGGACUCGACAGGAUGUCGCAUCCUAGGCCUACGUAGUUUGUCAGAAACAAACAUCAGAGUCGACGUAGUUCGGAAAAAGGGGAUAUGCUCGCUAGGACAUCGCAUCCUAUGCCUACGUAUCUUCUCUAUCCAGAGGAGAAUCAGAGCACUCGUAGCUCGGCUAAUGCAUGCUGAAACAAGAUACCAAAAAGGGACGCUGAGACGUCGAAAGAAACACCCAAAAGGAAACAGAAUGCCAAUACAUGGACUUACACCCGACUCCUAACAAUAACAAAAAAGGAAACAAAAUGCCAAUACAUGGACUUACACCCGACUCCUAACAAUAACAAACGCUAACCAGCGAACACAAAAGAAAAGGUUAUCAGAACUAACCCCAACAAAGUAACCAAAUAUCUGGGGAAUAAGCUCCCGAUAUGUACAACCAAUCACCACAAAUGAACCCCGAAAGAUGAACUCCAAUAUGAACCCCAAAGAUGAACCUCAUGUGAAUAACAAUCAUCGCAAAUGAACCCCAAUAUGAAGAACAGUCAUCACAAAUGAACCCCGAGAUGAACCCCAAAUGAAUAACACUCAUCACAAAUGAACCCCCGAAGAUGAACCCCAAUAUGAACCCCAAGUAACAACAGAAGAAAUCCCGAAGAUGAACCCCAAUAUGAACCCCAAGUGAAUAUCAAUCGUCACAAAUGAACCCCAAGAUGAACCCCAAUAUGAAGAACAGUCAUCAUGAAUGAACCCCAAGAUGAACCCCAAAUGAAUAACAAUCCUCACGAAUGAACCCCAAUAUGAACCCCAAAGACAACAAAAGAAAUCCCCCAAGGUAUGAACAUGCAACACACACACGCCGAACAAACGGGUACUCACACCAAAGAAUCUAAAUAAAGGGUGAACACACGCGAAAACAAAGAAAAGGGUGCCCGGAGAUAUUGCUCUCAACCUCCUGCCUACGUAUCUCAUCUGGUAUGAGAAUCAGGGCGACGUAGUUCCCCUUACCAAGGGUAAAACACUCUCCUAACCAGAGACCAGGGAAACAACAAACUAAUAGGGAGACUAAGACUCGAGCCUAAUAGUUUUCAUGCAAUCAAAUAUCCCUAAGCUGAGGUCUCUAACAAGAAUUUGACUCAACCUGGACGCGAGUCAACUCAAGUCUAAACUCUUCAUACGUUCAACUUCCUCAGAAGUUAAUCGUACGAUUCCUAAAGAAAAGGAGAUGAGAAGAGGAAAGCAAAUAAACACACCAACACAAGUGAACAAGCAUCACACACUAUAUCCAUACAAGAGUCUCAGACAAUGGGUGGGCUUUAGUCAAGAGGGGUCAUAUCAACCUCGACAAACAAGUCAAACAUUAAUGGGUAAUCUGUAGCUCUUAACCACUGACAUUGAGCGUCAGGGUGAGCAGAUCAAAAUGGUAAUGAGGAUGAGACCCCAUAGCUCUUAACCCUGGCCAAGGUGAGCUUAUGACACGGAAAUCGUGGGGAUCCAGAAAGUGGGAUCCUUUUCCGCUUGACAGACUCUGGACAAAAGAUCUGGGGCACAUGUUCAGAAGCAUCAGCACGUAGUGCGAGCAUAAAGAACGACACACUGAAUAACAGGGGAUUAGCUACUAAUCCCUUUUAUCCGUCAAUUGCCUCUUCUCUUGGAGGUCUUAUCAAAUAUAACACAUGCCUCUUCUUGGAGGUCUUUGGGCACAAUUUUAAAUAAACACAAACAGAGCCUCUGAAGGAGGACUUGCCAGCAAAAUUCCUGCCAAAAAGGUGACAGGACUCCAGACUACAUGAAGUAAGAAGCUAACUACCUGAGUGGUGUGUCAACCACAAUCCAAUGCACAAGCAAGAGCUAAAGCAAGUAAGCAACUAAGGUACCUGUACAAAGACUAAACAGUUAGUACUUCAGUCAUAAAACCAGAAGACAAGCAGUGAAACCCUCUAACAGUUACACAAUUCAAUGCAUAAGGCCCCAGCACUCAACAAGCUCAUGAGCUCACCACAUCAAUUAAAACCUCAAAACAAAAAUAGGUCAGAACUCAAUGCAUUAUAUCUCAUAGGAACCCAAUCAUCAAUGAUGAGUAUCCACCUGAAACAAGCGACAAAGUUAGUUUAUGUAUAUCCAAUCAAACACAACAAAGCAUAAACAAACAAUGGCAUGAGAUGAAUUGAAUCACAAAUCAGGGAUACAACCAAUGUAAAAGAGGCAAAGUCUCAAACCACAAAGAAAACCCCAAACCAAGUCAAAGAAUGGACCAAGAACAAACCCUAAAACUAGGUCAAAACUCUAGUAUAAAGACAAGACUCAAAACCUAACCAAAUGACCAAUCCAGGACCCAUCCUUUUGCAUAUCACACAUUAAAACACUCCCUCAAAUGUCCUCAAAAUAACCAUCAUCAAAUCAAGGAUCAAGUAUCUCAACUUGCUUAUGUAAUGUAAUGACCAAAAAUAUGCACAAAAUGAACUUCCAAUUUAGAAAAUUCAUAUCAAAUCAGAAAUGCACGCAAUGACUUUGGGAUUUUUUGUAUAAGUUCCUUAUGCCAUGAAAGUUCAAUAUGCAAAAGAUCAAGUCCAGAAUGAUGCAAAUUCUAUGUGAACAAAAAUGCACCAAUUCAAUGUCAAAAAUGUGACACAAAUUGUCACAUUUUUCUCUAUGUGUCAAAAAUGAUGAUAACAAGUGAGAAAAAAUCCAAACCAGUGACCAAUAAUUCAUGUCAUGAAAAUUGGGACUCAAUUGGACAAUUUUUGGAUUUUUUAUGAAUUAAACAAAAUGACCAAAAUAAUUGAAUUAUAAAAUAGAAAAUGGAGGGAAACGAAAUAUUUGAAUAAAUCAGGAAAAACACAAGUCGUUGGAUCUGGCGCGCUCCAGAGAUCAACGCUCCUCAGUCAAACAAUGAAACGCACCGUUUCAUUAAUCCCAGUCACACACACAGUCAUCAUUCAACGCAUGCGUGGCCUCAAUCAAACGCAUCGCAUCCAAUCAUUCUACCACACCUUGCUCCACAUGGCACACACUCAGCAAAACCUAGCCAUUAACACAGACGUCGGAGCUCCUCUCCGGUCGUCUUCUCCGACGAGCCCCCGGUGGCUCCCACGGCGGCGCCACCUUAAAAAUUUCCAGAAUUUCCCCAGGCCUAUAUCAUUCCACUCAAUUUUCCACGUUGAUUCCAAAUAUCACCUUAGUUUCUCCUAAUUCUCCCUAGGUUUGGCAAAUCGAAGAGAAUAAGUUUCUAGAUCCAAACUUCCAGUCGCCACUAUGUCCUUAAUUCUCACUCAGUCUCAAUUCUAAACAUAUAUUCAUGAUCUACACAUCAAGAUCUACAAUCCUAUAACCAAAAAUCAGCAAAAGGAGAGAGUGAAAUUGAAGUCACCUGGAAAUGGAGACCUCAGAAAUCACGAUCUCACGAGCUCAGCUGCUCCAGAUCAAUGCCUAUGGACUUCCUUUGAAGCUUUAUGCAAAAAUGAAUGGAUGAAACCUCUUGAAUGUGCCUCAAUUUCCAAAUCCGUUCAUCAUGAUAGUGCACUUGAACUGCUUGAUUUCUUGACGAAUUGCACCAAACGAUGGAUGAUUCUUGAUCAGUGAAGCAUGAGGAUCAAGAAUAUGCAAUGAUCUUUGAGGUUUGUGUGCAGAAAAUGCAAAUUCGAAGAGAGAGAGUUUUGGAGAGUUUCUUGAAUUCUAGAUCUGAAAAUAGUUGUUAUGGCAGUUAUGAUUAGGGUUUCUCUAUUUAUACUCCUUGCUAAUGACACUGGUAAUCAUUUUAGCCUCUUACUAAUCAUGAUUAGUGAGUUAUUAUGCAACUUGCAAAAAUGCAAAAUGAGCUCCCAUGGCCAUAAUGCACGUGUUCAGCCCCAUGCUAGUGUUUUAAUCCACUCAAGAACAACCAAGGGUCAAUAUUUGAAGAUUCUUUUGCUUGCAUCUUAAGCCAAGAAUGAAUGGUGAAGAUUUGCUUCAUUUUUGACAUGUGUGAACCAAUGAAUAUACACGCCUCCUUCAUGCAUGGCAAGGGUUCAUUUUUACUCCAAUAUGAUCUAUGAAGAAACCUGAAAUGAAGCCUUGCCUUGGUUCUUUGUGAAUUUUGAUUUGUAGCAUGAUAUCAUCCUAAGGACAAAUGUGAAAUAAUGUGACUUCUGACCAUGAUUCCUCUUGCACAAUCGAGCCAAAUGAUGUCAUUUUGAGAUGCCUUGAACAUGAGAAGAACUUUGCAAAAAGAAUGAACCAAUUUGAAGCAUUAUAUCAAAAGUUAUUCCAUUUUGAAUUUCCAUGCACACUUUGUGAUCAAAUGACCAUAACUCCUUAACCAUUCAUCAUAUGAACAUGAAUUAGGACUGUUUAGAAAGGGGAGACAAAGAUCUACAACUUUCAUGCUCACCAAAAAUCCAUUUGAUACUUCUUUGAUAUUGAAAAGUCAAGUUGAAAGUGGACCAAAAACUUGCCAAAUUUGAAAACUUUGAAUUAUAGGUCAUUUUCCAUUUUUAGUAACUUUUCCCAUGACCUUUGAAUCUUCAAGAUGGAUGUUUAGAAUGAUUAAUAGACCCCAUUUGAACAUGGUUGAGGUGUCUCAACUCAUUUCCCCCCUCAUAUCCCUCAGUUGUCUGCACAGUUGACUUUUGGUCCUCAAAUGACCUUGAAAUGUCCUGAUCAACCUGAGCCUCUACCACUUGGUUAAAUUGCUUCAAAAUGAAACCCUAGCUCAUGUAAGCUCCUUAUAAUAAUCAUGUGAUCCUCAUACCAAGAAAAUACCUCAUCUCUUUGAGAAACCCUAGCUGGAAGAACUGCAUUGAUUAGGGUUGACCAGAGGUCACAGACCCUAACCCGGGAACUUGAGGAUGAACUCUGAAACCCUUGAUGAUGAUAGAACCAUGAGAUGGUGAUAGUCUCUUGCGCAGAUAAAUAACAAUGGCUCAAAACCCUUGAAGAAUCAAGAAACCGCUAAUUGGAACCUCCAUACCUCAGAUGGUGAUGACCAAUUCAUAGAGACCCUCAGGCUUGAAUCACCUAACUUCUCCAUCUUUUGAAAAGACUUUGGAGGAUGAUCUUCUUAUUUUCAUAUGAGAUGCAAAAUGCAAUGCCUAAUGCCCUAAAACAUGAAAUUCAAUGCCCCAAACUAGUCUCAAGAAGAGGAGGGAAAAUUUUGAGGUGUUACAACUGCCCCUAUUCAAUCCACUAUGAACCUGUCGAUUUGAACAACCUCGGCUUUCAAAUGAUCAGGGUGAAGAGUGAUUGAAUACCAAGAACAAACGAACAAUUUGCGCUCCACUGGAAAAAUCUUUAUGUUAUUAUUUUUUGCUUUUCUUGAACCCCAAAAACUUCUUUGAUUUUUUUCUUGGACCCCUACACAAAUAUUUUUCUUUCGCGCGGAUGAUCCCGGAUCACCGCAUUUGAACCCCGACAACUUCAUGUCACUCGUGCUGCCAAACAAUGAACCCCGUUCUCCAUUUGAACCCCAGUCUCCUGACGAUAACUAUAGAUCGUCAUUGUGAACCCCAUUCUCCAGAAGACACCUUGCGUCUCCUUUUCUCCAUUUGAACCCUGUUCUCCAUUUUACUGUGAUAAUUCCGUUGGCAACAUCGGAAAUAACACCAACCACCACUCUGAUGGCGACAUACCAGAGGGUAGACCUUCACAAAAGGAAGGUAACAUGUGCAUUUCUUCCCUUGAAGACACCCAUAACGACUUCUGUUGGCCUCGCCAAAGCCUAAGGUGACACAUGAUCAGAAGACAAUCCUGAGGACCUCAUCCCAGAUACAAUCUUCAAUUCCAAUCUCCAUCUCCAGUUGAACCCCGUUCUCCAAAAAAUGCCCAGCACUUCCUUUUCUCCUAGUGGACCCUAAUCUCCGCGCUGAUCGCGUAACAUUCUCCAAUCUUUAUUUCCAUCUCCGCACGACGGAAUCGCUUCCUCCAAUAUCGCACUACUGGGGAAUACCGUUGAUUCAAAAUCAUGAUGCCAAACUCCUCAGAGUAACAUCUUCACCAACCAGCUAAACCAGCUCUCAAACGGUAACCACAACUCGAGACUAGCUUAUGCUUGUAAUGCAGAUGCAUGAGUUUUACAGCGUAAUGCUCCAUAACCAUGGAAAUGCUACGCCAUUAGUUAUGUAAUAUGCUAUGCUUCUCUAAAUGAUGAAUGCAUAAAAAGUUUCUCCCUCAGGGGACGGCAUGAGCAACUCUGUUAAGGAACUCGAUAUCGCUUCAACCUCCGACUCUGCUUGGGAUAUCACUGAUGUCGAGGAAAGAGUAACCCUUACUGGGGAUGACCUCUACUGAACUCGAUCUGCUUGGCGACUUUACUGGGAAAAACUACUAACGCACCCCCCUGCCGGGGAAACAUCAACCUUCAGGCCUGGCUGUUGAGGAAACACCGACCUCGAACCCGCUGGGGAGAUACAGAAUACUUGACAUGGAACACCCGUCAACUCGUCGAACACCGGUAUUCACCAUCUAACCACAGUGUCAACUUUCCACUUUUGAGAGCUCCCAGACUCAUCCGGUGUUUUUUGAUUCAUCACCUUGUAUUCUCGACUUCUCCAUACUUCAAGAAAAUCGACCUCCUUAGAUUCGCGCCAACUCUCCAGUCUUCGGACUUUGAAGAGUCUUCUUGAUUAACCCCCUAGGAUCGUCGCAAUUCUUUUGCCUUCUCUACACCAUUCUUCAAUUCCUCAUCCCUGAUUGGACCUCAAAGGAAUCUUUUCUCAAAAAGAAACGCUUCGCACCACCACCUGCAAGUGAGUGAAAAUAACCAACAGCACCUGCAAAAAAGAUCGUCAUAUAAAACGUUCCCCAGGCGCGCCAAAAUUUCAACACCCAGGUCACUCUACCUUCCGAAUAAGAUUUCAAGUUUCAAUCCUCUAAACAUGGUAACCUUCUCUGGGGAUGUAGAGUUUUACGUUUCUAAGAAUAGUUUUUAAACGGAUGUUUUUGCAAUCAAAGCGGUAAUGAAAACAAAAACAAAAUUAUUUGACUGAAUAUGCAUUUUAUUGAUUGGAAAAGGUGGCUCGUAACUGAGCAGUACACAGGAAGCAAUCCCUGAAAAGAGGUAAUUACGCACAAAAGGAAAAUCUAUCCUAAUGGCAAUGAGAACCCGUGAUCUCAUCGAGUUCCAACCCGGUUACAACCCAUAUGUCCUCAAGACUCUCCGCGCUUUCUGCCUUCCGAAACGAGACGCUUCCGACCGAUCUCCGCUUUCAUAUUAUCCAGGUAUCAAAUCCAAAGUACAAACGACCAUGCUAGACGCAGUUGCUCGUUUCACUCCCUCUUUUGCCUGGACCGCCCUUCCGGGUUUUCAGUCCACCGGGAUACCCUUUUUUGCCCAAGCCGCCCUUGUGGGGUUUUCGACUUGCCGGGUGUACAAUUUUUUUUCCUUUUUAUCCCUAAUUUUUGCCCGAACCUUUUUCAUUCUCAUUCAUUUUUUUUGGUUCGUCGGGAUGCCCAUUUUUUCCUGGACUAUUUUAUUCUUUCCGUCCAGCGGGUCUCUUAUACGAAGUAUUUUUUAAUUGCGUCCGCAUUCAAAGGGGAUGGAAAAUCCUCACCAUCCAUGGUCGUCAACAACAAGGCUCCGCCAGAGAAAACCUUCUUGACCACGAAUGGACCUUCAUAAUUGGGUGUCCACUUGCCCUGACGAUCGUUCUGAGGAGGAUAUCCUCACCAUCCAUGGUCGUCAACAACAAGGCUCCGCCAGAGAAAACCUUCUUGACCACGAAUGGACCUUCAUAAUUGGGUGUCCACUUGCCCUGACGAUCGUUCUGAGGAGGAAGGAUCCUUUUCCACACCAUAUCUCCCACAUGGUACACACGAGGUCGCACCUUUCGGUCAAAAGCACGCUUCAUACGCUGCUGGUACAACUGCCCCUAACAAAUGGCCGUCAGCCUCUUUUCCUCAAUCAGGCUCAACUCUUCAUACCGAGUCCUUACAAAUUCAGCCUCUUCCAAUUUCACAUCCAUCAGGACUCUUAAUGACGGAAUCUGGACCUCCACUGGUAGCACAGCUUCCAUCCCAUACACAAGCGAGAAAGGUGUUGCCCCAGUAGAUGUACGCACUGAGGUUCGAUACCCAUGCAAAGCAAACGACAACAUCUCGUGCCAAUCUUUAUAGGUCACGACCAUUUUUUGCACAAUCUUCUUAAUAUUCUUAUUAGCCGCCUCGACCGCCCCAUUCAUCUUUGGACGAUAAGGAGAAGAAUUGUGAUGCUCGAUCUUGAACUCCCGGCACAGUUCUACCAUCAUCUUGUUGUUUAGAUUAGAACCAUUAUUAGUGAUGAUUCUUUCGGGAACCCCAUAUCUGCAAAUGAUGUCUCUCUUCAGGAACCUGGCCACGACCUGUUUCGUCACGUUUGCAUAAGACGCCGCUUCCACCCACUUGGUGAAGUAAUCAAUAGCCACUAAUAUGAACCGGUGCCCAUUCGAAGCCGUAGGCUCGAUCUUUCCGAUCAUAUCAAUGCCCCACAUAGAAAACGGCCACAGAGACGACAUCAAACUCAACGGAUUUGGAGGCAUGUGCACCUUGUCAGCAUAAAUCUGGCAUUUAUGACAUUUCCGCACGAAGUUGAAACAUUGAGCCUCCAUUGUCAUCCAGUAAUAUCCAGCCCUUAGCAACUUUUUUACCACCGCAUUCCCGCCGACGUGGGUACCAAACGAUCCUUCGUGCACCUCUUUCAUCAAUUGGCUUGCCUCUUUUUCAUCGACAAAUCUGAGCAAAACCCAAUCAAAGUUCCUCUUGUACAAAACCCCAUCUUUAUUCAGAUAGAAUGCCAUAGCCAACCUCCUCAGAGUCUUUUGGUCCUUCUUAGACGCUCCCUCGGGAUACUCUUGGGUCUCCAGAUAACGCUUGAUGUCAUAAUACCACGGCUUUUCAUCAUCAGGCACUGUUUCGACAACAAACACAUAAGCUGGUCUAUCCAGCCGUCCCACCUCAACAUUAAGAGCUUGAUUCCACCACUACACUUUAAUCAAAGCGGCCAGAGUAGCCAAGGCAUCUACUAAAGGAUUUUCUUCCCUCGGCACAUGGUGUAAUUCCACCUUGGUGAAGAACGUCAACAAUCUCCUCGUAUAAUCCCGGUAUGGAAUUAAGUGGGAUUGAUGCGUAUACCAUUUCCCAUUAACCUGGUUCACAACCAAAGCUGAAUCUCCAUAAAUAACAAGGUUCUUGAUUCGCAAAUCAAUCGCCUCCUCGACACCCAAGAUACAAGCUUCGUAUUCAGCCACAUUGUUGGUGCAUUCAAAUGUUAGUCGGGCAGCAAAAGGAAUGUGGGAUCCCUUCGGCGUAACCAAAACAGCACCAACUCCGCUACCAUUCACGUUAACGGCCCCAUCAAACAUCAGAAUCCAUUCGGAUUCAGGGUCAGGCCCCUCCUCCGGGAUAGGUUCCUCACAAUCUUUCGAUUUGAGAAACAUGAUGUCCUCAUCAGGGAACUCAAACUUCAUCGGUUGAUAAUCCUCAAUGGGUUGCUGGGCGAGGUAAUCAGACAAUACACUCCCCUUUAUUGCUUUUUGAGAAGUGUACUGGAUAUCGUAUUCAGUCAAAAUCAUUUGCCAUCUCGCAACCCGUCCGGUCAAUGCUGGCUUCUCAAAUAUAUACUUGAUCGGAUCCAUCUUGGAAAUCAACAAAGUGGUAUGAACCAACAUAUACUGUCUCAGUCGGCGAGCAGCCCAUGCCAAAGCGUAGCAAGUUUUCUCGAGCAGUGAAUAUCUUGUUUCACAGUCGGUAAACUUUUUGCUAAGGUAAUAAAUUGCAUGCUCUUUUCGACCAGACUUGUCAUGCUGCCCCAGUACACACCCUAUAGACCCCUCAAGGACUGUCAAGUACAGGAUUAACGGUCGCCCCUCCACAGGAGGCAUCAGAAUCGGAGGCUCCUGUAAAUAUUCUUUUAUUUUUUCAAAUGCCACUUGACAAUCAUCAUUCCACCUGACCGUUUGAUCUUUUCUUAACAACUUGAAUAUGGGUUCACACGUGGCUGUUAGAUGAGAUAUGAACCGUGAAAUGUAGUUCAAUCUUCCUAAGAAACCACGAACCUCUUUUUCUGUCCUCGGUUCAGGCAUUUCUUGUAUCACUUUUACUUUAGCAGGAUCAACCUCGAUUCCUCUUUCACUUACAAUAAACCCCAGCAACUUGCUGGACCGCACUCCAAAAGUGCACUUAUUCGGAUUCAACCUCAAUUUGAAUUAUCUCAACCGGUCAAACAACUUGGCCAAGUCUACCAAAUGCCCUUCUUCUGUUUGUGACUUUGCUAUCAUGUCAUCAACAUAGCAUUCGAUCUCAUGAUGAAUCAUAUCAUGAAACAAGGUCACCAUAGCUCUUUGAUACGUGGCACCGGCGUUCUUGAGACCGAAUGGCAUCACCUUAUAACAAAAAGUGCCCCAUGGUGUGAUGAACGUUGUUUUCUCCAUAUCAUCUGGCGACAUUUUAAUUUGAUUAUAGCCAGAAAAGCCAUCCAUGAAGGAAAACACCGAGAAUUGAGUUGUAUUAUCUACCAACACAUCGAUGUGAGGUAAUGGGAAAUCAUCUUUCGGGCUAGCUCUGUUCAAAUCCCGGUAGUCCACACACAUCCUCACCUUUCCAUCCUUCUUCGGUACCGGCACAAUAUUCGCGACCCAAGGCGGAGAAUUAGUGACAGCUAGGAAACCAGCAUCCAACUGCUUUUGUACCUCCUCUUUGAUUUUCAUGGCCAUCUCAGGUCGAGUUCUGCGCAACUUCUGCUUUACUGGAGGACAAUCUUCUCUUAAUGGCAACUUGUGUACAACAACAUUGGUAUCCAACCCUGGCAUAUCUUGAUAAGUCCAGGCGAAGAUAUCAACAUACUCUUUCAACAGUGCUACCAUUCUGCUCUUGACAUUCAUCUCCAAAGCCGCCCCAAUUUUUACUUCCUUUCUGACCUCCUCGGUGCCCAGAUUAACAAUCUCAAUUUUCUCCUCGUGCGGUUGAAUCACCUUCUCCUCUUGUUUCAACAACCUGGCUAACUCUUCCUGCAGUUCACAAUCUUCUUCGCCUUCUUCUUCGGCAUGAUAGAUCGGGUUGUUGAAGUCAUAUAGGGGCGUAACAGGAUUGUCAUCAAUGAGAUCCGGAGAAUAAUCGCAUCUGCAUGAAUGCUGAUUCAUGCAUUGCUUUAGGGUCGGAACGAGACAAAUUAAAAGGAAGGAAAAUGAAAACAAACAUUGCCAUUUUAUUAUAUUAUUUUUUUAAACUCCAAAAAUAAAUGAAAAACAGAGAACACCGCUUUUAAUGCGAAAAACAAUCCGUUUAUUAAUGAUGCAAAUAAUGCAAAAUGAAACACAUGAGGUGGCCCUUACAAUGGACCAUUACGUUUUGGGCGAAACGUAUGGCUUUCAUGCAAACAGAAUUGACAAACAGAAAUAUUACUCUUCACGCAGAGUGACAGUGAUGAUCUUUUCGGCUUUCCAGUUCUAGAUCUCCAUUCCUGGUACGCACGGUUUUAUCCACGAGUCGAGCUCGCAGUCACCGUCAGUCUCUUCACCCACAACAUAGAUGCGACCUGGAUCUAGCAUUCCAGCACUGGUGAAUGUGAACGGUUGGCGACGACCUUUAUCCUGUCCAGACGAGCCUCGGCGUGACUGAUAACCAAUCCCAAACUUAUCCUCCUUCACUGCAACAUCUAACACUCUUCCCCAAUCUGGGGCCUCUCCACUCUUCACCACCUCCACAGCCUGUUUAUAAGAAGCAAUGGACGGCUUCUUCUCUCUUUCAGCAAAAACGACAUUCUCCACCUUGACGGUUUCAAACGCCUGGCUUGGUGUUUCGAAUAUUUCACCGUCCAUUUCCACAUACUUAAAUGAAGACAACUGGCUGACAAAAAUAUCUUCCUCACCGCAGACUGUCACGACUUGCCCGUCCAAGACAUACUUUAACUUCUAAUGUAGAGUCGAUGUUACUGCCCCCGCAGCAUGUAUCCAUGGACGACCCAACAAACAACUGUACGCCGGUUGAAUGUCCAUGACAUAAAACACAGAUUUGAACACCUCAGGACCAAUCUUUACGGGGAGCUCAACUUCCCCGAACACAGCCCUUUUAGAGCCAUCAAACGCUCUACCCACCAGAUCAGUAGGCCUCAAAAUCAAUCCCUCGCAGUCCAAUUUAGCCAAGGCCUUCUUAGGCAACACAUUGAGUGACGAGCCUGUAUCGACCAAAACAUGUGAAAGCACAGCUCCUUUACACUCCAUCGAAAUGUGUAGUGCCUUAUUGUGAUUGCGCCCAUCCAUAGUAAGAUCGAGAUCAGUGAAACCCAACCCAUGGCUGGCAUUAACACUAGAUACCACUGUCUCUAAUUGAUUGACUGUAAUCUUUUGCGAGCGUAGGCCUUCUUCAAGAUCUUCAACAAAGCAUCUCUAUGACCUUCUGAACUUAACAACAGAGAUAAGAUCGAAAUUUUGGACGGAGUCUGCUGCAAAUGAUCAACAAGCUUGUACUCAGACUUCUUAAUAAUUUUCAAAAACUCCUCGGCUUCGGCGUCAAACUCAUUUUCCGGCUCAACAGGCGCCUGUGCCGCUCUAGGAGUAUCCUCACUUACCACCUGCUUUCCUUUUGCCCUGGAUAAAGCCUCGGCCUUAUCUCUCUGUUCUUUUUCUACAUCUCCACCUCUCAACGUGUUAGGUGCAAACAACCUCCCGCUGCGAGUGAAACCACUAAGUCCGACAUUGUCCACCUUUGAAACGGUGGUAUCAACUGCAUCCUGAUCUUCCUUCUUUUUCCCAUUACAAUACACCUCACCACCAUAGUCCCAUGGCACAGCACCAUCAUUUUCAUACGGAAUAGGUCCAGGUACCGUGAUGGUAAUUGGAACCACAUCUGUCGGCACUGACAAGUGGACAGGAUCGAAAUAGAUGGUUAUCGUUGAAAUAUCCUCCUUCUCCAAGGAAACUUUCUCAAAUCGGAGACUUCCCUCAUCCAUCAUUUUCUGAACCGUCUCCCUCAACAUUACACACCCAUUUGCAGUUAUAGUACAAGCAGCACAGUAAUUAUCACAACCAGGAAAAACUCCGUUCUUUAACAACUGUCUCUUGACCAUAGACAUUGGGGUCCUCAACUGAUCCACAUCUGUCACCCAGAUUUUACUUUUAUCCUCAGAAAUUACAUUCACCGCCAUCUGACCAUGCGUCGGCAUGGGAUUAGCAUUAACAUUCGGCGAUGGUGCAAAAUUGAUGGCCUUGGAAUCCACCAAGUCUUGAACAACAUGCUUGAAGGCUUUACAACCCUCAAUAUUGUGCCCGGGAGCACCAGAAUGGAACUCACACUUGACGUUCUCAUCAUAACUUGCAGGCCUCUGAUCUGGUCUCAACGGAGCUAACAUCCUCAAUUGUACCAACCUGAGAUCCUUCAACUUCUUCAACAGAAGAGCAUAUGUCAUGGGUGGCCUAUCGAACUGGCGAUCUGCCAUCCUUCCCCUAACUUGGUACCCAACCCUCUGUGUUCUCUACUGAGGUGGCUGCUGUUGCUGUUGCUGUUGUGCGGGUUGAUUAUCAACAGGAAUCGUUACCGCAGCAGUAUGCUGGUAGUAAUGAUUCCUACUGGGUCCUCUUUGGGCAUACACAGCACUCGAGUCACCCUCUUUCUUGCGCUGACCAUUUCCGAAGGGCUUCUUCAAUCCAGACGACGGAGCAUUUCCUUGUAUUUUUCCCAUUUUCAACCAGCUUUCAAUCCUCUCACCAGCAUUACUAUCCGCAACAGUAACUGACAUCCAACCACUCUCAGCAAAAGUCCCCUGAAGGUACAUGAGAAAAUAUGACAUCUCCCGAUGCCCUAAAUGGGGGUGAACCCUUAGGCAGCCAACUCUCUCCACCUGUGCGUACUCUUUAAACCCCUCGUUCGGCGUUUUGAGACAUACCUGCAACUGGGUACGACUUCGGUGCAUGUCAGCAUUAAUUGUAUUGUUUUGAAGAAAGCAUUCCCCAAAUGCUGCCAGCUCUUUAUAUCUGACGAUCUCAGUUGGUUGUACCCACUCGAGAGACCCGCCAGAUAAAGCUAUCUGGAAAAAGAAUCAGGCUUUGAUCCAUGGUGUAGGCAAUAUCUUCGAACAAAGGCCUGAGAAAGGAGUUUCUGGCAAGAAACUUCCAUUGUACUUAUCAAACGUGGGCACCUUGAACUUCUGUGGGAUCACAAUCCCCUCAACCAGCCCCAUAUUUGUCAUGUUAAUAGCCCCAGGAGUGGCAUGGCUUUCCAGAGCCCUGAUCUUUUCUGCCAGUACCUGAAUCUCUUUGUUCGGCGGUUGAACACCAUACUGACCGAAUUGCCCAUUCAACAUAGAGAAUUGAUCCUCUUCUUUAUCCUCCACAGCCCCAAAGAAAGGAGAAAACUGAGUUUCCUUCAGAAUGUUGCCAACAUGACCCGGGCCAUUGCCUGAAGCAAAACCAAGACCACCACCAUUGUUGAUGAAUACACCACCAUUAGUUGUCUUUCUUCUGGGAUCACCACCACCCCUAGAACCACCAGGACCAUGGUUGGAGUUAUCCUCUUGACUAUUGCCAUCAUUGGCAAUCGAAGCCAGCUCAAGCUUCUCCACCUUCUCGGCGAUUGCUUUCUGCUCCAGGGCGAACCCUUGCAUGGCGUUGAUCAACUCACUCAUCUUCUCUUUCAGCUCGAGAAUGUCAGCGUUGGAUGGAUCCAUCAGUCUAGGCUUGUUGCGUCUGGUAAAGUAUCUGUGCGGACGAGUUACGUGCAGAGGGAUGAUUCUGCAUGCGCGAGCAAUGGUUCCUGUAACAAUCAAACACGUUAGAAACUGACACCUGCAAAAUAGAGGACAAGUUAUUAUGAUUCAUGCAUGAAUGCAAUGUUUAUCCGUAUGAGGAACAUUCUGUCCUUCGAUCCUGGCUUCAUUGAGACUGAAUAAUAAUUCGACAACAACAUUCUGACAUAAAUCAUCUGGCUUUGCCAUUCAUAACAGAAAGUUGUGCUUUAGCAAAGAUAUCACCCGACCAUGUGUGUGUUAAGUGAGUGUAACACGGAAAAGCAAAUAAAGCUUUGAGAUCAAUCAUUGAACGAUAAUAACCACUGUAUAGCAAAAGUGCGCAACACGUGCGAGAGUCAUAUAUCAUAUCUGAUACAAAUCAACUUUACAAUCCUCCAGAAUCGGAAAGAAAUACAAGCAAGUGAAUUCCGUCAACAUGCCUGACGGUAAUCCAGCACAUGAUAACAACUGCAAUAACAGUUUAAUCUGAAGAAGGUCCCACCGAAGGCUCUGCAUCAUGAACCAUCCUGGUAAACUUCAUAAUGAACUUGAGCUCAGUGUUCUCCUGCUGAAGUCUUCCCACCUCUUUCUGAUGAAUCUUCAUCUGACAGAAAUAAUGGUCCCUCUCAGCAAGAUAAUGAUCUCUCUCGGCCAUAAUCUUAGCUUUCUCUUCUUCCUUAACCCUCAGCUUCGCUUCCCACUCUAUGGUAAGGGCUUUGGCUCUAGCUUCCCUCUGAGUCUUCACAAGGACUUGUCUCUUUUUUUCAUCUUCAAUGACCCUCAAAGCUCUAGCCAACUGCUCUUUGGUAAGGCCGUGCUCCUUCGCAGAUGACUCUAAAGCUUAGCUGAUCUUACAGUAAUAGGUGGUGUCUUUCUCAAAACGCUUCAUCUCCUGAGCAUGUCUCUUAGCCUGGUCUUCUGCUUUCCCCUUGAUCUCCUGAUUAGCCAGUUGAAUUCCAGCAACACUCAUUUCUAUCUCAGUCUUCUCUGCUUGCAGUUGAUCCCUUGCCCUCCUCAUCUCAAGAAAUUCUUCCAUACUGACAGAAGAGCGUGGCUCCUCAAUCAACGGAUACCAAAGAUCACCCACAGGAAAACCGUCUGCUCACUCGAGUUGGGAGAAAGACUCGGUUACAUCAAAUGGAGGAAAAGACCUGUUAUUAGCUCUACCAAAAGGAAUCUUGCCUUUCCUUUGAAUGUUGCGCCAUGCAUCAGACACUUGCUCCAACAAUGACUAAUUACCCUCAACCGGGAAGUAGAAAGACUCCUGAAUCUCACACUCGAGGGGAGGAACCUCCAUAGCAAAUGCCAUUUGUCUCUUAAGAAGCGUCGAGUUAUAAUUAAUACACCCUUGAACUCCUAUAAGAGGCACAUUGGGAAAACUCCCGCAGCUGUAAAUAAAAUCUCGUCCAGCCACAUAAAUGUGAGUCCAAGCUAUGUCCUUGGCUCGCAAACCCAUCAACUUGGUUGCCCAAUUUACCGUAUGGUCAAGAAAGACAAAGGCACCCUUGGAAGGCAAAUAUCCCAUGAACCACUUAUAUAACAAUUGAGCACAACAUCUAACCAAUCCUCCACGCCGCUUCUCGUUCCGAUUAUGGACCGAAUAAUUGCAAAUAUCCCAUGAACCACUUAUAUAACAAUUGAGCACAACAUCUAACCAAUCCUCCACGCCGCUUCUCGUUCCGAUUAUGGACCGAAUAAUAAACAUCCCCAAUCAAGGUAGGAAUGGGAUUUUUCUGAGCAAACACCCGGAUGGCAUUAAUAUCCACAAAAUUCGUCUGAUUAGGGAACAAAAUAAUUCCAUAAAUGCUUACGGCAAGCAAAGCACAAACAGUUUUCCAAUUACCCAAAACAACAUGUUCCUUGGCUUUGGCCUCCAAGAAACUCAGAUGAAAAUCGGGCAACUUUCCUUUCUCCUUCAAACCUUUCUUAGUCACUUCCGGGCUCAAAUAAAUAGCACGAGAAGUCUCAACAAUGUCAGGCUCUUCCUUAGUAACAUAGAAAGGAAUCUAGUUUCUGACCCGAAUGCCCAGAAUACCGGCAUAAUCCUCCAUCAAAGGUCCCAACAAAUAGUUUGAAAAGACAAAACAUCUCAAACCCGGAUCAUAAAACUGGAGAAGAGUAUGGAUGGCACUCCGAUCCCCAUCUGUGAGCCUGAAAACCAUCUUCGUAAUGCUGCCAUAAGCCUCACGGAACAACCCCACAUGGUCAGGUGUAAUCAAUGCUAUCAUACCCUUCAACACACUAAUCUCUGGAUCAAAGAGACUAUAGACAACAUCAUAUUUUAAGUCGGUCCUCAUACCUGGAACAAGAAUGUCUCUCAGCCAGAAUCUCAAUCAAGAAUGACCCUGCAUAUGGAUAAACAUGAGUUAGAUGCGGAUGAAUGCAAAAUGGGAAUGAUGCAGAUGCAUGAAUGCAAUUCAUAGUGCCAUCCUCCAAGACAUCUGAACAUCAACUGUACUGGAUUCCGGGCUCAGAACUGAUCACAACCAUCCAAGGGACUAAGUAACCACAAAUCCAACUCGGGGGAUCCGAAAUAAACGGAACCGGAGAAUACAUCACCAUCACCACAGGAAAAUCACUGAACAGAUAGCAACAAGAUCAUCUGGGCAAGUACCACAAAUCUAACCCGGGGAAUCCGAAAUAAACGGAACCCGCUAAUAAAUACCAUGGACAGAACUCCGGCGUGUCAAAAAUGAAUAUCCAUAAAUCCAACUUAUAAAUAAAAACCCAGAUAACGAACCGAACCAAAGUCACCAUCAAAGAGUCACCAAAAGAACCUGUACCUGUAGGAACCAAACCCCUCCCCUCACUGGUGAAUUCUAAUAAGGUCAUCCUAAGGUGGAUAAUCGGUCUCGACAAUCGGACGAGAUACUCAACGGGUUUUCCCUUUCAGGUGUGUCGUGCAGCUCUCAUAAGAUCAUCUAUACCAAAUAUUCGGGAAUGAACGGUCACCGAAGUCAACAGCUCAAAAGAGAUAACCCAACCAUAGUGGAAACUCCACAAGGAAGGGCUCUCUCAAAAGAACCUCGUCCGGCUGUGGUAUGUCACGUCGCAACAACAUGUCGAUCUAACAUGUGAGGAAACAUGAGACCACGCUAAUCCUAGGUGUAUACUCGGGUUUGGGUUUUAGCCCCACUCAGAACACCCAUCCCCAAAUCAGAGGAACCACACCUGUCCAGAAUCCAGCACAGUGAUAACAUGAUGCAUGCAAACAUAUAUGCAAAUAUACAUAUAAUCACAGUAUAAUAAUCACACAUGCAAUAAAUAAAGCAGUAAUCACACCUGUCCAGAAUCCAGCACAGUGAUAACAUGAUGCAUGCAAACAUAUAUGCAAAUAUACAUAUAAUCACAGUAUAAUAAUCACACAUGCAAUAAAUAAAGCAGUAAAAGCAACCCAAACUACCAUAAAAACCACGCUAGAGAGCGCUAGUAUUGACUCGCUUAGGAAAGAUGGACCAGCAAGAGGUCAACUUCAGUCCCCAGCAGAGACGCCAGCUGUCGCAACGCGAAAAACAACCGGCGAGGAAUAAAUAGAGCCGCCACCGACGUUAUUCAUCCUAUGACGGAAAGGGAGCGUAAGACUAACCUAAGAGAGAGAAAGGAACGGUCUUACGACCAGAGAUUACAAGGUAUGGGAGUCGGUUACGCAAGGGGAAGGUGUUAGCACCCCUCACGUCCGUCGUACUCGACGGGAUCCACGCUCAAAAGAUAGCUCAAAGGAAAGGAAAGGGUUGCUGGUAAUAAACUGCUCAAAGAAACUGCACAAACUGGAACAGUAAACAGGUGGGGAAGAGAAAGAAAACGGAGGAAGUGGACUCGACAGGAUGUCGCAUCCUCGGCCUACGUAGUUUGUCAGAAACAAACAUCAGAGUCGACGUAGUUCGGGAAAAGGGGACAUGCUCGCUAGGACAUCGCAUCCUAUGCUUAUGUAUCUUCUCUAUCCAUAGGAGAAUCAGAGCACUCGUAGCUCGGCUAACGCACGCUGAAACAAGACACCAAAAAGGGUGAGCUUAUGACACAGAAAGUGUGGGGAUCCAGAAAGUGGGAUCCUUUUCCACUUGACAGACUCUGGACAAAAGAUCUGGGACACAUGUUCAGAAGCAUCAGCACGUAGUGCGAGCAUAAAGAACGACACACUGAAUAACGGGGGAUUGGCUACUAAUCCCUUUUAUCCGUCAAUUGCCUCUUCUCUUGGAGGUCUUAUCAAAUAUAACACAUGUCAUGCCUCUUCUUGGAGGUCUUUGGGCACAAUUUUAAACAAACACAAACAGAGCCUCUGAAGGAGGACUUGCCAGCAAAAUGCCUGCCAAAAAGGUGACAGGACUCCAGACUACAUGAAGUAAGAAGUUAACUACCUGAGUGGUGUGUCAACCACAAUCCAAUGCUCAAGCAAGAGCUAAAGCAAGUAAGCAACUAAGGUACCUGUACAAAGACUAAAUAGUUAGUACUUCAGUCAUAAAACCAGAAGACAAGCAGCGAAACCCUCUAAUAGUUACACAAUUCAAUUCAUAAGUUCCCCAGCACUCAAACAAGCUCAUGAGCUCACCAUAUCAAUUAAAACCCUACAAAACAAAAAUAGGUCAGAACUCAAUGCAUUUGUAUCUCACAGGGUGAGAACAAACCCAAUCAUCAAUGAUGAGUAUCCACCUGAAACAAGCGACAAAGUUAGUUUAUGUAUAUCCAAUCAAACACAACAAAGCAUAAACAAACAAUGGCAUGAGAUGAAUUGAAUCAUUGAAACAAGCGACAAAGUUAGUUUAUGUAUAUCCAAUCAAACACAACAAAGCAUAAACAAACAAUGGCAUGAGAUGAAUUGAAUCACAAAUCAGGGAUCAAACCAAUGUAAAAGAGGCAAAGGCUCAAACCACAAAGAAAACCCUAAACCAAGUCAAAGAAUGGACCAAGAACAAACCCUAAAACUAGGUCAAAACUCUAGUAUAAAGACAAGACUCAAAACCUAACCAAAUGACCAAUCCAGGACCCAUCCUUUUGCAUAUCACACAUUAAAACACUCCCUCCAAUUUCCUCAAAAGGACCAGCAUCAAAUCAACGAUCAAGUAUCUCAACUUGCUUAUGUAAUGUAAUGACCAAAAAUAUGCACAAAAUGAACUUCCAAUUUAGAAAAUUCAUAUCAAAUCAGAAAUGCAUGAAAUGACUUUGGGAUUUUUUGUAUAAGUUCCUUAUGCCAUGAAUGUUCAAUAUGCAAAAGAUCACGUCGAGAAUGAUGCAAAUGCUAUAUGAACAAAAAUGCACCAAUUCAAUGUCAAAAAUGUGACACAAAUUGUCACAUUUCUCUCUAUGUGUCAAAAAUGAUGAUAACAGGUGAGAAAAAAAUCCAAACCAAUGACCAAUAAUUCAUGUCAUGUAUGAAUUUCUUGUAUGCAAAAAAUUGGAUCAAGAAGCUCAAAAUUGAGGAUUUCACAAUGCAUUGAAUGUACUAGGUCAAUUUGGCACAAUAUUGAUUCAAAAAUUUCCACAUAAAAAUCCAGACAUCAAAAAUUCUUGAAUUCAACACCAUAAAAAAGUAGACACAAAUACAAAACUAUGAAAAAAAAUUAGGACUCAAUUGGACAAUUUUAGGAUUUUUUAUGAAUUAAACAAAAUGACCAAAAUAAUUGAAUUAUAAAAUAGAAAAUGGAGGGAAACGAAAUAUUUGAAUAAAUCAGGAAAAACACAAGCCGUUGGAUCUGGCGCGCUCCUGAGAUCAACACUCCUCAUUAAAAUAAUGAAACACACCGUUUCAUUAAUCCCAGUCACACACACAGUCAUCAUUCAACGCAUGCGUGGCCUCACCCAAACGCAUCGCAUCAAAUCACUCUGCCACGCCUUGCUCCACAUGGCACACACUCAGCAAACCCUAGCCAUUAACACAGACGCCGGAGCUCCGCUCCGAUCGUCUUCUCCGACGAGCCCCCGGUGGCUCCCACGGCGGCGCCACCUCAAAAAUUUCCAGAAUAUCCCCAGGCCUAUAUCAUUCCACUCAAUUUUCCACGCUGAUUCCAAAUAUCACCUUAGUUUCUCCUAAUUCUCCCUAGGUUUGGAAAAUCGAAGAGAAUAAGUUUCUAGAUCCAAACUUUCAGUCGCCACUAUGUCCUCAAUUCUCACUCACUCUCAAUUCUAAACAUAUAUUCAUGAUCUACACCUCAAGAUCUACAAUCCUAUAACCAAAAAUCAGCAAAAGGAGAGAGUGAAAUUGAAGUCACCUGGAAAUGGAGACCUCUGAAAUCACGAUCUCACGAGCUCAGCUGCUCCAGAUCAACUCCUAUGGACUUCCUUUGAAGCUUUAUGCAAAAAUGAAUGGAUGAAACCUCUUGAAUGUGCCUCAAUUUCCAAAUCCGUUCAUCAUGAUAGUGCACUUGAACUGCUUGAUUUCUUGACGAAUUGCACCAAACGAUGGAUGAUUCUUGAUCAGUGAAGCAUGAGGAUCAAGAAUAUGCAAUGAUCUUUGAGGUUUGUGUGCAGAAAAUGCAAAUUCGAAGAGAGAGAGUUUUGGAGAGUUUCUUGAAUUCUAGAUCUGAAAAUGGUUGUUAUGGCAGUUAUGAUUAGGGUUUCUCUAUUUAUACUCCUUGCUAAUGACACUGGUAAUCAUUUUAGCCUCUUACUAAUCAUGAUUAGUGAGUUAUUAUGCAACUUGAAAAAAUUAAAAAUGAGCUCCCAUGGCCAUAAUGCACGUGUUCAUCCCCAUGCUAGUGUUUUAAUCCACUCAAGAACAACCAAGGGUCAAUAUUUGAAGAUUGUUUUGCUUGCAUCUUAAGCCAAGAAUGAAUGGUGAAGAUUUGCUUCAUUUUUGACAUGUGUGAAACAAUGAAUAUACACGCCUCCUUCAUGCAUGGCAAGGGUUCAUUUUUACUCCAAUAUGAUCUAUGAAGAAACCUGAAAUGAAGCCUUGCCUUAAUUCUUUGUGAAUUUUGAUUUGUAGCAUGAUAUCAUCCUAAGGACAAAUGUGAAAUAAUGUGACUUUUGACCAUGAUUCCUCUUGCACAAUCGAGCCAAAUGAUGUCAUUUUGAGAUGCCUUGAACAUGAGAAGCACUUUGCAAAAAGAAUGAACCAAUUUGAAGCAUUAUAUCAAAAGUUAUGCCAUUUUGAAUAUCCAUGCACACUUUGUGAUCAAAUGACUAUAACUCCUUAACUAUUUAUCAUAUGAACAUGAAUUAGGACUUUUUGGAAAGAGGAGACAAAGAUAUACAACUUUCAUUCUCACCAAAAAUCCAUUUGAGACUUCUUUGAUAUUGAAAAGUCAAGUUGAAAGUGGACCAAAAACUUGCCAAAUUUGGAAACUUUGAAUUAUAGGUCAUUUUCCAUUUUUAGUAACUUUUGACAUGACCUUUGAAUCUUCAAGAUGGAUGUUUAGAAUGAUUAAUAGACCCCAUUUGAACAUGAUUGAGGUGUCUCAACUCAUUUCCCCCCCUCAUAGCCCUCAGUUGGCUACACAGUUGACUUUUGGUCCUCAAAUGACCUUGAAAUGUCCUGAUCAACCUGAGCCUCUACCACUUGGUUAAAUUGCUUCAAAAUGAAACCCUAGUCAUGUAAGAUCCUUAUAAUAAUCAUGUGAUCCUCAUCCCAAGAAAAUACCUCAUCUCUUUGAGAAACCCUAGCUGGUAGAAAUGCAUUGAUUAGGGUUGACCAGAGGUCACAACCCUAAUCCAGAGGAACUUGAGGAUGAACUCUGAAACCCUUGAUGAUGAUAGAACCAUGAUGAUGGUGAUAUGUCCUUGCAGAUAAGAUGAUGCUCUCAUUGAUUAGGGUUGACCAGAGGUCACAACCCUAAUCCAGAGGAACUUGAGGAUGAACUCUGAAACCCUUGAUGAUGAUAGAACCAUGAUGAUGGUGAUAUGUCCUUGCAGAUAAGAUGAUGCUCAAAACCUUUGAAGAAUCAAGAAACCCUAAUUGGAACCCAUACCCUCAGAUGGUUGAUGACCAAUUCAUAGAGACCCUCAGGCUUGAAUCACCUAACUUCUCCAUCUUUUGAAAAGACGUUGGAGGAUGAUCUUCUUAUUUUCAUAUGAGAUGCAAAAUGCAAUUCCUAAUGCCCUAAAACAUGAAAUGCAAUGCCCCAAACUAGUCUCAAGAAGAGGAGGGCAAAUUUUGAGGUGUUACAGAGGGGACAUACUAUUGCUAAAUGUCGAUUUAGGAGAUUUUUGGAUCCCAAAGGCAUUUCUCAAUGGUUGCCCAAAUGCAACCCAAGUUGCACCCACACACUAGGACCCAAUGAAAAUUGGGUACCUCUUUCCCUUGUUUAAUUUGUAGGUGGAAUGUCUUGAGGAUACGGAGAGAACAUGGUUUCUCGAUAGUGGAUGCUCAAGAUGCAUGACGGGUGAGAUAUCCUUAUUCUUUGACUUUAUGGCUAAGAAGAAAGGUUUUGUAACCUACGGUGAUAAUAACAAAGGAUUUAUACUCGAAAAAGGUAGUGUAGGUAAUCCCUCCUCUACUGCUAUCUCAGACGUCCUUUUAGUUGAAGGCCUUAAGCACAAUCUCAUUAGUAUUAGCCAAUUAUGUGACAAAGGAUAUAAAGUAUCAUUUUCAAAAGAUUGUUGCAUGAUUGAACAUAAUGAUAAAAAUUAGUUGAAGGCCUUAAGCACAAUCUCAUUAGUAUUAGCCAAUUAUGUGACAAAGGAUAUAAAGUAUCAUUUUCAAAAGAUUGUUGCAUGAUUGAACAUAAUGAUAAAAAGAAUGAUGUGCUUAAGGGUUGUAGGGUAAAUAAUGUAUACAUGCUUAACUUGAAUGAAAUAUCUUUGACUAGCGCUAAAUGUCUCGUCUCCAUGAGUGAAGACUCUUGGCUUUGGCAUAGGCGAUUAGGGCAAGUCAACUUUGACUUGCUAAAUAAAGUUAUUGUAAAAGAUCUAGUAGUUGGUCUUCCCAAAAUCAAAAUUUCAAAAGAUCACUUAUGUGAUGCGUGCCAAAUGGGAAAGCAUACAAGGAUCUCUUUUAAAUAUAAAAAUAUUGUUUCCACAACGAGACCCUUUGAACUUCUCCAUAUGGACCUUUUUGGGCCAUCUAGAAUUAAAAGUCUAGGUGGAAACUACUAUGGUUUUGUUAUAGUAGAUGACUACUCUAGAUUUUGUUGGACCAUCUUCUUAGUAAGUAAAAGUGACAUUUUUUCAGCUUUUGAAAAGUUUGUCAAGAUUUCUCAAACAAAUUGAACAUUAGCAUAGUUACUAUCCGAAGUGAUCACGGAUGUGAGAUUGAAAACCACCUCUUUGAGGAAUUUUGUGAAACAAAUGGCAUUGAUCAUAAUUUUUCUGCUCCAAGAACUCCACAACAAAAUGGAGUAGUGGAACAUAAAAACCUAGAUUUAGAAGAGCUUGGAAGGACUAUGAUCAAUGAAAAUGACCUUCCUAAAUAUUUUUGGGCUGAUGCCAUAAAUACGGCCUGUUAUGUAUUGAAUAGGAUACUCAUUUGUCAUAUUCUAAACAAAACUCCUUAUGAAUUGCUAAAUGGAAGGAAGCCUAAUGUUUCACAUCUUCAUGUCUUCGGAUGUAAAUGCUUUGUAUUAAAUAGUGGUAAAGAAAACCUUGGUAAAUUUGACUCAAAAGCCGAUGAAGGUAUCUUUCUCGGAUACUCUCAAUCUAGUAAAGCAUAUAGAGUAUACAAGAAAAGGUUACUUAUCAUUGAAGAACCCGUGCAUGUUUCCUUUGAUGAAUCUUAUCCAAAAAUUGUUGGAGAAGGUACUAUUGUUGAUGGUGCAGGUGUUCCUUCGGAAGACAUAAUAAAAGAUCAAGAAGAAAAGAGUGUUGAACCCCAUCCGGAAAAAUAUGAGUAGGAGCCAGAUCACAUAUAUGAAAAGAAAGAGGAGGAUCAUUCGAUUAAUAACUAUGAUCUUCCUUUGAAAUGGAAAUCUUCUAAGGAUCAUCCCAUUGAUAAUAUUCUAGGAGAUAUCUCAAAGGGAGUUACCACACGGUCAAAGAUAAGUAACUUUUGUUAUCAUUUCACUUUCAUCUCUCAAAUUGAGCCUAAAAACUCCAAAGACGCAUUAUUCGAUGAACAUUGGUUUUUAGCAAUGCAAGAGGAACUUAAUCAGUUCAAAAGAAAUGACGUGUGGGAUCUUGUUCCCCCUCCGCGAGACCAUCGAGUAAUCGAUACUAAAUGGGUGUUUAGGAACAAGUUAGACGAAAACGGAGUUAUAACUCGCAACAAGGCUCGCCUUGUUGCUCAAGGGUAUAACCAAGAGGAAGGUAUCGAAUAUGAGGAAACUUAUGCUUUGGUCGCCCGACUUGAGGCUAUACGCCUUUUGCUUUCCUAUGCUUGUUCUCAAAAUUUCAAAUUAUUUCAAAUAGAUGUUAAGAGCGCUUUCCUAAACGGUUACAUUAAUGAAGAGGUCUAUGUAUCUCAACCUCCCGGCUUUGAAAACUAUGAGCAUCCUAACUAUGUUUAUAAGCUUAAGUGUGCUUUGUACGGUCUCAAACAAGCCCCUAGGGCAUGGUAUGCGUGUCUUAGCAAAUUUCUACUAGAACAAGGAUUCUCAAGAGGGAAGGUUGAUAGAACCCUUUUUAUUAAGCAUCAAGGAAAACACUCUAUUUUAGUUCAAGUCUAUGUAGAUGACAUUAUUUUUAGAUCUACUAACAUAAAUUUGGUCAAGGAAUUCUCUAAGUUUAUGCAGGGAGAAUUUUAAAUGAGCAUGAUAGGGGAGCUAAAUUACUUCCUCGAACUUCAAAUCAAGCAACUUGGAGAAGGAACUUUUGUGAGCCAAACGAAGUAUUUCAAUGAGUUACUCAAGCGCUUCGAUAUGGAAAACUCCAAAGUAAUCGACACUCCAAUGCCUAUUGCGGUUAAUAUGGAUCAGGAUGAAAAUGGUAAGGCCGUAGAUAUAAAAAGGUAUAGAGGUAUGAUUGGUUCCCUCCUCUAUCUUACCGCAUCUCGACCAGACAUUAUGUUUAGUGUAUGUAUGUGUGCUAGGUAUCAAUCAUGUCCCAAAGAGUCACAUUUAAAGGCCGUCAAGCGCAUACUUAGAUACCUCUGUGGUACUUCAAAGUAUAGGCUUUGGUUUUCUAAGGGAAGUGAUUGCUCUUUAGUUGGCUACUCCGAUUCCGACUUUGUCGGUUGUAAAUCGGAUAGGAAAAGCACUAGUGGCACCUGUCAUUUUUAUUCAAAUUCCUUAGUGAUUUGGCACAACAAAAAUAAAGUUUCAGUUGCUCUGUCAACUGCCAAGGCGGAAUACGUUGCAACGGGUAAUUGUUGUGCUCAAAUUUUGUGGCUCAAACAACAAUUACUCAACUUCAAUGUUCAACUUGAACGUAUUCCCAUUUUUUGUGACAACACAAGCACCAUCAAUUUAACCAAAAAUACUACGCACUAAACAUAUUGAAAUUCGGUAUCACUUCCUUAGGGAUCAUGUUGAGAAAGGUGAUGUUGUCUUCGAGCACAUUGAUAGCAAAAAUCAACUUGCCGAUAUUUUCACAAAACCACUUGCGACAGAGCCUUUCUUCCACAUCCGUAGGGAACUUGGUGUUCUCGAUAUCUCGGAUCGCUUUUAAAUCUAUAUAUGAUACUUGCUUUAUAUCUAUGCAUGUUUAUUCCUUGAUUUGCAAGUGCGGGCUAUGUGAGGGCACUCGUCGUCUAUCAUCAUUGGAGGUAAUGUCGUUCAUAUCCAUUUGAACUAUAUUGAUCAACUAUGUAUGUAUAUACAUGUUCUAUGUAAUUCUUGAUGUUCAUUUUCUGGUUUGAUCUAAAUUUGAUCCAUUUAUAUGCUUGAACUUGCUUAGUAUCAUAUUUAACAUGCAGUCAUCGUUAGGAGCAUUUUUGAAUCUCAUGUCUUCUAAUCAUUAACACGAGUCCCAAUUGGUCGACCCAUGAGUCGACUCAUCACUGUGAACUUAAUCCUUGUAUUUCCUUCGGGUCCCAACAGGUCGACCCAUGUGUAGACUCUUUGCUGUGAAUUCCAUCCUUGUAUUACCUUCGGGUCCCAACAGGUCGACCCAUGCGUCGACUCGUCGCUACCCAAAGUCUAUUCAAUUGGGGUUUCAAACAUGAAUGUGUCGACUCAUUACACGUAUGAGUCGACUCUUCUCUGCCCAUUGCAGAGGUUGCAUUAAUUUCGGGUCCCAAUAGGUCAACCCAUGCAUCGACUCUUCGAUGCCCCGAGAUAACUCAUUUGAGUCUUAAAUGGGUCAACUCACUUUUCAAGGCAUUUUUUUAACUACAUAAUCAAUUCAUUUUGUCUUCUCCCUCUCUCACUCUCUUCCUCACACAAACCCUAAAAUCUCCUUACAAACAACAUUCAAAUGGCUUCAAAAGCAUCUGGAAAAAGAACUGCAAGAGGAUCCCCCUCUCACACUGGGACUGCACCACCUCGAUUGAAUAUUCUGGUAACUGCUUUAUCCUUACUCUCUGAUGAUCUUGCUUAAACCUUUGAAAAGAAGUUCAAAAGUAGAACAGUUGUAAAGCAGUACAUAUACUCACUGUUAGUGGUUGGACGCAUGCGCAUUCCAGAAAUUGUUGAGCGGAUAAAUUUUCAAGCAAUUGAUUUGUUCUUAGACUAUACCACUGAGUAUAAUGAAUAUUUAGUCAAACUGUUUUAUACUGCCGUUGAUGGAAAACUCGAGGGUUAUAAGUUUGCAUGCAAUAUUGAUAAUAGGGUUAUUGAAGUGAAUUAUGAUGUUUGGAAGUCUCUGUUUGAGAUUUCUCCACUAUCAUCUCCUAAUGAUCUUAAGAUUAUCGACACUGUGUUUGCUCCAGACAAUGAGUUUAGGAAUGCCUUAAACUCAAUGCUGAAGAGACCAUUUUCUGCAAAUGUUGUUGAGAGCAAUUUGUUCCCUACCAAUGUGACUACGGGUCUUUUGAAGCCUGUUGAUAGGAUUUUACACUGGGUUGUAACGCAUAUUCUCCUUCCUAAACAAGAAGCUUACUCCAGAGUGGACAAGGCCGAAGUACACCUGGUUUAUGUGUUAAAACAAAAUUUGAAAGUAAAUUAGCUGCACUAUGUUGAAAGUAGGAUCUUUGCUCUAAAGGAGUUAGGUCGAGGCAUUGCUCUCUGCUAUCCUUCAUUUAUUCAAAGUAUCCUAAAUAGAGCUAAAGUUUCAGUUCAAGGAAUUCAAUAUAACUCUGUGACUACAAAUCAAGAGUUUUGUCAGAAAACAUUAAGUUUGAUGGGAUACACUUGGGAUCCUACAACGCGAAUAUACAAGACUCGUAAACCAGUUCCAAGUUCUAAUACUCAGCAUUUAGAAGAAGAUGAUGAUGAUGAUGAUAAAGACGAUGAUGAAGACGAGAAAGAGAAUAAUGAUGAUGACUCUCAACUUAUGGAGCAUGAUCAAUAAGUCACUGACCAUGGUGAUUGGAUAGGUGUUACUCCGGACAAAAUCCAUAUGAUAACCAAGGUUGGAGAGAAUAGCAACACACCGGCUGGACCAGCAACCGAUCAUCCUAUAUGACUACACCUCCUUCUUAAUCUGAAAACUCUGAAGUGAUGGAAAUGUUAAGAAACAUGUAAAUAUAUCAGCAAAAUUUUUAUACACUUCAAGAGGAGAGAUUUACGGCCUUGUAGGAUCAACUUCAGAUUCAAAGUGAUAACUUUGCAUCUUUUGCUUCUAUCCAAGAGGAACAGUACUCGGACUUAAGGAAUCAGAUCCAAACCCACAGUGACAACUUCAAUUCAUUUACCUCCACAAUCAUGCAACGGGUUGAUGCCACCCAUCGCUCUGAGAGAGAGAGAGAGAGAGAGAGAGAGAGAGAGAGAGAGAGAGAGAGAGAAGAUCAACUUCAAUACGCUUAAUCGGAACGUCAUUGAAUUCACUGGCUUCUAUGAAGAAGACAGACCUUCGCGUCAACCUUCUGGUUAUAGAGACAAAAAUGACCCGUCACGAGGGAUACUACCUUAGAUGAUUGAUUCAUUCAGUUCAUUUCCAUUUCUCUGUGUUUGCAUGUUAUUGUCUUACUUAUUUGUCUUAAAGUUUAUGUUAAACAAUUAUGGAAAUGUUAUUUACUUAUUUUCUUUUGCUCCGUGUAAUAUUUAUGCCUAUAAUACUUACAUUUACUUCAUGUUAUGUGCAUGGUUGUUAAUGCCUAUCUUUUGCAAAGUAGUUGACUAAGUGCUUAUGAAUAUCUUUGUUUCCCGUUGACCGUAUCAUUGUUUCUUUUUGAUGUUGUCAAAGGGGGAGAAGCAAUGGAAACACAAUAGAAAAUUUAUAAUAGCAGAAUGUUUGAAGGCAUAGCAGAUUUAUAAUAGCAGAAUGUUUGAAGGCAUUCAUAAAAUCAAGGGGAGGAUGUCUAUCAAAGUACGCGAUUGUGCCAAAGUUUUCCAUCAUUAAAAAGGGGGAGUAUAUGAGGGCAAAGAUUCCUAGUCCUUAUUUUAAUGUUGUCAAACCUUUCUAGUUGCUCAUAAUAUGUGCUUUGGACGGUGUCAUCAUAUCAUAAAAUGCAUUCAUCCUCCAACAUGCUCAAAGUAUAAGUGAAAUGUGUCCAUGCAUAUAAGAGCAUCUCAUUUACUUGAAUAAUGCACUUGAUCAUCGUUAAUACCUUAGGUUUAUAAAAUAAUGAUUUCAAAUUAUCCAAAUAUGUCUUAAAAUUCAUUUUUUUACAGUCUAAGAACUUUGAGUCGACUCACAUCCUGGAGCGAUCGACUCAUUCAUACAUAUCCCAAUAUGUGAAACUCUCGGGUCUGAACAGGUCGAGUCAGAGGUCGACUCAAUUCUGGGAAAACCAAAUGAGUCGACUCAUCCACAUGAUUGCGUCGACUCAUUGCCUAUUUCAUUUAAACCAUGAUUUUCACAGGUCUGAACAGGUCAAGUCAUAGGUUGACUCAACUCUGGAAAAACCCUGUUUGAGUUGACUCAUCCCCUGUUUGAGUCGACUCAUCGCCUGCUUCAUUUGAGUGGUUUUUCCUCGGGUCUGAACAGGUCGAGUGAUUGCGAUUGGCACUCAAUUUAUACUCUGCAUUUUUGCAAACUCAUUUUGUUAUGUAUGUUACUUUGUCCAUGCAUCAUAUAAAUAUUCUAGAGUCUCUUCUUCAACAAAAAACAAGAAAAGUGAAAGAUAUACACUAAAGUGCUUUUCAUCUUCAUUCUUCAUUGCAUUUCUUAACAACUACACAUAACAAUUUUUGUUGAUCAUUGUGCAUUGUUGUGGUGAUAACGUCCAAAUAGGAUUGUGUAAUCUUAGUUUGGGUAGAGGCUUUGAGUGGGUUUUUCUUGAAUAAAACCAUUGGGGUUUUUCCUCCAAGAAUUGAGGGUUUUUACACUAAUAUUUGCUUCAUAGAUUCAGCCGAGUCAAAGGUUUGAAGAAUGAUGGGUUCGUUCAAACAAGUAACGGUAACUGGAGGAUUGUGAAGGAAGGUUAGGGUUCAAGCGUCUUGUGACUGAAGUCAGCCGAGCUAGAAUUUUGGAGAACGUGGAGUUCUUGCAAUAAAGUAGCUACAACCGGAGGUUUCACACAGAUCCGAUCGAAAUCAGUCGAGCUAGAGUUUUAGAGAACGUGGAGGUCUUGCAAUAAGGUAGCUACAACCAAAGGUUUGUUCGGAACACUUGAAGGACUUGGUUCAACUCGAAUCAAGGGGAUAAAAGUGAAUAGGAUCUGCAACAACACUUGGGGUUGGUUGGUGGUGAUCAUUUCUUCUCUUGUAUUAACUUUGUAAUUUGAUAAUAAAUAUCUCAAUUCUAGUUUAAGAAUUGGGGGCAAUGUACCCUAAGCGAGGACGAAAGGGGAACUGCCUAAACAAAUCUGGUGUUGUUCUCUCUUUCUCUUAACUCUUUAAAUUCUACAUUAAUUGAGUCUUGUGUGAAUUUAACAGUAAAAUUAAUCUCGCUUAAUUAUUAUGCAUAGAAGUUGUUCGAUAAAUUGGUGCAAUCACUUUGAUUGCAACUAAGUAAAAUUAUGCACAUUCAAUUUGAGUGAAAUUGAGACUUGGUGUGAAGUGCACACCAAGUGUUUGAUAAAAUUAACCUCACACAAGUCUAUCAAUAUUUUACUAGUUCUCUUAUUGUGUUAACUCAUCGUUAGUGGUAACUAUAUCAAGGAUUGGGGUAGUUAAUCGAUUGGUUAAGAUAGUAGUUGAUUAUCUCUAUCAUAGUUAUUCGAUUUGGUUUCAUGCAUAUCUGAUCUUUCCAUUAAUGGAUUGUUUAGACGAUUAUGGUCUAGGGAGCUUUCGCAACCUUUGAAAACAUUUUUGAAAAGCGUUAAAUUUAAAUACUAAUAUAUUCAACCCCCCCCCCCCUUCUAGAUCGGUACUAUCGUCUAACAAGUUUUAGGAGUUUGGUUUUUUGUACCAAAUCUCUAACAUCCCCCUUCUAGAUCGGUACUAUCGUCUAACAAGUUUUAGGAGUUUGGUUUUUUGUACCAAAUCUCUAACAUGCAUUAACACCUAUAAUUUUAUUGUCCGACCUCAAAUAGUUUUGACUUCUACAUAAGUCCAAUUACGAUUUCUUAACAUAGAGCUAAAUUUGACCCUCAAGUCAUAUCAUUCUAGUAAGUGAGAUUAUAAGUCUCCCAUUCUUCAUCGCAUUGUGUGGAGACUUGACCUUUUUUCUUUUCAUGAGAGCUAGUGGCAUACUUGUUAAAUUAUCCAAGUUGGAGCCCUUAUCAUGGAAGAUGUAUUGGUUUAAGGAUCCAUACUUGUGAAUGAAUGGUUGAGUGUUCUCCAAAGAAUGACUUGAUUAAUUAAGACUCACCACUAACACUUAACACUAACCAUUGACUAACUCUUAUUUAUAUUGCUUCACUUUCAAGUCAUUUACUAUUAUGCAAUUUAAAUUUCAGUCAUUUAUCAUUCAUUGCCAUUUACAUUUCAUACAACUUGUUUAUGUUUAAGUCCAUUUUCAUUUUUGCUCAUUUGAGCCAUUUUUUGUGAUUGUAUCGAAUUAUUUAUUAAUAAUAAAAGGCUUUUUCUUUAUUAUGUUUGUUUAAUAAAGUCCCUAGAAUAGCUAGUCCGUUUAAUGUAUCAAGUGUGACUUAAUCAUGAGAUCACAUUAAACAUAUUGUAUCGAAUUAUUUAUUAAUAAUAAAAGGCUUUUUCUUUAUUAUGUUUGUUUAAUAAAGUCCCUAGAAUAGCUAGUCCGUUUAAUGUAUCAAGUGUGACUUAAUCAUGAGAUCACAUUAAACAUAACGACAUUAUUCUUAAAGUAUCCAUAGCCGAGCUUUAUUAUGAAGUGGGAUAACAUUAAAGCAUUAAAACUAUUAUGUAUAUAUACUGAUGAUCACAUCUCGUGGAUCAUGGAUAAGGAGUUAUCAAGUCUUAAACAUAGGUAUGAAUAUUAAGAGUAAUAUUUAUACUGGAUUGACCUGCUAUGAGAAUACUAUAUAGAAUUUUAUGCAAAGUGUCAUAAGUUAUUCUCAUGGUGAUAAUGAUGUAUACCACCCUUCGACCUUAAACCACUAUGGACCCUAGAUGUAGAGUCGAGUGCCUUAUUAUUGAUCAAACAUUGUCCGUAACUGGAUGACCAUAAAGACAAAUGAUGGGUACUCCAGGAAGCAUGCUUAGGGACAUGAGUGACCUAGAUGGAAUUUUCCCAUCCUGCGUAACAGGAUAAAUGUCUAUGGGCCCAAUAUUAAACUGGACAAGGAUGACACGGUUUAUGCCUUGUGUUCAAUAUAGACAUAAGGGCAAAAGAGUAAUUGCACACAUAAGUAUUAUCAGAAAAGGAUUUGUCAAAUCACAUGACAAUUUCGUGUCUUGGGUAGCAGUGAUGUGUUGCUAGAUACCGCUCACUGUUUAUUAUGUUAAAUACGUGAUUUAAUAUAAUUGCCAAUGCCGCGAAAACCUACAGGGUCACAUACAAAAGGACGGAUUGAUGAGAGAUAGAGUAACUAAGGAACACCGUAAGGUACAGUGCACAUAAGUGAAUUGUAGAACAUCAUAAGGUACGGUGUACUUAAGUAGAAUACGAAAUAUGGUAAGGUACCACGCGCUUAAGUGAUUUUGAUAUAUUAUAAGAUAUGGGCCACAUACACUUAAGUGGGUUUUUAGCUUGCAGCCCAGAUAAGUGGUUCUAUAAAUAGAACCCUUGUGCAGAAGUAUUUGUGCAGUUGCAAUUUUGUUUCUCUCUCUCUCUCUCUCUCUCUCUCAAAGCCUUCAUUCAUAGCAGCUAGCACUGAGAUUGAAGGAAUCCGUUCUGGUGGACUGAGUAGAGGCGUUGUCACCAUUCAACGUUUGUGAUCGCUCCGUAGAUCUGCAUCAAAGGUUUCAAUCUCCACAAGAGGUAACGAUUUUAUCACUGAUCAUGUCCAUUUGUAAGGAUCACUAAAGGAGAAUUUUUGUAAAAUUUCUCUGCAUUUUGGAUCGCUCUUCUCCUUAAGUCUUGGUUUAAGGAUCCAUACUUGUGAAUGAAUGGUUGAGUGUUCUCCAAAGAAUGACUUGAUCAAUUAAGACUCACCACUAACACUUAACACUAACCAUUAACUAACUCUUAUUCAUAUUGCUUCACUUUCAAGUCAUUUACUAUUAUGCAAUUUAAAUUUCAGUCAUUUAUCAUUCAUUGUCAUUUAUAUUUCAUACAACUUGUUUAUGUUUAAGUCCAUUUUCAUUUUUGCUCAUUUGAGCCAUUUUUUGUGAUUGUAUAUAUAUUGUUUGUGUAUUUUGAUUUUGUUUGUGGUCUUAGGACCUUAAAACACAUAAUAACAACAAAAACCCUAAAAAAACAUUUGGUGGACUGUUGGGACUUGAUCUGCACUUUUGGACUUAGAAUUAGGCAACUUUCCCUAUGCUAGAGGAAUUGGCCAAUGCCAAUAUUUUGAGACUGAGCUAUCUUGAAUUGAGUCUUCAUCUGAUGCAAGACCUUGAGGAUUUCUUUGAUUCAUUUGUUACUCUGUCUUGGUGCUUAAUUUCUUAUUUUAUUAUUGCCUUUGUCUGAUGUUUUGUUCUGAGUUGAUAAAGGAAUAUUUCAUCUGGUACAUUGGAAGAUAAUAAAGACUGCUAGCUAUUGGAGUGCUUGCUUGGAUGUGGCUAUCUUUAUUUGAUGCCUUGAUCUUCAUGAUGUCUGGAUAUUGCUCAUUGCUUAUUGAUUAUUGCUUGAUCAAAGUCCAACGGAAAAUGGGUUUCUAUAUGGCAUUCUUGUCUGUUGGAUUGCAUCCCAUUGGUCAGACCUUUUCAACUCUUAACUUUUAAUUGUACUUAGGAUAGUCUCUUCAUCUCCUCCCACUUCUUAAAUUUAAAAAUCUCUCCCUCUUUUCAAAAACCUUUCUUUUCUUGUGAGUUUAAACUUAGACAUGUUUUAACAAUUAGAAACUUUGGCCUUAUGCCAAUGAAUUCUUAAAAAUAUUUCCUUAAUCAAACUUGUAAAUAAACUUAACCAUAUUGACUUAAAUUUCAAAAGACAAAAAUAAUUAAUAACCCCAUUCAAACCUUUGGCCUUUUGUGCCCUCUUCUUAAAUUUUUGUUAAAAUCAAUUCACCAACUCUUCUUUGAAAUUUCUACCCCGAACUACGAGGUUUUGAUCCCUCAUUUUUAUAUUGGUACGUAGGCACGAGACCGAAGAUCUUAUGAAACACAAAAAUAUAAUCAAUGAAUUAUUUUCUCAUCCCCACGCUUUAUUUUUUUCAAAUAUCUUUUAUACCAAAACACAUGCACACAUAAAAAGGGCUCCCUAGAAGUACCUAGGACACUUUGGGUGCUAACACCUUCCCUCUAUGUAACCAACCCCCUUACCUGUGAUCUCUGGCAUUUUAUUAUAUUUGAUUUGAAAACUUCUUAUCCUUGGGUUUCGUUCGUGCUUUUCCCUUUUCCUUUGGAAACGAUAAAAGUGCGGUGGCGACUCUAGUUUUAUUGACGUCAAGUUUAUCCAUAGCUUGAUGGUCAUGAAUUUACCAAUACAACGGCUACCUGCAAACCAAUAUUCAAACUAUUGAGGAAGAAUCAAUCGAUUGUGUCAUAUGACGAUUGCCAAAUGGAAUUCGAUAAAAUAAAAAAGUACUUGCAAGAACCAUCAAUCCUCAUACCACCGGUUCCUGGUAGACCAUAUAUUAUGUACCUCACGCUACUUAAUGAAUCCAUGGGCUGCAUUCUGGGUCAACAUGACGAUACAGGCAAGAAAGAACAUGCAAUAUAUUACCUCAGCAAGAAAUUCACUGAAUGUGAGACAACAUACUCACUUUUAGAGAAGACGUGUUACACUUUAGCUUGGGUUGCUCGACGCAUGAGACAAUACAUGGUAUGCCAUACUACUUUGUUGAUAUCCAAAAUGGAUCUGAUAAAGUAUAUAUUAGAAAAUCCUAUUGUUACUGGUAGAAUUGCUCGGUGGCAAAUGUUGUUAACUGAAUAUGAUAUCCAGUAUGUGACUCCGAAAGCAAUAAAGGGGAGUGUUCUAUCUGACUACCUUGAUCAUUUACCCGUGGAAGGUUAUCAAUCAUUGAGGUUUGACUUUCCAGACGAAUACAUCAUGUUCAUCAGAGACUUCAUUGUGCUAGGAUCCGAGAUAAACCCUGAGGAAGGCCCCGAACCAGGAUCGCGAUGGACGCUUGUGUUCUAUGGUGCUUCCAAUGCUCGUGUCCAUGGCAUAGGUAUAGUUAUCACUUCUCCAAAUGGUUUCCACCUUCCAUUCACCGCCAGAUUAUGCUUUGAAUGCACCAACAAAAUGGUAGAAUACGAAGCAUGUAUCUACGGUAUGGAGGCGUCCAUCGACUUAAGGAUCAAGAUUCUUGAGGUAUACGGAGAUUCAACUCUGGUGACAAGUCAGGUAAAAGGUGAUUGGGAAACUUAGGAUUGUAAGUUGAUACCUUAUAAAGAGCAUAUCAGAAAGCUGGUACCCUAUUUAAAUGAAGUCUCUUUUCAUCAUAUUCCUAGGGAAGAAAAUCAGUUAGUAGACGCUCUAGCUAAGUUGACAUCUAUGUUCAAAGUCAAAUGGAAGAAUAAAGCACCAACUAUCCAUAUUGACCACUUAGAUGAACCAGCACAUUGUCUAGCAGUCGAGGCAGAUCCUGAUGAUAAGCCCAGGUUCUACGACAUAAAGACAUUUCUGGAGAAAUAGCAAUAUCCCGAGGGUAUAUCUAUUAUUGAUAAGAAGGCUCUGAAAAGAGUCUCUUCCAAGUUUUUUCUUAAACGGUGAUGUGUUAUACAGGCGAAAUUAUGAUUCUGUAUUUCUCAGAUGCGUCGAUAGACACGAAGCUAGUACAAUCAUAAAAUCUAUACAUAAAGGUUGCGAGGGGGUACAUGCGAAAGGUUCUGUUAUGGCUAAGAAGAUCCUCCGGGAUGGGUAUUAUUGGACGACAAUGGAGGUUGACUGUUACAACUUCGUCAGAAGAUGCCACAAAUGUCAAAUAUAUGGUGACAAAAUCUUUGUGACACCAACUCCGUUGAACGUUUUGACGUCUCCGUGGCCCUUUUCUAUGUGGGGUAUCGAUAUGAUCGGGAUGAUAGAGCCUAAAGCUUCCAAUGGUCAUCAAUUCAUCAUAGUUGCCAUCGACUACUUUACAAAAUGGAUUGAAGAUGCUUCAUAUGCCAAUGUCACUCGACGGGUGGUUACUCGGUUUAUCAAGAAAUAGAUAAUAUAUCGCUAUGGAAUUCCUAGAAAGAUCAUCACUGACAAUGUCAGUAAUCUUAACAACAAUAUGAUGAAGGAGUUGUGCGAAGAGUUUAAGAUCGAGCACCACAAUUCUUCACCAUACCGGCCCAAGAUGAACGAAACUAUAGAAGCAAAUAAUAAGAACAUCAAGAAAAUCUUACAGAAGAUGGUCAAGACAUAUAAGGACUGACAUGAUAUGCUACCCUUUGCUCUGCAUGGUUACAGAACCCCGGUUCGCACAUCUAGUGGGGCAACUCCAUACUCAUUGGUGUAUGAGAUGGAGGUCGUUCUGUCAAUUGAAGUCGAGAUUCCUUCACUCAGGGUCAUCAUAGAGGUUGAUCUCGAAGAAGCUGGAUGGGUUCAAUCACGGUAUUACCAGCUGAAUCUGAUCGAAGAAAAAUGUUUGAUGGCCGUUUGCCAUGGUCAACUGUCCCAAAGACGCCUCAAACGAGCUUUUGAUAAGAAAGUUCUUCCUCGUGAGUAUCACACAGGAGAACUCAUUCUCAAAAGUUACUCUGCUAUUCACUCAUAUCCUUGAGGCAAAUGGACUCCCAACUACGAAGGACCUUUUGUCAUUAAGAAGGCGUUCUCAGGUGGAGCUCUAAUCCUCAUAACAAUGAAUGGGGAAGAGUUGUCAUCGCUGGUGAAUGAAGGCAUAGUCAAAAAAUAUUAUGCCUAAAAAGAAAUGAUGAUAAAAUCCUGCUAGAUUAAUCCUCACAAAGUUAAUCUAGGCAAAAAUGGCUAUCCCGAUGGACCAAAAAAUGAAUUGUCCAUGCAAAAGUUAGGGAUCGGAUAAAAAUAUAAAGCUCGCUAAGUCGAAAACCCGAAAGGGCGGCUUAGGCAAAAAGGAGCAUCCCGGCGGACGAAAAGAAUAGGAAAUGUCCUGACAAAAGUUAGGGAUAAAGGAAUUGACUAUGAUCCUCAAGCCUAUUACGCUACAAGCUAGAUCUCAUAAAGUCAAAGAUCGAUCAAAUCAUCGUCAAUCAAAUAAAAUUCAUGGGAUUCAGACCCUAUAGUGGAUAACGACCAAUGUUGUAAUCAAUGGAAAAAUACAAAAAUAUUUCCCAUUGCCAUUUCUUUUAUUUUUCAAUUUUUGUGAUGCCCUCUUAAAGGAUGUUUGCAUCUCUGUACACGCCAUAUGUACCUUUUUGGUCAUAAUCAAUAAAAUUCAAUUUUCUUUGAUCAUUUGUUUUUGCUUCUCCUGCAUUUUGUUUGCAAAAUAAUUGAUUUAUUUAUAAUCAUAUAAUGCUUUAAAAUUUUGAAUAAUAAAAGCUACAUUAAAAGAUAACUUUAUACAUUACUGUAAACUCCCGAUGAACUUAAAAAGAUGACUGGUAGUUUGAAAGUUUUGCUUGAAUAUUUAUGGCAUCUAGUUGAUUGCCCGGUGGGAUCAUGAAUCACGGUGUUCCUCAACAUGUUUAGAUAAACCCGUGACAGUAGUUUUGACACCUGGAUUUCAAUAUCAGGCUCUUUGGUAUAAUUGAUGACGAGUCGGAGUUCCUUCCAUACCAAAGAACCUUACCCUACAAAUAACAUUUGCCUAACCAUAUAAACACUCAUGCAUCAUGAAAAUAAAGCAUACAUCACACAACAUGCAUAUCAUGCUCUCCAACAUAAUUUCCCUGUAGAAUAUCAAAAACAUAUGUGUACCUCCGCAGUAUGUCCGUUCGGGCAAAUUUGUAGAUACAUUAGUAUUUAAUCCUCUUCUACCUCUAAUACUUGAAAAGCUUCUGUAAUUCUUGUAUUCAAAUUCAAGAAGAUUAAAUAGGGGCAGCUGUUGUACCCCAAAAUUUUCCCUCCACUUUUUCAUCUUUUCAUCCAACCACUUGACUUGGGGGUCAAUUGCAUACAUUUACAAUUCAUUCAUAUGCAUCAUUCAUCCAUUAGUGGAUCACCAUAGAUUCAAAACUCUUGGCUUGUGAAGUUGGGGUUUAUGUGUGGAACAACUUCAAAAGCAUGGUUUGGUUAUUCAUCAAAGCAUAGGGGAUAUGAAACCCUAAUCAUUUGAUGGUAGAGGUAUGGAUCAACAAGGUGUCAUCUAGGCAAUCCUCAGGGGUCUUCAAAACCCUAAUUAUUGAUAUUAUGAUGGUGGGAUCCUAUAGAAUUUCUCUGGGCCUUGUCUUGUCUAUCAAAACCCUAAUGAUGCCUCAUACAUUGGAAGACUUGUUGUUGAAGCAUCUGGUUUGAUUCAAAAGGCUUGUUGGAGGGGUAGGCCUCAUGGAAACCCUAACCAAGGAUGGAUUGGUCUUGAUGGGAUUUGUGGCUUGACUUUCCAUCUUAUAGUCCAAACCCUAGUUUCAUCCAUUGCUUUAUCCUUGGCAUACUGGGUGCCUUUGCUUGAUCCUUGUCCCCCAUAACCUUUUGUCUUGGCUCAAGCCUAUGGUCCCAUAACUUCCAUUCUUUGCUGCAUCCAUGCCAUUUCAUCUGAUCAUCUCAAGUACAUGCUCCACUCUUGGUUUGUUUUCAUCUGAUCAUUGGUCUUGAAUCUAAUUCAUCUUAGUCUCAAUGCCUCGUUGUUUUGUCCAUAAAUUAUUGAUGCAUUCAUGACAUUGUCUAUCCAAACCACUAAAACCUAUUGUAUUACAAUCCAGGUGGUGGUUAUGUCCAUUGAUUCAUGAUUAGUACUUCAUUCAAGUCUUUGCCUUAUUCAUCAAGUCACGACUUUGUUCAUCAACCAUGUUAAUAUGAUCAAUCCAUUUACAAGUCAUGUCCAUGUUCAUUUCAUUCCAAAUUCAAGCAUAUACACGUACAAAAAACCAAUUUGCAAAACCAAUUUGAAAACCAUUACAAACCACUUACAAUCCAUUACAUUGAUCAUUACAUGAAAAAUUUCAAAUUUUAGUAACUUUGACCAAGUGUUGACUUUUGUCAACAAUUGACUUUUUGGUCAAUUUUGACCAAAGCCAACUCAUCCCCUUUUUUGGCCACCUAAGAUCUAAUCUAAUCCACCUUGCCUUGAUUCAUCAUCUAAGGGCCAUAAUUGGUUUGCUUGUACCAUGUUUCUUCAUUUACAAGUAUCCAUGUUCAAAAUCAUGUCCACCAAGCCUACAAAGCCAAUCAAUAUCAUAACCAUGCAAAUUAGCACAUUGUCAUGGACUUCAAACAGAAACAGGCCAAUGAUGCAUCACAUAAUACUCCAUCAUCCAAAAAACAUGAGCUAAUGGUUAAGUUGAGAUGGCCUAGUUAUUACCUGUCCAAGUCAGAAUGUGAUUUCCUGCAGCACAUCAUAACAACCUGCCAUAAAAUAUGCCAACAUACAUUCAAGCAUGCAAUGUAACAGAACCUAAAGCAUUAAUAUGAACAACUUUGCAAACCAAGUCAUAUGGCCUGCCAAUACUUAUCCUGCAUCAACACACAUAAACCUUCCAGGCAAUGCACCAUAACCAAAUGCAUCAGAAUCACAAACUGACCUGCCAUAAUGAGACUGCAAUCAUCAGCAAGCCAGAGUCCGAACACAACAAAUCCAUGGCAAGGCAAUGGCAAUUAAGCAGCAAUGUUUCAAAACCUGCAAUGCAAAAAGACUGCCAAUCCAAACAUAAUCAUGAAGCAACCCACACCUUCAAAGCUAGAACUGUAGCAAAUGGGAAAAAGCAAUGACCAAGGAAUUUAAACAAUUCAGCAAGGCCAACCAAUUCAAAUACAACUUGUCCAAGUCAGAAUGUGACUUCAUGCUGCAGCCUCAUGACCCCUUGUUGGUAGUCCAAAGAAUGGCCAUUGAAAAGUCUGUUGCAAUCCUGGUUCAUCACCAUCAAUCCAUGACCAGGCCACAAUCAUCAUGCAGUGGCAGCAACUACCAAACAACAUGGAACUCCCAACUCCACAACUAAACUGCAUCAUGUCAGCAUACCAUCAAACCUGACCACAAACAAAACAAAGGCAACAAAACAAUGACUUAUCAAUAUUUAAGCAUGGUUAUGGCCAAACAUCAUGAGUAAGGCAAACCUGCAAUUAGCCUUUAAGCACAAAUCCUGCAAAGCAGACCAAGCCACCAAAACCUGUCAACAAAACCAAUGACAUGCUCAAACCUGCAUAAACAUAAACAGGAACAGAUCAAGUGCAAACACACAUAUCAUCAUGCCAACCCUGGUAUCAGGUCACAUCAGGAAUGCACAUGAUAAUACAAUGAACAACAUGUGCAUAUGUAGUUUAAUAACUCAAUGUAGACAGGUUGUGCACAAUUCCACUUGUUACCCUACAUCUGACCUAACUGAAUAACAAACCAACCAUCAAUCUAAACCUACAAAUUUCCAUAUUGGGCACAUUAAAAUGCAACCUACAACAUGUUCAGCAGGUCACCAACCCCAUUCCACAUGACUUCAAUUCAAUUACAACCUGCCAGGGCCAGUCAGAAACAUAAUCACUUAACACUUGCUCAACUAACGAACAAACUGAGUUCUAACUCCUUAACUAACUGAGUUAUCAGUUAACUCAGUGAGUUGAUCCUAACUAUCUCCCAAACUUGGACAUAACUAACUCCAAGCCUACUUUAAUCCAAACCUAAUGCCUAUUUAAUCAUGUUCAUCAUCAUCAUCUCAACAUCCUUGGAAUCAUUACUCUUAAGCUCCUAAUUUCUCUUUAAAUCCUCUCCCUCUCACACUCAAAGCUCAAUUUCUAAACUCCAUUGAAGUUUCACAUUGAAGCUCCAAGAAGAAAGAGCUCAACCUCAUCAAUCUGAAUUCAUCACACUAAAGAAUUUUGGAAGAAGAAGAAUUGGAAGAAGAGUGAAUCAGAAGAAGAUGAAGACAAUAUCAUACCUAUUGAACAAGUGAUUUUAUGUCUUCAUCUUCUCCAAUUAACACUCGCCGGAGCAAGUGUCAGCUUCGGGGGUAGGUCCAUUUUCUUUAUUUCUUCACAUUUUGAUUGUCAUACUACACGUUACAGCAAUCUAAUGCAAAACCCUAACACCAUGAGCUUCGAAUUUCACUUGUGGAUGCCGAAUCUAGGUUUGAGCUUCUUAGGGUUCUUGAGAACAUGGUUUCGGUUAGGGCUUUAGGCCAAAAAUUAGGGGAUUGAGAGGUUAGAUUCAUGAUCAGGAGGUGGAGACGGAGCUGAAGGUGGGUCAACUGUCCAUUUCUGGUGGCCGCCGCCGCCGAAAAUGAUUUUGUGCGGGAUGGCCCAUGGUGGAAAUCCGGCAAGGUGAGAUGAAUUGGUCUUGAUGUGAGCGCGCGUAGAUAGCAUUCAAAACUUGUUGACUUUUGGCCAAGUCAAUGCCUUCCAUUGGAUUUGCUUAUGAUUGGGCUUGACUCACUCAAGCCCAAUGGGAAUUCCAUUCUCACACCAUUUUGACACUACACCCCCUGGCCAGAAGCAAAAUGUAUUGGGCUUUUCAGCCAAGGCCCAUGCGCCUGAAUUCCACUUUGCACACCUUGUACAGGGCCUGCACCCCCAUUGGCCCAACAAUUUUUAAUUACCAUUAAUUCCAUUUUUUAUUUUGUUUUGAUGUUUUGUUAAUUGGUUUUUUAACAUUUUUUAAUUAGGUUAAUUAGUUUUUUUUGCAAUUAGAUUUUAAUUUGGUUAGAAUUUAGAAACAAAUAGAAAUUAAUUGUCGUUUUAACAUGAUUAAACAUUAGGAUAAAAAAAUUGAUUAAUUGGAUUAUUUUAUCUUGAUUAGAAAUAAUUAGGAUGAUUUAACCUUUAAUUAGAUUUAAUCCUAGUUUAAUUCCCAAAUUAGAAAUAUUUUAUGAAAAGACAUUUUUACCCUUAAGGGUCAUUUUGUCAUUUUAACCAUGGCUAAAUACAUGCUCCUUUAGGUUUAGAUCUUGACAUAAAAUUUUAAUCAAUCCUUGACUAACUAUAUCAUGAUCCCUUAGGUUAGUUUGAUUAAUUCUAACCAUUAGAUUAGUUUUUAACUUAGUUUUCAAACUAAUUAUAACCCUCGAUUCAAGUUGAUCAAAAGAAAUUUUGAUCAACUAAAUCCUUUGAUAUUGUAUAAUCCCACAAUCUAAUUCGAGUUACCAAAAGACCCUUGGUCACUUAAUAAGACUUUUCAUGUAAGUUGUGGAGCUCGAGGCCUCAAGUCAGAUUCUCAAUUAAGGCAUCCUCAGUCAUACCAAGCAGUGGAUAAUACAAACUACAUCAAAGGUGGCAUUUUCAAGAGCUUGUCAAAUCAAAGUUAGGAUUGCGUGGCAUGAGCCUUAAGUAAUAGAGAAUGAAUGUGACUGGAGAAUUCCUACCCCCAUUCUGAAUAUCUUUGGGUAUGAGACGAAUGACCCAGUGCUCAUCGUAUUCACCUUUAUUCAUAGACUUUAGCACAUUUCAAAUCAUAUGAUUGACAAGUCUCUCUCUUUCUCUCUCUCUCUCUCUCUCUCUCUCUCUCUCCAUAAAGAAUCAUGCAAUAAGCAAGGACUACAUCAACAAAUUAUCAAUCAUGAUUCAAGUUGUACGACAUGAGCCUUAAGCAAUGGAGGAGGAAUGGGACUGGAGAAUUCCUACCCCCAUUCUGAAUAUCUUUGGGUACGGGAUGCUUGACCCAAUUUCUCAUUGUAUUUGCCUCCAUUCAUAGACUUUAGUGCAAUUUGAAUCAAACAAUUGAUAAAGUAUUCAUCACUAUGCAACAACAGCAAAGAUUCUCCUCUAGUAACUUGUAAGUUAAGAUGAGAAUUACAUGCCACGAGCCUUAAGUAGUAAAGAAGGAAUGAGACUGGAGCUUUCCUACACUCAUUCUGGAUAUCUUUGGAUGCGGUACAUUUGGCCCGUUGCUUAUUGUAUCCACCUUUACUCAUAGACUUUAGUUUGGUUCUUACCAGAUAACUAUCAAGCCUCUUCAUUUCAAUCAAUCACUUCUUUUGCCUCCAUCAUCUUGGUUUCAGCCCUAGUGGGUUGAACUACGAUUGCUUUGAUUUCCUUAUUGCAUUAUAAGGAUACAUAGGCAGAAGAACUCAGUUUCUUCACGAGCUACCUUAUUUAUUAAUCCAUCAUUCAUUCAUCAAUCAAUACCAUCUUUUUGAGAUCCAAUACUACUUAUCCUUGGUUUCCAUGUUCAUCCUUUUAGGACGCCUAAUGAAUAGUCUGCCUCGUGAACCAAGAGUUGUUUGGCUUAUUGCUAGACAUUUAACUCCUUUGUUUUUUGUUCUUUCACUACAGUGAUACCAUGCCUCAGGCCCCUCACUUGUUGGUUUACCUUUACUCUUUGGUUCAGAGUUUAUUCCUUCAUCGAUCCAAGACACAUUUUUCUCCUUAACCUCGAACUGUGUGUUCCCUAGCAGGUGAUAUAUUAUUUCCUUGUCCCAAUCAAUGCUUCCUUUUGGGCUCCAUACUCGCCCUUUUAGGACGACCUAAUCAAUGUUCAUCUUUGUGUUAAGAGCUGUUUGGCUUAUUUCCAUAUAUUUAUUUCUCUUUGUUUCGAGUCGUUCCACUACAGUGAUACCAUGCCUCGGGCCCCUCACUUUUUGGUAUGUCUGUUUACUCUUUGAUUCAAAACCAAUUUGUCUUUAUGGGUUCCCAUGUUACCAUUCUGUUAGUACAGGUAAUACUACUUAUCACUUCAAUCAUACAUUUUCAGUUGUUUAUCUUGUCAGUCCUUGUUGCUUAGACAAACAUUGUUUUGUUCUCUUUUCCUUUCUUUUCAUGGUUCCACAAACUACGAUUGCUCUGAUUUUCUCAUUCCACAAUGAGAAUACGUAGGCAUGAGGAUGUGAAUCCUUGGCGAGCAUAAUCCUAUUUAUUCCCUCUUUCGCCUUAGGGCGCGAUCCAUAUCUUUCAUGGCAUGUUACCCACCUUCGAUCAUUGAACCCUUCACCCUAGUGACAUACUGUUUCUUUGAAACUAAAAUACAGUUUUUUGUGGAAUUCCAUAUAUACCCUUUUAGGACGCCUAAUGAAAAGUCUGUGUUUGCACCAAGAGUUGUUUGGCUUGUACUCAGACAUUUAAUUCCUUCUUUUUUGGCCCAACCACUACAGUGAUAUCAUGUCUUAGACCCCUCACUUGUGAGCCAUGCCACCUUUUCCUCUAUGGUAAAAAUCCCAUUUAUCAUAUGGAUUCUAAUGCCCCUUUACUUUUGGUUUCAAACUAUACCUUUUCAAUCAUUUAUUACCAAACAUUUUCAAUUUUGUGACUUUGGUCACUUCAUUCUGUUCAUCUCCAUGACACAUUCAUAUUCUACCUUCAUUCAUUUUAUGUGGUAUACCCUUGUUUUUUAUCCAAAUACAGUAUAUUUAUGAUCUCUAUUUUGUUCCCUUUGUUAACCUAGAGCAGUUUUGUUUGUCUUGUCAAACCUUGUAGCUUAGACAAACACCUCCUUACUUACUUUGCAACUGUAUUUAGGAAACCCUUCUGUCGCAACCUGAAAAAUCAGUGCGCGAAAAAAACAACCGGCGAAGAAGAAAUGACAGAAGAGUCGCCACCGUGCGUUAUUUAUCCCAAAGGAGGGAAAGGAAACGCUCGAAGUAAACCUGGAAAAAGGAAAGGAAAAGACAAGGUCUCGCAACCAAAUCUUGGGUUCGGGAGUCGAUUAUGCGAAGGGAAGGUAUUAGCACCCCUACGCAUCCGUAGUACUCUACGGGAUCCACUCUUGUUGUUCUUGUCUAAAGGGUGUGGGUUUAUCUAAUGUACUAUUUACUAAAAGAGGGGUUAAAAGAAAAUGACUCGCACGGAUGUCGCAUCCACUGCAUACGUAUCUCAUCUGAAUAUGAGAAUCAGAGUCUUCGUAGCUCGGCUACCUAUGGGUUAAAGAGAAGUGUGCUCGCUAAGACAUCGCGUCUUAUGCCUACGUAUCUCAUCUGGAAUGAGAAUCAGAGAAAAACGUAGUUCAGCUAACUACGGGAAAAAGGGUCUCGAUUGCAACUAGGGCAAGAGAAAGGGAAGGUCUCGAUCGCAACGAGGGCGAGAGAAAGGAUCGCAACGAGGGCGAAAGCAAACAAGGAUUAGUUGUUAGUCGUUAGUCAAACUCGGCAAGACAUCGCAUCUUGUGCCUACGUAUCUCAUCUGAACAUGAGAAUCAGAGUUGCCGUAGUUCGGCUACAUAGGGAUUGCCAUCUGAACAUGGACUUACAAAGGAGGACACCAGUUGUGUCAAAGGAGAGUGGGCAAUGUGUUCACGUCCUAGCAGUAGGUGUCGCAGCUCGCUGAAUCGAGUCUUAGGCAGUUACCUCUUUGCAAUAGAACGGACUACAUGCCACAAGAUCGGAGACGCUCGGAAAGGUCUAGAAGUGGGGGAAGCUCUGCCCUAGAGUUGUCAUGCAAUAUGUACUUAAGUGUUAGGAUUUACAAAUGGGAAUAUCUACCUAAUGUUAGCAUGCAAAGAAUAUGGGAAUUCUACCUAUGUUAUCAUACAAAAGAAAAAGGGAAUCCUACCUAUGUUAUCAUACAAAAAGAUAUGGGAAUCCUACCUAUGCUAUCAUACAAAAGGAUAUGGGAAUCCUACCUAUGCUAUCAUACAAAAGGAUAUGGGAAUGCUACCUAUGUUAUCAUACAAAAGGUUCUAUCUAAUGGGUGCUACCUAAUCGGAACAAGAAUUGACGAGUGGAGCAAGGAGAGGUGCUAGGAAUAAGGGUAGAUGGCGAUGCAUGAAGCAAUCGACUUACAAGGUUGAUGGCGAUGCAUAAAGCAAUCGACUUACAAGGUUGAUGGCGAUGCAUAAAGCAAUCGAUUUACAAAAGGGUGGAUGAAUACGUGCUGGUUCUGUUAGGUUUUGAAAAAUGAUUACUCGACGUUGGAUCGAGGUUUUGAUCUUGUUUUGAAAUGGUUAUCGAAUGUUCAUUUUGAUUCUUGUAUUAACAGAUGAAUAAAGAAUGAAAGAAUAAAUAUUAUACAUUUCAUGGGAGAGGGAUACAUUUGUUAUGAAUGGGGAUUGUACAUGGUAAUUAAACAAUAAUAAUAUAUGCCUCAUACACCAUACAAGUAGGCCACAGUUAAUCAAACAAGUAAGAUAUAAACAAGUAUAUAAUCAAAUCAAAUAAUCAAAGAAUGAAAUAAUGAAGCGUUAAACAAUGUAUGUGAAGUAUAAACAUAUUAAACAAUCAAACAAUAAAGACAUGGAUGAAAGAAACAAGUAUAAAAAAUGUCAGAUGAAUAAGACAAGUGAAAUUAUGCACACAAAGAAUCAAUGAAUAAUUUAAUCGAGAAAUGAUGCAAGGAUCAAAUAAAAUCAAGAUUAAAGGCCUCUAAUAUGUGGCACAUGAGAUGAACAAGGGAGGAUCAAAAGAUCUCUUCAAUUGCCCUAAGCAGUCCCUAUGUCAACAUCAAUCAUAGAAAAGUCAACCGAAAGGUCAAGUCAACUUAAAAAAUGUCAAAUAAAUAGUAAAUUAAUCACAAAAAUUAUGAAAAAUUAAAUUAAGUUAGGUGGGGUCAGGACAUCAUCAUCCCCCAAAAAUAUUUUAAAAAAUAAUGAAAAUUGGUUAUUGAAUUAAUUGAAUCAAAACAAAGGUCAAACCAAAAGUCCAACAACAAGACUAGGUUAGAAAUAAAUCAAGAAUAAAUUAGAAAAUGGGAAAUAAAAUUCCAAUAAAGGGUCAGGUUGACCAUGAGACAUUGGUCAACUCUCAUCCCAAAAAUCAGAAUCUAAAAAUAAUUUUAAGUUAUGAAAAUAAAAUAAAUGAAAAAAAGUGUGUUAAAAUGGCCUAUUUGAAAUAAAUAAUUAAAAUAAAAUACUAACAUUAAAUAAAAAUGAAAAUUAAAAUUAAAAUAAAUUAAAUAAAUCAUUAAAGAAGUUAAAAAAUAUUUUUUUUUGAAUUUUUAUCAAUAAUUGAAAUAUUUUUAUUAGUUAAAUUAAAACAACAUUAAAAAAAGAAUGAAUUACAAAAAAUGAGGAAGAUAAAAUGAAGUGAAAAUCAUGCAUGGGCCUGGUGUGGGGGUGCUGAUAUCAGCGGCGCAUGGAAGCCCAUGAUCCAACUAAAUUUAUUUAAAUGUGACAGCAAUAUUAAAAUGUUCAUUUAAAACAGCCAUGUAACAAGUAUCGAUCGGUCAACUCCAUUGUUAGUCACAAGAAGACAAAAAUGAGAACGGACGGAUGGGAUAGAAUCUGGACACGCGAUCUAGCGGUCCAGAUCGCGCCAACAGCAGCUCCCAUGCAAUAACAGAAAGAACCCUAAAUUUCAUGCACAACCCAGCGAACAAACCCGUGGAAACGCAAGCCAAACAUUCCUAACUUCCAAAUAAAAUUUCUCAUUCCAUAGUACAUGAAAUUAGAUGGUGUAAAAACCAAAACUCAAGUUCAAAGUGAGAGGAACACCAUGGUGUUUUACUUCAUUAAAAAUGGUGACUUAAAUAUGGAGUAAAAUGGACAGUAAGGUAGCUACACACACACGGAUGCCAACAGAAAAUAGUAACUCAAUUUCAAGUUCAACAAACAAUGCUUCAUGAGGAUGAUUUCAUGGACAAAUAUGGCACAAUAAUAGCACGGUGAUAAACGUGGUAUGAUGGCAAAUAAGCAAUGGUAAUGGCAUGAGGAAAAAAAGUAGCAAGCAUCAUAUAAUGGUGAUCUUAAGAAACUUCAUUAUGUCUAUGGAAGAAGAAGCAAGAAGCUUACCUAGUGGAGAAGAUGGAAGAGGAAUAAUACUGCUGUUUGUGCUUUGCAAACUUGCAGAAUGGAAAUGGAAGGAAAUGGACUUCUCACUCCUUGCCUUGCUUACUCUUGCUCAAUUUCGAAAAUGACAACCACCCCCUUCAGAUUAGGGUUUCAAGGUUUAUAUAUGUUGGUCCCAAGUGUUCUUAAUGGGCUUAGGUCCAAUUGGAUUUGAUUGUGUGCACUUGAAACAAGGUUGGCAAAGUGAGGUGGUAUUAGGAAAUGACUUAUUUGGCAUGGUUUAAGUGAGCUGCACCAGAAGUACAUGAACAAAUGAGGAAAGAAAGUGGGUUGGUCGUUUGUGGAGCAUAUUGGUCUGGUUUGGGGUAGGCAAGAAAAUAAGUUCAAGUGAGUGACUUUUGGACCAUGUAUCUUGAUGAUUGUGUGACCAAAUGGCAAGGUAAUGAAAGCAAUAGCAAGNGUCGGAAACUUCUUCGAUCUGAACAUCGGAAAAUUGGCCUGAAUGCCACUUCGGUCUGAAUACCGGAAACUGGCCUGAAUGCCAUAAGUUGCGUCGACCUGAAUGUCGGAAACUUCUUCGAUCUGAACAUCGGAAGAUUGGCCUGAAUGCCACUUCGGUUUGAAUACCGGAAAUUUUUCAUGCCUGUCAGCAUCGGCAAAAAUAAGGAAAAUGAUAAUUGAGGCGGCACGUGGGCCAACAAUCUAUGCUGGGGACAAUAAGUCAUGAACAACCUUCAGUCUGAGUACUGGAAACAAGCUUCUGGUUUAUCACUCGGGAUACCGAGAAUGUUUUAUGCUUCACAUACGUAUGUUUGAAUUUUUCAAUGGCGUAAUGCUCCAUGAAAAUGAAAAUGCUACGCGAUUUGGGAGGAUGCAAUGCAAUAUGAUUCUAUAUGCAGGGAUGCGAAAUGCUGGGUAGAAUGCCAAGUCGAGGCAAGGGAAUCUGCUGGGGAAAUGAUCACCAUCUUCUGGACCCUGACAAGGUUGUUGGAGAUGCACAGCGCAAAGAACUCUGUGGGGAAAUGACCCGCCACACGGUGUUCUAGCAAUGAUGAAAUACUGAGACUCUGACUGGGGAGAGAACGACACUAAAAACCUGUUGUUGGGGAAAGCGAUAGUGGUUCUGGCAACCAUAAUCUGCGAGAGAGACGACUUAGCAGGGGAAGCAAACACCGAUACGGUACCGAGGUUAUGCUUCCAGGAAAGAGAUCAUCGAUCUGGGAUUGAAAACAUCGAUAUGGCAUCGAACUCUGAGGAGCAGCUGCUUCUGCUGGGAAGAUACGGUCUGGCACUGUCAACUCCGCUGGGGAUGUACAGCCUGGCACUGUCAACUCUACUGGGGAGUGUAUAGUCUGAAACACCUGCUCGGGGAAGUACAUCAGUGAGAACCUGCUGGGGAUUGAAGAAUCCGAUGCUUGGACCAACUCUGCAUGGAUAAGAUACCAAACUCCAACUGUUGAAGCAAAACAUCCGCAAUCGUCUGCUGGGAACUUUAGGGAAAUGCCCCGAGUGUACCUGUAAAGCUCUUAUGUUUCAUGAUGCAAUGUUUUAUCAAAAAUUCGGACGUCAUUUUUGCAAACAAAACGAUAAAAUGAAAAUGAACACAGAGAUGUACUGAAUAACAUGAUUUUAUUGAUUGAAUGGCCUCUGAAUAGGCAUUUACAUCAGGAAGCAAUCCCUGGAAAGAGGUAAUCGCACAAAAGAUAAAAACAGAAAUUAAUCUAAUGGCAAUGUGAAAUGGAUUUCUAUUGGGUUCCAAUUCUGCUAUGACUUGCCCGUCUUCAAGAUCCUCCAGAUGAUCAGCCUUCUGAAAAGGUGAUUGGACUGUUUCCUACCUUUCGAAAAUUUCCAGUCAUCGACAUGAGAUGAGAUUCAGAACUAACUCAGAACGCAGUCAUUCGCUUAAUCCCUAACUUUUGCCUGGAUCGCCCUUUUCGGGUUUUCAAUCCACCGGGAUACCCAUUUUUGCCUAAGUUGCCUUUUCAGGUUUUCAACUUACCGGGUGUACGAUCUUUUCAUUUUUAAUCCCUAAUUUUUGCCCGAACCUUUUCAUUUUCUUGGUUCGUCGGGAUGCCCUUUUUUGCCUGGACUAUUCUUUUUACUGUCCAGCGGGUCUAUUUUAUGCGAAGUAUUUUUUAACUGCGUCUGAGUUCACAGGGGAAGUGAAGUUUUCACCAUCCAUAGUUGCAAGCAUUAAGGCCCCACCAUCAAAAACCUUGGUGACAAUAUACGGUCCAUCAUAGUUAGGAGUCCACUUGCCCCUGUGAUCUGUCUGAGGAGGAAGGAUCCUUUUCAACACUAAAUCUCCGACUUGGAAACAACGAGGACGCACUUUCUGAUCAAAGGCUCUCUUCAUCCGACUCUGAUACAACUGCCCAUGACAAAUGGCUGCCAUUCGCUUCUCUUCGAUAAGACUCAACUCAUUGAACCUUGUCCGAAUCCAUUCAGCUUCGUCUAACUUGACAUCCAACAAGACUCUUAGAGAAGGAAUCUCCACUUCAACAGGUAGGACUGCUUCCAUACCAUACACAAGGGAGUAAGGGGUUGCCCCGGUCGAUGUACGUACUGAAGUACGGUACCCAUGCAAGGCGAAAGGUAGCAUCUCAUGCCAAUCUCUGUACGUGACGACCAUCUUCUGCACAAUCUUCUUUAUGUUCUUAUUUGCCGCCUCAACAGCACCGUUCAUCUUAGGGCGGUAAGGGGAAGAAUUGUGAUGCUGAAUGUUGAAGUUCUGGCACAACUCCUUCAUCAUUUUGUUGUUGAGAUUAGAAUCAUUAUCAGUAAUGAUUCUUUCGGGAAUCCCAUAGCGAUAAAUGAUUUCUUUCUUGAUGAAACGGGCAACCACAUGUCUGGUGACAUUCGCGAACGAUGUUGCUUCGACCCACUUGGUGAAAUAGUCGAUGGCAACAAGGAUGAAGCGAUGCCCAUUGGAGGCGGUCGGCUCAACCUUUCCAAUCAUAUCGAUGCCCCACAUAUCAAAAGGCCACGGCGAAGACAUCACAUUCAAAGGAUUUGGCGGCACAUGCACCUUAUUAGCAUAAAUCUGGCAUUUAUGACACUUCCGAGCAUAUUUGAAACAAUCAGAUUCCAUGGUCAUCCAGUAAUAACCCUCCCUUAACAAUUUCUUAGCCAUUGCAUGCCCGCCAGCGUGAGUACCGAAGGAGCCUUCAUGAACUUCUUGCAUUAACAUGUCCGCCUCGUGUCUGUCCACGCAUCUGAGCAAAACCAUGUUGAAGUUCCUCUUAUACAGCACAUCGUCUUUGUUCAAAAAGAAACUGCCUGCCAAUCUUCUCAAAGUCUUUCUGUCAUUGUUGGAUGCCCCUGCAGGGUACUCUUGAUUCUUCAGAAAGCACUUGAUGUCGUGAUACCAGGGCUUGUCAUCGACUACCAGUUCAGUCGAUGUGAGGUAAUGGGAAAUCAUCUUUAGGACUGGCUCUGUUCAGAUCCCGGUAGUCGACACACAUCCGUACCUUUCCAUCCUUCUUAGGUACUGGAACGAUGUUUGCAACCCAUGGCGGAUAAUUUGUGGCUGCUAGAAACCCUGCAUCCAACUGUUUUUGCACUUCUUCCUUUAUCUUGACAGCCAUCUCUGGUCUUGUUCAUCUGAGCUUCUGCUUGACCGGAGGACAACCCUCUUUGAGAGGUAAACGGUGUACCACAAUGUCUGUGUCAAGUCCUGGCAUAUCCUGAUAAGACCAAGCGAAAACGUCAACAUACUCUUGCAACAGUUCAAUCAACCCCUUCUUCACAUCGUCUUCCAAAGCAGCCCCUAUCUUGAUUUCUCUCUUGGCGUCCUCGGUGCUGAGAUUAAUCACUUCAGUAGCCUCUUGAUGUGGUUGAAUGACCCUUUCCUCUUGUUUUAACAGCCUGACAAGUUCUUCAGGGAGUUCACAGUCUUCAUCACCCUCUUCUUCAGCUUGGAAGAUUGGAUUUUCGAAGUCGAAGCGAGCCAUAGCAGAACUGUUAUCAAUAGGAUCCGGUGAUGUGCAUCUGCAUGAGUGAUGGUAUGUGCUUAUGAGUGUGAACAGUGAGUGAAAACUAAUCAAAACAUUGCCAACUAUUUUUAUUCUUUUGAAAUUUUGAAAACUGCAAAAAUAGAAAGACAGUGAACAAGAUUUUGAAUGCAAAAGACGUCCUUCAUUUAUGAUAAACAAUGCAGGUAUUCACAUAGAUGAGCCCUACAAUGAGUCAUUACGCCCUGGGCGGAACGUAAGACUUGGAUAUGCAUGAAUAAACAAAGAAAAUUACUCUUCAAGAAGAGUGACUUGGAUAAUCUCUUCAGAAGACCAAUUGUUGAUGACUUCACCCGGGAUCNNNNNNNNNNNNNNNNNNNNNNNNNNNNNNNNNNNNNNNNNNNNNNNNNNNNNNNNNNNNNNNNNNNNNNNNNNNNNNNNNNNNNNNNNNNNNNNNNNNNNNNNNNNNNNNNNNNNNNNNNNNNNNNNNNNNNNNNNNNNNNNNNNNNNNNNNNNNNNNNNNNNNNNNNNNNNNNNNNNNNNNNNNNNNNNNNNNNNNNNNNNNNNNNNNNNNNNNNNNNNNNNNNNNNNNNNNNNNNNNNNNNNNNNNNNNNNNNNNNNNNNNNNNNNNNNNNNNNNNNNNNNNNNNNNNNNNNNNNNNNNNNNNNNNNNNNNNNNNNNNNNNNNNNNNNNNNNNNNNNNNNNNNNNNNNNNNNNNNNNNNNNNNNNNNNNNNNNNNNNNNNNNNNNNNNNNNNNNNNNNNNNNNNNNNNNNNNNNNNNNNNNNNNNNNNNNNNNNNNNNNNNNNNNNNNNNNNNNNNNNNNNNNNNNNNNNNNNNNNNNNNNNNNNNNNNNNNNNNNNNNNNNNNNNNNNNNNNNNNNNNNNNNNNNNNNNNNNNNNNNNNNNNNNNNNNNNNNNNNNNNNNNNNNNNNNNNNNNNNNNNNNNNNNNNNNNNNNNNNNNNNNNNNNNNNNNNNNNNNNNNNNNNNNNNNNNNNNNNNNNNNNNNNNNNNNNNNNNNNNNNNNNNNNNNNNNNNNNNNNNNNNNNNNNNNNNNNNNNNNNNNNNNNNNNNNNNNNNNNNNNNNNNNNNNNNNNNNNNNNNNNNNNNNNNNNNNNNNNNNNNNNNNNNNNNNNNNNNNNNNNNNNNNNNNNNNNNNNNNNNNNNNNNNNNNNNNNNNNNNNNNNNNNNNNNNNNNNNNNNNNNNNNNNNNNNNNNNNNNNNNNNNNNNNNNNNNNNNNNNNNNNNNNNNNNNNNNNNNNNNNNNNNNNNNNNNNNNNNNNNNNNNNNNNNNNNNNNNNNNNNNNNNNNNNNNNNNNNNNNNNNNNNNNNNNNNNNNNNNNNNNNNNNNNNNNNNNNNNNNNNNNNNNNNNNNNNNNNNNNNNNNNNNNNNNNNNNNNNNNNNNNNNNNNNNNNNNNNNNNNNNNNNNNNNNNNNNNNNNNNNNNNNNNNNNNNNNNNNNNNNNNNNNNNNNNNNNNNNNNNNNNNNNNNNNNNNNNNNNNNNNNNNNNNNNNNNNNNNNNNNNNNNNNNNNNNNNNNNNNNNNNNNNNNNNNNNNNNNNNNNNNNNNNNNNNNNNNNNNNNNNNNNNNNNNNNNNNNNNNNNNNNNNNNNNNNNNNNNNNNNNNNNNNNNNNNNNNNNNNNNNNNNNNNNNNNNNNNNNNNNNNNNNNNNNNNNNNNNNNNNNNNNNNNNNNNNNNNNNNNNNNNNNNNNNNNNNNNNNNNNNNNNNNNNNNNNNNNNNNNNNNNNNNNNNNNNNNNNNNNNNNNNNNNNNNNNNNNNNNNNNNNNNNNNNNNNNNNNNNNNNNNNNNNNNNNNNNNNNNNNNNNNNNNNNNNNNNNNNNNNNNNNNNNNNNNNNNNNNNNNNNNNNNNNNNNNNNNNNNNNNNNNNNNNNNNNNNNNNNNNNNNNNNNNNNNNNNNNNNNNNNNNNNNNNNNNNNNNNNNNNNNNNNNNNNNNNNNNNNNNNNNNNNNNNNNNNNNNNNNNNNNNNNNNNNNNNNNNNNNNNNNNNNNNNNNNNNNNNNNNNNNNNNNNNNNNNNNNNNNNNNNNNNNNNNNNNNNNNNNNNNNNNNNNNNNNNNNNNNNNNNNNNNNNNNNNNNNNNNNNNNNNNNNNNNNNNNNNNNNNNNNNNNNNNNNNNNNNNNNNNNNNNNNNNNNNNNNNNNNNNNNNNNNNNNNNNNNNNNNNNNNNNNNNNNNNNNNNNNNNNNNNNNNNNNNNNNNNNNNNNNNNNNNNNNNNNNNNNNNNNNNNNNNNNNNNNNNNNNNNNNNNNNNNNNNNNNNNNNNNNNNNNNNNNNNNNNNNNNNNNNNNNNNNNNNNNNNNNNNNNNNNNNNNNNNNNNNNNNNNNNNNNNNNNNNNNNNNNNNNNNNNNNNNNNNNNNNNNNNNNNNNNNNNNNNNNNNNNNNNNNNNNNNNNNNNNNNNNNNNNNNNNNNNNNNNNNNNNNNNNNNNNNNNNNNNNNNNUAGUUGGCUUUAUUUUUUUUUUUUUUUUUUUUUUAUUUGUUUUUUUUUUGUUUGAGAAUCCCUGAGCACAUACAUGCAGCAUUAAGGACCUUUAGAAGUGCCUCCCUGUGUGCCUCUGAACACAACAGGAGUGAGAGAAUGGAUAUCUUAGACGGCGUCUGAAUCAACUGAUCGACUACUUUGUAGUCGCUUUUCUUUAUAAUUCUUAAAAGCUCGUCUACAUCAUUCGAGAAAGUAGGCUCUGAGCCAGUCUGGGGUGCAAAAGUGCCCUCAUUUACAACUUGUUUGCCUUUGGCCUUAACCGCGGCAUCAGUGCUCUCAGUUUGGGUAACAGGUGGCGAGAAUAGUCUGCCACUCCUAGUGAAUCGCCCGAUUCCACCAACAUUGUCCACUGCGGGACCUUCAGCUUCGAGUUCAGACUUUUGACCCUCUUCUACCUUCAAAGGUCGUUCCACCCCAUGAUCGUGUGUGUAUACACCCCCCCUCCAUAGUGCCAAGGAAUGGCCCUAUCGCUUUUGAAAGGUAAAGGACCAGGGGUUGUGAUUGUCAUAGCGGCCGGUCGCACUGGUGGCACUGGUUAUGCUUCUGGCACACUGAUCUGAUUAGUCAGGUAAAAGAUGGUGAUAGUAGCGACAUCAUAGUCAUACUCAGGAAUCUCAUUCAUUGAAACAAAAACAUCCAGAACAUCGGAAUCAAGUUCAGUUACAUCAAAAUCAGACACAUUUUUUGGUAUAUCAGCAACAACAUUUGAAAAAUUAAAUACAUCAAUGGGAAAUACACAAUCAGCAGGAACAACAUCUGUGAAUUCUUCAACAGCAUCUUCAAACACCUCUUCAACUACCCCUUCAGCAAACUCUUUGACAGACAAGUCUUCAACUUGGAGGGUACCAUUGUCAAGCAAGACCUGGAUACCCUGCUGCAGCUUUAAGCAAUCCUUACCCUGUGUAGCGCAAUCCAAACAACCCUUCCCACAACCGGGGAAAACAUCAGCCUUCAGCAAGCAUUCCUUAAUUUCCAACAACGGAGUCUUCAACUUCCACACAUCCUUAACGGACUUGGCUUCUUCUUCCAGCAUAUUCACGUUUGCACCACCAUGUUGUGGCAUGGGAUUGUUGACGACAUUAGGAGCCAGUGCAAGGUUGAUAGCCUUUGAAUCUAUGAGGUCCUGAACUACGUGCUUAAAAGCUUUGCAGUUCUCAAUAUUGUGGCCAGGUGCCCCAAAGUGGAAACUACACCUAGCAUUGGCAUUGUAACCCACCGGAAGUCUACCAACCGGAGGAGCCAGAGUGCGUAAUUGCACAAGUUGUAGUUGUUGAAGACUUGUAAGCAGCUGAGCGUACGACAUUCGAAGAGUGUCGAAACGCCGACCCAUCAUCCUCUGCCUCUGUUGAUAGGCAGGUCUGUUACCUGGCUGUUGUUGUUGUUGAUACUGAGUUUGCUGACGUUGUGGUUGUUGUUGUUGUAGUGGUGCUGCAGCCGGGAUAGUCACAGCUGCAACAAACGGUCGCUGAUGAUAGUUUUGAAAAUUAUUCCUCCUGUUUUGAUAUGAAGACACAGAAUUCACACCCCCCUCCCUCUGCUUCUGUCCUCCCAUAAAUGGCUUCUUUACUCCUGAUGAAGAUCCACCUCCAUUGUGGCUCUUGNUCUUAUCAUUGUAAACAAAAAACAUCCCGAAUCAAGCUUCAGUUAUCAUCAAAAUCAGACACAUUGUUUGGUUUAUCAGCCAAACAUUUGAAAAAUUAAAUACAUCAAUGUGGAAUCAUAACAGAAAACAAUCUAUGCAAUUCUUCAACAGGUCCGUCUUCAAACACCUUUCAACUACCCCUUCAGCAAACUCUUGGCAGACAAGUCUUCAACUUGUGAGCGUCACAUGUCAAGCAAGACCUGGCGAUACCCUGCUGCACAGCUUUCAAACAAUCAUACCCCUGUGUAGCGCAAUCCAACAACCUUUCACAACGGGGAAACAUCGACCUUCAACAAGUUUCCUUAAAUUUCCACAACGGGGUCUUCAACUUCAACACAUCGCUUAACAAGACUUGGCUUCUCCCUCAGGCUAUUAACGUUCCAGUGCCACAUGCUGUUGGAAUGGAUUGUUGACGACAUUAGGAGACCGGGCAAAGGCUGGAUAGCUUGAGCAUAUGAGCGUUGAACGUACGUGGGCUUAAAAGCUUUGCUAGUUCUCAAUAUUGUGGCCAGGUGCGUGGCCCAAAGGUGGAAGCAACUAUGACAUCUGCGACGGCAUGCGAUAACUCCCACCGGAUAGUCUACCAAUCCAGGAGAGUGAGGCCAGAGUCGUGUAGACUGACACAGAGGUUUGUGUAGCUGUGAGAUUUGGCCAUAGCCAGACAUGAGGCUAGCGUAGCGACGAUAUUGGAAGAUGGAGUGUAGGAACGAGCCGGCGUCCAUCAUCCUCUGCUCUGUCAUGUGAUAGUGGGCUUGUUACCUGCUGGUGUUGUGUGGGGUCGCUGUUGUUUCGCGAUACUAAGGGUUUCUGCGACGUGGUUGGGGUGCGGUGAUGGUGUGUUGGGGCGGGGUUGAUGGGGUUGUUGUGGUGUGUGGUUAUAUGUUCGUAGUCUCGUGCUGCCAGUGGAAUAUCAGCGUCUGCAGACCAAUGACGGUCCUUGAUGAUAGUGUUUGAAGUUAUUCCUUGGUGAUUCCUAUUUUGAUAUGAGGACACGGAAUCACCCCCCUAUCCUCUGGCUUCUGUCCCUCCCAUAAAGAGGUCUUUACUACUGAUGAAGAUCCACCUCCAUUGUGGCUGUAGGUCUUCAGUAAUUCUUACCCUCUCUCCGGUUAGAGACCAAUCAGCAAAGUUGCGAGGCAUUUGACCCACCAGACGCUUUACAGUGUAAUAAAGUCCAAAAAAAGGCACGAUAUGCAUGUUGGACCAAAUUAAAUCCAAUAUAUAACACAAACAUGGGGAGGUUGGACACGGAGCUGUCUCCAAUCCAGGAUGAGCGUAUUACCUGAAGCACUCAUUGCUUUUAAGGACAGGUUUCUGGAGUUUGAGUUCUGUCUGGGGCCAUGUUCUAUGCAGUAUACUGGUAUUGCCUUCAAAAAGCUUCCGCCAAAUCCCUCAGCAACGGAUAUGGCUCUUCCACCUCAAUGUACCAUUUCCAGGGAGGGAUGCCCCAGCUAGCGCGUCUCUAGUAAGAAGAUACCAUAAGUAGCAUCUCAUCAUCAGACGUAUUGAAGCCAUCUUCGGAAGUAGUAGGCUUGCACAUGGGUCCUCGGGCAAGAGCCUACAUGUAUUGUCAAGAUUGGGACGUUUGAACUUUGGUGGACCCUCACGCAAUUGGACCAAAUCCAAGUCAGAACAUCUACCCCCAGGGUUUUGUCCUGUCUUCCACCGCCUUCAGCCUCUCCUCUAAUCUCCUGAACAUGGGAUCCAUGCCAUGGCCCAUGCCAAAGUCUUCUGGCAGCAAGAACUGAUCAUCUUGAUCAUCGUGAAUGGGUUGUUGAUCGUGGUUGUCAUGUGAGAUCGGGACAGGCCCCGGUCCAUUAACCUCUGCAAUUGGAGGAUCAGUCACGACCUCUGGUUGAGUAGUUGCGGGAUUCCUUUGUAUCAUUUGUCUAAUCUCUUGCUGCCCUUGAGCUACUCCCUGAACCACAUCCAUGAAUUGGUUCAUGCGGACCCUCAUCUCAGCAAGUUCUGCUUGUAGACUUUCCAUUGCUUUCUGCUGGUUUCUGCGGGUUCCGUACCAGUGAAUUCCUGAAUCAGCUAUCCUGCUAGUGGAACACCAAAUAAUAUGAGAACACCGCAGCGGUACCUGUUAUGCAAGAUAUGCAAAUGAAUAUGUUAAUGCAAUGACAUGUUUAUUGAUUCCAAAGGGUAUUCUAACCCCUUGAUUCCGGUCUCACAUCAGAUGAAAGCGCAAGAAGACCGAGCCAUGGAUAAGCUUCUAAGAUCAAGAUGCAAUAAAAGGAAACCAUCAUACAAAUGAGUUCAAGGAAAAGAGCCUUAGUCAACAGUACAUCAAAAGAGGAUCUCCACAACAAGUUUGUGGAUUAUCACUACAUAGCAACAAGACAAUAAGUAAAGAGAGGAGCAAAAAUCAGGACUCAGCCUCCUGUGCACAACCCAUAAGGAAUGCUCCUCACUUCAGCCAGCAAUGCCACCGUGUCAGGAUGAUCUGGGAAUUCUAUCAAACGCCGGAUAAGCAGAUUCCUCUGGUGAAUGGCUUCAUCCAACUCGUUGAUGUGCUCUCUGUAGUAAUUCCCAUUAUCUUCUUCGAAUACCUCUUCAAGUCUGGAUUUCUUCAAACCUGCCAACACCUUAAGUUCUUUAAUCUGUCCUCGAGCCUCAUUGAGUUGAUCGGUGAUGUAAUCAUUAGUAGAACGGGCGCACAGAAGCUCAUUGUUCUUCUCCUUUAUCGAAGUCUUCAAUUUCUCCAUCUGACCAGUCAUUUCGGCCACCAUCUCCUCCUCCUUUGCCUUCCGAGAAGUUGAGAAUGCAUCCCAUUGCUCUUGCCACCCAACUAAUUUACCAUGAGCAUCCAUUAACUGUUGCUUGACUCGCCUCAACUCAGACCUGGAUGAUCCCAAGGCCUUGUCUGUCUUCCUGAAGAAGUCCACCUCCACAGCUGAUUUCCUUUCUGCUUCCCCUUGCAAUCUGACGGCUUCCCCCUUCUGAUAUUCUGCCUCAUGGAAUCGAUGUGUAUAGUCUUGCAACUUCACACUUAACUCCGAGUUUUCAAUUUGAAGCUCCUCCAUGGCUUUCUUCAAUUUGUCAUACUCCUCUUGGCUCACCAUUGUUGUCUGCGCAGGAGUAGGUGGAUACAAAGGUUCUUCAAUAGGAAACGGCAGACCAAACUCUUCGAUUCUUCCUUGAAGCCACUCUUCAUACUGAGGGUAAGUUCUACAAUCUCCUUUUCCAAGCACAGUUCUUCCUCUCUUGAUCACCUUGAGCCAGGCCUCUGCUGCCUUGCGGGAUACAGUCAAAUCAGGCGAAGAAUGGAAAAACAGUGAUUCUUCCACAUCCUUUUCCAAAGGCGGAGUUCUUAAAGCAUAUCCAAACUGUCUAACUGCUAGAGAAGGAUUAUAGUUGAUUCCUCCUCUUCUUCCUACCAGCGGUACAUUUGGGAAGUUCCCACAACUGUGAAUAAUAUCCGCCCGAAGCAAGCUCCGGUCAGACCACCAAGAAAUAUCUUCACCUCUCAACCCCAUCAAUCUCUUCGACCAACUCAACGAGUCCUUGACAUCUACGAACGCUCCUGAUUUGGGUAGGUGAGAACUGAACCACUUAUAAAACAAAGGCGCACAAUAAUUCAACAAUCCUCCUUUUCUAUUCUCAUUCCUGUGAUGCACCGAAUGAAAGAAAUCUCCCAACAAGGUCGUCACUGGAUUACCCAACACAAAAAGGCGUAUUGCGUCUACGUCCACAAAUUUUGCCACAUUAGGGAACAGGACAACCCCAUACACACAAAGAGCCAACACAGCAUUGAAACCCCUCUGGUCACCAUCUUCAAGUUUCUUCUUUGCUUCUCCCAGUAAGAAACUCAAAUGAAAACCACUGACUCCUCCCUUCUGACACAUAUUAGCCUUCAAGACUGAUUUCCCCAAAUAUGUGGCCGAAGCAACCAUGCUGAGAUCGGGCAGAAACUCAGAACUGUAGAACAACAACUGUGACUUGAUAGGAACUCUGAGAAAACUGGCAAUCUCCUCCAAAGUAGGGACCAAAAUAUAAUCCGGGAAUGUGAAACACCUCAAUGGAGGGUCAUAGAACUGUAGCAGUGUGAAUAGGGCGUCAUGUUGAUCUUUGGAAAGAACCGUGACGAAACUUAGAAUCAGACCGUAAUCCUCUCGGAAUCCUUCUAGAGAACCAGGAUCCAUUAACUGCAUCAACUGUUGGAUGGGCUCCAGACAGACCACCGGAAACUUGUAGGCGACAAGUCUCUUUCUGCCAAUAUCCAUCUUAAGAGAACCAGAAAAACCCCGACCGGAAUCAAGAAGAAGAUGUAAACCCCCUUGAAAUGGAUAAACAUGUGUUAAAUGAUAUGAAUGCAAAAUGAUGUGAUGCAAUGCAGUGACAUGGAAAUCAAGAUUGCUGUAUCUGCUUGAACAUCUGUCGGGUUGCACUGUCUGAAGAGAAACCCACUGAGGAAUAUAAUACAAGAUCAAAACUCUGCUCCAGAAAACCGGGUUGGUUGGAGGUUAAGGUUUCCUGAAUUUAGCCCGCCCCUCACUGGUAGGUUCUAAGAACAGAAGUUUGUCAGCUUCAGCCCUUCAGUCGAGAAUAAUACGUUUACCACUGAAGGUUUGGCAUUAUUACGGGAUAAAAGACCUCUGCUGACUCCCCUCAACAGGAUAUCCUAAAGCAAGUUCCCAGUCUCGGGGUCCUCGGAUUGAGCAGCGAGAAUGCGCCCACCAGAGCUAACAUAAUCACGUCUCGGAGGAGAGGCCUCGACUGAGUUCUCGGGAAAUGGUCACCAGAGUCGACGAUUUCUAAAGGAAUAUCUGUCGUUAUGGAACACCCAUAGGACAAAAUAUAUCCAACAGAAACCUCGUCUGGAGUGUGGGUCUCAUGAACGACUUAACGUAGCAACAUGCCACACAAGCCUCAUGACUAUCCACUCUAAAACCUGUGUGUACGCUCAAGCCUGGGUAGUGGGCUUAUCUCUCAUAGAACAUCCCACCCCAACAAACAGUCAACCCCCACAGAGCCAACAGACACAGUAAUGAUAUGUACACAAUGCAAUAAGGUAAAGCAAGUAAAUGCUGAAAAAUAAAUAACUGUACAAAAGAAUAAACACCCAACAAAUAAGAAACCUACAAAACCUAGGAGGGACUCGCUUAGGGAAACCGGAUCCCCAGUAGAGUCGCCAGCUGUCGCAACCUGAAAAAUCAGUGCGCGAAAAAAACAACCGGCGAAGAAGAAAUGACAGAAGAGUCGCCACCGUGCGUUAUUUAUCCCAAAGGAGGGAAAGGAAACGCUCGAAGUAAACCUGGAGAAAGGAAAGGAAAAGACAAGGUCUCGCAACCAAAUCUUGGGUUCGGGAGUCGAUUAUGCGAAGGGAAGGUAUUAGCACCCCUACGCAUCCGUAGUACUCUACGGGAUCCACUCUUGUUGUUCUUGUCUAAAGGGUGUGGGUUUAUCUAAUGUACUAUUUACUAAAAAAGGGGUUAAAAGAAAAUGACUCGCACGGAUGUCGCAUCCACUGCAUACGUAUCUCAUCUGAAUAUGAGAAUCAGAGUCUUCGUAGCUCGGCUACCUAUGGGUUAAGGAUAAGUGUGCUCGCUAAGACAUCGCGUCUUAUGCCUACGUAUCUCAUCGGGAAUGAGAAUCAGAGCAAAACGUAGUUCAGCUAACUACGGGAAUAAGGGUCUCGAUUGCAACUAGGGCAAGAGAAAGGGAAAGUCUCGAUCGCAACGAGGGCGAGAGAAAGGAUCGCAACGAGGGCGAAAGCAAACAAGGAUUAGUUGUUAGUUGUUAGUCAAACUCGGCAAGACAUCGCAUCUUGUGCCUACGUAUCUCAUCUGAACAUGAGAAUCAGAGUUGCCGUAGUUCGGCUACAUAGGGGUUGCCAUCUGAACAUGGACUUACAAAGGAGGACACCAGUUGUGUCAAAGGAGAGUGGGCAAUGUGUUCACGUCCUAGCAGUAGGUGUCGCAGCUCGCUGAAUCGAGUCUUAGGCAGUUACCUCUUUGCAAUAGAACGGACUACAUGCCACAAGAUCGGAGACGCUCGGAAAGGUCUAGAAGUGGGGGAAGCUCUGCCCUAGAGUUGUCAUGCAAUAUGUACUUAAGUGUUAGGAUUUACAAAUGGGAAUAUCUACCUAAUGUUAGCAUGCAAAGAAUAUGGGAAUUCUACCUAUGUUAUCAUACAAAAGAAAAAGGGAAUCCUACCUAUGUUAUCAUACAAAAAGAUAUGGGAAUCCUACCUAUGCUAUCAUACAAAAGGAUAUGGGAAUCCUACCUAUGCUAUCAUACAAAAGGAUAUGGGAAUGCUACCUAUGUUAUCAUACAAAAGGUUCUAUCUAAUGGGUGCUACCUAAUCGGAACAAGAAUUGACGAGUGGAGCAAGGAGAGGUGCUAGGAAUAAGGGUAGAUGGCGAUGCAUGAAGCAAUCGACUUACAAGGUUGAUGGCGAUGCAUAAAGCAAUCGACUUACAAGGUUGAUGGCGAUGCAUAAAGCAAUCGAUUUACAAAAGGGUGGAUGAAUACGUGCUGGUUCUGUUAGGUUUUGAAAAAUGAUUACUCGACGUUGGAUCGAGGUUUUGAUCUUGUUUUGAAAUGGUUAUCGAAUGUUCAUUUUGAUUCUUGUAUUAACAGAUGAAUAAAGAAUGAAAGAAUAAAUAUUAUACAUUUCAUGGGAGAGGGAUACAUUUGUUAUGAAUGGGGAUUGUACAUGGUAAUUAAACAAUAAUAAUAUAUGCCUCAUACACCAUACAAGUAGGACACAGUUAAUCAAACAAGUAAGAUAUAAACAAGUAUAUAAUCAAAUCAAAUAAUCAAAGAAUGAAAUAAUGAAGCGUUAAACAAUGUAUGUGAAGUAUAAACAUAUUAAACAAUCAAACAAUAAAGACAUGGAUGAAAGAAACAAGUAUAAAAAAUGUCAGAUGAAUAAGACAAGUGAAAUUAUGCACACAAAGAAUCAAUGAAUAAUUUAAUCGAGAAAUGAUGCAAGGAUCAAAUAAAAUCAAGAUUAAAGGCCUCUAAUAUGUGGCACAUGAGAUGAACAAGGGAGGAUCAAAAGAUCUCUUCAAUUGCCCUAAGCAGUCCCUAUGUCAACAUCAAUCAUAGAAAAGUCAACCGAAAGGUCAAGUCAACUUAAAAAAUGUCAAAUAAAUAGUAAAUUAAUCACAAAAAUUAUGAAAAAUUAAAUUAAGUUAGGUGGGGUCAGGACAUCAUCAUCCCCCAAAAAUAUUUUAAAAAAUAAUGAAAAUUGGUUAUUGAAUUAAUUGAAUCAAAACAAAGGUCAAACCAAAAGUCCAACAACAAGACUAGGUUAGAAAUAAAUCAAGAAUAAAUUAGAAAACGGGAAAUAAAAUUCCAAUAAAGGGUCAGGUUGACCAUGAGACAUUGGUCAACUUUCAUCCCAAAAAUCAGAAUCUAAAAAUAAUUUUAAGUUAUGAAAAUAAAAUAAAUGAAAAAAAAUGUGUUAAAAUGGCCUAUUUGAAACAAAUAAUUAAAAUAAAAUACUAACAUUAAAUAAAAAUAAAAAUUAAAAUUAAAAUAAAUUAAAUAAAUCAUUAAAGAAGUUAAAAAAUAUUUUUUUUGAAUUAUUAUGAAUAAUUGAAAUAUUUUUAUUAGUUAAAUUAAAACAACAUUAAAAAAAGAAUGAAUUACAAAAAAUGAGGAAGAUAAUGAAGUGAAAAUCAUGCAUGGGCCUGGUGUGGGGGUGCUGAUAUCAGCGACGCAUGGAAGCCCAAGAUCCAACUAAAUUUCUUUAAAUGUGACAGCAAUAUUAAAAUGUUCAUUUAAAACAGCCAUGUAAUAAGUAUCGAUCGGUCAACUCCAUUGUUAGUCACAAGAAGACAAAAAUGAGAACGGACGGAUGGGAUAGAAUCUGGGCACGCGAUCUAGCGGUCCAGAUCGCGCCAACAGCAGCUCCCAUGCAAUAACAGAAAGAACCCUAAAUUUCAUGCACAGCCCAGCGAACAAACCCGUGGAAACGCAAGCCAAACAUUCCUAACUUCCAAAUAAAAUUUCUCAUUCCGUAGUACAUGAAAUUAGAUGGUGUAAAAACCAAAACUCAAGUUCAAAGUGAGAGGAACACCAUGGUGUUUUACUUCAUUAAAAAUGGUGACUUAAAUAUGGAGUAAAAUGGACAGUAAGGUAGCUACACACACACGGAUGCCAACAGAAAAUAGUAACUCAAUUUCAAGUUCAACAAACAAUGCUUCAUGAGGAUGAUUUCAUGGACAAAUAUGGCACAAUAAUAGCACGGUGAUAAACGUGGUAUGAUGGCAAAUAAGCAAUGGUAAUGGCAUGAGGAAAAAAAGUAGCAAGCAUCAUAUAAUGGUGAUCUUAAGAAACUUCAUUAUGUCUAUGGAAGAAGAAGCAAGAAGCUUACCUAGUGGAGAAGAUGGAAGAGGAAUAAUACUGCUGUUUGUGCUUUGCAAACUUGCAGAAUGGAAAUGGAAGGAAAUGGACUUCUCACUCCUUGCCUUGCUUACUCUUGCUCAAUUUCGAAAAUGACAACCACCCCCUUCAGAUUAGGGUUUCAAGGUUUAUAUAUGUUGGUCCCAAGUGUUCUUAAUGGGCUUAGGUCCAAUUGGAUUUGAUUGUGUGCACUUGAAACAAGGUUGGCAAAGUGAGGUGGUAUUAGGAAAUGACUUAUUUGGCAUGGUUUAAGUGAGCUGCACCAGAAGUACAUGAACAAAUGAGGAAAGAAAGUGGGUUGGUCGUUUGUGGAGCAUAUUGGUCUGGUUUGGGGUAGGCAAGAAAAUAAGUUCAAGUGAGUGACUUUUGGACCAUGUAUCUUGAUGAUUGUGUGACCAAAUGGCAAGGUAAUGAAAGCAAUAGCAAGAGGGUACGGAACUUAGCAUUUUCCAUGUUGAACAUAUCUUGAAAUGAUGAAUGGAAAGGGAUGGAAAAUAGCCAUGAAGUUCAAGUUUCCAGGCUGCCAAAACAGUUGGGCCAGUCUGGCCUAGGUGCUGUCCAAAAGUUUAGUUCAUGGUGCCAACUUUAGAUGAAUGCAUCUCUCCAACCAAAAAUCCAAAUGAGGUGAUUCCAAAAGGAUGUGGAAGAGGGUAUAACAAGGUACAAUUGUCAUGAAGGAAGUGUUUCCAUAAGGUGCCUUGAAGUGCAAGAAAUCUGGCCCAUAAGUCUUGACAAAUUUUACAAUUUUUGGACUUGAAAAUUUUUCUAAGUGUCUUAAAAUAAAGUCCUACUUUGACCAAGCAUAACUUUCUCGAUUUUAAUCCAAAUGAAGCAAACUAUAUACCUCUAGAAAGCUUGGAACAAGAGGAACAACUUUCAUGUUGGAGAAAUUUUCAAAUGGAGAUUGCAUCUUGGUGGAAAAUUGGCUUAAAGUGGAUGCAAAAACCAUGAAAACUUGCCUUAAAUGGAAAGUCAAACAUUUCCAUAUUUAGUAACUUUUCCAACUCUUGAUUAAAUGGUGAAUCCAUGAUCCAAUCUUGGUCAAGUUUCACAUGUGGGCUUCCUUGGGCAUGAAUUUUGAGAUCCCACCUUCAAAAUGUCAGGAGUUGACUUUUUUGACCCCACAGUUGACUUUUCCCAAACUGUCUAAUUCCCGAUUCCAUUGAUCAAUUGAGGCACCUCUGGCUCAAAUAAAGAGCUGAUUUUUUGCAUGUAGACCCUUGUGGACAUGUGGAGGGCCAUGGAAAUAAGUUUCAUUCAAGGAAUCAGAAAUAAACCGAUUUUAUGCCAAACCCUAAUUUUAGGGCAAAAGUGACUAUGAUCUGACUGCACAAGUUGCCAAAGGACAUUUUUGUGAUAAUUGUGGAUCUUCCUAGGCCAAGAUGCCCCUCUAAUCAUGACAUGAAUGAACCCCUUCACUUCCAACCAAACCUUGCCUGUUGCAGGUAGCCAUGAAACCCUGAUUUUUUGAUUAAAUCCAUAUGCACACUCUGAGAGCUCUGAAUCUUCCACUGAUGAACUGAGGACCAUAAUAAGACAUAUGGAACCCCUUGAGACCCUUGAGACUUGUAUAUUUGGAGAAUGAAAUUCAAUUCUCAGUCUUUCUCUCUGUAGGCUCCUUCUGUUAAGGAGUGAUCAAUAAAACCCUGAUUUCCCAAGUCGCUGAUGCAAUAUGUAAUGAGUAUGACCUAGUAUGAUGCUAAUGCAAUGUGAAACACAAUCUCAUGCUUCCAAGAAAAAUGAAGGGUAAAUUUUGGGGUAUUACACCUUCCUUUUCAGUUAUUUCAAUACAGUGAUACCAUGCCUCGGGCCCCUCACUUGUUGGUUCAUACCAGUUUUACUCUUGGGCUCAUAUUCUCACCCCCCAUUGGAAUUCAAAAUAACAUUAUCCUUUAGUUUAGACCAUACCUUGAUCAUAAUUCUUUUCAUCUCUUACCACUAGUUCUUUAAACUACGGAGCUCUGAAUUCCUCAUUGCACUAUGAGGAUACGUAGGCAUGAGGCCCCCAAUCCUCACCGAGCACGUUAUCUAUUUCUUUCCUUUUCCCCAGUCUUUGCAAGUAAUCUUUAUAUCUAACACCUAUUCGAACGAGAACAAUCAAAACGAUUCUCAUGGAGUACCAUGGAUGUUUGGGGUGCUAAUACCUUCCCCUUGCAUAACCGAAUUCCUUACCCAGCAUAUCUCUUUCCCCCGGGUUUUAUCAAUGUUUCCCAUUUCCUUCGGGAAUAAAUAAACUUCGAUAGCGACUCUGUUGUAUGUUCGAGCGUGCGAUACAUUCGGGUAUAUUUCCACUAGCUUCAGUGGUCUAUAUCUUAUGGUAUACCGAAAAUCACUUAAGUGUGUGGUACCUUACCAUAAUUUGUAUUCUACUUAAGUGCAUCAUACCUUAUGAUGUUCUACAAUUCAUUUAAGUGCAUCGUACCUUAAGGUGUUCCUUAUUUACUCUAUCUCUCAUCAAUUUGUCCUUUUAUGUGUGACCCUGUAGGUUUUCGCGACAUUGGCAAUUAUAUUAAAUCACGUAUUUAACAUAAUAAAUAGUGAGCGGUAUCUAGCAACACAUCACUGCUACCCAAGAUACGAAAAUGUCAUGUGAUUUAACAGAUCAUUUUUUUGUGAUAAUACUUGUGUGUACAUUUACCCUUUUUGCCCUUAUGUCUAUAUUGGAUACAAUUCAUAGACCGUGUGAUCCUUGUCCAGUUCAAUAUUGGGCCCUUAGACAUUUAUCCUGUUACGCAGGAUGGGCAAAUUCCAUCUAGGGCACUCAUGUCCAUCAGCAUGCUUCAUGGAGUACCCAUCAAUUGUCUUUAUGGUCAUCCAAUUACGGACAAAGUUUGAUCAACAAUAAAGCACUCGAGUCUACAUCUAGGGUCCAUAGUGGUUUCAGGUCGAAGGGUGAUAUACACCAUUAUCACCAUGAGAAUAACUUAUGACACUUUGCAUAACAUUCCAUGUAGUAUUCUCAUAGUGGGUCAUUCCAGUAUAAAUAUUACUCCAAAUAUUCAUACCUAUGUUUAAGACUUGAUAACUCCUUAUCUAUAAUCCAUGAUAUUUGAUCAUCAGUCUAUAUACAUAAUAGUCUUAAUGCUUUAACGUUAUCCCACUUCACAACAAAGCUCGACUGCAGAUACUUUAAGAAUAAUGUUCUUAUAUUUAAUGGAAUCUCAUGAUUAAUUCACACUUGAUACAUUAAACAGACUAGCUAUUCUAGGGACUUUAUUAAACAAACAUAAUAAAGAAAAAGCCUUGUAUUAUUAAUAAAUAAUUUGAUACAAGUACCAAAAGUAUUGACCUCUAGGGCUUACACCAACGGUAUUAACUUUUACUUCAAUGUCAUUUACUUUAUGCUCUUUUAUUUUAUGCCAUUUACUUUAUACUUUAUGUUUAGCAUCCCAUAUCAUAUUAAUUAUGAUUAUGUCAUUUGUUCUUUGUCCAUUUGGACUUUUCUUUCAUAUCCUUGUAAAGAAAACAUUAAUAAAGAAACACCUAAAAAGAGACUUGGUUCUCCUGAUUCAUGGACUUAUGGUUACUAUCCUUGGAAUCAUUGUGGAGUUACGAACUUAGAAUUAGGAUCUUGACCUUUCCUUUUGGACUUGUGAUUUGAGACCUUGGGAUUCAUCUGGUACCUUUGGCUUGGGAUUUAUUUUGGAGAUUUGGUUGAGUUACUUUGGUUUCAUCUGAUGCAUGAUUAUUCUUUGCUUAUUCUGGCUUGCUUGAGGCUUAAUCUAAAGGAGGGAACUCUUGCUUGACUUGUGUCAUAAAGCUUGAUAUCGCUUGGUUAGAUCUUUCCUCCCUAGCUUUUACUUUAUUCUUUAGGAUAGUCUGUUAUUCUCCUCUUCUUCUUUAAUUUUCAAAAUCUCCUCUCUCCUUUUUUUUCAAAACAUUCUUGUUUUUUAACUUGAAUCAUUUUCUUAAUAAACCUUGACUUUUAUCAUGUGAUUUUCAAAACCUUUUCCUAAUAAAUGCUAAUUCAUCUUAAGCAUAUCUAGACCAAUUUCAAAAGACUUAAAAAUGCAUAACUAAUUCAAAUUGUUUUUAUGCCAUUUGUACACUUUUCCUUUUAAAAAAUUUCUAAAAGUUUAGACAUGAGUCAUUUCCAUAGUUGAGAUAUAAUUCUCCUAUCUCCAUAGUAUUGAUGAUAAUUAUUUUCCAUCCAAGAGAGCUAGUGGCAUACUUGUUGAUCCUUAUCCAAGUUGGAGCCCUUCUCAUGAUGAUGCAAAGUUCUCAUACUUGUGGGUGAUUAGUUAUGUAUUCUCCUUAAAAUGACAAAAUGUCUUUUCAUUAAAAAUAAUUCAAAACAAAUACCUUUGUUAUUUUUACCACGAACUACGAGGUUUUGAUCCUCCAUUGCACUUUGUUGGUACGUAGGCAUGAGACUUCAAAAGAUCUUGGCAAACACCAAAAAUCAUAAUAAAAAAAACAUUUCUUUUCCUGUAACUCCAAUCUUUUGCAAAGAACACCUUUUUCAAAAUAAAAUUUAAAUAUUUUCAAAGAGGUUUCCAUGGAGUACCAUGGAUAUUUAGGGUGCUAAUACCUUCCUUUUACAUAACUAACCCCCGUACCCUUAUUCUCUUUUUAUUAGUUUUGUUUUAAAACUUCUUCGGGUUUUGUUCGUAUUUUUUCCCCUUUUCCUUUGAAAACAAUAAAAGCGCAGUGACAACUCUUGCUUUAUGAGUUAAGUUAAUCAAUAGCUUAAUCUCAAAAAAAUUACCGUUACAACCAUGAUUUUAUUUUACGGGCACGAAUGAAUCUUCAUGGUUAGCACUCUAAUAUCCAAGUUAGUUCAAGAUUCAAGAUGAGUGUAAUGAAAAUGGAGAUUAGAUAAUGUACCUUGCUCUUUACAUGUGAACUAAUUUAUAAUUUGGGUCAAAUGGAGUGGAUUUGAGAUGGAUUGGACCUUAGUUAUUAGGGUCUUUGGUUGGUCAAGAACAGUUGCCCACAAGCCUUAAGUGAUGUUGAUUGGCCUCCUAGACGUGGUUCAAUGUGAAAUAGGAUUAAACGCCUAGAAUUUAUUGAAAAACUAGUGAGGAACAUGAGAAUUAAAUGCUUACUUACCAUUGUAACUUUUCAUUACCUAUUCCCAUCGCGUCACCCUAGGGAAGCAACCUAGGGAAUAAUUCCCUUACUUAGGGUACUUAAGUAUUUCUGUCACAUCGUUUUGAUAGAUGGAGCGGUGUAAUGACUACCCUUGGAUGGUAUCUCGCCUUUGAUCUAGACUAUUUAUAUUUGAAUAGUUUUUAUAUAAGAAAUACCCCCCCCCAAAAGGUUUCAUUUUACUCUCUUGUUGCUUCUCGGUAGUCAUUUUUUCUAAGCUUUAAACUUUGUCUUCCUCGCUCUAGUUUUAAAUAUAUUUCGUGGUCCAUUUCCUCCUUACCCAUGUAUGUUGUUGCCCCUUACUUCAAGAGAAUAAGGCUUUCCUCCUUUUGAUUUUUAGGGGCCAUUCUUUUAUUACAGACACGUCGUCCCUAACUCGCUAGAUCUGUUUGUAGUGCUGGUUUAGUAUUCGAUCAUUCUGAUGGCAAUAAUUAUCGAGGUUUAUUCCUCUGUAGACCCAAGGUAUUUGGGGAUGCCCUCUAAAUAUACCUAGAGGAACAACAAAAUAGAGGAUUCCUUGGAAGUGGCGUCUCCUUCGAAUUGAGCAGUAUCAAUGAUCUCUACAAACAAAAGAAUAUGUCAUAAGUUCUGAGGGUGUUUUAACCCCUUAUAAUUUUGUAUUUUUGAGAAGUUGGGUGUACGACUUUCUUUGACUCCUUUUGAAAAUAAAGUGUUAAAUCAUCUUCGCGUUCCUCCAUCAUAACUCCAUCCCCGUGCCUGGAGUUUCGUGAGAGUCUUUCAAUAUUGGUACGAAUAUCAUGGAAACAUGGAUUUUGCUUCCUUGAAUCUCUUCUUUCACCUUUUUGAAGUUAAUACUCCCUCAAGGAGUCAAGGUUGAGGGUUUGUCUCUCUAUGUCCGUUUAGAAAUGUGAUCUUGUCUAUUUAUAUUAACCUCUAGAAAGAUUUCAAGGAGCACUAUUUCUUAGUUUCCCCAUUUUCUCUUUGAAGUCCUCUUUUAGAUAUGUAAACAAGUAUACCGAAUUUAAAAAAAAAUGGUAGUGGACACUUCAUUAUGGUUAAGCGGAUAUUUCAAAAAAUCAAGGAAAACCAUGAUUAUUUCCAUAUUCGUAAAAAAUUGAUAGUUCAUAUUUCAACUUUUUUUUUGCAAAGAGGAUUCGAUGAUUAGACGAGAUGAUUGUUUUUAUGCAGCAUGACAGAUCUGUAGAAAGGCCUCGUGUGAGGGAAGAUGAGGUCAGGGAAUCUCAUCUACGGGCAGGGAGAGUAACCCCAACCGAUUCUCACUAGAAGUGAAUGACUGACCAGGCUAGCGCACCUCACAAUAUCCAACAUAAACUAUCUACCAUUGAUAGAUGGACCUGAUAUCCUGAUGAUGAGCCCGUUAGUGCGGUUGUUGAAGAUGUUCAGGCAGCAGCUAAUGAUGUAGAGAGUUAGGACAACAAGAACAUGGUGGCCGGGACAGAGGUGCCUCGUCAUUCUAAGACAAAGACUCUGAAUGAUAUGGAGGUGACUCCUCAGGAUGAUACAGAGGUUACUCAUCAGCCUGAUAUAGAGGCGCUUGUUACGGGUGAUAUGGAGGUUACUUCUCCAAAUGAUACAGAGGUUAUCGCUCCGACUUUGACGAAGCUGUUUAUACACACGGAUGGAGGGUUUCCUGGAGGGCCUAGUGAUUGUUCAAUGCUCACUACAUAUGUUGAUCAUGUGGCAUUCAAAUUAUGGCAGCGAGAGGCAUGUAUAUAUGUUAUGUUGAACUUGUUUUGAUUUAUUAUUGAUACGUUCAAAAUAAUUGAUGCUUUUUACGGUUUUUGUUAUAUGACCGACUACCGUUGAAGCUACCCACCCACAUGGAAAAUCUGAAGAAGUUCUUAGAUACCCCGGUGACACGAGAGUUCAUGGAGAUAGUAGAUGAUUGUGGUCUCCUUUCAUUGUUAGAUUGUUCGCAGACCAUGAUUCACGUUGCUCUAUUGUCAGCAUUUGUAAAGUGAUGGUAUAAUGAGACAUCUUUCUUCCAUCUUCCGUUUGGAGAGAUGAAGAUUACCUUGGAUGAUGUCUCGUCUAUGUUCCAUCUUCUCCUGCCAAGUAGUUUCUUUAUGGCUCCUCUCAUUAGCUAGCAUCUAGCAUGUAUUACUGCUAUACAAGACUUAGGGGUUACUGAGGUGUGGGUGUUAGAAUAAUUUAAUGCUAACAUGGUACUCACUUUCUCUUAUCUUGGCUAUGGGAUGGGCAUGUCGAGAUGGUGCAUCAGUCUAUGUAUGAGGCAACCAUUAUGGUAUAUAUGCUACAUUUUGUAGGAUGUACAAUUUUAGCGGAUAAUUCUCAUGUAUAUAUUGAUAUAAAGUACAUUUGGUUGCUUAGUAUCCUUGACGAUGUCAGCUGGGCAUGCGGGGUGUUGCACUGAUUGUUCUAUAUUCUGCACUUGGAGAGGCAAAUGUCUUUGUGACUAGGAAGCUUUCUGGUUAUAUGAGUUUAUUUCAGUUAUACAAAUUUAAUAUUUCUUAUUAAUUUAGUUUUAAUUUAUGAGGUAUUUUUAUUUGCCUAUGUUCUUAUGCAGUGUUGGAUAUACAAGUAUUUCCCCUCCAUUUGUGAGAUGUGGGUUAUUCCUACCACUGCUAGCUCCACACUGGCCAAGAGAUAGAAGUCCAGGCAUGCUCACCCAUGAGGUGUUCUGGAGUACGUAAGGAGGAUUGAUGUGUUGACUAUAGAUGAUGUCAUCUAAACACUGUACACAGACCAUAGAGUGCAUCAGGAGUUUGAUGAGCAUUCCCUUUUUUUUGUUAUCUGUGAUGGAAGACCUUAAUGGCUAGACACUUACCUGUGAGGUGUUUGCGCUAUUUUUGGCAUGUCCAAUACAUCCCAUAACUAAUCCAUAUUGUUCCAUCUAACGUUAUCAGCUCUGUCUGUGCCAUUAGAGAUCAUGUAGUGGAGGUUCAGUUCUCUGUGCAGUGUGUGGAUGGUUACUUAGAGUGGUACCUUACUGUAUCACACCUCACAUUAUUUCACCUGUUGAGCAUGUAGAUGAUGUUAGACCUUUCGAUGUUGUGGGGCCUUCUGAUGACGUGCCACCACAUCCACUUGGUGUGGUUGAAUAACAUCAUCUGUAGAUGAUAGCAGUCAUUAUGGAUAACCUCAUGGGUUUGGUAAACCUAGAUCGUAAGGGUUUUACUUUGGCAUCACAGACAUUACACAUAGCCUGUGGGGGACAUAUGUAUACAUUAUUUAUUUAUUUUGUAUUAUUUGUAUAUUAUGUGUAUUAUUACUCAAACAUUUGCACCAUAUAGUUUAUUAGAUGAUAUUUUGUCGCAUUCAUGAUUGUAAUGAACAUCAAUUAACACGUUACAAUUAACAUAACUUAACAAUAAUAAAUAAUAAAAACCUAGACACUACUAGAUGAUUAUGGACAUUCAACAUCAUGAUUAUGUCAUCGACAAAUCUAGAAAUUGUCGCAUCAAAUUCGAUCGGUCUCUUUAUUAGCAUAUGAUGGUAUAUUCUCCAUAAAAUCUUCAAAUCUUCAUCAGUUUUCAGCUCAAUAUGGUUGUAUUUCACCUUUUCAUCAGUAUCAAUCCAUGGUGCACAAAACUCAAUCUUACUCACCUUUCCGUUCUCGAUUUUGGAUAACAUAUUAUUCAAUUUGAAUCUUAGAAGAGCGACACAAGUGGUGUCCUUCGGAAGCCCAAAAUCAACAGGAGAUUUCACCCUGUUGAAGUACACAUGUGCCAUAAACAAAUAGUGAGACAUUUUAAGAAGUUCUUUUUAACAAAACAUGAUCUCUAUUUAUACAAGUUUGAAUUCAUUCUGGAUCACACACAAUUUUCGAUAUAAUCACAGUCGUACAAAAUUAUCGGCAAAAUCUCAACCAUUCAAAAUUACACUACUAAAUUUUUUGAAGCCCCUUUAAAAGUCCAGCAAAUACAUGGACUUUUUAAAAACCAAUGAUCUUACACUAGAUGAGUGUUCAAAGUUUCGCAAAAACUCUAGUACAAAAUAGUAUUUUUUUCAAAACGGUAAAUUUUUCCACACGCCGUUUUUUUUAAAUGAUAUAAAUACAUAUCGAUGUUUUUACCUACACUAUCAACUUUUUUAAUUUAUACCGGAUAUUUCAUUUGUUCUUAGCAGAUUUUUUAUACAUAUUUUUUUGAUAAACUUUUUACAAAGAUAGUAUAGGUAUUAUGGAAAAUUAGUGUGUGGUGGCGGCAUAUAAAAUUAAGAAAGCUUAUAGAUUUCUGCAUCAUGGCAAUUCAAUUGCAAAUUAACUUCAUUUUCAUUUUCACAAAGUAUUAAAUUAAAUAUUCAGAAAGAUAAAUUGAUCAUUUCUCCAGUUUCUUCAACAUAAACAACUUAAUGCAUAACCUGAUACUACAUCUCCUAAACCAUAAUCAUUGAUCUUAGGCCUUUUAUUAUUUUCUCAACUUUUCAUAACUAAAACAUAUUACAUCAUGAACUUCCAAACACAAUACUUAGAGAUAUCCUUUUUCCUUGCAACACUGAAUCGCAUCUUCAAACAUAUCAUCAACACUGUACUUAAACUCGAAACCAGCAGCCACGAGUUUCUUCGAGUUCAAUUCAGCUAACCUUGCACCUUUAAUUUCCUUCAACUCACUAAUACAACAAAACAAAAACAGAUAUAAAACAUUAGUUAUACAAUAAUCAAAAACAUGUCAGAUUUGUAUUGAAACAUUUUAAAUAAUAGAACUCACUCUACUGAUAGAAUUUGAAAUUCUGGAUAUUUGGCUGAAAAAAGUUGAGACAUUUCUUCAAUAGUUACGAUGAAUGGUGCACAAUUGUAUCUCCCUCCAGGAACAGAAUUCUCAAGUAGAUAUAUAUGUGCUCUAGCUAC